rnacentral:lncRNA from 1 species
CGCUACUCAUAGCAUAAGCACUACUCUUUUAUUUACAAGUCUGUUCUUCAGGGGACUCAGCCCCGCAGCUCAUUUCCGUGCAGGUCGGACGCUUGACCAGCUCGAUCCCCGAUCACGAGGCCAGUUCGGACCUUCACCUCGGCAGUCGCAUCAGGUAGUUUUCCUAAUCGAUAGGCUUCAUUUUCCAUCAUGAAAACUCUAGACACACACUGCGCCACUGGACCUGGACGAGUAGUGACCAAACACCAGCUUCCAUUGGUUGGAUUGAGCCCCUUCAAGGUGUUGAAAAAGUCCUCCCACAAUGCUUGAUCAUCAUUCCACACAUCAUCAAGGACUAGGAGAUAUCUUUUUCCCCCUGGGUUGUUCCCAAUUUUUUCAACGAUGACGUCCCUAAGAUCCACUUCAACCUUUUCUUUCGUCAAAUGCACUAAUAUGAGUUUGAAAAGCUCCUCUAUUGGAACUUUUUUCGAUACACAAACCCAAAUCUUUAUGUCAAAGUGUUCAUCAAUUUGCUUGUUGUUGUAUAUGGAUUUAGCCAAAGUUGUUUUGCCUAAACCUCCCAUACCAACUUUGGGAAGAACAGAAACAACCUUCUCAGACAGGCUCAACAAAAUCUUCACUAUCUCUGAUUCAUCAUCGGCUCUUCCAACCAUUGGAGCAACAACAGAGUCGGUCUGCCGACCUCUCGUGCCUCCAACAGCAGGAGCAGCAGGGAGGGCAGCAGGCACGACUGACUUACUUCCAGUCCAAAAUCACGGGCUUGUUGAUUUAUCUCCUUCAACUUCAGUUUGACGUCCCUGACCUUAGAAGCCAUUCUCCAACGAAAAGCAAUAUUAAUGUUAGAGAAGGAGAAGAAGCAGCAUACCUUGAGCUUGUGUCGGUUUCGGGACUCCACCUGGUGACGAAGAGAUUCAUAGUGGAGCUCAUCCAACACAUUCUGAGCAUCAUAAGCCACCUCCUCGAGACACUUCAACCAUUCAUGCACUACCCGGUCCUGGUUUUGUUGCUUUUCCUCAGCAUCAGACAAGCGAGCAUUGAUAAACCGAAGAGAUCGAGUCAUGCUGGCCAGAUCCUUCUUGAACCCAACUAACAUACCAAUCCUAUCAGAGGCAAGAGACAGUGCCGUUUCCAAUGUGACCUGAAUUGUGGCACCGAUAACAGGGUCGGCCAUUGGUGUUGCCUUGGAUUCAGUGUUGAGAACAAGAUGUUUUUUUUUUUUUAUGGAAAGUUUUUUGCAGCGAGGAACUGGUAAUCUUACCUAGGCUACUAUAAUUGGUUAUAAAGAACGGAGCGUUAAUAAUUAUUGCGCGUAGACCUGGAGUUCUUCUCUGGCAAAUUUGUAAGCUUUUGCAUGGGCGUGUUUACAGAGUAACUUUCUCAAUUAUUGUAGUUGUUGGGGCACAUGUUUUCUGAUUAAAUGCCGGGGCCUUCAGAAUUUUUGGUUGUGGACCAUAUUUGUUUUUGUCCACGAUCAAAUCGUAAAAAGGAGAGUGAGAUUCUGCUUUGGUUACAUGCAUGUCAUUGUUAUUUGUUAAUCCUUGGAAAAUGAAUUUAUGACAUAAUUUGGUCUGAAUGUUGUUCGGUUUUGGGAAGCAAUAAUAAUAAUGUUCUCUGUUUUCGCACUAGCUAUGAUGCAUUUUGCUUCUUGGCUUAGCAAUCAGGCUUGAGAUUUUAAAUUACCUUUUGUACUUCAGCGUUUCAAGUAUAUAACAUGAUCGGUAUGAAACCCUAGCCUUCUACUCCUCUCUUUAAAAUCUGAUAGUCUUUAAUUCAAAUCGAUAUUAAUCCUUUUUGUUAUAUUAUUUCUUAUUACUUUCCUUUUCUAGUUGAUUUUGGAUCCUUUUUUUUAUUACUUUUCUAAAUUUUUCUCCUCAAACUGGAUGUCUCUCAAUCUCUCUUGUGGGAAUUCAACAUACUUUAAGAUGAAUUUCAUUUUGUCAUUAUCAAGUUUGCACUUGAAGAAUUAAAGUUCAUAUGGGGCUAAGUCAUACUAAUUUCAUAUCUUUGACAUUUAUUUAUCACAAACCUCAAUUCUUCUUUCCUCUAGUGUUUCUUUUCUAUAUCAACUCUCCUUAAUCCCAUUAUUGUCUCACAGCAUAAUCCAGAAAGUGUCAGUAUAUAAGAAUUCUUUUGAAGUAAUUAUUACUAAUAUAUAGUUUCCGUUUCUUGUGGAAUGUUCUGAAUCUUUCCUAAAGCACCAUUUUCCAAUUUGAGUUCCAGAAUUGUUGCAAACUUUUUUGAUUUGCGCAUCACUUUGCAUGUAAGAAUUCAAAAUUUCACCACCAAUUAAAUAUAUAGUUUUCCUCGCAACUUGUCCCGUUUGGAUUGCUAUUUUUAGGAAUUUUUAGCUGUUGCUUGGCAUUUUCAAUUCACCUUUCUUUGUAGUGUAGUAGUUGCCGGGAUUCUUCAGCUGCCGUUGAUCCACAUGCCACAUGCUUGGGGGGCCAUCGGAUGUGGAAAUUUCCACCCAAGAAGGAAAAGAAACCGUGUUGAAUGAUGAAGAAAAGAAAAUGGCAAUCAUCAUUGACACUCUAAUAAUUGCCAUGGAGAAGUUUGCCUGGCAAUUUCACUUGGCUUUAUUGAUCAAUGCUUAGCUGGGUAUUUCAUCUUUUUCUGAUUGAAAGCUGGCUGGGGCCUUUGGCUGUGGAAAAUAUCUCAAUAGUUUGUCGGAGCUGUGGUUUGACCCAAGACUGACCCCCGCCACAAAAAAAAAAAAAAAAAAAAAAGCCUAUGUUCAACGAUCAAAAUGUAAAGGAGAAAGAGGAAAUGACAACCAUAGCUGGUGACUUUGCAACAUUAAUUGCCUCAGUCAUUAAUCCUUGGGAAAUAGACUAAAAACGUUAUUUUGUGGGGGAAAAACUUAAAAAAUAAUCCGUGGUUCACUUGUCAAAAACAUGAAGUGGAGUUAGCAAUCAGGUUUGGCAUGUAGCGACAUAAUUGGCCAAUGGUUGGGUGCUUUCUUAGCUUUUUACACUUGUGAAAUUGCCAAAACAGUCGCUCGUAAUUCCACAAGCUUUCUAGCACUUUAAAAAUUCAAACAUUUUGUUUCAAAAUGUCUUGUUUAUGUACAGCAUACAAAAUUUAAGUGGUGAAAGUUUAAGGCGUUUCUUUAUUACUAUAUUUUUUUGAAGUACAAUAUACAAUCAACUGGAGUUAGAAGUAAAAUAGACCUUUAGCUCACACUAUGAUUAUAAACUUUGACUGAAUUGGAUGUUUUGGGAAGAGGGAAAUGAGCGUGUUCUUGCAGAUUUCAAUUUUUACAAUUGAAUUAUUUGCCUAUGAUAUGAUCACAAGUUUAACUUAAAUGGAGUUGCGAUAAUAGAAGAUUCUCGAAAGAAGACUUCAAAAGGUGGAAAUUGAAAAUGAGUGGAAAUUAAUGAGGAAUUAACCAAUUAUUUGGAUUCCCAUUUUUGUAUCCGACUCUUUUAUAAUUAGUUUUUCUUAUAGUUUUUCUCGCUCCUAACAAAUUUAUCUAAAAAGAUAAAUUUGAAUUAUUUGUUCUUAUGGUUCCUCUCUCUUCUAACAAUAUGAUAAAUUUGUAUAAAUUUGUUUAUCCAUAUGGAUUAACUUAGUGUUAAAAAAUUUUUAACUGUUAGCUGAUAGAUUUAUCAAUAUUGCUGGAAAUUAAAUAUUUUUUGAUGUAGAAAACAAAUCGCAAAAUCUUUUGUACUUAGUUAGGUAGGAAAAUGUAACUAGGUUUAUGGUUAUUAUAAAAAUUGUAAUUAUCUAAAAAAUAUCCGUACACAAAAAGGUAGAAUAUCUAUUGAUUUUUUAAUAUGUGUUAUCAUAUUUGAUGAAUAUUAUUAUAUUAUAGUAAAACUAUGUAAAGAAGUUUUUAAAAAUUAGUAUGAUAGUUAAGUAUAAUUAUUCCAUUAAUUUUCUAAAAUUAAUAUGAAUGAACUUGUAAGAUCAUCAUUAAUUUUUUAUUUAAAUUAUUCAUGCUUGCACGAAUUCAGAAGAAAAUAAAAAAAUAAACCAUGCCAAGGCAAAUGCAAGAUGCUCGUUCAAAUUAAUGUUGUACACGUAUAGGAGUCACAAAACGGUUUGGUGCACUAGCAGACGAAAGGGGACAUCUAAAGUAUUAGGACAAGUUUUACAUUAAAGUGGGAGAUUUGUAACGCAAUUGAGCGAAAACAAAUGAGGUUGAGGAAAACUUUAUAUCAGUUGCAAUACAUUCAUAAAAGCUAUGGCACAUUCGUUAAAAUAAGAAAUAUUUAUUAAUUUGGUGCAGUGUAAUAGCAAACCAAGGAAAAAAAAUAUGAAUGAUCCGUGAGAGGGAAAGAUGUCAUUUGACUUAAAAUAAAAGUGUGAUUGGAUAGAGGUUUAGAUGAACAAAAAAAUUAGAUUAAUAUUGUAACACUUUUUGUGGCUUGAUAUAAUAUAUAUGAGAUAGAAUGAUGACUGGUAAAAUAAAAAAAAUGAUUCAGGUAAAUAUAAAUAAUUUUUUUCAUAUAUUUGCGUAAUGAUGAUAAUGACAGGGUGAAAACAAUGCAUGCAAAGACGAAGGUUGAUAAUAAUAAUGAUAACUAUGGUGAGAUAGAUAGCAAUUGCAAGUUGCACACCAUGCAAUUAGUGUUUUAGAUUAGGUAAAUUUGCACACCACUAUUGCAAAUAAUUCAGUCAAUAAGAGAUAGGAAAACAUAAUGCACGAAAUCCAACUUUUAGAAUUGUGUUAUAGUUUAAUGAUGACUAUGUGGUGUUUUUGUAGACAAAUAAACAGAAAAACAAAUAAAUAUACAAAUUUGAUAAAGAAAGGUGCACUUCUACAGGACCGAAACUAAUUGCUCUUAGGUCCCAUUUUGCUAUUUUUUAAAGUUUUUAUAGAGACUUUUUCGUUUGGAUUGCUAUUUUUUGAAAUUUUUAUAGAAAAAUGUAUUGUAGAAAUUUAAUAUCUAUGAGAUAAAAAAGUAAUUAAAAUAUGUGUUUAUGAAAAACAUUAAAAAUAUUCCGUAGUAGACUGCAAUCCUAGCAUGGCUUGCGAUUUGAUCAAUAUGAAAUAAAAAAGUAAUUAAGAAAUGUGUUCACAAAAAAUGUAAAAAAUUUGCCUUAGAAAACUACAAUCCAAACAAGUAGUCUUCUCCCCGUUCAAGAAACGCAAUGAAAAUAUUUGUUGAAUAAUUAAACUUAUCCUUUCAUAAGCCACUUAUACCGGGGGAGGUAUGGAGGGAGGCAAUGAAUAAAAAGUCUUGGGUUCGAUUCCUCCCACUUACACAAAGAAAAAAGUAUAAAAUAAAAUAAAAAAAAAAACCACUUAUACUAGCUAAGAGUAUUUUCUGGUCACGUCUCGUGUUAUAUAUUAUUAAUCCUAUCAUAUUAUCCAAAAGCAUUUGUUGGAAAUUGCAUUCUUAAUUUAGAUUAAAAAAAACAAUAAUGAAAUAUUUGUUGGAAACGAAGGAAAAGUGACGCAACCUUUCCAAUUUGUAAAUUCAAUUAGGCUUACAUGUAAAACUAUUAAAGUGUAUCAGCAUGAGAGAAUUUAGUGCUUCAUCUGACGCUUGUAAAAUAGACAAAUGAAGUUUUGAAAUUCUAGCACUUUUGGACCAAUACCUUUUUUUUAAGGCAAAACCAAUACCUUAGGUAACCACAAGAUCUCAUCUUGAUUUGCUGUUUUUCUUAUUAAAUGUUGAAUCUAGAAAAUCAUGUCUCAGAAAUAACUACAUAUACCUGGAAAAAAAAUUUAGUGCUAGGAUAAAUAUACUGCUAAGUUAUGGAAAUUCUCUUUUCCAUUUUAGCAAUUUGAUUCUUUGGACGCAUGAUUCUAUCUGUUAUAUUUGGCUUCAAAAUAUGUUACUUUAGAAUGGUGUUUGGAUGUGGAUACAUAAUCUGUAAUUAUUCUCACCUAUAUUUAUUUUCUAAAGGUCUGUCCACUUUAUUCGGAUUUCUUACCUAUUUCACUCACAAAUGCAGAGGUAGCCAUUGGCGUUUUACGGUGAAGAGAAGCCAAAAAAACUACCAACCCCUUUAUUGCUCUCUUUCAUCUUAUUUCUCCAUCUUUCAUCCUUCUUUUUCGUUGUGACCUACAAUUAGGACUGCAAACCACUCAAGCGCUAGCGAGCCAACUCAGUCAAAAGUUAAAUCGAGUUCAGGUAAUACUGAAUCCGAGUUGAGCUCAAUCCAACCAAGUUGAGCUACCGAAUUCAAGUCGAACAUAAAGAAAUUCAAUUCAUUAAUUGACGAGUUAGCUCGAAUAUAUAUAUAUUUAUAUAUAUUAUUUUAAUAUUGAUAUUACACAUAUAUCUGCCUAAUAUUUUUAUUAUUUACUAAGCAAAAAAUGAAUAUUUUAUUCUUUUUUAAAAGAAACAAAAUAAUUAUUUUUUAUUUUUUAAGGUCGAGCAAGCUCAAGCUUGAGUAUUCGAGUUUGAUUAGACUCGAAUUUGAAGUCGAGAAUGAACUCGAAUUUUACAUUGAAAACUCGUCGAGUUCGAAUUUGGUAAAACUGAGUCGAGCUUGACUUUAUUAAGCUAAAAGUGGACUCAACUAGUUCAUUUGUAACCCUACUUACAAUGCUUUGAUCACCAUUUUAGAAAGUUUAGUUGUGGGCCUUGGUGAACUGUUAACGGGGAUGCAAUUUGUUGACAUGCAAUUGGCUAAUCAUCCAAGUAUUGCUACUGCUCUAUACAGUUUUAACAAAGUGGCCGAAAUUGAUAAAAGGAAAAACUGUUACAGCAUUAGUGAUUUAUUGGUUGUAAACACUUGCCACAAGAAAAUGCAUUUGCUUAUCCGAACACUAUCCAUGAACCGUUCAGUAGGUGCUUGUCUUCAAUAAUUUCUGAAAGAUUAUAUAAUGUGUGAAUGUUUCAAAAAGACAAUACAAUAUGCAAAAACUAUUCACUGAUAGUUUCCAAAAGGAGUUUAAUUAAGCUUUACUUGUCGGUUUAUUGUUUGAGACUCUGACUUAGCAUCUAUAAAUGAAUGCAAUAACUGGUAGGGAAAAAAUCAUUCGAUUGUGAUGUAUUUUUUGAUUUUCUUGAAAUAAAAAAUGCAUAGGGAAAAAAAUAUUAGAGAUUUAUCCUUUGCAUGGAGUUCAUAUCGUUACUACUUUUGCUACGUGGAAUACCUUGUCUGAUGGAUGUCUGCUUGAAAUAUGCGUUAACCUUUAUGGCUUCCACAUAUUGUAUGUUUAUCCUAAUAAAUCAUCUUGUAUGGUGCUAAUAUUUCAAACAAGUUUUGGAAUUUUGCUGCAAGUUUAUCUUCUCAAAAGAUAAGUCAAUCGAUUUGAUUUGCGUCCAAAAAUGUGGGUGGAGUUUUGUUUCUAAAUAAAUACUCAGAUAAAACCAAUCCAAACAAACAUAUAUAUGCUUUGCUGAGGCCGACAGCUGUUUCUGAUUGACAAAUUUUAAAUGCUGGGGCAUUCAGUUGUGGAAAAAAACUCUCUGACCCAAGAGCACAAGAAACUGUUGUCUUUAAGGAUAAAAAUGUACCAAAAAAAUAAUAAUAAAUAAAAGGAAAAUGACAAUCUACUUUGGCUACAUUGUUCAGCCAAUUUCCAGUUCUUGAGAAAUAAAAUAGACGUUCAACGCCCAUUUUCUAAUUCGAUUCAGUUCUGUGACCCCUUUUUUUAAUUUUCUAUAAUUUGAGGUAUAUAUAUAUAUAUAUAUAUAUAUAUAUGUAUAUGCCAAUCAUAUCCCAAUGCCAUUUGGUAGCUUUGCUUGGUCACUAUUCAACGCUUCCCUAUAUUUGUUCUAUUGUUCCCGUCAUUCAGAAACAAGGGGACAAAUCCUUAUACUACUGUAUAAGAAUAAAUUGUGGUCAAAUAUGAUUUGAAUUUCAGCCAUAUGGAUAGGGACUUUUUGAAAAUAUGAAAUAUUGUGUAAUUUUUUAAAAUCUUUUGAUACAAUUGAGGGCAGCAUGUAUUUAGAUAUAUUUACCGAAAUACAGUCAUUUUGGUACAUUUAAAACUUUGAUUUAUGGGGACAUUUAGGUAUUUUUGGAAUAUAAAAUUAUUUUGCAACCAUUUUUGCAUCGAGUACAACUCAUAUAAACUUAUGUGUUGAUAUAAUUACUGAAAUGAUAUUAUUGACAUAUUUAAUUAAAGUGUGAUUUUUGUUGUACAAUUAACACAAAGAUAUAUUAACACAUUGUGCAAUUAAAACAUUGCUAUAAUUAGCCAUUAAAGGAUAUUUCUUUGUUUGAAAUAAUUUAUAUCUGCUCUUGGGCAAUUUUCAAUUAACAUCUAUAGGGGCUUUUUAAGAAUGAUAAAAUUGUAAAAGUAUUGAUAAAGUAAAAUGUACAAGUGUGUGCUGCAAUUAGAAUGUACUAUUAUUAGUUUUGUCAUAUUUGAUGACUAUUUCUUUUCGGAAUAUAUAAUUAUUUAUCCAAUAAAAAAUUCUCUCUAAUCACAAGCACCAAACAUCAGCACGAUGCACUGGCACUCCCUAGUAAUCACAACAAAGAGAGGAAGGCAACCGAAUUGAUCAAGAAAGUGGAGCGAUCGAUUACAAAUGAAUAAUGUCAUAUUGCCGCAUAUUACUACUGCCUUAUUACCAUUAGAUAGGCAAAAUAUUUGUACUUUUCAAUUUUCUAUUUGGAGGUAAGGUCUAAUAUCCCCUUCCUUUCUUUGUAACUUUUUCGAUGAUUUUAUUAAUAAAAUGGGUAUAUAACCCCACCCGCCAAAUAUAAUUGGCGGUUUUUUUUUUUGGUUAAAAAACUGUCAUACUGCAAUUAGUUGUUCCAAUCAUUGGGUGCAAUACUCUGCGUAGGGAUGUACGCGAACCGAGCUACUCGCGAGCUACAAUGACUUGGCUUGAUCGAGUUCAAGCCGAGUCUCGAAUUACCCGAAUAUACAUUCAAAUCGAAUUCGAGUCACGAUUUUGCAGCUCGUGACUUGACGAGCUACUCGUCAAGUAGUAUAAUUUAAAUAAUAUAUAUGUAUUAUAAUUAUAAAAUGACCGUUAUGAUUAUAAUUUAUACUGAAUUUACAAGCAGGGUACCGAGUCAAAAAGCUCAAUUACUCGACUCGAUAAGGUUUGACUCAAUCGUCGAACCUUAUCAAGUCGAGUCUCGAGCUUUUAAGGAUCUUCUUGAGUCAAGCUCGAGUUGAAAUUCUCCGACUCGAUCAAGUUCAAGCCGAGCUCGAGCAUAGUUAUUAUAGGCUGAAUCGAACUCGAGUGUAGCAGUACUCAACCUCAACUUGGCUCGAGUACAACCCUAGCUCCAUAUGAAGAAAUGGGUGUGUUACUAGAAGAAAGAAAAGAGACCUCAUGGAGUAGAGUUCACAUGGAGGUGCGACGUGUUAAAUUUAUUCACAGACAAAGGACCGCACGUGUCCCUAUUUUUAAAAUUCCUUUUUCAAUAAAUGAGCCUCAUGUAUUACGUUACGGGCAAAUGCAAACCCCAUAUUUUGCAAAAGAGCAGAGGGGCUCUUUUUUUUUCUUUUUUUGGUGCGUCACAGAGGUGCUCUUUUGCAAAAUAGAGAGCUGCAUUUGGUUUUCAAUUUUUUUAAAAAAAUUAACAUUUCCAAAACAAAUUUAAAAUUACCAAAAAAGGGUUUGGAUGCCGCAUGUAUGCAUGGUGCCAAUUGUGCCAAAAUCGACAUCCCUAAAUAAAGAAAAUUACCACUUUUUUCUCAUUUUGAUGAUUUUUUUUUUAGUUUUUUAACAGUAUUAUAAGAACUUACUCCAUAAUUUGCAGAUGUCACUGCAAUAUCUAAAUUAGAGAGGAAGUCCUUGCAAGUUCACACGUUUUCGGUGAAAACUCUGUGGUCCAUCAAGUCCGUACAUUUCAUUUAUAGGAGCCUGAAUUCCUUGGCGCGGGAUACAGAUGAACCUUCCCGUGUAAUAUUUUUUCAAUAUUUUAUAAUUCUAGGUGAACUAUUUAUACAUCCUUAUAAUAGAUGUGUGACGUUCUGUUAAUGUUCACGUGAGAUUCUAUGUAUAAUAAUUACGUUUCUAUCGUAAAAUUUUAUAAAUAAUUCACAUAGAGUUAUAUUCCGUUCAAAAAAUGUUACACCAUUUAUAACAUUUGUCAUACUCAUACCCCUAAUCUGAAUUCCGCAUGACACACUUAAUUUAGUUAGAAGUUAGAGCUUGAGGUGUUAAACAUUUCGCGACUUUGAUGAACAAGGUAUGCCAGCCCCACUCGACGGUAUGGGUAUCAAAAACUCUCACCGAACCGUGGACGAAAGGCCUUCUUUAUUCGGUAGCAAUAUGGUGGUUAUCUUAGAAUUUGGUGCAUUUCGAGCCCUUUUGAAUUGCUAUUUUCUGACAUUUUCGUAGAAAAAUAUAUUAUAGUAAUUUAAUAUACGUGAAGUAAAAAAGUGAUUAAAAAAAUGUAUUCAUAAAAAAUGUAAAAUUUUUUUGAAAAAAAAAUGGCAAUCCAAAUAAGGCUAAAUUUCUUCUUCUUUUUUUUUUUUUUUGCCCUUAACUAGAAUUCUCAGCCAACGUAUUUUAGGUGAUUUUCGAUAAAAGGUUUAUCCAGUUUAUGUAAGGACAGCAUCAUCCUCACCAGCACCAAUAAACAAAGAAAAGAAAGAACACAUACAUCUAUUGAAUUGUUGACGAAAUAAUAAACAGAAGGCGAGGUGCCCUAUGAGGCAAGGGAAAAUGAAGACGUGGACUACUCCAGUAGCAUUGAGCAGAGACAAAGUCGUAAGAAACGAAAAGGGAUAUAAUUUUUUCUUUUUUCUUUAUAAAUUUUUCAUUAAAUUUUCUUUAUUUCAUGGACUAUUAGAAAAUUGUGAGGAGGGUUUGGUGAAGCAGAGAAAUAAUUAGAAAGUGUUGGCUGGUCCAUGCACGCUAUUAGUCUUAGCAGUAGGGUCGUGGGCCGUUGGAAGAAGGGGGAGAAUGACAGGACAGCACACCGUGAGCUAGCUACUAGAUUGGACAGACUUUUUUUUUUCUUCUUUUUGUUUUUCGGGUAGUGGAGAGUGGCACAAGAAUUUUCUAAAAGAAUUUAAGAAGAUAUAUUCUAAAAGAAUUUUAACAGACACAAGAAAAUUUUCCAGAGAUACGGAUGCCCAAUUAUUUUAGUGGAGAUCUUUUCAUGAAAAUAUUUGUCUGACGAUCUUUUUUUUUAUUUAUCGCAAUAAUAAAAUUUUUAUAAUCUAAUUUAAUCUAAUCAAGAAGAAAGGAGAGGGAGAUUCGAUAUGAGUAGAGACUCCAUAAAAAAUGAUCAAUUAAAGUCAUCACACAUAAUAAUAAAUUGAUGGAAGGUAAAGAUUGAACUCUUUCACCUCCCACACUAUCAAGACUUAAGUCUUGUGUGGUGACCACCGGGCCGCCAAAGGCGCAGUGUUAUCACCUUGAGUCUUGUUCGGUUACAUUUCAUUUAUUUUCAUGGACCCGCCAGUGGGCAUGACAGUUGCCAUGAAACUUGGAUGCUAUUCUAUUAAUUGCCAUGGAAGUUGCUUGGGAUUUUGACUUGACCUUUCUUAAUUCGUGUUUUGCUGAUUGUUGGGGCCUUCAGUUGUGGAAAAAAUCACAGAAGGUUGUUGGAAUAGUGAUCUGACCCAAGAGGCACAAGAAACUGUUGUCCUUAAGGAUAAAAAUGUACCCAAAAUAAUAAUAAUAAAAAAAUAAAAGGAAAAUGACAAUCUACUUUGGCUACAUUGUUCAGCCCAUUUUCUAGUUGUUGAGAAAUGAAAUGAGAACAUUUAUUAUAUUUGGAAGUUUUCAAGCACAUCAAACUUAAAGGAAUUUAACAAGUCGUAACAAAACUAUACGGUUACUUCAAAUCCGUUUCUAAUGUUAUUGAGGAUAUUUGCGUAACAUCAAUGUUUCGGAUUUAUAUUAAAUAUAGAAUCUUACUGUAUUGAAUUUUCUUAUGAAACAGAGAUUUGGAUUAGGAAGACGGUACAUAAAUAUUAAUUUGUAAAGCACUGUCGAUCGAUUUGAUUCUGGUCCAAUACUUGGUUGACCAAGAAAAAUACAUAGCAGUUGGAUGCUCGGAUUCAACAUCUGCUUUUGAUACACACGCUUGCGGGGCCCUUGGAUGCAGAAAUUCCACCCAAGAAGGACAAGAAAUUGUGUGUUGAAUGAUGAAGAAAAGAAAAUGGCAAUCAUCAUUGAUCAUUGAAACUAAUAAAUCUCUUUUGACAAGAAUUUUCAUAAACAACACCUAAGUUAAACCCACAAGAUACAACUAAAAAGCUGACUUUUGGUUACACCCAUAAAACUUAAGUACUACUCACGCACACUCUUAACAAACAAUGUGGGAUGCAGAGAUAGGAACAGGGAGAGUCUCUACUAAGCACUAAGGAGCACUCAUUCACUCCGAUUUUUUACCUCUUCAACAGGUCUUUUUUUCUUUUGACAAGAAUUUUCAUAAACAACACCCAAGUUAACUCCACAAGAUACAACCAAAAGGCUGAUUUUUAGUUGCACCCAUAAAACUUAAGUACUACUCACACACAUACUCUCAACAAACGAUGUGGGACGCAGGAAUAGGAAUAGGGGAGCCUCUACUAAGCACUAAGGAGCACUCACUCACUCCGAUUUUUUACCUCUCCGAUUGAGACUAAUAAAUCUCACUCCUUAAUUCUUUGGACAUGAUCGUACAAUUAAUCAUGUCAUCUAAAUUGCUUAUAUUUAUUUGAAACAUUAUUUAAGUACUCCUUAUUUUGUUUGCUUUCUGCAGAGCAUUAUGCUAUGAAAUAAUUAUUGUAAUAUUUUUUAUAAUAUAAUAUAUAUGAAAUAAAAAAUAAUAAAAAAUAUAAAAAAUAAGUUAGAAAAAAUAUAUAUAAUACAAAUAAAAUAUUAUUUAAAAUAAUUGGGUAUUGAAACACCCCCGGAGUUCUCUAUUUCCAUGCUAGCUAUAUAUUUUCCCUUUUUGUCCAGUUCGGAAUAGCUAGAAAUUUACAGUGGGUGCUUUUGUUUGCUCUUCAACAACCGGAAAAAAUGCUGCGGUAGUGCAUCUUUGACAAACUUGCAUGCCAUUAUUGACUUGGCCUUUAUUGAUCAAUGGUUAGCUAGGUAUUUCAUCUUUUUCUGAUUGAAAGCUGGCUGGGGCCUUUGGUUGUGGAAAAUAUCUCAAUUGUUUGUCGGAGUUUUGGUUUGAUCCAAAUCCCCCCCACCCCCCGCGGCAGCCCAAAAAAAAAAAGCACGCCAGAAAAGAAAUGUUCAACGCUCAAAGUGUAAAAGAGAAAAGGAAAUAACAACCAUGGCUGGUGACUUUGCAGCAUUAAUUACCUCCGUCAUUAAUCCUAAUAGACUAAAAACGUUAUUUUGCAGGGGAAAAACUGAAAAAAUAACCGCUGGUUCACUUAUCAAAAACAUGGAGUGGAAUUAAUAAUCAGGUUUGGCAUGUAGCAACAUUAUUGGACAAGGAUUGAGUGCUUUCUUAGCAUUUAUGCUUGUGAAAUUGCCAAUAUAGUCACUUGCAGUUCCACAAGUUUUCUAGCACUUAAAAACUUUAGACAUUUUGUUAAUGCGCAAAUUAGGCAGUUUAUUUGUUAAUAUUUCCCCCUUUAUUUUGACCAAAUGUUGUGAUAAUUUGCUAGAUUCUACUUAUAUUUGAAUUUUUGUGUGAUUUCUAGGAACUUCAAGUCAAUUGAGGCAGAAAAGGAGAAAUUGAAGCCUAAUUGAGGAAAUUCCAUUAAGAAAAUCUUGAUACAAGUUUCUUAGUUGAUACUUGAAAACCGCUACAUCAGGGAUGAUGGGGUGUGGAAACCACCCAGGAGUAUUCAUCUACAAUGCCCUGUUCGGUUGAUGAUUGUUACUGCAUCAAGUUAGCAAGCAUUUUGGGCUUUUGCUUUUGGUUAGUUUACGGCAAAGAACAGUACAAUUGAUGCAGCAGAACGUCCGCAUCCCAUUGAGCUUCAAUUGCACACGAGGCCCAUUUUUGGAAAAAAAAGAAGAAAGAAACGCUAAAGAAGCCCUGGGGGGACGCGAGGUAAAACAGGACCUCUGGUUCAACUGAAGAGGAUAAAAGAGGAGAAAACGGAAGGGCAAAAAAAGGGGAGGACUUUGAAAAUCAACGCAGGCCAUUCUGUUCCGUCCCGUUUUUCCUUCCUUUUCCCAAUUUAUUUUCCUUUUUCAAUUAAGAACUCGAGUAGUACUUUUGGCUGCAAUUCAACUAUGAGGAGUGGCUAAUUUCUUCAUCUAGUCAGAGGUUAAAUCGAAGCUUGGGUUCGACAAAACUAUGAGAUCGAAUUGAUUUGCCUAUGUUCUUUAAUUUGCAAGUAUUUAUAUAUUUCCUGUUCACUUAUGCAUAUGAUUAUUUCUUGCAAUUAAAUACUUGAUCACUGUUUAAUUGUGUGAGUAAUUAACAGCCAUCUAAGAGUGCUCAAUCCGUAAUUGUUGGAUAAUUUUAGUGCAUGUGGCAAUUGACAUGAUUCAAUUGUAGUAGAAACUUUUGAGUUGUUGUUGCGGAAAUAUAUGAUAUAGCCUAAAUAAAUCGAGCGUGUGUGUUUGUUGGUUAUAAUUGGUGGCCAGUCUAAUGAUUAAUGCUGUCAAUAGGUUAAAUCCUAAGAGCGUGUUUAGGACUGCUUAAUUGGCUAGGGCAAUAACCACAGAGCUUGUUAUGGUUAUCGAAUCAGGAAGGUUAGGCAGGUUGUCAGAACUUGUUGACAACCAUAACCAGUUUAUUUGUAAGUGAAAGAUUUUAUCUCUGCAUCUGUGAUCAAUGAUUCGAACCAUUAGUGGAGAUUAUACCUUUGAUUAGAGAUUUUCCUUCCGUUAAUUUACUUUAUAUUUAUUGUUAUUUAUUUUAUCUGCGAUUGUCUUAUUUUUAAUUUGAGCAAUUAAAUUAGACAGUUCCAUAUCAAUUCCCCCCAGUUUUAUUUAAUGUUACAUUCAUUCAAAAUAAAUUCCCAAGUCCCUGUGGAUUCGACCCUGCUCACUGCUAUAUUCGAAUUUUAUCUUUCACGUAAUUAAGAUACUUUGGUAUAUCGGAUCAAGCAAACUCUGGCACCAGGGUGAAGUUAGUAACCCAUUGCACAGCCUAAGUCCCUGCUCCAAUACCAUAGUGGACUUAAUUCGUGACUUAAGAGUAGGAAUUUUAUUUUUGCUGGUUUGACACCCACCACAUUUUGUGUCAAAAUGCUUGUUUUUGUGCAAUAUACAAAAUUUAAGUGGUGAAAGUUUGAGGAUUUUCUUUAUUAUUAUUCUUUUUCUUUUGGAGUACAAUAUAUAAUCAACCGUAGUUAGAAGUGAAAUCGACUGUUAACUCACACUAUAAUUGUAAACUUUGACUAAAUUUGGAUGUUUUGGGAAGGGGUUAAAUGGCGUGUUCCUGUGGGUUUCAUUUUUUACAAUUGAAUUAUUUGCCUAUGACAUGAUCACAAGUUUAACUUAAAUGAAGCUGCAAUAAUAGAAGAUUCCCGAAAGAAGACUUCAAAAGGUGGAAAUUGAAAAUGAGUGGAAAUUGAUGGUGAAUUAAUCGGUUAUUUGGAUACUUGAGUUUCACCUAUUUUUGUAUCGGAUUCUUUUAUAAUUAGCUUUUCUUAUAGUUUUUCUCGUCCUAACAAGUUUAUCUUUUAAGAUAAAUUUGAAUUAUUUGUUCUUAUGUUUCUUCUCUCUUCUAACAAUAUGAUAAAUUUGUAUAAUUUUUUUUAUCUAUAUGUGAUAGGACACAAUUUGUUGUUAAUUUUAUGGUUAAUUUUCCUCUUUGUCCUUGCCAAAUAUUGUUUUAAUUGUUGAAAUGUACUUAUAUUUGGUAUUUGGCCCUAAUUACAGGAAGUGGAGCAAGCAAGUGGUAAAAAGGAGACUUUAUUGAGAAAAACACUCCACACAUGGGAAGUUCUAAAAGGAAAUACAAGCCGGGCUCCACAGGAUGCUACAAAAAGGGAUUUCCUAUCUUUAUGCUGAAAAUGAUGGACUUAUACUAGGAGUCUUACAGGUAAGAGGAAACUAAAAACAAGGACUUUGGCAGAGCUCCAAUUCUUUGGCCCUUGGACUCUCAAUUCAGUGGAGACCACCGAGGGAAGUUAGGCAAUUGUUUAGAUUAGGAACAAUGGGUGAUUACCUUAUUCUUUUUCUCUUCUUAUUCGGUUAGGAGACUAAUCACGUAGGUUUAUAUAUUGGAGGCUAAUGAGCCGCAGGGAAGGGGGGGCUUGGACAGUAUCACGUUGGAAAUUUUCUCAACAAAUGAAGAACUAAAUUCUUAUUUUCUAGUCGAAGGUCAAUUUGAGGACUCGGUUCCGAACAUCUGUGAGAUCUAAUUAUUUUACUUAUUUCUUCUAUUUAUUGGUAUUUGUACGUUUCCUGAUUUAAUUGCUUAUGAUUGUUUUGUCAUUUGAAUGUCAAGGGUCCGAUAUUCGAAUUAACCUAAUAAUCUGCUGUCAUAUUAAUUGAUUGAAUCCGUAAUUGUUCAAUUGAUUAAUUUCAGUGGCGACUAGCGUGAUUGGUUUCAUGUUAGGGAAACAUAUGAUCUAACUUAAACAAACCCUCGUAGCGUGUUUGUUGGUUAGGGUUGGACUUUUCUAAUUAUUAAUGUAAUCGAGUAAUUAAAUCCUACGGUCGUACCUAAGAUUAUUUCUUGGUUAGAGAAAUAGUUAACGGUCAUACCUUAACUAUCGAGAAAUUAAGAAAAUGCUGGUUGUUCAUCGCGUGUAUGACAACUAUAACUAAUCUAGUAAUGAAUAAUUGAGUUAUCUUUGCAUCGAUGAUCAGUUGAAUGAACCAUGUCUGAAAAAUUGUACCUUUUACUAGAGUCAUAUUGGAUAUUGAUUAUUUCCUAUUUAUUUCUUUUAGUUGUUUCAUUAGUUAGUUAAUUAGUAAUUUUAUAAAAAUCCCCCAUGUACUGAACUUUAGAAGAAAUGAAUUAUCCCCAGUCCCUGUGGAUUCGACCCUACUCACCGCUAUAUACAUAAUCUGUAUUUUUCUCGAGUAGGUAAUUAUUAUUGUACAGGCUCGACACCCUGUCAAUUUUUGGCGCCGUUGUCGGGGACUGGUGCCAGAUUAAUUUGUUUCUUUUUGAGUUCAUCUUGUUUUUAUUUUUUAUUUAUUUUUUUCUUAUUUUUUUUAUAUAGUUUAUGGCUUCCAACAUUCCGUAUUUUGGUGAUAGACUGGAUUUUGUUUCCAGGGUAGGCAAUGAGGCUUGUUUUUUUUCUGAGUUUGCAUAUUCGGAGGCACUAAACUCUCUUAGAGAAAGAAUGGCUGCUGCAACCUAUGAAAUUUGUUAUGCCAGGGAUCAUUCAACCGAUAUGUGCCCCGAAUAUCAAGACUACCUGAGUGAGUAUCUCAAAAAAAAAAUUUGGAGAUUCUUCACCUCAAUCUCAAAUGUGGUAUGACCCUUAUUCAAACGGGUAUGAUCAAGGAUGGUGGGAUAACUCCAACGUUAAUUAUGAAAAGGGGCCAAUGAGUUUUCAACAGCAAGAGUCUCAACAAUCGUCAUUCAUGUCAGAAUUGCCCUCACAAACCAUCAAUGACUCUAAGGAAGGUGAGAGUGCAAUUAUCAUGACAAGUGAUAUGGAACUGCAAUGAGUCUCAAGAAGGAGGAUCCAAAGAUGCAGUUGAAAAGGAAGUUGAAGGGGAAAACAUGAGACUCCAACAUCAAAUUACCCUAGUGAACGAAUCUAGUGAGUAAAUGCGAUGACACCCCCUCCAUCCCUUAAUCUAUAUUCCCCUGACUCUUACUCUAUAACUUCUGUUAAUGAGAUUGAUUUUGUUAUAUCGGAAGUUUUUGAGUCUCAUUGCAGAAAUGAGUUAAGAGUAGCUAUGGUCAAAUAUCUUGAACCGUUGAGUGCUCUUGAUGGAGGAGUGAGUGGAGAAUUCAGAUCAUUGUUGACUUAUUUGGCGCCAUCUACUAGUCCAUGGAAGACCGUAACUCGUGUGCUCAAAUAUUACUCUAUUUACGAGGGCUAUCAGGAGUAUAUAGAGGAUGAAACAUUAAAACGAGCCACAAGAUUUUAUCCUCCAUGAACAAAAUAUGAUAAUGUCUAGCCAAAGACAUUAAAGAAAGACGCUUUUUGGGAGGCAACCCAAUUGUUGAUUUUGUUAUUUUUGUGUUCAAUUUUUUUUUAAUAUGUCGUUUCUCACUUGGAUACUAGUCACUCUUGAUGUUUUCUCACUAUGACCAGGAUAGGUAAUCUUGGCGUGCCCAUGCGAGGAGGGCACGCGUUAAGCAUCUAAGUUCAAGACUCAUGGGCAGUUGACGUUUGUAAAACAUGGCGCGCCCACGCCGUGUUGGUAAAUUCUCAACUUCUCGCGACGGCGGCAGAAAAUGGAAUCUUGGCAUGCCCACACGAGGAGGGCACGUGUUAAAGUGCGAAAAGUGACUCAAGGGCAGUGGACGUUUUACAAUCUUGGCGUGCCCACGCGAUGUUUGACGACCCAAAAAUGAAUUUAAAAAUUUUUUUUUUCAAAAUUCACAUUGAAAAAAAAAAUUCAAAAAUUCAAAAAAAAAAAAUUUUUCUUUUUCUUUUUCUUCAAAGAUUCAAAUUUUGAAAAUUUAAAUUCGGGAAAAAAUUUGGAAAAACCAUUGAAAAAAAAAACCCAAAAACUAUUUUUUUCUCUUUUCUUUUUCUUUCUUUCUCUUUUCUUCCUUUUCUUCCCCGCUUCCCCUUUUCCCCUUUUCCUUUCUUCUUCGCCCGCCUCCCUAGCGAACGCCGCCGCCCCUGCUCCCUCUGCUCUCUCCCUGCCGCAACCUCGCACAACCGCACGCCCAAGCGCGACCAUCGCGCCGCUACUCUCUCAGACACUGCGCCUUCCUCCAAUUCGUUCCCACCUCUGCAGCAGCCUCAGCUCCACCGCCGCCUCCAAGCUCCAAGCUCCACCUCACGGACCACCACCAACUCUCCUUCGCACGCUGGUCGCCGGCUAGCUCUUCCUGCCGCGACCACGCUCGUCCCUCCUCCUCACUCUCUUUCUCCUUGCGCGACCAUCGUGCAGCUGCUCCACCUCGCGCGACCCGCUGCUACUGUCCGUCACCACCCAAGCCGAAUGCCACCAGCAGCUCCCAGCUCUUCCUCUAUUGCCGCACGUCCAGCUCCGCCGCCGCUGCUGCUGUCCGCCAUCUCCUUGCUGCGCAUCACCACCUGUCAAAACUUGACAGGUGGAGGUAUUGAAAUUUCUACCUCGAUCAGUAUUUUUCGGGUUCUUCUAUUGCUGGAAUUUGAGCUUUUGUGUUUGGGUUUCUUGAUGGAUAAAAGAAGGUGUUGAUUUGGGCAUUUUCUAGGGUAAAUUUGGACAGAUUUGGGUUUAAUUGCUGCCAUAUGUGGGGAUAUUUUCUAAUUUUUGUUGAAUUGUUGGUCGUUUGAUUUAAUUCCUCCCUGUGUAUACACCAGUGGUACUGGUUGCGGUGUUGCUUACAAUUCUUAAAUUUUCUCGAAUUAUAAUCGGUGGUUGCUGGAAUUGCCUGUUUGCUGGGAUUCUUAAAAUUCUUAAGGUUUGGUCGCUUGAAGUGGGUAAUUGAAUGUCCAAUUGGUGACAUUUGUUGAGUUUCCCUUGCUCCAAUUGGUUGAAUUCAUUGCUCUGUUGAGGUCCCUGUUAGUAUCGCUUGAGUUCUGCUUUGUUAGUUUCUGUAUUGUGCCCCUUGAUCUUAUUUUGACUAAAUUAGAGACCCAGUGCAUAUUCAUUCAAUUUGCUGUGUUGUUAGGAUACUUUUCUAGCCUUUGGGGUGCCUCAGUUGUGCAUUUUAUUAAUUGGAUUGGCCAUGUGGUUCACUUCUUUCCUGUGCAUGCACCAGUGGUAUUGGUUGUGCUAAUUUGCUUACAAUUUCUUAUUUCGAUAUGGUUGAGCAUCUGUGACUGAGUAUCCUUCGAUUUGCUGCUUUGUUGGGAUUUUUUUUUUUUUGGUGUCAAUUGAGUAUCAUUUGGUACUUUCUGCCUGGAGUCUAUUGAGCUGCCUUUGGUUGGGGUUUAUUGCAUUUAAUUGGUGCAUUGGACAGCUCCUGUGCCAUUUCCGUUGCUUAUUGAAGUAGGUUGCCUCUAUUUGCCUUGUGUGGGAGUAUUUUGUCCUUUUCAUUUCAAUUGCUAAAUUCAUUGGAGCACUUGUUGUGGUUUUGGGAUGCAUUGUUAUUGCAUUUGGCUAAGCAGGGGACCACCCAGGGGCUAAUGACUGGGUCCAACUCCGAAUGCAAGUUGAGAGACUGGAGACUCGAGUGACCCACAUUGACGCCGACUUGCAUAACAUGGCGCAAAAUUUGGCAGCACUCCGCCCGACCCACCCCCUGUUUUGACAACUUCAGGGAAGUACCGUUGCCCUUCUCUUUCCUUUUGCUGUUAGUUUAUCACAUUGAGGGCAAUGUGUGAAUUAGGUGUGGGGGGGGAUCAGUUUGGAUGCUAGUAUUUUCAGUUUUCGAUUUUUAGGUGUUUUUUCUUUGUUUUUAGUUUGAUAUUUAUCUUCUUUUCGUUUAUUUCUUUUAUUCGUGAUCAGGUCUUAUUUGAAUACCAAAUUUUAAUGCUGGAUCAUUGUCUUUAAUGCUGCUUUUGCCAAGUUUUAGUAAAAAAGGGUGAUGCGGAUACGGGGUAUCAAGUUAAUGCGGUUGAGUUCAGAAAUAUCUCUUUGAUGAAUAUUAGUAAUUGCUUGACUUUUCUAAUUUUUGGUUAACUUCUCUAGGCAUAGGGAAUGAUUGUUGGCAUUUUUCAUGUGAAUUGGUCCAAUUAUUAAUUUUAGUCUCCAUGCUUGAGAAUUUGAGGCUGGCUGCUGCUACUCCUGUGUUAUUUUUAGUUAUAUUGUGUUGUUUGGCUAUGAAUAAAAUCGACUGUGCUCCGCUAGUCAUUACUACUGAGUAACCGGGGAUCUUCACCAAAAGUGUCGAUUCUCGCAUUAAAAAGUAGUAAUUGCCAUGAGUGCGUGGUUGUAUAGUGAUAGGAGCUGAGUAAUCGGGCUCUUUCAUCGGACAAAUGUUGGAGUUCGCGUCAAAAGGCUCCGAUGGCUAAAGACUAAGUCUUGGGUUACCAUUAUCAUUCAAUAAAAAAAAAGAGAAAACAGAAAAAUAUGAGAAAAAAAAGAAAAAUAAGUCAACUUGCCUAUUUGUGAUUUUAAUGUGAGAUUUUGAUUAAUAUUUGGACCAUUUGCUGGUAAAUGUGAGCAACCAUUCCUUUUUCUUAGAUUAGUUGCUUUAAAUUGGAGGAGUUGGUGGUUAAGGGGCUAACCGAAGUGAUUUUUCUUUAAUCUCGACCUGUGAUGCUUGAUAUUGGUUUUUCUUGGGUAUCUUGGCAAUACGUUAGUUGGAGCAAUAGCCAUUGUCGAAUUUUUGGUGUUUCAUUGCUGUUCUCAUGCUUGAGGGCAAGUAUGAUUUAGGUGUGGGGGGAAUUGAUAAGGCACAAUUUGUUGUUAAUUUUAUGGUUAAUUUCCCUCUUUGUCCUUACCAAAUAUUGUUUUAAUUGUUGAAAUGUACUUAUAUUUGGUAUUUGGCCCUAAUUACAGGAAGUGGAGCAAACAAGUGGUAAAAAGGAGACUUUAUUGAGAAAAACACUCCACACAUGGGAAGUUCUAAAAGGAAAUACAAGCCGGGCUCCAGAGGAUGCUACAAAAAGGGAUUUCCUAUCUUUAUGCUGAAAAGGGUGGACUUAUACUAGGAGUCUUACGGGUAAGAGGAAACUAAAAACAAGGACUUUGGCAGAGCUCCAAUUCUUUGGCCCUUGGACUCUCAAUUCAGUGGGGACCACCGAGGGAAGUUAGGCAAUUGUUUAGAUUAGGAACAGUGGGUGAUUGCCUUAUUCUUUUUCUCUUCUUAUUCGGUUAGGAGACUAAUCACGUAGGUUUAUAUAUUGGAGGCUAAUGAGCCGCAGGGAAGGGGGGCUUGGACAUUAUCACGUUGGGAAUUUUCUCAACAAAUGAAGAACUAAAUUCUUAUUUUCUAGUCGAAGGUCAAUUUGAGGACUCGGUUCCGAACAUCUGUGAGAUCUAAUUAUUUGACAGGUUGUCGAAGCCUGUGCAAUAAUAAAACCUGCUCAAACUAAAAGUUAAUUUCUGUAGAUAGCAGUAAGCAGGGUCGUAUCCUCAGAGAUUAGGUAUAUUCGCUUCUUAAGAAAUUCAAAGUAACACAGGGGGGUGAUUUUUGUAGGAGCAACAGCAAUUAAAUAACUUCAAAUAAGAAAAUAAAAAUGAAUAACUAACUAGCAAUUAAACCACAAUUCACUGAACUUAGAGCAACAAUAAUUAAAGGCCUAAAUCACUUAGAACAAGGAAACAAUUAAAAAUAAAAUGAAGUAGGCAACUAAAAAGUCAAAUGGCAAUUUACUAAAAUCAAGGUAAUAUUAAUUAAAGAUCUAGCCAAGAAAUAACUUCAGCAAUGGUUCACCUAAUUGAUCAUUGAAGUAAGGGCAAUUCCAAUUAUUUAUCAAUAAAUAGGUUAUAACUACCAAACAAGCGAUGACAGUCAGCUCCUCCUUACUGUGUCGGUGAUCAAGGUACGCCCGUUAAUCACUGCUCUAAUUGAGAAAUAAUCCUAAGUACGCCCGUAGAAUUUAAUUCCCCAAUUGCCUUACGUAUUAGAGGAGCUCUAUUCUAACCAAAUAACACACUACCAGGGUUAUUUUAGGUUAGCCCGCGUAUUCUCCUGACACAAACCCAAUCAUGCCAGUUAUCACUAUUUUUAGACAAUUAAACAAUUACGGAUUUAACGUCCCAAUUGAUAAUAGAUUAUCAAAUCAAUUAAUUAUCCGGAUCCAAGACAAUCAAUUAAUUAAAUAACCAUAAGCAUAGCAAUCAAGAAAUAUGCGAAUACCAAUAAAUAAAAGGAAAAGAUUAAAUUAAAUCGAUCUCACAAUUUUAGGCGAUUCAAAGCAUCCGUUGUUCCUUGACUAGAGUGAGAAAAUUAGCUCAUGUUCGAUGCGAGAAACCCACAAGAAAUUGUAAAGAGAGCUGCGGCCAUUGUCCCUUGAAAUUGGGGAAAUUCAAUUCGGUUCCAAUGUUUGUAAAGAUAGAAAAGCUACAGCAAUUGAUUCUAUGGUUUCUACUUGUCCAAUCAUACGAGAAGGAAAAGGAAAAGCUACUUGAGCCCACAAGGAAAAGUCAAAAGACUAAGCUAAAAGAGACACAAUCCAAAGCUAAGCUCCUAAGCAAUCCUCCAUACGUAAUAAGGAAUUAGCUAAAAGACAACGGGGCCAUCCACAAAAAUGCUCAGCUCUCUACUUGCGGCCGCUCUUGAAAUUGGGGAAAUUCAAUUCGGUUCCAAUAUUUGUAAAGAUAGAAAAGCUACAGCAAUUGAUUCUAUGGUUUCUACUUGUCCAAUCAUACGAGAAGGAAAAGGAAAAGCUACUUGAGCCCACAAGGAAAAGUCAAAAGACUAAGCUAAAAGAGACACAAUCCAAAGCUAAGCUCCUAAGCAAUCCUCCAUACGUAAUAAGGAAUUAGCUAAAAGACAACGGGGCCAUCCACAAAAAUGCUCAGCUCUCUACUUGCGGCCGCUCUUGAAAUUGGGGAAAUUCAAUUCGGUUCCAAUAUUUGUAAAGAUAGAAAAGCUACAGCAAUUGAUUCUAUGGUUUCUACUUGUCCAAUCAUACGAGAAGGAAAAGGAAAAGCUACUUGAGCCCACAAGGAAAAGUCAAAAGACUAAGCUAAAAGAGACACAAUCCAAAGCUAAGCUCCUAAGCAAUCCUCCAUACGUAAUAAGGAAUUAGCUAAAAGACAACGGGGCCAUCCACAAAAAUGCUCAGCUCUCUACUUGCGGCCGCUCCUCUGUGGUAAAAUGAGAAGUUUCCAGGCCGUGCUUUUCUUCCCCAGCAAUUACCGAAAUGGGCCCAAGUGUUUUUUUCUCUUGCCAACAAUGCCCUUAGGGUAAGUUUUAUCAUCUGAACUUCUUUUCUGUCGAAUUAGCACCUGUUAGUAUAUUUUCGUUCUAUUCCCUGAAAUAAAUACAAAAUACUAAAAAUGAGUAGAAUCCAGUAAUUAAUCCGCAUCAUGUCAGGUAAUAGGGAAAAUUAAUAAUAAAAUAAAUGAGAAAAUUACACCCUAUCAAUAUUUUACUUCUUUCUUUUAUUUAUUAGUAUUUGUACGUUUCCUGAUUUAAUUGCUUAUGAUUGUUUUGUCAUUUGAAUGUCAAGGGCCCGAUAUUCGAAUUAACCUAAUAAUCUGCUGUCAUAUUAAUUGAUUGAAUCCGUAAUUGUUCAAUUGAUUAAUUCCAGUGGCGACUAGCGUGAUUGGUUUCAUGUUAGGGAAACAUAUGAUUUAACUUAAACAAACCCUCGAAACGUGUUUGUUGGUUAGGGUUGAAUUUUUCUAAUUAUUAAUGCAAUCGAGUAAUUAAAUCCUACGGUCGUACCUAAGAUUAUUUCUUGGUUAGAGAAAUAGUUAACGGUCGUACCUUAACUAUCGAGAAAUUAAGGAAAGGCUGGUUGUUCAUCGCGUGUAUGACAACUAUAACUAAUCUAGUAAUGAGUAAUUGAGUUAUCUUUGCAUCGAUGAUCAGUUGAAUGGACCGUGUCUGAAAAAUUGUACCUUUGACUAGAGUCAUAUUGGAUAUUGAUUAUUUCCUAUUUAUUUCUUUUAGUUGUUUCAUUAGUUAGUUAAUUAGUAAUUUUAUAAAAAUCCCCCAUGCACUGAACUUUAGAAGAAACGAAUUAUCCCCAAUCCCUGUGGAUUCGACCCUACUCACCGCUAUAUACAUAAUCUGUAUUUUUCUCGAGUAGGUAAUUAUUAUUGUACAGGCUCGACACCCUGUCAAUAUGGAUUAACUUAGUGUUAAAAAAGUUUAACUAUUAACUGAUAGAUUUAUCAAUAUUGCUGGAAAUUGAACAUUUGUUGAUGCAUAAAUAAAUUGCUAAAUUUUUUGUACUUAAUUAAGUACGAAUAUGUAACUAGGUUUAUGGUUAUUAUAAAAAUUGAAAUCAUCUAAAAAUUAUCCAUACACAAAAGGGUAGAAUAUCUAUUGAUUUUUUUAUAUGUGUUAUAAUAUUUGAUGAAUAUUAUUAUAUUAUAAUAAAAGUAUAUAAAGAAUUUUUUAAAAAUUAGGAUGGUAGUUAAGUGUAAUUAUUACAUUAAUUUUCUAAAAUUAAUAUGAAUGAACUUGUAAGAUCAUCAUUAAUUUUUUAUUUAAAUUAUCCAUGCUUGCACGAAUUCAUAAUAAUUUUUUUAAAAAAUAAACCAUGCCAUUAUUUGAAUGAGUAUCAUUAUUUUUAAAUUUCACUAUUUUACUAUUUCACAUUAUCAAAAUUUUCUUCUUUUCUACUGUUUGCCUUUUCAUUUUUAUAUUGCACAAUAAUUUUAUAUUUAUAAAAUUAUAGUUUACAUUAAAAAUUACUUUAUACUUUACUACCCACUAUUAUAUUUAUUUUUACCUUUAUUCUUAUAACAACCCACUGCCAAAUAAUAAUUUAUUUGUAUAUUUAUUCAGGUAAAUAUCAAUUUUCUAUAUAUUUUAUAAAAAAUAUAUAACCAAAUCUUAUACAUAAUAAUUUCAAUGAUUAUUUUUCAAAGAUUUGGGAAAUGCAUCUUCUUGUAAAUUGAAUGAGUUUUUUUUUUAUUUAAAAACUUUUUUUAGGGUUUAACAUAAAAUAAAAAUAAUUGAUUUAGCAAAUUUAUCUGGACCAUUUUCUUAUGUUUGAACUUAAAAAAAAUUAACCACAAAGGUAGCAUAAGUUUUUAAUUUAAAAAAAAAGUAAGCUGCAGGCCGCCGCGCUGAGCCUGCAAGUUUUUUCUUUUUUAAGAGAAAGUUAUGUUCGUUGACCGCCUGCGGCUUUUCUUAACAAAUUUUCAUGGCUAUAUAUAUAUAUAUAUAUAUAUAUAUAUAUAUAAAGAAUUCUCUUGUCUACCGACCCGGUAGGCAUAGUAUUAUACUACAAUGUUGUCAGAACAACAUUGUUCCGACUUUUUAUUUUUUCGGCAAUAACCAGAGUAAUUAGCAAACUAGAGAAAAAGUAACGCCAAAAGCUUCCACGGAAUCCUAGAAUUUACUGCGCCUUCGCCUGAGUCUUUCUACAAUGCUGCUACCCUACAUGCAUUUGUCUUUUCUGAGUCUUUCUAUAAUGCUGUAAUAAUUUUCUCAGCUACCAUAUUAGUAGAUUUUCUCAGCUACGCUAGUCUUUCUAUAAUGCUGUAGUAAUUUUGUCAGCUACCAUACAUGCGUUUAUAUUUUAUUAGGUCUUCGCUGGACUCUAUAUAAUGUAGUAGUAAUUUUCUGUGCUACUAUACAUGCAUUUGUCUUUUCUUAGGUCUUUGAUAGAUUCCUAUUCGCUAGACCAUACAUGCAUUUGCUAGAAAUUGAACAAAAUUUCUUGCUCAAAGAAUUAAGGGCAUGUUCCAGGAUAGUUACACGUGAAGUAACUAUAAUUAAACAUGUCACAAAUGCGUAAGAGUUAAGAAAAUAGUAUGGUCUAAGGAUAGCAGUCCAAAAAUUGAAAUUGCUUAAAAUUGUGGAGGCAGAAGUGGCUGAACUAGCCUUAAUCUUGAUGAUUGUAAUUGCUUCUAGAUAUUGUACUGAUUGAUCCUAUGCACCAAUGGUACUCGCGGGAGACAUGAUUUGGAGGAUUUUGCAGUUUCAAAAUAUCCUUUAUUUCCAGUGCAUUCAGUUUCAAAAGACAAAGAACAAAACUCAAUGAAAUUUUCUCUAUGGUCACAGACAUUAGGAUCUCUUUAUUGUCAGCCAAAAGCAGAAGAAAAAUAAAAAUAAAAAUUUUCAGAGAAACCUGGCUUUGGUCCUGGCCAAACUCGUUCAAUGAUAAUUGCUUCAGGUGCAAAAGAUUAUAGCAAUAAUCAUGUUCAUAAGGACUAACUACACUUUACACCUCUAAAUUUGCACUACUUUUUUGUAUUAUAAAUUUUAAUUUUGGAUGCUUUGUGUUUUAAAUUCUUAAUUUUGGACACUUUGAAUCUCAAAUUUUAAAACUGAGGAGGAUAGGUGCUGGACUAAGGGUCUGUUUGUUUUGGCGGAAAAUAUUUUUCACAUUUUCCGUUGUUUGGUUAUCAAUUAAUUUGGGGAAUUAAUGAUUUCCGAUGGAAAAGAACUUAUACCGAGAAAAGGAAAAUAACUUUCUUGUCUAUCAUUCUGAAGUUAUUUUCCUUUCACACAGUUUUCACCGAAAGAUGGAAAAUCACAGCCUCACUCCACCUCCCAUUAAGACAAUUGAAGACCCACUCCACCACCCAGCUUUCCCCCUCCCCCCCUGCCCUUCUCUCUCUCUCUCUCUCUAGGAUAUCAAAACACCUAUAUUAUCUUUUCUUGGCCCCUAGCAAUGCCAAACUUGAACAAUAGUUUGAAGAGUUAAGAACUCUGGUUUCCCAAUAUCAAGAAAAUAGAGUAGUAUUACUUUGAGUUCGGUCAACUUUGAUUAGUUUUCAUGAGGUACUAACUACACAGUGGCUGCGACUUCUGGUAUCAGGUACCUUUAAUUUACUACCUUUAGUUGCCAUAGUUCACUUAAUUAAUGAUUAUAUGCAUGCAAUCAAUUAAUAAUUAUAUUAAAUUUUCAUAGUCAUCAAUUAAACUUUCAAAUUUUCAUAAAAGAGACUCUUCUCCCCUUAAGGAUUUUUUUAAAAGGAAGAUAAAAAGUCAAUUAAUUAGUAUCAUUAAUAAUUGCAUUUAAGAAUUCAUGGUGUAAUAUGAAUAAAUAUUUUAUAAAAAUGAUAAUAUGAUUAUAAUGGAUAGAAACUAAAAAUAACUUGUAAUAAAAUGAAUGUUUUGAAAGUAGAAAACAUUUGCAACAUAUCAAAAAAUAUUUUACUGACAAACCAAACACCGAAAAAUGAUGAAAAAAGGAAUUUGGAAAAUAUUUUCACUAAAUAACCAAACACUGGAAAAUUAUGGGGAAGGAAAUGAUUUUUCAGGAAAAUGACUUCUUUCCCUAGGAAAAUAUUUUCAGUCCAACCAAACGGACCCUAAAUCACAAAUAAACUGGAUUAAGGUAAACACAGAUGCAGCUCUGAGUAGUAAGAGCAACAAGGCAGGCUGGGGCAUUGUGGCUAGGAAUUGGCAGGGGACGCCGAUUGGUACCUGGGCAAUCCCAACUAGAAGCUGCUCAAGUGCUCAACUGGAGGAAGCAAUGGCAAUUAGAAGGUCAAAAAUGGUGAAAUGCACUGUUUGAAUCUGACCGUAAACAAGUGGUGGACAAGUUAAAUACAAAUGAAGAGGAGGCUGGCAUUGCUACCAUUCUAUUGGACAUUCGAAAACUAAAAGAGGAUUUUGACGAAUGUUGCUUUUCCUUCACAAAGAGGAGAAACAACUCUGUAACUCAUCACGUAGCAAAAUUUGCUAUUAGUCUGAUUGAUAUAGCUCAAUGGAAGUACGACUUCCCAAUUUGGCUGCUGGAAUUAGUCCAAGCAGAUUCAGUCGAGCAGUUGCUCUAAGUGUGUACUUUAUAUGGGGUUAAUAAUAUGUUAUCAUUUUGGAAAAAAAAAAUCUCAAAUUUUCAAGUUUAUCCUAUUUAAAUCCUAUCAGUGACAAUGAGAACAUAGAAACUAGAGAAAAUAUCAGGCCAAAAGGAUCCAACAAAUCCUGCAAUUGACUCAAGUCUUUGCUAAAUUCGUUUCAUAAUGCUGCAGUUAUUUCCUAUGCUACCAAACAUGAAUUUGGCUUUUCUCAUUUAAAUCCCCGCUGUCAAACAUAAUUUAUUAAAUCAGGUUUUGCAAAUAUAAACUAAAGGAAAGUCAUGCACGAGCCUGGACUUCUCUACUAUAAGCUUAUUACUACAAACAAAAAAUUUGCAUCUCCACAUUAAUACGAAAAUUGCUAAUAAAGGACAAAUUAUUCCUUAUUAAAACUCAAAUACUUGACUGUUUACUUCAUUGCUUGAUGCUUAAAACUAAACUGCAUAUGUGUGAACACACAAAAACAUUUGUUUCUGAUAGUUACAGCCUUAGCCAGGCCUUAUCAACAUCUCAUUCAACCUGCCUUAGAAAAUAGAAAGAAAAUCACAUUCAAUUCUCAAUUCUUUAUUUUGCACUAUUUUGUUGGGUGAGCAAUUAACAGGCACGUGAAAUAGUGGCUCAAUGGGGGAAGAAAAAACGAGGGCUAUUCCUUUUUUGUUUUUGGAUUGCGUGAUCAAUUAACAGGAAACGAUAUAAGCAAAACAAUUCUUCAUGUUCAGGCCCUUGAUUUUCCUUUGUGAAUAAUGAACUGAAAAAAGAAACUUAAAAAUACUGGUUCAAUUGAAUCUUAAAAUUAAUGCAAAACAUGGACAUGAAUGCUGUAGUGUCUGAAGUACAAUCUCGAUUUAGUACAAGACCUCUGAAACUUGAAUACAUAAUGUUCCAGUUCCCCAAUUUUAAAACCUCUCAAGCCUGGCCAGAUUCUUCAAUUCUCGAUUCUCAAUUAAUGGCUUCAUGUAUUUUCCGUUAUGAAAUUGACAAAGUCUCCAUUCUGGAGCUCAUUUCCAGUUGUCUCGGAUUUGGUAUCACUUGAAACUGGUCUGUAUCAGGGCCGUCAACAAAAACCAGAGGAAAUUUGCAGCGCUCAGACCGGCAAGCACCCAAUAAUAGUAAUUCAAGUGACUCUCAUUCAAGUCAUGCUGAAACCAACUCUUUUUCCCUCCUUUCUCGCUAAUCUUGCCCACCAAAUGAACUGAUAAAACACUUCCCAUGAUUCCCAGACCGGAUAAUCCAGGAUUGAGGUAGACAAGGUACUUUUUCAUCGAUGGGGGACUUUGAUCAUUCAAGAAUUCUGCAACACUGUUCUCAUAAAAUGAGUCUAGCCCACCAAGAAGAAAGAAUUGCGGAACAAGCAAAAAGACAGUCAUGGGGAUUUUCUCGUUAGGCUUGUCAAUUAAACCAUCACUUCUUAUCACAUGUAUCCCGUGAGUUUCUGCAAUGGCCGCAAAUAUGCAACAUAAUGCUGAGCAUAUUGUAGCUAAUGCAAUUCCAGUUGCUGGUGCAUACCUUCUUCCGCCUGCCACUUUCAUACAGUUGUAUACCCUUUUAAAACCCAACUUCGCUGCUUCAUAUAGCAACAGAAGGGUUGAAUCAGGAAAUUUCAAUUUCCCAACCUUGUAAUUCAGGUGGCUUGCUUGCUCUACGAAGUAUGUGUUUCCCACGGAAGUAACUACAGAACAAAUUAUGCAGGUGAUCCAAACUGGAAGCAUACAGAUUAUGACCCGUCUUUCUUGACUUUGAGUCCUGAAUCUGAUAAUAUCCCUGUCAGAGAACCUAAGCAAAGGAAGAGAACAGCAAAAAAAUUCCUAUGGUCAGAAGUUUCAUUAUCUCUUACUUGAGAACAAAGAAAUAGAUCUGUAUUUGAUUUAUGGAACACCCGACACUCUAUUCCUUUUCAAGUGAAAGUUGAAAAACAGGGAAGAAGGGCAAAAAUUAAGACUAUGAUCAGGAAGAGGAAGAUGGAAAAGGAAGGAUGUGUGGGGUGAACCCAAGUCUGCUGCCCUGGUAUUCGCAUGAACCCUGAAUGAAAAGAAGUGUUGCCGCCAGUGUGAAAAUUGCUGGAAUUCCAAACCGAAGUUUCCAUGGGUGUAUGUAUGGAAGUGCAAUUAGUGCAAUAACCGCGACAAUGAGCACAAAGAUAACGCCUAAUGAUCUUAGGCCCGAUAUGCUGCUUCCGUUUCUUUGGUUCUGUCUCUUAACAAGCUCCAUCAUUGCUUCUACUGGUUGAAACUGAAGUUUUGAUAUAUCCUCUUCAGGUUGAGGGCUUUGUUGCCUGUUGCUUGUUUUAUCAACAACUUGGCUCCUUUCAAGCUGAUCCAAUGCAAAUGCAGCUAAUGAAACAUUGUGCCCACUCACUCCAACAGCUGUCAACGCCAGACCUGUGUAAAAGAUAGCCUUCUGUGUGUGACCAAUGCAAUUAGGCUGGUAAUUAGCACAGAUGUGCAUUAACUUGUGCAGUGCUGGUGGCGUAGACAUUGACAGAAAACCCAAGCCCUGCUCAUAAUUUUGGAUAAUCAGUUCAAGAAAGUCCAGUAAAACUGGAAGCUAUACUUCUAUCAAGUUAGGCCGUGAAAUUGAUGACUAAAUGGAAGGAGGGGAGGAAGAACUGUGAAUGAAUUUGCCGACAGGAGAACUUACAGAGGAAAAGGCUAUACUUGAGAGAAGCAGUAUCCAGUAGUUAUCCACUCCAAAGUCCCCAAAUAAGAAAAGAAUAAAAGGGACCAAUUUAGUUAGGCCAGUGUAUACAUUCAUUAUUCCUGCAGCAUGAGUAAACCCAACUUUCCAAACAUCUGUUAAGUACUUCUGCAUUAUCCACGUCACGUAAGUCGCCAACAAAUCAGCCCAUAUCAGAACUGUUAACAAGCAGAGGAAGUUAAAGAAUGACAAGGCCUUUGAUGACUCUGAGAUGAAUUAAAAGUACCCAUUAUUCUGACAAAUGCCAUUGCUUUUUCGAACUUCUCGUUGAAAUCCUGAGUGUGAGAAAAAUACUAUCAGAACAAAGGAAAUUAAGCUGACGAAUAGAGCAGUUUCAGAACCAUAUGGUGGCCAUAGCAAGCUGAAAGAAACCAGAAUUAAUAGUUUGGAUUGAGGUUUUUCUUUAAUUACCUCCAGCAGCUAUGUGUUCUGCUGGUCUGCGAGGGAAAAAGAGAGACGGAGAAACUUCUCUGCAAGAAGUCGUUGUUAGGAAACUAGUUUAAUUUCUUUUAAACAGAUUCCUUAUUUUGUGUGAAAGUAACUAGAUUUCUAAUUGAUUUUAGUUACUUAAAUAGUAGUCAAGGAAUUUCCUAUGUGUACGAGUUUAGGAAAAGGAGUUAUUUCCUAUUCUAAAUCAGGGCAGGAAUUAGGAAUGAUUUCCUAUUAUUAUUUGGGUUUUGUCCAAAUAAUGUUCCUUAUAAAUAGGUGGGUUAGCAUACUACAUACAAGGGCACACAAGGGGCGACAUGUAGCCUUAUACAUGGAUGGUGAAAGAGGGUUCUUGGGAGAUGAGAGAUGAUAUGAAAGGAUUGGAUUUGGAUUCAAAUUGUAUUCUUGUAUAGAGUUUUUCUCUCAUAAUGAAGAACGAGUUUCUCUCCGGGGAUGUAGGUUUAAUGGUAGAGUCGAACCAUGUUAAAUAUUGUGUGUCGUUUAUCUUUUAUGCUUAUGGUUUGUUUAUCAUUAAAUUAUUAUAUACUUGAUAUUUCAAUAGUUGUUUGUUCCGCGCUUUAAUCCUAACAAGUGAUAUCAGAGCUUGGUUGUGAGAUUGAGCGGCUCACAAGUACUUGAAUCCCAACAAACUGAAUGGUUGAAUUAAGAGUUUAUUUGUUCAAGGUUGGAUCCUGGUUAAUUAUUGAGAUCAAGUGCGUUGGUGGCUGUUACCAAUUGAACAAUUUAAUGGGUGUUAUUCUUAUUUCAAAAGUUUGGUAAGAAACAUUAAAAGUGAAGAAUGGAAAGUUGAAAAACAUGAAGAUACUUGACAGUGAAUCUAUACCGGUGAUUUAAGAGUCAAGAAAAAGAUGGAGUCUAAUGUCGAUUUUUGAACAUAAAUCGUUGGGUUGAUAUCUGCUUCGGAAGCUGCCUGUCCUUCAACUGUAUAUCUAUUAGUCUCCACAGUCUUAUUGCACCUUUGCUCUUGACUAUCUUAACUCUGUGGCCUCAUCUACAGCUGCACUUCCGCACCUUCUUUCCUUCAAAACCCAUCCUUCUAUUGUUUCAAAUGAGGCAACAUCGUAGCUUUGGAUAAUUUUAUAUGUGCUCACAGUUCACAAUUUGAUACAUUGAAAUUAUCUUCUCCAUAAUUUCGAGACCACCAACUGUGUGGCUCCAAAUUCGAACUUUUAUUGGCCUGGUCCAGUUUGCUUAGUAAACCGAGAGUUCGCCUCUCACGAUUUACAAUCCAUCUAUUUGUCUAUUAGCAGCUAGGAAAAAUGACUUGUUUCGUCUUUUACAUUUUGAUGAAAAAUUAAUUUUAUUAUUUACUUUUAAUAUAAAGUAAAUUAGUCCCUCAUAUUUUAAAGUGAACCAAGUUAGUCUCAAAAUAACCUGAUAUAGUCAUAUGGAUCUUACACUUAAUCAACAUAAAAAGAAAAUAAAUUUAAAAUUAUAACAUAAAUUACAAUCCAUUUUCUCUAAAAAAAAUUAAAAUUUUUUUAAAAAAUGACAUUAAGCUAACGUAGGAAGGGAAAAAUUAAAAUUCAUAUCAUAAAAGAAACCCCCAAGUUACAAAGUUUUACAACUAAAAAAUGUUUAACUUUUUAUAGAGAAUGGUUUGUUUUAGAUGUUAUAAUUUUUAAUUUUUCUCUUUUUUAGAGAGAAUAGUUUGUUUUAGAUGUUAUAAUUUUAAUUUCUUAAGAGAUAAUUGUUUAUUUUUGAUGUUACAAUUUUUAAUUUUUCCCUUUUUAUGUUGACUUAAUAAAAUUUCCUAAUGAAUUUUUAAUUUUAAAUUUUUUAAAAGAAAAGGGUUUUUUGUCAUAAUUUUUAAUUUAUUUCAUUUUUAUAUUGACUUAAUCACAUGUGCAUAUCAAGUAUAGUUAGAUUUGGAAGAAAUUAAAGUGACUGUUUCUAUUUCACCCCUAAAAUCUAUAUCAGGUUGUCAUUUUGGGACUAACUUGCUUCAUUUUUAAAUAUGAGAAACUAAUUUGAUUCAUUUUUAAAAGGGAAAUUUGCCAAAUUGGUCCCUAACAUUUACCAAAAACACUUUUUUAGUUUCUAACAUAUAAAAUCAGCCAAAAUUGUCCUUCACAUUUAAAUUGUGAUCCAAUUUGGUCCUAAUGCUCAUUUUUGCUCCUUUCUCCGGCUAAAAAUAGCACGCCUCUCUCACGUGGCCAUAUUUUCAAGGGCAAAAUUGGAAAACACAAAUCCCAGAUCCACUGGGGACGAUCCCUGACCUCACGAUCUUUAUCUUGUUUCGAUUCUCUAAGGACAGGUUCACCACAACGGUGACUGAGUUCACCUGAACAGAAGCAUAUUUGGAGGUGAUCAAAAGAGGGAGUGAAGUAAGGUGAGGUGAGGUAUGCGACGCGCGCCAGUGGCGUCGAGCAGCGGCGGCGGCUGCUUCUCGUGGAUGCGGGCUGCAGCGUCGGGGCAGGCAGAGGAUGAAAGAGAGCCGCGCAGUGGCGACGCGCUGAGCAGCGGGCGGCGUGCGCUGGGGUCGCGGGUGAGCUGGUGGAAGGAUGCGGUCGACUAAAGAGAGAGACGAGGGCAGUGCGCAGGGCAGCGGAGCAGAGAUCGCGCGACAGUAGAGAGAGGCGGCGGACAAGCGAGGUUGGAGGGGCGGAGGAUGCGGCGGCGGUGAUGAGGGCUCUCGGUCGCGAUGGAGAAGAAGAAACAGGGGACAAGAAGAAAGAAGAAAGCUUUUGUUUUCCAAUUUUGCCCAUGAAAAUAUGACCACGUGAGAGGGGCGUGCUAUUUUUAGCCGGAGAAAUGAGUAAAAACGAGCAUUAGGACCAAAUUGGAUCACAAUUUAAAUGUGAAGGACAAUUUUGGCUGAUUUUAUAUGUUAGGGACUAAAAAAGUGUUUUUGGUAAAUGUUAAGGACCAAUUUGGCAAAUUUCCCUUUUUAAAAUGUAGGACAAAAAACAUUUUUUCCAAGAUGUGAUGAUUGAAAUUCAUCAGACCAUCAUAUUGACUUAGAAGAAAAUAAGAUGAAGGCAAAAGGUUAAUUGAUGAUUGAAGUUCACUAUAUUAUUGACUGAAGACGGAAAAAAAAAAAGAAGAAAAAGUGGUUACGGAAAUGAAGACAAAGCUGAAAACAGAAAAGAGCCCCAAUAUGCUCUGGAAUAUGAGGUGCGAUUUGGGGAGAAGGGGUUUUUGUCAAUGGUGUAGACAAUAUGCGUUUCCUUUUUUACCCACAAAUAAAGAGCAAGAUUAUACCACUCUUUCCACCCAAAAUAACAAAAAAAAAAAAAAGAAAAAAGAAACCACAUACACAAACACUCAAUUUUAUUUUAUUUUUACAGUCCUAAUGAAACUUUUAAUAACUGCCAAUAGCUUACUAUCUUCGAAAAAGCUUAGUAUCUUCUGAAAAAAAGGAAAAAAAACUCUCAUUAUAGGCCUAAUAAAACCCUCCAAUACUUGCCAUUGCUUUUUUUUUUUUUUUGUGUUAAAGGUUUUCUUCCCACUACAGCAAGUGGUUCUUGGAUGAACCCAAAUUUUGUAGGAGGCAAAAGGCUGGGCCAAGAUAGGACUCGUAUAAGGACUUAAUGGGCAACACUUCUGUGGGUGAUUGGAGUAACGGCUAAUAGAAUGACAAUCGCCAAGCAAUCAUUGCUGUGUGAAAAAUGUCCUUUCCGCUUUAGUAUUAUAGUAGUCUGCGGGCCCGCGCCACGCGCAGGGUAGGCAUAUGUAACCCCUGUUAAUAAUUUGUGUUUGUCUAGUAAUAUUUUGUAAAGUUUGUUUUGUAAAUAUUGAUGUAGGAAAUAAUUUUAUAAUAUGUAAAAUAAUUGUGAGCUAGUUAUUUUUGAUUAAAUGAGGAUUAUUGGAAGGAUUGUUGGUAGGUUAUUGUAUAAAAUGUAGUUUAAUGUUGAAUAAAAAUAUAGCAUAUAUGUGCUGAAAUAGUAGAAUAUGAGAAUAGUAUUGAACGGUGAAAGUGUAAUCUUUAUAGUUAUUAUUUUAUAUUGCAGGAACUUCUACAAGUUUGACAUCCAAUAUCUACAUUUGAUAUUUGUUCAUAAUUAUGAGAAUAUAGUCUGGACUAAUAAUAUGGUAUUGUAGCAUUUUUUUCGAACUUUGAUGUUCCAACAUCUGUGUUGGUAAGAAAAGAUGAAUAUGCUAUUUUUGUUUGGCAAUAUAUGAGCAACAUCGUCGUGUUAGAGUUCUUGCAAAAUAAAAUAGAUGAUUACAGUAAACAUGUAUGAUUUUUUCUUUUUUUUUUAAUGUCACCAUCCAAACAAAACUUCUGUUGUUUGAAAGGAUAAUCAGCAUUUAAUGCUAGAGAAAAAGUAACACUAUCAAUGGGAAAUAAAAAAAACGCAAACUCAAAGUGAGAAUUUUCCAAUGAAGAAGGCUGCAUUCAAUAUCACAUGAGGAGCUACCAGGGCACCGACGCAAAUGGACCGCAAUAGCCCAAAAAUAUCAAUCCAUACCGAAAUAACCAACGGACACCCUUUUUCUGUUCAUUCAGUCAACUCUCACUUUUAUAUAGUUAGAUUAGAUUAGAUUUGGAGAAUUGUUAACGGCACUCUAUUUUUUUUUGCUAGUGACAUUUCCAUUAUUAUUUUUAACAUAUGAUAUUUAUUUAUUAGACUAUAUGAUAAAGUAAAAGAUGGGAAUGCGAUUAACAAAUAGUGAAGUGUGUUAAUAUUUCCAUUGUAUUUAACGGAUAACUAGAGUUUUAUGUAUUAAACUUUGUCGUGCUUUAUGAGUAGUCACCUUUAAAUGUCGAAAAAAAUGUAUUGUUCUUUAGUACACUUAGUGAUGAUUAGAAAGAUAAAAACAUAGUGCUAAUAUGUAUUUUUAGUGAUAUUGUACAUAAAAGCGUGUUACGGCAAAUUCUUACUAUGGUUAAUUAAAAUUUUAGUUUCAUGGACACAUACCCACAUUACUCUACUUCAAUCAAAAUUACAUAAUCAUCAAUCAUCACGAUCAACGUACUUUCAAAUACAAUUUGCAAGAGAAAUUUUUUCCUCAUAAAUUUCUUAAUAAACUGUGUCAAGGGCAAAAUUUUUGAAUUUAAUGGAAGAUAUUUCUUUCUUGUUAUAUGAGAUAAAUGUACUUGAUAAAUUUCUUUUUUUAUAUUAUUGAAAGGAUUUGUCACAUUUGAGAUCAAGUGAAGGUGUGUAUUUUAUAUGUGUUUAACUUAGCCAAAGAGUCUCUUUCUUGAGUAAUUUAGUACAGUCAAUUUGUUCAAAACGACAUCAUAUUUAUAUUAUGGAGUUAUAUAUAACAUGUUGCGAAAAGAAAAGAAAAAGUUGGCUAUUAACAUCUUGAAAACAUAGAAUGUAAAAGAAAAGGCCAUAAAUAAAAUACUUUGUUUUGUUGUGAAACUAUAUCUUAUCUCUGUUAGCAUUCAUCAACUUUAGAAUAACGUAGCUUGGAAUUUAAAAUGGUACUAUUAAAAUCAUGUUAACACUUUGAAUAAAUUAUAAAUGAGCUCCCCUAUUGUUUAAUGCUCGUUUGUAUAAUCCUUUACUAGUUACAAAAUCAAUAAAUGAGCUCCACUACUUGGGCUGCUGGAAGUCAUCCACUGUAAAGAAGUCACUGAAAAUGUCAAGGCUACCCCAUUAAAAGGCGCCACAGUUACUGCCCAAAAAUUCUGAAGUUCUCUAUUUUCUUCCAUUGGCUUCUUAGUUUCUACUUUCUAUUACAAAGGUAUUAAGGAGGACAACUUCCAAUAGUUUGAUACUUUCAAAGGGCUACGUGUAACUUUUGAAACAUAAGAGAUCGUGUGAUAAACUUUAAAUUGCAGUGAUUUAAAAAGGAUAGGUUCAUUAGUUUGAUACUUUCAAGGGGGUUGCAUGUAAUUUUUGAAAUAUAAGAAAAUCAUGUGAAAAAACACUAAAUUAUAGAUCAUUAAAAAAAAUUUACCCCUGAUUCUUUCUAAUAUGGUAAAUACACAUUAAAUCAUACCAUAAGCUCUUACACAUGCACUGAAAGAAUAAGGGGGCAAGGUGGAGAGGAAAUUUAAUGACACAAAACCCCCUAGUGUUUUGCGGUAUUAACACAUUCCUACCCAUGACAGAGAUUCUAUGCUCUGCUAUUAUAACUUUUGAAACACACACAACAACUGCUGAUUAUGUCAACUGGUUAGUUUUACAUCGUCUCUUGAAUGAAAACAAAGAAGAUGCUUGAGAUUAGGACAAAUGGGAAGAACCCCAGCUUAUGUAAUGUUAAGCAGACUGUACAAAUUGACCAUUUCAUUUGCGCCUCACAACAUCUGUUUCUGAUUGUUGGGGCCUUCAGUUGUGGAAAAAAUCUAGGAGGGUUGUCGGAAUAGUGGUCUGACCCAAGAGGCAUGAGAAACUAGGGCUGUCGAUCGAGUCUAAUGAGUCGGAUUUUCAUGAGCUUGAGUCCAGUUCAUUUAAUUUAUUAUAUUUUUGGUCUUCGAGCUUAAGUUUCGAAUUAAUAAAUGUGAAAUUCAUAUUCAAUUCACAUAAUAUUCGGAUUGUGAGCUUUAUUUAGGCUUAGCCCAAGCUCACUUAUUACCUUAAUUUUCUAUCUUAAUAUAAUUACUGUGACGCCCCCACUUCUCCCUAAGGCUAAUCAAAGGGUAUCCGCGGGACGCCUGCCUAGCUCUCGCCAGGACUCAAGCAAUUCCAUUCAAACUUAUUAUCGGACCACACAAUACGGUCAAUAACUUAGAUACAAUAAAUGCGGAAGCGUUCAAGUUUAAUAAAAGUCAUCCGUUAUCCAACCCGCACAUCGGGUGUUCAACAACCAUCAUAAAUUCCAAAUAUACAUCAUGCCCCAAAAGUUACAUUCGGAUUCCAAAAAUACAACCCAAAAGCCAAAAUAUAGUCAAAAGUAAUAGAAACCCUAAACAAAAGCGUAUCAGGAAGGUUUCUUCGAUACCUCGCCAAGUUCAAUCCUGUUAAGGAAAACAAAUCUACAGGGUGAGCAAAAACGCCCGUGAGGCCAAGAACACAAAUGCAGGCACAUAACUCAGGUAACAAGUCCCAAGUAACAAUUCAAGUAAUAAUUUGCAAGUAAUUAAUAAUGCCAACAAAAUAUAACCAAAAACAAUUCAAGGAUAUGGUAGCUCUCAGGAGUUAAGUUCCACAUUUUGCCGAUGUCAUUCGUAUACCUCCCCGCGAUGACUCUCCGUCAACCGGGUUGAUAUUUCAUAUCCGUAGUUCACCACUUACUUCUCAUCCGUCCACCCCACACCGCUUCAGGCCCGCACGACAUUUAGAAGGCUAUACUCCACGAGUAUGCCAAGCGAGAUCUCUCAAAUAGAUCAAGCUUAUCAUGUAAUUCUCAUGGCUCACCAAGGUUCCCGACCAGGCCCAUGCCGGCUCGAGUUCCAAGGUCGGCCUAUGAGUUUGGGCAUCGCCCAUGUAUCAUGUAAGUGUCGAGGAGAUUCACUCCAAUGACGUAUGCAGCCAUAACAUACCAUGUCAUGUAUUCAAGCAUUUGAUAGAUCUAAGCAGGUAUUUCAAGUCAUGUAAACCAGGUAAAUCAUGUUAUGUAUGAGUCAUUUGUUUUCAAAUGAGAACGAGUGCGAUAAAGUACACACUCGACUCCAUUUUUAAAAAAAAUCAAGUAGGCUAAGCAUGUAAUCAAAUCCAUAGAGUUUAAGUAGUCAAACACUUGACACUCACCAAGUUACGCAAGCAAGCAGGUUGGAUUGAGUGUUCAAACUUCCACGGUAGGGUCCUCUUGGAGGUCCUCGUGCGUGCCUGAACAUCGAAUAGAAGACCAUUACUAUAGGUCCCUAAGAGACGAGGAGAUCGAACACAAAUGUGGUCUGGAAAAAUUUUGGAAAUUUCGUUUGAGUUCGUCUUUGAAGUUGGAUUCGCAAAAAGGUACGAGACUCGAGUAAUAUCGGAUUAUUAUUCUUGAAAUCAUUGGAUGGAAACGAGUACGUGCGAAUAAAUCUCAAAACGAACGACCAAAGUUGAAAGUGGACUGGCCACAUCACAAUCCGGCCGGAAUCUGGCCGGAUUCAAGGCCGGAUUCUAGAAAAAUGCUUCCCACGCGGAUUUCUUUUGAAAUUCCAGAAUUCUCGAUUUUUGGUAAAAUCUUUGAAAAAUCAUAACUUCUUUUUUACUAGUCAAAAAUUGAUAAACUCGGUACCGUUGGAAUCUUCUUUGAAAGUACUAAAAGUUUUUAGAAGACACUGUUCCAUGAAUCUAAAUGGAAGGUAUUAAAAAAUGAGCUUAAAGUUGCUGUUCCAGAUCACCCAGAAUUGAGCCGGGGUUGGUUUUUUGCUAACUUUGGAAAUUCGGCAGAAUUCACUCGUUGCAAACCAGCCCUUGAAAUUUAUAGCUCAAUUAUAGGUGCAAGUACGGUUUAGGACAGAACAAGCGGAUUGAGAAUCGGAGUUUUGAUCACCAAGAUAUGGUAGCUCAAAGUUGGGAAAAAUUCAAGACUGGAGAAGAAUUUCCAGAUUUGAACUUCCAACAUUGGAAGUUUAGUUAGGUAUUGAAACGAACUUGGAUUGGUACCAAAAUUGGCAGUAUUUUACUCUUAUAUGAAGGGUAUCUCUCUAUCAAGUUUCAUAGAAAAAUACCUUCGGGAAGGCAGUCAACGAACCAACUGAAGUUUGGAAAAAUUCUUAAGGCAAUCUGCCUUUAAUCCAUUUCUUUCCAAAUCCAAUCGUUUGGCUAAGAAAAUCCUCCAAUCAUGAUUCAUAUGUGAAUGGAAAGUCUAAGGGACAUUCAUGGUACAUUUGGUAGGUGUUUAACACCAAGAAUUUCAUUUAGUAAGACCACAACAAGUCUCAUCUCAAAUCUGUCCAAAACUAAGUUUUUCCAAAACAGAGCAGUGUUCUUGUUUUGAUCACAACUCAGUCGAAUUAACUCGGAAUUGAGAAUGGUUUAUGGCGUUGGAAAAUAAAUUCAUAGGGCUAAAAAUUCUCAGAAGAAAACGUUUUGAAAUUUGGCAAACAACCAGCUCGAAAUUGAGCCUCAAGUUGCUGCCUCUACAAAUCAUUCCAACAGAAUGGAGAAACAGGACAGCUAUCUUAAAACGAAUGGUUCGACUCCUACAUAUGGAAUCAGAAGGUGCAUUUUAUACCGUUGGAAAGGUAUGGAUGUCUAGUUUCAAAUGCCACCAACGGAACUCGAUUUUGACAUCGGAGAACAAAGUUAUGGUCGAAAUACUACCGCUGGACAGGGUUAUCCGAAAACAGUUUUCCAGCUUGACUAGUUCACAAAUAAAUUCAUUUGCCCAACCAAACGUUAAUGUUUUCCAAUGAAAAUUUUUACACAUCUACUACAACAUAUAAACAUCAGGUUCAAGCCAUUAGAUCAUCAAAAAUUGGCCUUAUCAUGGCCGAAAAAAACAGGGGCAGUUUCAGAAAUUUUUGUCAUGGCCUCAACUUUUGAGUUUCCAACAAUAAUACUCCAUAAAUCUAUCAUUUUAACCACUAAACUACCACUAUAAACAGCAUCAAUCACCAUAACAGCCAUCAAGACAGAGGUGGGAGUUCAUAGAGCCCACCUUCCAUUUUUUUCAACAACAACAACAACCCAUAAGAAAUUAAGAGCUAAAAGAUAUACUAGAACUUCCAAAAAUUGAAGUUAGAAGGCUUGAUCAUGACUUACUCUAGUUGAUGUUCAAGUCAGAAAUUCAGUCCCUCCUUGCUCCUAAGUGAGCCGUGAAAAGCCUCCCCUUUUUAGCUAGAUAUGAACUCCAAGGCUUAGGCUAAGUAGUGCUAAAAUUUGAGAAGAUUUGGUGGUGAUUUGAGUGAGUUUUGUAGAGGAAAUGUUGGAAAGUUUCGGUUGUUCCUUUGCUGUCUGCUAGCCGGCCAUGGAAGCUUGGAGAAAUGAAAUGUUUGGUCUGAUUCUAUUGUGUACAAAGAAAGCUUAACGUCUAAUAGUUUAAGUGCGCAAAAGUCAUCCGCCAAUAGUGCGCAUACGCGUGCGUUUUGUGCUUGAUUUCUCUUAAGUUUGUUGCACUAGUGCACUAAACCUCUAGGGCACUUACAUUCAUAUAAAUAUUAUUCAUUCUUAAUUGUCCCAAAAUAAUGGUCCAAAGUCCCUCAAUUAAGCGCGCACGUGAAAACACGUAUUUCCAAUUUAGGCGCAAUAAAGUAAAAUUUUCGAGAAAUUCUUAUAACGAUCGUACCACUAACUAUCAUAUGAGUAUUUAAACCUAAAUUUACCUAUUUUAGGACCAUUGUAUAUGUCUCAAAUUUUUGAGCUUAUUGAACUCCCAAUUGGCUAAAGUUUUCAGACACGUUUUCACUUUUCCACUAAUCAAGCUUUUAAGAAAAUAAUUUUUGAAACGAGACACUUUAAAAAUAUAACGAAACGAUAAAACUAUGUACUUAGGUCUAAUAAGGUUAGAAAAUAUUAUUCGUGGCAAAAAUCCAAAUAAAUAAUUAAUUAAGCUAAAAUUAGAGAUUUUAAAUAAUAAAAUUUUCGAGUCCUCACAAUUACUAUAACUAUUAAGUUGUAAAACUAAUUUAACAUUUACAAGACUAUAAUAUUAAAACUAAGCACGAACAAAUAAUAAUUCUUCAAAAGUACAGAAACCAAAAAAUUUUCAACAAUAUUUAUAUUUAAUUCUUUCAAAAUACAUGAAAAAUAGUAAUAAAACAUGUGGUCAUAAGCCAAUACAUCUUUAAAAGUUGAAACUUUUUUAUAACCUUGUGAUUUGAAUCCAAACAUGCUUGAUGAUUUGUGUUUCUAGAACAAAAAGAAAUCAACUAAUAUUAUACCAAUACAAAAAUGUACUCAACCAAUAAGAAAGGUAGAGAUUCAGUUAUGCAUUAUUAAUAUUGUCUCUCAAGAAAGCUCAUAAAAGAGUCUUCGGGUGUAUUUUUGUAUUUUGUAAUUUAUAUAUAUUUAGUAUUUAGUAAAAUAUAUAUUUGGAUAUAUAAUUAUACAUAAUAUCAAAAUAUAAACAUUAUAUAUAUAGGUAACUAAAGGAUCGGACAUAUAUUGGGCUUGAGCCUAAUAAGGCCUAAAUUCGACUCAUAUUUAAUUCGAGCCUAAUUUUUAAGUUCAAUCUCAGACCGGCUCACUUAAAAAUCGGUCUUAUUGGACUUUUUGUCAAGCCGAACAAGCUGUGCACGGGCUGGCCCAACUCCAUUGACAGUCCUACAAGAAAUUGUUGUCCUUAAGGAUAAAAAUGUACCCAAAUAAUAAUAAUAAUAAAUAAAAGGAAAAUGACAAUCUACUUUGGCUACUUUGUUCUGCCCAUUUUCUAGUUCUUGAGAAAUAAAACGAGAACAUAUUUAUAUUUGGAAGUUUUCAAGCACAUCAAACUUAAAGGAAUUUAACAACUCAUAUGAAGGCUGUACUUAGGGGUGGCAAUUUUCGACACAAUCUGAAAACACGACACGAACCUAACACGAAAUUAAUGGGUUUAGGUUGAGGUUUUGGGAAUUCGGGUCAGAAUCGGGUUGGACCCGAUGAACCCGAAAAGAAAACAGGUCGAUUUCGGGUCAACCCGUGGUGACCUGAUAUGACCCGUUUACGAAUUAAAAAUAAUUUAAUAAACAUAAAAAUAAUUUUAUCUAACUAAACUAAGUUAUUCUUUUUUUCAAAGGCAUUAAUUACUUAAUCCUAAAUGAAUUUAUUUAAUUUGUGUGAAGUUGAAAUUAUUAUAUUUGGACAAAUAAUAUAUUAUAUUAUUUUUUAUUUUUAUACUGUUUUAAUUUAUUUUAUAUUUUGUUUGGGAUAAAACACUUUUACGGUGUUUAAUUUAUUUUAGAUUUGGUUUGGAAUUAUUUAUUUAAAUUUUUAUUACUUGAUUAUGUAAUUAGUUUUGUGAGAAAUUGAUUUUAUUAGAAAUUACAGUGAUAAAUUAAUAAAUUAAAAUUAAGUUUCGGGUCAUUUCGGGUCGACCCGCCAACCCGCCAACCUGAAAUUUUCGGGUUCGGGUCAGCAUACCUGACCCGUCACGGGUUGGCGGGUCGGGUUCGGGUCAACAGAUUUUCUGACGGGUUGACCCGAACCCGACCUGCCAACCUGAUUUGGACCCGAAUUGCCACCCCUAGCUGUACUAUUACUUCAAAUCCUUUUCUAAUGUUAUUUGUGUGACAUCAAUGUUUCUGUUUGAUAUUAAAUAGAGAAACUUAUUGUAUUGAAUUUUCUUAUGAAACAGAAUUGGAUUAGGAAGACACUGCAUAAAUGUUAAUUUGUAAAAGAGAAAAGUAUACUAAACAAGAAAUCUCAAAAACAAGAAAGCUGGUUUUAUCUCAAAAAAGAAAUGCAAACAAAUUUGUGUUAGGAAAUAUUCAUGAUUCUAAACUUCUAUGAACCUAACUAUAAUGAUGCGAGAAUGGAUCAAACAUCUAUUAAGUUGUUUGCCACUAUUACUCUGUCACAUAGAACUCUAAGAAGAAGAAGAGCUUUGCACCAUCUUCACCAUAUUUAGAAGAACCCAGCCCCUGCUCUGCAAAAUGCUCAUCGUUUCCUUUAAGUUGGCUGGAACUGUUUCAUCGGUAAAGUACUCAUCUCUGGCCACCUCUGCUGAGCAAAAUCUCAAAGCAUAUGAUUUCAACAUGGGCUUGGCCAGCUGCCAAAUCGGCUGAAAUAUGAAAGGAGCAUCAAUGAAGAGGACUUCGUUUAGCCUCCUUGGAUAGUAGUAGUAGAAUACAUCAAACAAAAAUGUAAGAGACCUGAGAUCUGCAUUUUCUGUACCAAAACCUCGAAGAUCAAUUAUUACAAGUAUCUGUUCCUUCCCAGCUGGAAGCUUACUAAGUGCUUUCUCAACUAAGAAAACACAUAAUUUUUCAUCUUCAUGGAAAUCAUGCUUCCCAGGGAAAUGCUUGGAUGCUUCUACUAUUAUUACCGGUCGGCUGUUGACAUCAAGAUAGUCAUGCACAUAGGCUUUCCCACUUUCAGCUGCUGAUCUUACUGAUUCUUCUCAAAGUUCUGAUACGCCAAAUUUAUGAUACCAUCUUAUGGCUUUUCUCAAUUUGGACACUGCCUCUUCAACAGAAAAUCUUCUGUCCUUCAAAAACCAAAAAAUCAGCUCUUCAUCAUCUUUUCCAUUUUUUCCAGCUGGAAGACUGCUACAUUCUUUUUCAAGCUUUUCUUUAACUUCCACAACUAACUUUUGGGCAUCUUUUGGGGCCAGAGCACAGUGGCGCCGAGAAGCUUACGAAUUCAAAUGGGUUUACUUGAAAAGAAUGAGGAAUUGAGAUUCUUGAAAUGGUUACCCAAUGGAGGCCGGAGUCCCAGUUGGAAUGCCAUUUGAUGUAUGAUUGGAGGCCGGAGUCCCGGUUAUUCAUGCUUAAGUGAUUGGGAGAUGGAUAAUCUUCUUAUUGAAACUAAGAUUUACAUUUUUUUUGGGGGGGUCAUUUCUGGUGAGGGCUGCAGAAGACUACCCUGUUGAGGAUAUUGUUUGUUGAAUAUUUUUUGGUUUAAUUGGGUUUCCUUGGUUUGGUAUAGUUUGGUUUGGUAUAGUAUAGUCAGUUAGCUAGGAAGCUCCAAGUUCAUAUAUUUGCAUAGGAAAGCUCAGGCGAAGCUAAAAUUAAUAAUUUAAGAUUCUCCAAUUGCAUUCUCAAGUACAUGCAAGUCCAAGUUCCAAAUUCAAACUUUCCUUUGCUUCUCCAAUAGAACCAAUUUCGAAUUCCAAUCUCACAAUAUUCGCCCUUUAUCAUAUCAUGAUACCGCAUUUUUUCUUAUGCAAUUCAAAGUAUUUUUUUUUAGCUUUACUCUUCACAGAAUCUUGAUUUAUGCCCUUUUAUGGAGCAUGAAUGGCUCAAUUAAUAAUUAACACCGCCAAUUUAUUGCCCCAUUUUCUGAUUUCAAUAAUGGUCGCCCGAGGAGUUGUAGGAAUGGUAAACCGGUGAUGAAAUGGAAAGUAAAGAAGAAAUCAAAUGGAUCGUUUUAGAUUGGAGCAUUAUAUCAUAUUGAUUGUUACCAUAACUCCAAGUGGGGAUUUUUUUUUUUUUGUGUGACCAUAUAUCUAUUGCUUUCCCAAGUUGUAUGCCUAUUUAAGCAAACAGCCUUCAUGACACGUGAAGAAUAAGAACUUUUCCAUAUACAAGAUUUAAGUGGUGCAAAUUCGAGGAGUUUUUUAAAGUAACAAAAUGAGCCUAAUUUUCACCACUGAAUAUUUUGCUUGUAAAAUGAGCACGAGUUUAAAUGGUGCCAUGAUCAUAGUCUUCAAAUCAUUGUCUAAACCCCAAUGAAGACUUCAGAAUGCGGACAUUGAAUUAAUUCAUACGAUUAUUGAAGGUUUUUCAAAAGAAAUUCUGAAUUUUAAAGUAUGGAUUAUUGAAAGCCUUAAGAAAAAGGUGUGGUCUUUCCAUAACGAUACAAGUCUCAGGCAUUUCUUCUUCCUCGACCAAAGUCUUCAAAUCAAGCUUUUUUUUUUUUUUUUUAAAUUAAGGAAGGUUUUUUGCAGUCAGGAACUGGUAUAAGUAGAUAAUUCAUACUACUAUAAAUAGAUGUUGGCUUCUUGUUCUCAUCUUAAUACAUUUUUUUGCUCUAACACGUUAAAUUAAAAGGCAGUGACAAAUAGUAACCAUUCACUUGGGUAUUCUUAAAACUACAAGAACGGUUUUUUUAUCGAUGUCUUUCAAAUCAAGAGGAAAACAAAUUACAUAAACAAUGUAUAUUACUUGGUCUAGAAUGUUGUUACAACAAAUAUUCAUGCAUGCAGGAAUUUCUGCUAGGCGCAUAUCUCAAAUAGUUCAAGCUCAUAUGGUUUGAAUUAGCAUAUACUAAUACUACUACAUUUUCUAUUACUCCUGUAAAUAUUAAAUUCUUUAUCGAAUGAUAUGAUGUUGUCGUUUUCUGUAGGUGAAUAAAUAGUAAUACAAAAAUAAAUACAAAAAAAUCGCAUUGCUAAAGAGGGAAAGGGAAUUUCCAUAAGUCAACCAUAUAUUUAUCCUAUCGUUGAAUUUUUUCCCCCCGGGUAUAAUAAGCGCAAAAUUUGAAACUAAAUAGAUAAUAAUGUCUUCUUUAACUUUACUACAAUACUUCCUUCGAAGCAAAAGAAAAACCAUUAUUAGCGGUACUUUGCAAUUGAAAAAUGACGAGUUUGUGGGAGAAAGAGUUAAAAUUUAUACUUAGAAAAUGUGGCUAUCCUAUAAUAGUUGGAUUUUUAAUGGUAUCCAAAAGCUAUCCUUUCUUGUCUACAGAUAUGUUCUCCAUCCGUUACUCUAAUUCCUCAUUUUAGUUGCAAGAGAAAAUGUAAAAGUCUUGAGCUGUGCUUCUUUGACAAAUUUGGAUGCGUUUCCAUUGGCGUUUUCACUUUAACUUUCUCAACCAUUGUUGUUACAGGGGUUCAUGUUUUCUGAUUGAAUGGUGGGGCGUUCAACCUUUUUGAUUGUGAACAAUAUCUCAAUGGUUGUUGCAUCCGCAAAGGACACUAUUAAUUUUCAAGAUGAAAUUGUAAAAAGCAAAACGAGAACUAUAAUUGUUCCUUGGAAACGUUGAUUUCAUUGGUUUAUCCUUGGAAAAUGUACUUGAAAUAUAAUUUGGUCUUAAUUAUUGAUCCUCGAGAAUUAGAAUUAAAAUGGACAUCUUAUUUUCUUUGAUUUUUUCAAGAAAUGGGGGCAAAAAACCUUAUUUGAAUUGUAUAUAUGAAAUUAAUUGACUCGACAAUUUUAUUUUGAGUAUUUUCAUUAGCCAAAAAUUAAGUUUUGUUUUAUUUCUUGGCUCAAUAAUCAGGCUUGCGAUUUCAAAUUACUUUAAACUUAGUGUUUAAUCAAAAUGAAAUCAUUUGGCCUUCUAAAUGAUUAUAAUGGCGUGGAUUUGAGGCGGGGAAGCCCUCUCCAUCCCUCACCCCGUUUUCCAGAAAGCUCCUCUGCCCCUGCCCCGAAUCCGCCCCAACUUCUACGAUUUCUUGACACACGAGCAGAUUUGUCAAAGAAGCCCAACUGCCAAUUCAGGCCGACUGACAAGAAAAACGUUCUAUAAAUUUGAUUCUGGCCCAAGCCCCAGUAAACCAAGAAAAGUAGAUAGCCAUUGGUGUUCACCCAGUGAAAUGCAAAAUUGGAUCCUGGACAAUCUGAAAGAAGAAGAAAUGAUUCCAUUGCUUAAACCUGGAAGCGAUUUCCUGUGCUCAGACAUACAUAGGUAUAACAGCUUCAUUUCUUUUAUAUAAACUCAUUACUUUCCUUUGUUAGCAAAUCAGCAAUAAAACUAAGCUCUCCCUCCAAGAUGCCUUUACACAUUGGCAAUUUUACACUUCCAAAGCAAUAAAGCAUUCAAUUCCAGCUAUACAUAUGGCGGCUGGUCCUGAAGAAGUUGAAUAAUAAAGAUUGAAUGCCAAGAGUUGCUCAUCCGAAUACGCAUGAAAGAUGAAUUAGAUGGCAAUUUCCAAAUUCAUUCCAAGUUCCUCCAUCAUCAUUUGGUUGUUGACAUCUGCUUGGAGCAAACCUUCUGCCAUCCAAAGUUCGAUUAGCAUAUCUCCUUUCAUCAUAGUAUCCUAAGGAAAUAUAGAACAAUAUGCAAAACAUUUCUUAAUGGAUGGAGAUGGUAAACAAUCAAAACUCAAUUUAAGUAUUUCCAUGACACCAUCUUCAUCUCCACUGAAAUUUGAAAGCUUAUUCUUCAAAACCAAUUGCCACUCGUCUUUUCUCUUCAUGCGCAAUAAACCUCCCAUUACACUUGCAGCCAGUGGUAGACCACCACAUUUUUUUAUAAUUUCCUUUUUCAUGACAUGCAAUUGUUUGGGAAUUUCUCCACCUGCAAUGGCUUUCUUUGUUAGGCUAGACCAACAAUCGUCAUCAUCAGAUAGCUUUCCUAGCACAUAAGGAUCAUGUGUGGCCACAAUGGAUGCAGUUUGUUGUUUACGAGUAGUCACAACACACCAAUUUCCAUUAGUUGCAUUUAGCCCCAGUAAUGAACCAAAAAAAUCAUCCCACAAGGUAAGAUUUUCGGUCCAGACAUCAUCAAGAACAAGAAAAAAAUUUUUUCCCACAAGUUGUUCUCGAAUUUCCUGGACGAUGACAUCCCUACUGGUCAUUUUAACAUUUCUUCUUGUGAGUGCUUCUAAAAUCAUUUUCAAAAGCCUGGUCACGUCAAAAUUGUCGGACACACAAACCCAAAUUUUUUUCUCAAAAUGGCUAUGAACGUGACUAUUUUUGUAUACAGAUUGAGCUAAAGUUGUCUUUCCCAAUCCGCCCAUCCCAAGGAUGGGAAUUACAGAAACGGCUUUUUCUGACAAGCUUAGCAAGGUCUCCACCAGCCUUGUUUCAUCCUUAGCUCUUCCUACAAUAUAAUGGCCAGCAAUAGAAUCCGUCUCUCUAUUUAGUGUGACUUUAGCAGUAGUAGAAGGGGGGAAACUUGCCCUUUGGAAUCUGAUCAGUCCAAAAUCAUUGGCUUCUUUAUUGAUCUUAUUCAACUUCUUGUUGAUGUCCCUAAUCCUAGAGGCCAUUCUCCGUCGGAAAACAAUAUUAAUGUCAGAGGACAGGAUGAAGGAGCGCACCUUGCCCACGAGAUGGCGACGAAGAGCUUCAUAAUUCAGCUCGUCAAACAAAUUCUCGGCAUCAAACGCCACGGCUUCUAGCCUCUGGAGCCACAGUCGCACGGCCUGGUCAUGCGUUUGCUUUUCCUCUGCAUCAGCCAAGACAGCUUGGAUCAUAGCAACAGAUCCUUUGAGGGUCUCCAAAUCCUCCUUGAAUUGGAAUAACUUGCCAAUCCUUUCAUUGGCAAGGGAAAGUGUCUUCUUCAAAGCUACCUCUAUUGUGGAAGCUAUAAGUACAUCAGCCAUUCUUCUUGUUCCUUGGGUACAGUCUUCAGAUAAGAAUACUCUUUUGCAGUGGAAGGUUUUAGCUGUAGUUAGAAGCAGCAAGGAACUGCUUUGACUCAAACGGAAGUGACAAGAGUUAUGAGGAUUUUUUGGUGCAGCGCUUCUUUGACAAACUGGGUGGGAUGCUUUUGCAACGGAAAUUGCUUGGCAUUUUCAGUUGAAAAUAAAACAUAGUCAUUGCAGGGAUUCUACAUCUGCUUUUGAUCCACAUUCCACAUGCCUGGGGCCCCUGAUCGUGGAAAAUUCCACUCAAGAAGGAUGAGAAACUGUGCUGAACAAUGAAAGGUCCAAAAUAAUUGUUUAGAUAAUACAAAUUAAGCAGUUUCUUCUAAUUCAAAUUAAUGUUGCGCAUGUAUAGGAGUCACAAAAUGGUUUGGUGCACUAGCAAACAGAAGGGUACAUCUAAGGUUACUACGACAAGUUUUACGUUAAAGUGGGAGAUUUGUAAACCAAUUCAGGGUAAACAAAUGAUAUGUUGAGGAAAAAAUAUGUUAGUUGCAAUGCAAUCAUAAAAGCUAUGAUACAUUUGUGAAAAGAAGAAACAUUUAUUAAUUUAGUGCAGUCUAAUUGGAAACCUAGAAAAAAAAAUAUACAUGAAUGAUCCGAAAGCGGGAACGGUAUCAUUUUACUCAAAUAAAAGUGUGAUCGAAUCGAGGAUUAGUUAAAUAAAAAAAUUAGAUUAAUAAUAUAAUACUUUUUUGUAUUUUUAUAUAAUGUAUAUGAGACAGAAUGGUGGCUGGUAAAAUUAAAAAAAAAAGUGAUGGAAUAAGUAUAAAUUGUUUUUUUCAUAUAUUUAUCUAAUGAUAAUAGUGACAGGGUAAAAAAACAAAGGUGAUAACAAUGAUAAGUGUGGUGAGUACUUCUUGCAAUUGAUUGCAAUCUAUAUUUUACAUUAGGUAAAUUUGAAUGAAACUUUCAAUGAAUGAAACAUGUAUUGUGCUUUUGUGUUAAUUUUGCAUUAGGUUAAUUUUGUCUGCAUUUAAUAUCUCAGUGUAUACACGUCUAUUGUGUCAGCACCUAAAUUGCAUGGCAUGUAUGGCACUAAAUUUCCAGUUCACCUUUCCUACUUAAUGCCUUGCCGAGGCCUCUACUCUGAUUGAGAAACCUUAAAACUGCUGGGGCCUUCUAUUGUGCAAAAAAUCUCAACAAAAUAGUGGUCUGACCCAAGAAGCACAAGAAAGUAUUGUCCUUAACAAUUAGAAUGUUAAAGAAAAAAAAAAAGGGAAAUUGACAAUGAUGCUGUGAUUUUGGCUACAUUAUUCAUCUCAUUUUUCUAGUUCCGGAGAAACAAAAUAAAAAGAUUUCACUAAGUUUGCUUUUUGUAAUGUACCGCGCUGGGCUUUGUCAAAUGCCCCAUUUUUUGCUAGAAUUACUUAUUUUGCUUCUCAUUUGGUUCUAUUAUACUGUACAGAAUUAUAUGUAUAUAACGUGGAUUGUCAUCUUAAGAAUCAAGAUUGCCAAUCUGAUCACGUAAAUUGGCCAGAAAUUGGUUGCAAUUGGCUGCAUGUAAUGCCUUGAAUCGAAAAUGGCUACCAUUUCAAUCCAUAGAAAUAUGUUGAAGGAAACUGGACUGCAACAUGUACUAAUAAGAAUCAGAUAUGACGAUUCUUGAUUGCUUAAGAAAAUCCUUGUAUAUUUGGUUAUUUGACACAGGAAGUCAAUAUGCUUCAAAUGAAACAGUGAAUCCAACAAAUAAGGCAUGGCAAGCUGUGAUUAAUGCCAUACAAACCUGAGUUUCAUUAAAUUAACAGAGAGGAUAGUGAAGAGCAGAGCCAUUCCUAAAUGCCAAAGAGACAGAGAGAUUAUAAAGAUGAUCAACUAACUAAUCAUACCCUUCAACACGAAUAGCCAAAUAUCUGAGGUUUGAGAAAUGACAGCAAUUGUUGCAGUCAAGCAAUAGAAAUGAUAGGGGGGACUACACAUCCAAAAGAAGGCACAGCAAUAUGAUCAGUGUGGAACAAAAUUUGCAUUAUAAACUAAUUCAGAGCCAGCUACAACGUCACAGAAUAACAGGCAAUAGACCUGAAACUUCCAAUACUGGGAUAACAACACUUUUUCUGUGCCCUACUUGGUCCGACCAGGGACAAAAGGACAUCUGGCCAAAUUAAAACAGAGAGGGACUUAUCCGAGAACUAAGUAGAAACUGCUGAAACUAGUCACAUUGCUCGAAAAUUCAAAAAGAACCAAAAAAAAAAAAUGAGAAAGAAGAAGGGAAAAAGGAACUGCUUAGAAUCAGAGAGAGAAGAGGGACUUCUGAGAGCAGCACUAAUCGGCGGGGACAACUCUGACAAGUGGAUGGCAAAGACAGCACUAAUUGGCGGGGACAACACCAAUCCCUUCCCUUUUGUGUAGAAAUAAGUUCAUCUGAAAGUUUUUAUUAUUUUUAGGUAACUAAUUAUGAUUAUUACUGCUACUACUACUUUCUGUACUGAUACAGACAUGAGAUGAUUUACUUAUAUUGGCCGUCAAAGUCUUAGAGGCAUAGAAAAGUAGAAAUGCUUUAAUUGUCACAUAGGAUUUGAGCUAGCAAUGAAUAGGAUUUGAAGCCAAGAUGUGUAAGAUCCAUGUCACAUUAUUGCUUCAUUGAACAAUAUUGACGUACAAGGAGACAAGUCCACAUAGAAGUAAUUUUGCAAUUAGAUGCUAUGCAAAAUGUCAGUUUGAUGAACUAAGGUUGAGCUUGUAUGUUCCUAUAUAAUCCUGUUCAAUUGAUUUCCAUAAUUUCAUCUCUCCAACGUUCCCAUCCACCAAGUGGAUCCUUCUUGAAUAGAAAUUGGUGCCUUAGCAAUUCAGUUUUCUCUCAAAUUAACAUAAAUAGAAGGGCUCAAUCUGACUGAUUCUUUGUUGUCUGAGUCCUGUCUGAGCUUUACAGAUACAAGGAGCAAUGGAAAAGUUCCAUCCGACACAACCUGUAGUCAACUGCAGAACACUUGAGAAAAAAUAUGUUGCCUGUUAUAGAGCUAAGAUACAACUUCAAGAAGGAUGCAAGCAGCUAUCAGGGUUCAGCUAAUCCACAUCUUUCUGCUGCAAAAUACUGGCUACUUUGAACUACAAGCACCACAGAAGAUAUGGCAAAUUGAGUUCCAAAAGAAGUAAAAGAACACCUCAUUAACAUGUCUACAAAUUGCUGAAUGGUUGGACAGUUUAAAAUCACGAGCCAACAAGGAAGAUCUCAGGCUUUAGCCAUCCAAGGCAGAGAGCAAAAGAGAAUUCCAUCCUGGAUGUUUUCAUCUGAUCUGAUUGAAACAGGAUCCGGUUCAGUAAGGGAUCAUAGGACUUUUAAUAAUGUACCAAGGAUAAUAAGUAAGAGCUAUGAAGGUUUUGAGCGUAAAAUCACUGCAUAACACAAAAACUCAAGAAACUUGAGACAACAUGUAGUCAAGAAUAAAGCCAACACAUAGUUGCAUGACGUUUUUGUUGUAUUUGAAACACUAAAAUAAGAACUUACCAUGAAGAGAGGAGCAACCAACAAGUAUAGAAGGUGGGAUGAGCUUAAUAGCCUUCAUCACAGCGGAUGAAACAAUUGCAGCAAGUAGCAGCAGGCAGCAAGUAUGUUUGACAGUCUUGACUAACUACGGCGAUAUGCUUCAAAAGUUGCAGCUUAGACUUGAUUUGUUAGAAGAUACUCCAACAAGUCCGUGCAGCUUUAUUGCAUGAACAGACAUCUUCUGUGGCUGCUCCAAAAAACAUCCAAAUUAGGAGAAGAUUUCUCAAGUUUUAGUUGUAAUGUAAUCAGAAUCAAAGUAUUUAAAAGUCAAAAUUGAGUAGUAAAAGAAGAGUAGUAUAUGUUACCUUACUGGACUCUGAGAACCAAAAACCAGUUUAACAGCCAACAGCUUUGGAAACUCCUGAAGUCUUUAUGGCUAGAAAAUCACAACCAAGGAAAAGUGAGACAGAAACCCAUCAUCUACGAGACUAUCGAACAAAUCACUAAUCAAAUGGUUCAAGAAGCUUGAUAAAUGCUCCUUCAAGAGGUGAUUAAACUUUGGAGCAACUAUUUACUCCCCUAGCAACAUAAGUUAGGGAGCUGAUAACUUUAGCAAUCACAUCUUACAUCCACAAAAGCAGAUAUAUAAAAUCAACAAAACAAAACUCCUAGUGCUUAUUUCAUAUUGAUGAGUAACUUGGCCCUAACAAGGAAUAUUAACCACAAAGCAGCAAUGAUGAUGUGAAAAAGUUGCAACUUCAUUACUGUAAUCUAAAUUUUACUCCCUCAUGACAUGCAGGUCCCUUGAUAGGGACUGAGCCACGGUGCCAGCGGUCUUUCCACUCCAAUCUACCUCAAAUCAGUAGCCUAAAAGUAAACUGCAUAUAGCAGCUGAUUUUCCAGGUAAUUCAAGAGAAGCCCCCCAAGCAAGCAGCAACUGCUUGGAAAUUGGAACUGUCUUCGUUCAUACCUUGAAUAUCAUAUGUUGUUGUUUACUAGGAAUACAUUUCUGUGCCCACUAUUGACAUCAUCUCAUAGUUUCAGAUUUCCAAGUACACCAAUUUUCCUACUCCAAUUCCUUUCCUGAGUUCUAGUUUCCAACUAUGGAUAAACUGAGAAACGUUUUGCCAUUCUACCAAGAAGCAUCUCUUACUACAUUAAUCUCAAUCUCCAGCACCAAACCAACAAGAGGUGAAUAACAUUCCUCUUCUCAUUUCCCUUUCAAUUCAAAUUAAUGUCAUCCCUUCACCUCGAGAACCACAGCCAUUACUUUCUCCUAAAAGGCUUCAAGAUAAACACCAGAAAAGUAUUUAUCUGAGAAUUGCUAGGAAUACCUCUUAUAUUAGAUCUCCAACUUUUACCAGCAGCUGAACUAUUUUUCUGGAGACAAUAUUCAAUUAUUCUGUCAUCCAAGAACCGCAAUCAAAAUUUGUAUAGUAAACUGAAGCAACUUAAUACAAAAUUUGGCUUCUGUGAACAAGCUCAGACAGUAUAAACAGAAAUGGAAAACCAAAAAUUAAUUAAUACCAGCUAUAAAAAUCUAAUCUAAGUUCAUCUAGGGGAGAGACCACAAAAAUCUGCUUGCUAAGUGCAGGAGAAAGACGUGCAGCAGAGAAUUGCUGGUUUAAAGUCUUGUAGAAAAGGUUUCUAGAAUUGGUGCAUGAGAUAUCGAAUCUAAAACGUCCAAUGCAUUUUCAACAGGUGAAAUCACGAGUUUAAAGAGAGUGUGCUGAUGUUAGCAAACACAACGUACAAAGGACAGCAACUGACAUACACGAUAAACAAAACUAAAUGCUCAAUUCCGCCCCACAUUAGUGCAUUUGUUUCAGUGUUAGUUCAUCCAAAACAUGAUUCAGUUAACCCAAGAACAUCUCAUUCAUUUGCCAUGUUUGAUCUAGUACAGAAACAUGGUAUUGAAUUAAGCCUCCAUUUGCCAUGUUUGAUCUUUGCGUCAGCAAAUAAUAUGUGAUAGAACGUGAGCAAUACCAAUUUAACAUUAGAAAUUAACCAAAAAGAUUGUUUAGUACCGUUAAUUGAUAUGAAGCGGUGCAUGGCUUAUUAGCGGUAAAGGUUAAAGAACCUACUCUGUUGUUGCUUCAAUUAUCCGUUGAUAUACUUUGAAGGAAAGAGAGGAUUUUCAAAAGUGAAGGCGGUACUUUAGUUCCCCGACUGAGCUUUAAGCCUACAGUCACUGCAAAACAGAAAACUCAGGUUCAGGACUUCACAUUGCAUGACAUUUUUGUUUAGUCAAUUAUUCAGAAAGCCAAAUCAAUAUUUGUUUCUGUUGUGCUUUUCUAACCUAAAUCAGUAAGACGAUAUCAAAAUUUUCUGCUCAGUCUACAAGUACCAGAAGUGCCAUAGAAACUAUGUUAGUUUUGGUUCAAAACACUGAAAAAAGAGAAGUUCUAUAACAAUAAUGAUAAUGAGUAGAACCCACAAGCGUGAAAGGCAGAGAGCUCCAGAAUUGCCAUGAAGGCAACUCUUUGAGACAGCAAGAUACAACGAGUAGAGUUAAUUAUAACUCUUUGACUCUUAAAAUCUCAAAUCAUGGCAUUUGGACUUAAAGUCUACCAAGUCUCUGAUGCUUGAAAACGGUCUUAAACAUGACAAUUUUUUAAAGGAUUUAAUUAAUUCAUUGGAUAUUAAACUUCUUAAAACCCAAUAUUAAGCAGUGGAAGAAGAUUAUUGGUAUUAUAAAUUAUGUGACAGUAAGUAAGACAGUAAGUAAGAGUCAUUGAUGAGGUUCCCUGUUGAGUUUUGGGCCUAAAAUCACUGCAAAGCACAAAAAUUCAAACUCAAGCCGGCGAAUAGCAUAGAAUAAAGCUAAUGGAAAUUUUCAGAUAAUUGCAGGUUUUCUGUCAUUGUGACUAAAGCCCCAAGAGGAGAAACUUACCAUAAAAAAAGAAGCAAACAACAAUCAUAAAAGCAGAGAGAGCUUAAAAGCCUCUAUCAAGGUGGACUCAUCAAGAUCAGCAAGUCACAGCAGGUAGAUUUGACUAACUACCAGAAUGCUUCAAAACAUUGCGCUUAGAGUUGAAUGUUGGAAGAUACUCCGCCAAGUUUUGUGCAACUUCAUUGCUCAAACAGUACACCCCUUCCUUGGCUACCUCAAAAAUAUCUUCGUGACGGCAAGAUUUCUUUUGUUUCAUACGUAAUAUAUUAGUUAUUAAAGUGGUUAGAAGUCAAAAUUGAGUAGUGAAAGAAGAGAAGCAUAUCUAAAAUUACCAGAAUUUUUGAACCAAAACAUGAAAGUGAUGACCAACAGCUGCGAAAACUCCUCAAUUGACCAUUGUCUUCAUGGAUAAAAAGCCAAAAUCAAGGAAAAGUGAGCCAGAAAACCAUCAUAUAUGACUCCGAUGGAGCAAUUACUAGUCAAAUAGUUCAGAUAAGUAUGCAAGUUCAUUAUCAAGAGACGAGGUAAAAGUUCAGUCCCCUUAGAAUCACAAUUUUAAACAGAGUGAGAUGACUUUAGCAAUAAUGACUUAAAAUCCACAGAAACAGAGCAUGUAAAAUAAACAAAACUAGACUGCUAGUUGUUCUAAACGUUGAUAAGCAAUUUGUAGGAAACGCAGGCCAAAAGUUAUUGAGGUCUAGCCAUAUAGAUGGUGCUGAAGAAGAUUCAAAUUUUGACCUCUGUUCGUGAAGCUAUUCUUCUAUCGAUCCUACAAAAACAAAGCAUAGAACAGAAUAUGAACAGAGAUACAGUAAAACAUCAAAGCACGAAACAGAACAGGUGCUUGGGGUCAUUCUAAUUGAUAGUUACAAGAGUAUUACUAUUAUGUUGUAAGGAGUAAAUGAAGAGUACCAAUAUUUUGGACCCGAUAAGAAAUGCUAAUGCUGCAGCUUUGAAAGAUAAUAAAUAAGACGAACAAAAGGGAGAACAGAAAAUUGUGAAAAUAACCAUGUGGACUUUUUAGGUUUUCUCGCGAGAAGGUUAAUCAGAGGGGGAGGUGAAGAGAAGGGGAGAUUGAUUGUAAAGCAAAUUAAGAAAGUAGGUAGGAGGCAAUCUUACAUGAUUGAAUUUGAUCUGAGAUGAGUGGUUAAUCAUCGGUUAUGUGUAGGUAUUGAAUGUGAGAAACUUUGGACCACUGGGAGUCGGGGCUGCUGCUCUCAGGAGUGCAUCUUUCUUUUAACACAGGAGAACCAUAAACGUGCAGACAUUUUAGUUUGGUGAGACUUCUCAUGGCAUCCUCAGAGGGUAGAUGUCCAAGCUCUUUGAAAUCAUAUAAAUAUAGUUCUUCAAGAGCAGCGAAGUUUCCGAACCAAUCUGGCAGAGCUUUUAUACCUCCAAAGUAACCUAGCGCGAGUGACGUGAGAGCGGUCAAGUAUUGGAUCUGAGGUGGCAGGGACUCCAUGUGUGGCAACCCAUAUAAGUAUAAUUCACGGAGUGCGGAUGAUGAAGAGGAGGAGGAGGAGGAUAUCAAUCCAGACCAAUCAAACUCAUUGUAAAUUGAAGAAUUUUCAUGAUCAUCACCAUCAUCUAAGAAGGGACCAAUUGUAAGCUCCCUUAAGCUGGUUAGGAAACCAAAUCCUUUGGGCAUCAUGCUUGUUUUCAGUUUGCGACACCACAAUAAUUUCAGCUUCUAGAGAGAAGGCGUUUGUUGCAAAUCAAGCGGAAAGGAGAUAAGAUUGUCGCAACAAACCACCCGAAGCUUUUGGAGAGAGGCACAAGAGUGUAGCAUGUCACCUGGCAGAUUCGUCAACUCAUCGCACUCAUCAAUCACCAGCUCUUUAAGAGACGUAAAGUUUUGCAGGGGAAGGAGUUCUCUGCAUCUGUGGCAGCAAUUAAAUUCCAAACACGCUAACUUGGGGAGUGUUGUUGGCAAAUCCAUUAACCAUCGAGGAAAUUGAUCGCCCAUAAAACGCCAAAUUACCAACUCCUCCAAAUUUGGGUGGGGUUGAAGGCCAUCCAACACAUCUUUGUCGUUGUAGUUGUCGCCUUGUUUUUCGCGGAGCAAGGCCCACUCAAAUCGCAAACUAAAUAGAUUAGCCUUUUCAAAUAGUUUUGCUUCCUCAGCUCCUUCCUUAUCCUUUACUAGUUCCAGAUUGCGUAUCUCCAAUUUGCCUUUGAGGUUCUUCAAGCUUCUAAGCUCUCCAAUUUGUCGACCCUUCACUCGACCCACUUUAAAGAACUCUAGUGUCUGAAGGCAUUUGAAAUUCUUCAGCAAGGGUGUAAAAGUGGAGAUGUCUCAAGCUAAUCAAAUCGCACAUCCCCUUCAGAAGAACCUUAAGAGCGGAUCUGUUUAGCCUCAGUGUUUGCAAAUUAUAAAGUUUGCAAACAGAUCCCGGCAAAGUUUCAAUUGCAGAACCCUCAAAGUUGAUGUACCUCAAGUGUAUCAGUUUGCCAAUUGAGAUUGGCAGAUUCAGAUUUUUUACACGAGACAAAUUCAGAACGUACAAAUUCCUCAACUUCGUUAGUAUAUCAUCAGAUAAGCCACUCCGAUUUAGAAACAAUGUAUGAAGCAAAUUUGAACGACUCUCGAAAAGAUUUAUUGUGCCUUCUCCAAAUGAGUCUAUUACAAGACAACGAACCUGAUUACCAUUGUCUUCUGAACCAGUUUCCGAAUUAAUGACUUUAGUAGACUUUGACAUUAUUGAUUUUGCGACGUCGUGCACCAUAUCAUGCAUUUUAUAAUACCUUCUUCUCCCACCGUAAUUUAUUUCUUCCAGCAAAGAACUCUGCAAUAAAAUUUCCAAGUAAUAUUCUCCAAUUUCCUCCAUUGUUUUGUUCUCCAUUGUUUUGUUCUCCAUUGUUUUGUUCUUGAGAUCUACUUGAAGGAAGCCUUCUGCCAUCCAAAGUUCGAUCAGCAUAUCCUCUUCCAUCUCAGUAUCCUGGGGAAAAAUAGAACAAUAUGCAAAACAUUUCUUGAUGGCUGGCGAUGGUAGAUUAUCAAAACUCAACCGAAGUAUUUGCAUGGCUUCAUUCAAAUUCAAAAGUCUAUCCUGACAGGUGUCAAGCCUGUGCAAUAAUAAAUACCUGCUUAAAUAAAAUAUAAUUUCUGUAGAUAGUGAUAAGUAGGGUCGAAUCCACAGGGACUGGGGAUAAUUUAAUUUCUUCUCAAGUUCCAGAUAUGGGGGGUUUUUGAAAAUGAGAGUAACUAAAUUUAUUGGAAUAAAUUAAAAUAAAAUAAAAUAACUACAACUCAAAUAACUAAUUAUCACAAUAAAAAUAAUAAUAGACGAACUCUAGCCAAGAGACAACUUUGGAGAUGGUUUACUUAAUUCGAUCACAGAUGCAAGGAUUAUUCCAGUUAUUAUCUGAUAAAUUAGUUAUAGUUGUCAUACACGCGAUAAACAACUAACUCUUCCUCAAUUUGUCGAUAGCCAAGGUACGACCGUUGACUAUUUCUCUAAUCAGGAAACAACCCUAGGUACGACCAUAGAAGUUCAAUUCCCUAAUUGCAUGAAUAAUUAGAAGAACCUAAUUCUAACCAAUCAACACGCUACGAGGGUCUCUUUAAGUUAGCCUGUCUAUCUCCCUGACACAAACCCAAUCAUGUCAGUUGCCACCAGUUUAGAAUAAUUAAACAAUUACGGAUUUAACUACCAUAAUUGGCUUCAGGUUAUUGAAUUAAUCUAGAAUCCGGGCCCUGGAUAAUCGAAUAAUAAAAUAACUAUAUGAACAUAAAGCAGAAGAUAGACGAAUACCAGAAAGUAAUAGGAAAGCUAAAAUCGAUUAGAUCUCACAAUUUAAGUCGAACCAAAUCCUCCGUUGUUCUUGACUAGAAAAACUUAGCCACGUCUCAUGAGAAAAUCUCCACGUAAUUUAAUUGAGGUCCAGGCCAUCAAAGGAAUCAAGAAAGAAUAGAAAACUAAAACUAUAGCUAUCCUAAAACUAUUGAUAAAAACUCUCUGUACGUCCCUUUUCUCUUUUAAAGCCAAAGAUACAAAUGCUAUCUAGUCCUGUGGUCCCCGCACGAAUUGAGAGUCCAAUUCCAUUUCACAAGCCUCUGUACGUUUCUUUCCAAGAGCCCAAAUGACUCAUGCUUCUUAUCUCCGUGGUCCCCACGCAAUUGAGAAAAGAGUCCAUCCCCUGUAAUCCUUGUUUUUAGCUUCCUCUUACCUGUAAGACUCCUAGUACAAGUCCACCCUUUUCAGCAUAAAGAUAGGAAAUCCCCUUUUUGUAGCAUCCUGUGGAGCCAGGCUUGUAUUUCUUUUUAGAACUUCCCAUGUGUGGAGUGUUUUUAUCAAUAAAGUCUCCUUUUUAGCACUUGUUUACUCUACUUCCUGUAAUUAGGGCCAAAUACCAAAUAUAAGUACAUUUCAACAAUUAAAACAAUAUUUGGCAAGGACAAAGAGGGAAAUUAACCAUAAAAUUAACAACAAAUUGUGCUCUAUCAAUUCCCCCCACACCUGAAUCAUGCUUGCCCUCAAGCAUGAGAACAGCAAUUGAACACCAAAAAUUCGACAACGGCUAUUGCUCUAACUAUCAUAUUGCCAAGAUAUCCAGAAAAACAUAUAUCAAGCAUCACAGUUAAGAUCCAAGAAAGACCACUCCGGUUAGCUCCCCAACCACCAACUCCUCCAAUUUAAAGCAAACUAAUCUAAGAAAAAGGAAUGGUUGCUCACAUUUAUCAGCAAAUGGUCCAGCUAUUAACCAAAAUCUCGACAUUAAGAUCACAAACCGGCAAGCUGACUUAUUCACAUACUAACACAAUCUUUACUUCACUUCUUUUCCCCUUUUUUUUUGUUCUUUCUUUUUUCUUUUUGUUCUCUUUUUUUUUUCUUUUUUUUUUUUUUGAAUAACAAAAGACUUAGUCUAUAGCCCUUAGAGCCUUUUGACGCGAACUCCAACAUUUGCUAGAUGGAGGAGCCCGGUUACUCAGCUCCAAUUGCUACGGGACCACGUACUCAUAGCAACUACUACCUUUUGACACGAGAAUCGACACUUUAGGUGAAGAUCCCCGGUUACUCGGUAGUAGCAACUAGCGGAGCACAGUCAAUUCUUAUUUAUAACCAUAUAACACAAUAACUAAAAACAACACAAAAAUAGCAGCAGUCAGCCCCAAAUUUCCAAACAUGGAGAACUAAAAUUAAUAAUUGGACCAAUUCACAUGAAAAAUGCCAACAAUCAUUCCCUAUGCCUAGAAAAGUUAACUAAAAAUUGGAAAAGUUAAGUAAUUAUUGAUAUUCACCAAAGAGAUGUUCCUGAACUCAACCACAUCAACUUGAUACAUUUUUAUUAAUAAACUUGGCAAUAACAGAAUUAGAGACAACAAUCCAGUAUCAAACUUGGUAUUCAAAUAAGAGCUGACCACUAAUAAAAGAAAAUAAAAUAAAAUAAAUAAACGAAAAAUAGAACAAAUAACAAAAAUAAAGGAAAACAUGUAAAAACUAAAAAUUAGAAAUACUAGCUGUACCACAGCUGUCCCCCCCACACCUAAAUGACACAUUGCCCUCAAUGUGAUAAUGUAAAAGCAGAAGGAAUGAGAGGGGCAACGGUACUUCCCUGAAGUUGUCAAAACAGGGGUGGGUCGGGCGGGGUACUGCCCAAUUCUGCACCAUGUUAUGAAGAUUGACGGUAAUGUGGGGCAUCCGAGUCUAUAGUCUCUUAACUCGCAUCUGGAGCUCGUGCCAUUCGUGGCCUCACCGUGGACUCUAGAUAUCACUCUAAGUAACAAGAGACUGCAAUUGCCAACAAAGAAUGGAAGCCGGGAAUUCAAAGCAAUAACAAUUUUAAAGCCAACCCAAUGAAUAAAAUGCACAAUUCAACCACCCAGAGGACAUACAAAUACCCCAACACUUAUAGCAAUGGCAAUCAAUAAGCACUUGCGGUCCCAAUGUAGUCAAUUUCAGAAUCAAUGCAGUCCAAAAGUGCACGAAUGCUCCUAAGAUGUAGGACUUGAAUUUAAGAGGCAGAAUACACCAAGCAAGUCAAUUAGGCACAAUCGAUUAGCAAUAAGCAAAGGAAGGGACACAGCAGCCUUCCAAUUCAACAAACAGACGCAGAAGGUACCCCACAAUACCAGAACACAGCUCCCAACAAUGCAACAAAACAACAACUCGAACAACUAAGAGCGGUGCUAGUGGCUAAUCAAAAUAACAAAUUCAGCAAUUGGACACAAUUCCACCCAAAAUCUCAACAGCUGUCUCCAAUUGGACAGUCAAUUACCCAGUUCAACCUACUAAAAAUAGCAAAUGACCCCAGAGAGGAGGAAUUCCAGCAACCGAAGUGCAGAAUCCUGGCAACACUUUAAGCACAAGAGGCCAGUAGUCAAUUAGGCAGUCAAGCACUUAAGAUUAAGAAAUUUGAGGCAAACUACUGCCACCAGUACCACUGGUAAAUGCUCAAGGAAAAAGUAAAUCAAAUGGCCAACCAAAGCCACUAAGAAAUACAAACAAUUUCAGACAGUACUCCGAGAGCCUAAACAAACGACAGUUAUAUCAAACCAGGCGAAUCAGCUGCAGGACAUAACUUAACCCACUGGCUCCAGUAACACAGAUGCAACCCAAACAAAAUUACUCAAUGAAAUCGCAAUCAUCAAAAUCCCAUCAACAUCAAAAAAUUGGAAUUGGGGACCAGAAAAUUAAUAAAGAAAAACCUGGCACCAGGGAGGUUGGGCUGUUGGCGUGCGGCGGUGGUCGAAAGGGUGGCAAGCUGGUGGUGCUCGCGUGGUGGUGGCAGGCGAGGGAGGAGCGACGCGGCGUGUUGGUUGUGGGCUCGUGGGCUUCGGCUGGAGAAAGAGUUCGGCGAGGAGGCGGAGCGUGGGCAGGCGGCUGGUGGCAUCGUAUGGAGAGAGGCGCGGCGAGCCUUGGCCGCGAGAUGGUGGUGGAGCGAGUGGGUAGGAGGAGCUGCGCGCAGGUGAAGAUUCGGCCGUGGGCUGUGGGUGAAGUGGAGAGAGAGCAGAGGGAGCUUGGUGGCAACCUUGGUCUCUGUCGGCAGCUGUGGCGGCUAGGAGUUGCGGCAGGGAGGAAUAAUUAGGGAGGCGGCCGUCGACGGAAGUCUGUCAGCUUGGGCUUCGUCGACGAGCUGUGGCGGCGCGCGAAGAGCUGGUGGCACACGAGGUGAAGCUGGAGCUGGAGGGAGGCGCGGCUGAGGUCGCGCGGCUCAGAGGUGGAGAAAGGCGGAGAUCUAGCGGCUGGCGGUGGGCCUGUUACGCGGCGCGCGAUGGUGGCUUGGAGGCAGAGGCGUGCGAGUAAAAGGAAGAAUUGGGGAAACAGAGGCAGCGGGGAAGAAGGAAGAAAGAAAAGAAAGAAAGAAAGAAAGAAGAAAAGAAAGAAGGGAAAAAAAAUAGUUUUUUUUUUUUGGGAGAUUUUUUUUUUUUUAUUGCACACUCAAAUUUCAAAACUCGAAUUGUGAGAACCAAAACUGAAGGUGUAAAACGGAAAAUGUUUUUUUUUUGAAUUUUUGAAUUUUUUUUUGUUUUUAGGUCGUCAAACACCGCGUGGGCACGCCAAGAUUGUAAAACGUCCACUGACCAUGAGACUUGAAUUUAGACGCUUAACGCGUGCCCUCCUCGCGUGGGCACGCCAAGAUUACCUAUUCUGGUCAUAGUAAGAAAACAUCAAGAGUGAUUAGUACCCAAGUGAGAAACGACAUAUUUAAGAAAUUGAACACAAAAAUAACAAAAUCAACAUUUGGGUUGCCUCCCAAAAAGCGCCUUUUUUUAAUGUCUUUGGCUAGACAUGCUAUGCUUGUUCACGGAGGAUAAAAUCUUGUAGCUCGUUUCAAUGCUUCAUCUUCAAUGUGAUCCUGGUAACCCUCAUAGAUGGAGUAAUCUUUGAGCACACGAGCUACGGUCUUCCAUGGACUAGUUGAUGGCGCCAAAUAAUCAAGCAUUGAUCGCAAUUCUUCAUCCACUCCUCCAUCAAGAGCAUUCGACGGUUCAAGAUAUUUGACCAUAGCUACUCUUAAUUCAUUCCUGCCAUGAGACUCAAGAACUUCUGGUAUAACAAAAUCAAUCUCAUUAACAGAAAUCAUAGAGUAAGAGUUAAGAAAAUGCAGGUUAGGGAAUGGAGGUGGUGUCACCACAUUUGCUGAUUCUUCACUGGAUUCUUUCACUUGAAUGGGUUGCAGUUGGGGUUCCAUUUCUUCCUUUUCGAUUUCUUUUUCAACUGCAUCUGUACAUCUCUCUUCUUGAAAAUCUUGCAGCUCCUCAUCACUAGUCAGGCAAAUUGCACUCUCAUUUUCUUCAAAAUCAACAAUGGUUUUCGAGGGCAAUUCUUCAAAUUGAGAAGCCAAUCGAUUUAUUCUGGAUGUCAAUAGACACAUUUGAUCUUCCAGAUUACUCAUUGCCUCCUUCAUCAUCUCAUUUCUCCUUUGUGUCUCCUGUUGGAAUUGAUAUGUAUUAAUAGCUAUUGAUUCAACUAUUUCUUCAAGAGACAUACCUGACACAAAUGAUGAUUCUUGAGACUCAUACUGCUGAAAAUUCAUUGGCCCUGUUAUAUAAUUAUAACUGGAGUUAUCCCACCAUCCUUGAUCAUACCCGUUUGGAUUAGGGUUAUACCACGUUUGAGACCAGGGUGAAAAAUCUCCAUAAUUAUUGAGUGGGACACUCAAAUUAUCUUGAUAUUCGGGGCACAUACCAGUUGAAUGAUCCCUGGCAUAACAAAUUUUACAGGUUGCAACAGCCAUUCUUUCUCUAAUAGAGUUUCGUGCCUCUGAAUAUGCAAACUUAGCAAAAAAACUAGCCUCAUUGCCUUCCCUGGAAACAAAAUCCAGUCUAUCACCAAAAUACGGAGUGUUAGAAGCCAUAAACUAUAUAAAAAAAAAGAGAAAAAUAAAUAAAAAAAAUAAAAACAAGAUGAACUCAAAAAGAAACAAAUUAAUCUGGCACCAGUCCCCGGCAACGGCGCCAAAAAUUGACAGGUGUCGAGCCUGUGCAAAAAUAAAUACCUGCUUAAAUAAAAUAUAAUUUCUGUAGAUAGUGAUAAGUAGGGUCGAAUCCACAGGAACUGGGGAUAAUUUAAUUUCUUCUCAAGUUCCAGAUAUGGGGGGUUUUUGAAAAUGAGAGUAACUAAAUUUAUUGGAAUAAAUUAAAAUAAAAUAAAAUAACUACAACUCAAAUAACUAAUUAUCACAAUAAAAAUAAUAAUAGACGAACUCUAGCCAAGAGACAACUUUGGAGAUGGUUUACUUAAUUCGAUCACAGAUGCAAGGAUUAUUCCAGUUAUUAUCUGAUAAAUUAGUUAUAGUUGUCAUACACGCGAUAAACAACUAACUCUUCCUCAAUUUGUCGAUAGCCAAGGUACGACCGUUGACUAUUUCUCUAAUCAGGAAACAACCCUAGGUACGACCAUAGAAGUUCAAUUCCCUAAUUGCAUGAAUAAUUAGAAGAACCUAAUUCUAACCAAUCAACACGCUACGAGGGUCUCUUUAAGUUAGCCUGUCUAUCUCCCUGACACAAACCCAAUCAUGCCAGUUGCCACCAGUUUAGAAUAAUUAAACAAUUACGGAUUUAACUACCAUAAUUGGCUUCAGGUUAUUGAAUUAAUCUAGAAUCCGGGCCCUGGAUAAUCGAAUAAUAAAACAACUAUAUGAACAUAAAGCAGAAGAUAGACGAAUACCAGAAAAUAAUAGGAAAGCUAAAAUCGAUUAGAUCUCACAAUUUAAGUCGAACCAAAUCCUCCGUUGUUCUUGACUAGAAAAACUUAGCCACGUCUCAUGAGAAAAUCUCCACGUAAUUUAAUUGAGGUCCAGGCCAUCAAAGGAAUCAAGAAAGAAUAGAAAACUAAAACUAUAGCUAUCCUAAAACUAUUGAUAAAAACUCUCUGUACGUCCCUUUUCUCUUUUAAAGCCAAAGAUACAAAUGCUAUCUAGUCCCGUGGUCCCCGCACGAAUUGAGAGUCCAAUUCCAUUUCACAAGCCUCUGUACGUUUCUUUCCAAGAGCCCAAAUGACUCAUGCUUCUUAUCUCCGUGGUCCCCACGCAAUUGAGAAAAGAGUCCAUCCCCUGUAAUCCUUGUUUUUAGCUUCCUCUUACCCGUAAGACUCCUAGUACAAGUCCACCCUUUUCAGCAUAAAGAUAGGAAAUCCCCUUUUUGUAGCAUCCUGUGGAGCCAGGCUUGUAUUUCUUUUUAGAACUUCCCAUGUGUGGAGUGUUUUUAUCAAUAAAGUCUCCUUUUUAGCACUUGUUUGCUCUACUUCCUGUAAUUAGGGCCAAAUACCAAAUAUAAGUACAUUUCAACAAUUAAAACAAUAUUUGGCAAGGACAAAGAGGGAAAUUAACCAUAAAAUUAACAACAAAUUGUGCCCUAUCAAUCCUCCAAAAUUGAUCGCCAUUUGUCUUUCCUCAAGCGCAGCAAACCACCAAGUACACUUGCCACUAGUGGUAAUCCAUUACAUAUUUGUAUAGCUCUGUCUUUAAUUGCAUCCAAUUCAUUAGGUACUUCUUCGCCGUCAACUACUUUUCCUUUUAGGAUAGACCAACAAUGAUCACCAGGGAGUCUUCCUAAGGGAUAGCCUUCAUCUGCCACUACACGCGAACGAGUAGUGAUUAGACACCAGCUUCCUUUGGGUGGAUUGAUUGGAUUGAGUCCCUUCAAGGUGGCGAAGAAGUCAUCCCACAUUGCCUGAUUAUCAUCCCACACAUCAUCAAGAACUAGGAAAUAUCUUUUUCCCCCCAGUUGAUUCCGAAUAUUUCCAACGAUGAUAUUCCUAUCAUCCACUUCAAAAUUUUCUCCCGUCAAUUGCAAUAAAAUGAGUUUGAAAAGCUCCACUAUUGGAACUUUUUCGAUACACAAACCCACAACUUUUUGUUAAAGUGCUCAUCAAUUUGCUGUUUGUUGUAUAUCGAUUUAGCCAAAGUUGUUUUGCCUAGACCUCCCAUACCAUUUAUGGGAAGAACAGAAACAACCUUCUCAGUUGGUCUCAACAACAUCUCUAGUAUAUCUGAUUCAUCAUCGGCUCUUCCAAUCAUUGGAGCGACACUAGAGUCGGUCUGCCGAUUUGUUAUAUCUCCAGCAGCAGGGAGGGCAACUGCCACGUCUGACCUACUGACCAGUCCCAAAUUCCGGGCUUGUUGAUUGAUAUCAACCAGCAUAAGUUUGAUGUCCCUGACCUUAGAAGCCAUUCUCCAACGAAAAGCAAGAUUAAUGUUAGAGAAUGAGAAGAAGCAGCAUACCUUGAGCUUGUGUCGGUUUCGGGACUCCACCUUGUGGCGGAGAGAUUCAUAUUUGAGCUCAUCCAACACAUUUGUAGCAUCAUAAGCAACCUCCUCGAGACACUCCAACCAUGCUUGCACCGCUCCGUCCUGGUUUUGCUUUGCUUCAGCAUCGGCCAAGACAGCAUUGAUCAGCCGGAGAGAACGUGUCAUACUGGCCACAUCCUUCUUGAACCCAACUAACAUACCAAUCCUAUCAGAGGCAAGAGACAGUGCCCUUUCCAGGGUGACCUUAACUGUGGAACUGAUAAGAGCGUCAGCCAUUUCUUCUUCCGUGGAUAUGCAACUUUGAGAUCAAGAUGGUUUUUUUUAUGGAAGGCUUUUUGUUGCCGGAAACUGGUAAUCUAUCUAGUCUAGCAGUAAUAGAAAUGGUUAUGAAGAAAUGAGCAUUGAUAGUAGUACCAGUGUACGUAAUUUUUUUUUUUUUUUUUGUGUGUGAACAAAAUAUCUCCCAUGGUUGUUCCAACCAAGAAAGGACAAUUAUAACUGCUGUCUUGGCAACAUGUAUCACAUUGCAGUAAAUAAUCCUUAGCCUUCUAAAUACAUUUUUUUAAAUCUGAUCGAUAUUUUUCUUUUUUGAAGCAAAAAUCUGAUAUUGUUGACGAUUGAGCUUUACAUAAUUUAGGAUUGGAGCGCCGUAAAUGAGGGUCCACUUUACAUUCUUAAUUUUUGCUAACAAUACUUUUUGUGAACUGGAAAAUAAGCGUGUUUGUUAUAAAUUAUAUAUUUUUAAUUUCAAACUAAAAUUCAAAAACAAAAAAGUGAAUACGUGUUCAAUUACACUACAACGUGCUCCGCUGGUUAUAAAUUUAAUCGUUUUGGGUAUAAUUUUUUCUUAUUACUUUCUUGUUUUAGUUGAUUUUGGAUAGUUUCAACUAUUUUCCUAGUUUUUCUUUUAUCUUCUUGGUUAACUUGCUCAUGUGAGUGAAUGCAUAGACUGGUUUUCCCAUCAAACUGGUGUAUCUGACUCUCUUGUGGGAACGGGGAACCCAUGCAUAAAUUUCAUUUUACACAUUCAUUGAAUUUUGCACUUUUGUACAUAUACGGGAAUAAGUCAUAUCAUACCAUAUAUAUACAUAAUAUAAAAUAGGAUUUUUUUAACGGAUGUCCUGUCUUGUUAACACAUCUAACAUUUAUCUGACAAAUACAUAUAGAGUAAUUUUUCCGCGUAGGCGAGGAGUUCUUCUCUGACAAAUUUGUAAGAUUUUGCAUUGGCAUGUUUACAGAGUAACUUUCUCAAUUAUUGUAGUUGUUGGGGCAUCAUGUUUUCUGAUUAAAUGCUGGGGCCUUCAGAAUUUUUGGUUGAGGACCAAUAUUUUGUUUUUGUCCACGAUCAAAUCGUAAAAAGGAGAGUGAGAUUCUGCUUUGGUUACAUGCAUGCCAUUAUGGUUAAUCCUUGGAAAAUGAAUUUAUGACAUACAAUAAUUUGGUCUGAAUUUUGUUCGGUUUUGGGAAGCGACCACACUGGGAAGCAAUAAUAAUAAUGUUCUCUGUUUUCGCACUAGCUAUGAUGCAUUUUGCUUCUUGGCUUAGUAAUCAGGCUUGAGAUUUUAAAUUACCUUUUGUACUUUAGCGUUUCAAGUAUAUAACAUGAUCGGUAUGAAAUCCCUAGCCUUCUACUCCUCUCUUUAAAAUCUGAUAGUCUUUAAUUCAGAUCGGUAUUAAUCCUUUUUGUUAUAUUAUUUCUUAUUACUUUCUUUUUCUAGUUGAUUUUGGAUCCUUUUUUAAUUACUUUUCUAACUUUUUUCUUUAGCUUUUGCGGACGCGGACAUGUAUACUGGUUUCUCCUCAAACUGGAUGUCUCUCAAUCUCUCUUUUGUGGGAAUUCAACGUACUUUUAAGAUGAAUUUCAUUUUGCCAUUAUCAAGUUUGCACUUAAAGAAUUAAAGUUCAUAUGGGGUUAAGUCAUACUAAUUUCAUAUCUUUGACAUUUAUUUAUCACAAACCUCAAUUCUUCUUUCGUCUAGUGUUUCAUUCCUAUAUCAACUCUCCUUAAUUCCAUGUUGCGCAUCGCUUUGCACGUAAGAAUUCAAAAUUUAACCACCAAUUAAAUCACUUGGGAUUCUCGGUGACAUGUUUUCUAUGCCAACUCAAUGCUACCUAUAGUAUUGCGCCAAGUGUCCUGUUAUUAUUUACACUUGUGUUAAACCAAACCAAGUUAAAUUAUUAGAAAAUUAAAAUAUAAAUAAUAACAGGACACUUGGCGUAAUAUUAUAGGUGGCAUUGGGUUGGCAUAGAAAACAUGUCACCGAGGAUCCCAAGUGCCAAUUAAAUAGUUUUCCUCGCAACUUGUCCCGUUUGGAUUGCUAUUUUUAGGAAUUUUUUGUAGAAAAAUAUACUGUAGAGAUUUGAUGUAUGUGAGGUAAAAAGGUGAUUGAGAAAUGUAUUUAUGGAAAAAAUGUUAGUUUCCUUUUCUCUUCUAUUUCGAAUUUCUCCCAACUUAUGUUUCCUUGUUGCAAAUCUUGCCAAACUUUAUAAGAUAUGUCUUAUCAAUUUCUUUGAUACCUGAAACACAAGAAAUUUCUCAUUCCUUAUGUGUAUUCUUGUUUAAUUAUUUAAUUUGGUUCCUGAAACACAAGAAAUUAGUAAAGAAUUUAGAUCCAAUUUGGUGCAACGCUUCUUUGACAAACUGAAUCGGAUGCUUCUGCAAUGGAAGUGUUUUUUUUUUUUAUAACAACAAUAACUUUUCCUACAACCUAAUUUAUUCUAUUCUGCAGGGAGGAGGAACCUAAUCUAUUCUAUUCUAUAUGGAGGGAAGCCUAAAAAGAUUAUACUAUACGGACCUGACUCGAUCAAAGAGUUAAUUUGACAACUCCAUUAAAUUUUUUUCAUUAUAUAUAGAAUUUGAACUCCAGAUUUACAAUCUAAAAAAAAAUUAAUCUCUUUUUGGUUUCCACAUAGCCAAAGCUCAGUUGGCCCAGUGGUUGCAACUUGCAACGGCAGUUGCUUGGCAUUUUCAAUUCACCUUUCUUUGUAGUGUAGUAGUUGUCGGGAUUCUUCAUCUGCCUUUGAUCCACAUUCCACAUGCUUGGGGGGGGCAUCGGAUGUGGAAAAUUCCACCCAAGAAGGAAAAGAAACCGUAUUGAAUGAUGAAGAAAAGAAAAUGGCAAUCAUCAUUGAGACUCUAAUAAUUGCCAUGGAGAAGUUUGCCUGGCAAUUUCACUUGGCUUUAUUGAUCAAUGCUUAGCUGGGUAUUUCAUCUUUUUCUGAUUGAAAGCUGGCUGGGCCUUUGGUUGUGAAAAAUAUCUCAAUGGUUCGUCGGAGUUGUGGUUUGAUCCAAGACUGACCCCCGCAAAAAAAAAGAAGAAGAAGAAAGACUAUGUUCAAUGAUAAAAAUGUAAAGGAGAAAGAAGAAAUGACAACCAUAGCUGGUGACUUUGCAACAUUAAUUGCCUCAGCCAUUAAUCCUUGGGAAAUGCCCGACCAGGGUAGCUCACCUGGUGGUGUAGUCUCUAGUUAGAGCAUCCACCACGGUUCGAGUCCCUGUAACAAAAUGGGAAAAGACCCAACAACCCAAAUAAGGGUUGGGGCCUGAAGUUGGGCCAGGCCCUUUUUUUUGACAAAAAAAAAAAUUAAUCCUUGGGAAAUAGACUAAAAACGUUAUUUUGUGGGGGAAAACUUAAGAAAUAAUCCGUAUCAGGUUUGGCAUGUAGCGACAUAAUUGGCCAAUGGUUGGGUGCUUCUUAGCUUUUACACUUGUGAAAUUGCCAAAUCAGUCACUCGUAAUUCCACAAGCUUUCUGGCACUUUAAAAAUUCAAACAUUUUGUUUCAAAAUGUCUUGUUUAUGUACAGCAUACAAAAUUUAAGUGGUGAAAGUUUAAGGAGUUUCUUUAUUACUAUUUUUUUUAGAGUACAAUAUACAAUCAACUGAAGUUAGAAGUGAAAUAGACCUUUAGCUCACACUAUGAUUAUAAACUUUGACUAAAUUGGAUGUUUUGGAAAGGGGGAAAUGAGCGUGUUCUUGUGGAUUUCAAUUUUUACAAUUGAAUUAUUUGCCUAUGAUAUGAUCACAAGUUUAACUUAAAUGGAGUUGCGAUGAUAGAAGAUUCUCGAAAGAAGACUUCAAAAGGUGGAAAUUGAAAAUGAGUGGAAAUUAAUGGGGAAUUAACCAAUUAUUUGGAUACCUAUUUUUGAAUCUGACUCUUUUAUAAUUAGUUUCUCUUAUAGUUUUUCUCGCUCCUAACAAAUUUAUCUCAAAAGAUAAAUUUGAAUUAUUUGUUCUUAUGGUUCCUCUCUCUUCUAACAAUAUGAUUAAUUUGUAUAAAUUUUUUUAUCCAUAUGGAUUAACUUAGUGUUAAAAAAAUUUUAACUGUUAGCUGAUAGAUUUAUCAAUAUUGCUGGAAAUUAAAUAUUUGUUGAUGUAGAAAACAAAUCACAAAAUCUAUUGUACUUAGUUAAGUAGGAACAUUGUCGCGCCCCACUUUUUGAAUGAGAUGAUGUGUGUGUGAAGUGAACGUGUGCAAAAUGAAAAGUAAAAAGGCCAUGGGACUUUGGAAAGCGACGAUUUGGCCAAAUGAAAUUUUAAAAAGGGUUUUUUUAAAUAUGAAAACGGAGUCGCCACUUGGUAUAGAUUUGGGGUGUACCAAGUCACCCAAAAAAGUGUUUUUUAAAGACAAAGUAGUAAAACCCUUUUUAAAACGACUCCUAGUCCACGUAAGCCAAAGAAAAAGGUUCGGGGGUCACGUUUGACAAAGGGGAAGGCAAGGAUAGAAUCCAAGGCACCCCUUUGACCUAGCCAAGGCUAGUUGCGCGACUCAAACCAAUUUUUCCUAAUUUUUUCUACCCAAGGUAUGUAUCGCGUAUUGGAUAUGUCUAUAUGAAUGCAAAAACCUAGACCUAGGGGGACAUGGGGGAAAUUUCUCUUCAAAGGUUGAGUGGUGCCAAUCACAUUAAUUGUGAAGCCCAAUAAUGAUCCUUUGGAGAGGUCACGUGUAAUCCUAAAUGACGUAAAAAUGAGUGGAAUGCAUGCCAUGUGAAAGUGUGAGUUUGUGUGAAGUGAAAAAAAAUGAUAAAAAUACGAUAUAAGUGGAGGUGUGCAAAUGUCUUUGAAUGCAAAUAUAUACUCCAAGUGCAAGUGGGCAAAAAUGCAUGUAUGCAAUUUAAAGAAAAGUGCGAAAGUGUCGGUGUGCAAAUGAAGAUGAAAGUACUCGUGUGCGAGUGAAGAUAAAAGUGUUCGUGUGCAGGUGAAGAUAAAAAGUGUUCGUGUACAAGUGAAAAAAGUGUUCGUGUGCAAGUGAAAGUGAUAAAAAGGUGCAUGUGUGCAAGUGAAAGUGAUAAGAAGGUGCAUGUGUGCAAACGAGACAAAAGUGAAAGUGUAAUGAUAGAGUGGAUUGAGAAUGCAUGAGUCUAGGGAAUUCAUGCAUAUUGGGUACGGGGAGACCUAAAUCGUGACUUGAUUUUCCCUUUGAUUAGAAGGCGAAACUAGCGUGCUAAGGCUAUCGAGUAGCCACACUCGCUCGUUUCCCUUAUCGGAAGGGGACUCUCAUGCAAAUGUACCCUAUAACUAGUAUGAAAUGCAAAAAUCCUAAAAUGAGGGGAAAAGGGGCUCGAGGAGCAUGCCAGAUGAUAAAACUAAGGAAAAAUGCAUGAUAUGUAGUGAACAAGCAAAUGAUAUGCUAAUGAGGGGAAAUCCCUAAGGGUCUAGCGUUGGACUAGCCCAUUCUAUGAAUUCCGACUAGCGUUGGACUAGCGGAAACGUACAUUCAUCCAUUCCAUUCAUUCAUGGCUAUGAAAGCAAGUAGACAUGCCAAAAUACUCGUAAACACAUAGCACAUAGCAUUUAGCAUGCUCGACUAGAUGCAAGAGCCUAAUAAAGCAAUUAAACAUGUAGCAACAAAAACAAGCAACCAAGGGGAAGGGGAAAUGGACCAGGUGCUCUCCGAGCGCUAUCUAUUACAAGCCAAGAGGUGUACACAUACCCCAUAAAAGCAUAAAGGGGAAGGGGAAAUGGACCAGAUGCUCUCUGAGCCCUAUCUAUUACAAGCCAAGAGGUGUACACAUACCCCAUAAAACUUAAAUAAAAGUAAAAGCAAGUAAACGCAUGCAAGGAGGUAAGGAAAGCGAAGUAGACAGGCAUAUUCACAUAACACAUAGGAGCACGUAGGGUCAAAUGAAGUGCAAAUGAGGGAUAGAGUGUACCUCCCUUGAAGCGACGCCCUAACGUAGUAAAAUUACUAACUUACCCUCCAAAAUAAUAAAAAGGUCAAGGUACCACUUAAAUUAUCAAAUAAAUCAGAGAAAAUGGAAAUAAAUGCCAAAUUGAAUUACUUGAGGCAUUCCAAAGAAAGUAAACUACUCGUACUUAACCAAUUAAGACAAGCAACGACCCAAUUGAGAAAUUAAAGAGGUUUAAAGAGCCAAUUUAUUAUUAUUAUAAACACUAAGGGACUUGAAAAAACAUAAAAUAAAAUUAAGAAUCUAAGGUGAAACAAUACCAAAUCAAACGAGAAAUUUCACAAAAAGGUAAAUGAGAAGCAAUUUACUAGUAUCUAAGUAACAAAAUGCCAAAGAAUCCAAGAAAAAUCAAAUUAACUACAAAUCUAGGAAAAAGAUAUUACUAGACCCUUUAAAUCCACUCUACAACCCCUUAAGUAUCCACUCAAAACAAAUCAAGAAGUAUUAAAGAGGAAACGGCAUGUUAGGAGGACAAAAUUAAUUAAGUUUUCCAAUUAAUUGGGCUAUGGAAGCAUUAGAUGGAAGCCAAGGGGUUGGAGUGCAAUUUGUGGAAGUUGUUUUCAUGCAAAGCAUGCAUACGAAGAGGAUUUUCUGCAAUGAAAACCAUUCAACAACUUUGAAACUUUCUUCAAUUUUUCCAUUUAGCCUUGGAAAACAAACCAAUGAACUUGACAACUCAAUAUUGAAUGCAACAACUUGGAACUAGGGGAAGAAGAAAGGCACGGAAAAAAAACUGCAAUGGAAUGCUGUGAUCAUUUGCCUAAAACAGGUUUCCAAGAGGAUAAAAAUCUGGCAGCUACCUAUCUGUAAUGCAAUGAACACACGCAUGUUUUGUCAAUGGAAACAGCCACCAAGACUUCACUUGUUAAUACGUCCCUAAAAUCUUUCAAACAACUAUUGAACAAGCUCCAUGAUUACACAGAAAUGCAAGGAAGACAGCUACUGGAAUGAAUAUAAAAAAAGAAAAAAAAAAGUCGCAAGCAUUGGAACCAUUCCUGCAUUUUCCUGUUGCAGCUCUUGCCGCAAACUCCUCUGGGGUUUUCUUUGUGUUUUAAACAAUUCAUGCACCAGUCAUUCGACACAGGAUUGAUCAUGCAAACAGAGGAAUGAAAUCCAAUUUGUGAGCUGCUGUGGGAGUCAAAACAUGAAAGCUAACGCAGCUUCAUGCAAAAUAUCAUGAGAAGAGUUUCUGCAAUUUCCUUUGCUGCAUUACUUUACUUUAGCCGAAUUGUGUUCGUGUGCCAAAAGCUCCUACAGACUUCCACUAAUUUGACUGCCAGAACCCAACUACAUGGACUUCAGCAAAAACAGCAAUUUUUACCCACUGAAUGCAGCUAAAAUGCAGCAAAUUGCAGCAAAAGACACCACUUCCGUCUUGCUGCAAUUCACCCACGAAACAUGCUCAUACAUCAACUUAAACCCAACCUACCAAGUGUAAUGCGCAAAAUGCAGUAAGGAAGCGUGAACUAGCUACCAGAAAUUCCAACCAUGAUAUCCAGCAAUUCCAAUCAUGAAGCAUGCAAAAUGGAAACCAGAAAUUCCAACCCAUUCCCAAACCAAAGAAGACCAUGAUAUUCAAGCCUUUCAUUGCAAAAAAAAACAUAAAGGAAACGGUACUCAAGGAAGCACUUAAAACUUAGACAUGACAACAAUCCUGAAACUUUUUGCAACUUUCUGGUCUUGUUCAUUCAAACACCACUCAUGGCCUCAAUCAAUGAAACAUGAAUCAGAAUUACAACGUGGCUGCGCAUUUUCCAGAUUCGAUUUUUACCCUUGUUGCGUUUAUUCAAUGUAAUUUUCCAUCCAAACACUUCUAAAACUUCAACCAAACAUCAAACUUCGAUCUUAAGCCAGAAAAAAACAACCUUCAACGUCCAAACAAGCCAAAAUCAGCCCCAAAAUGCAAUCUUUUCUCAAUCAUUUUCUUCUUCAGUUCAUGGGAUAAUAUAAUCACUUUCUGGGCUCAUUACCAAACGUAAGAUCAUACGAAUCUAUUUCCAAGCUAACGAAAAUCAUGCUAUUUACACCGCUUAUCUCUAAAACCCAACAAUCAGAAUUGCACCAACCCAAAAAAGAAAACAACGGCAACCAGGGAAGCAACAAGUCAGCGAAAUAUGAUAAAAAACACAGAGCCCAGCUAACCACAAAAUGUCACAGGAUCAUGCCUUUUGGACUUUGGAUUCUCAUGGAUAUAGCAUUAAAGCAAGAAAAGGAGAAACAAAAACGAUCACCUGAAUUGCUAGGGCCGAAAGCAAGAGUUUCUGCUGAGUUUUCGUUUGAAGCUAAAACUGGAACGGUGGAGGCCGAACAGCUUCUUCCUCCGGAUCAAAGCUCCCUCUUUUCUCUUGUUUUUUAGGUUUCCUCUGCCCAGCCGAUAAUCAGCCCAAAACUUCCUUCUUUUCUUUCUGUUUCUCCUCGGCCCCGACACCCCCUUGGCUCAGCUUUUCUCUCCUCCAGUUCGUCCAACUAGAUUUCAGCCCCACUCCCAAAACCUCCAGCCGCUAUCUCAUCCUAUUCUCAAACCUUCUUGACCCUAGUCGUUCCUCUACUCUCAUCUGGUUUCUCUCAAUCCUCCCCCUUUUCAGCUGCAAACCCUCAUUCUCUCUUCGUAGCCCCUGCCCAGUUUUCAGUUCUCUCUUACCUUCAGCUCUCGGUUUUUCCUUUCCGUCAACCCUCUCUUGGCUCCUGUGUUUUUCUUUUGCCGUUCUUUUUAGAACUCUCCCCCGUAUCCUCCCUAAAACUCCCUUGCGGCUGUCCAUCCUUUUGCUAUUUAUAUGGGAACUUCCAACCCUAAACCUUCAGUCAGCUCUUCUAUAUUUACAGCCCAAGGGGCUGCCCGAAGUCCUCCCUUGCAAGCUGCAAAACGCAGCUUGCAAGUCGCGUUUCUUUUUUUUUUUUUUUAACUUUCAACUUAAUAAAUACAGAAAUGAUAAAAUAUAAAUAAUAAUAAUAAAAAAUUGACAAAAACCAAGUAAUAAUAAUGAAAAUAAUAAUAAUGAAAAUAAUUUAAAAAACUAAACAACUAAAAACAACAAAAAUGGCCAUUUUUCCAUCUUUUUUUUUGUUUCAUUUUUCAUUUUUUCCAUUUUUUUCAAGAAAGCAUUGAAUUUAAAUUACAAACGACUAAAUCAUAUUUUUUUGAAUGCUUUUUCUUUUCCUUUUUUUCUUUUUCAACAAAUUCUAUGAUAAAACUUAAAAAUAAAAAUAAAACUGGAAACUAAAAACUAAAAAUGAACACGACAAAUAAAAAAAACUAAAAAAUGAAAUUACACCAAAAAUUUGGUGUCUACAAACAUGUAACUAGGUUUAUGGUUAUUAUAAAAAUUGUAAUUAUCUAAAAAAAUAUCCGUACACAAAAGGUAGAAUAUCUAUUGAUUUUUUUAUAUGUGUUAUAAUAUUUGAUGAAUAUUAUGAUAUUAUAGUAAAAGUAUGUAAAGAAGUUUUUAAAAAUUAGUAUGAUAGUUAAGUAUAACUAUUACAUUAAUUUUCUAAAAUUAAUAUACAUGAAUUUGUAAGAUCAUCAUUAAUUUUUUAUUUAAAUUAUUCAUGCUUGCACGAAUUCAAAGUAAAAUAAAAAAAUAAACCAUGCCAAGGCACAUGCAAGAUGCUCGUUCAAAUUAAUGUUGUACACGUAUAGGAGUCACAAAACGGUUUGGUGCAUCUAAAGUAUUAGGACAAGUUUUACAUUAAAGCGGGAGAUUUGUAAAGCAAUUGAGCGAAAACAAAUGAGGGUGAGGAAAACUUUAUAUCAGUUGCAAUGCAUUCAUAAAAGCUAUGACACAUUCGUUAAAAUAAGAAAUAUUUAUUAAUUUGGUGCAGUGUAAUAGCAAACCAAGGAAAAAAAAUAUGAAUGAUCCGUAAGAGGGAAAGAUGUCAUUUGACUUAAAAUAAAAGUGUGAUUGGAUAGAGGUUUAGUUGAACAAAAAGAUUAGAUUAAUAUCGUAACAAUUUUUGUGGCUUGAUAUAAUGUAUAUGAGAUACAAUGAUGGCUGGUAAAAUAAAAAAAUGAUUCAGGUAAAUAUAAAUAAUUUUUUUCAUAUAUUUGCGUAAUGAUGAUAAUGACAGGGGUGAAAACAAUGCAUGCAAAGACGAAGGUUGAUAAUAAUAAUGAUAACUAUGGUAAGAUAGAUAGCAAUUGCAAGUUGCACACCAUGCAAUUAGUAAAUGUUUUAGAUUAGGUAAAUUUGCACACCACUAUUGCAAAUAAUUCAGUCAAUAAGAGAGAGGAAAACACAAUGCACGAAAUCCAACUUUUAGAAUUGUGUUAUAGUUUAACGAUGACUAUGUGGUGUUUUUGUAGACAAAUAAACAGAAAAACAAAUAAAUAUACAAAUUUGAUAAAGAAAGGUGCACUUCUAUGGGACCGAAACUAAUUGCUCUUAGGUCCCAUUUUGCUAUUUCUUAAAGUUUUUAUAGGGACUUUUUCGUUUGGAUUGCUAUUUUUUGAAGUUUUUAUAGAAAGAUAUGUUGUAGGAAUUUAAUAUAUAUAAGAUAAAAAAUAAUUAAAAAAUAUAUUUAUGAAAAAUGUUAAAAAUUUUUUGUAGUAAACUGCAAUCGUAGCAUGGCUUGCGAUUUGAUCAAUAUGAAAUAAAAAAGUAACUGAGAAAUGUAUUCACAAAAAAAUGUAAAAAUUUUGCCUUAGAAAACUACAAUCCAAACAAGUAGUCUUCUCCCCAUUUAAGAAACGCAAUGAAAAUAUUUGUUGAAUAAUUAAACUUAUCCCUUCAUAAACCACUUAUACCGGGGGAAGAAUCGAUUUUAUGGUAAGGAGGGAGGCAGUGAAUGAAAAGUCUUGGGUUCGAUUCCUCCCACUUACACAAAAAAAAAAGUAAAAAAAAAAAUCCACUUAUACUAGCUAAGAGUAUUUUCUGGUCACGUCUCAUGUUAUAUAUUAUUAAUCCUAUCCUAUUAUCCAAAAGCAUUUGUUGGAAAUUGCAUGCUUAAUUUAGAUUAAAAAAACAAUAAUGAAAUAUUUGUUGGAAAGAAGGAAAAGUGACGCAACCUUUCCAAUUUGUAAAUUCAAUUAGGCUAACAUGUAAAACUAUUAAAGUGUAUCAGCAUGAGAGAAUUUAGUGCUUCAUCUGACGCUUGUAAAAUAGACAAAUGAAGUUUUGAAAUUCUAGCACUUUUGGACCAAUACUUUUUUUUAAGGCAAAACCAAUGCCUUAGGUAAUUACAAGAUCUCAUCUUGAUUUGCUGUUUUUCUUAUUAAAUGUUGAAUCUAGAAAAUCAUGUCUAAGAAAUAACUACAUAUACCCGGAAAAAAAAUUUAGUGCUAGGAUAAAUAUACGGUUAAGUUAUGGAAAUUCUCUUUUCCAUUUUAGCAAUUUGAUUCUUUGGAUGCAUGAUUUUAUCUGUUAUAUUUGACUUCAAAAUAAGUUACUUUAGAAUGGUGUUUGGAUGUGAAAACAUAAUCUGUAAUUAUUCUCACCUACUAUUUAUUUUCUAAAGGUCUGUCCACUUUAUUCGGAUUUCUUAUGUCACGGCCCCACCUCCCCCUAAGGCGAACCAGAGGGUUCGGCGGGCCGCCUGCCCAGCUCUCGCCGGGACUCAGUCGCUCACUACAGUCCUCAACCCAAUUACAAUAUAAAUCUCAAAAUUUCAUCAAAUUCUCCAAUGAUUACAUAUUACAAAUGCAGCGGAAACUGAUUCCAAUCGUAGAACGUAUACUUACAUCCAUAUCAAUUUCAAAUAUUUAUACAAGACCAACUCGUACAUAAAAUAGAUCCAAACUUAAACUGUACACGAUAUAAGCCAUCCAGUCACGUGAAUAAGUACUCCAAGCUUUUCUUCGCCUUGAGCCCUGUGGGGGGGGGGAAAUAAAACAUUUUUGGGGUGAGCUAGAAGCUCAGCGAGUAACCAUUAAAAUCAGUAAUCAAAUCGGUUUCACAAUAUUUCUUUUCAAUGAUGUCAUAAAUCAAAUGAUAAGUCCAGAAACGAUUACAGCAUUUACAAAACAUUAAAUAUGGAGUGUCAAUAAUUCAAGAAACAUGUACAAUGGAAAGCGAUAGUAACAUUCAUGAAAGGAUACAUUCAUUCUCCUGACAUUUCCUCGCUCAUUUGAUCAUUUAUUUCAUUUCAUUCACCCCGUCCCUGGCUUUUGGCCAGGCUCCACCAACCUACAUAGGUAAUACUCGAGUAUACCAAAUGUUCACCCAAGUUCCUAAUCGCCUGACCGAGUCCGCUUCUGGCUCAAGACGACCGGUAACAAGGGGCAAUGGCCAGUUCAGCCCAAAAGGCUUACAUUCAUGCGCAAGUAACAUUUCAAUCAAAAAUUUCACAUUUAUCGAGGUCGAGUGCGAUAAAGUACACACUCGCCUCGAAAACUCGUUUUGGAAAUCAUUAUAAGCGCUUAACACGUUAUCAACCAAAAUACAAGUCAUGAAGUCAAAGAAUAUAGCAAACAAGGCACACUCACAUGCCAGCACGCAUGAUAUGCAAGAAAACAUUUCAAAAGUAACUUUGGAAACAGUUCAAAAGUAAAUAAUGUAAGAAACGGAUCAUAAAUAACUUUAGAAGUAGUUUGAGGUCACUCACCUCCACGGCUCUGAAACCAUCCAUCAUAUAGCAUUGCCUUGCUCAAAUCCAAGCCUUAGAUCACAAACGCAAAGCAACCAAGUCCUUUAAAAGUUCGGACAGCACUUCCCCUGAAUUUGCUAACUUUUCCAGCCAUCAUGGCUUCAUUAUAUCCUCAGCCAGUCCCAAAGGUACACACACAACAACGAGUUCAUCCAAUAGCCAUUCAGCAAGCUCCAAGUGGUACUAGUACAAGUCAAGCUAGGGAAAAGGUCCGGAAAUGAAGGUUUAGCUCAAACCAGAAAAACAGUUUUGGACGUCACUUUACGGUAAUGGCACAACUUGCACUACGAUUAUCGGAUUAGGGUGUAAGACCCACCAUUUCGAAGCUAUGAAACAGGGAUACAACAAUGUAGAAGGCCUCUCAGUCCAAAUCCUAGCACAACUAGGUCAAAAAUGCAGAAAACUAACCCAGAACCGUAAUUGCAGGUUCUCAAAUCCCACAAAACUGUAAUCAGUCCAAUUCAGUCUAUACAGGUCCAAAUGCAUUGAUUCAAAAGGCAUAUGAAAGCUAAGACAUCAAGCUACAUUUCAUCAGAAGACACCAACAACAAAAUCCAAAUCAAUUCCAGUCAAAACAGACAAUUUGUUAUCGCAGUUCGCACAUUCUGUUCACCAAAAACAGCAACAGUAAAAACGGCAUAACUCACUCUACACUACUCCAAAUACCCUGAAAUUUUGCAGGCACUUCAUACUCACCAAUAUAUACAACUUUUAUGUUUUGAGCAAAGUCCAAUUCGGCCGCUAGCUAUGACCUAAAAUUUCGGACAGAAUAGGGGUUCAUGAACCCUAACUUUUCACAAUUCACUUCAAAUCCAAAAUUGAUUGCAUUAUUCUUAUCCAAUCCACCACGCGAGCACCGCCAGCUCUCAAGCUCGCCGUGGCCUCCUCUCUCCACCACCAGCUUGCAACCCUCUGCUUCAACCCGCCGCCACUCUCUUCGCCACUGUCUCCACGCAGCCCGCCGCCACCUCACCUCGCUCACCACCAGCCUCAAAGGCCUUCCCCCCAUCGCGAGCCAUCUGCCCAACGCGCACGCUGCCACUCUCCCCUCCCGACUGCCCCAGCGCGCCUCCUCCUUAGCUCAGCCCGCCGCCUGGUGCUGACCACCACGCCGCGCGCCGCCAGCGCUGGAGCCGCCUGCGCGCUACCACUUCACCUACUGCGCGCCUCCACCUCAGCUUGUCCGCCAAUGUCGCGCGGCUGUCACCACCUGUCCUAUUUAGACAGGUGGAGGUAUUGUGAAUUCUGCCCCAAUUAGUUUCACUCUCUGAAAUUUGUGGUUGGAUUUCUUGAUUGAUAAAAGAAGGUGAUAAUUUGGGCAUUUUCUAGGGUCAAUUUUGGACAGAAUUGGGUUUAAUUGCUGCCAUAGUGGGGGUAUCUUCUGCUAUUUAUUGAAUUGUUGGCCUUUUGAUUACUCUUUCCCUGCGACUCACCAGGUACUGGUUGAGAUCUUUUGCCUAUCGUUGUGGCUUAUAUUUGAAGAUACUUGCUUAUUUUGCCGUUUCAGUUCUUGUGGUUGAGUUGCUGCCGUUGAAUUUAAUUCUUUCCUGUUUGUGCACCAGUGGUACUGGUUGCGGUGUUGCUUACAAUUCUUAAAUUUUCUCGAAUUCUAAUCGGUAGUUGCUGGAAUUGCUUGUUUGCUGGAUUCUUAAAAUUCUUAAGGCUUGGUAUCUUGAAGUGGGUACUUGAAUGUCCACUUGGUGACAUUUGUUGAGUUUCACUUGCUCCAAUUGGUUGAAUUCAUUGCUCUGUUGGGGUCCCUACUGGUAUCACUUGACUUCUGCUUUGUUAGUUUCUGUAUCGUGCCCCUUGAUCUUAUUUUGACUGAAUUGGAAACCCAGUGCAUAUUCAUUCAAUUUGCUGUAUUGUUAGGGUACUUUUCUAGCCUUUGGGGUGCCUCAGUUGUGCUUUUUAUUAAUUGGGUUGGCCAUGUGGUUCCCUCCUUUCCUGUGUAUACACCAGUGGUACUGGUUGUGCUAAUUUGCUUACAAUUUCUUAUUUCGAUAUGAUUGAGCAUCUGUGACUGAGUAUCCUUCGAUCUUGUUGCUUUGUUGGGAUCGUUUUUGGUGUCAAUUGAGUAUCAUUUGGUACUUUCUGCCUGGAGUCUAUUGAGCUGCCUUUGGUUGGGGUGUAUUGCAUUUAAUUGGUGCAUUGGACGGCUCCUGUGCCAUUUCCGUUGCUUAUUGAAGUAGGUUGCCUCUAUUUGCCUUGUGUGGGAGUAUUUUGUCCUUUUCAUUUCAAUUGCUAAAUUCAUUGGAGCACUUGUUGCGGUUUUGGGAUGCAUUGUUAUUGCAUUUGGCUAAGCAGGGGACCACCCAGGGCUAACGACUGGGUCCAACUCCGAAUGCAAGUUGCAUAACAUGGCGCAGAAUUUGGCAGCACUCCGCCCGACCCACUCCUGUUUUGACAACUUCAGGGAAGUACCGUUACCCUUCCCCUUCCUUUUGCUGUUAGUUUAUCACAUUGAGGGCAAUGUGAGAAAUUAGGUGUGGGGGGGACUCACAUGCCAGCACGCAUGAUAUGCAAGAAAACAUUUCAAAAGUAACUUUGGAAACAGUUCAAAAGUAAAUAAUGUAAGAAACGAAUCAUAAAUAACUUUAGAAGUAGUUUGAGGUCACUCACCUCCACGGCUCUGAAACCAUCCAUCAUAUAGCAUUGCCUUGCUCAAAUCCAAGUCUUAGAUCACAACCUCAAUGCAAACAAGUCCUUUCAAAGUUCGGACAGCACUUCCCCUAAAUCUUCUUACUUUCCCAGCCAUCAAGGCUUCAUGAUUUCCUCAUUCCAACCCAAAGGUACACCCACAACAACAAGUUCAUCCAAUAACCAUUCAGCAAGCUCCAAGUGGUACUAGUACAAGUCAAGCUAGGGAAAAGGUCCGGAAAUGAAGGUUUAGCUCAAACCAGAAAAACAGUUUUGGACGUCACUUUGCGGUAAUGGCACAACUUGCACUACGAUUAUCGGAUUAGGGUGUAAGACCCACCAUUUCGAAGCUAUGAAACAGGGAUACAACAAUGUAGAAGGCCUCUCAGUCCAACUCCUAGCACAACUAGGUCAAAAAUGCAGAAAACUAACCCAGAACCGUAAUUGCAGGUUCCCAAAUCCCACAAAACUGUAAUCAGUCCAAUUCAGUCUAUACAGGUCCAAAUGCAUUGAUUCCAAAGGCAUAUAAAAGCUAAGACAUCAAGCUACAUUUCAUCAGAAGACACCAACAACAAAAUCCAAAUCAAUUCCAGUCAAAACAGACAAUUUGUUAUCGCCGUUCGCACAUUCUGUUCACCAAAAACAGCAACAGUAAAAACGGCAUAACUCACUCUACACUACUCCAAAUGCCCUGAAAUUUUGCAGGCACUUCAUACUCACCAAUAUCUACAACUUUCAUGUUUUCAGAAAAGUCCAAUUCGGCCGUUAGCUAUGACCUAAAAUUUCGGACAGAAUAGGGGUUCAUGAACCCUAACUUUUCACAAUUCACUUCAAAUCCAAAAUUGAUUGCAUUUUCUUAUCCAAUACACCUCAUAGAGUCAUUAUCAGCCAUUACCAUUCAUCAUACAAGGCCACAACAUCCCCUUCAUAUUAAACCAGAAAAAUUCCCAAUAAAAUAAAAACUUCACCAAAACUCUUCAAAUCAAGAAAUAAAUCAUAUAUUCCUUCACUCAUGCCACCAUUAAGCAUCAUAUAACCAUCAUUAGGUGUAGUAGAGGGUUCAAGCAUCACUUACCAAGUAACAAGAGGUGUAGAGAGGUUGGCCACCUUAGAGCUUCAAAACAACUUCACUAGUACACUUAUUAUCACUAAAAGGAAAGGUUUUAUGGAUUAAAAAUGGAUGUAAACAAAUGUUUUGGGUGAUUUGCACCAAGUAGAAGCUUGAAAGUUGAAGAGUUUCUUCUUUCUUCUUGCUUAAAGAGGGCCGGCCAUAAGGAGGAGAAAAAUGGUGAAUUUUGUGCAAUUUUUGGAUAUUUAAUCCUUUGGUCAAAAAAGUCAAGAAUGUGAAUAGUAUUUCUUAAGGUCCAACCAAUAGGAAAGUGACACUUGUCACCUCCAUUAAAUGCAUUCUUAUCUUUCUUUUCUCUCUCACAUCAAUCACUUCACACACACUACUUAUCUCUUAACACCCGAUAAAUUUUAACCAGUAUCCGGAAUGUAACCUAAUUGGCCGAAUUUUUCCGAACUUUUCGCACUAGUGGGUCCCACGUCCGUUAUAAACUCUUAAUUUCUCAAAAACUCUCCAAUACUAGAAAAAUCAUUUGAAAACGAUAUUUGCUCAUAAACUUUAUCUGGGGAAUUUUUCUAAUCAAGAAAAUGUAGAAAAGCGGGCGUUAAACAAAUAAACCCUAGAAAAGUAGAAAAUUUCCGGGUUCUCAAACUCAUUUUUUUUCGGGGCGUCACAAUCUCCCCUCCUUAAAAGAAUGUCGUCCUCGACAUUCCCUCUUGUACCAAUCAAGUCGAAACAUCCCGCAAAAAUCUCUCAAGAGUCAAAUCAAACCCACAGUCCGGCAUCCUAAACUUCAAGCCUAGGAUACACUACAGAGAUCUGAAGCCUAAGCUCUGAUACCAAUUGUCACGGCCCCACCUCCCCCGAGGCGAACCAGAGGGUUCGGCGGGCCGCCUGCCCAGCUCUCGCCGGGACUCAGUCGCUCACUACAGUCCUCAACCCAAUUACAAUAUAAAUCUCAAAAUUUCAUCAAAUUCUCCAAUGAUUACAUAUUACAAAUGCAGCGGAAACUGAUUCCAAUCGUAGAACGUAUACUUACAUCCAUAUCAAUUUCAAAUAUUUAUACAAGACCAACUCGUACAUAAAAUAUAUCCAAACUUAAACUGUACACAAUAUAAGCCAUCCAGUCACGUGAAUAAGCACUCCAAGCUUUUCUUCGCCUUGAGCCCUGUGGGGGGGGAAAUAAAACAUUUUUGGGGUGAGCUAGAAGCUCAGCGAGUAACCAUUAAAAUCAGUAAUCAAAUCGGUUUCACAAUAUUUCUUUUCAAUGAUGUCAUAAAUCAAUGAUGUCAUAAAUCAAAUGAUAAGUCCAGAAACGAUUACAGCAUUUACAAAACAUUAAAUAUGGAGUAUCAAUAAUUGAAGAAACAUGUACAAUGGAAAGCGAUAGUAACAUUCAUGAAAGGAUACAUUCAUUCUCCUGACAUUUCCUCGCUCAUUUGAUCAUUUAUUUCAUUUCAUUCACCCCGUCCCUGGCUUUUGGCCAGGCUCCACCAACCUACAUAGGUAAUACUCGAGUAUACCAAACGUUCACCCAAGUUCCUAAUCGCCUGACCGAGUCCGCUUCUGGCUCAAGAUGACCGGUAACAAGGGGCAAUGGCCAGUUUAGCCCAAAAGGCUUACAUUCAUGCGCAAGUAACAUUUCAAUCGAAAAUUUCACAUUUAUCGAGGUCGAGUGCGAUAAAGUACACACUCGCCUCGAAAACUCGUUUUGGAAAUCAUUAUAAGCGCUUAACACGUUAUCAACCAAAAUACAAGUCAUGAAGUCAAGAAAUAUAGCAAACAAGGCACACUCACAUGCCAGCACGCAUGAUAUGCAAGAAAACAUUUCAAAAGUAACUUUGGAAACAGUUCAAAAGUAAAUAAUGUAAGAAACGAAUCAUAAAUAACUUUAGAAGUAGUUUGAGGUCACUCACCUCCACGGCUCUGAAACCAUCCAUCAUAUAGCAUUGCCUUGCUCAAAUCCAAGUCUUAGAUCACAACCUCAAUGCAAACAAGUCCUUUCAAAGUUCGGACAGCACUUCCCCUAAAUCUUCUUACUUUCCCAGCCAUCAAGGCUUCAUGAUUUCCUCAUUCCAACCCAAAGGUACACCCACAACAACAAGUUCAUCCAAUAACCAUUCAGCAAGCUCCAAGUGGUACUAGUACAAGUCAAGCUAGGGAAAAGGUCCGGAAAUGAAGGUUUAGCUCAAACCAGAAAAACAGUUUUGGACGUCACUUUGCGGUAAUGGCACAACUUGCACUACGAUUAUCGGAUUAGGGUGUAAGACCCACCAUUUCGAAGCUAUGAAACAGGGCUACAACAAUGUAGAAGGCCUCUCAGUCCAACUCCUAGCACAACUAGGUCAAAAAUGCAGAAAACUAACCCAGAACCGUAAUUGCAGGUUCCCAAAUCCCACAAAACUGUAAUCAGUCCAAUUCAGUCUAUACAGGUCCAAAUGCAUUGAUUCCAAAGGCAUAUGAAAGCUAAGACAUCAAGCUACAUUUCAUCAGAAGACACCAACAACAAAAUCCAAAUCAAUUCCAGUCAAAACAGACAAUUUGUUAUCGCAGUUCGCACAUUCUGUUCACCAAAAACAGCAACAGUAAAAACGGCAUAACGCACUCUACACUACUCCAAAUGCCCUGAAAUUUUGCAGGCACUUCAUACUCACCAAUAUCUACAACUUUCAUGUUUUGAGAAAAGUCCAAUUCGGCCGCUAGCUAUGACCUAAAAUUUCGGACAAAAUAGGGGUUCAUGAACCCUAACUUUUCACAAUUCACUUCAAAUCCAAAAUUGAUUGCAUUUUCUUAUCCAAUACACCUCAUAGAGUCAUUAUCAGCCAUUACCAUUCAUCAUACAAGGCCACAACAUCCCCUUCAUAUUAAACCAGAAAAAUUCCCAAUAAAAUAAAAACUUCACCAAAACUCUUCAAAUCAAGAAAUAAAUCAUAUAUUCCUUCACUCAUGCCACCAUUAAGCAUCAUAUAACCAUCAUUAGGUGUAGUAGAGGGUUCAAGCAUCACUUACCAAGUAACAAGAGGUGUAGAGAGGUUGGCCACCUUAGAGCUUCAAAACAACUUCACUAGUACACUUAUUAUCACUAAAAGGAAAGGUUUUAUGGAUUAAAAAUGGAUGUAAACAAAUGUUUUGGGUGAUUUGCACCAAGUAGAAGCUUGAAAGUUGAAGAGUUUCUUCUUUCUUCUUGCUUAAAGAGGGCCGGCCAUAAGGAGGAGAAAAAUGGUGAAUUUUGUGCAAUUUUUGGAUAUUUAAUCCUUUGGUCAAAAAAGUCAAGAAUGUGAAUAGUAUUUCUUAAGGUCCAACCAAUAGGAAAGUGACACUUGUCACCUCCAUUAAAUGCAUUCUUAUCUUUCUUUUCUCUCUCACAUCAAUCACUUCACACACACUACUUAUCUCUUAACACCCGAUAAAUUUUAACCAGUAUCCGGAAUGUAACCUAAUUGGCCGAAUUUUUCCGAACAUUUCGCACUAGUGGGUCCCACGUCCGUUAUAAACUCUUAAUUUCUCAAAAACUCUCCAAUACUAGAAAAUCAUUUAAAAACCAUUUUUGCUCAUAAACUUUAUCUGAAAAAUUUUCUAAUCAAGAAAAUGUAGAAAAGCGGGCGUUAAACAAAUAAACCCUAGAAAAGUAGAAAAUUUCCGGGUUCUCAAACUCUUUUUUUUCGGGGCGUCACAUCUUACCUAUUUCUAAAGGCCUGUCCACUUUUGACCGGUUUUCUGGCAAAGUCAACAAUGACAUUGAAUCGGACCGGUGCCAUGGCCAGUUCGCGGUUCAACCUGUCGAACCGGUCCGGUUUUCAGAACAUUGCUUAAAACAUAUUAUUUGGAUGUUUUGAAAUGGCUGUGGUUGUUUGACAAUUUUGGAUGCUUUUGUAUUGGCAUAUUUACUUUAACUUUCUCAACUAUUUUGAUUGUGGACAAUAUCUCAAUGGUUGUUUCAUUUAUGAAGGAUAAAAUUGAACUCGAGAUCCCUUACUUAUAACACCUCCUACCUUAUCACUCACAUCCAACCCUCCCAACUUGAAUCAUAAUUUGGUCUUAAUUACUAAUCCUCAAGAAUUAGAAUUAGAACAUGCAUCUUAUUUUGUUUGGUUCCCUCAAGUGCUAGAGCAAGAAUUUUUAUCGGAUCAAUUAAUGGUCAGUUUUUGACUAAUGAAAAUAUUCUAAAUAAGAUUGUGAAAUCAAUUAAUUUCAUAUACAAUCCAAAUAAGAUUAUGAACUCCUUGUUUGUUUAAUUAAUUGCAUGUGCUAAUGAUUGUACUUGCCAAAUAUCGGACCAUUGUUUUUGUCCACGAUCAAAUCGUAAAAAGGAGAGUGAGAUUCUGUUUUGGUUACAUGCAUGUCAUUAUUGUUAAUCCUUGGAAAAUGAAUUUAUGACAUACAGUAAUUUGGUCUGAAUUUUGUUCGGUUUUGGGAAGCGACCACACUGGGAAGCAAUAAUAAAAUGUUCUCUGCUUUCGCACUAGCUAUGAUGCAUUUUGCUUCUUGGCUUAGUAAUCAGGCUUGAGAUUUUAAAUUACCUUUUGUACUUUAACGUUUCAAGUAUAUAACAUGAUCGGUAUGAAAUCCCUAGCCUUCUACUCCUCUCUUUAAAAUCUGAUAGUCUUUAAUUCAGAUCGGUAUUAAUCCUUUUUGUUAUUUUAUUUCUUAUUACUUUCUUUUUCUAGUUGAUUUUGGAUCCUUUUUUUUAUUACUUUUCUAACUUUUCUUUAGCUUUUGCUGACGCGUAUAUUGGUUUCUCCUCAAACUGGAUGUCUCUCAAUCUCUCUUGUGGGAAUUCAACAUACUUUAAGAUGAAUUUCAUUUUGCCAUUAUCAAGUCUCUCAAUCUUCUUUCCUCCAGUGUUUCUUUUCUAUAUCAACUCUCCAUGAUUCCAUUAUUGUCUCACAGCAUAAUCCAGAAACUGUCAGUAUAUAAGAAUUCUUUUGAAGUAAUUAUUACUAAUAUAGUUUCCGCUUCUUGUGGAAUGUUCUGAAUCUUUCCUAAAGCAACAUUUUCCAAUUUGAGUUCCAGAAUUGUUGCAAACUUUUUUGGUUUGCGCAUCACUUUGCAUGUAAGAAUUCAAAAUUUCACCACCAAUUAAAUAGUUUUCCUCGCAACUUGUCCCGUUUGGAUUGCUAUUUUUAGGAUUUUUUUUGUAGAAAAAUAUACCUUAGAGAUUUGAUGUAUGCGAGAUAAAAAGGUGAUUAAGAAAUGUAUUUACGAAAAAAAAUGUUAGUUUCCUUUUCUCUUCUAUUUCGAACUUCUCCCAACUUAUGUUUCCUUGUUGCUAAUCUUGCCAAACUUUAUAAGAUAUGUCUUACCAAUUUCUUUGAUACUUGAAACACAAGAAAUUUGUCAUUCCUUAUGUGUAUUCUUGUUUAAUUAUUUAAUUUGGCUCCUGAAACACAAGAAAUUAGUAAAGAAUUUAGAUCCAAUUUGGUGCAACGCUUCUUUGACAAACUGAAUCGGAUGCUUCUGCAACGGAAGUGUUUUUUUUUUUUUAUAGCAACAAUAACUUUUCCUACAACCUAAUCUAUUCUAUUCUAUAGAGAGGGGAAGCCUAAUCUAUUCUAUUCUACUGGGAGGGGAGCCUAAAAAGACUAUAUAAGGAAAUUGGUAUACAGAUCUAAUUAGACUGUAUUUUGACGCUUUCUUUAAAUUUUUUUCAUUACGUAGAGUUCGAACUCCACAUUUACAAUCCAAAAAAAAUUAAUCUCUUUUUUGUUACCGCUGAGCCAAGUCUCCUUUGUUUGUAGCAUAGUAGUUGCCGGGAUUCUUCAGCUGCCUUUGAUCCACAUUCCACAUGCUGGGGGCGGGGGGGGGCGGGAAAUCGGAUGUGGAAAAUUCCACCCAAGAAGGAAAAGAAACCGUGUUGAAUGAUGAAGAAAAGAAAAUGGCAAUCAUCAUUGAGACUCUAAUAAAUCUCACUCCUCAGUUCCUGGGAUGUGAACGUACGAUUAAUAAUUCCAUCUAAAUUGCUGAUCCUAAGUGGAUCAGAUUUGAAACAUAUUUUAUCCAUUGGAGACUCCUUAGUUUGUUUGCUUUCUGCAGGGGAUUAUUGUCACGGCCCCACCUCCCCCUGAGGCGAACCAGAGGGUUCGGCGGGCCGCCUGCCCAGCUCUCGCCGGGACUCAGUCGUUCACUACAAUCCUCAAAUGAAUUACAAGAAUAAACCUCAAAUAUUACAAUAAAUUCUCCAAUAAUUACAUGUCAUAAGCGAAGCGGAAACAAUUCUCAACUAUACAUAAAAUGAUUUCCAAUCCAAACUGUACAAGAUAUAGGCCAUCCAGACACGCGCACAAGUACUACAAGCCUUCCUUCGCCUUGAGCCCUGUGGAGGGGAAUAAAAUAUUUUUGGGGUGAGCUAGAAGCUCAGCGAGUAACCAGGAAAUCAGUAAUCAAAUCGGUUUAACAAUAUUUAUUUUCAAUGAUGUCAUAAAUCAAAUGAUAAGUCCAAAAACAAUUACAACAUUUACAAAACAUUAAAUAUGGAGUAUCAAUAAUUCAAGAAACAUGUACAAUGGAAAGCGAUAGUAACAUUCAUGAAAAGAUACGUUCGUUCUCCUGUCAUUUCCUUUUUUUUCAUUUGAAAUUGCAUCAUUUUCCACCAACCUCCACCAACCUACAAAGGUAAUACUCGAGUAUACCAAACGUUCACCCAGGUCCCUAAUCGCCCGACCGAGUCCGUUUCUGGCUCGAGACGACCGGUAACAAGGGCAAUGGCCAGUUCAGCCCAAAAGACUUACAUUCAUGCGCAAGUAGCAUUUAAUCAUUUAUCAUGAAAAUUUUACAUUGAUUUAGGUCGAGUGCGAUAAAAUACACACUCGCCUAGAAAGCUCGUUUUGGAAAUCAUUCAAUGCACGUAACACGGUAUCAAUCAAUAAUACAAGUCAUGAAGUCAAGGAAAUAUAUCAAACAAGGAACACUUUCAUAUAAACACGCAUGAUAUGCAAGAAAACAGUUCAAAAGUAGCUUUGGAAACAGUUCAAAAGUAAAUAAUGUAAGAAACAUUUCACUAGUACUUUGGAAAUAGUUUAGGGUCACUCACCUCCAUGGCUCAGAAAUCAUCCAGCAUAUAACAUUGCCUUGCUCAAAUCCAAGUCUUAGAUCACAAACUCAAUGCAAACAAAUCCCUUCAAAGUUCGGACAGCACUUCCCCUGAAUUUCUUUACUUUUCCAGCCAUCAUGGCUUCAUUAUUUCCUUAGCCAGUCCCAAAGGUACACACACAACAACAAGUUCAUCCAAUAGCCAUUCAGCAAGCUCCAAGUAGUACUAGUACAAGUUAAGCUAGGGAAAAGUCCGAAAAUGAAAGUUAAGCUCAAAACCAGAAAAACAGUUUUGACGUCAUUUUGCGGUAAUGGUACCAAAGGCGGUACGAUUGUCGGAUGAAGGUGAAAGACCCAUCGUUUCGAAGCUAAGAGACAGGGCUACAAUAUUUCAGAAGGUCACUCAGUCCAAAUCCCAGCACAACUAAGUCAAAUAUGCCAAAUAACAAACCAGAACCGUAAUUGCAGGUUCACAAAUCACACUAUGCUGUAAUUAGUCCAACUCAGUCUACACAAGUCCAAAUGCAGAAAUUCCAAAGGCAUAUGGUAGCUAGGACAUCAAGAUACAUUUCAUCAGAAGACCUCAACACCCAAAUCCAAAACAAUUCCAGUCAAAACAACCCAUUUCAGACGCAGUUCUAACAUCCUGAUGAACCCAGAACAGCAAUAGUAAUUUCGGCUUAUCUCAUUCUACACUACUCCAAUUGACCUGAAAUUUUUCAGACACCUUUAAAACAUCAAUACCUACAACUUUCAUGUUUAGAGCCAAGGCCAAUUCGGCCUCUAUCUAGGACCAAAAAUUUCGGACAGAAUGAAAAACCAAGAACCCUAAUUUUCCAGAUUUCUUCCAAAACAGAAUUUACUUGCAAUCUUCCACUUUUUCCACCUUCUAGAAUCAUUAAACAUCAUUUCCAAUCAUCAUACAUAACCACAUAAUCAUACUCAUAUUAAAACAGAAAAAUCCCCAAAAAAUAAUAAAAGUUGAUCCAUCCAACCACAACUCAAAAUAUAAUCCAUCAAACCAUCUCUUUAGCCAUCACAAGUCACUAAUUUAGUAUAAUCAAGAACAAAGAAAGGAUUGCUAGACAUGAACCUUGAAAUAUCAAGAAAGUUGAUGGCUUAGUCCUUUGCCUUCUCUAAUCACUCCACCACUACCUUCAAUCUUCCUAAACAAGUGACUUUUGUGGAGAAAUUCGAAAGUUUAACGGUUGAUUCACAAGAUUGAGCAAGAAAUGGAGUUGGAGUUGAAGGCUUUCUUCUUGUAUUUUUGCUCCAAGAGGUUCGGCCAAGUUUGCAGAAAUUUAGGUGAUUUUUGGGUCAAAAUUGAGUAUUAAUAAAGGUAAGAAAUAAUGGUCAAAGUCAAGGUUGAAUAGGAAGAUGACACUUGUCACCCUUUUGGUUCAAAACUUAUCUUUUUGUCUCUCCAAUACAAAUAUCUUAACACUUUGUAAAAUAAUAUCACUUAAUACAAAAUUCCUACAAGUUGUCAAAAAUAUAUUGCGUUUACCGCACUAGCGGGUCCCACGUCCAAAAUACGCUUUUAAUUUCUCAAAAACUAACCGAUACUAGAAAAAUCAUUUGAAAACUAUAUUUGCUCACAAACUUUAUCUGGGGAAUUUUUCUAAUCAAGAAAAUGUAGAAAAGGCGGGCGUUUAAAAAAAUAAACCCUAGAAAAUUAGAAAAUUUCCGGGUUCUCAAACUCAUUUUUUUUUCGGGGCGUCACAAUCUCCCCUCCUUAAAAGAAUGCCGUCCUCGAUUAUUCUCCAAUUUCUUUAAAAUCCACAGACCCCCAAAGUUCUCCAUUUCCAUGCUAGCUAUAUAUUUUCCUUUCUGGCUAGUUCAGAAUAGCUAGAAAUUUACAGUGGAUGCUUUUGUCAGCUCUUUAACCACUGGUAGAAAGAAGUGCUGCAGUAGUACAUCUUUAUUACUAUUUUUUUUUUUUGAAAUACAAUAUACAAUCAACUGGAGUUAAAAGUGAAAUAGGCCUUUAGCUCACACUGUGAUUAUAAACUUUGACUGAAUUGGAUGUUUUGGGAAGGGGGGGAAAUGAGCGUGUUCUUGCAGAUUUCAAUUUUUACAAUUGAAUUAUUUACCUAUGAUAUGAUCACAAGUUUAACUUAAAUGGAGUUGUGAUAAUAGAAGAUUCUCGAAAGAAGACUUCAAAAGGUGGAAAUUGAAAAUGAGUGGAAAUUAAUGGGGAAUUAACCAGUUAUUUGGAUACCUAUUUUUGUAUCCGACUCUUUUAUAAUUAGUUUUUCUUAUAAUUUUUCUCGCUCCUAACAAAUUUAUCUUUUCAGAUAAAUUUGAAUUAUUUGCUCUUUUGGUUCCUCUCUCUUCUAACAAUAUGAUUAAUUUGUAUAAAUUUUUUUUAUUCAUAUGGAUUAACUUAGUGUUAAAAAUUUUAACUGUUAGUUGAUAGAUUUAUCAAUAUUGCUGGAAAUUAAAUAUUUGUUGAUGUAGAAAACAAAUCGCAAAAUCUUUUGUACUUAGUUAAGUAGGAAAAUGUAACUAGUUUUAUGGUUAUUAUAAAAAUUGUAAUUAUCUAAAAAAUAUCCGUACACAAAAAGGUAGAAUAUCUAUUGAUUUUUUUAUAUGUGUUAUAAUAUUUGAUGAAUAUUAUUAUAUUAUAGUAAAAGUAUGUAAAGAAAUUUUUAAAAAUUAGUAUGAUAGUUAAGUAUAAUUAUUACAAUAAUUUUCUAAAAUUAAUAUAAAUGAACUUGUAUGAUCAUCAUUAAUUUUUUAUUUAAAUUAUUCAUGCUUGCACGAAUUCAUAAUAAAAUAAAAAAAAAUAAACCAUGCCAAGGCACAUGCAAGAUGCUAGUUCAAAUUAAUGUUGUACAUGUAUAGGAGUCACAAAACGGUUUGGUGCACAAGCAGACGAAAGGGGACAUCUAAAGUAUUAGGACAAGUUUUACAUCUAGCAGACGAAUUCAAUCGAUUGUGAUGUAUUUGCUGAUUUUCUUGAAAUAAAAAAUGCAUAGGAAAAAAAAUAUUAGAGAGUUAUCCUUUGCAUGGAGUUCAUAUCGUUACUACUUUUGCUGCGUGGAAUACCUUGUCUGAUGGAUGUCUGCUUGAAAUAUGCGUUCCACAUAUUUUGUAUGUUUAUCCUAAUAAAUCAUCUUAUAUUGUGCUAAUAUUUCAAACAGGUUUUGGAAUUUUGCUGCAAGUUUAUCUUCUCAAAAGAUAAGUCAUUUGAUUUGAUUUGCGUCAAAAAAUGCUUUGCUGAGGCCUUCAGUUGUGGAAAAAAACUCUCUGACCCAAGACGCACAAGAAACUAUUUUCCAGUUCUUUAGAAAUAAAAUAGACGUUCAACGCCCAUUUUCUAAUUCGAUUCAGUUCUGUGACCCCUUUUUUUAAUUCUCUAUUUUCUAUAAUUCUCAAUUCUUUAUUUUGCACUAUUUUGUUGGGUGAGCAAUUAACAGGCACGUGAAAUAGUGGCUCAAUGGGGGAAGAAAAAACAAGGGCUAUUCCUUUUUUUUUUUUUGGAUUGCGUGAUCAAUUAACAAGAAACGACAUAAGCAAAACAAAUUCUUCAUGUUCAGGCCCUUGAUUUUCCUUUGUGAAUAAUGAACUGAAAAAGAAACUUAAAAAUACUAGUUCAAUUGAAUCUUAAAAUUAAUGCAAAACAUGGACAAGAAUGCUGUAGUGUCUGAAGUACAAUCUCGAUUUAGUACAAGACCUCUGAAACUUGAAUACAUAAUGUUCCAGUUCCCCAAUUUUAAAACCUCUCAAGCCAGGCCAGAUUCUUCAAUGCUCGAUUCUCAAUUAAUGGCUUCAUGUAUUUUCCGUUAUGAAUGUGACAAAGUCUCCAUUCUGGAGCUCAUUUCCAGUUGUCUCGGAUUUGGUAUCACUUGAAACUGGUUCUGUAUCAGGGAAUGGGAAACAUAUGGCCGUCAACAAAAACCAGAGGAAAUUUGCAGCGCUCAGACCGGCAAGCACCCAAUAAUAGUAAUUCAAGUGACUCUCAUUCAAGUCAUGCUGAAACCAACUCUUUUUCCCUCAUUUCUCGCUAAUCUUGCCCACCAAAUGAACUGAUAAAACACUUCCCAUGAUUCCCAGACCGGAUAAUCCAGGAUUGAGGUAGACAAGGUACUUUUUCAUCGAUGGGGGACUUUGAUCAUUCAAGAAUUCUGCAACACUGUUCUCAUAAAAUGAGUCUAGCCCACCAAGAAGAAAGAAUUGCGGAACAAGCAAAAAGACAGUCAUGGGGAUUUUCUCGUUAGGCUUGUCAAUUAAACCAUUGUUAGGGUGGUUAUCUAAAUCUAACCACUGGUGAAAAUCAUCACCUUUAAACCCAAGAUCUGUAUGGCGAUUAUUAAGAAAUAAAUUAACUGUAAAAUAGCGGAAGCGUACCUGAAUCCAUAUUAAUAAACUUGAUACUUGAAUCCCUUAGAUAUUUGGGGUGGCCUUCCAAAUCAACAUGUAUUCACCAAUCCUUUGAGAGAGGUCUUUAGUUUCUCUCUGGUAUCUUUCCUGACGAUGGGAUAUCAGGGAAGGGCUGUUUUGUGGUAUUAGAAAAUACGACAACUAAAACGAUACCUGUGACCUGGGGACCAUAACCCUAUUUAUAGGCAACAUUCCUGUUACCUUUUGGAACCCUAUUUCAGCCCAUCAUUGAAAUAGGAGCCCAUAAGUUUCUACACAUUAAAGGGCCAACAUCCUAUUAAAUACAUUAAACCCAAACUAUAUUUGAUCACUUUAAUUGGGUUUAACCUUAAUUGACAGUUUGCAAUACAUAAUUAUUCACAUAUAAGUCCAAUGUUGAAUUAAGGAUCCAACAAUCUCCCACUUGGACUAUAUGUGUAACCUUAUAAUUAUGUUUUGCAAUUAACCGUAUGAGCUCAACUUUACUGUCAUUAUCACAAUGUAUCUGUAACUAAUUCGGUCCAUCAAUUACACAAAUAUAGGAUCAAAGCGGCCUUUGUUACAAUUUCGUAACUCGACCCAUCAAUGGUCACAUAUAUUAAUGCAAUUGAAUGACAUGAAUCAUGAUGUGGAUGUGUAGCAUGAAAAUUUCAUGUAAUGUGAUCAAAACAUGCCUAUUUCCAACUGGUCCACCUUAAAUUUUAUGAGAUCAAACCAUACCAAAGUUAGAGUGUAAAUAAAUUUAGACUUUAUUUAUGUAUAAAAUAUUCUUAAAUCCUUAAUAACUGAAAAAUAUCAUAAGAGCAUUCAAAAUAACAAACUCCCACUAAAACUGUACAUCAUUUAAUAACACGACACCCAUAUGAGCAGUAUGCUCAUGAAAUAAUUUGGGUGACAAUCCCUUAGUAAGCGGAUCCGCAACCAUGGAGUUUGUCCCGAUGUACUCUAUCGAUAACUGUCCAUUUUGCACUCUUUCUUUAACAGCCAGGAACUUGAUAACUAUAUGUUUAGAUUUGGUUGAGCUCCUGUUGUUAUUGGAAUAUAAGACUGCUGACUUAUUGUCACAGAAUAAUUUAAGUGGUCUUUCAAUGCUAUCCACUACACGUAAUCCUGUGACGAAAUUUCGCAGCCAAAUUCCUUGGUUGGAUGCCUCAUAACAAGCUAUAAAUUCUGCAGUCAUAGUGGAAGAUACUAUGAGGGACUGUUUAGCACUCUUCCAGGAUAUGACACCUCCAGCCAACAAGUAGAUAUAGUCUGACGUUGACUUCAUAGUAUCUUUGCAUCCAGCAUAAUCGGAAUCAGUAUACCCAAUGAUCUCUAACUCAUCUGACUUCCGAUACGUGAGCAUGUAGUCUUUUGUUUUCUGCAGAUACCGUAAGACCCGUUUGGUUGCUUUCCAAUGAUCUAAUCAAGGAUUACUCAAAUAUCUAUCCAACAUCCCAGUAAUGUACGCAAUAUUCGGACGCGUACAUACUUGAGCAUACAUUAAACUCCCUACUGCUGAUGCAUAAGGAAUCUUUUGCAUCUCUUUUUCCUCAAAAGCAUUCUUGGGACACUGCUCAAGACUAAAUUUGUCUCCUUUAGCCACAGGGGUGUCACCUGGUUUACAAUUUUGCAUGCCAUAUCUUUUAAGAACCUUUUCGAUAUAGCCCUUUUGUGAUAGUCCUAAAAUACCCCGAGAGCGAUCACGGUGUAUCUGUAUGCCUAACACAAAAGAUGCAUCACCAAGAUCUUUCAUCUCAAAAUUUUUAGUUAGAAAUUUCUUGAUUUCAUGCAAUAGACCAAUAUCAUUGCUGGCAAGCAAAAUGUCAUCAACAUACAAUACCAGAAAAAUAUAUUUGCUCCCACAGAACUUAUGGUAUAUGCAAUCAUCUACUAGAUUCAUCUCAAAACCAAAUGAGAUAAUCACUUGAUGAAAUUUGAAAUACCAUUGUCGAGACGCUUGUUUGAAUCCAUAGAUGGAUUUUUUUAAGUUUACAAACCAUAUUCUUUGGAUCUCCUGAUACAAAGUUUUCUAAUUGCACCAUAUAAAUCGUCUCAUCAAUGUUACCAUUGAGAAACGCUGUCUUUACGUCCAUCUGAUGUAACUCAAGACCAAAAUGUGCCACUAAUGCUAUGAUAAUUAUAAAGGAGUCCUUUGAAGAGACUGGAGAGAAGGUUUCUUUAUAAUCGAUACCUUCCUUUUGUGUAAAUCCCUUAGCGACAAGACGAGCUUUGUAUCUUUUCACAUUGCCUUUUGAAUUUCUCUUGAUUUUAAAUAUCCAUUUACAACCAAUGGGUUUCACUCCUUCUGGCAAUGGGACAAGAUCCCAAACGUCAUUGUCCUUCAUGGAUUUAAUUUUCUCAUUCAUGGCAUCGAUCCACUUUUGAGAAUUUGAACUUUCCAUAGCUUGACGGAAGUUGAUUGGAUCAUCUUCCAUCAAUCCAGAGUCAUUCUCAUGUUCUUGGAGAAAAACAAUGUAAUCAUCUGGCACUGCACUUUUUCUUUCUCUAGUGGAUCUUCUUAAUGGCACUGGUUCUUGAAAAGGAAGAGUUUGUUCUUCUAUAACAGUUUGCUCUUCGACAUUGUCUUGAUUUGUCAUGUCAUGAUCAAGUUCAGGAAUAGGGUCCUGAGCAAGAGUAAUGACACCCGUGGGAAUAUAUUCCUCUUUAAAGACAAUGACCCUUACUGUAUUUUCUCCCCCAAACUCGACAUCCUCAAAGAACCGAGCAUUUCCUGUCUCAAAAAUUGAUUUGGCUGUGGGAUCAUAAAACUUGUAACCCCUGGAUCUUUCAGAGUAUCCAAUAAAAUAACAACUAAUCGUUCUUGAGUCCAGUUUCUUUUUAUUAGGCCUAUAAGGCCUUACCUCAGCUGGACAUCUCCAAAUGUGUAGAUGUUUUAAACUGGGCUUUUUUCCCUGUCCAAAGUUCAUAAGGGGUUUUAAUAGUUGCUUUAGUUGGAACUCUGUUAAGAAUAUAUGCUGCAGUCUUAAGUGCUUCUCCCCAGAGUGACUCUGGUAAGGUGGAAUGACAUAUCAUACUCCUUACCAUGUUUUUAAGUGUUCUAUUUCGUCUUUCAGCUACACCAUUUAUAGUGGGUGAACCUGACAUAGUGUACUGUGGGACGAUACCGCACUCCUCUAGGUAUUUAACAAAUGGUCCUGGACGUUGUUCACCUGAACCGUCAUAUCUAUCAUAGUACUCACCACCACGGUCAGAUCUGACGCUUUUAAUUCUUUUGUUGAGUUGAUUCUCAAUUUCAGCUUUAAAAGUUUUGAACACGUCUAGUGACUGUGACUUUUCAGAAAUGAGAUAUAUAUAGUCAUAUCUUGAAAAAUCGUCUAUGAACGUUAUAAAAUAUUGUUGACCAUUCCAAGCAGAUGUAGGAAAUGGUCCACAAAUAUCAGUAUGUAUAAGUUCUAAGACGUCUGAGGACCUAUUGGCUUCAAAUCUCCUUUGAUUGGCUUGUUUCCCCUUUAUACAGUUAAUGUAAUCAUCAAAAUCUGUAAAAUUCAAAAGGUCGAGAAUUUCAUUUGACACAAGCCUUUCCAUUCUCCGUUUGGAGAUAUGUCCCAAUCUCUUGUGCCAUAAUGCAGCUGAAUUCUUAUUGGCUAAUUUUCUUUUAACUCCUCUAGUACUCAAAUGCAGAGAUUCAUUAAAUGAGACAAUUGUAUCAAUUAAAUAUAGAUUAUCGUAGUGCAUUAAAGAACCAGAACCAACCAAUUUUGAAUCAUGCAACAAUUCAAAUUUUUCAUUUCCAAAUGAACAAAAAUAACCAAAUUUGUCCAAAGCAAAAAUAGAAAUUAAAUUCCGUCUAAAAGACGGUACAACAAAUGUCUCAUUGAGAUCCAAAUAAAAUCCGCUCUUUAAUAAUAAUCUAAAAACUUCAAUUGCUUCAACUUGAACUGUUUUGUCAUCGCCCACGUAGAUAUAUCUUUCACUAUCAUUAGGCUUUCGGCAAUUCAGACAACCCUGCAUAGACACACUGAUGUGAGUUGUUGCACCAGAAUCCAGCCACCAUGUGUGUCUAGGUACCGAAGUUAAAUUAACCUCAAAACAAACCAAAUUAAGAAGCAUACCUUUCUUAGCACGCCAAGCGUGAUAGUUGGUGCAAUGCUUCUUUUGAUGCCCUUCAACUCCACAGAAGAAACAACUACUCUUUCCCUGAUCAUUUGAUUUCUUUUGUUGUUUCUUUUGUGGCGCUGUACCUGCAGCUCCUUUUUCUUUCUUUCUCUUAAGUCCCUUGCCUUUAUUAUUAGUGGUUGACACCAGAUGAGCACUUUCUGUCUGCUCCUGCUUCAACCUUUCCUCUUCCUCUACACAGUGUGAGAUGAGUUCAUUUAGAGACCAAGUCUCCUUUUGACAGUUGUAACUCACCUUAAAUUGGUUAAACUGUGUAGGAAGAGAUAUUAGAAUCAAAUGCACUAGUAACUCUUCAGAGAGUUUCAACUUAAGUGCAUUUAAUUUCGAAGCAAGAUGAGACAUCUCCAUGAUGUACUCUCUGAUAUUGCCUUUACCACUAUAUUUCAUUGAAACUAGGCGUGUCAAGAGCGUACUAAUUUCAGUCUUUUCAUUCUUUUUUUUUUUUUUUUUUUUUAAGGUGUGUCCCGCAGGGAGUGGACCCCGCAGACUAUUCACCACCCUCAACAACUUGCUGGCAGCAAGGUUCGAACCAGGGACCUGAAGCCCCAUCUUCAGCAACCUCAACCACCAGACCAAGCCCCUGAGGGCAGUCUUUUCAUUCUUGACAAACCUUUUUUCAAUGUCCUGAAGGAACUUUUUAGCGGUUACAGUCGUUUCUGACAUUGUUCCCCUGAAUGCUUUUGAAACGGCCUUUUUAAUGAUCAUCAGACACAAGCGAUUUGAUCUCUCCCACCUCUCAUUAUUUCUCUUUUCAUCAGAGGUACUCUGAUCUGUAAGAGGUGAGGGAGAAUCGUCCCUUAACGCAAGGUCGAGAUCCAUUACUCCAAGUACUAUCAAGAGAUUUUCUUUCCAGGACUUGAAGUUUGUGCCAUUCAGCAUAGGAAUGUUAUUGAUGUUGGCAGUAAUAUUUGUAAGAUCAUUUGCAACUAAACAGAAAACAUAAUAUAAUUAAAACAAUGCUCACAUAAACCAAAAUAAUAAUAAAUUUAAAUAAUGGUAACCCCAUCUCAAGAUAUCGAUAUUCCAUUAAUAUUUUAUCUUUGGACAAAAUAUUAACUUCUAAGUGAUAUCUUGGCGCAGUAAUAAACACUGACAAUAAUAACAUGUCAAAAAAUAAAUUUUCCUUUGGACCAAUUUAUAAUUCACAUGUAAAAGCCGAAUAAUUAUCACAUGUUUAUUACCACAAGUGCACAUGUAAUUUCAUUAAAUAUUGACCUUCUUUUGGGCCGAUCAAUAUUCAUAAAAUUACUAGUACCCAACCAGUUAUAUUUUAAAAUAAAUUAAUUUUCAUAAUAGAGGUCACUUUGGUGGCAUAUUAUUUCCACUAAUUUAUUCCAAAAUAUAUAUAAUCAUACCAAUAUUCAAAUUUAAAAUUAUCCAAAAUAAAUGAAAAUUUUAAUCAAAGUCAACUUUGGUCAACUUUGGUCAAAACGUGGUCAAACAUGGUGAAAUCAAUUAAAUUGAAUCAUGACUUAUUAGACCAAAGGUCCAUAUCCAUAAUUUGACCCAAAAUUAUCAUUCAAGCCCAAAAUUUCUUGAAAUCCAUAAGUACUUUAUAAAAUUAUAUAUAUAAUGGGCCACAUAUAUGGAUUUUAUAGGGCUUAAAUGUCCUAUUUAACUUUAUUAGGGUUCAAUUAAAUUAAAGAACCUCUAAUUUUCUUAACAUAAAUAUAUUGAAAAACGGUGAAUUGGCCAAGCAAAAGUGCAAAACAUCGAAGCCAAUAACCAUGAUUUGACCAUCAUGGAACCUUGGUCCACAUUUGUUCACAAAUUCACACAACAAUCAUCAAAAGUAAAAGGCACGUGAAUGACAUAAGCAAACAAGAAGUCUGGAUUCAUUGGCCAUGCAUCAGAACAAAAGUGAUUGCAAAUCUAACAAUCCGUGAACUAAAAAUUGUUAACAUGAAAUAAAAUUAACUUGUCCAUAAUGGUGGAGGAAAGGACAAAACACUUCCCGUGGCCAGAGGACAAAUUAGAUUACAUCAUCACUUGAUUCAUGUUUUAAGUAAACAUAAGGUGAAAAUCGUAUGAAGACUUAUGUCUCAAAAGCAUUGAGAUUGUUGGAAGAAUUUGACCGAAGGCCAAAAGUAUCACAGUUCUGACCAUGAAUUUGACCGAAGACAAAAAACACAUAAAUUGCAUCAAACUAGCAGUUCAUGCCUAUUAACUUACGCAAGCACUCAUGAACAUAAAAAAUCGUAUGAAGACUCAUCCAACAUGGGACCAGAACCCACAGUUUUUUUUUUUUUUAAUGAAUCAGAGGCCGAAAAACCAAAAGGCAUGCGUGGGUUCUCAAUCAGCUGUCAGCAAUUAUAAAAGGGAUGCAAUUAUCAAACCAUCAGCAACCAAAGCUUGCAAAUCACUAAAUCAGCCGUACAAAUUUACUACAAAUUACUAAAUCCAAAUUAUUUCCUAAUAAUCAACCAUAUGGGCUCUGAUACCACUUGUUAGGGUGGUUAUCUAAAUCCAACCACUGGUGAAAACCAUCACCUUUAAACCCAAGAUCUGUAUGGCGAUUAUUAAGAAAUAAAUUAACUGUAAAAUAGCGGAAGCGUACCUGAAUCCAUAUUGAUAAACUUGAUACUUGAAUCCCUUAGAUAUUUGGGGUAGCCUUCCAGGUCAACAGGUAUUCACCAAUCCUUUGAGAGAGGCCUUUAGUUUCUCUCUGGUAUCUUUCCUGACGAUGGGAUAUCAGGGAAGGGCUGUUUUGUGGUAUUAGAAAAUACGACAACUAAAACGAUACCUGUGACCUGGGGACUAUAACCCUAUUUAUAGGCAACAUUCCUGUUAUCUUUUGGAACCCUAUUUCAGCCCAUCAUUGAAAUAGGAGCCCAUAAGUUUCUACACAUUAAAGGGCCCACAUCCUAUUAAAUACAUUAAACCCAAACUAUAUUUGAUCACUUUAAUUGGGUUUAACCUUAAUUGACAGUUUGCAAUACAUAAUUAUUCACAUAUAAGUCCAAUGUUGGAUUAAGGAUCCAACAACCAUCACUUCUUAUCACAUGUAUCCUGUGAGUUUCUACAAUGGCCGUAAAUAUGCAACAUAAUGCUGAGCAUAUUGUAGCUAAUGCAAUUCCAGUUGCUGAUGCAUACCUUCUUCCGACUGCCACUUUCAUACAAUUGUACACACUUUUAAAACCCAUCUUCGCUGCUUCAUAUAGCAACAUAAGGGUUGAAUCAGGAAACUUCAAUUUCCCAACCUUGUAAUUCAGGUGGCUUGCUUGCUCUACGAAGUAUGUGUUUCCUACGGAAGUAACUACAGAACAAAUUAUGCAGGUGAUCCAAACUGGAAGCAUACAGAUUCUGAUCCGUCUUUCUUGACUUUGAGUCCUGAAUCUGAUAAUAUCCCUGUCAGAGAACCUAAGCAAAGCAAGAGAACAGCAAAAAAUUCCUAUGGUCAGAAGUUUCAUUAUCUCUUACUUGAGAACAAAGAAAUAGAUCUGUAUUUGAUUUAUGGAACACCCGACACUCUAUUCCUUUUCAAGUGAAAGUUGAAAAACAGGGAAGAAGGGCAAAAAUUAAGACUAUGAUCAGGAAGAGGAAGAUGAAAAAGGAAGGAUGUGUGGGAUGAACCCAAGUCUGCUGCCCUGGUAUUCGCAUGAACCCUGAAUGAAAAGAAGUGUUGCCGCCAGUGUGAAAAUUGCUGGAAUUCCAAACCGAAGUUUCCAUGGCUGUAUGUAUGGGAGUGCAAUUAGUGCAAUAACUGCGACAAUGUGCACAAAGAUAACGCCUAAUGAUCUUAGGCCAGAUAUGCCGCUUCCGUUUCUUUGGUUCUGUCUCUUAACAAGCUCCAUCAUUGCUUCUACUGGUUUAAACUGAAGUUUUGAUAUAUCCUCUUCAGGUUGAGGGCUUUGUUGCCUGUUGCUUGUUUUAUCAACAACUUGACUCCCUUCAAGCUGAUCCAAUGCAAAUGCAGCUAAUGAGACAAUGUGCCCACCCACUCCAACAGCUGUCAACGCCAGACCUGUGUAAAAGAUAGCCUUCUGUGUGUGACCAAUGCAAUUAGGCUGGUAAUUAGCACAGGUGUGCGUUAACUUGUGCAGUGCUGGUGGCGUAGACAUUGAUAGAAAACCCAAGCCCUGCUCAUAAUUUUGGAUAAUCAGUUCAAGAAAGUCCGGUAAAACUGGAAGCUAUACUUCUAUCAAGUUAGGCCGUGAAAUUGAUGACUAAAUGGAAGGAGGGGAGGAAGAACUGUGAAUGAAUUUGCCGACAGGAGAACUUACAGAGGAAAAGGCUAUACUCGAGAGAAGCAGUAUCCAGUAGUUAUCCACUCCAAAGUCCCCAAAUAAGAAAAGAAUAAAAGGGACCAAUUUAGUUAGGCCAGUAUAUACAUUCAUUAUUCCUGCAGCAUGAGUAAACCCAACUUUCCAAACAUCUGUUAAGUACUUCUGCAUUAUCCACGUCACGUAAGUCUCCAACAAAUCAGCCCAUAUUAGAACUGUUAAGACAACAAAAAAAGGAGUUAGCAUUAAGUAGACAAGAAUGAUUGUUCAAGCAGAGGAAGUUAAAGAAUGACAAGGCCUUUGAUGACUCUGAGAUGAAUUAAAAGUACCCAUUAUUCUGACGAAUGCCAUUGAUUUUUCGAACUUCUCGUUGAAAUCCUGAGUGUGAGAAAAAUACUAUCAGAACAAGGGAAGCUGACGAUUAGAGCAGUUUCAGAACCAUAUGGUGGCCAUAGCAAGCUGAAAGAAACCAGAGUUAAUAGUUUGGAUUGAGGUUUUCUUUAAUUACCUCCAACUGCUAUGUGUGCUGCUGGUCUGCGAGGGAAAAAGAGAGACGGAGAAACUUCUCUGCAAUAAGUCGUUGUUAGAAAAUUGGUUUAAUUUCUUUUAAACAGAUUCCUAAUUCCUUGUUUUGUGUGAAAGUAACUAGAUUCCUAAUUGAUUUUAGUUACUUAAAGUAGUAGUUAAGGAAUUUCCUAUGUGUAUGAGUUUAGGAAAAGAAGUUAUUUCCUAUUCUAAAUCAGUGUAGGAAUUAGCAUUGAUUUCCUAUUGUUAUUUGGAUUUUGUCCAAAUAAUGUUCCUUAUAAAUAGGUGAGUUAGCAUACUACAUACAAGGGCACACAAGGGGCGACAUGUAGCCUUAUACAUGGGUGGUGAAAGAGGGUUCUUGGGAGAUGAGAGAUGAUAUGCAAGAAUUGGGUUUGGGUUCAAGUUGUAUUAUUGUAUAGAGUUUUUCUCUCAUAAUAAAGAACGAAUUUCUCUUCGUAGAUGUAAGUUUAAUGGUGGAGUCAAAUUAUGUUAAAUAUUAUGUGUCGUUUAUCUUUCAUACUUAUGGCAUUUUAUCAUUAAAUUGUUGUAUACUUGAUAUUCCAAUGGUUGUUUAUUCCGCACUUGAAUCCUAACAAGUGGUAUCAGAGCUUGAUUGUGAGACUGGGUUGCUCACAAGCACUUGAAUCCCAACCAACUAAAUGGUUGGAUCAAGAGUUUGGUUGUUCAAGGUUGGAUCCUGGUUAACUAUUGAGAUCAAGUAGAUUGGUGGUUGUUACCAAUUGAACAAUUUAAUGGGUGGUAUUCUUAUUUCAAGAGUUUGGUAAGAAACAUUGAAAGUGAAGAAUAGAAAGUCGAAAAGCAUGGAGAUACUUGAUAGUGAAUCUAUGCAGGUGAUUUAAGAGUCAAGAAAAAGAUGGAAUCCAAUGUCGAUUUUUUAACAUAAAUCGUUGGGUUGAUAUCUGCUUCGUAUGCUGUCUGUCCUUCAACUGUAUAUCUAUUAGUCUCCACUAGGGGUGAGCAAACGGUACAAAUUCGGUAAUUCGGUUAGCUGAAUUCGGUGAAUUCGGUUAUUUGACUUAUAGAAAUCAAAAAUACUUUCAAUUUUGAAUUGGUUAUAACCAAAUUCAUUUCGCAACGAUUUCGAAUUCGGAAAUGGUAAUGAAUUCGAUCUAACCGAAUUCAUUUAUAAAAAAAAAAAAACUGAUGAGAUAACUCUGUUAUGGUCCUGAAGGAAGUGAUUGUGUAAUUUUUAAUUUACAAAUUGGGGUUCCUAAAUUAUAAUACAUUCAUUAUGCUCCUCAAUGAUUUAAAACUUAUUACUGAUUUGAUCCUCGAAUUUAUUCAUAAUUUAACACAUUACUUAUGUUCUAAUCAUUUUGUGGUUUAAUUGGCAUUUAUUUGAUCACUUAUACCUAGAAUCCUUAGUCUAUGAUUUGAGGAACACAUAAAAAGUGAUUAAUUUAAACUAGAUUAAACCUUAGACUGUACAAUGAUUAAUGAUAAUUUAUGAAUUUAUAAUUUGCAAUGAUUAAUAAUAAGUAAUAUUAGUUACAAACUUACAAAUUACAAUGAUUAGUGAUAAGUUAUAUUAGUUACAAACUUAUAAUUUAUUUUAAAUCAAAAUAAAACUUAUUUACUUACAUAUGUUAUUGUGAAAGUCAAUACACUAAUACAUUGAUUUACAAUUCAUAUGCAUUCACUUACAUUACUUAGUUGUCUUGUCUAUACUUAAAACCUUAAGAUUAGUGAGUAGAGAAUAUGAAUUUUUAUGUUAAAUAUGUAAUGUAAAUUUAGAGCAUACUAAUACUUGCAAGUUACAGGUUACGCAUUCAAAUAUUCAAUAAUUCAAACAUGAAUGAUGUAUCAAAUUACCAAUAUCUAAAUUUCCAAUUACUAAUUAUGUUUAUUGUUUAAUAUUUAGUAUUAUACAUAUAUGUAUUAAUUAUUAUCUAAUUCUAGUCAUGUUACUCAUGUAUAAAAUAAUAAGUAUUAUAGUUAUGGUAUAUUGUUAUGUAUUACUAUAUAUUUGUAUUAUUAUAGUCAUAUAACAAUUAACAAAUACUAAAAUAUAUUGUACAUUAUUAUAAGUACAUGAUAAUACCAUGUACUAACUAUUAUUAAUAGCAUUUACCUAUAUAAUAUAAUAUUUUUUUUAGGGGUGUCCCGCAGGGAGUGGACCCGCAAGACUAUUCCCCACCCUCAACAACUUGCUGGCAGUAAGGUUCGAACCAGGGACCUAAGUCUCCAUCUUCAGCAACCUCAACCACCAGACCAAGCCCCUGAGGGCACCUAUAUAAUAUAAUAAUAUAUUAGUACUAUAUACUAAUACUAAAUAGCAUUUAUCUAUAUAUUAUAUAAUUUUAUAAAUUAAUUUGGUAUUCGAAUGUGGUAAUGCAUUUCAUUUUACCGAAUUUGAAUGCGAAAUCGGUUAUUACCAAAUUCAUAAUCUCAUUACCUAUUUCAUAUCAUAUUAGAAUUCGGUGAAUUCGGUACCGAAUUUGUAUCAAAUUACCUAAUACCCGAUUUCAAAUUACCAAAUUGCAUUUGAAUUCGGUAUGUACCGAAUUUGCUCACCCCACUCUCCACUGUCUUAUUGCAGCUUUGCUCAUGACUAUCUUGACUCUGUGGCCUCAUCUACAGCUGCACUUCCUUUCCUUCAAAGCCCAUCCUUCUAUUGUUUCAAAUGACACAACAUCGUAGCGUUGGAUAAUUUUAUAUGCGCUCAUAGUUCACAAAUUUGAUACAUUGAAAUUUGAGACCACCAACUGUGUGGCUCCAAAUUUGAACUUUUAUUGGGCUGGUCCAGUUUGCUUAGUAAACAGAAAGUUCGCCUCUCGCGAUUUACAAUCCAUCUAUUUGUCUAUUAUCAGCUAGGAAAAAUGACUUGUCUCGUCCUUUAUAUUUUGGUGAAAAAUUAAUUUUAUUGUUUACUUUUAAUAUAAAGUAAAUUAGUCCCUCAUAUUUUAAAGUGAACCAAGUUAGUCUCAAAAUAACCUGAUAUAGUCAUAUGGAUCUUACACUUAAUCAACAUAAAAAGAAAAUAAAUUUAAAAUUAUAACAUAAAUUACAAUCCAUUUUUUCUAAAAAAAAUUAAAAAUUUUAAGAAAAUGACAUUAAGCUAACGUAGAAAGGAAAAAAAAUUAAAAUUCAUAUCAUAAAAGAAACCCCCAAGUUACAAAGUUUUAUAACUAAAAAAUUUUUAACUUUUUUUUAUAGAGAAUGGUUUGUUUUAGAUGUUAUAAUUUUUAAGUUUUCUCUUUUUUAGAGAGAAUAGUUUGUUUCAGGUGUUAUAAUUUUAGUUUCUUAAGAGAUAAUUGUUUAUUUUUUAUGUUACAAUUUUUAAUUUUUCCCUUUUUAUGUUGACUUAAUAAAAUUUCCUAAUGAAGUUUUAAUUUUUAAUUUUUUAAAAGAAAAGGGUUUUUUUGUUAUAAUUUUUAAUUUAUUUCAUUUUUUAUAUUGACUUAAUCACAUGUGCAUAUCAAACAUAGUUAGAUUUGGAAGAAAUUAAAGUGACUGUUUCAAUUUCACCCGUAAAAUCUAUAUCAGGUUGUCAUUUUGGGACUAACUUGCUUCAUUUUUAAAUAUGAGAAACUAAUUUGAUUCAUUUUAAAAAUGUAGAACAAAAAACAUUUUUUCCAAGAUGUGAUGAUUGAAAUUCAUCAGACCAUCAUAUUGACUUAGAAGAAAAUAAGAUGAAGGCAAAAGGUUAAUUGAUGAUUGAAGUUCACUAUAUUAUUGAAUGAAGACGGAAAAAAAAAGAAGAAAAAGUGGUUACGGAAAUGAAGGCAAAGCUGAAAACAGAAAAGAGCCCCAAUAUGCUCUGGAAUAUGAGGUGCGAUUUGGGGAGAAGGGGUUUUUGUCGAUGGUGUAGACAAUAUGCGUUUCCUUUUUUACCCACAAAUAAAGAGCAAGAUUAUACCACUCUUUCCACCCAAAAAAAAAAAAAAAAAGAAAAGAGAAACCACAUACACAGACACUCAAUUUUAUUUUAUUUUUACAGUCCUAAUGAAACUUUUAAUAACUGCCAAUAGCUUACUAUCUUCGAAAAAGCUUAGUAUCUUCUGAAAAAAAGGAAAAAAAACUCUCAUUUAUAGGCCUCAUAAAACCCUCCAAUACUUGCCAAUUGCCAUUGCUUUUUUUUUUUUUUUGUGUUAAAGGUUUUCUUCCCACUACAGCAAGUGGUUCUUGGAUGAACCCAAAUUUUGUAGGAGGCAAGAGGCUUGGGCCAAGAUAGGACUCGUAUAAGGACUUAAUGGGCAACACUUCUGUAGGUGAUUGGAGUGAUGGCUAAUAGAAUGACAAUCGCCAACUAAUCAUUGCUGUGUGAAAAAUGUCCUUUCCGCUUUAGUAUUAUACUAGUCUGGGGGCUGCGCCAUCCGCAGGGUAGGCAAAUGUAACCCCUGUUAAUAAUUUGUGUUUGUCUAGUAAUAUUUUGUAAAGUUUGUUUUGUAAAUAUUGAUGUAGGAAAUAAUUUUAUAAUAUGUAAAAUAAUUGUGAGCUAGUUAUUUUUGAAAAUUUAGAGAACAAUGCAACCAAGUAAAUAUAACAUACAUGUUGAAUGAAGGGAAAGAUAAAUGGCAUAACUGGAAAAUAAGGCACAACUAAGGCUAAACUAAUACACAUGAACAGCUAAGGUGUCCCAUCUCUGCGGCAACAAUGAUGCAAAAUAAAGAGGAACAAAGAACAAAUAAAAUUACAAAGGAAUCAACCAACUAUAGCAUGCAUCUUCUAGCGUCCUGAGUAAGGGAGAAACAGCAAAUGGCAUUACCAAAAAAUAAGGAACUAACUAAGGCUAAUGCUAAUCACAUGAGGAACUAUCAGGGAACCGAUGCAAAUGGACCGCAAUAGCCCAAAAAUAUCAAUCAAUACCGAAAUAACCAACGGAUACACUUUUACUGUUCAUUCAGCCAACUCUCACUUUUAUAUAGUUAGAUAGAUUAGAUUAGAUUUAGAGAAUUGUUAACGGCACUCUAUCUUUUUUGCUAGUGACAUUUCCAUUAUUAUUUUUAACAUAUGAUAUUUAUUUAUUAGACUAUAUGAUAAGUAAAAGAUGGGAAUGCGAUUAACAAAUAGUGAAGUGUGUUAAUAUUUCCCUUGUAUUUAACGGAUAACUAGAGUUUAAUACAUUAAACUUUGUCGUGCUUUAUGAGUAGUGACCUUUAAAUGUAGAAAAAAAUGUAUUGUUCUUUAGUACACUUAGUGAUGAUUAGAAAGAUAAAAACUUAGUGCUAAUAUGUAUUUUUAGUGAUAUUGUACAUAAAAGCGUGUUAAGGCAAAUUCUUAAAUUUUAGUUUCAUGGACAUAUACCCACAUUACUUUACUUCAAUCAAAAUUACAUAAUCAUCAAUCAUCACAAUCAACGCACUUUCAAAUACAAUUUGCAAGAGAAAUUUUUUUCCCCAUAAAUUUCUUAAUAAACUGUGUCAAGGGCAAAAUUUUUGAAUUUAACGGAAGAUAUUUCUUUCUUGUUAUAUGAGAUAAAUGUACUUGAUAAAUUUCUUUUUUUAUAUUAUUGAAAGGAUCUAUCACAUUUGAGAUCAAGUGAAGGUGUGUAUUUUAUUUUAUAUGUGUUUAACUUAGCCAAAGAGUCUCUUUCUUGAGUAAUUUAGUACAGUCAAUUUGUUCAAAAUGACAUCAUAUUUAUAUUAUGGAGUUAUAUAUGACUGUAGACAAUGGAAUUUUAAUUAAAUUCUAAAAAUUACCAUUGGUCUAUAAAAUAUUUUUAUCCAAUCGGAUAUUGCCAUAUGGCAUGUACACUUGGAAAGUUUGGUUAUUAAAUAGCCAAUUAUAUUCCUCCACGUGUCAAGUUGAGGUGUUCCAAACCAAUUCAAAUCGCAGGGGUAUCUUCACCAACCAAAUCAUAUCAUAUCACAUACCUAUUGGAUAAAUAUCUAAGUAUUUAUUUCUUAUUAAAGGGAUAAUAUUUAGAGUUAUUUAAUCCAAGUAUAUCUCUUAUAUACUGCAAUGGCCUGGCCAGUAAAAUAGCGCCACGUCACGUGUCCCCGCAAGUCUAGCCAAUCGAGAAAUUACUUAUCUCUUUAUUAAUGAAGAGAUAAUAUUUAACUAGCACAGUCCUAAUAUGACUGUACGUCUUGCUAGGCAAGUAGAGUGGUGUACAUGAUUUCAACCUCCACCUCUUGCUACAACUAUAAAUAGAGGUCUCUCAACCAAGUUAAGGGGACACAGAGAUAUCAAGAAGCAUCUCAUACACUCAAGUAUUGAAGCUUCAAGCUACGAAGGUCUGGGUCUCAAAGCUCCUCAAGUCUUCCGCAUAUCAAGGCUUGAGCCUUCAAGUAUUUUCAAAUCCUUCAAAUCUUCCAUAUCAAGAUUUGAAGGAGUCGGUGGUUGAUCCAAGAACAAGCUGCGAAGCCCUUGGAUUGGUGUUCGAGGAGAAGAAUCGAAGGAAGCUCUCCAUAAGUUCGAGAAAACCCCAGAGAUUGUACCUACAUAUUUUUCUAAAUUUAUAUAUCAUACAUUUGUCGUGUAUUUUUCGUGUCGUUUUGCAGACUUGAAAUUUUUAUCGCGUACAAUGACAUGUUGCGAAAAGAAAAGAAAAAGUUGGCUAGUAACAUCUUGAAAACAUAGAAUGUAAAAGAAAAGGCCAUAAAUAAAAUACUUUGUUUUGUUGUGAAACUAUAUCUAAUCUCUGUUAGCAUUCAUCAACUUUAGAAUAACGUAGCUUGGAAUUUAAAAUGGUGCUAUUAAAAUCAUGUUAACACUUUGAAUAAAUUAUAAAUGAGCUCCCCUAUUGUUUAAUGCUCGUUUGUAUAAUCCUUUACUAGUUACAAAAUCAAUAAAUGACCUCCACUACUUGAGCUGCUGGAAGUCAUCCCCUGCAAAGAAGUCACUGAAAAUGUCAAGGCUACCCCAUUAAAAGGCGCCACAAAAAUUCUGAAGGUCUCUAUUUUCUUCCAUUGGCUUCUUAGUUUCUACUUUCUAUUACAAAGGUAUUAGGGAGGACAACUUCCAAUAGUUUGAUACUUUCGAAGGGUCUACGUGUAACUUUUGAAACAUAAGAGAUCGUGUGAUAAACUUUAAAUUGCAGUGAUUUAAAAAGGUAGGUUCCAUUAGUUUGAUACUUUCAAGGGGGUUGCACGUAAUUUUUUGAAAUAUAAGAAAAUCAUGUGAAAAAACACUAAAUUAUAGAUCAUUAAAAAAAUUUACCCCUAAUUCUUUCUAAUAUGGUAAAUACACAUUGAAUCAUUCCAUAAGCUCUUACACAUGCACUGAAAGAAAAAGGGGGCAAGGUGGAGAGGAAAUUUAAUGACACAAAACCCCCUAAUGUUUUGCGGUAUUAACACUUUCCUACCCAUGACAAAGAGAUUCUAUGCUCUGCUAUUAUAACUUUUGAAACACACACAACAAUUGCUGAUUAUGUCAACUGGUUAGUUUUACAUAUUAUCGUCUCUUGAAUGAAAACAAAGAAGAUGCUUGAGAUUAGGACAAAUGGGAAGAACUCCAGCUUAUGUAAUGUUAAGCAGACUGUAAAUUGACCAUUUCAUUUGCGCCUCACAACAUCUGUUUCUGAUUGUUGGGACUUCAGUUGUGGAAAAAAUCUAAGAGGGUUGUCGGAAUAGUGGUCUGACCCAAGAGGCACGAGAAACUAGGGCUAUCGAUCGAGCCUAAUGAGUCGGAUUUUCAUGAGCUUGAGUUCAACUCAUUUAAUUUAUAAUAUUUUUGGUCUUCGAGCUAUAAGUUUCGGGUUAAUAUAUGUGAAAUUCAUAUUUAACUCACAUAAUAUUCGGACUAUAAGCCUUAUUUAGGUUUAACCCAAGCUCACUUAUUACCUUAAUUUUCUAUCUUAAUAUAAUUACUAUAACUAUUAAGUUGUAAAACUAAUUUAACAUUUACAAGACUAUAAUAUUAAAACUAAGCACGAACAAAUAAUAAUUCUUCAAAAGUACAUAAACCAAAAAAUUUUCAACAAUAUUUAUAUUUAAUUCAUUCAAAAUACAUGAAAAAUAGUAAUAAAACAUGCGGUCAUAAGCCAAUACAUCUUUGAAAGUUGAAACUUUUUUAUAAUCUUGUGAUUUGAAUCCAAACAUGCUUGAUGAUUUGUGUUUCUAGAACAUAAAGAAAUCAACUAAUAUUAUACCAAUACAAAAAUUUACUAAACCAAUAAGAAAGGUAGAGAUUCAGUUAUGCAUUAUUAAUAUUGGCUCUGAAGAAAGCUCAUAGAAGAGUCUUCAGAUGUAUUUUUGUAAUUUGUAAUUUAUAUAUAUUUAGUAUUUAGUAAAAUUAUAUUUGGAUAUAUAAUUAUACAUAAUAUCAAAAUAUAAAUAUUAUAUAUAUAGGUAAGUAAAGGGUCGGGCCUAUAUCGGGUUUGAGCCUAUUGAGACCUAAAUUCGACUCAUAUUUAAUUCGAGCCUAAUUUUUAGGCUCAAUCUCAUACCGGCUCACUAAAAGGUCGGGCUAAUUGGACUUUUUGUCAAGCCGAACAAGCCGCGCACGGGCUGGCCCAGCCCCAUUGACAGUCCUACAAGAAACCAUUGUCCUUAAGGAUAAAAAUGUACCCAAAUAAUAAUAAUAAUAAUAAAUAAAAGGAAAAUGACAAUCUACUUUGACUACUUUGUUCUGCCCAUUUUCUAGUUCUUGAGAAAUAAAACGAGGACAUAUUUAUAUUUGGAAGUUUUCAAGCACAUCAAACUUAAAGGAAUUUAACAACUCAUAUAAAGGCUGUACUAUUACUUCAAAUCCUUUUCUAAUGUUAUUGAGGAUAUUUGUGUGACAUCAAUGUUUCGGUUUUAUAUUAAACAGAGAAACUUAUUGUAUUGAAUUUUCUUAUGAAACAGACUUGGAUUAGGAAGACGCUACAUAAAUGUUAAUUUGUAAAAGAGAAAAGUAAACUGAACAAGAAAUCUCAAAAACAAGAAAGCUGGUUUUAUCUCAAAAAAGAAAUGCAAAAGAAAUUUGUGUUAGGAAAUAUUCAUGAUUCUAAACUUCUAUGAACCCAACUAUAAUGAUGCGAGAAUGGAUCAAACAUCUAUUAAGUUGUAUGACAGCAUUAUGGGAAGACUUUUAAAGCAAAAUUGAAGGAAAAUUUCUUGAAUGGGUUUAUACAGGAAUGGGAGGCAGUUUUGAGGAUAAUAUUAGUUAUUUAGUCUAACUAAGUUCGACUCAAGAAAGAAAUGUGUUGUCAUUAUUAUGGCUGCCAGUGAGAUUCAAUAACAUAAUUGUGAUUGGUAACCUCUGUUUUGAAACUCGGACCGGACCGGCCGGUCGAACCGGGAACCGAUCAAGUGUCCGGUCCGAGUCAUGGUAGAAAACCGGAAAUUUAAAGCCCGGUCAAAGACGGUCAAAAAUCGGGUUUGACCGGGAAAAAACCGAUUUUUCCGGUUCAAUGGUUUCAUGUGGCCGAGACUAGUUAGUCAGCAGUCAGCACCUCGAUAAUCUAUAAAGGUGAGCGUUUAAGGUGGGACCUACGUGUCCUCGUCUCGCAGGCACCAGCUAAUUGUUAGACAAACCUGUUGUCACUUGUCAUCAGCUCAGUUUUUCUCAAUUGGCGCUAACACUACCACUGUUCGGUAGGAAUAGCAACGGGCAAAAAAAACUCAAUUUUUUCAAUAUUAUGUUUUGACCCCCUAAAUUGUUAAAACUUAUUAAUAUAUCUCAAAUAUUUCAUACUUUAUAAAUAUUGUCCUAAAAUUUGAUGUUAUUUUUCAAUUAAACUCAUAAUUUUAAUUCUAAACUUGUUAAUAUUUAUUAAAUAACAUAAAUUGCUACUUGAUUGUUCUAAUUUUUUUGUAUUUUCUUGUUAAAUAUAUUUGAAACAUCAAAUAUAUAUGAAUAUACCUUUAUUAAUAUUAAUAUAUUAUUAGAUAUUUUAUAUAUAAUAUUUUAAUUUUUAAAUAAUUUUUAUUUAUGACGUCAUCCGGUUCGACCCCUAUCGACCCCCGGUCGAACCCAUUGACCCCUGACCCCUGAUCUCGGCCGAGUCGAUAUCCGGUCCGGUUCUGAAAACAUAGUUGGUAACUCCAUUUGUAUCUCACUCCAUUCUUUCCUUUUGUUCUGACAUUGGUCAAAGGCACUAAGAAUUUUACACUUCAAUAAUAGUGCAAAUGUAUUCAUGCUUAAGUGAUUGGGAGAUGGAUAAUCUUCCUAUGGAAACUAAGAUUUACUUCUUUUUUUUUGGGGUCAUUUCUGGUGAGGGCUUCAGAAGACUACCCUGUUGAGGAUAUUGUUUGUUGAAUAUUGUUUUUGGUUUAAUUGGGUUUCCUUGGUUUGGCAUAGUAUAGUCAGUUAGAUAGGAAGCUCCAAAUUCAUAUAUUUGCAUAGGAAAACUCAGGCGAAGCUAAAAUUAAUAAUUUGAGAUUCUCCAAUUGCGUUCUCAAGUACAUGCAAGUCGAAGUUCCAAAUUCAAACUUUCCUUUGCUUCUCCAGUAGAACCAAUUUCGAAUUCCAAUCUCACAAUAUUCGCCCUUUAUCAUGAUCAUGAUACGGCCUUUUUUCUUAUGCAAUUCAAAGUUUUUUUUUUUAGCUUUACUCUUCACAGAAUCUUGAUUUAUGCCCUUUUAACACCACCAAUUUAUUGCCCCAUUUUCUCAUUUCAAUAAUGGUCGCCCGAGAAGUUGUAGGAAUGGUAAACCGGUGAUGAAAUGGAAAGUAAUGAAGAAAUCAUUUUUCCAUAUACAAGAUUUAAGUGGUUCAAAUUCGAGGAGUUUUUUUAAAGUAGCAACAGACAAUCUACUGACUCUAAAGAGAAACAGGCCUUUGUUUUGCUUAAUUUGUUGGUUGUCUUGGACCUUUCCCUUGAAAGGAACGAUCCUAAUUUUCACCACUAAAUAUUUUGCUUGUAAUAUGAGCACGAGUUUAAAUGGCGUCAUGAUCACAGGAGAUUGUCUAAGCCCGAAUGAAGACUUCAGAAUGUGGAGAUUGAAUUAAUUCAUACGAUUACUGAAGGUUUUUCAGAAGAAAUGCUGGUUUUUAAAGUAUGGAUUAUUGAAGUUCCUAACAAGAAAAGCGUGGUUUUUCCACAAUAAUACAAGUCUCAGCCAUUUCUCCUUCCUCGACCAGAGUCAUCAAAUCAAGAUUUUUAUUAUUUUUUUUAAAUAAAGGAAGGUUUUUUGCAGUCGGGAACUGGUAAACUUAUCUAGACUAGAAUAAGUGGUUAUGAAGAAAAGAGCAUUGAUAAUUAGUCUGCAUAGAAAUGGAACGCUUCCUCGACAAACUUUAGAUGCCUUUGCAUUUGCAUUUUCACUUCUCAAUUAUUGUAACUUUAGAUGCUUUUCAAUCAUUGUUUUUGCUUGGGCCUUCAUCAUUUUUUUUUUUUUUGGUUGUUGGAAAAUAUAUGAAUGGUUGUUCCACCUAAGAUAUGUCCACAACAAUGAAAUUAUAACAAAAAAAACGAGAAUUACGUGAAAUUGUUGUUUUGGCAACUUUUAUCUAAUUGGUAAGUCAUAUUAACUUAAUAUUUUUGACAUUUAUAUGUCACAAACCUUACAAAUUUGGAUGCUUUUGCAUUGGCAUUUUCACUUUAACUUUCUCAACCAUCGUUGUUUUCUGAUUGAAUGCUGGGGCCUUCAACUUUUUUGAUUGUGGACAAUAUCUCAAUGAUUGUUGCAUUCGCGAAGGACAAUUAUUAAUUUCCAAGUUAAAAUUGUUAAAAGCAAAAUAAGAACUAUAAUUGCUCUUUGGAAACAUUAAUUUCAUUAGUUUAUCCUUGGAAAAUGAACUUGAAAUAUACUUUGGUCUUAAUUAUUGGUCCUCAAGAACUCGAAUUAAAAUAGACAUCUUAUUUUCUUUGGUUUUCUCAAGAGUUGGGGGCGACAAACCUUAUUUGGAUUGUAUAUAUGAAAUUAAUUGACUCGACAAUUUUACAUUGAGUAUUUUCAUUAGCCAAAAACUAAGUUAUGUUUUGCAAACAUAUAUGUUAUGUUUUGCUUUUUGGCUCAAUAAUCAGGCUUGUUAUUUUAAAUUAACAAAUAAUUAUUAGGCCUUCUAAAUGAUUAUAAUGGGGCGGAUUUGUCCAAAAAGCUCCCCUGCCCCCGCCCCGAUACCUCGCCACCCUUACUCGCGCCCCAAACCCACUCCAACUUCUAUGAUUUCUUGGCCGAAGGACACAUAUCAUGUUUGUCAAAGAAGUCCAACUGCCAAUUCAGGCCGACUGGCAAGAAAAACGCUCUAUCAAUUUGAUUCUAGCCCAAGCCCCAGUAAACCAAGAAAAGUAGAUAGCCAUUGGUGUUCACCCAGUGAAAUGCAAAAUCGGAUCCUGGAAAAUCUGAAAGAAGAAGAAACAAUGAUUCCAUUGCUUAAACCUCAAAGCGAUUUUCUGUGCUCAGACAUACUAUGGUAUAAAGCUUCAUUUCUUUUACAUAAAAGUCAUUAUUUUCCUUUGUUAGCAAAUCAGCAAUAAAACUGAACUCUCCCUCCAAGAUGCCUUUACACAUUGGCAAUUCCAGCUAUACAUAUGGCGGCUGGUCCUGAAGAAGUCGAAUAAUACAAAUUGAAUGCCACGAAUUGCUGAUCCCAAUACGCAUGAAAGAUGAAUUAGAUGGCAAUCUGAGGCAAAUGAAUACGCUACCAGCUACAUGUAAGGCGGUGAAAUUGGAUAGAAAUUUCAACCCAUAGAACCAACUAGCACAAGUAGCAGAAAUAUGAUGAAGGAAGCUGGACUGCGACACACACUUAAUAAGCAUCACAUAAUCUAAUUCUUAAAAACUCUUGCAAAAUGGCAAACCCAAGAAAAUCUUGUGCAAAAUAAGGCGUGACAGUCUGAUUGAUGCGAUACCAAAGUGAGUUUAUCAUUGCGAUUCAACCAGGAACUUGACAUUAGUUUCAUUAAGUUAGCAGAGAAGAUAAUGAAGACUGAAGAGCAGAGCCAAUCGAAACUCUUAAAAUUGAGAACUAUAGGUCAAGGCUUCAUUAAACAGGUGAUUGGAAAUGGACAGAAAACCAACUUUUGGUGUGAUCGAUGGCACCCUCUGAGAACUUGCUUUUCUGCACUUCUCUGAGAACUUGCUUGCUGGCUUCAAUCCAUCGAAGUCUGAUCCUGCAGCAAAAUGUUUCUGUGACGGUGCUUGGAAAUGGCCUAGUGGGAGGAAGUCUAAUGUGGAAGUUAGAAGGCUUCGACAGCUCACUUCUUGUCAACCAGCUCUUAAUCCAAAGGAGAGAGAUGUCGCUGUGUGGGCACCCUGCAACUCAGGCGUGUAUAAUGUCAAGUCUGCUUUACAAAUUCUUAGGCUUGCAUCACCUGAAGUCCCCAGGUACAUGCUGGUAUUGGGACAAGGGAUAAAUCCCUAAGUUCUCUUUUAUUCCAUGGGUGCUGUGUAGAAAAAGGCUGAACACUAAAGACAGAAUGAGGAAAUGUGGUUCUUUUGCAUGCUCUGUAUCAGCAGCGGUGUGGAGUAAAGUUCUGUCCAUGUGCCUGUCCCCUAGGAGGCCCCAACUGUGGUCUUCAGAACUGUCCUGGAUAUGUGAACAUUGGAAAUCCCCUUCGCUCAUUGACAGGUUUCGCAGAACAGCCUUGGCUGUCUCAACAUACUACAUCUGCAAAGCAAGAAAUCUGGUGAUCUUCCAAUAGGAAACAGUAACCUCCACGGGUAUAGUUGCCGAAAUUAUAGAUACUUCUAGACACUAGUAAUAGUUCACGUGCUUUGCACGUUAUUGUAAUAUCUUAAAAUGUAUUAUUCUUUAGAUACUAAAACUUUUUUAUGAAAUUUUGAUCACCAACAUCAUAAUAAUAAUAUUUUUAUAUUAUUUAUUUUUUUAAGCUAGUUACUUUUAAAAUUUUUAUUAAAUGAAAAGAGACAGAAAACAUUCCAAUGUAGUUGACAUAUCGUUUAGGAUUAAAUUUGAAAUUAUGACCCAAACACUUUUUAAUUUAUAACUUGAACUCUAACAUAUCAAAUAUUGAUAAUAUCAUGUUUUACCAAAAUUAUUGUAUAUUCAUGAUUCUAUUGCAUAUAAACUACAAUCAUCACAAUUGUUUAUAAAUGAAGAAUAUAAUUAAGUUAGAAAAUUAAACAUACAUGUAAUUUGAAUUCUUUGUAUUAUAUUAAUUUAGAGGUGGCAAUUUGUCCCAAGUCCCAAUGGGUUACCCAUGCCCAUGGGGACUUUGGGCGGGAUGGGUACUGAAAUUUGAUAUUGGGUUUAAAAUGGGACAAAUCCCAAUUGUACCCAUUAAUUGAUGGGAAAUCUUGGGAACUACUUGGGUACCCAUUGGGCUCAAAAAGCAAGGGCUCCGUUUGGAUUAGUUAUUUUUGGGGGGUGUUUUUGAAAUAUUUUAUUGUAGUAGUGUAUAUGAAAAAUUUUUACUAUAAAUUUUUUUUUUGAAAUAUUUGAUAUACUAAUAUAGAUGGGAUAUUUUUUGAAUUAUUGUAUAUUACUGUAAUAUUGUAUUUGAAAAACUUAUUUUUUGAAAAAAUAGCCAAUCCAAACGGAGUCUUAGAUUCAAAAAUUAUCUUUAACAAUUUUUAUAGUCAUACUAACGAAUAUAAUCUAGUAGUCUUCCUAGUCAAUAUCCACAAGAAUUUCCAGCAUUUCAGUCAAUUUAGACCUGUCAUCCUUGGACAAUGAUGAGAAUAAAUAUUCAACACCCUGAGUACCUUGACCAUCUUGAUAUAUGUUGGAAUAUGGUUGUAUAUCUAUUUUUUCCUUUAUUUGUUAAUCCAAUUUUUGGCGGGAAUCUUGAGUAUAAAGUACUUGCAUGUUUAUUUAAUAAAACUAAAAGAAAUUUAAUAAAUAAAAAAUAUUAAAUUUAUAUAAAAAAUAAAAAAUGAAUUAAAGGAAAAAAAAUAGGUAGAAAAUAGAUUUGGGUAUUGGGCGGGAUCAAUCUAAACCCAUCCCAAAGUGAUCCCGCCCAAGUUAGUCCCAAAACACGUAUGGGUAAGGUUGGGCCCAAACCCAUAUGACUCGAUUCCAUCUCAAACCCAAUCAAAUCCCGCCCAUCCCGCCCAUUUUGCCACCUCUAUAUUAAUUCUAUUUUUGUCAAUAAUGGAGUCAAAAUGAUCCACCACGUAAAGUUUUUUUGGUUUGUACAUUCUAACAAUUGAAAUUUUAUAGAUAGAGAUAGUUGAAGUUUUUUCUAUUUUGCUUUUCUUUUAUUCAUGUUUUUAGCACAAUCCAAUGCGAAACAAAAGCAACAAGUCUACUUUUUUCAUAUAAGCACAAUAUUUUUGGUUUUAGUAUUAGUUUUUUCUAUGAUCAUGGAAUUGGAAUGAGAAUUGUGACCAAUUAAUAAUUUUAAUAUUAAUUUUUUGGUGUUUUAUUUUUUAAUUGCCAACUUUUAAUCCAUAACCGCUAUCAUUAUUAUCAAUUAUUGGAAUGCACUAAAUAUGUCUAAUUACAAUUGUCACCAUAAAUGAAAUUUACUUAAUUUUAAAGCUUUUCAUUUCAUAACCGCUUCCAUUAUUCACUAAUAUUGCAAUACAAUAAAUAUAUGUAAUCAUUAGAAAAAUAAGGGUAGUUUGAACAUCACCAAAAACAAUUUGGAUAUCAUUUCCAUUUUAUCAUUCUUCAUUUUAAAUUUACCCUUAUUAUAAUUCUUAUUUUAUCAUUAGGGAUGACUUCUGACUUGAUGGAUGGACUUGGUUUGCUCAAACCAAUAUUGUUUGUCUUCCCCGAGAUCAGAGUCAUUUUGAUGUUGUCUUUGGUAUUAUUUGAAUUGUAUUCUAGUUUUUUAAUUCAUUUGCUAUUUACUUUAUGUCAUUUUAUAAAUAGUUUACAAUUUUUUUUCAAUUUUUUUUGAUCGGUUGCUAUUAAUGAUGAUAGUGGUUUGUAUGGUUCUAUUUUAGAUUUUUUUCCAGUUUAAUACUACUAUUUUAGUUAUAAAGGAGUCAUCAAUUUUUGUAUAUUGAAAUUCCAUUGGGUGCAACAUAAAAAAUUCUUCAUAUUGGUAAAAAGAGCAUAAUUGUAAAAUUUACUCGUGAUAUAUGUAUGAAGACAUACAGAUGAAUAAGGGUUCACUUGUCCUUAUAUGUUUCUCCAUUUUCUAGAGAGUAUCUAUUUUUUGAGAUUGAUUUUUCUUCUUACAAUGACAACUAAUGACUCAUGAGAAAUUUUUCAUGCUUCAAUUAAGAAAUUUUGAUAUGUAUAAUAAUUGGGAAUGGAGUCCAAGAGUAGAUAAAUAGUUUUUAAUGAGCAAUUUUUAAUUCUAAUUACCAAUACUAUUAAAAUGUAAUUAAUUGGAGUGUUUUAUUUCUUGUAAUUAGUGCCAUAUUAAAAUACAAUAAUUCUAAUUAAAAGACAUGAGGGUAAUUUAGGGAUAACAAAAACUAAGAUAAAACCGUGCUUACACUUGCACUCCCUAAAACCAACAUUCAUACUUUUUAUAUAGUAAUGACAAUUAUUCUAAUUACCAAUACUAUUGAAAUGUAAUCAAUUGGAGUGUUUUAUUUUUUUUAAUUAGUGCCAUAUUAAAAUGCAAUAAUUCUAAUUAAAAGACAUGAGGGUAAUUUAGGGAUAACAAAAACUAAGAUAAAAAAGUGCUUACACUUGCACUUCCUAAAACCAACAUUCAUACUUUUUAUAUAGUGAUGAUAUUGGUGUUUCAUGGAGAUGGGUGCCACAGACUCACAACAACUGAUUAUUGAGUGGGGAAUCUCGGAUAAAUGCUUUGAGUAUAUAGCUGAUGUAAAGGUGGACUUUGCCACUGUGUAAGUACUGAUCCUUUCUAUCAAUAAAAAUGAACAAGUUUUGCUCCAAAAAAAAAAAAAGAAAACAAAAGAGCCAAUCCAUACAACCAAAGAGAUGCAGAGACUAUGAAGGUGCUCAAUUAGAAAGUAGGAGGAAAACUAAUAGUUGUUGUUGUAAUUGCAACUUUACAUAUCAUCUGAACAUCAGAUUAUGUCUAGAAAAGGGAAGCACGAAAAAUGUAGAUAUCUCUGGUCAAUAGUUAAAGAUACUACAACAGUUUUUGGCAACUAAGUAGAAGCUAAUUUCAGAAACGAUGAGUCUGAGACAGAAUAGCAAAUUCACUACAAUAAUCAGUGAAUUAUUAGUACUGCCACAAAUCAUGACUAAAACUGCUAUAGCUGAUUGACAGUUUGAAGGCACCAUAUUUGCAACAAGAAAUCAAGAAGCUUUGGCCAGCAGAGACAAAGGAAGUGAAAAAGGCAGUGCCAUGAUGAAAUUCAAGAAAGGAUUAUCCAAAGAAAAGGCGGUAAUUAGGAGCCGUCAAAAUGUCUGUCUGAGCUUUAAGCCUACUGUCACUGCAAAACAGAAAUACUAGAAUCGGGACACCACAUAGCAAAUCAUAAGGCUUAACUGGAAAUUGCAUGACAUUAAUGUUUAGCAAUUAUUCAGAAAGCUAAUUCAGUAUUUUUUUUUUCGCUGUUCUUUUCUAACCUAAAUUAGUAAGCAGAUAUCAAAUCUUCCUGCUCAGUCUACAAGUACCAGUAGUGCCAUAGACAUUACACCCGUUUGUGUUUGAAACACUGAGAAAAGUGUUGUUCUAUAACAAUAUAGUUAUAAUAUGCGGCACCAACAAGAAUGAAAGGCAGAGACAGGUCCAGACAGAGUUGCCAUGAAUGCGAACUCUUUCAGACCUGCAAGAUACAAACGUCUUAAACAUGACAAUUUUUUAAGGUUUUAGUUAACUCAUUGCAUAUUGAAGUGGUUAAAACCCAACUAUUAAGUAGUGGAAGAAGAUUAUCGGUACUGUAAAUUAUCAAACCACUAAUUUCACAACCAAGGGCAGUGAGAGUUCCCUCAAUUGUCCGUUCCGAUUUAUACCGAGGAGAAUCAGUAGAAUCCCAUCAUUCAAGAGACACGAUAGAGAAUGCCAAUAACCGGGUAAUUUGGAGCAAGAUGACAAUUACAUAUUCAAGAGGUGAAAGUUUAGAGCAAGCAUUUCCACUUGCUCCCUUCAGCAAUCAUAGCGUACAACUGGAAGCAGCAGACAUCUGGUAAAAGUAAACUGCUAGUUUUUAUUUAAAACAAAGAAUUUUGUACCGUAGACGUAAAUACAAAAAAGUUCUCAGCUUUGACAUUGUGCUUGAUUCUCCACAUCAAAAAAUCUGCUCUUGAAUAUCUGUAUUCCAUAAUUGAAUUUUAUAUGUGGUUAGUGACAGUGUUUUCUUCCCUGAACAAAGCAUUCAACAAACUAAAGUUUAACAGUUGCAUAAUUUCCCAAAUUGCCAAUUUACUUCCAUAAUUCACAGCUUAUAAGAUAGCACAAUUAACGAUUGAGAUCUAUGUGGUGGAACUCAGAAAAUGAGCCAUUAAGUCACAGCAAAAUCCGCAUAUAACUGCAACCAAAACACCAGCUAGUUCUAAUUUCUAACGACGAGCAGUAUGCCAGAGAUAGCUAAUUCAGUUACAAGUAAAUCAGCCCCUCAUUAUUGUGACUACAAAUUGCUGAAUCAUUUGGACAGUUCAAGGUGGAUUCACUAAGAGCAGCAAGUUGCAACAAGUAGACUUGACUAGCUUUUGAAAGGCUUCAAAACAUCCUGCUUAAACUUGACCAUGUUGGAAGAUACUCCACCAAGUACCAAGUUUUGUGCAACUUCAUUGCAUGAACAGUACAUCGUCCUCGGCUACCUCGGCAAUAUCUUCACAAUGACAAGAUUUCUUUUGUUUUACAUGUAGCAUAUUAAAAAUCAAAGCGAUUAAAAGUCAAAAUUGAGUAGUGAAAAAAGAGAAGCGUAUCUUAAAUUACCAGAAAUUUGAACCAAAACACCAAAGCGAUGAUGCGAAAACCCCUUGAUUGACCAUUGUCUUCAUGGCUAGAAAAUCAUAACCGAGAAAAAGUGAGUCAAAAAAACCAUUAUUUUGAGACCCAGAGCUAUUACUAAUCAAAUGGUUCAGAGAAGUAUCUAAAUGCAUUUUUGAGAGGUAAAAGUUACAGAGAAACCAUUUCAUCCCCUUAGAAUCACAAGUUUAAAGAGAGUGGGCUGACUUUAGCAAUAAUAUCUUACAAUCCACAGAACCAAAUAUGGAAAAUCAACAAAACUAGACCGCUCGUUGUUAUUAUAUGUCGAUGGGCUAUUUGUAGGACGUGCAGGCAAAAAAUUAUUGAGUUCCGGCAAUAUAUACGGUGCUGAAGAAGCUUCACAAUUCUAACGUAUGUUCAUCUAAGCAAGAGACCACAAAAAUCAUCUUGGGAAGCAUUGAAGAAAGGAGUGCGGCAAGAAUUGCUGGUCUAAAGGUGCACAAUGGAAUCCUCUCAAAUUCCAGCUAUUGCACUGCUAGACAACAUCCUUGGAAGCAGAUCCUCCUAAACUUUGCAACAUAAUCAUUUUAGUUACCAUCUAUAUCACCUCACAAAAGGUAACAAAUAGAAAUCUUCAUAAAAGUUUCAUUAGAGUAAGUUCUCCUAUAGAAACAAAAGAAGCUAUAAAUUAAGAAGUCUAAAAUCUUUGUCUGCGGUUGCUAGUUCACAAUUUUUUUUGCUUUGACAUACAUUCAUUUGAGGAUUUACUCCAUGAAUAUAACGCAUUAUCUUUUUCCUUUUUUUAAACAAAUCAAUAAGAAAAUAAAAUUUUCACAGUAAAUGGUGGUGUGUAUGCCUAAGUUUGAUGAAAGCCCUCGAGAAAGCUUGUUCCUGCAUUAUAACUAUGAAAGAACAGGAAGUUCUAUUACAUUUUCUUGUGAUGGAAUCUUACAAAAGUGAGUUUCUUUUGCCACUUUUACCCUAAAGAUAAUGAGCAGGUACUAGGACUCGAUACAAUGUAUGUAUAUUUUUUUGACUUAGAUAUGCUAACCUUGCGAUAACACUCGAAAGUUUGCAAAACCUCUUAAUGGUCAAUCUAUUUCUCUAGUAAUGGUCAUCAAACUGCCAAUAAAGAUCAUCAAAAAGUCCUGGUAAUGAUGGCUCUUCAAAAACAUCUGAUAAGCUGGGGCAAGAAAUUUUUUCCCAGUAGAUUGUACAGGCCAGCUGACAGUCAUUGAGCAAUCAAAACACAGACAGAAAACUUUCUGCAAUUGAGGUACAACUAGUUUCAAAGACAAAAAGCCAGGGAAAAAAUUAAGCAAAUUUAUAGUAAUAUAGCAGGUAAAUUCUUACUGCUGGACCUCGUGACUGAAAAGGCAGAUAGACAAUGUGCAAGCUCCGACAACAAGGAUAUCAAGUGCUGGCUUUAUAAGGCACCGAUACGAAAGAAAAAUUGCCAUCAUAAAUAUUUUUGUCCAAGCUACUGGCCUUGCAAUUCAAUGAGUAAUUAAUGGCCAAUGGAGAUAUCCACUUAAACCUUGAGCCUAAGAUCACUGCAAAAUAGAAAAUUCAAGCUCAGACAUUAUGUAGUAAACAAGAGAUCUAACAAAACAAUUUAGAUAAUUUCGUGAAGCUAUUGUUCUGUCAAUCCUACAAAAACAAAGUGUGGAACAGAAUAUUAACAGAGUUAUAGUAAUACAUCAAAGCACAGAACAGGAUAGGUGAUUGGUUUCAUGUUAAUCGACGGUUACAAGAGUAUUAUGUUGUUAGGAGUAAAUGAGAAGCACGGUAUUUUGAACUUGGCAAGAAAUGCUAAUGCCGCAGCUUUGAAAGAUAAUAAAUAGGACGAGAAAAAGGAAGAAGAGAAAAUUGUGAAGAAUAACCACGGUAACUUUUUAGUUUUUUUCAUAUAAUUCCUCCACACUUAAAUCAUUGCUUGUCCUCGAGCAAUAAAAAAUACAAACCAGCAAUAAUUUAAGAAGUGAAAUGAAUCAAGUGAACUUGAAACUCAAUCUCUCUUAACUUUGGCAAGCUUUGAUUAUGCAAUUUUUUCCUAUUAACCGUAAUACUCAUCAUAUCAUGUAAAAGAGAGAUAAUUACACUCAAAAUUCAACCAAACAAAUUUAAUCUCUCUAUCUUACCUAAUUUCACAAAUAACUAACAUAUAUAGUUACCUUGGAGAUUUUCUUCCUUCUAAAUGAGAUGUUUAGCUUCACAAACCUUAAGAGGGAACUAUUCACUUUCUUUUUUCUUUUAUUUACUCUUAAAAUUGUGAAAAUGCCUUUUGACGAAGAUUGAUAUUUUUAGAUGAAGAUUUCCGGUUACUCAAAACUUCACUUAUUACUCCCAAUUCCAAUACCUUUUGACGCGAAAGUCGAUAUUUGUAGAUAAAACUCUCGGUUACUCAGUAUAAAAAUUUAUUGAAUAUUUUUACCAUAAAAUCCCUCAAUAAGGUCACAUUUGGAAGAAAAAUAUUCUAGCAACUAUAUAAAUCAAUUACUUGUAAAAAUAAGUAAGAUGAGAGAUUUCAUUUACUAUGCAAAAUGUAGGCAUAAUUUUCUUUAUUUUACAAUAUAUACUUUCUUACAUGCAAUAAUUCUAGUCAUAUUAUAAUUGUUUCCAAGUCAAGUGAGAAUUGAAUUGUUCAAUUACUAAAAUCAUCUCACUUGUAUAGGAGAAUUUUAAAACAAAAGGGACAUGAACUUCUUGCACUUGUGGAUUUAAAUGAACAAUUUGUGAAAGACUUGGGGCAAAUUUUGAAAUUUGGACAAGAUUUUGAAAAAAUUUUGACAGAGUUUCUCUUUAAAAUUGGAUGAAACUUCCUGCCGGCAAACCCAAAAGCCAACAAUUUUAAGCACAAGACAAAUUUCUAAUAUCAUAUCCAAGCAUUUACCAUAUAAGCACCAAAGUGACUCCUACUUAACAGCAUUUCCUCCCCCACACUUAACAUACACAUUUUCCUCAAUGUGUAGGGAAAGCGAAGAAGAAAAAGUAAAAACAAGUUACUCCCCAAUUCAAUGGCUGAGAUCCAGCUCAAUCUUGAAUCACGAGCCAUCGACGAAUCUACAACCAUCUAUGAAAACUGCCACAAGUCCCAAAUGCAAGAUGAGAAGUUCAAGUUAAACUUGUACAAUAAAAAGAGUUAAAAUAAAAAACUACAAGGAAAUAUGAAAGCAAAAAAAAAAUGCAGCAAGAGGUCGGCGAGUCUUCUCCUUGCACAUCACAUCACUGUGGAAAAGUGCUAAAUGAUUCUUUCAUAUAUAGUGCUAAAUGCACAUCACAUUUUCUCCUUGCAGUGAUUCUUGUCCCUCCUCUUCUCUUCUUUCUCUCUUUAGUGAUUCUUAAAUAUAUAGUGUUCAAGAGAGUCAAAAAGUGCUAAAUAAGAUGACAUAAAAUUUCUUUUGCACUUUUCUAGAGUUUCUUGAGCAUGUGUAGCCUAAAUUCUGUGCAAGAAUUGAGCAGAAAAGAAGUGUGAAAAUAGGGCAAGUUGCAAAACAAGUUACAAAAAAAUAGGAGAGAAUAAGCAGGCUUGGAAUACGUGACCUCAACUCGUGUAUUCAGAGCCUGUGUUUUCUCUUUUGUUACGUUUUCUUGUGUCUUUCUAUCCAAUGCACUAAGAUCAUAAGCAAGAUGCCCCAAUGUUUGUUCAUGCAAUGAAACAAUAAUACUUGCAUUUGAUGCUCUUCUAAUUCCAAAUCAUCAUUGAAUCAGCCACUAAUGAAUUCAAAUGAAUUCGCCUCGAUCCAAUAUUGAUAAUUCUCCUCAAAUCCUACCAAUAUAACCACAUUUGUACGUUCAACUUCCUAAAUGAAUCUUGCAAAAGUUAAAGACUUAGAGAGCAAGUUACACCGUAAAAACCCUAAAUUAUACCAAAAAAUACGCACAUAAUACUACUUAAAAGAAUGUAUAAUACACUUAUCGAGAAGGUUGAUUAGAGUGGGAAGUGAAGAGAAGGCAAAGAUGUCUUAUGCGUAGGUAGCAAGCAAUCUUACAUGAUUGAAUUUGAUCUGAAGAUGAACUGUUAAUCGCUUAUUAAUAGGAGUUGAAUAUGAGAAAUUUUGGACCACUGGGAGUCGAGGCCGCUGCUCUCAGGAGUGCACUUUUCUUUUAACAGAGGAGAACCAUAAACCAGUAGAACUUUUAGUUUGGUGAGACUUCUCAUGGCAUCCUCAGAGGGUAAAUGUCGAAGCUCUUUGAAACCAAAUAAACAUAGGUAUUCAAGAGCAGCAAAGUUUCCGAACCAAUCUGGCAGAGCUUUUAUACCUCCAAAGUCAUGUAGCCGAAGUGACGUGAGAGUGGUCAAGUAUUGGAUCUGAUGUGGUAGGAACUCCAUGUGUGGCAACCCAAAUAAUUCUAGGUCACAUAGUAUGGAUGACAAAGAGGAGAAGGAUAUCAAUCCAGACCAAUCAAAUUCAUUGUAAAUUGAAGAAUUUUCAUGGUCAUCAUCAUCUGAGAAGGGACCAAUUUCAAGGCGAUUUAAGCUGGGUAGGAAACCAAAUCCUUUGGGCAUCAUACUUGUUUUCAGUUUGGGACACGCGUAUAAUUCCAACUCCAAAAGAGAAGGCGUUUGUUGCAAAUCAAGCGGAAAGGAGAUAAGCUUGUCGCAAUAAGCCACCUGAAGCUUUUGGAGAGAGAUACAAGACUGUAGCAUGUCACUGGGUAGACUCGUUAACCCACGGCAAAACCAAAUCACCAGCUCUUUAAGAAACGUAAAGUUUUGCAAGGGAAGGAGUUCUCUGCAUCUGUGGCAAUAAUAAAACUCCAAACGCGCUAACUUGGGAAGUGUUAUUGGCAAAUCCAUUGACCAUCGAGGAAAUUGAUCACCCAUAAAACGCUGAAUUACCAACUCCUCCAAAUUUGGAUGAGGCUUAAGGCCAUCUAACACAUCUUUGUCGUAGUUGUAGUUGUCACCUUCUCGAUCCCAAGCCAAGGCCCACACAAGUAUCAGCCUAAAUAGAUUUGCCUUUCCAAAUAGAUUUGCUUCCUCAGCCGCUUUCCUAUCCUUUACUAGUUGAAGAUUGCGUAUACUUAAACUGCCUUUGAGGUUUUUCAAGCAUCCAAGCUCUUCAAUUUGUCGACCCUUUUCUCGACCCACAUUAAAGAACUCUAGUGUCUGAAGGCAAGAUAGUCGUCUCAUCUCUAGCGGCAUUUGAAAUUUUUCAUCAAAGGUGUAAAAGUAGAGAUGUCUCAAGCUAAUCAAAUUGCACAUCCCCUUCGGAAGAUCUUUGACAUACAUGCUAUCUAGUGCCAAUGUCUGCAAAUUAUAAAGCUUGCAAAGGGAGUCUGGCAAAAUACAGAUUCUAGAACUCGAAAGGUUAACAUAUCGCAAAUGUGUCAAUUUGCCAAUAGUGAUCGGUAGCUCUUGAGUUGUUGCAUGAGACAAAUUCAAAACAUACAAGUUCUUCAACUUCAUUAACAUAUCACCAGAUAGGUCACCCUUUACAAACAAUGUACGAAGCGAAGUUGAUAGACUUUCCAAAAGUUUUUCUUUUUCUUCUCUGCCACCAGAUAAAUCUACCGCAAGGUAACGAAUAUUGUUAAUAACUUUAGUAGACUUUGACAUUGACUCUGCGAGGUCGUGCACUAGAUCAUGCAUCUUAUAAUAACGUGUUUCCUGAUAACUUUUGGUUUCUGCAAACAACGAACUCUGUAAUAAAAUUCUCAGACAAUUCAUUCCAAUUUCCUCCAUCAUCAUUUGGUUGUUGACAUCUGCUUGGAGCAAACCUUCUGCCAUCCAAAGUUCGAUUAGUAUAUCUCCUUUCAUCAUAGUAUCCUUAGGAAAUAUAGAACAAUAUGCAAAACAUUUCUUAAUGGAUGGAGAUGGUAAACAAUCAAAACUCAAUUUAAGUAUUUCCAUGACACCAUCUUCAUCUCCACUGAAAUUUGAAAGCUUAUUCUUCAAAACCAAUUGCCACUCCUCUUUUCUCUUCAUGCGCAAUAAACCUCCCAUUACACUUGCAGCCAGUGGUAGACCACCACAUUUUUUUAUAAUUUCCUUUUUCAUGACAUGCAAUUGUUUGAGAAUUUCUCCACCUGCAAUGGCUUUCUUUGUUAGGAUAGACCAACAAUCAUCAUCAGAUAGCUUUCCUAGCACAUAAGGAUCAUGUGUGGCCACAAUGGAUGCAGUUUGUUGUUUACGAGUAGUCACAACACACCAAUUUCCAUUAGUUGCAUUUAGCCCCAGUAAUGAACCAAAAAAAUCAUCCCACAAGGUAAGAUUUUCGGUCCAGACAUCAUCAAGAACAAGAAAAUUUUUUUUCCCACAAGUUAUUCUCGAAUUUCCUGGACGAUGACAUCCCUACUGGUCAUUUCAACAUUUCUUCUUGUGAGUGCUUCUAAAAUCAUUUUCAAAAGCCUGGUCACGUCAAAAUUGUCGGACACACAAACCCAAAUUUUUUUCUCAAAAUGGCUAUGAACUUGACUAUUUUUGUAUAUAGAUUGAGCUAAAGUUGUCUUUCCCAAUCCGCCCAUCCCAAGGAUGGGAAUUACAGAAACGGUUUUUCUUGACAAGCUUAGCAGGAUCUCCACCAGCCUUGUUUCAUCCUUAGCUCUUCCUACAACAUAGUGGCCAGCAAUAGAAUCCGUCUCUCUAUUUAGUGUGACUUUAGCAGUAGUAGAAGGGGGGAAACUUGCCCUUUGGAAUCUGAUCAGUCCAAAAUCAUUGGCUUCUUUAUUGAUCUUAUACAACUUCUUGUUGAUGUCCCUGAUCUUAGAGGCCAUUCUCCGUCGGAAAACAAUAUUAAUGUCAGAGGACAGGAUGAAGGAGCGUACCUUGUCCACGAGAUGGCGACGAAGAGCUUCAUAAUUCAGCUCGUCCAACAAAUUCUCGGCAUCAAACGCCACGGCUUCUAGCCUCUGGAGCCACAGUUGCACGGCCUUGUCAUGCAUUUGCUUUUCCUCAGCAUCAGCCAAGACAGCUUGGAUCAUGGCAACAGAUCCUUUCAGGGUCUCCAAAUCCUCCUUGAAUUGGAAUAACUUGCCAAUCCUUUCAUUGGCAAGGGAAAGUGUCUUCUCCAACGCUACCUCUAUUGUGGAAGCUAUAAUUGCAUCAGCCAUUCUUCUUGUUCCUUGGGUACAGUCUUCAGAUAAGAAUACUCUUUUGCAGUGGAAGGUUUUAGCUGUAGUUAGAAGCAGCAAGGAACUGCUUUGACUCAAACGGAAGUGACAAGAGUUAUGAGGAUUUUUUGGUGCAGCGCUUCUUUGACAAUCUGGGUCGGAUGCUUUUGCAACGGAAGUUGCUUGGCAUUUUCAGUUGAAAAUAAAAUAUAGUCAUUGCCGGGAUUCUACAUCUGCUUUUGAUCCACAUUCCACAUGCCUGGGGCCCCUAGUCGUGGAAAAUUCCACCCAAGAAGGAUAAGAAAUUGUGCUGAACAAUGAAAGGUCCAAAAUAAUUGUUUAGAUAAUUCAAAUUAAGCAAUUUCUUCUAAUUCAAAUUAAUGUUGUGCAUGUAUAGGAGGCACAAAAUGGUUUGGUGCACUAGCAAACAGAAGGGUACAUCUAAGGUUACUACAAGUUUUACGUUAAAGUGGGAGAUUUGUAAACCAAUUCAGAGUAAACAAAUGAUGUUGAGGAAAAAAUAUGUUAGUUGCAAUGCAAUCAUAAAAGCUAUGAUACAUUUGUGAAAAGAAGAAACAUUUAUUAAUUUAGUGCAGUCUAAUUACAAACCUAGAAAAAAAAAUAUACAUGAAUGAUCCGAAAGCGGGAACGGUGUCAUUUUACUCAAAUAAAAGUGUGAUCGAAUCAAGGAUUAUUUAAAUAAAAAAAUUAGAUUAAUAAUAUAAUACUUUUUGUAUUUUUAUAUAAUGCAUGUGAGACAGAAUGGUGGCUGGUAAAAUUAAAAAAAAGGUGAUGGAAUAAGUAUAAAUUGUUUUUUUCAUAUAUUUAUCUAAUGAUAAUAGUGACAGGGUAAAAAAACAAAGGUGAUAACAAUGAUAAGUGUGGUGAGUACUUCUUGCAAUUGAUUGCACCAUGCAAUCUAUAUUUUACAUUAGGUAAAUUUGAAAUUGGAUGAAUAGAAUUGAUUAGCACGCAAAACUUUCAAUGAAUGAAACAUGUAUUGUGCUUUUGUGUUAAUUUUGCAUUAGGUUAAUUUUGUCUGCAUUUAAUAUGUCAGUGUAUACACGUCUAUUGUGUCAGAACCUAAAUUGCAUGGCGUGUAUGGCACUAAAUUUCCAGUUCACCUUUCCUACUUAAUGCCUUGCUGAGGCCUCUACUCUGAUUGAGAAACCUUAUAACUGCUGGGGCCUUCUAUUGUGCAAAAAAUCUCAACAAAAUAAUGGUCUGACCCAAGAAGCACAAGAAAGUAUUGUCCUUAACAAUUAGAAUGUCAAAGAAAAAAAAGAGGGAAAUUGAUAGGUUGCAAUUUUAUCAUUUAUUUUAUUAUUAAUUUUCCCUAUUACCUGACCUGAUGUGAAUUAAUUAUUAGAUUCUACUCACUUUUCGUAAUUUACAUUUAUUUCAGGGAGUAGAACAAAAAUAUCACAAUCAAGACCAAUUUGACAGUUAUCGGAAAAGAGUUCAAAUAGCAGACAAUCAAGAGCAUUCUUGAAACAAAGAGAUGCGACCCUUUCUGGUAAUUUGUGAAAGACAGCAUAAAAGGAGAAGGAGGAACACAGGACUAGGCGUUCUUUCCCUUGGGGGGCUAGAGCCGCCGCACAGAGCCAGGCAUUAGAAUAGGACUUUUGAUAGAGGGAGGAGUAGAGGAUUUUUCCUCCUGAAGCUUAGUUUUCCUUUGACUUUUCCAUCGUAGCUUUUGAGGGGUAUCUUCCCACGCAUGUCAGAGAGCAAAAUUGGGGAGAACUUUAACUUUUCUACUUUUGAACUUUGAGUAGUCUUUUGUUCCUUCUUGUAUGUCGGACGAAUUGAAUUUCCCCAAUUUCAAAGCACGAUUGCCGCGACUUUUGCUACAAUUUUGUGUGGGUUUUUCAUACCAAAUAUGAAUUAAUCUCUUCGCUCUAAUCAAGGAGUAACGGAGGCUCUGGGUCGCCUAAAAAUUGUGAGAUCGUUUUAAUUUAAUCUUUUCCUUUUAUUUAUUGGUAUUUGCAUAUUCCCUGGUUGCAGUGCUUAUGGUUGUUUAAUUAAUUGAUUGUCUUGGAUCCGGAUAAUUAGUUAAUUUAAUAAUCUAUUGUCAAUUGAGGUGUUAAAUCCGUAAUUGUUUAAUUACCUCAAAAUAGUGACAACUGGCAUGAUUAGAUUUGUGUCAGGGGGAUGCGCGGGCUAAUCUGAAAUAACCCUGGUAGUGCGUUAUUUGGUUAGAAUAGGGCUCCUCUAAUUUGUAAGGCAAUUGGGGAAUUAAAUCUUAUGGGCGUACCUAAGAUUAUUUCUCAAUUAGGGCAGUGAUUAACGGGCGUACCUUAAUCACCGACACAGUAAGGAGGGGUUGACUGUCAUCGCUUGUUUGGUAGUUAUAACCUAUUUAUUGAUAAAUAAUUGGGAUUGCCUUUGCGUCGAUGAUCAAUUAGAUGAACCAUUGCUGAAGUUAUUCCUUGGCUAGAUCCUUAAUUAUCACUCAUUUGAUUUUAGUAAUUUGUUACUUAAUUUUUAGUAGUUUUUUUUAGAUUUUAUUUGAAUUUCUUCGAUUGUCACCUUCUGCACAAAAACACCCCCCUUGUCACUGUGAAUUUGAAAAGAAACAAUUACUCCCAAUCCCUGUGGAUUCGACCCUGCUUACCGCUAUCUACAGAAAUUUAUUUUAGUUUGAGCAGGUUUUAUUAUUGCGCAGGCUUCGACACCCUGUCAAUUUUUGGCGCCGUUGCCGCAGACUGGUGCCAAAUUAAUUUGUUUCUUUUUGAGUUCAUCUUGUUUUUAUUUUUUUUUAUUUAUUUUUUUUUCUCUUAUUUUUUUUUUAUAUAGUUUAUGGCUUCUAACACUUCGUACUUUGGUGAUAUACUGGAUUUUCUUUCCGGGAAAGGCGAUGAGACUAGUUUUUUCGCUAAAUCUGCAUACUCAGAGGCACUAAACUCUAUUAGAGAAAGAAUGGCUGCUGUAACCUGUAAAAUUUGUUAUGCCAGGGAUCAUUCAACCGGUAUGUGCCCCGAAUAUCAAGAUACUCUGAGUGUCCCAUUCAAUAAUUAUGGAGAUUUUUCACCCUGGUCUCAAACGUGGUAUAACCCUAAUCCAAACGGGUAUGAUCAAGGAUGGUGGGAUAACUCCAAUUAUAAUUAUUCAACGGGGCCAAUGAAUUUUCAGCAGUAUGAGUCUCAAGAAUCGUCAUCUAUGUCAGGUAUAUCUCUUGAAGAAAUAGUUGAACCAAUAGCUACUAAUACAUACCAAUUCAAACAGGAGACACAAAUGAGGAAUGAGAUGAUGAAGGAUACAAUGAGUUAUCUGGCAGAUCAACUAUGUCUAUUGACAUCCAGAAUAAAUCGAUUGGCUUCUCAAAUGGAAGAAUUGCCCUCGGAAACCAUUGUUGAUCUAGAAGAAAAUGAGAGUGCAAUUUGCUUGACUGGUGAUGAGGAGAUGCAAGAGUGUCAAAAUGAGAAAUCUACAGAUGCAGUUGAAAAAGAAGCCGAAAAGGAAGAAAUGGAACCCCAACCGCAACCCAUUCAAGUGAACGAAUCCAGUGAACAAUCUCCAAAUGCGGUGACAUCUUCUCCAUUCCUUAAUCAAUAUUUUCCUGACUCCUAUUCUUCAAUUCCUGUUACUGAAAUUGAUUUUAUUAUACCAGAAAAUUUGAAAUUUCAUGACAGGAAUAAGUUAAGAGUGGCAAUGAAAAAAUAUCUUGAACCGAUGAAUGCGUGUGGUGGAGGAGUGAAUGGAGAAUACAAAUUAUCGUUGACUUGUUUGGCGCCAUUUACUAGUCUAUGGAAGCUCGUAACUCGUAUGUCCAAGGAUUACUCUAUUUACGAGAGCUAUCAGGACUAUAUAGAGGAUGAAGCAUUAAGACGAGCCACACGAUUUUAUCCUCCAUGAACAAAACAUGAUAAUGUCUAGCCAAAGACAUUAAAGAGAGGCGCUCAUUGGGAGGCAACCCAAUUGUUUCUUUUAAUUAUUUGUUUGAUUUCGUGUGAUAGUUUAAAUAUGUUUUCCUUGAGUUUAAUUGGUUUUGGGUCUGAAAUUUUUGUUUUUGGUGAGUUGUAGGUGUCUAUCUGACUCGGCAUGCCCGCGUCAUGUUGCAGGAAAAGCUCACGGUCAGAGAGCUCUCUUGCCCUCAUGACGUGCCCGCGUCACGUUCGCGGGAAAGGUAAGGAUUCUAAAAAAAAAAAAAAAAAAAAAAAUCUUAUCACCGUAGCUUUAGUUUCCAAAAUUCAAAAAAAAAAAUUAAAAAAAUUGAUUUCCAUAGAAAAAAAAGAGAAAAAAAACCAAAAAAAAAAAAAGAAAAGAAACAAAAAUAUUUCUCACGAUAGCUCAAAUGGAACCUAAAAAAAAAAAAAAAUCUUUUUUUUCUUUUUCUUUUUCCUUCUUUUCUUUCUUUCUUUUCUUUCUUUUUCUUUCUUCUUCUUCUUUCUUUCUUUUUUCUUCUUCUCCGCUACGUCUUCUUUCCCAUUUUGGCCGCCUCUUCAAUCGCGCGCCGCCCACUUGCCCGCGUGACCGCUGCUGCCUUCCACAACCACCUCGCACGUCCUCUCUCCUCUUCGCGAGCCACCGCCACCAAAUUUUUGGUGUAAUUUCAUUUUUUAGUUUUUAUUUGUCGUGUUCAUUUUUAGUUUUUAGUUUCCAGUUUUAUUUUUAUUUUUAAGUUUUAUCAUAGAAUUUGUUGAAAAAGAAAAAAGAGAAAAAGAAAAGCAUUCAAAAAAAUAUGUUUUAGUCAUUUUGUUUUUAUUCAAUGCUUUCUUGAAAGAAAAAUGAAAAUGAAAAUAAAAAAAAAAGGGAAAAAGGAAAUUUGUUCACAAAAAUAUAUUUAUUUCUUUAAAUGCAACCUUUUUGCACUUUAGUUAUUUUUAUUAAGUUAUUUUGAGAAAAAGAAAAUGAUGAAAAAUGAAAAAUGAAACAAAAAGAUGGAAAAGUGGCCAUUUUUGUUGUUUUUAGUUGUUUAGUUUUUAAAUUAUUUUCAUUAUUAUUAUUAUUAUUAUUACCUGGUUUUGGCAAUUUGUUAUUAUUAUUAUUAUUUAUAUCAUUUCUGUAUUUAUUAAGUUAUUAAGUUCAAAAAAAAAAAAAAAUGAUACGCGGCAGCAAGCUGCGUUUUACGCAGCUUGCAAAGGAAAUCUGGGACGGCUCCUAAAGCUGCAAAUACAGGAAAAGGACUAGAGGUUUUUAGGGUUUGGGGGUCUGAUAUAUAGCAAAAAGAAAGGUAGCCGCAACAGAGGUUUUAAGGGGAACCAACGGGGGAUAGAAACACAAGCAAAAAGGAAAAGAAAGAAAAAGAGCCGAGAGUGAAAAGAGAGGAAAGAUUGAUGGUGACGGCAGGAAGUGAGCCAGAAGCUUUGUGAAGUAAGAGGGAAAAGAAGCAAAGGAAGGACUGAGUAGAGUUGAUGGCUGUGAGGGUUUAGAAACGGAGAGUUGAACGGGAAAGGGAAAAAGAGAAAAUAGCAAAGGGAAGCUAGCUGGUGGCUGGGCAAGAGGAAAAAACGCAGAAAAGAAAACAGAGGGGGGGGGGAGGUUUCGGUUUCAAUGAUCGGCGAGGAGAAAAACUUGCAACCACCACAGCAGCCAUCUCAACUCCAUCCGUUGCCUGCCCAGACUCCUUUUCAUGCUAUCAGCCCAAGCCACCACAAACCUCCAUAACCACCGCCUACAAAUGACCACCUCCAAGUUCUGUCAUCGCCACCACCGCACGCAACUUCCAUCGAGGUCACCAGACAGCAGCCACCUUUUCUUCUCUAGCGUGACCAACGAGCGGUCAACUGCCUCCCAAGAGGUCCUCCAAGGACCACCACAUCAAGGAGGAAGAAAAGCCACCACCAGUCCGCUACCAUCACUAGAACUUCCCACCACUGCCUGAAAAUAAUUUCACGAAGCAGGCGCAGGUAAGCUGUCCUUUUCUUUUAAAAAUUCUCGGUUCUGUUUAAGCUCUCAGAGCAUGUCUGCCGUGGGUUUUGAGGGGAUAGCAUCUGGGUUUGGUUAAGGACAUCAAUAGGGCUCGCUUGAUUUGUUUCAUAUAGAUGUCCUGGUUGAAUGAUGAAGUUUGAAGAAAGAACUAAAAAUUGCAGAAUGUUGAUUCCCUGUAAUUGCAUGAACUUCUGGUAUCUAAACCUAAAUUUGUAUGGUGAAAAAUGGAAAACAUGCUUGUGAACUUGUUACUUUGCUCCUAGUUGUUGUUAGUUGAGCUGUUAGUAGUGUUUGGAUAGCAAAGAAUUGCAGCAAAAGGAAACUCAAAUGCUGCAGACAUUUUUUUGUUAACUGUCGGCUCACAUUCUCGUUUGUUCCCUUGCUUGUUUUCUUCUUGUAAUGAUUUAAAUCUGUCCCUUGUGCCUUGAAGUCUCCUCCCUUGUUGCCCAAGACCGUGAAUUCCUAUGUUAGCUGGAGAGUUUUUUUAUUUAUUUGCUGUGCUACAGUUUUGCUGCUCAUGAAGUUGUCAGCUCUGCUUCUAAAGCUGUUACAUAACAACCCAUUGGCAUGAUAGCUGCCGUUAGUUUUGCAUUCGGUGUGUGAUUUUGUAUGCGUGAGGGAGUAUUUGGAAUUACAAUUUGGGUAGGAAUUUGAGGUUGGUUUUAAGUUUGAAACGUUUAUCGACAUCUCGAGUGCAUGAAAGUUUGCUGCAACAGGUCUUAAGUUCUGUUUUAUUGCAGCAAUGUUGGCAGAGUUGUUUUUUUGCUGAUGACUAAAGUUUUGUUAGCUAAAUUUGUCUUCAAAUCUGUGGGUUGUUGGAAAGUGAUGCCACUGUGUGCGUUUGCUGCAUUUUGUUGCAGCAAAACAUGGCAUAAUAACAGGCCAUAGCACCAACUUUGCUAAGUAUUCACUGCUUCAAGUUUUUACUGAUUCUAUGUUCAGUUUUCCUUGUUGUUUUCAGUAAAGUAAACAUUGGUUUUUGGUUGUUUAGUUUAGGAUUUUGAUUUCUGGUAAAGAUGUCUAGAUUGGAGCCAUGCUUUCGGACCAUAAAUAUGCAUUUGUAAAUGGAGAGGCAUCAAACUUUCGCCGGCAGAAAGCUUCUUCAUGCAUUCUUGCUUGAAGUUUUUUUCUAUGUUUGCAUGAUUUCCUCCUAUGAUUUUGCUAGUUCGGAUGUCAAGUUCAUGUUUUGUGUUGUUUGGUUCAAAAUUUGAUGUUGAAUCAAGAAAGCCUUGGGUUAAGGUAUGAGAUCAAAUCCGGGUUUAGUGUUUGAAAGUGGAACAAAGGUGCAGCAAUUUCGUUUGCUUUGUUGAAGAAUGUUCUUUCACGAUGGUUUGCAUGCAUUUGCAUGAAUAAUCUCCAGAUUUUACACUUUGGCCCCCAAGUCUCUCCUUGUUCCACUAGGACCCAAUCAAUUAAAGAAUUUCAUCAAAUUGGUCCUUGAUAAUUUUAAUUUUUGCAACUUCAUUGCUUGUUUGCUUCAAUUAACUACCAUGCUUUGUUUCAAUUGCAUUUAAUUCAUGACUUUAGGGGCUUUAUGACCAAGUGAGCUUGUGUUUGCCUAUUUUCUUUAAUUUUCUCAAAUAAAUUGGUACCUUGACCAUUUCUUUUAUUUUGGAGGAUAAAUAAGUGAUUUCACUUCAUUGGGGCCCAAUUGCAAGGGAGGUAACCUCUAUCUCCUUGAAUUUCAUUUCUCCUAUGUGAUCCUACGUGUUAUGUGAAUAUGCAUGUCUACUCCGCUUUCCUUACCUCCUUGCGUGCAUUUACUUGCUUUCACUUUUAUUUAAGUUUUAUGGGGUAUGUGUACACCUCUUGGCUUGUAAUAGAUAGGGCUCGGAGAGCAUCUGGUCCAUUUCCCCUUUCCCUUUAUGUUUUUAUGGGGUAUGUGUACACCUCUUGGCUUGUAAUAGAUAGGGCUCGUAGAGCAUCUGGUCCAUUUCCCCUUCCCCUUGGUUGCUUGUUUUUGUUGCUACAUGUUUAAUUGCUUUAAUAGGCUCUUGCAUCUAGUCGAGCAUGCUAAGUGCUACGUGCUACGUGUUUACGAGCGUUUUGGCAUGUCUACUUGCUUUCAUAACCAUGAAUGAAUGGAAUGGAUGAAUGUACGUCACCACGCUAGUUCAAUGCUAGUUGUGGCUCAUUAUUUCAUUAGGAAUUCAUAGAAAGGGCUAGUCCAACGCUAGACCCAAUAGGAUUUUUCCUUUGUUUUUCAUUAAUGCAUUGUUUGCCUGUUCACUACAUAUCAUGCAUUUUUCCUUAGUUUUAUCAUCUGGCAUGCUCCUCGAUUCCCCUUGCCCCUCACUUUAGGUCUUGCAUCUCAUGCUAGUUAGGGUACAUUUGCCUGAAGAGUCCCCUUCUGAUAAGGGAAACGAGCGAGUGUGGCUACUCGAUAGCCUUAGCACGCUAGUUCCCCCUUCUAUCAAAGGAAAAAUCAAGUCACAAAGUUAGGACUCCCCGUUCCCGUUUUGAUGCAUUCCUAUAGAAUGUGAGCCGACAGUUAACAAAAAAAUGUCUGCAGCAUUUGAGUUUCCUUUUGCUGCAAUUCUUUGCUAUCCAAACACUACUAACAGCUCAACUAACAACAACUAGGAGCAAAGUAACAAGUUCACAAGCAUGUUUUCCAUUUUUCACCAUACAAAUUUAGGUUUAGAUACCAGAAGUUCAUGCAAUUACAGGGAAUCAACAUUCUGCAAUUUUUAGUUCUUUCUUCAAACUUCAUCAUUCAACCAGGACAUCUAUAUGAAACAAAUCAAGCGAGCCCUAUUGAUGUCCUUAACCAAACCCAGAUGCUAUCCCCUCAAAACCCACGGCAGACAUGCUCUGAGAGCUUAAACAGAACCGAGAAUUUUUAAAAGAAAAGGACAGCUUACCUGCGCCUGCUUCGUGAAAUUAUUUUCAGGCAGUGGUGGGAAGUUCUAGUGAUUGUAGCGGACUGGUGGUGGCUUUUCUUCCUCCUUGAUGUGGUGGUCCUUGGAGGACCUCUUGGGAGGCAGUUGACCGCUCGUUGGUCACGCUAGAGAAGAAAAGGUGGCUGCUGUCUGGUGACCUCGAUGGAAGUUGCGUGCGGUGGUGGCGAUGACAGAACUUGGAGGUGGUCAUUUGUAGGCGGUGGUUAUGGAGGUUUGUGGUGGCUUGGGCUGAUAGCAUGAAAAGGAGUCUGGGCAGGCAACGGAUGGAGUUGAGAUGGCUGCUGUGGUGGUUGCAAGUUUUUCUCCUCGCCGAUCAUUGAAACCGAAACCUCCCCCCCCCCUCUGUUUUCUUUUCUGCGUUUUUUCCUCUUGCCCAGCCACCAGCUAGCUUCCCUUUGCUAUUUUCUCUUUUUCCCUUUCCCGUUCAACUCUCCGUUUCUAAACCCUCACAGCCAUCAACUCUACUCAGUCCUUCCUUUGCUUCUUUUCCCUCUUACUUCACAAAGCUUCUGGCUCACUUCCUGCCGUCACCAUCAAUCUUUCCUCUCUUUUCACUCUCGGCUCUUUUUCUUUCUUUUCCUUUUUGCUUGUGUUUCUAUCCCCCGUUGGUUCCCCUUAAAACCUCUGUUGCGGCUACCUUUCUUUUUGCUAUAUAUCAGACCCCCAAACCCUAAAAACCUCUAGUCCUUUUCCUGUAUUUGCAGCUUUGGGAGCCGUCCCAGAUUUCCUUUGCAAGCUGCGUAAAACGCAGCUUGCUGCCGCGUAUCAUUUUUUUUUUUUUUUUUUGAACUUAAUAACUUAAUAAAUACAGAAAUGAUAUAAAUAAUAAUAAUAAUAACAAAUUGCCAAAACCAGGUAAUAAUAAUAAUAAUAAUAAUGAAAAUAAUUUAAAAACUAAACAACUAAAAACAACAAAAAUGGCCACUUUUCCAUCUUUUUGUUUCAUUUUUCAUUUUUCAUCAUUUUCUUUUUCUCAAAAUAACUUAAUAAAAAUAACUAAAGUGCAAAAAGGUUGCAUUUAAAGAAAUAAAUAUAUUUUUGUGAACAAAUUUCCUUUUUCCCUUUUUUUUAUUUUCAUUUUCAUUUUUCUUUCAAGAAAGCAUUGAAUAAAAACAAAAUGACUAAAACAUAUUUUUUUGAAUGCUUUUCUUUUUCUCUUUUUUCUUUUUCAACAAAUUCUAUGAUAAAACUUAAAAAUAAAAAUAAAACUGGAAACUAAAAACUAAAAAUGAACACGACAAAUAAAAACUAAAAAAUGAAAUUACACCAAAAAUUUGGUGUCUACAGUUUGCCCCUCUUUGUCUGAGUUUUGAAAAAAUUUGAGACAAAGAAGUAGACACCAAAUACUUACCAGUGUUAUUCGGUUGCAAAAAUGAUCUGAACGGACAGGAAUUCUAAAAUGGGACUGACCCGAACAUGAAUUUAAAAUUGGGGAUAGACCCACGGGAUAGACCCGGACAGAAAUGUAAAAUUGGGAUAGACCCACGGGAUUAAAAAUGGGAUAGACCCACGGGAUAGACCCGGACAGAAAUUUAAAAUUGGGAUAGACCCACGGGAUAGACCCGGAUAGACAGAAAUUUAAAAUUGGGAUAGACCCACGGGAUAGACCCGGACAGAAAUGUAAAAUUGGGAUAGACCCGGACAGAAAUGUAAAAUUGGAUUUGAUCUGUCAAGAUAUAAGAAAUUAAAUUUUGAUUUUCCAAGAAACAAAAAUUUGAACUUGAUUUUCGAUUUUUGACUUUUGAAUUUUUCUGAUUUUUCGAGAGAAUCUUUUUCCAAAAAUAAUUUGCCCCAGUGUAGGGCCCUUUUCCCUUCUUUCUUCUCUUUCUUCGGCAUCGGCUUUCUACAUCGCCAGAUGCUUUUCGUCGACUUCAACUGUGAAUACCUGCACAGGGCUUACGUGCACUCAAAUGAGCGUGACUGAUUUGAAAAAUGCAUUAUUUUGAUUCUUGGACGAAAUCCUCAAUUGGCCUACAAAAAUAUUUGCCCCUGUGUGGGCUUAUUUUGCAAAAUUUUGCAAAUAAAAAUUUUGCCCCAGUUUGGGCCCAUUUGAUUGCAAAAAUUGGUUUAGAUGAUUUCCCAUUUACUUGAACAAAGAAAAACCGCACUUUCUAAAAUUUAGAAAAGAGUGCACAUACAACAAUGUGAAGAAACUUUAAUCGUCAAGUUUGAACUCAUGCAGAAAUUUCAUGAUGAAUUCCUCAAAAUAAUGCCAAAUUACAAGAUAUUUCUUCCUUACCUUAGCAUCGAAGCUUUGGGUAAUGGGCGUUAUUUCUGACUUGGAAAUGGGAGGCCAAGAUUUGUCUUAUUUUGUGCUCAUUCGAUAUCACGUCUUCAUGAAAGCAAAGAGUUUAUCACCUUAUUUUUAAGAAAACGUAGUCACAUACAGCUUUAUAGGCUUGCAAUAAACGGAUGGAAACGAUAGCUAAAACAUGAAAAAACUGGUUGUUCCCUUAUGAUCACAAAUGAUUGAUGGAUUUCUUACGAGCAUAGUCGUCACUUUGGAUUGUCAUGAAGGAAUAAGUCAACGAUGGACUUUAUGAGCUUGUAAUGUGGCUUGAAAACGAUAGCUAAAGAAUAAAACUUUCAAGGACAUUACACCACAUAUCGUAUUUUUCAACAUUGCCUUCAUCUGGACUCCAGAUUCUUGGAUUUUGUUUGACUUUUUAUCAUCACCCAACAGGGUCUUUCAACAUCAAAUCUUUUUGCAUCUUUCUUUUGCAUUCAUUUCGCUCGUUUUUCUUUUCUUUCUCCCCCCCUUCUCGGGGUUUCAUAUGAAAGCAGUGUCAACCUCACGCCAAAUCAAUUCAGAAUACAGCAAAAUUUUCGACAUCAGAAAUUUUCUUAACAGGGCCAUUGCAAAGAAUAGAAGUCAGGGCUUUCGGCUUUUGUAAUGGGGUCAGGUGGGGUGCUUAGAAAAGUUAAGGCUUGAAAGCGGAUUUCAAAGCGGUUUGAAAAAUCUGAGAUCGCAUGUUGCGCAACCCUAUUUUAGGGUUAAAUCAGAAUUUGCCCCAGUUUUGCUCAAUGAGGCUUUUCACUUUCAUUUUCUUUUUCUUUUGACUUUUCGGCUUUUGCCAUUCUUUGAAAUUUGCCCCAAUUUAUUUUUGAACUGAGGUUCUCUUUUCUUCUUUUGAUUUGGAUUUUGUGCUUUUCACUUUUCACUUCUUGAAAUUUCCUUUUCAACCAAACUCGCCCCAGUGUGGGGUUUGCGAUUCUCAGGGGUUGCCAAACGAAAUAAUCCAUUCUGAUGGCUCAAAAGGGAUAACUAGGGAUAGAAUGUUCGAUUGGAAAAGAAGAUGGCCUGACUUGUAUUCCGUUCCUUACAAUAACUCUGAAAGGAAAUUUUCAUUAAUGGGAAAUUUUUGGCAUGUAUCUGAAUUAACUGAUUGGGGAAGACCCUUGUUCAUCCAUAUUUGUGAAACAUAGGUGAUCCACGCGGACAAAUCUCUUCCCUCUUUUUUCCAAAUUCGGAACCCAAGUGGAGUCAAAUUUCCCCAAUUUGCGGUUCCCUCCCUAUUUUAGCAUUUUUGCUUUUCCCCUUUUCUUUUCCUUUUUAAAAUUUCCCAAUCUCCUUCCCCAAUGCGAGGUACGAUCAUAAGUGCAUUCGAAAAGAACCACCAAUUUUAGCUCAAAUGAGGACGCAAGGGAUAAAUGGUGUUUAGAUUGAAGAAAUGAUGGCCAAAGUAUCAUUCUUACACUUCAUGACAACCAGAGUAACGAAAUGCUCAUUGACAAUCCAUUCCCUUUUGAAAGUUUUCCAAUGUAGGGUAGAGAUCAUUAAGGCGUUUAUUUGGAAGGAAAUUAUUCUUCUAUAGGCUCAAAUGGGAGAGCAAAUGAUAAAAAUCUGUAUAGGUAGUGAAACGAAUGCUUGAAGUAUCAUUCCAAAUUUUCAAACAAAUAAGAAUAAUGCACAUUUUUGCUUUCACUUAGAUGUGAUUGAAUCGAAUUAGUUACCGCGGACAUUUUCAAGCAAAAGUUGCCCCAAUUUACAAUUUAUCAAUCAAUGUGACUGAUUUUAUUUUGGGGUCAAAUGAAGGAGAAAAGGAAUCUCAUAGGGCCUUUUGAGUGACCUCUUUUAAUUCUGAACACUCUUAUUAUGAAUUUUCAGGCCGGAGGUUGAAAAAAUCCCAAUUUAGUCUUAUUUCUUAAAAUUCAUCAUGAACUCUCCAAUGAAUAAGAAUAAAGAAUGAAAUGUACAUAAAUAUACACAAAACAAUGAUUGUCCAAAAAUUUUAUUGCUGAAAAAGUUUGAAACAAAAUUUCUCAUUCAAUUACGAUACAAAUGAGGAUAGAAAACUUCUAAAGAGCUCCACAUAUAUAUCCUUUUUGUCUUCAUUUCUUUUGACACAAAAAUAUAUUAACAAGUCAAAUAUACAGAAUUUUCCUUGAAAGCGAUUGUGAAAUCUCUUAGAAGCUCUCAGCCUAGAGCUUUCAAAUGGGUCUUUCAUGUUUCCAUUGUUGGAUCUACCCAAGAAUCAAUAUAGGAAAAUAUUUUCAUCUUAUUGAAACAUUUUUUAAUGAAUGCAGGGGAGGGGGAAAACAAAAGAAAAAUACCCAAAGUUAGUAAUCAAAACCAUAGAAUCAGUAUGCAUGCCCUAUGGGGGAACCCUUUUAUGCCAAGGGUAGGCCUAGCAUGAAAAUGCAAUCCUCUAGGGUAGGCACCAUACAAUACCUGAUGGAUCCAAUCAGCUUAUGGAGUGAAAAAUAAUUUAAAAAAAUUUGGCCCACUGGAAUGAAAAGAGACAUUUGUCCUAAAAUGAGGGAAAAGUCCGAAUGGAUUGCUACUUUGAUCGAUGCAUGAAAUAAUGUGUAAAAGGGGCUGAUUGGAAUGUCUCAAUUAAUUUAUUCGGUGACCCUUAGACUUAAACCCUAAAAAGGGAAAAAACGGGUCAAAUGGAUUGGAUAAAAUUGAUGAUUUAUUUAAAAAUGACCAAAUUGCCCUAAAAAUAGGUAAACUGGUCAAAUGAAUGAAAUGAAAUUUGAUUUAUUCAAAAAUUGAUCGAAUCACCCUAAAAAGGGUAGAUUGGUCAAAUGAAUUGACGAUUUAUUCAAAAUCGACCGAAUGACCCUAAAAAGGGUAGAUUGGUCAAAAGAUUUGAUGAUUUAUUCAAAAUCGACCGAAUGACCCUAAAAAGGGUAAAUUGGUCAAAGGAAUGGUUUAUUUAAAAUCGAUUAUGAAUUGACAAAAUGGAUUGAUCGAAUCGGCCGGCCAUUGGUGGUUUCAGAAAAUCAGUCUAUGAGCCUUCUAAAAUCACAAUUUGGCCUCAAUUUAUUUAUCAUCUCAAUAGGAGGAAUCAUUUGUGAAUUUCUUCAAAUUAAUGUCCUUCGCGCAAGGGAUUUUUACCAAUUUUUGAUAAAAUGGCCAAAAAGUGAUUAUUAGAUGCUCAUAUUCCAAAGAUCACUCUAUGAAAAUGAUCGGAUCCUACCUUACCUUGUGCACUACCCCUUUGGAUGGUACAAAAUGUAAACGUGCAAGUCUCACUGGAUUAAGUAUCCGAGACACAAGGUGGCUUAUUCCUAAACACGGGAUUCCCUAUGUGGCAUUCCCUUUCUAUGGUUUAUGCAUGAUGCCAGUUUAUUAAAGCGAUGUAAAUAUGUGACAAAUAUGGCUAAAGGACAUAAAUAAUGCAUCGGGGGGAAAAGGUCUAAAAUGAAAUGUAUUAUUGAAAAGUAAGCAAAGACUGAAAUUUAGACAUGUGAGCUAUCUAGUGGGUGAGUCACUAAAAGAGUGCCAAAGAGGCCUCUUAUUGCUAAGGCACAUGAAUGCAAGCCAGGAAAACAAAAGAAUGGUUAGUGCAAUUGAUAGUACACAUAACACAUUGGGAGCAAUUAAGAAAAGAAAUACAAUAAAAGCAAGUAAAAGGGGUGGAACCCCUUCCCUCGUGCCUAAUGUGCUUAAAAAGGGUGAGGCUGACUCUACCCUAGGCAAAUGCUAAUAUGGAUGCAUGAGGUGGUUCACUAAUGCCUAGACUCGAUAAAGCUUCGGCUCCCAAGCCUUCAGACCUAAAGGCGAAGGGUCAUCACUCCCAGGGCCUUUGAUCGGUGGCUCGAGUGAUCCCUUAGGUAGCGCUAUGGGCGCAGAGCACACCAGCCGCCUACCCAAGGCGAUCGAUCCUAAUCCUACAAGGCGGUGUGGGAAACGCCCACGAAAAACAAAAUAAAAUGGGAUAAAAGCAAGUAAACGUGCACGUAUGAAGUGUUCCCCUAUUUUGAGGGAAGGGGUGAGAACCACACGAGGCUCUAAAGGCGACACACCCCCCCAAAUGCAAUGCAAGCGCGAGAUAAAUAAGUAAACAUACAUCCAAUCAACCAAUCACACGUACGUGAGUGAGGGAAUAGUUGGAUACGCGCACGAGGCAAAAGGCCCUAAAAAUGGAAAGUGCAACCCUAAUAUCCAAAUGCAAUGCAUAAAAAAGGGUAGAAAAAGGAAAAGAAUGGCCAAGUCAAAUGCUCGGACCCACUUAGGAAGUCCCCAGUGGAGUCGCCAACUGUCGCGCCCCACUUUUCGAUUGUGUGGAUGUGUGAUGUGUGGUGUGUAAUGCGGUGUGAACGUGUGCAAAAUGAAAAGUAAAAAGGCCAUGGGAUUUUGGAAAGCGACGAUUUGGCCAAAUGAAAUUUUAAAAAGGGUUUUUUAAAUAUGAAAACGGAGUCGCCACUUGGUAUAGAUUUGGGGUGUACCAAGUCACCCAAAAAGUGUUUUUUAAAGACAAAGUAGUAAAACCCCUUUUAAAACGACUCCUAGUCCACGUAAGCCAAAGAAAAAGGUUCGGGGGUCACGUUUGACAAAAGGGAAGGCAAGGAUAGAAUCCAAGGCACCCCUUUGACCUAGCCAAGGCUAGUUGCGCGACUCAAACCAAUUUUUCCUAGUUUUUCUACCCAAGGUAUGUAUCGCGUAUUGGAUAUGUCUAUAUGGAUGCAAAAACCUAGACCUAGGGGGAUUGGGGGAAAUUUCUCUUCAAAGGUUGGGUGGUGCCAAUCACAUUAAUUGUGAAGCCCAAUAAUGAUCCUUUUGGAGAGGUCACACCUAAACCUAAAUGACGUGAAAAAUGAGUGGAAUGCAUGCCAUGUGAAAGUGUGAGUUUGUGUGAAGUGAGAAAAUGAUAAAAGUAAUAAGAUAUAAGUGGAUGUGUGCAAAUGUCUUUACAAGGUAAGGUAAGUGAAGAAUAAUAAGGUGAAAACGCCAUUAAGUGCAUGUGUGCGAGUGAUAUGGUAUAGAGUGUAAGUAGUUGAAUAAAAACGUGUAAAAUGAAAGUAGUGUGAAGUGAGAAUAUAGAAAGAGGAAUGGAAUAUACAGUAAGUGAUAGUGAAUGAAUGAAAUGCGUGAAUCCUAUAGGAAUGCAUCAAAACGGGAACGGGGAGUCCUAACUUUGUGACUUGAUUUUUCCUUUGAUAGAAGGGGGAACUAGCGUGCUAAGGCUAUCGAGUAGCCACACUCGCUCGUUUCCCUUAUCAGAAGGGGACUCUUCAGGCAAAUGUACCCUAACUAGCAUGAGAUGCAAGACCUAAAGUGAGGGGCAAGGGGAAUCGAGGAGCAUGCCAGAUGAUAAAACUAAGGAAAAAUGCAUGAUAUGUAGUGAACAGGCAAACAAUGCAUUAAUGAAAAACAAAGGAAAAAUCCUAUUGGGUCUAGCGUUGGACUAGCCCUUUCUAUGAAUUCCUAAUGAAAUAAUGAGCCACAACUAGCAUUGAACUAGCGUGGUGACGUACAUUCAUCCAUUCCAUUCAUUCAUGGUUAUGAAAGCAAGUAGACAUGCCAAAACGCUCGUAAACACGUAGCACGUAGCACUUAGCAUGCUCGACUAGAUGCAAGAGCCUAUUAAAGCAAUUAAACAUGUAGCAACAAAAACAAGCAACCAAGGGGAAGGGGAAAUGGACCAGAUGCUCUACGAGCCCUAUCUAUUACAAGCCAAGAGGUGUACACAUACCCCAUAAAAACAUAAAGGGAAAGGGGAAAUGGACCAGAUGCUCUCCGAGCCCUAUCUAUUACAAGCCAAGAGGUGUACACAUACCCCAUAAAACUUAAAUAAAAGUGAAAGCAAGUAAAUGCACGCAAGGAGGUAAGGAAAGCGGAGUAGACAUGCAUAUUCACAUAACACGUAGGAUCACAUAGGAGAAAUGAAAUUCAAGGAGAUAGAGGUUACCUCCCUUGCAAUUGGGCCCCAAUGAAGUGAAAUCACUUAUUUAUCCUCCAAAAUAAAAGAAAUGGUCAAGGUACCAAUUUAUUUGAGAAAAUUAAAGAAAAUAGGCAAACACAAGCUCACUUGGUCAUAAAGCCCCUAAAGUCAUGAAUUAAAUGCAAUUGAAACAAAGCAUGGUAGUUAAUUGAAGCAAACAAGCAAUGAAGUUGCAAAAAUUAAAAUUAUCAAGGAUCAAUUUGAUGAAAUUCUUUAAUUGAUUGGGUCCUAGUGGAACAAGGAGAGACUUGGGGGCCAAAGUGUAAAAUCUGGAGAUUAUUCAUGCAAAUGCAUGCAAACCAUCGUGAAAGAACAUUCUUCAACAAAGCAAACGAAAUUGCUGCACCUUUGUUCCACUUUCAAACACUAAACCCGGAUUUGAUCUCAUACCUUAACCCAAGGCUUUCUUGAUUCAACAUCAAAUUUUGAACCAAACAACACAAAACAUGAACUUGACAUCCGAACUAGCAAAAUCAUAGGAGGAAAUCAUGCAAACAUAGAAAAAAACUUCAAGCAAGAAUGCAUGAAGAAGCUUUCUGCCGGCGAAAGUUUGAUGCCUCUCCAUUUACAAAUGCAUAUUUAUGGUCCGAAAGCAUGGCUCCAAUCUAGACAUCUUUACCAGAAAUCAAAAUCCUAAACUAAACAACCAAAAACCAAUGUUUACUUUACUGAAAACAACAAGGAAAACUGAACAUAGAAUCAGUAAAAACUUGAAGCAGUGAAUACUUAGCAAAGUUGGUGCUAUGGCCUGUUAUUAUGCCAUGUUUUGCUGCAACAAAAUGCAGCAAACGCACACAGUGGCAUCACUUUCCAACAACCCACAGAUUUGAAGACAAAUUUAGCUAACAAAACUUUAGUCAUCAGCAAAAAAACAACUCUGCCAACAUUGCUGCAAUAAAACAGAACUUAAGACCUGUUGCAGCAAACUUUCAUGCACUCGAGAUGUCGAUAAACGUUUCAAACUUAAAACCAACCUCAAAUUCCUACCCAAAUUGUAAUUCCAAAUACUCCCUCACGCAUACAAAAUCACACACCGAAUGCAAAACUAACGGCAGCUAUCAUGCCAAUGGGUUGUUAUGUAACAGCUUUAGAAGCAGAGCUGACAACUUCAUGAGCAGCAAAACUGUAGCACAGCAAAUAAAUAAAAAAACUCUCCAGCUAACAUAGGAAUUCACGGUCUUGGGCAACAAGGGAGGAGACUUCAAGGCACAAGGGACAGAUUUAAAUCAUUACAAGAAGAAAACAAGCAAGGGAACAAACGAGAAUGUGAGCCGACAGUUAACAAAAAAAUGUCUGCAGCAUUUGAGUUUCCUUUUGCUGCAAUUCUUUGCUAUCCAAACACUACUAACAGCUCAACUAACAACAACUAGGAGCAAAGUAACAAGUUCACAAGCAUGUUUUCCAUUUUUCACCAUACAAAUUUAGGUUUAGAUACCAGAAGUUCAUGCAAUUACAGGGAAUCAACAUUCUGCAAUUUUUAGUUCUUUCUUCAAACUUCAUCAUUCAACCAGGACAUCUAUAUGAAACAAAUCAAGCGAGCCCUAUUGAUGUCCUUAACCAAACCCAGAUGCUAUCCCCUCAAAACCCACGGCAGACAUGCUCUGAGAGCUUAAACAGAACCGAGAAUUUUUAAAAGAAAAGGACAGCUUACCUGCGCCUGCUUCGUGAAAUUAUUUUCAGGCAGUGGUGGGAAGUUCUAGUGAUGGUAGCGGACUGGUGGUGGCUUUUCUUCCUCCUUGAUGUGGUGGUCCUUGGAGGACCUCUUGGGAGGCAGUUGACCGCUCGUUGGUCACGCUAGAGAAGAAAAGGUGGCUGCUGUCUGGUGACCUCGAUGGAAGUUGCGUGCGGUGGUGGCGAUGACAGAACUUGGAGGUGGUCAUUUGUAGGCGGUGGUUAUGGAGGUUUGUGGUGGCUUGGGCUGAUAGCAUGAAAAGGAGUCUGGGCAGGCAACGGAUGGAGUUGAGAUGGCUGCUGUGGUGGUUGCAAGUUUUUCUCCUCGCCGAUCAUUGAAACCGAAACCUCCCCCCCCCCUCUGUUUUCUUUUCUGCGUUUUUUCCUCUUGCCCAGCCACCAGCUAGCUUCCCUUUGCUAUUUUCUCUUUUUCCCUUUCCCGUUCAACUCUCCGUUUCUAAACCCUCACAGCCAUCAACUCUACUCAGUCCUUCCUUUGCUUCUUUUCCCUCUUACUUCACAAAGCUUCUGGCUCACUUCCUGCCGUCACCAUCAAUCUUUCCUCUCUUUUCACUCUCGGCUCUUUUUCUUUCUUUUCCUUUUUGCUUGUGUUUCUAUCCCCCGUUGGUUCCCCUUAAAACCUCUGUUGCGGCUACCUUUCUUUUUGCUAUAUAUCAGACCCCCAAACCCUAAAAACCUCUAGUCCUUUUCCUGUAUUUGCAGCUUUGGGAGCCGUCCCAGAUUUCCUUUGCAAGCUGCGUAAAACGCAGCUUGCUGCCGCGUAUCAUUUUUUUUUUUUUUUUUUGAACUUAAUAACUUAAUAAAUACAGAAAUGAUAUAAAUAAUAAUAAUAAUAACAAAUUGCCAAAACCAGGUAAUAAUAAUAAUAAUAAUAAUGAAAAUAAUUUAAAAACUAAACAACUAAAAACAACAAAAAUGGCCACUUUUCCAUCUUUUUGUUUCAUUUUUCAUUUUUCAUCAUUUUCUUUUUCUCAAAAUAACUUAAUAAAAAUAACUAAAGUGCAAAAAGGUUGCAUUUAAAGAAAUAAAUAUAUUUUUGUGAACAAAUUUCCUUUUUCCCUUUUUUUUAUUUUCAUUUUCAUUUUUCUUUCAAGAAAGCAUUGAAUAAAAACAAAAUGACUAAAACAUAUUUUUUUGAAUGCUUUUCUUUUUCUCUUUUUUCUUUUUCAACAAAUUCUAUGAUAAAACUUAAAAAUAAAAAUAAAACUGGAAACUAAAAACUAAAAAUGAACACGACAAAUAAAAACUAAAAAAUGAAAUUACACCAAAAAUUUGGUGUCUACAGUUUGCCCCUCUUUGUCUGAGUUUUGAAAAAAUUUGAGACAAAGAAGUAGACACCAAAUACUUACCAGUGUUAUUCGGUUGCAAAAAUGAUCUGAACGGACAGGAAUUCUAAAAUGGGACUGACCCGAACAUGAAUUUAAAAUUGGGGAUAGACCCACGGGAUAGACCCGGACAGAAAUGUAAAAUUGGGAUAGACCCACGGGAUAGACCCGGACAGAAAUUUAAAAUUGGGAUAGACCCACGGGAUAGACCCGGACAGAAAUGUAAAAUUGGGAUAGACCCACGGGAUAGACCCGGACAGAAAUUGUUGUUUAGUUUAGGAUUUUGAUUUCUGGUAAAGAUGUCUAGAUUGGAGCCAUGCUUUCGGACCAUAAAUAUGCAUUUGUAAAUGGAGAGGCAUCAAACUUUCGCCGGCAGAAAGCUUCUUCAUGCAUUCUUGCUUGAAGUUUUUUUCUAUGUUUGCAUGAUUUCCUCCUAUGAUUUUGCUAGUUCGGAUGUCAAGUUCAUGUUUUGUGUUGUUUGGUUCAAAAUUUGAUGUUGAAUCAAGAAAGCCUUGGGUUAAGGUAUGAGAUCAAAUCCGGGUUUAGUGUUUGAAAGUGGAACAAAGGUGCAGCAAUUUCGUUUGCUUUGUUGAAGAAUGUUCUUUCACGAUGGUUUGCAUGCAUUUGCAUGAAUAAUCUCCAGAUUUUACACUUUGGCCCCCAAGUCUCUCCUUGUUCCACUAGGACCCAAUCAAUUAAAGAAUUUCAUCAAAUUGGUCCUUGAUAAUUUUAAUUUUUGCAACUUCAUUGCUUGUUUGCUUCAAUUAACUACCAUGCUUUGUUUCAAUUGCAUUUAAUUCAUGACUUUAGGGGCUUUAUGACCAAGUGAGCUUGUGUUUGCCUAUUUUCUUUAAUUUUCUCAAAUAAAUUGGUACCUUGACCAUUUCUUUUAUUUUGGAGGAUAAAUAAGUGAUUUCACUUCAUUGGGGCCCAAUUGCAAGGGAGGUAACCUCUAUCUCCUUGAAUUUCAUUUCUCCUAUGUGAUCCUACGUGUUAUGUGAAUAUGCAUGUCUACUCCGCUUUCCUUACCUCCUUGCGUGCAUUUACUUGCUUUCACUUUUAUUUAAGUUUUAUGGGGUAUGUGUACACCUCUUGGCUUGUAAUAGAUAGGGCUCGGAGAGCAUCUGGUCCAUUUCCCCUUUCCCUUUAUGUUUUUAUGGGGUAUGUGUACACCUCUUGGCUUGUAAUAGAUAGGGCUCGUAGAGCAUCUGGUCCAUUUCCCCUUCCCCUUGGUUGCUUGUUUUUGUUGCUACAUGUUUAAUUGCUUUAAUAGGCUCUUGCAUCUAGUCGAGCAUGCUAAGUGCUACGUGCUACGUGUUUACGAGCGUUUUGGCAUGUCUACUUGCUUUCAUAACCAUGAAUGAAUGGAAUGGAUGAAUGUACGUCACCACGCUAGUUCAAUGCUAGUUGUGGCUCAUUAUUUCAUUAGGAAUUCAUAGAAAGGGCUAGUCCAACGCUAGACCCAAUAGGAUUUUUCCUUUGUUUUUCAUUAAUGCAUUGUUUGCCUGUUCACUACAUAUCAUGCAUUUUUCCUUAGUUUUAUCAUCUGGCAUGCUCCUCGAUUCCCCUUGCCCCUCACUUUAGGUCUUGCAUCUCAUGCUAGUUAGGGUACAUUUGCCUGAAGAGUCCCCUUCUGAUAAGGGAAACGAGCGAGUGUGGCUACUCGAUAGCCUUAGCACGCUAGUUCCCCCUUCUAUCAAAGGAAAAAUCAAGUCACAAAGUUAGGACUCCCCGUUCCCGUUUUGAUGCAUUCCUAUAGGAUUCACGCAUUUCAUUCAUUCACUAUCACUUACUGUAUAUUCCAUUCCUCUUUCUAUAUUCUCACUUCACACUACUUUCAUUUUACACGUUUUUAUUCAACUACUUACACUCUAUACCAUAUCACUCGCACACAUGCACUUAAUGGCGUUUUCACCUUAUUAUUCUUCACUUACCUUACCUUGUAAAGACAUUUGCACACAUCCACUUAUAUCUUAUUACUUUUAUCAUUUUCUCACUUCACACAAACUCACACUUUCACAUGGCAUGCAUUCCACUCAUUUUUCACGUCAUUUAGGUUUAGGUGUGACCUCUCCAAAAGGAUCAUUAUUGGGCUUCACAAUUAAUGUGAUUGGCACCACCCAACCUUUGAAGAGAAAUUUCCCCCAAUCCCCCUAGGUCUAGGUUUUUGCAUCCAUAUAGACAUAUCCAAUACGCGAUACAUACCUUGGGUAGAAAAACUAGGAAAAAUUGGUUUGAGUCGCGCAACUAGCCUUGGCUAGGUCAAAGGGGUGCCUUGGAUUCUAUCCUUGCCUUCCCUUUUGUCAAACGUGACCCCCGAACCUUUUUCUUUGGCUUACGUGGACUAGGAGUCGUUUUAAAAGGGGUUUUACUACUUUGUCUUUAAAAAACACUUUUUGGGUGACUUGGUACACCCCAAAUCUAUACCAAGUGGCGACUCCGUUUUCAUAUUUAAAAAACCCUUUUUAAAAUUUCAUUUGGCCAAAUCGUCGCUUUCCAAAGUCCCAUGGCCUUUUUACUUUUCAUUUUGCACACGUUCACACCGCAUUACACACCACACAUCACACAUCCACACAAUCGAAAAGUGGGGCGCGACAGUUGGCGACUCCACUGGGGACUUCCUAAGUGGGUCCGAGCAUUUGACUUGGCCAUUCUUUUCCUUUUUCUACCCUUUUUUAUGCAUUGCAUUUGGAUAUUAGGGUUGCACUUUCCAUUUUUAGGGCCUUUUGCCUCGUGCGCGUAUCCAACUAUUCCCUCACUCACGUACGUGUGAUUGGUUGAUUGGAUGUAUGUUUACUUAUUUAUCUCGCGCUUGCAUUGCAUUUUGCACACGUUCACACCGCAUUACACACCACACAUCACACAUCCACACAAUCGAAAAGUGGGGCGCGACAGCCAACCAGCAGCACGCCGCCACAUCUCUCUCCAUCUCGCCGCCGCCAACCAGCCAUAUACCUCCUCGUGCGAGCUCCACCUGCUCGCAACUCCCCUCACCAGCUUUCUCUUCGCCAUCGAUCCAUCGCGGCCACGAGGAGCUUUGCCGCCGCCGCUGCUCAACGCCUCCACCGCGAGCUACCGCCAGCAGCACCAUAGGCAGCACCCACCUCGUGUCUCCGCCAGCGACGACCAGCUCGUGCGCCGCCGCCGCUCACCAACCACGCGCAGGCCACCUCGCAGCUCUCUCUUCAGCCGCGACCCCUCCGCACGCCACGCAGCUCCGACCGCGCGCUCCACCAGCUCUCCUUCACUGUCGCGCGCUUUGCCCGAGCCGACGCCGUCGCUGCUGUAGUCGCGCGCCGCCGCCCGUGCCCACGCGUAGUCGCGCUCCCUCGCAGCUCCAGCCCAAGGACGCCGCCUUUCCCCCGCGUCCUACACAGCGCCUCUUUUUCUUAGCCACUACUGCCCCAGUUUCUUCAUUCGGCCACUGGGAGAGGUAUUUGCUACUAAAUCCCCAAUUUUUGGUUUGUAUUGGAUUCACUUGAGGGUUUGUCAGUAGAGUGAAGUGGCAAUUGGAUUUUCUGCCUUAACCGUGCGGUGCACCAGUGCUAGCAAUUGUGCUAUUUUCCGUCGUAUUGUUGUGCUAUUUUGCUAUACCUGUGGUACUGGUGGAGUAACUGGACCUUGAUUUGGUACCUCUAUCUGGUUGACUGCGUUUGUAGUGUCAAAUAUCUAAGCCGUUUUCAUUGAAAUUGUUGAUUUUGAAUUAAGAUUUUAACUGGCCAACUGGAGCCAUUUGUUGAAAUUUUGGGUAAGCUGAAAUAUUGCACUUGUUUGUUAAAUUGGGAAGUUUCUAUGCUAUUUACAUUGCUUCCUCCAGUUGGGUGCAUCUAAUUGAAUUGCUGAGAAAUAUUCUGACCAUUGCUUUCAACUACUAAGUUCGUUGAGGUUUCUUUUAGGAUUCUGGUUGAGUUAUUUCUAAUAUUGCCUAUUGAAUCAGGAGCUUGUGCUGCUUAAUUUGCCCCGUUAGGAGCUGGUUUGCUUGUUAGAAUUUUCUGUGACGGUUAACUAACGUGUUCAUCUUAGUGACUUCAACUAUUUCGUUGGGUGGAAGUGAAUUCUGUGCUUUGAACCAUUAGGUCGUUGAGAUAAUUUCACUUGUUUUUGUGGGUAGAUGCCUGAUUGCCAGUUGAGGGUAUAUAUUGAGUCGUUAUUGCCGAAUCACUGCACUACUGUUGCCUGACUUGUUGACUUGUUGACUGCUGGGGGCAAUUGUUGAGCUUUUGGGUGCAAUUGUUGAAGUUCUUGGGUGGGCUGGAAUUUUAACAAUUGUCUGUGAUAUUUUGGGAAGAAUCUCGGCCAGUGUUGUGCUUGUUGAAAUUUUGGUUGAUUUAAUUCGGCAACUGCAUUCCUUGUUGGCAUUAGUAGUUUUUAAUCGAGUUUUUGAGGACAUUUUGGAUGUUGGUUUAUAUUGCUGAUUUGGAGGAACAGUGUCUGUGAUUUUGGUCUGAUCAUUUGUGCAAUUUGUUGACUCAUUUUGUGACGACCCCAUCUCCCCCUAAGGCGAACCAGAGGGUUCGGCGGCCGCCUGCCCGGCUCUCGCCGGGACUCAGUCGUUCACUAAAGUUCUCAAAUGAAUUACAAGAAUAAACCUCAAAUAUACAUCACAUUGUCCACAAAUAUACAUUCAAAUCUCCAAUAAUUACAUGUCACAAAUGCAGCGGAAACAAUUCCCAACUAUACAUAAAAUGAUUCCAAAUCCAAAUUGUACAACAUAAAGGCCAUCCAUUCACGUGAAUAAGCACAACAAGUCCUGCCUUUGCCUUGAGCCCUGUGGAGGGGAAUAAAAUAUUUUUGGGGUGAGCUAGAAACUCAGCGAGUAACCAGAAAAUCAGUAAUCAAAUCGAUUUAACAAUAUUUCUUUUCAAUGAUGUCAUAAAUCAAUGAUGUCAUAAAUCAAAUGAUAAGUCCAGAAACGAUUACAGCAUUUACAAAACAUUAAAUAUGGAGUAUCAAUAAUUCAAGAAACAUGUACAAUGGAAAGCGAUAGUAACAUUCAUGAAAAGGAUACGUUCAUUUUUUAUAAAUAAUCCCUCGUUCAUCUUUUUAUUCGUUCAUCUUUUUUUUUUUCCGGACGUUGGCCGGUCUCCACCCAUCCGGACGUAGCCGGACUCCACCCAUCCGGACGUAGCCGGACUACAAGGUAAUACUCGAGUAUACCAAAUUCACCCAGGGUCACCAUAUCGCCCGACCGAGUCCGCUUCUGGCUCGAGUCGAUCGGUAACGAAGGGCAGUGCCCAGUUCAGCCAAACGGCUUACAUUCAUGCGCAACUAGCAUUUAAUCAUUAAUCAUUGAAAAUUUCAUAUUUAUUUAGGUCGAGUGCGAUAAAGUACACACUCGCCUAGAAAACUCGUUUUAACAAUCAUUGAAAGCACUUAACACAUUAUCAAUCAAUAAUAACAAGCCAAUAAAUCAAGGAAUACAGCCAACAAGGAACACUCAUAUGCAAGCACGCAUGAUAUGCAAGAAAACAGUUCAAAAGUAACUUUGGAAACAGUUUAAAGGUAAAUAAUGUAAGAAAACGGUUCGAAAGUAACUUUGGAAACAAUUCAAAAGUAAAUAAUGCAGCAAACGAUUCAUAAAUAACUUUAGAAAUAGUUUGAGGUCACUCACCUCAAUGGCUCAGAAAUCAUCAUCAUAUAACAUUGCCUUGCUCAAACCCAAGUCUUAGAUCACAAACUCAAUGCAAUCAAGUCCUUUCAAAGUUCGGACAGCACUUCCCCUGAAUAUGCUUACUUUUCCAGCCAUCAUGGCUUCAUUAUAUCUUCAGCCAGUCCCAAAGGUACACACACAACAACAAGUUCAUACAAUAGCCAUUCAGCAAGCUCCAAGUAGUACUAGUACAAGUCAAGCUAGGGAAAAGUCCGGAAAUGAAAGUUUAGCUCAAAACCAGAAAAAAUAUUUUGACGUCAUUUUGCGGUAAUGGUACCAAAGGCACUACGAUUGUCGGAUGAAGGUACAAGAUACACCGUUUCGAAGCUAAGAGAUAGGACUACAAUAUUGAAGAAGGUCACUCAACCCAGUUUCGAGUGUAACCAGGUCAAAAAUGCAAGAUACUACACCAGGAAUCACAAAAACAGAUUCACAGAACGUAUUCUAGCGGAAACAUCAUAAAUCAGGCUAUCCAACUCCAAAUCCAGAAAUUCCAAAACCAGCUGAAAGGUAAGAAACAGGGCUAAAUUUCAUCAGAAGGCCUCAACAACCAAUUCGGAAGCAAUUCCAGCCAAAACAACCAAUUACAGUCGCAAAUCCCAAUUUCGGGUAAACCAGAACAGCAAUAGUAAUUUUGACUUUUCUCACUCUACGCUACUCCGAUUGACCUGAAAUUUUGUAAGCACCUUUAAAAUGUCAUUCCCUACAACUUUCAUGUUUUAAGAAAAUGCCAAUUCGGCCUCUAUCUAGGACCUAAAAAUUCGGACAGAAUGCUCCUUCACAAAACCUGAUUUUCUGAAAUUUCUUCCAAAACAGAAAUUGAUUGCAAUUAAUCACUUUUUCCACCUCAUAGAGUCCUUAAAUAUCAUUUCCAAUCAUCAUACAUGACCCCAUAAUCAUAUUCAUAUGAAAACAGAAAAAUCCCCAAUAAUUAUAAAACUUCAUCAAUUCAACCAAAACUCAAGAAAUAAUCCAUAAAACCAUCUCUUUAGCCAUCACAAGUCUCUAAUUUAGCAUAAUCAAGAACAAAGAAAGGAUGGCUAGACAUGAUACCUUCAAAUAUCAAGAAAGGUGAUGACUUAGGGAUUUUUCUUCCAAAACAACUCCACCAAGAGCUUCAAUCUUCCUUAGCUAGCAAGUUUUAUGGAGUGAUUUGCAAUUUAAUCGGUUGGAACUCAAGAUUUGGACAAGAAAUUGAAGUGCAAGAUGAUGGAUUUUCUCUCUCUUUUUCUCUCAAAAUUUCGUCCAAGACAAGCUAAAAUGGAGAGAAAUUGGGUCCAAAUUGGUUUUAGUAAAGUUAGAAAAGUCUUGGUCAAAAGUCAAGGUCCAAUGGUUUUGUGACAAAUGGUCCUUUAGGGUUUUAAUCUUAUCUUUUUGUCUCUCCAAUACAAAUAUCUUAACACAUUGUAAAAUAAUAUCACUUAAUACAAAAUUCCAACAAGUUGUCAAAAAUAUAAUGCAUUUACCGCACUUGCGGGUCCCACGUCCAAAAUAGGCUUUUAAUUUCUCAAAAACUAACCGAUACUAGAAAAAUUAUUUUAAAACUAUUUUUGCUCAUAAACUUUAUCUGGGGAAUUUUUCUAAUCAAGAAAAUGUAGAAAAGGCGGGCGUUUAAAAAAUAAACCCUAGAGAAUUAGAAAAUUUCCGGGUUCUCAAACUCUUUUUUUUCGGGGCGUCACACAUUUGCGGACUUAUUUGUUUCUUGGGUUUGUUUAUUGACUUCGGUGGACUGGGUUCCCACCUACGGUUCCUCUACUUGCUCUAUUCAUUGGAAUUCUAGUCGCCUAUUGCUCUUCUUUAGAGGUUUAGAAUCUUUCUUGUGACUAGAUUAAUACUUGGGGCUAUUGCUUUAAUACUGCUCUACUCUACUAUAGCAAUUUCAUUGAUUUUGGACUAUGUUUUGCACUAAUGAUACUGGUUGGAAUAUUUCCCCUUGCAUGUGUCAGUUCUACUUGGUUGGAUACUUGAUUGACUGCUGGGCAUGUGUGACUGGGUUGUUCUUGUGCAAUUGGAGAUAUUUAGAGGGAUUUUGGGUGGGCAAGUUGUGUCGCUCUCUAUUGAUAUUUGGGAGGCACCGGUGGCUAUUAAAUUGUUAUUGCUUUGAAUUUUCUGUUUACAUUAUCUGUGGGCAAUUUUGUCUCUUGUUGAUUGAAAUGACAUUUGGAGAAAAUGGUAAGACCCGAGCCCUCUUCUUCUGCGCCUCCCCCACCGAUGGCCUCUGAUGUUAAGUCGCACCACUUGCGAGCUCAGAUUCAUCACGUAGUUGAGAGAGUGACGAACAUCACCCGCCAAGUGGCAAGGAUGUCUCAGAACUCGGCUUCCCUCCACUGUUCCCUCCUAUCCCUUAGCUGUUCAACAGGGAAGUUUCAUUGUUCUCUUCGCUUUAAUUACUUUAUUACCUCCAUUGAGGACAAUGUAGGAUUUAGGUGUAGGGGGAGCAGUUAUGGUGCUAGUGUCUUUCGUUCAUUUUCUUUUUCUUUUUUUUAGUGAUUAGCUCGUAUGGGAUGCCAAGUUUGAUGUUGGAUUAUUGCCUCUAUUUCUACUUUUGCCAAGUUUUAGUAAUAAAAGGGUAUCAAGUUAAUGUGGUUGAGUUCAGGAAUAUCCCUUUGGUGAAUAUCAGUAAUUGAUUGACUUUUCUAAUUUUUGGUUAACUUUUCUAGACAUAGGGAAUGAUUGUUGGCAUUUUCAUGUGAAUUGGUCCGAUUAUUAACCUUAGUUCUCCAUAUUUGAAAAUGAGGCUAGCUGAUGCAAGUUUUCUUUUGGUUCUUGUGUUAUAGUGAGUUCUUGUGAAUUUUAGCUAUGAAUAAACUUGACUGUACUCCGCUAUUAGUUACUACUGAGUAACCGGGGAUCUGCACCUAAAAGUGUUGAUUCUCGCGUCAAAAGGUAGUAAUUCCUAUGAGUACGUGGUCACAUGGCGAUAAAAGCUGAGUAACCGGGCUCCUUCAUCUGGCCAAUGUUGGAGUUCGCGUCAAAAGGCUCUAAUGGCUAACGACUAAGUCUUUUGUUACUAUUUAGAAAAGAAAAAAAAAAGAGAAAAGUAGAAAAAUGUGAAAAAAAAAAAGUGAAUGUUGUGUUAGUGUACAAUAAAAGUCAGCUUGUCGAUUUAUGGAUUUAAUGUUGAGAUUUUGGUUAAUAGUUGGACCAUUUGCUGAUAAAUGUUGCGCGUCAUUCCUUUUUCUUAGAUUAGUUAACCUGGAAUUAGAGGAGUUUGUGGUUUAGAAGCUAACCGGAGUGAUGUUUCUUGGACUUGACCAUUGAUGUUUGAUUAUUAUUUUUCUUGGUAUCUUGGCAAUUUGUUGGAUAGAGCAAUAGUCAUUGUCAAAUAUUGGUGUUUGUUUACUGUUCUUAUGCUUGAGGGCAAGCAUGAUUUAGGUGUGGGGGGAAUUGAUAGGUUACAAUUUUAUCAUUUAUUUUAUUAUUAAUUUUCCCUAUUACCUGACCUGAUGUGAAUUAAUUAUUAGAUUCUACUCACUUUUCGUAAUUUACAUUUAUUUCAGGGAGUAGAACAAAAAUAUCACAAUCAAGACCAAUUUGACAGUUAUCGAAAAAGAGUUCAAAUAGCAGACAAUCAAGAGCAUUCUUGAAACAAGGAGAUGCGACCCUUUCUGGUAAUUUGUGAAAGACAGCAUAAAAGGAGAAGGAGGAACACAGGACUAGGCGUUCUUUCCCUUGGGGGGCUAGAGCCACCGCACAGAGCCAGGCAUUAGAAUAGGACUUUUGAUAGAGGGAGGAGUAGAGGAUUUUUCCUCCUGAAGCUUAGUUUUCCUUUGACUUUUCCAUCGUAGCUUUUGAGGGGUGUAUACACGUCUAUUGUGUCAGCACCUAAAUUGCAUGGCGUGUAUGGCACUAAAUUUCCAGUUCACCUUUCCUACUUAAUGCCUUGCUGAGGCCUCUACUCUGAUUGAGAAACCUUAUAACUGCUGGGGCCUUCUAUUGUGCAAAAAAUCUCAACAAAAUAAUGGUCUGACCCAAGAAGCACAAGAAAGUAUUGUCCUUAACAAUUAGAAUGUCAAAGAAAAAAAAGAGGGAAAUUGACAAUGAUGUUAUGAUUUUAGCUACAUUAUUCAUCUCAUUUUUCUAGUUCCGGAGAAACAAAAUAAAAAGAUUUCACUAAGUUUGCCUUUUGUAAUGUACCGCGCUGGGCUUUGUCCCCCCCCUUAAUAGAAGUUAGAAAUUCGGCUUUUAUAAAUCUAACUUCCAGAAAAAACUUCAAAAACCCGCAACUUUCUGGGGACUUAUAAACCCAAACCCAACGCUUCCCCAGAACCGAUGUGGGAUGGCAACCCCACAAGGGCAAGCCAGUCAAAUGCCCCAUUUUUUGCUAGAAUCUGGGGUUCGUUAAGUUGUCCAUUUCCCUGGAAUUACUUAUUUUGCUUCUCGUUUGGUUCUAUUAUACUAUACAGAAUUAUAUGUAUAUAACGUGGAUUGUCAUCUUAAGAAUCAAGAUUGCCAAUCUGAUCACGUAAAUUGGCCAGAAAUUGGUUGGAAUUCUUUGCAUUUUUCACUUGUGGAAAUAGUUAAAAGAACAGUCACUAAUAUACCUGCAAGUUUUCCAUCACCUCAAACUUUCAUAAAUUUAACAACUCACUAGAAAAAUGCACUAAUAGAUUAUACAAUAAAGAAGAUAGCGAAAGCGUGCCAGCAUAGAAAAGUAGAGCGCGAUUAAUAUUUUUCUAAAUUAUUAAUUAAUUUGAGUCUCUGGAUUUCAAGAAGUCUAAUAAUCAUAUUUAGUACAUUAGCAACAAAAGGAAGAUAAAUGAAAUUGGGCCAAAAACAGUCUGGGCCAACUAGUACAUUUUCCGUUUAUGGGCAAUCAGAUGAAAAGCUAGUGGAGCAUGUGUUUAAGAGUAAAAUGCAGUUUUGGUAUUCAAAUUUUGACUCUUGAACAAUUUUUUUAGUAUCUAAACUUUAAACUUUGAAUGAAAACAAAUUCGAUAUGCACUUGACGGAUUUUUUGUCCAAUUUUCACUAGAAAAAAAAAAUCCCAUGUUGUCAUGUGUCUGGCAACAAAAUUGUUAAAAGAAUUCCAAAAGAAUUGAUGAUGGCCAGGCUAAGGAAUACUAGAACAUGGGUCAUCAUUUUAAAAGAAAUAAAUUAAUCUAAACAAAUAAUUAAUCGAGCUAAUCAUAAUACGCUCAAAACUUCCCUCUUUUCUCCUCUCCUUUUUCAUACCUUUCAUAAACAAACACCUUAAAAAAUAACUAUUCAACUAUUUGUCACAGUAAAUAUAAAAAGUACUGGAGCAUAUAUCCGAGAUUUAUAAAACAUUUGUAUGUACUAUUUUUUUUUUUUUUUGGUCGACACAGGGGUGUCCGGAUCAAUCCUUACGGGGCCCGACUAAUCCAUUUGUCGACUACGUAUGUACUACAUAUGUAGAUUUUAGAACUUUGUCAUACCAUUGUAUGACGACUCAAGUGAUAUUAACAGCUGGGUCAAUUUGAAGUUGUCAACAAAAGCUACAAGUGAUUAAUGGACUAAUAAGUCUAAUUUUAAGCACAAGAACCACCUUCUAGAAACUUAUCUAUUUUCUUUAUUUAUUGAUAGAAAGAUAGGCAAAUUUUAUUAAUAGCAUACUAAAUCUGCUUCAAGAACAACAAAAACAAAAAUAAUAAAAUAAGGUGCAUUACACGUGUCGACAUUGAAGUAAAAUUUCUCCUUUCAAUUUUAAAAUAAUACUACUUAUCAUCUUACUUAUAACUUACAUACUAAUAUGUGAUGAAAAAGGAAAGGGAAAAUGGCAGUCAUAAUUGCAGCUCAGGCAACCUUUUUUUUUUUUUUUUUUUUUAAUCUAAUUUGCUAAUUCUUGGGACAUAAGGAUAGAACUGACUUCAUCUAAAUAAUAAUAAUUCCUUGACAAACUUGAAUGCUAUUAAUUGCCAUAGAAGAUGCUUGGCAAUUUCACUAUUUGGCCUUUCUUAAUCAAUCCAUGAGGCUUACAUCUUGGACAAAACUUGGACGCUUUCUCAAGAAUGACAGAUAGCUGCGUUCAACUGCCAAAAUGUAAAUGAGAAGGGAAAUGAUAAUCAUAGGUGGUGACAUGGGCAACAUCAAUCAUGUCAUCUGUUAAUCCAGAAAUAAAUUUGAAAAGAAUAAAAGAUAGGAGUUUAUUUGGAUGAUUUAUUUGAAAUAAUUACUGUAGCACUUUUUGUGAUGUGAUAUAUGUGAGAUAAAAAGGUGAUUGGAAAAAUAAAAAGGCAAUUGAAAUUUGUGAAGCAAAUUAUUUUAUCUGAAAUCAAGGCAAUCCAAACAAGACGAAUAAAUUGGCCUUACUAACUAUCCUUGGGAAUUAGACUAACAGCAUAACUGGAGUAAUAUUUGUUUGCUUAAAAACUUAUUUGGAUGUUUUGAAAUGGCUGUGGUUGUUUGACAAAUUUGGAUGCUUUUGUAUUGGCAUUUUUACUUAACUUUCUCAACUAUUUUGAUUGUGGACAAUAUCUCAAUGGUUGUUGUAUUUAUGAAGGAGAAUAAUUUAUGUCUAAGAUAAAAUUGAACUCGGAAUCCUUUACUUACAACACCUCCCACCUUAUCGCCCACACCCAAACCUCUCCAACUUGAAUCAUAAUUUGGUCUUAAUCACUUAUCCUCAAGAAUUAGAAUUAGAAUGCGCAUCUUAUUUUGUUUGGUUCCCUCAAGUGGCAGAGCAAGAAUUUUUAUCGGAUCAAUUAAUGGUCAGUUUUUGACUAAUGAAAAUAUUCUAAAUAAGAUUGUGAAAUCAAUUAAUUUCAUAUACAAUCCAAAUAAGAUUAUGAACUCCUUGUUUGUUUAAUUAAUUUCAUGUGCUAACGAUUGUACUUGCCAAAUAAUUGACGGUGACUUUAAUAAAAUUUCUUUGUUAGGGGUCAAAGUUCUUCCUUUCAGCACUAACUGUGUUACAUUCUGAUAUAUAGUCCAUGUUCUACCCAUCUCAAACUUUCUAUAUUAUUUCUAGGUCCGAGACAAAUAUUUUUUGUUUUUGAAAGAAAAAGUUUGAAUGAUUUCGACCCUAGUUAUCACCAUGGUAAAAUACGGUAUACUUUUAUAUUUAUUUAUUCAAAAAACAGAGGUCCGACUAAGAAUCCGGCUAACUGACAAGAAAAAAGCAGUGUCAAUCGAUUGAUUUUGGCCCAAGGAAAGUACUUAGCAGUUGAAUAUUCUCACUCAGUAAAAUGGUCAGAUCCUUGAGAAUCUCAAAGUAGAAGCAAUGAUUCUAUUCCUUAAACCUGAAACAAUUUUCCGUGCUUAGACAUACUUUGGAAUAAAGCAUCAUUUCUUUUAUGAAAAAAAAGACAAUCUUGUAUAUUUGGUUAUUUGACACAAGACGUCAAUACACUUCAAAUGAAACAGUGAAUCCAACAAAUAAGGCAUGACAAGCUGUGAUUAAUGCCAUACAAACGUGAGUUUAUCUUUACGAUUUAUUCAGGAAGUUGCUGUUAGUUUCAUUAAAUUAACAGAGAAGAUAGUGAAGAGUGAAGGGCAGAGCCAUUCCAAAAUGCCAAAGAGGCAGAGAGAUUAUAAAGAUGAUCAACUAACUAAUCAUAAUCAGCCACAUACCCUUCAAGAAGGGCAUCAUACAGGGAGGCUUGAAAACAACUUUUAGUCCAACAUAACGACAUUCAACACAAAUAGCCAAAUAUCUGAGGUUUGAGAAAUGACAGCAAUUGUUGCAGUCAAGCAAUAGCAAUGAAAGGGGGGACUACACAUCCAAAAGAAGGCACAACAAUAUGAUCAGUGUGGAACAAAAUUUGCAUUAUAAACUAAUUCAGAGCCAGCUACAAUGUCACAGAAGAACAGGCAAUAGGCAUGAAACUUCCAAUACAGGGAUAACAACACUUUUUCUGUGUCCUACUUGGUCCGACCAGGGACAAAAGAACAUCUGGCCAAAUUAAAACAGAGAGGUUGGAGCUACAAUCCUUGUGAUUUCAAGACUACUUCAUUAAAAGUAAUGUUCAUUACUACCGGAGAUAGGCUGGAAAAAUUCUUUCAAAUGCAGUUCAAGAACUAAGUAGAAACUGCUGAAACCAGUCACAUUGCUCGAAAAUUUAAAAAGAACAAAAAAAAAUGAGAAAGAAGAAGGGAAAAAGGAACUGCUUAGAAUCAGAGAGAGAAGAGGGACUUCUGAGAGCAGCACUAAUCGGCGGGGACAACUCUGGCAAGUGGAUGGCAAAGACAGCACUAAUCGGCGAGGACAGCACCAAUCCCUUCCCUUUUGUGUAGAAAUAAGUUCAUCUGAAAGUUUUUAUUAUUUUUAGGUAACUAAUUAUGAUUAUUACUACUACUACUACUUUCUGUACCGAUACAGACAUGAGAUGAUUUACUUAUAUUGGCCGUCAAAGUCUAGAGGCAUAGAAAAGUAGAAAUGCUUUCCUUGUAACAUAUCCUGAGCUAAUGAUAUGAGGCCAAGAUGUGUAAGAUCCAUGUCACAUUAGUGCUUCAUGGAACAAUAUUGACGUACAAGGAGACAAGUUCGCAUAGAAGUAAUUUUACAAAUAGAUGCUAUGUUAAAUGUCAGUUUGAUGAACUAAGGUUGACCUUAUAUGUUCCUAUAUAAUCCUGUUCAAUUGAUUUCCAUAAUUUCAUCUCUCCAACGUUCCCAUCCACCAAGUGGGAUCCUUUCUUGCAUAGAAAUGGGUACCUUAGCAAUUCAGUUUUCUAAAUUGCUCUCGAAUUAACAUAUAUAGAAGGGCUCAACCUGACUGAUUCUUUGUGCUCUGAGUCCUGUCUGAGCUUUACAGAUACAAGGAGCAAUGGAAAAGUAUCAUUGGACACAACCAUGUAGUCAACUGCAAAACACUGAGAAAAAAAUAUGUUGACUGUUGUAGAGCUAAGAUACAACUUCAAGAAGGAUGCAAGCAGCUAUCAGGGUUCAGCUAAUCCACAUCUUUCUGCUGCAAAAUACUGGCUACUUUGAACUACAAGCAGCACGGAAGAUAUGGCAAAUUGAGUUCCAAAAGAAGUAAAAGAGCACCUCAUUAACAUGUUUACAAAUUGCUGAAUCGGUUGGACAGUUUAAAAUCACCAGCCGACAAGGAAGAUCUCAGGCUUUGGCCGUCCAAGGCAGAGAGCAAAAGAGACUCCAUCCUGGAUGUUUUCAUUUGAUCUGAUUGAAACAGGAUCUGGUUCAGCAAAGGAUCAUCGGACUUUUAAUAAUGUACCAAGGAUAGUAAGUAAGAGCUAUGAAGGUUUUGAGCGUAAAAUCACUGCAAAACACAAGAACUCAAGAAACUGGAGACAACACAUAGUUGCAUGACAUUUUUAUUGUAUUUGAAACACUAAAAUAAGAACUUACCAUGACGAGAGGAGCAACCAACAAGUAUAGAAGGUGGGAUGAGCUUAAUAGCCUUCAUCACAGCGGAUGAAACAAUUGCAGCAAGUAGCAGCGGGCAGCAAGUAUGCUUGACAGUCUUGACUAACUGCGGCGAUAUGCUUCAAAACUUGCAGCUUAGACUUGAUUGUGUUAGAAGAUACUCUAACAAGUCCGUGCAGCUUUUUUGCAUGAACAGACAUCUUCUGUCGCUGCUCCAAAAAACAUCUACAUUAGGAGAAGAUUUCUCAAGUUUUAGUUGUAAUAUAAUCAGAAUCAAAGUAUUUAAAAGUAAAAAUUGAGUAGUAAAGAAGAGUAGUAUAUCUGACCUUACCGGACUCUUAGAACCAAAAAUCAGUUUGACAACCAACAGCUUUGGAAACUUCUGAAGUCUUUAUGGCUAGAAAAAGGAAAAGUGAGACAGAAACCCAUCAUCUACGAGAUUAUCGAACAAAUCACUAAUCAAUUGGUUCAAGAAGCUUGAUAAAUGCGCCUUCAAGAGGUGAUUAAACUUUGGAGCAACUAUUUACUCCCUCUGGAAUCAUAAGUUAGGGAGCUGAUCACUUUAGCAAUCACAUCUUACAUCAACAAAAGAAGAUAUAUAAAAUCAACAAAACGAAGCUCCUAGUGCUUAUUUCAUAUUGAUGGGUAACUUGUCGGAAAUGCAAACCAAAAAUUAAUUAAUACCAGCUAUAAAAAUCCAAUCUACGUUCAUCCAGGGGAGAGACCACAAAAAUCUGCUUGCUAAGUGUAGGAGAAAGACGUGCAGCAGAGAAUUGUUGGUUUAAAGUCUUGUAGAAAAGGUUUCUAGAAUUGCUGCAUGUGAUAUCGAAUCUAAAAUGUCCAAUGCAUUUUCAACAGGUGAAACUUCAGAGUGAGCAACCAUUUCAUCCUGGUGAAAUCAUGAGUUUAAAGAGAGUGCGCUGAUGUUAGCAAACACAACGUACAAAGGACAGUAACUGACAUACACGAUAAACAAAACUAAAUGCUCAAUUCCGCCCCACAUUAGUGCAUUUGUUUCAGUGUUAGUUCAUCCAAAACAUGAUUCAGUUAACCCAAGAAAAUCUCAUUCAUUUUCCAUGUUUGAUCUAGUACAGAAACAUGGUAUUGAAUUAAGCCUUCAUUUGCCAUGUUUGAUCUUUGCAUCAGCAGAUAAUAUGUGAUAGAACGUGAGCAAUACCAAUUUAACACUAGAAAUUAACCAAAAAGAUUGUUUAGUUCCAUUAAUUGACAUGAAGCCGUGCAUGGCUUAUUAGUGGUAAAGGUAAAAGAACCUACUCUGUUGUUACUUCAAUUAUCAGUUGAUAUACUCUCAAGGAAAGAGAGGAUUUUCAAAAGUGAAGGCAGUAAUUAAAGAACCUACUCUGUUGUUCCCCGACUGAGCUUUAAGCCUACAGUCACUGCAAAACAGAAAACUCAGAUUCAGGACUUCACAUAGCAAAUCAUAAGGCUAACUGGAAAUUGCAUGACAUUUUUUUUAGUCAAUUAUUCAGAAAGCCAAAUCAAUAUUUGUUUCUGUUGCGCUUUUCUAACCUAAAUCAGUAAGAAUAUAUCAAAUUUUUCUGCUCAGUCUACAAGUACCAGAAGUGCCAUAGAAACUAUAUUAGUUUUGGUUCAAAACACUGAAAAAAGAGUAGCACCUACAAGCGUGAAAGGCAGAGAGCUCCUGAAUUGCCAUGAAGGCAAACUCUUUGAGACAGCAAGAUGCAACGCGUAGAGCUAAUUAUAACUCUUUUGACUCUUAAAAUCUCAAAUCAUGGCAUUUGAACAUAAACUUCAGAAGGCGAUAGUCUACCAAGCCUCUGCUGCUUGAAGAAGGUCUUAAACAUAACAAUUUUUUAAAGGUUUUAAUUAAUUCAUUGGAUAUUAAACUUCUUAAAACCCAAUAUUAAGCAGUGGAAGAAGAUGAUUGGUAUUAAAAAUUAUCUGACAGUAAGUAAGUAAGAGCCAUGGAUGAGGUUCCCUGUUGAGUUUUGGGCCUAAAAUCGCUGCAAAGCACAAAAAUUCAAACUCAAGCCGGCGAAUAGCAUAGAAUAAAGCAAAUGGAAAUUUUCAGAUAAUUGCAGGUUUUCUGUCAUUGUAACUAAAGCCCCAAAAGGAGAAACUUACCAUUAAAAAAGGAAGCAACCAACAAUCAUAAAAGCAGAGAGAGCUUAAAAGCCUCUAUCAAGAUGGAUUCAUUAAGAGAAGCAAUUCACAACAAGCAAACUUGACUAACUACCAGAAUGCUUCAGAACAUUGCACAUAGAGUUGUUCAGUUGGAAGAUACUCCACCAAGUUUUGUGCAACUUCAUUGCUCAAACAGUACAAACCUUCCUUUGCUACCUCAAAAAUAUCUUCAUGACAACAAGAUUUCUUCUGUUUUAUAUGUAACAUAUUAGAUAUUAAAGUGGUUAAAAGUCAAAAUUGAGUAGUGAAAGAAGAGAAGCAUAACUAAAAUUACCAGAAUUUUUGAACCCAAACAUGAAAGUGAUGACCAACAGUUGCGAAAACUCCUCAAUAAUUGACCAUUGUCUUCAUGGAUCAAAAUCCAAAAUCAAGGAUAAGUGAGCCAGAAAACCAUCUUAUAUGACUCUGAUAGAGCAAUUACUAGCCAAAUAGUUCAGAUAAGUACGCAAGUUCAUUAUCAAGAGGUAAAAGUUCAGUCCCCUUAGAAUCACAAUUUUAAAUAGAGUGAGAUGACUUUAGCAUUAAUAACUUAAAAUCCACAGAAGCAGAUCACGUAAAAUAAACAAAACAAGACUUCUAGUUGUUCUAAACGUUGAUAGACUAUUUGUAGGAAAUGCAGGCCAAAAGUUAUUGAGUUCUAGCCAUAUAAACGGUGCUGAAGAAGCUUCAAAAUUCUAACCUCUGUUCGUGAAGCUAUUCUUCUAUCAAUCCUACAAAAACAAAGCAUAGAACAGAAUAUGAACAGAGAUACAGUAAAACAUCAAAGCACGAAAUAGAACAGGUGCUUGGGGUCAUUCUAAUUGAUAGUUACAAGAGCAUUACUAUUAUGUUGUAAGGAGUAAAUGAAGAGCACCAAUAUUUUGGACCUAAUAAGAAAUGCUAAUGCCGCAGCUUUGAAAGAUAAUAAAUAGGACGAUAAAAAGGGAGAAGAGAAAAUUGUGAAAAUAACCACGGAGACUUUUUAGGUUUUCUCACGAGAAGGUUAAUCAGAGGGGGAGGUGAAGAGAACGGGAGAUUGAUUGCAAAGCAAAUUAAGAAAGUGGUUAUUGAAGGCAAUCUUACGUGAUUGAAUUUGAUCUGAAGAUGAAAGUUGGUUAAUCAUCGGUUAUGUCUAGGUCUUGAAUGUGAGAAACUUUGGACCACUGGGAGUCGGGGCCGCUGCUCCCAGGAGUGCAUCUUUCUUUUAACAGAGGAGAACCAUGGACCUGCAGACGUUUUAGUUUGGUGAGACUUCUCAUGGCAUCCUCAGAGGGUAGAUGUCCAAGCCCUUUGAAACCAGUUAACCGCAGCGCUUCAAGAGUAGCGAAGUUUCCGAACCAAUCUGGCAGAGCUUUUAUACCUCCAAAGCCACGUAGCGUUAGUGACGUGAGAGUGGUCAAGUAUUGGAUCUGAGGUGGCAGUGACUCCAUGUGUGGCAACCCAUAUAAUACUAAUCGACGGAGUGCGCAUGACGAAGAGGAGGAGGAGGAGGAUAUCAAUCCAGACCAAUCAAACUCAUUGUAAAUUGAAGAAUUUUCAUGAUCAUCACCAUCAUCUGAGAAGGGACCAAUUUCAAGCUCCCUUAAGCUAGUUAGGAAACCAAAUCCUUUGGGCGUCAUGCUUGUUUUCAGUUUGGGACACCCCAAUAAUUUCAGCUCCGAGAGAGAAGGCGUUUGUUGCAAAUCAGGCGGAAAGGAGAUAAGAUUGUCGCACCCACUCACCUCAAGCUUCUGGAGAGAGGCACAAGAGUGUAGAAUGUCACCGGGCAGAUUCGUUAACCCAUCACACUUAUAAAUCUCCAGCUCUUUAAGAGACGUAAAGUUUUGUAGGGGAUGGAGUUCUCUGCAUCUGUUGCAGCAAUUAAAUUCCAAACGCGCUAACUUGGGGAGUGUUGUUGCUAACUUGGGGAUUGUUGUUGUUGUUGGCAAAUCCAUUAACCAUCGAGGAAAUUGAUCGCCCAUAAAAUUCCAAAUUACCAACUCCUCCAAAUUUGGGUGGGGUCGAAGGCUGUCUAACACAUCUUCGUCGUUGUAAUUGUCGCCUUCUCGAUCAUCUGCCCACUCAAGUUCCAGCCUAAAUAGAUUUGCCUUUUCAGAUAGUUUUGCUUCCUCAGCUCCUUUCUUAUCCGUUACUAGUUCCAGAUUGCGUAUCUCCAAUUUGCCUUUGAGGUUCUUCAAGCUUCCAAGCUCUCCAAUUCGCCGACCCUUCUCUCGACCCACGUUAAAGAACUCUAGCGUCCGAAGGCAAGUCAGCCGUCCCAUCUCUAGCGGCAUUUGAAAUGUUUCAUCAAAUGUGUAAUAGUGGAGAUGUCUCAAACUAAUCAAAUUGCACAUCCUCUCCGGAAGACGGUCAACAUCUGAGUGACUUAGCGUCAAUGUCUGCAGAUUAUAAAGCUUGCAAAGGGAGUCUGGCAAAAUACUGAUUGCAGACCACUUAAGGUUAAUGUACCGCAAAUGUAUCAGUUUGCCAAUUGAGACUGGUAGCUCUCGAGUUCUUGUAUGAGACAAAUUCAAAACAUACAAGUUCUUCAACUUCAUUAACAUAUCACCAGAUAAGUAACCUUUUACAAACAAUGUAUGAAGCGAAGUUGAUAGACUCUCCAAAAGUUUUUCUCUGUCUUCUCCACCACCAAAUAAGUCUGUUGCAAGGUAACGAAUCUGAUUACCAUUGCCUACUAUACUCGUAUCCCUAUCAAUAAUGACUUUGGUAGACUUUGACAUUAACUCGGCAAGGUCGUGCACCAGAUCAUGCAUCUUAUAAGAUGUUGAUGUUUCUGACUCAUCAAUUAUUUCUUCAAACAAUGAACUCUGCAAUAAAAUUCUCAGAUAAUUAAUUACAUUUUCCUCCAUCAUCAUUUGGCUGUUGAUGUCUGCUUGGAGGAAACCUUCUGCCAUCCAAAGCUCGAUUAGCAUAUCUCCUUCCAUCUCAGUAUCCUUAGGAAAUAUAGAACAAUAUGCAAAACAUUUCUUAAUGUAUGGAGAUGGCAAAUUAUCGAAACUCAACUUAAGUAUUUGCAUGACACGAUCUUCAUCUCCACUCAAACUUGAAAGCCUAUUCUCCAAAAUUGAUUGCCACUCCUCUUUUCUCUUUAAAGAUAAUAGACCUCCAAUUACACUUGCUGCCAAUGGUAGACCAUCACAUCUUUUGAUUACUCUCUCUUUAAUUGCUUUUAGUUCAUCAGGUACUUCUCCGCCUCCAACUACUUUUUCUUUUAGGAUAGACCAGCAAAGAUCAUCAGGUAGCCUUCCUAAGGCAUAGGCUUCAUCAUCCAUCCUCAGAACUUUCAACACAAUAUCUGCCAGUUGACCAAUACGAGUAGUGACAAGACACCAGCUUCCAUCAGUUGGAUUGAGCCCCUUCAAGGUGGUGAAAAAGUCAUCCCACAAUGCCUGAUUAUCAUCCCACACAUCAUCAAGGACAAGGAAAUAUCUUUUUCCCUCUAGUUGAUUCUGAAUUUUUCCAACGAUGACAUUCCUAUCAUCCACUUCAACCUUUUCUCCCGUCAAUUGCACUAGUAUGAGUUUGAAAAGUUCCACUACUGGAACUUUUUUUGAUACGCAAACCCACAACUUUUUCUGAAAGUGCCCAUCAAUUUGGUGAUUGUUGUAUAUCGAUUUAGCCAAAGUUGUUUUGCCUAGACCUCCCAUACCAGUUAUGGGAAGACAAGAGACAACCUUCUCAGAUGGGCUCAACAGCAUCUUCACUAUCUUUGAUUCAUCAUCGGCUCUUCCAGUCAUUGGAACAGCAACCGAGUCGGUCUGCCUAUUUCUUCUGUCUCCAGCAUCAGCAGCAGCAGGGAGGGCAGCUGUCAUGACUGCCCUGCCGAUCAGUCCCAAUCCAUCGGCUUCUUGAUUGAUCUCAUUCAACUUAAGCUUGAUGUCCCUGACCUUAGAAGCCAUUCUCCAACGGAAACCAACGGAGUUAGAGCAGGAGAAGAAGCAACAUACCUUGCUCUUGGGUUGGUUCCGGGACUCCACCUUGCAACGAAGAGAUUCGUAGUUGAGCUCAUCCAACACAUUGCCAGCAUCAUAAGCAACUUCCUCCAGACUCUUCAACCAUUCUUGGACUCCCCGGUCCUGGUUUUGUUGCCUUUCCUCAGCAUCAGCCAAGAGAGCAUUGAUAAAGGUAAGAGUUCGACUCAUGCUGGCCAGAUCCUUCUUGAACCCAACUAACAUACCAAUCCUAUCAGUGGCAAGAGAUACUGCCGUCUCCAAGGCAACCUGAAUAGUGGCACUAAUGACAGCGUCGGCCAUUUUCCUUUCCUUGUAUGGGGCUUAAUAGCUAGGAUGCUUUGUUCAUAUCAGAUUGGUGAUUUCGUUGUAUGUAGCUUGCUAGGAUGCUUUUUCCUAUCAGAUUAUAAAGAUGGGGAUGGACAGAAGGGUAGAGGCUUUCGUCAAAGUUUUGGUGAGAACCGAUUUAUUUAUUUAUUUUUCAAAUUUAGAAUGGGACCGUGGGUUCCGGUGGUAUGAACUGAAGUAUGGUGGAGCCACUAAGCGAGUUAUGUAAUUUACCCAAUUUAUAAAGGGUUAUAUGUAAUUUAUCCAAUUCAGAAUGGGCUUCUUCCCCGGUUUUAGUUAAUUAUAUUGUUGCAGCUAGUGCUUCAGUUCACGCUAAUGACAGGCGGACUCAGGGCCGGAACGGUUGCAGGUGCAACCGUUUCGGAAGCUCGUGUGCAUUUUGCACACGAUGUAACAUCAUUUGUACGCGAACAAUAUUUUAUGGAAUCUACACAUAUUAAAAUCUGGACCUUACAAUUUUUAUUGGUCAAAUCUUGACCAUUAACUGGCAGGAACGGUUACCCCUUCUUAUGCCAGGCCAGGCCCUUGGGUUGCUGAAAAUAUGUCUAAUCCUUGAUAUUUUUUAAAAAAGAAUACUGGAAAAAAUCGAACUGGAUAUUAAAAGUACAUUUCCAUCUAAAAUAUUCCAACAAUAAAACUACUAGAAAAGUAGUAUAUAGAACAGCUAACAUUUCCAGCUAAAAUAUUAACAAUAUACAAAACUAGCAGGAGAAACUAUAUAUAUAGAAAUGGAUGGGUCACGUUCGCGUCUCAAUUGUUAAUUUGUUAUUGUGUCAGCGCGGCGGCUUUGGCCAUCUCAAUUAUUACCGCUGCACCAACGACGAGUGUAUGCAGAAAAAUCCUAAACAAAUCAUCCAAUGAGGGUUUCUCAGCUUAGAAAGAAGAGCGCUGCUUCUUUUGACAAACUUGCAAAUGCAUUCUCCACAGAACCAACUAACAUUUCCAUCUAAAAUAUUACCAACAACAAAACUACUAGAAAAGUAGUAUAUAGAACGUACUCUCAAUUGUUCUUAUAUUAUAUUAGGGCGGCUUGGCUAUCUCAAUUAUUGCACCUGCACCAACUAGUUUGUCCAGAAAAAAAAAAUCUAAAGAAAUUAUCCAAUGAGAUCUGCCAUUUUUUGUCCCCGUGAAACGAUGAGAGCGAGUGUUCGGAUCAGGAUGAGUUUUGCAGCAUGGAAGGUAUUAGUAGCAUUGCAAGGGCUUGCUGUAUGGAAAAAAUCCUAAGGAUAUUUCGUCGUGCCAGCUACAAACAAAUAGCACCAGCAAGCGCUAACUGUUUGGAUUGCAUUUUUUUAGAUUUUUUGUAGAAAAAUUACUGUAGCAAUUUAAUAUAUGUGAGAUAAAAAGGUGAUAGGGAAAUGUGUUCACGAAAAACGUAACAAUUUUUUCUUGAAAAACUGUUGUCCAAACAGGGCCUACUCGGCAAUUUUGUGCUAGCGUAGUGAGAGCCUGCAGGGUCACGCUAAGCUGAGUCUACUGAGUGUAAAGAUACUCGGCUCGUCAAGACAGCUCCAUUUUAAAUAUUUUUAAUAAUUUUUAUUUCAUGCAUCUCUCUAAUAUUCUUUUGGAUUAAAAAUAAAAAAUCCCCUUGUGGUAUACCUAAUAUAUAGAAAAACCCUCCGUAAUUUCAAAAUAUACAAAACGACACUUCAUGUUUUGAACUAAAUUGUAAACUAACAGAAUUUAAUCACCAACUCUAAAUGUGUGACUUUUUUUUAACAACUUUGAGUGCCAUCCAAUUUUUAUUUGUCAACCUUUUUUUUUCAAUCAAAAGGAACACUAACUCAAAAAGAAAUGCUCAAAACUACUACCAAAAUAUGGUAAUUCCAUCAAUCUAAAAUGCAGUAUGAUGAUGAUAAUUUCUUCUCCAAUUUAGAAAGAAAAUGUAUCCCCUGUAAAGCACCAUUAAAAGCAUUCUAUCAUAAUGUGAAGCUAGUGGUCGUAAAUGCUGAUCAAACAAUAGAUUUGGUAAUGAAAACUUGACACUCUUUCCUUAUAUUUGUGCUAAGAAUUGCUUUGGAAAGUAAUUCAUCUUUAUAAUCUAAGGGUAUUUGCUGACAAAAUUUAAACCAAGCUAUUUAGAAGUUGGUAUGGUAGUUUUGGAAUUAGAUUUAUUAUAUAGUAACUAGAUUUAAAUUGAUAUCAAAGUUGGUUUAGAAAAUAGAGUUGAGUUAUAUUUUAGUGUUGGAAUUAGAAUAGAUUUAGUAAUAUAUGCAUCUUAUAUAAGGACUUGAAGGAUUCGUACAUUUAUAAUUGAGGAAAGUUAGCAUCAAGAGAAUAAAAUCCUAAAUCCUCGCCUGCCUAUUUGUUCGUUAUUCAUACUUCUUUUUUUUUUUUUUUUUGUAGUUGCUAACAUUAUUGACAGUUUGAAGGCCCCAUAUUCACAGCAACAAAUCCCAAGCUUAGGCCGGCGGAGACAGAGAGAGUCAAAGGAGAUUGCCAUGAUGUAUUAUUUCAACAAGGAAUCCAAGGAUUUUCAAAUGUGAAAAAAAAAAUACUGGAAAAAAUGGUAGGUACAAGUACAACUGGCAUUUCCACAUAGAAUAUUAGCAAUUACACCAGUUGAAAAAUUACAGAAGUGCAUGGCUAUAUCGAUUAUUGCACCUAAAACACAACAAGUGUGUACAGAAAAAAUGUAAAGAAAUUAUUGCUUCUCAGCGAAGAAGAAGAUUGCUUCUCUUCACAAACUCGAAUACAUUUUCCACCGAAGUUGGUUGGAGUUUUACUUGAACGUUUCUAAAUAAAUGCAGGGUAUUUCUUGUUCUUUAUUUUUUUUUUCGGCCAAAUUUUUGUUUGUUUUGUGCUUAAAUGCUGGGCCUUUUGUUCCUCGAAUCUUGCUUGGUUUUAGUUAAUUAUGGUUACAGAGACUACUUAGUUUACGCUAAUUCUGGGGCCUUGGGAUGCUCAAAAAGUCUAGUCCUUGGUAUUUAAAUAAAUAAAUAAAUAAAUAAAAAGCUGAAAACAAAGGUACCUACAGUACAAAUGUACAACUGGCAUUUCCACCUAAAAUAUUAGCAAUAACGAUAGUAGACAAAUUCUCAAUUGUAUAUUAGAGCGGCUUUGCUAUCUCAAUUAUUGCACCUAAAACAACAAGAAGUGGUCUUCUCAGCGUAGAAGAAGAGAGUGCUUCUUUUACUCUUAUGUUUCCAAAUCAAUGCUGGGUUUUUUUUUGUUCUUUAUUACUUUUUUUUUGGAAAAAUCAUUUAAAAUGUUCCACACAUUUCAUUAGAUAAAUUUUUUUCGUCUAUCAUUUUUAAAAGGACAAAUUCCACUUUAUCUCCUGUGAUUUAGUGUUUUUCUACAUAACCCCCCUAUGGUUUUAAAAACUAUACAUAACCCUCUCAUAAUUUGGAUGAAAGUGUCAAAGUAAUGGAAAUGGUCUUUCGUAAUAGAAUCAUUUAAAAUGUCAAAAUAGCCUUAUGUAAAGGUGAAAAUUUUUUAUUGAUCAAGGGGGGUUAUGUGUAUAUUCCUAAACCAUAAGGGGGUUAUAUGAUAAAAUAUUAAACCAUAAAGGAAUUAUAUAGUAAAAUAUAAAAAUCACACGGAAUUAGUGUGCCAUGUAUUUAUAAGGGUAAUUUCGAUAUUAUCAAAAGUUUCAUUAUGAAUGACUAUUUCCGUCAUUUUGACAUUUUAAUUCAAACCAUAAGGAGGUUAUGUACAACUUUUGAAAGCACCAUUAAAAGCAUUCUAUCAUAAUGUGAAGCUAUUGGUCGUAAAUGCUUAUCAAACAAUAGAUUUGGUAAUGAAAACUUGACACUCUUUCCUUAUAUUUGUGCUAAGAAUUGCUUUAGAAAGUAAUUAAUCUUUAUAAUCUAAGGGUAUUUGUUGAUAAAAUUUAAACCAAGCUAUUUAGAAGUUUGUAUAGCAGUUUUAGAAUUAGAUUUAUUAUACAGUAACUAGAUUAAAAUUGAUAUCAAAGUUGGUUUAGAAAAUAGAGUUGAGUUAUAUUUUAGUGUUAGAAUUAAAAUAGAUUUAGUUUUAGAGUUGAGUUAUAUAUGUUAUGUAGAAAAACACUAAACCAUAAGAAUUCUUUUGAAGUAUAAUUAUUACUAAUAUAUAGUUUCCAUUUCUCGUGGAUUGUUCUUAAUCUCUCCUAAAGAAUUGUUGCAAACUUUUUUGGUUUGUGCGUCACUUUGCAUCUAAGAGUUCUAAAUUUCACCACCAAUUAAAUAGUUUCCCUCGCAACUUUAGUUUCCUUUUCUCUUCUAUUUCCAAUUUCUCCUUACUUAUGUUUCCUUGUUGCAAGGCUUGCCAAACUAAAUAAGAUAUUUGUUAUCGAUUUCUUUGAUUCCUAAAACACAAGAAAAUUUUCAUUCCUAAUAUGUAUUCCUGUUUACUUGUUUAAUUGAUUUUUAAAAGAUAUUAGCAAAGAAUUUUGGGCAAAUUACAUUUUACUCUCCUGUGAUUUAGCAUUUUUUACAUAACCCCCUAUGAUUUUAAAAGCUAUAUAUAACCCCCUCAUAGUUGGAUUAAAGUGUCAAAAUGACGGAAAUAGUCAUUCGUAACGGAACUUCUAAAAAUGUCGAAAUUCCCUUAUAAAUACAUGACAGAUUAACCUCGUAUGAUUUUUAUAUUUUACCAUAUAACCCCCUUAUGGUUUAAUAUUUUAUCAUAUAACCUCCUUAUGGUUUUUAAAAUAUACGCAUAACCCCCCUUGGUUAAUAAAUAAGUUUCAACUUUAUAUAAGGGUAUUUUUGACAUUUUAGGUGACUCCAUUAGGUGACACUUUAAUUCAAACCAUGAGGGGGUUAUGUAUAACUUUUGAAACUAUAGGGGAGUUAUGUAAAAAAAUGCUAAACUAUAGGAGGGUAAAGUGGAAUUUGCCCAAGGAUUUUAGAUCCAAUUUGGUGCAGUGCUACUUUGACAAACUGAAUCGGAUGCUUUUGCAACGGAAGUCGAUUCGCAUUUUCAGUUCACCUUUCUUAAUGGCAUGGUCGUUGCUGGGAUUCUUCAUCUGCUUUUGAUCCGCACGCUUAAAGAAAAUGCCAAUCAUCAUUGAGACUCUUAAUAAAUCUCACGAUGAAUAAUUUGUUGGGACAUGAACGUAAGAUGAAUAAUUUCAUCUAAAUGGCUGAUCCUUGGUGGAUCAGAUUUCAAACAUAAUUUAAGUACGCCUUACUUUUUGUUUGCUUUCUGCAGGGGACUAUGCUAACAGUACUGUGGCAGUGUGGCUUAAAAUCCUCCAAUUUCUUUAAAAUCCAGAGACACCCGGAGUUCUCCAUUUCCUUUUGUGAUUUUGCAACAUUAAUUACCUCAUUCUCUAAUCCUUGGGAAAUAGGCUAAAAACUGAAAAAAAAAAAUCGCUAGGUUAGUUAUAAAAAACAUGAAGUGGAGUCAGUAAUCAGGCUUGACACGUAGCUACAUAAUUGGUCAGUGAUUGCGUGCUUUCCUAGCUUUUACAAUUGCGAAAAUUUCAAAAUAGUCUCUUGUAUUUCCAAAAGUUCUCUAGUGAUACGGUGCAAAAUUACUAUUCAAUUUAUGAUUAUUUCCCCUUGAUUGUAACCAAAUAUUAUUUUAAUUAAUGGAUUCUACUUAUAUUUUGUUAAUGGUGCUAAUCGCUAGGAUUGUUUCUUUGUUAGAGAAGUAGUUAAUGUGCAUACUUUAACUAUCGAGACACUAAAGAAAAACUGAUUGUUUAUCACGUAUAUGACAACUAUAACCUAUUUAUUAGCAAAUAAUUUAGAUAAUUAUUGCAUCGAUGAUCAGUUAUUUGAACCACUUCCGGAGUUAUGUCUUUGGCUAGAGCUUGUUUAUUCUUAAGUUGAAUUUAAUUUGCUUUAGUUUAAUUUUUUUCAAUCACAUUGAUUAUUUACUUUAGUUUUAAUUCUCCAAACCUCUCCCCUCCCCCCCCCCUCCCAACAACACCAAUUAGCUUUUACUUAGAAAGAAAUAGAUUUUUCCUCUAAUCCCUGUGGAGAUGACCCUACUUGUUAUUAUACUCAUUUAUAUCUUUUUGUGAGUAGAAAUUUAUUAUUGCACAGACACGACUCUUGUCAUCUAGCACUUUAAAACAUCGGACAUUUUGAAGCAAAUGUCUUGUUUAUGUACAAUAUACAAAAUUUAAGUGGUGAAAAUUUGAGGAGCUUGUUUAUUAUGAAAAAUUGGAGAUCCCUUGUUAUUUGUAUUCAUCUUUGUUCCUCCAUUUCACAAUUAGUUUGCAUGCAUUUUAAUGGUGAUCAAUUUGUCCACAAUUUAUAAUCAUUUAAUAAAACAUUUUGUAAUGACAUCGAAAAUACACUUUGAGGGUAAUUGAGGCAACCCUCUUUUAAAUAAAUCAAGAAAAAGAAAAUGCUACAGCUGAUUGACAGUUCGAACUUUGGAGGCACCAUAUUCACAGCAACAAAUCACAAGCUUUGCUUUAUCCAGCUGAGACAUGAAAAAAAAAAAAGAUAGCGCCGAGAUGUGAUCCAGCUAAGAAUCAAAUGAAUUUCAAAAGGAAAGGCAGUAAUGCCAAUUAGGGGCCAACAAGGUCUAUCCAAUAUGCUUUCUCGAUCGGCUUAGAAAAAAGAGUACUGCUUCUUUUGACAAACCUGCGCGCAAUUUCCUCCAAAGCUCCUACUGGGCGUUUCACUUGAAAGUUUCCAAGUCAGUGCUGGGCUUUUCUUACUGCUUCUUUUCCUUUUUCGAAUUGUUCGCUCCUUUUGCGCUCGAAUGCCGAGCCUUUGAUUUGUGGAAAAGUAAUUUAGUGAGUAAAUUCCAGCACUUGGUUUUCAAUGUCAAAGACCUCGAAUGUUCUGGUGAUUCUUGGAGUAGAAAUCAAAGAGGAAAACUAUUACUUCGAUCCUUAAUUAAUAAAGGAGUACAAUUAUCCUGUUUUGUGAGAAAUUUUAAGUGGCAUGGCACAAAUGUUAAAAUCCCAUAUUUCACCUCAACUUCUAAUUACUAGUAACAUGUCAUGUGUUUUGCACCGUGAUCAUAUUAACCUAACAUAUAACAUCAUUGAGAUACUAAAUUCUUUGUUAAAUUUUGACUUUAAGCAUCAAAAUAGAGCAAUUCUUUUGGUUUUCAGUUUCUUUAACUAGUUCUUUGAAAAAUACUAGUUUAGAUGUACAUAUAUUGCACGCCGCAUUUCUCCCCGGUUGCUAUGACUAAUAACUUAUUCAAAAUUCUUUACACAAUUGAACUUUAAGUAAAUGAAACAAACCUUCAACGAAGUACUCAAAUUCAUAUAUAUAAAUCAAAAUGCACUCUUCUAGUAACCACUCCAACACUAUAUAGCCUUGACAAAUAGAACAUAGAAUUCAAACAGAACAAUAAAAUGUAAUAAAAAAUAAAUGGGCUAAUUAAGGAGGUUCUGAUUUAAUGAUUAAAGUACUUCAAUAAUAAAAUGUCCUAGAUUCAAUUCUCUGAAUUUUUACUUCUCAUGUAUGAAAAUAAAGUAUGAACAUAAAAAUGAGCUAACCUAAUGUUUCAAAAAAAAAAUUAAAAAAAAGAAACCACCUAAAACUACAAAGGAUCUUUGUAUACUCUUAAAACUUAUGCCUAUAAUUUCUUCUUAUUAAUUUACAACCUAAACCUUUUAACUUUUUGAGUAUCUUUCAGUUUCAAAAAAUUGGAGAUCCUUGAUAUUUGUAGUUGUCUUGACCGAUUCGAUCUUCUUUCCUCCAUUUCAUAAUUAGUUUGCAUGCAAUUUAAUGGUGAGUUUAUCCCCAAUUUGUAUAGAAUACACUAGGGCUGUCAAUCUAUCUUUGAGCUUGGGGUUGCUUGAUUAAUUUUAAAAAAAUCUUAGGUCGAAUGAACUUUAGCAAAGAGUAAUUUGAAAUAUGCAUUUGCAAACCCGUUAAAAAUUUACCUUCAUACCUUUUGCAAGGUCAUUGAAAACACACUUUGAAGGUACUUGACGUUACCCUAUUUUUAAAUAAAAUUAUUAGACUUUAGAAAAUAUAGAAGCAAGAAUUAUUAAAGUGGAAAUUUAAGAGGUACUUUGAAGACAUAAAAAAUACGCUUUGAAGGUACUUGAGGUAAAUCAUUAUUAAAAAUAAAUCAUUAGCAUUAGAAAAUUAAGACGCAAGAAUUAUUAAAAAUAGAAAUAUUAAAAAAUCUAUCUAAUAUUUUUUUAGAAUAAAUUAUAUAUAUAUAGACAGUGUAUAUACAAGCGAAGCUGAAUGCACGCUACCUUUAUUGUGGAAGCAAUAAGUACAUCAGCCAUUCUUUUUGUUCCCCGGAUACUUUUUGCAGUGGAAGGUUUUAGCUCUUGGUAGAAGCAGCAAGGAACUAUUCUUUGCUUAGUAGAAGUAGGGCUGCAAACGAAUAGAGCCGCUCGCGAGCGGCUCGAGUCAAGUUCGAGUCGAGCUCGAGUUGGCUCGAGUCGAAAUCGAGCUCGAACUCGAGCUCAAAAUAUGAAGCUCGUUAGGCUCACGAGCUCGAGUAUAUAUAUAUAUAUAUAUAUAUAUAAUAUUUUUUAUUUUUUUAAUUUUAAGUAUAUAUAUAUUUUUUAAUUUUAAGUAUAUAUAUAUAUUUUUUUUUAUUUUCUUAUUUUAAUAGUAAAAUUACAUAUAUAUCCUUAAUAUUUUAUUAUUUAUUAAGAAAAAAAUUAUUUUAUUUAUUUUUUAAAAAAUAAAAUAAUUUUAAAAUUUUUUUUUUCGAGCUCGAGCUUUAAAUUGCCAGCUCAUCGAACUCGAGCUCGAGUUCGAGUUGGUAAAAUUUAAUCGAGACUCGACUCGAUUCGAUUAACCUAAAACUCGACUCGACUCGACUCGUUUGUAACCCUAUGUAGAAGCAACAAGACUUUGACAAAUUUGGAUGCUUUUGCAACAGGGAAGAAGCUGCUUAGAAUUUUCACUUGGAAGUCUUCAAUACUUGUCGUUGCUCGGGCCUUUCAUGACCUGGCAGGCACCUUUUUUUUUUUUUGGGUUAAAUACAAAAAACCUCCUUAUGAUUAAUCAAAUAUUCGAAUUAACUCCCUAUACUUUAGAAACCUUUAUAAAACCCCCUUAUACUUUUGAUUAAAAUAAAAUAUUAAGUUUUCAGUUGUAGCUAACAGUCAUAAAGGGUAACUUGGUUAGUUGAUUAUAAGGCAAUUUAUAUUAUAUAAAAUGGGAAAAUAGAAAAUUUUGUUCUCUUCUUUCCAUCCACACGCCUUAUAGUGUAUCUCUUUUUUGUAUUUUUUUUGUUAAAACAUUGUAUCUCUCCUUCUCACCACCAGACCUUCCCUUUUCUUCUUUUUUUUUUAAAAAAAUUUUGUUCCUAUUCACUUCUGAGUCACCCAUAAAUUAGUACUAUUCAAACCCGAAAUCUUAUGACCCAAAACGAUGGCGUCUUCAAAAUAUCAGAAAUGGAUGGAGUGGUUGAUCUACUUCUUCAUUUGUGGGUAUAUGGUAUUUGUGUCCAUGGUUCCAGCUUAUUUAUGUCAAGUAAUUCCGUCCGGUGGUUGCUUGCGGUGCAUAGGAGCGGUUGUCUGGAGAAGAUGAUCAGAGAAGAAGAAGCUUUUUUGUGAUAUUAUGUUUUUACCUUAAAGGCAACGUGAAAUAAUGAUUUGACCCAGUUUUUCCUAAUGAUCUGAUUGUAACCAUGUUUUAAAUGGUAACUUAGUAAUCUGAUUAUUAUUUCAUUUAAAAAACUAUUUUCCUUCGGCUGCUAAAUUUGAUGGAAAAAUUAACAGUUUCGAUUUUCUAAAAAUCAUGAGGAGGAAAAAUGUAGGUUUCUAAACAAUAGAGAAUUAAUGUAAGCACUUGCUUAACUCUUCACCAAAAGGAGUUAUUUCCUAUUUAAUCCCAUUUUUUUUUAUCUAAUUUGUUAAUUCUUACGACAUAAGGAUAGAAUUGACUUCAUGUAAAUUAAUAAUUGCUUGAGAAAAUUGGAUGCUAUAAAUUCCACGGAAGAUGCUUGGUAAUUUCACUACGGUCUUUCUUAAUUGAUGCGUGAGGCUUCUUACAUGUUUGACAAAUUUGAAAGCUAUCUCAGAGGCUCGUUGAAAUAGCGGUUUGACCCAAGAGCGGAAAUGGCAAUCAUAGUUGGUGACAUUGGCAACAUCAAUCAUGCCAUCUGUUAAUCCAGAAAUAAAUUGGAAAAAAAAAAUUUGUUCUUACUGACUGUCCUUGAGAAUUAGACUGAAUAAUUAUUAGGGUAAAUUAUCUUUUACCUUUCCUGUAGUUUGGUGUUUUAUCACGUAAUCUUUCAUAGUUUAAAUAUCUAUAGUUUAGCCAACUCCCUUAACCAACUCCCUCUAGAGGAGUUGGCCACCACAUUAUUUGUGGGGUGAGAGGUCAAUGAUUCAAACCUUGCUUCCCAUCAGUGUGUCUCUAUAUGAGAAUUGUUCUAAAUCCAUAAAAAUCAAACUAACAAAUAGAUAAAUUCACUUUUUCACUACUUUUUUUUUGCUUCUCUCUCUACCUCUCUCUUUUGGAAGAGAAGAGAUGAUUUGAAAAUCUAUCCUUUGACCUACAAAAUCUUAAUUUUCUCCAAAUAUAAAAAAAUUGAAGAGAAAUAAAAAAAUAAUUAAGAAACAAAAAAGAUGGAAGGAAAAUACAAAAAUAUAUAAAUAAGAAGCAAGAAAUAUGGAAGGGAAAUAUAAAACAAAUAAAUAAGAAACAAAAAAUACCAAAUCUUUGUUGACUAAAAAUAUCAUUUUAGGUUUUUAGACCAAAUCUUUAAUGUUAUUUUCUAUUUCUUAUUUAUUUAUUUUUACUUAUAUUUAUUUAUUUCCUUUUUGUAUUUGGAGGGAAAAAAAGAAGUAAUGAAAAACUAAAUUUGUUAAUUCAUUAGUUUGGCUUUGACUUUGAUUUUUUGCUAUUAAUUAUUAGUUUUAACGGAAAAAUAGAUGGUGACGCGUUAACUAAAAUCGUGAGGGGUUUAUAUGCAGGCUUUUCAACCAUAGGAGUGAAUCACAUCUAGUGAGUGCCACGUUUGGGCAGUGAAUUUGGUAAUCAAAUCUUAUAAUAAGAUAGUGAUAACUCUUUGAUAGAGGCCUGAAGAACCAUAAUAUGAUACGAAAAUAUAGUAGACCAUAGGAGAGAAGAAAAGAGAAGGUGAGUCUUUGUCUACUUCCUGUCUUGCAUGUACUUCUGCUGCAAUUCAUAGGCAAAAGUACAUGGUUUGCAAAAGUACAUGGUUUGGUACUCAUUUCAGUAGGUUUGAAGUAGCAAAAACAAGCAAUUUGUUUUUUUGACUAAAUGAAGUUGUCACAUGGAAGAGGGAUAUGGAUUUCUUGUAUCUUCUCAGGGAGAGGAUCAACAUCGACUUUUUCACAUGAUUUAGUUGUUUGUGUAGAAGUUUACUGAUUCAGUUGAUUUUUGUCCAGGCCUAGUUGACCAUAUUGAACAGGAAUUCUAAAAUAAGUAGGAUUUUUUGUUUUCUUCUGGUUGGCAGGAUGAGUGCCCUACGAAUGGGUUGUUUUCCUUACUAUCCACAUGCAUAACUUUUCAUGUUCACUUUGUUGCUUAGUAAACUAUGUUUUCCAGCGGUUAGUAAUGGAACCAAUCUUUACCUUCUAUAGGUUGCAUAGUUAUACAGAUAAUGCCGUUUGAACAAUGGAAACUGGAACGUCCAGUGUAAACUACAGCUUGGGCUGGAGCCUGGAGAUAUGGUUAAGAACUUUUGAUGCUGCCAUUUUGCUCAGUUAUUGGUCGAAGAUAAGCUGGUCAGAACUUUUGACCAAGCAACCUUGGGAAGUUUAAGAAACUUUUAUUGAUCAUAUUACUUACCUUGUUAAACCUUCUUUUUGUCACAUAAAAUGCUGGCAUGCUUUCUUGGAAAUAUGCUUUUGAGUUAUUAAUACAUGAGAGUCGAAGCAUGCCUUUGUAAAUGUAAUUCUUGCAAUAGUAUUACAUACAAUCAGAGGAAAAGAAAGAAUCAGGUGUUUCUACGUCCUACCAAAGUGCAUGCCUUUGUAAAUUUAAUUCUUGCAACAGUACUACGUACAGUCAGCGGAAAAGAAAGAAUCAGGUGUUUCUGCAUCCUACCAAAGUACACAAGGUUUUCUGGACACAUCAGAGGUUUGCCUGUUGAUUUUAUCAAAUGUAAACCCUGUCUUCUUUUCUUGUCUGCGCAGGUUUUUAACUGUUUUGGCCACCAAUUCUGCUUGCACUUUGAGGCGUUUCAUCUGGGAACAGCUCCGGUUUAUAUGGCAUUCCUGAGAUUCAUGGGCACUGAUGAAGAUGCAGAAAAUUUUGUUAUAGUUUAGAAGUUGGUGGAAAAGGUAGAAAGUUAACAUGGCAAGGUGUUUCUAGGACGAGAAAUGACAUUGUCCAUUGGGCUACAUCAAAAUCUGCAAUGCCAUCUUUUAACAGAUUUCAGGUUUAAUCAUCUGAAGAAAUUGUAUCAAUAUGUCAAAAACUACAUUGAUUUGUUAUUAAAGCAUCUUCAUUUACAUAUAUGCAUUAUAGGCAGCAAGAAGUUCAUCCUUCUAAUCUUUUAAAAUAAGGACUGGUCUCAGUAUUCCUCUGAAUCUGAAUCUGAAUGUAAACAUAAAGAAGUAUUCACAAUAUUCUUUGAUCUAAGACGAGGAUUUUCAGAUUAACAUUUCCCCAGUUCAUCUGUUCUUCCUUAAUCUCUUGAACCAAACUUCCAACAUGGCCUGGACACCGAUGCACCUGAAUCAAUUCAAGAGUUGGAAUUUCCCCCAAACAAGAAGGGAGCUCCUCCAAGUUCCAGCAGCUUUCCAAAACCAAUUUCUGAAGACAGGGGAGAUGAUCACCAGAGCACGUCCACCUGACAAUGCACAACAAUUCCAAUUUCAAGAAUUUGAGUUUAGGGAAUUCCCCUUCUUCCAUGUUCCAUAUUUUUUCCCCACCAGCUUUUGUACCGAGUAAUUUGAGAACCUCAAGAUUAGGUAGGCUUCCUAUUGAGGAAAUCAUACUCCAGGGAAAUGCUUCCAGGGUCAACUUUUUUAGAUUCAUGGGGAAGCUGAACUCAUAAUCCUUCUCUUUCACACGGUAAAAAGACAACUUCAGUGACUCCAGUCGUCUCAGAAAGUCCAUUGCCACAAUCUUGUUCCAAUCCCCAAAAGAUUCUUCUGUUUCACGGAGACUACAUUUCAGCUUGCGGAUAUUUGGAAACUUCUGCAUUAUCUUAUCCAUGCUUUGCCCAGGGGCGGAGGGAAGGGGGGGGGCCAGGGGGGGCAACCACGCCCCCUCCAAUUGUUAAAAAAAAAAAAUUUCUAAGUAAAAAUAUUUUUAUUAUAUUGUUUUGCCCCCCCAAAUAUUGAUAAAAAAUUUCACUUUGCCCCCUCUCUCAAGGACCCAAACAAUAAUAUUUGAAAGUUAUUUGGACUUGGUCCAAAUAACAGAGACUCGCCCCCCCCUAAUUGCAAUUCCUAGCUCCGCCACUGGCUUUGCCCCAAAUCAAGCUCAAGAGCUGAUAUAGUGUCUAGGUUACACAAAUCUGAGGAGCUGUCCAAGUUGUCUUUGGCCAAACUAAGAUCAAAAAACUUACCACUUAUGCAGAGACACCUCAAUGUCUGCAAAUUCCAUACGGUAUCUGGAAGAAAAAGAAUACCAUGCAAAGAUUUUAGAAUAAAAGUUUCCAAAUUCCAAAGGUUUGCUAUUGAUGAUGGGAUGUAAUUCAUGCUACCUGCAAACGCCAAGUAUCUCAACUGAACAAGUAACGUAAUUUCGCUGGGAAAAACAAAUCCCAGAUUAAUUUUUCCCAAAUCCAACACUCUCAGAAGUUUGAAGAUGCGAAAAAUGGAUGAGACAUUGUAUGGAGUUCCAUAUUCCUCACUCUGGGUGGAGACCACUAGAGAGCUUAGAAGAGGACAAAAUAGCCUUGACUUCUGAAAAUGCCUUGCUUUAGAGUAAAUAAACAAUCGACGUGUAUUACUUGGCUCAUCAAAAUUAGGAAUUCCUGCAUCAUCACGUCUCAACCUUAGAAGAUUUUCGUCUGUGGCUUUUCUCAAACAAAAUUCAUGCAACAAGUCAUGAAUGCGGCAAGUUUUGAUUCCACCUGUAGAUUUUUGUUUGUCAACCAUAACCAAGCUUCUCCCAAUUAGAUCCAUUAUGUAGUCCUCAGCUCUGUCCUCUAUUCUCUUCGCCUCUGUCUUUUGGACAAAGCCUUCAGCAGUCCACAACCGCAUCAAUGUCCAUAUAGGUAUCUCUUGGUCUUCUCGAAAUGGUCCAAAAUAAAGAAGGCAUGGCUUCAAAUAAUGAGCUAAAUGUUUGUAGCUCAGCUCUAAUAUACUUUUGCAAUGUUCUGUGCCACACACGGUGUCCGAACUUAGACGUUCUGCAAUUUCUUCCCAACCAUCUUGCUCUAAAUUUGCAAGAAUCCCAGCUGUGAUAACAACUGUUAGAGGUAAACCUUUACAACCUUUUGCUAUAUGCUUUCCAUGUAGAAACAGUGCUGGAGGAUUUCCACCUCUUUCUGCCAGCUUCUUUUGUAGUAAUUCUAAGUACUCAUCAUCAGUAAGUUGGCGAAGAUGAAGAGGUUUACUUGCAGGUUUAACUUCCAAAGCCAACUUAGAAAUUCGACUUGUUAAAAGAAUUCUGCUUCCAUUGGCAUCAUUUGGGAAUGAAACUUUUAACGCAUUCCAGGCCGCAAUGUCCCAAACAUCAUCCAAAACUAGGAGAUACCUGCCCCUUUAAACAAUGGUAGGUGCUAUAGCAAGAUCAUCAGCAUCCAUCCUAGGGUAUUCAUCAGAGUCCGAAGGAUCAAUGCAAGCCAAAAUCUGAAACAACACCUCUUUCUUUCCAUAUACUUGAGAAAUACGACACCAAGCACGAAUAUGGAAGUGGCAUAUAAUCAUAGGAUCUUGGUAAACUUUAUUACCUAAAGUAGUCUUACCCAGUCCAGGCAUGUCAACAAUAGAAACACCGUCCAACGCUCCUGAUCCUCCUGUCAGCUGAAAGAUUAUUUGUCCUGCCUCAUCAUGAAAUCCCACCACAACUUGAUUGGAUGUUGGCAUAGUCCAUUGCAACCAAGAAUGGGGUGGAGUCUGCGCUUUCUUUUGAGCUCCACAGGUGAAUUCAUCAUCACCAAUCCCCACAUAUUCCUUAUUAACAAGAUUUACCUUUCUCAUGUGUAGACACCAAAUUUUUGUAAAAAUUUUAACGUUUUCUUGAAUUUUUUCUAUUUAGUAAUUUAUUUAUUUUCUUACAUUUUAAUGUGCAUUUUUCUUAUUUUUACAAGUUUAUUUAAAAAAAAAACAAAAAAAAAAAGAAAAUCAAGAAAUCAAAUCAUCCUAAUCAGUUUUUUUCCACCAAAUACACUUAAUCCAUUCCUACACUCAAUUUUCUUGACCUUUCUUGUCAUUUGGUAAAAUCAUGAUUUUUGACCAACCUAACACUCAAACUCCACUUUGGGCUCAAAAAAAAAUACAUCUCUCGGCUCUCUCCCUCUCGGCAGAGAAGAAGAAAAAAAGGGAUCCCCUCAAUUGUCUCUCUCGGUUCUCUUUUUCUCCCCAAGACACAAGGACUCAACAGACAAGCAAAAACAAAACCAACACUCCAAUUUUUUCUUCCCAAAAAAUCCCUCUCGGCUCACUUGGGCAAAAAGGAAAAAAAAAAACACACAAGAGAAAAAAAGGGAGGCUCUCGGCUCUCUCUCUUGGCUCUCAACCGAAAAAAAUAAGGAAGAAAGGGCACUCUUCCUCCUCCCAGCUCCCUCUCAGCUUUUUCUUUGCUCACUUCACACAACACACUCACACACAACUUCAAACAUCAAAAGAGAGGCAGCAACCGGUUGGAUAAUUGGAGCUUUGCAUCAGAAACUUCAACCAAGGGAUUGCCAUCUACAUUGAGGUAAUUUUUUUUUAGUUUUGUUUAGCACAUUAAAUCCAUGCUUCAUUGUUUAAUUUUCUUUUGCUUUUGCUGGUUUCCUUGGUUGUUGGGUUGCUGAAUUUUUGGGACAAGUCAUGCACAGAAUUAAGGAAAAAGAAACGGGCCCAUGAAUGCAUGUCAAGUGCUUGUGAAAAUGCCAAAUUGGAAAAAACGAAUUUUAGGGGUUGUUUUGCUUUAUUCUAGCCUUUUUAUGUCGUUUUCUUGUCAAAUUAACAUCAUAGUUGUAAUGUAGAAGUUGCAAGGAGUGUUGUAGUAUAAAUUUUAUGUUUUUUAGUGAAGAUUUGAGGGUUUAAAAAUAAGUAAAACCGCGGCUGUUUUUGGGCAUUUUGGCCAACUUCGGGUUUUUUUUGUAAAAAGUAACUCCGGAAAUGAAAUCUACGCGAAAAAUGGAGUGAGAAGGUGUAUUUUGAGAAAUUUUGGCGACCGGAAAAUUCGCCGGUGCCGCCGGCAGCCGCUAUGGCCGCCAGCUGAAGCUUCUUCAGCUGGCCGAAGAAGAAGAGAAAGAAACGGCUGGAAGUGGAGGAAGAAGGAAGGAUGAAAAGAAAAGAAAGAAAGGAAGGAAAGAAAAAAAAAUGGAUUGGGCUAAUGUUUUUUUUUGGUGGGCUUGUAAUUGUUUUUUUAUUGGGUUUUGGAAAUGGGUUUUGGUUUAUAUCUUUUGGAUUUUGGUUUGGCUAGGAGGUUGGAGCCCAUGUGUUUUUUGAUCGGGCUUGAGUUAUAAAAGACUGGCUGGCCUGUGUGUUUUGACUUGGACUUUUGACUGGGCCUACGUAGGUUCGGCCCAAGUAAAAUAAAAAGGGAGGCCCGAUGCCUUUUUCUUGCCCAAAUCAGAAACCGAAAGUUUCACUUUAACACCUGAUCUUUGGAGUAGUUUCACUGUAGCCCAGAACAUUUUAAUUUGUUUCACUUAGGUCCUUAAAUUAAUUGCACUUUGGUCCUUUAAUUUUAUCUUUCAUUUAAUUUUGACCCCCAAACUUUGGAAAAAUAUAAUUUCUGUCCCCAAAAGUUUUUCCAAUUUUUGCAAUUCAGUCCCUGAUGAAUUUUGACUCUCUUUAUUAUAAUUGCUUCUUUUCUUUAAUAGCUAAUUAUGUUACUUUUGAGUAUAUUUAACUUGUAAUUUUUAGAUGUUCUUAAAUUUCUUUGCUUUUGACAUGUUAAGGAGAAUUUAGUAUUUCUAUCAUUAUUAUUAUUUUCAAUUAAAUUGGUGCCAUGAUCCUUUUGUUCAUUUUGAGUAUAAAUAGGGCAAUUUGACUCCAUUUAGUCACCACUUCAAAUGGGAGGUACCCCUAUUAUUAUUUCAAUAUCAAUUAUGUGCUCUUAUGUGCUCCUAUGUGUUCCUAUAUGUUUAUAUGUUUUUAUAUGCUUUAUUUAUUUGAUUUAAAUGUUCAUCCAAAUUUUCUUAUAUUUAUUUAGUUAGUUUUUAUAAUUAUUUGAGAGGCAUUUAAAUACCUCAAAAAUGUAAUAGAUAGAAUAAUUAUAUUUGUUUUAUUAUAUUUUUCCCUUUUAGAUUGUAGUUAGAUUCUCCACUGUAAUAGAUAGGUCUUUGCGUGUUUAUGUGGCUUAUGUGUUAUAUGUUUUACCCGCUUUCUUUAGGAUUUUUUCAUCUAGAUAUUAUGUUUACGUGUUAUGUGCUUCGUGCUUUUAUGUGUUUAUUUGUUUUAAUUUAUGCUUUAUUUGUUUUACUAUGAAUUAUUAAUGCAUGGCGUCACCACACUGGUCCAACGCUAGUUGUGAUUUCUCCCUUCGUUUACUUGCUAGUCCAACGCUAGUAAGGAUUUUUGAAAAUGAUCCAGUCCAACGCUAGACCCGUAGAUUGUUCGUGCGUUAGACUCAUUUUUGUGUGAUAUUCAUUACAUUUUCACGCAUAUUUUCAUUUUUAGGAUCUUUUUCCAUUUGCAUGAUAUUUCCUAUUAUAUUAUCCCCUAUCCUCUAUAUGUGUUAAUCAUGUCAUUUAGAAUUGCAUUUCAUUUAGGACAUUAUAUAAUAAGUUAGUUCAUUUGCUUGUGCAUAUUAGGAGAAUUUUUUUUCAAACAUGAGAAAUGGGUGAUUAUAACUUUUUAGUUUAAAUAUUCCAUUAAUCCCUGUAUAAGAAAAUUAUUGUCACGAGUUUUUGCCUCCCGUACCCUUUAUGUUGCAUUCCCUUUUUCUUUGAUCACUUAUAUCUAUGUAUAUAAUUUAAUUUAAUUUAAUUUCUUUUCUUUUAAUUUCAUCAUUCGCAUAUUCGUGACCCCUUCAAGGAAUUAUUUUGGCCUUUGCAAUUAAUGCGAUUGGUAUCAAUUAAACCCUUGAAUGGAUAUUUUGUCCCUCUCGAUAUUUUUAUUUGCAUCCAUGUAGGAAACAUCCAAAUGUGAUAAAUUUAAGGGUUAGAUUAAGAAAAUUUUGACUAAACCACGCAACUAGCUUAGACUAGGUUGAAAGGGUGCCUUAGGUUUAAGAUAAUUGAACCUUUGCCUUCCCUUUCUUCAACCGUGACUUUCGAACUCAUUUUCUCUGUUUUCAAAGACCUGGAGUUGUAGAAAAGGGUUUUAUUUUAUUUUAUUUAAAAACACUUUUUGGGUGACUUGGUACACCCAAAUUCGAUACCAAGUGGCGAUUUCUAAUUUUUCUUAAAAACCCUUUUAGACUAAAUUUUGAGCUCAAAUUGUCGCAUUUUUAAAGUCCCAUUUUAGGUCCCUUUUUUAUUUUUCAUUUAUAAAAUCAAGUCUUUUAUAAACCCUUUUAUUUUUUCAUUGCGAAAAAUGGGGCGCGACACCAUGAUGGUGCUUACAUAAUGUCUGUCUCCAUUUUCUGCCUUAAUAAGCUUAAUAUUUUUUUGAAAAAGCAAAGAACACAUGAUCCAUAUCCUUGGUUGAGUCCUCUUUCAAUUCAUGCAUAAAAAGUGAGUGGAUCACACUUUUAGCUUCACCAACAGCAUCUCCAAUAAUAUCCUUCACGUUUUCAGGUAGCUUAUCAAAGUUCUCAUGCUGGUUUUUAAGAAUUGUUCUCAAGAAUCUCAGUCCCUCAUAGACUAUAUGCAUUUGACUGGUUGUAGAAUCCAUUAAGCCGGUAUUGCAAUUAAGUAGCUCCCAAAAAUUAUCUAGGAGAGCAUCAACAAAAUUCCCCAAUCUAUGCUUAUUAGUCUCCUUUGACAUAAUGCAUGAUCCUGAUGAAUUAGAAGCUACUAGGACUUGGAUAUAAAUGUCACGGACUUAAGGAUCAAAGGGGUUGAUCUUCUGUAACGGUUUUGAAAUCUAUCUUGCACUUGGACACUUGUUCACAUUUUAUGUCAAACCAACAGAUGGAAAAGAGGUCUGCUGCAUUCAGAUCCACAGAAUUGAUGUGGGAUAAGGCAGCUCCCAGUUGCCUUUGCUCAACAACUCGCAACACAGCAAAGCGAAUCAAACUAUGGAAGAACCUCAGCUUCUCCUGGAGGUCUUUGCAUAGUUCCAGCAGGUCUUGGUCAUCAUAUCCAAAUAUGCAGAGAAGAACAUCCACCAGAUUCUCGAGCACAGAGUCGAUGAGUUCCAUCAACUCAUGUCCCGUCAGACAAUUACUGGUUUGCGACAAACUAUUCGAGAAAAUGAAGUAAAAAUGGUUGAUUGUUUGCUUAAAACUUUUGAUACUACUUUGAACCCUACGAGUCAAAAUAAACAGCCGUUUAUUGAAUACUCGGUCUGUUUUCUGCUCUAUUUGAAGUCUAAGUGCAAGUUUAUGGAUACCAGCUUCAAGUUUAGACAUGAAAGAUUCUAGAUAGCUUACAUGCUCGUUGUUGUCAGAAGUGCUCCAUAUUCUGGCGCAGAGAAGAAAUGUCCUCAUGAGUCUAUACUCCCGCUUCAGUUGCUCAGAUUGAUAAACAUUUAAAUCCCAAAGGCCAUCCAGAUUUUCCAAAGCAUUCAAGACUGAAUCUACACAGUUGGAGGAGGUGGAAGUGGAAGAGGCCAUCUCUUAGUGGGGUGUUGGAUUGCUAAGCAGCUAUGGAACAACAACGUUCAAAUCUUGAACAGCUAAACUAAUCGAUUGAUGCUAAACUCAAGAAUGAAGAAGAAUUCUUCUCUGCACCUCAGAAAAUCCUUUUGGCCAACCUCCUUGUUCAGCUAGAAAUGUAAUGGUUGAAAGUUUUCACUCAAGUUUGAACUUUGAAGCAAUGAAGUGGUUUUAGUCGAUUGGAGAUCUAGCAGCCUUGGUGAGACUGUUGACCGGUCAAAUUCAUGCGGCAUAGAGUUAGGGAUGGGCAAAAUUAUGCGCUAACCGAAAAAUCGUCAUAUCCAAUCCGAUCCAAUUUGAAAAUUAGUUCGAUUUUUAUUAUUUGAUCGGGUCAAAAGAGGAUCAGAUACCCGCUAAGAUGCAGGGCAGAUUAGGGUCACAUAAUUAAAAACAUGCGAGAACCCGAUCCGCCCCGCAUAUAUAUAUAUUUUUUAUUUAUACACACACUAUAAAAUAAUAAGUUAGAACUAAAUAAGUAAUUUUAUUGAACAAAUUGCAUUACAAAUAUGAGAGACUAUAGUUUAUUUACAAGAUUCAUUUGUAGAGACCAUGAUCUUAUAUUUUAUAGAAAAAAGUUUAAUUAAUGUGAAACAUAUAUAUUAAAAAUUGUGCUACUUAUUUCAAACUUUUAUUGAUUUUGAAUUCUUUUAAUUUUUUUCCUUUAUCUUAUAUUCUCUUCACAUGCUUGUUUCUUGGUAGGAAAUCUUUUUAUAGAAAUUUUUUUUUAUUAAAUCUUAGAUGAAUGUGUAACAUGUAAAAUUAAAUUGGUAUAAAUCAUUUUUUAAAAAAAAUUAAAUAAUAAAUGAGGCGGGUCGGAUACCCGCUGAUAUGCAGGGCGAGUAAAGGUCAGAAAAUAACUGACCCGUAAGGUGCGGGUUGGAUCAGUCAAAUGAUAAAUGAGACGGGUACCCGAUCCGUGCCCACCCCUACAUAGAGUGAUUGGUCAUUUGGUUUAGUUAGGCAAUUUGAUAAGCCACUUCAAAGUGGCUUGCCAUAUUUUGUGACCAAUAGUGGGAGGCAAGGUUUGAUCCCCUAACCUCCCACCCCACCAACUUUGGUGGUGGCUGGUAGUGGUGGCCACUGAGCUAAGGAACUAAUUUGGUUGGAUGAGUUGAUUCCUCAUUUCUGUGAUAGAAAAUUGCCAAACACCCAAUAAGUUUUCCUACUAUUUUAAUUAAUUUUUCAUCUCGCAUAAAGGUUUUUGGAAGUGGAAUCCUAACAUAAACUUUAGUGAAAAUAAAUCUAAAAAAAAUUCCAAUAAUAAAAAUGGAAGAUUUGCAUAGUCUAGUUCUCUAAAAACAUACUCUGUAUAACAAUUAUUGAGUAUAGUUAUUUGAGUAUAGUUAUGUCAUAUCGCCUCUAAUCACUUUCUCACAAACUUAUUCCCUCUUAAUAUGCGAUGCUUCGCUUUGUGCCUCAGCGUUUUAUCCUAUGUUUCAGCUACCCCGAAGUCCACCUCUAUCCAAAUUUUAAUACCAUUUUUGGCUUUGGCGAAGAGGAUUACCUGCUUUUGCGAGAAGCUGAAUGUCUCCACUGUAGUUUUCCCCAUGCCUAAUUGAAUACUCAUGCCCUGCCCCCUUGUAAUGGUCCAGUACCCCUAAUAGCAAGGACCCCCAUGUACCUUGUGACCAUGGCAUGACACUCUGCAAGUGUAAAAGAACACCAGUCCAUUUUAGGAUUUAAGGUUUAGAGUUUAGAGUUUAGAGCUCAGGGUUCUAGGUCAUGAUGUCUGGAUUCAUGGUAACACCAUGCCCUUGAAUCAUGGCAUCCAUAUCUGCCCGGGCAAACCAAAAGUUUAAUAACAAUUCUCAAUGCAUUAAGUAGAAUUAAGAGAAGAAUGAUGACACUUAGUCCAGUGACUAAAACUAAGAUAUCAGGAAUUAGAGGUUCUUUGUUCCAAUCCCCCUGUUCUCUCCUCCUUCUUAAAUACCCACCCCUCUCAUGCUAGAAUUGGAGGAAAAAAAUAGGGAGCAAAUGAUGAAAGCAUGAAACAGCCAUCAUAUUGAUUUGCCACCAUUUCAUAUCAUCUAUAUGUGCCAUCAUUUAUCCAAAACCAAGGAACUCAGUCACGAACUAAAAGCUACCAACAAAGAAGUCCAUCAAUACUGCAAACACGUAAGUUCAUGAGCACAAGUACUACUUCAGCUAACACUGGAGCAUAAACAGCUUUAGCAAAUCCAAUAUCCAACCAUACAUCAUGAUAUCUGAUAUCCAAACAUAAGCAAUAACAUAGCACGAUGACAUGGUGAAUGCAGACAAAAUGUCUACCUUGGACUAGGGCCACAGCGCUUGACAUCUAAUAUCCAAGCAUAGUACAAUAACAUGGCACAAUAACAUAGCACAAUGACAUCUUCCGUUUCAUCCUCUAACAAAUCCCCUUCAACUGCCGCUAGAUAUGCUUCGACCGCUUGCAAAGCUGUCCGACAAUGGAACAUGUCAUCGGUAGGGGCAGGAGGGGAAGGAAUACCAAUUGAUGGAGACAUGCAGGACUCUUUCCUCUUACUGAAGUGGGAGCUAAUACUGUCAAUUUCAAAUGACUGAGUAUUUACUUCCCCAGGGCUUGAAUUGCCAAACUUCCUCGUACGUUUAGGUAUUUUCAACUUCCCCUUAUUCAUAGCUUUUCCCCUCUUUGGAGCCACAACCUCAACAUGAUCAUCAGUUGAAUCUAACUGGAUUGCUCUCUUUCCUUUUUGAAGUUUUGCCAUCUUAUUUUCCAGCUCACGCUCAUCAUCAGUACAAAGAGGUGCCUGGCCAGAUUUCUGACUAUACUUCCCUGAUGCACCCUGAUCAUGGAACAACUUGGUCAGCACAUGAAAUUGCAAACAAACAUUAAGCUUCUUGUUCUGAUGAAGCAGACUUAACUUACUUUAGUCAACUCAUCUUUAAAGGUUUAAGUUUGGGGGAAAAAAAAGGACACAACACUAAUAAAUUGCAAGGCAAGGCCAGUGGGUGUUAACAUGAACCAAUUAACUCAUACAGAAACCAAUAGAUUUAUACCUUGAAGUAAUUUGUAAUGCAGAGUUUCAAGUCAUUUUCGCCCGAAAUGGACUGUACACUGUCACAGAGAACGCCAGCUUUUUGUCUGGCUACUGCAAGUAUAAAGAAGGCAUGAUAAGAACCUAUAAAUCGAUUUAACAGGCACAACUAAUCAUAGUCAGCGACAUACCCAUCAAGGAGGACCUUGUACAGGGAGGCAUGAAAAUACGUUACAACAAAACAACAUUCAACACGAAUAGCCAAAUAUCUGAGGAAAGGACACGAGGUGUCAGAAAAGAUAGCAAUCAUGAUACUUAUGCAAUAGCAAUGAAAUGGAGGCUACAUUUCCAAAAGACGGCAGUAAAUGCAACAGCACAAGUAUGAUCAGUCUGGAACAAAAUUUUCAUUAUAUGCUAAUUCAGAGCUAGCUACAAUGUCACACAGUAACAGGCAAUAGACAUGAAACUUCCAAUACAAGCCCUCACAUAAACUCCCAAUUACAAGGCUAAUUUCUAAGAAAUUCCUGGGGAAGUGUUACCAUAGAAAAAGGAAAAGAAAUUGUUAACUGAUUUAAUCCGUUUCUUUGGAUUAUAGGGAUAACAGCACAUUUUCUGUGUCCUAAUUGGUCCGAACAGAGACAAAAGAAAUCUGGGCAAAUUAAAACAGAGAUGUCGAAGCUACAAUCUUUGCAAUUUCAAGACCUAUACAUUUAAAAUAACGUUAAUGACUACCGAUGAUGAUCUUCUUUCAUUUAAAUAGGUUUUUGGAACCUUUUCAGUUCAAAUAUGUCUGAAAUUUUCUAUAUUUCUGUCUAAUUUCUUUCCAUAACUUUCCAGAGAAAAAAAAAGUGCAUAUAAAAAGUAGAAAACACAAAACAACAUUUUAGCAAAAAAAAAAAAAAGAAAUUUCAUAACGAAUCAGUGAUCAAAACUUGAACUUCAUAAACGUAUAUUUACUACAGUGUCUUGACCUAAUGUAAGUUUCCCGGUGUCAAGUGAAAAGAGCGAAUAAUCUACAACUCUAACCAUCAAAUGAUACCACCACGAGAUAGGCUAGAAAAUUUCUUCCAAACGCAGUUAAGAUCUAAGUAGAAAUUGCAGAAACCAGUUACAUUGCUCGGAAAUUUAAAAAGAACAAAAAAAAAGAAGGGAAAAAGGAAUUGCUUAGAAUCAGAGGGAGAGGAGGGACUUCCGAGACCAGCACUAAACGGCGGGGACAACUCCAGCAGGUGGAUGGCGAUUGCCGGCAAAUGGCAGCGGCAGCUGUGGAGGAGAAAAAGGAAUAGAGUUUCGAAGAAAUUCAAAUGGAAGAGGAGGAGGUCCAAAUCGCAUGUAUAAAUCUUCAAACGGUAUCGUUUCCUCUAUUUAUUUAUUUAUUUUGUAAAUUCACCUGAAAAAAAAGGCCCCUUAUUUUUUGUGCAGAAAUAAGUUCAUCUGAAAUUGUGAUGAUUCUAGUGAAUUAAACCAAAAAAAGAACAACUAGUUCAUUGCAUUUCAUCAAUAAUUAAUAAUGUCAAUUAUAUGCCAACAAUUAUAAGAACGAAAAACAUUCCCCUGAGUUAUAAUGAAUUAAAUCAAAAAAAGAAGAACAAAUUUUAUUUAUAAAUUAUAAAAAAUACACUCCUGUUUAUAUUAGUUUCUGUGAUACCAAAUACACUCCUGUUUAAUAAAUGGACAAAUUGUUGCAUUUCAUCAUUAAUAAAUAAUAUCAAACAUGCCAGUGGUUACAAAAUAUGAAAGAUUCCAUACUUUUUUAUUUACCAAAAGAAAGAAGAACAAAUUUUAUUUACAAAAUCCAAGUUUAAAGAGUACUUCAAACAUGAAACAAAACAUAAUAAAUUGGUACUAUAAAUCUCUUAAAAAGUACCACGAAUCUUUUUAUUUCUUAGAUACAAAUAAAUUAAGCCUUAAGAGCACCUUUUUAAUAUGCGUAUAUUUGUAUUAAGUAAAAAAAAUUAAUACAAAAUAUAAUACGAAAUGGAAUACUAAGGUAGGCAAAGAGUUUGAUGUUGGGAAUUUAUUUAUUUAAAUUGCAAUAUAGAUUAUAUUUAAUGAACUUUAUCAAUCAUAUUCUUGUAUCAACUAAUAGUAUUAAACUACAAUUAAUGAAUAUUAUAUUCAUCAAUGCCAAUCAUAAUAAUAAUUACAAAGGUGAAGCAUCCUUUGAAUUAUGGUAAUAAAAAUAGAUCCAAGUUAGUUUGAAUAUUGUAUAAUAAAUAAUCUUAACAUCUUACAAUUUUUAAUGAUAUUAACUCUAUAAUCAUAAAGCAUGCCAUCAUGGAGAAAUACAAAUAAGUUUCACCAAAUCAAAUCAUUUCUCUUCAAAGUUAAGCUAUUUAAAUUUGAACAAUGGAAUUUCAAUAUAUUCAGAUAUUACUAUAAUUACAAUAACAUUAUAGAUCAUUUUACAAUCCACUGUUAGCAAAAUAAUAAUAAUAAUAAUAAUAAUAAUAAGAAAAUUUCACUAAAACUAAUAAACAAUUCAUAGAAUGACUUGAAAGGGAGCAACAAAUUAUUCAAAAAUUAAAAGUUUAAACUCAAAUGGCAUAAAAAUGAACAUUUAGGUCAUCUAAAUUUAACCAAAACACAAAAGUAUUGAUACUAUUACAAAAUAAAAGUACUCUUGGAACAAAGAAUGAUUUAUUGUUUGUGCAUUUGUAUUGAUUGGGGCAAACUAAGUUCAGAAAAAGUAUAAAAUAACAUAAAUAUUAAAUAUCACAUUUUUUUGUCUCAAUUACAUUUAUUCCUUCAAAAUAAUAUAAAUUUACAAAUCUCCCUUGAGAUUUUUAACAAUUACAAAGAGCUCUCUUUAAGUUUUAAAAAUUACAUAUACCUCCCCUAUUUUUACUAUUUAGUAACAAUGUAGGUCUAACCAACUAAAUUUUCUCUUAAAAAUUCUAAAUUGCCCUUUUGUACAAAAUUAAUAAAGAAAAAUAUACUGUACUCAAUCAUUUUCUUCCACACUUUGCACAAAUCAACAAGUCUAAUUCCUAACAACCAUCCAAACAUAAGUUCUAAAAUCAAGUAACUGUUCAAAAGAUUCCAAAUUGCAUAUACAAUAUCAAUACUUAUCACGCAAAAAAAAAAAAAGAGAAAAAAAGACAAGCCCCGUUGAUAACCAAUUUUAUACCCCCAAAAUUAAAUAUCAAAUCUCAAAUACCUUUUCAGUACAAGCUAAUUUGAUCUAGAACCACUAUUACAACCCCUCCUAUGGCCUUAAAAAUAUUAAAAUCUUAAAAUAGAGAUAAAUUCUACCUCGACAAUAAAAUCAUAAUAACAAAUUCUAAUUCAAUGAAAGAGAUCCUUAUGUAACUAUUGACAUUUUAUCAAAGUUUUUUGACAACAAGCAAAAUAUGACUAAUUUCACAUAUUUAGUUUUUCUUCCUAUUUCAAUCAUCAAUUUCAUUAUUUAUUUCUCUAUCAUUGCGAGUCUCUUCAUUUCUUUCUAAUUUGACACAUAAUCUGCUCCCUUGGUGAUUUUAUAAUUUUAAUUUGCUAAUAUUAACAAAAAUGAAGAUAAUAAAAAUAGGUUAUAUUAACUAGAAAAUAAAGGAGCGAAAAUAGACAAGAGACAAAAAAAAUAGAAUAUUUCUUUUGGGUUUUGUAAAUGUAUUGCCUUAAAUUUAAAAUUGUCUGUCAAGUGGAGGGCAUUAUAGGUAUUUUACUAUGUCAAGGGAGGUAAGUGUAAUUUCUUAAACUUAAGGGGAUUUGAGAGCAAUUGUUAGAAACCUCAAGGGAGGUUUCUGAAAUUAUCCCAAAUAAUUGAUUUUCUAAAAAUUUUAAAUCAGGUUUGAUAGGGCAUAAUUUGUUGUUAAUUUUAUGAUUAAUUUUCCUCUUUGUCCUUGUCAAAUAUUGUUUUAAUUGUUGAAAUGUACUUAUAUUUGGUAUUUGGCCUUAAUUACAGGAAGUGGAGCAAACAAGUGCUAAAAAGGAGACUUUAUUAAGAAAAACACUCCACACAUGGGAAGUUCUAAAAGGAAAUACAAGCCGGGCUCCACAGGAUGCUACAAAAAGGGAUUUCCUAUCUUUAUGCUGAAAAGGGUGGACUUGUACUAGGAGUCUUACGGGUAAAGAGGAAACUAAAAACAAGGACUUUGGCAAAGCUCCAAUUCUUUGGCCCUUGGACUCUCAAUUCAGUGGGGACCACUAGAGAUAGCAUUAGACUUUCUUUUGGCUUUAAAAAGGGAGAAACGUACAGGAGGUUUUGUUAUCAAUAGUUUUAGCUUAGCCUUUAGCAUAGUUUUAGUUUUCUUUUCUUUCUUGGCUCUUUUGAUGGCCUGGACCUCAGUUAAAUUACUUGGAGAUUUUCUCAUGAGGCGUGGCUAAGUUUUUCUAGUCGAGGAACAACGGAGGACUUGGUUCUACUAAAUUUGUGAGAUCGAAUUAGUUUUUAUUUAUUUCCAUUAUUCACUGGUAUUCGUCUAUCUUCUGCUUUAUGUUCAUAUGGUUGUUUUAUUAUUCGAUUAUCCUGGGCCCGGAUUCUAGAUUAAUUCAAUAACCUGAAGCCAAUUAGGGUAGUUAAAUCCGUAAUUGUUUAAUUAUUCUAAACUGGUGGCAACUGGCAUGAUUGGGUUUGUGUCAGGGAGAUAGACAUGCUAACUUAAAGAGACCCUCGUAGCGUGUUGAUUGGUUAGAAUUAGGCUCUUCUAAUUAUUCAUGCAAUUAGGGAAUUGAACUUCUAUGGUCGUACCUAGGGUUGUUUCCUGAUUAGAGAAAUAGUCAACGGUGGUACCUUGGCUAUCGACAAAUUGAGGAAGAGUUGGUUGUUUAUCGCGUGUAUGACAACUAUAACUAAUUUAUCAGAUAGUAACUGGAAUAAUCCUUGCAUCUGUGAUUGAAUUAAGUGAACCAACUCCGAAAUUGUCUCUUGGCUAGAGUUCGUCCAUUAUUAUUUUUAUUGUGAUAAUUAGUUAUUUGAGUUGUAGUUAUUUUAUUUUAUUUUAAUUUAUUCCAAGUAAUUUAGUUACUCUCAUUUUCAAAAACCCGCCAUAUCUGGAAUUUGAGAAGAAAUUAAAUUAUCCCCAGUCCCUGUGGAUUCGACCCUGCUUACCGCUAUAUACAGAAUUUUUAUUUUAUUUGAGCAGGUAUUUAUUAUUGCACAGGCUUGACACCUGUCAAUUUUUGGCGCCGUUGCCGGGGACUGGUCCCAGAUUAAUUUGUUUCUUUUUGAGUUUAUUUUUUUUAUUUUUUUUUAUUUUUCUCUUAUUUUUUUUUAUAUAGUUUAUGGCUUCUAACACUCCGUAUUUUAGUGAUAUACUAAAUUUUAUUUCCGGGGAAGGCGAUGAGACUAGUUUUUUUGCUAAGUCUGCAUAUUCAGAGACACUAAACUCUAUUAGAGAAAGAAUGGCUGCUGCAACCUGUAAAAUUUGUUAUGCCAGGGAUCAUUCAACCGGUAUGUGCCCCGAAUAUCAAGAUAAUCUGAGUGUCCCACUCAAUAAUUAUGGAGAUUUUUCACCCUGGUCUCAAACGUGGUAUAACCCUAAUCCAAACGGGUAUGAUCAAGAAUGGUGGGAUAACUCCGAUUAUAAUUAUACAACGGGGCCAAUGAAUUUUCAGCAGUAUGAGUCUCAAGAAUCGUCAUCUAUGUCAGGUAUGUCUCUUGAAGAAAUAGUUGAACCAAUAGCUACUAAUACAUACCAAUUCCAACAGGAGACACAAAUGAGGAAUGAGAUGAUGAAGGAUGCAAUGAGUUAUCUGGCAGAUCAACUAUGUCUAUUGACAUCCAGAAUAAAUCGAUUGGCUUCUCAAAUGGAAGAAUUGCCCUCGAAAACCAUUGUUGAUCUAGAAGAAAAUGAGAGUGCAAUUUGCUUGACUAGUGAUGAGGAGAUACAAGAGUGUCAAAAUGAGAAAUCUACAGAUGCAGUUGAAAAAGAAGCCGAAAAGGAAGAAAUAGAACCCCAACCGCAACCCAUUCAAGUGAAAGAAUCCAGUGAAGAAUCAUCAAAUGUGGUGACACCACCUCCAUUCCCUAACCCGCAUUUUCUUAACUCUUACUCCAUGAUUUCUAUUAAUGAGAUUGAUUUUGUUAUACCAGAAGUUUUUGAGUCUCAUGGCAGAAAUAAGUUAAGAAUAGCGAUGGUCAAAUAUCUUGAACCGUUGUGUGCUCUUGAUGGAGGAGUGGAUGAAGAAUUGAGAUCACUGCUUGAUUAUUUGACGCCAUCAACUAGUCCAUGGAAGACCGUAGCUCGUGUGUUCAAAGAUUACUCCAUCUAUGAGGGUUACCAGGAUCACAUUGAAGAUGAAGCAUUGAAGCGAGCCACAAGAUUUUAUCCUCCAUGAGCAAAACAUGAUAAUGUCUAGCCAAAGACAUUAAAGAAAUGCGCUUUUUGGGAGGCAACCCAAUUGUUAAUUUUAUUGUUUUAGUGCUUAAUUAUUUAAUUAUGUCGUUUUUCACGUGGGUACUAGUCACUCUUGAUGUUUUCUAACUCUGAUCAGGAUAGGUAAUCUUAGCGUGCCCACGCGAGGAGGGCACGCGUUAAAGUGCGUAAAGUAACUCUCGAAGUCAGUGGAUGCUCUCUAAUCUUGGCGUGCCCACGCCAUGUUUGACGACCCAAAAACAAAGGAAAUAAUUUUUCACUUUAAAAAAAAAAUAAUAAAUUUUUUUUUUAAAAAUAAAAGUAAUUUCGUUUUUCAUUUUCAGUUUUGGUAUUCAAAAAUCGAAUUUUCCAAUCUCAAUUCAAUUUAAAAAAAAAAAAAUUCCAAAAAAUUUUUUUUUUUCUUUCUUCUUCUUUUCUUUCUUCUUUUUCUUUCUUUCUUCCUUCUUCCCCGCUGCUUUCCCUUUCCCCCUGUCCUUUUCUACUUCAGUCGCAGCCUCCAUGCUCCACCGUGCCUCCACGCCAUCAGAUCGCGGCCUCACCUCACGGUCGCCACCAGCUCUGCCAAGCCGCGCCUCUCCUCCACUCUCACCUUCCAAGAGCGCCGCCUCCUUAGCUUCGCUCGCCGCACCCCACCCACGGCCUGCUCCAGUACCAGCUCUCCACCAGCUCGCGCGCCUCUCUCCGCCUCACGGUCCACCACCACGCGAGCACCGCCAGCUCUCAAGCUCGCCGUGGCCUCCUCUCUCCACCACCAGCUUGCAACCCUCUGCUUCAACCCGCCGCCACUCUCUUCGCCACUGUCUCCACGCAGCCCGCCGCCACCUCACCUCGCUCACCACCAGCCUCAAAGGCCUUCCCCCCAUCGCGAGCCAUCUGCCCAACGCGCACGCUGCCACUCUCCCCUCCCGACUGCCCCAGCGCGCCUCCUCCUUAGCUCAGCCCGCCGCCUGGUGCUGACCACCACGCCGCGCGCCGCCAGCGCUGGAGCCGCCUGCGCGCUACCACUUCACCUACUGCGCGCCUCCACCUCAGCUUGUCCGCCAAUGUCGCGCGGCUGUCACCACCUGUCCUAUUUAGACAGGUGGAGGUAUUGUGAAUUCUGCCCCAAUUAGUUUCACUCUCUGAAAUUUGUGGUUGGAUUUCUUGAUUGAUAAAAGAAGGUGAUAAUUUGGGCAUUUUCUAGGGUCAAUUUUGGACAGAAUUGGGUUUAAUUGCUGCCAUAGUGGGGGUAUCUUCUGCUAUUUAUUGAAUUGUUGGCCUUUUGAUUACUCUUUCCCUGCGACUCACCAGGUACUGGUUGAGAUCUUUUGCCUAUCGUUGUGGCUUAUAUUUGAAGAUACUUGCUUAUUUUGCCGUUUCAGUUCUUGUGGUUGAGUUGCUGCCGUUGAAUUUAAUUCUUUCCUGUUUGUGCACCAGUGGUACUGGUUGCGGUGUUGCUUACAAUUCUUAAAUUUUCUCGAAUUCUAAUCGGUAGUUGCUGGAAUUGCUUGUUUGCUGGGAUUCUUAAAAUUCUUAAGGCUUGGUAUCUUGAAGUGGGUACUUGAAUGUCCACUUGGUGACAUUUGUUGAGUUUCACUUGCUCCAAUUGGUUGAAUUCAUUGCUCUGUUGGGGUCCCUACUGGUAUCACUUGACUUCUGCUUUGUUAGUUUCUGUAUCGUGCCCCUUGAUCUUAUUUUGACUGAAUUGGAAACCCAGUGCAUAUUCAUUCAAUUUGCUGUAUUGUUAGGGUACUUUUCUAGCCUUUGGGGUGCCUCAGUUGUGCUUUUUAUUAAUUGGGUUGGCCAUGUGGUUCCCUCCUUUCCUGUGUAUACACCAGUGGUACUGGUUGUGCUAAUUUGCUUACAAUUUCUUAUUUCGAUAUGAUUGAGCAUCUGUGACUGAGUAUCCUUCGAUCUUGUUGCUUUGUUGGGAUCGUUUUUGGUGUCAAUUGAGUAUCAUUUGGUACUUUCUGCCUGGAGUCUAUUGAGCUGCCUUUGGUUGGGGUGUAUUGCAUUUAAUUGGUGCAUUGGACGGCUCCUGUGCCAUUUCCGUUGCUUAUUGAAGUAGGUUGCCUCUAUUUGCCUUGUGUGGGAGUAUUUUGUCCUUUUCAUUUCAAUUGCUAAAUUCAUUGGAGCACUUGUUGCGGUUUUGGGAUGCAUUGUUAUUGCAUUUGGCUAAGCAGGGGACCACCCAGGGGCUAACGACUGGGUCCAACUCCGAAUGCAAGUUGCAUAACAUGGCGCAGAAUUUGGCAGCACUCCGCCCGACCCACUCCUGUUUUGACAACUUCAGGGAAGUACCGUUACCCUUCCCCUUCCUUUUGCUGUUAGUUUAUCACAUUGAGGGCAAUGUGAGAAUUAGGUGUGGGGGGGAUCAGUUUGGGUGCUAGUAUUUCCAGUUUUCGAUUUUUAGGUAUCUUUCCUUUGUUUUUAGUUUGAUAUUUAUCUCCUUUUCGUUUAUUUCUUUUAUUCGUGAUCAGGUCUUAUUGAAUACCAAGUUUAAUGUUGGAUUGUUGUCUCUAAUUCUGAUAUUGCCAAGUUUUAGUAAUAAAAAGGUAUCAAGUUGAUGUGGUUGAGUUCAGGAACAUCUCUUUGGUGAAUAUCAGUAAUUGCUUGACUUUUCUAAUUUUUAGUUAACUUUUCUAGGCAUAGAGAAUGAUUGUUGGCAUUUUUCAUGUGAAUUGGUCCAAUUAUUAAUUUUAGUUCUCCAUAUUUGGAAAUUUGAGGCUGGCUGCUGUUAUUUUGUGUCAUUUUUAGUUAUUGUGCUAUAUGGUUGUAAAUAAGAGUUGACUGUACUCCGCUAGUGGUUACUACUGAGUAACCGGGGAUCUUCACCUAAAGUGUUGAUUUUCGCGUCAAAAGGUAGUAGUUGCUAUAAGUGCGUGGUCCCGUAGCGAUUGGAGCUGAGUAACCGGGCUCCUCCAUCUGGCAAAUGUUGGAGUUCGCGUCAAAAGGCUCUAAGGGCUAUAGACUAAGUCUUUUGUUACUUCAAAAAAAAAAAUAAAAAAAAAAUAAAAAAAAGAAGGAAAAAAGUAAAGUAAAGAUUGUGUUAGUAUGUGAAUAAGUCAGCUUGCCGGUUUGUGAUCUUAAUGUCGAUAUUUUAGUUAAUAGUUGGACCAUUUGCUAAUAAAUGUGAGCAACUAUUCCUUUUUCUUAGAUUAGUUUGCUUUAAAUUGGAGGAGUUGGUGGUUGGGAAGCUAACCGGAGUGGUCUUUCUUGGAUCUUAACUGUGAUGCUUGAUAUAUGUUUUUCUGGGCAUCUUGGCAAUAUGAUAGUUAGAGCAAUAGCCAUUGUCGAAUUUUUGGUGUUCAAUUGCUGUUCUUAUGCUUGAGGGCAAGCAUGAUUUAGGUGUGGGGGGAAUUGAUAGGGCAUAAUUUGUUGUUAAUUUUAUGAUUAAUUUUCCUCUUUGUCCUUGCCAAAUAUUGUUUUAAUUGUUGAAAUGUACUUAUAUUUGGUAUUUGGCCCUAAUUACAGGAAGUGGAGCAAACAAGUGCUAAAAAGGAGACUUUAUUGAGAAAAACACUCCACACAUGGGAAGUUCUAAAAGGAAAUACAAGCUGGGCUCCACAGGAUGCUACAAAAAGGGAUUUCCUAUCUUUAUGCUGAAAAGGGUGGACUUGUACUAGGAGUCUUACGGGUAAAGAGGAAACUAAAAACAAAGACUUUGGCAAAGCUCCAAUUCUUUGGCCCUUGGACUCUCAAUUCAGUGGGGACCACUAGAGAUAGCAUUAGACUUUCUUUUGGCUUUAAAAAGGGAGAAACGUACAGGAGGUUUUGUUAUCAAUAGUUUUAGCUUAGCCUUUAGCAUAGUUUUAGUUUUCUUUUCUUUCUUGGCUCUUUUGAUGGCCUGGACCUCAAUUAAAUUACUUGGAGAUUUUCUCAUGAGGCGUGGCUAAGUUUUUCUAGUCGAGGAACAACGGAGGACUUGGUUCUACUAAAUUUGUGAGAUCAAAUUAGUUUUUAUUUAUUUCCAUUAUUCACUGGUAUUCGUCUAUCUUCUGCUUUAUGUUCAUAUGGUUGUUUUAUUAUUCGAUUAUCCUGGGCCCGGAUUCUAGAUUAAUUCAAUAACCUGAAGCCAAUUAGGGUAGUUAAAUCCGUAAUUGUUUAAUUAUUCUAAACUGGUAGCAACUGGCAUGAUUGGGUUUGUGUCAGGGAGAUAGACAUGCUAACUUAAAGAGACCCUCGUAGCGUGUUGAUUGGUUAGAAUUAGGCUCUUCUAAUUAUUCAUGCAAUUAGGGAAUUGAACUUCUAUGGUCGUACCUAGGGUUGUUUCCUGAUUAGAGAAAUAAUCAACGGUCGUACCUUGGCUAUCGACAAAUUGAGGAAGAGUUGGUUGUUUAUCGCGUGUAUGACAACUAUAACUAAUUUAUCAGAUAGUAACUGGAAUAAUCCUUGAAUCUGUGAUCGAAUUAAGUGAACCAUCUCCGAAGUUGUCUCUUGGCUAGAGUUCGUCCAUUAUUAUUUUUAUUGUGAUAAUUAGUUAUUUGAGUUGUAGUUAUUUUAUUUUAUUUUAAUUUAUUCCAAGUAAUUUAGUUACUCUCAUUUUCAAAAACCCCCCAUAUCUGGAAUUUGAGAAGAAAUUAAAUUAUCCCCAAUCCCUGUGGAUUCGACCCUGCUUACCGCUAUAUACAGAAUUUGUAUUUUAUUUGAGCAGGUAUUUAUUAUUGCACAGGCUUGACACCUGUCAAGGUUCACGUGCAAAGCACGUGCUCCAUUACUAGUGAGAUAAUAAAAAUAUGCUCAGAAAAUGUGAUCAUAAAAAAUAUAGAAACUUUAAUCCAGACAAAUAUUUAGACAAUCACUAAUUAGUUAUUGCUAUUAUUAGUACUACUUUUUAUACUGUUAUAGAUAUAAAAGGAUUUACUUAUAUUGGCCUUCGAAGUUUUAUAGGCAUGGAAAUGUAGAAAUGCUUUUCUUGUAACAUAUCGCUGAGCUAUCAAGGAAAAAGAUUUGAAGCCAAGAUGUGUAAGAUCGAUGUCACAUUGCUGCUUCGUGGAACAACAUUGAUGCAUAAGGACCAGUUCGCAUGAAAGCAAUUUUGCAACUAGACACCAUGUAAAAUGUCACUUUGAUGAACUAAGGUUGACCCUAUAUGUUCCCAUUUAAUUCUUGUAAAAUUGAUUUCCAUAAUUUUAUCUUUCCAACGUUCCCAUCCACCAACUGGGAUCCUUUUUUGAAUACAAAAUUGUGCCUUAGCAAUUCAGUUUUCUAAAUUGCUCUCUGAUUAACAUAAAGUAGAAGGGCUCAAGCUGACUGAUUCUUGUGCUCUGAGUCCUGUCCUGAGCUUUACAGAUACAACGAGCAAUGGAAAAGAAUCACUGGACACAACCUGCAGUCAACUGCAGAACAUUGAGAAAAAAUACGUUGCCUGUUACAAAGCUAAGAUACAACUUCAAGAAGGAUGCAAGCACCUAUCAGGGUUCAGCUAAUCCACAUCUUUCUGCGACAAAAUACCGGCUACUUUGAACUACAAGUAAUAAGGAAGAUAUGGCAAAUGAGUUCCAAAAGAAGUAAAAAGCCACCUCAUUAACAUGCCUACAAAUUGCUGAAUCGGUUGGACAGUUUAAAAGAACCACGCCAACAGGGAAGAUCUUAGGCUUUGGCCAUCCGAGGCAGGGAGCAAAAGGGAUUUCCAUCCUGGAUGUUUUCAUUUGAUCUGACUGAAACAGGAUCUUGUUCAGCAAGGGAUCAUAUUAAAAGUACCAAGGAUAGUAAGUAAGAGCUAUCAGGGUUAAUGUUGAUCUUUGAGUGCAAAACACAAAAACUCAAACUUAAGAAACUCGAGACAGCAUGUAGGUGGCAGAAUGAGCUUAAUAGCCUUCAUCACAGCGGAUGAAAUAAUUGCAGCAAGUAGCAGCAGCCAACCAGGAUGCUUGGCAGUCUCGACUAACCAUAGCAAUAUGCUUAGACGUGCUAGUGCAUAAUCAGGAUGUUUCGUUUUGCAGGUUAGACUUGAUUGUGUUAGAAGAUACUCUAACAAGUCUGUGCAGCUUCGCUGCAUGAACAGUACAUCUUCCGUGGCUGCUCCCAAAAACAUUUUCAUUAUGAGAAGAUUUCUCAAGUUUUGGUUGCAAUAUGUUCAGAAUCAAAGUAGUCAAAAGUCAAAUUUGAGUAGUAAAAGAAGAGUAGUAUAUCUGAACUUACCAGACUCUUAGAACCAGACACCAAUUUGAUGACCAACUGCUCUGAAAACUCCUCAAAUCUUUACUACUAGAAAAUCAUAACCAAGGAAAAGUGAGACAGAAACCCAUUAUCUACGAGACUUAUCGAACAAAUCACUAAUCAAAUGGUUCAAGAAGCUUGAUAAAUGCGCCAUCAAGAGGUGAUUAAACUUUGGAGCAACUAUUUACUCCCACUAGAAUCAUAAGUUAGGGAGCUGAUCACUUUAGCAAUCACAUCUUACGUCCACAAAAGCAGAUAUAUAAAAUCAACAAAACGAAACUCCUAGUGCUUAUUUCAUAUUGAUGGGUAACUUGGAGGAAAUGCAAACCAAAAAUUAAUUAAUACCAACUAUAAAAAUCUAAUCUAAGUUCAUCUGCUUGUUAAGUGCAGGAGGAAGGAGUGCAGUAGAGAAUUGCGGGUUUAAAGUCUUAUAGAAAAGGUUUGUAGAAUUGCUGCUUGUGGUAUCAAAUCUAAAAUGUCCAAUGCAUUUUCAAAGGGUGAAACUUCAGAGAGAACAAUCAUUUCAUCCUGGUGAAAUCACAAGUUUAAGUGCACCGAUGUUAGCAAUCACGACGUACAAAGGACAGUAACUGACAUACAUCAUAAACAAAACUAAAUUCUAAAUUCCACCCACAUUAACGGAUUUGUUUAGUGCUGGUUCAUCCAAAACGUUAUUCAGUUAACCCAAGAAAAUCUCGUUCAUUUUGGUCACUGAAAAAAAUAUGCAACUGAAGCUUGAAAUGUAGUCUUGAAACAUGGAUGGUAUUGAAUUGGACCACCAUUUGCCAUGUUUCAUCUUUGCAACAGCAAAUGAGAUGUGAUACAACGGGAGAAAUACCAAUUUGACAUUUUAAAUUAACCAAAAUGAUUGUUUAAUUCCGUUAGUUUAGAUUGGUAUGGAACCAUGCAUGGCUUAUUAGUGGUGAAGGUUAUGAAAUAUUGCGCUUAUUCAUGAUAAGAGUUACCUGGAAGUUUCAAUCGUAAUGAAGAGAGAGAAAGGACCGUGUAACGACCCCAUUUUCCCCUUAGGCGAACCAGAGAGGUCAACGGGCCGCCUGCCCAGCUCUCGCCAGGACUCAGUCGUUCACUACAAUCCUCAAAUAAAUUACAAGAAUAAACCUCAAAUAUUACAAUAUAAAUCUCCAAUAUUUAAUUACAUGGUCCACAAAUAUACAUCCAAGUCUCCAAUAAUUACAUGUCACAAAUGCAGCGGAAACAAUUCCUAACUAUACAUAAAAUGAUUCCAAAUCAAAACUGUACAAAACAUAGGCCAUCCAAUCACGUGCACAAGUACUAUAAGUCCUUCCUUCGCCUUGAGCCCUGUGGAGGGGAAUAAAAUAGUUUUUUGGGGUGAGCUAAAAGCUCAGCGAGUAACCAGCAAAAUCAUUAAGCACAUAUAUUUCACAAUGUUGCAUUUCGAUGAUUUCGAUGAUGUCAUGAUUCCAAGAUCACAUGUACGUUUAUUGCUCUCGUGAGCCAGUGAAAUCAUUGCACUUGAACACCCAACGCUCAAAUAUAUCAUUUAACAUUAACUCACGAACUCACGAAAGUGGGAGCAACAUUGGUGCUCCAGAUAACCAUGAACAUGAACCAUAAACAAGGUGGAGACGUUGGUGUCCAGCACAAGACUUUCCCAGAACUCAUUGAAGCCAAAUCAUGUCAUGAAUUCACAUGCAAGCACGCAUGAUAUGCAAUCGAAUAAUUAAUGCAAGAAACAUUUCACAAAUAACUUUGGAAAUAGUUUAGGGUCACUCACCUCCACGCCUCAGAACCCAUCCGUCAUAUACCAUUAUCUUGUCCGAAUCCAAGCCCUAAAACCCAAAACAGAUUUGAUGUCCUUUUGCGGUAAUGGUACCAAAAGCAGUACGAUGGUCGGAUGAAGGUGCAAGACCCACCGUUUCGAAGCUAAGAGACAGGGCUACAACAAUGUAGAAGGCCUCUCAGUCCAAAUCCUAGCACAACUAGGUCAAAAGUGCCAAAUACCAAACCAGAAUUACCAAAACAGGUUUGCAAAACGCAGAAAACUGUAAUCGAUAUAACUCAGUCCAUACAAGUCCAAAUGCCGAAAUUCCAAAGGCAUAAGUUAUUUAAGACAUCCAGCUACAUUUCAUCAGAAGACACCAACUUUAAAAUCCAAACCAAUACCAGUCCAAACAGGCAAUUACUAUCGCAGUUCGGACAUUCUGUGCACCAAAAACAGCAACAGUAAAGACGGCAUAACUCACUCUACGCAGGUCCAAUUGCCCUGAAAUUUUGCAGGCACACUAAACUCAUCAAUACCUACAACUUUCAUGUUUUGAGAAAAGUCCAAUUCGGCCUCUAGCUAUGACCUAAAAUUUCGGACAGAAUAGGGGUUCAAGAACCCUAACUUUUCACAUUUCAUUCCAAAUCCAAAAUUGAUUGCAUUUAACAACAAUUCACACCUACUAGAGCCAAAGCCCCUUAUUACCAACCAUCAUACUAGUCCAAAACAUCAAAAUCAUAUGAAACCAGAAAAUUCAUCAUAAAAUGGAAAACUUCACCAAAUCAAGCCAAACCAAGAAAUAAAUCAUAUAAUCCAACACUCAAGCCUCUGCUAAGCAUAAUAUAACCAUAAUUAGGUGUAGUAGGGUGUUCAAGCAUCACUUACCAAGAAAUUAAGAGAGAUAGAGAGGUUGGCCACCUUAGAGCUUCAAAACAACUUCACCAAGUCACUUACUAGCACCUAAUGGAGUGAUUUUAUGGAGCAAAUCUAAGUUUAAUUGGUUGGAAUGGAAGAUUGAGAUAGUUUGAAGCUUGUAAAUUGAAGAAGUUUUUCUUCCUUGUCCAAGAGAGAGAAUCGGCCAACAAGAGGUAAGAAAGAAUGAAUUUUUAGUCAAUUUUUGAGAUAUUUAAUCCAUGAUAAGAAAAGUCAAAAAUGUCCACCAAGUGGACCAAUCACAUAGUGCCACUUGGCACUUCAUUUAAUGCCUUCCUAUCACUUGGUUCCUCUCACAUCAAUGCCAUGUCACCCUCUACUUAUCUCUUAACACCCGAUAAAUUUCCACCAGUAUCCGAAACUUAACCUUAUUGGCCGAAUUUUGCCGUACUUUUCGCACUAGUGGGUCCCACGUCCAAAAUAUAUUCUUAAUUUUCUAAAAACUCACCAAUACUAGAAAAAUCAUUUGAAAAUGAUAUUUGCUCAUAAACUUUAUCUGGGGAAUUUUUCUAAUCAAGAAAAUGUAGAAAAUGCGGGCGUUUAAAAAAAUAAACCCUAGAAAAUUAGAAAAUUUCCGGGUUCUCAAACUCAUUUUUUUUCGGGGCGUCACAAUCUCCCCUCCUUAAAAGAAUGUCGUCCUCGACAUUCCCUCUUGUACCAAUCAAGUCAAGACAUCCCACAAAAAUCUCUCAAGAGUCAAAUCAAACCCACAGUCCGGCAUCCUAAACUUCAAGCCUAGGAUACACUACAGAGAUCUAAAGCCUAAGCUCUGAUACCAACUGUAACGACCCCAUUUUCCCCUUAGGCGAACCAGAGAGGUCAACGGGCCGCCUGCCCAGCUCUCGCCAGGACUCAGUCGUUCACUACAAUCCUCAAAUAAAUUACAAGAAUAAACCUCAAAUAUUACAAUAUAAAUCUCCAAUAUUUAAUUACAUGGUCCACAAAUAUACAUCCAAGUCUCCAAUAAUUACAUGUCACAAAUGCAGCGGAAACAAUUCCUAACUAUACAUAAAAUGAUUCCAAAUCAAAACUGUACAAAACAUAGGCCAUCCAAUCACGUGCACAAGUACUAUAAGUCCUUCCUUCGCCUUGAGCCCUGUGGAGGGGAAUAAAAUAGUUUUUUGGGGUGAGCUAAAAGCUCAGCGAGUAACCAGCAAAAUCAUUAAGCACAUAUAUUUCACAAUGUUGCAUUUCGAUGAUUUCGAUGAUGUCAUGAUUCCAAGAUCACAUGUACGUUUAUUGCUCUCGUGAGCCAGUGAAAUCAUUGCACUUGAACACCCAACGCUCAAAUAUAUCAUUUAACAUUAACUCACGAACUCACGAAAGUGGGAGCAACAUUGGUGCUCCAGAUAACCAUGAACAUGAACCAUAAACAAGGUGGAGACGUUGGUGUCCAGCACAAGACUUUCCCAGAACUCAUUGAAGCCAAAUCAUGUCAUGAAUUCACAUGCAAGCACGCAUGAUAUGCAAUCGAAUAAUUAAUGCAAGAAACAUUUCACAAAUAACUUUGGAAAUAGUUUAGGGUCACUCACCUCCACGCCUCAGAACCCAUCCGUCAUAUACCAUUAUCUUGUCCGAAUCCAAGCCCUAAAACCCAAAACAGAUUUGAUGUCCUUUUGCGGUAAUGGUACCAAAAGCAGUACGAUGGUCGGAUGAAGGUGCAAGACCCACCGUUUCGAAGCUAAGAGACAGGGCUACAACAAUGUAGAAGGCCUCUCAGUCCAAAUCCUAGCACAACUAGGUCAAAAGUGCCAAAUACCAAACCAGAAUUACCAAAACAGGUUUGCAAAACGCAGAAAACUGUAAUCGAUAUAACUCAGUCCAUACAAGUCCAAAUGCCGAAAUUCCAAAGGCAUAAGUUAUUUAAGACAUCCAGCUACAUUUCAUCAGAAGACACCAACUUCAAAAUCCAAACCAAUACCAGUCCAAACAGGCAAUUACUAUCGCAGUUCGGACAUUCUGUGCACCAAAAACAGCAACAGUAAAGACGGCAUAACUCACUCUACACUAGUCCAAUUGCCCUGAAAUUUUGCAGGCACACUAAACUCAUCAAUACCUACAACUUUCAUGUUUUGAGCAAAGUCCAAUUCGGCCUCUAGCUAUGACCUAAAAUUUCGGACAGAAUAGGGGUUCAAGAACCCUAACUUUUCACAUUUCAUUCCAAAUCCAAAAUUGAUUGCAUUACAACAAUUCCACCUACUAGAGGCCAAAGCCCCUUAUUACCAACAUGCAUACUAGUCCAAAACAUCCAAAUCAUAUGAAACCAGAAAAUUCAUCAUAAAAUGGAAAACUUCACAAAAUGAAGCAAACCAAGGAAAUAAAUGAUAAUAAUCCAACCUCAAGCGCACUUUUUCUAAGUAAUAUAGACCCAUACUAAGGUGUAGUAGGGUGUUCACGGCAUCACUUACCAAGAAUUAGAGAGAUAGAGAGGUUUGGCCACCUUAGAGCUUCAAAACAAAUUCAGCCAGUACUUACUAGCACUAAUGGAGUGAUUUUUAUGGAGCAAAUCUAAGUUUAAUUGGUUGGAAUGGAAGAUUGAGAUUAGUUUGAAGCUUGUAAUUGAGAAGUUUUUCUUCCUUGUCCAAGAGAGAGAUCGGCACAAGAAAGUAAGAAAGAAUGAAUUUUUAGUCAUUUUUGAGAUAUUUUAAUCCAUGAUAGAAAAAGUCAAAAAUGUCCACAAGUGGACCAAUCACAUUAGUGCCACUUGGCAACUUCAUUUAAUGCCUUCUAUAAUUGGUUCCUCUCACAUCAAUGCCAUGUCACCCUCUACUUAUCUCUUAACACCCGAUAAAUUUCCACCAGUAUCCGAAACUUAACCUUAUUGGCCGAAUUUUGCCGUACUUUUCGCACUAGUGGGUCCCACGUCCAAAAUAUAUUCUUAAUUUUCUAAAAACUCACCAAUACUAGAAAAAUCAUUUGAAAAUGAUAUUUGCUCAUAAACUUUAUCUGGGGAAUUUUUCUAAUCAAGAAAAUGUAGAAAAUGCGGGCGUUUAAAAAAAUAAACCCUAGAAAAUUAGAAAAUUUCCGGGUUCUCAAACUCAUUUUUUUUCGGGGCGUGACUGGGCCUAAUGGGACUUGGACUGGGCCCUGGUUCAUGCACACAUCACCGAAACUCUGAAAGAUGACCAGUUGAGUAAUUUAGAAAAAGAGAUGCGGCAGCCAACAAGUAUGACAGGCAGAGAAAGCUAAAGAAUCUUCAUGAAGUGAAUUCCUAGAACAGCAACCAAUUAUUACCAUUUGAUGCUUCAAAGUUCAAAUCAUCACAGUUAGACUUAAACUUCAGUAAAGGAUAAUCUGCCAAGUCUUUGCAGCUUCAUUGCUAGAACAAUACUAUUUUCCCUUGCAACCUCAAAAAAUGACUUGAACAUGUCCUUUUUUUUUUGAAAGGGGGGAGGGGCGAGGGGUUAGUUAACAAAUUGAGAAUCAAACUGCUUAAAACUCAAUAUUACAUAGUUGAAGAAGAAAGUUUAUCAUGGAUUAGGAGCAUUUCUUAAAAAAAAAAAAUUGGUAUUGUAGAUUACCAGUCCAUUUGGCAUGAUGAUAAGAAUAAGAUAAUAACAUUUUCUAGAGGUGAAAGUUCAGAGUAACCAUUUUUUCCUCAUAGAAUCUCAGGUUUAGGAAUCAAUGUACAGCUUGCAGUAGCAGACAUAUGUGAUGAGCAAAUAUAAACUGCUACUCUUUAUUGAAAGAUAGCGCAGGCAUAAAUCUGAGGGCAAAUGGUCUUUAACUAUCAUAUUAUGUUUGACUGUCCGCAACAAAUAAUUUGUUUGUAAAUAUCUGCAUUCUAUGAUUGAGGAAGGAAAGGAUAGAAGUGAAGUGGGACUAUUUGCCAGAAGCAAAAUACAAAAUGCUCAUCAAAUGGAUCCUUUACAUUUGGACAAGGCACCUAAACCACAAUUAUACCAAAAAGGAUAGAUUGGAUGAUGAGGUCAGUCUCUCAAGGAGUGCUAUGUGUGAGCCGUGAUGCGUAUUCUGUGUGUGUGAGUGUGCAGUUUGUGUGUCGAGAUGCUAUAGUAAGUGAUAGUGUUUACUUUGAUGACUGCAGUUGAACCUUUUCAGACCGCCUAAGACAAGAGAAGUUCAUCAAAGCAGACCUCUGCCUUCAACAAAGUGAAGUUGAGCAGUUACAUCAUUUCCAAGACUGGCAAUUUACUUCCAUGAUUAAAAUAGCUUACAAGAUAGUACAAUCAACAAUUGAGAUCUCUAAUUCCAAUCUAUUAUCAAUUUGAACGUGCACAGCAGAAUCCUCUCAAAUCCUUGCUAUUACAUGGCCAAACAACAUUCCUGGAAGCAGACCCUCGAAAACUUUCAAACUCUGUUACUAAUAAUCAUUUUAGUCACAAUACAUAUAUCACCUCACCUCAGGCAAUAAAUAAAAAUCUUCUUAAGAGUUUCACUGGAGUAUGUUCUCCUACAGAAAAAAAAAAGGAGAAAAAAUCCUAUAAGUUAAAUAGUUUGAAAUCUUUCUGUGUUAGAAAAUCCACAAAUUUCUGUGCUGGGACGUACUUUCAUUUGACACUUUAUUCCAUGAAUGCAAAACAAUAAGUAAAUUUUGGUGAAUUUUUCCAUUUUAUGAUGAAUUUUCUGGUUUCAUAUGAUUUUGAUGUUUUGGACUAGUAUGAUGGUUGGUAAUAAGGGGCUUUGGCUCUAGUAGGUGUGAAUUGUUGUUAAAUGCAAUCAAUUUUGGAUUUGGAAUGAAAUGUGAAAAGUUAGGGUUCUUGAACCCCUAUUCUGUCCGAAAUUUUAGGUCAUAGCUAGAGGCCGAAUUGGACUUUGCUCAAAACAUGAAAGUUGUAGGUAUUGAUGAGUUUAGUGUGCCUGCAAAAUUUUAGGGCAAUUCGCCAAGUGUAGAGUGAGUUAUGCCGUUUUUACUGUUGCUGUUUUUGGUGCACAGAAGGUCCGAACUGCGAUAGUAAUUGCCUGUUUUGACUGGAAUUGGUUUGGAUUGUGGAGUUGGUGUCUUCUGAUGAAAUGUAGCUGGAUGUCUUAAAUUACUUAUUCCUUUGGAAUUUCGGCAUUUGGACUUGUAUGGACUGAGAUAUACCGAUUACAGUUUUCUGUGUUUUGCAAACCUGUUUUGGUGAUUCUGGUUUAGUGUUUGGCAUUUUUGACCUAGUUGGGUCAGGAACUGGAUUGAGUGACCUUCUACAUUGUUAUAGCCCUGUCCCAUAGCUUCGAAACGGUGGGUCUUACACCCCCAUCCGAUAAUUGUAGUGAGAGUUGUGCCAUUACCGCAUUAGGACGUCAAAACCGGUUUUCAUAUCAAGGCCUUAGUUAAAGCCCUUUCUUAAUUUCUGGUUUCCUUUAAUGUUUGUAAAUGCUUAUGGAACCUUAUUGGGGUCAUGUUUGGCCUUGGUUUAUGACUCGUUAGCGAGUCUUAUUGUAUUUGUUUACAUGUUUUUAGGUCGUGACGGUGGUGCAACGUUCUUUUGACUAAAGUGCUUGAAACUACAUUUGCUAGCUUGGUGAGUGUACUACUCACUUAUGUGCUAUUAUAUGGCUUUGAUAUUUGAACUUGAGAUGUUGAAUGUUAAUUAAUUGAAGUGAGAGUGUACUUUAUCAUUCUCACUUAUUGUAUCGCAUGUUAUUGAAAAGUUAUUGGAAUUUUACAUGAAAUGUUAUAUGAAAUGAAAUACAUGACUUCAAAUGUUAUCCAUGAGCUCAACCCCAUUGGUAGUUGAUUGAAUCGAGCCAGCAAGGGCUUGGUCGUGACAAUUAAUGAGCCUUGGGUAAGGUUAUAUGGAAUCGUGUAGUAUGAGAGACUCUCGAUUCCGGUAUACUCGAGUAAUACCACAAUGCAUGCGUUUGGAUUUCGGGCCCGGUUGAGGAAUGUUAGGAGGAAGGGAAUGGAAGUUAAGUGGGUCUACAGUUGGUUACUUUUCAAACAUUGACGGAGAGUCAAUGAGACCGAUCAAGAAUUCAAACGAGGAAAAGGGCUCUUGAGAGCCACCCGUAUCCUUUUAUCCUCAUUAUUAAUGUGUGGCUUUAUUUAUUUUGGUAAAUUGGACUGUUAAGCUUGAUGUAUCCAUGAACUUGGUUGCUUGAGUUGUAUUCUCACUGGGCAAUUAGCUCACCCCGUUCCUUUUGUUUUCCUUACAGGAAUAUGACUCUUUUGGAAUGAAUUUUGAUAAAUGGUUGCCAAAUGAACUAGAUGAAUGACUCUUUUCUAUUGUAUAUAAAAUGGGACCCUAAAUGUAUCAUUAGGGCCGUUUUCACUUUUGUUUUGGCAAACCAUAUAAGUAGUGACUUUUGUAUCACUUUUAAAUGUCAUUUUGGUUUGUAAAGGCUAAAUGUUAUGGGGUAUAUGUAAUUCGAUGUUUGGUUGGGUUCGGACGAGUCGGUUACUAUUCAUGGCCGACUCCGGGUUUCAUUUUCUUUUAUUUUGGGUUAUUUUGCCCUUUUGCCUUAUUUGCGCGCGUUAUAAGUUCCGGAACGUGAAAGAUCGCUCUAUACUGUACCGUUAGUCCUGGCGAGAGCUGGGCAGGCAGUCCGCUAACCUCUUUGGUUCGCCUUAGGGGAAGGUGGGGCUGUCACAGGUGGUAUCAGAGCCACGUCGCGUGGUCUCUGCGCGAAGUGAGACUGGGCCAAGUGGUGUUGUGGUCCUAAUUUCAUGAAUAUGUGUAAGUGCUCGUUUGAGCAUAAGUUAUGAAUCUUGAAGUGUUAUAGGUCUUUAAUCUUUCUCAUGGUAUUUAAGGACCCUAGAUAAGUAUGUCGGACAGGAAUUUUGAUUUGUAGAUGGUUUACUCUUGGGACUGGCCAGCUCGAGAUGUGAACUAUCUUAUUUCGGAUUCUCGUGCCCGAGUACCCCAGAAUUGAGGUGAUGCAAGCUACUAGGUAUUUGAACCCUGUGUUUUGGAAACAAGCCUUGUAUUUUGGAAACGUGAACAGGCUUUGUCUGACUAAGAUGAGCACAAGAGAUCAAUGGACAUCUAGUUUGGAUAGUUAGUGACGUGAGAGACCAGACGGGCUGGUACUGGGAUGACUUUUCGACUGUAUAUGACUAAGUCUAUAUUUGCUUACCUGCUUAUCCGUCUUUUAAUAUAACGUGUUAUAUGCGAUAUGUUAUUGGUAUGAUAGAUUUUGUUAUGUUAGUCAAUUUAUUGCAUUCAUGCAUGGAAGUACCCUUUUGGAAAAAAAAAACCCGCGGACAUGGUCAUAGCAGUGACACAAAACGAGACCAAGAGUCAAAGAGAAGAAAGGGAGGAAACAACACCUGAACCGAACAUGGACCAAGAGUGCUACUUGUAAUCAAGACUUUCUUAUGACCCAUUGUUUUGCCGACAGGCUACCAUCUGAGGUCCAGCAACUCUGUAAAAUGGCACGUAGGGUUGAGAUGUAUAAUGAAAUCGGGGGUCUUCGAGACGAAAUAAAAGUCCAAAAGAACCUAGUCGCAUACUGGGAAGGGCGCUGGAAGCACGAGUAUACAGAGAAAAUUGAGCUCCUGCACAAAAACUUAGAGCUAAAAAGGAAAUAUGAAGGGAUUUCCGAGGAGGCCCUGGAAAAGGCUCAAUGCAUCAAGAAUGCAAAGGUGCAAGUGAAAGCUUCCCAAAUACGGAAAAGGGGUGCAGUGGGUAGCGUGAGUGAGGAACCUUCUAAAGUACAGAAAGUGAACCAGUUAUUCGGGCCGCCAUGGACAAUGGGGGCGGUAGAUAAAAGAUUUGUCAAUGAAAGCCAAACCAGACAGGGGGAGAUUUCUCCGAAAAGCAAAAAGAUGACUUUCCACUUGACUUGUGACUAUUGCGGAAAGGCCAAUCACACUGAGAAUGAUUGCUGGAGAAAGGGGAGUAGAUGUCUGCGCUGUGGGAGCAUCGAGCAUCGAAUUGCAUAUUGCCCGAUUAAAGUGCGGAAAAAGAAAAGAACUCAACAACCAACCCAGACCGACCCUGCACCGUCAAGUGGAGAAGGGACUGGAAUGAAGAACCUCGUUUCUUCUGACUCUGAAGACGGAGAAGGUACAGGCCAUUGGAUACUUUAAAUUUGAAGGAAAAUUUCGAGGACGAAAUUCUUUUAAGGGGGGGAGAGUGUGAGAACCCGUAAAACCCUAAUUAUUUUCCUAGGGUUUAUUUCCCCUUAAUUGCAUGUUUUCUGCAUUUUCGGGCCUAGGAAUAUUUUUCUGGUAGAUUUUAUGAGUAAUUAUAGUUUUUAGAUGAUUUUUUCUAGUAUUGGUGAGUUUUUAGAAAAUUAAGAUAUAUUUUGGACGUGGACCACUAGUGCGAAAAGUACGGCAAAAUUCGGCCAAUAAGGUUUAAGUUUCGCGAUUUACUGGUGGAAUUAUCUGGUGUUAAGAGAUAAGUAGCAGGGUGACAUGGCAUUGAUGUGGAGAGGAACCAAAGUGAUAGGAAGGCAUUAAUGAAGUGCCCAAGUGGCACUAUGUGAUUGGUCCACUUGUUGGACAUUUUUGACUUUUCUUAUCAUGGAUUAAAUUAUCUCAAAAUGACUUAAAAAUUCAUUCUUUCUUACCUCUUGUUGGCCGUUCUCUCUUUGGACAGGAAAAAACUUCUUCAAUUUACAAGCCUUCAAACUAAUCUCAAUCUUCCAUUCCAACCAAUUAAACUUUAGAUUUGCUCCAUAAAAUCACUCCAUUAGGUGCCUAGUAAGUGACUUGGUGAAGUUGUUUUUGAAGCUUCUAAGGUGGCCAACCUCUCUAUCUCUCUUAAUUUCUUGGUAAGUGAUGCCUUGAACACCCUACUACACCUAAAUGAUGGUUAUAUUAUGCUUAGAAGAGGCUUGAGUGUUGGAUUAUAUGAUUUAUUUCUUGGUUUGGCUUGAUUUGGUGAAGUUUUCCAUUUAUAUGAGAAUUUUCUGGUUUCAUAUGAUUUUUGAUGUUUUGGACUAGUAUGAUGGUUGGUAAUUAAGGCGGCUUUGGCUCUAGUAGUGUGAAUUGUUGUUAAAUGCCAAUCAAUUUUGGAUUUGGAAUGAAAUGUGAAAAGUUAGGGUUCUUGAACCCCUAUUCUGUCCGAAAUUUUAGGUCAUAGCUAGAGGCCGAAUUGGACUUUGCUCAAAACAUGAAAGUUGUAGGUAUUGAUGAGUUUAGUGUGCCUGCAAAAUUUUAGGGCAAUUCGCCAAGUGUAGAGUGAGUUAUGCCGUUUUUACUGUUGCUGUUUUUGGUGCACAGAAGGUCCGAACUGCGAUAGUAAUUGCCUGUUUUGACUGGAAUUGGUUUGGAUUGUGGAGUUGGUGUCUUCUGAUGAAAUGUAGCUGGAUGUCUUAAAUUACUUAUUCCUUUGGAAUUUCGGCAUUUGGACUUGUAUGGACUGAGAUAUACCGAUUACAGUUUUCUGUGUUUUGCAAACCUGUUUUGGUGAUUCUGGUUUAGUGUUUGGCAUUUUUGACCUAGUUGGGUCAGGAACUGGAUUGAGUGACCUUCUACAUUGUUAUAGCCCUGUCCCAUAGCUUCGAAACGGUGGGUCUUACACCCCCAUCCGAUAAUUGUAGUGAGAGUUGUGCCAUUACCGCAUUAGGACGUCAAAACCGGUUUUCAUAUCAAGGCCUUAGUUAAAGCCCUUUCUUAAUUUCUGGUUUCCUUUAAUGUUUGUAAAUGCUUAUGGAACCUUAUUGGGGUCAUGUUUGGCCUUGGUUUAUGACUCGUUAGCGAGUCUUAUUGUAUUUGUUUACAUGUUUUUAGGUCGUGACGGUGGUGCAACGUUCUUUUGACUAAAGUGCUUGAAACUACAUUUGCUAGCUUGGUGAGUGUACUACUCACUUAUGUGCUAUUAUAUGGCUUUGAUAUUUGAACUUGAGAUGUUGAAUGUUAAUUAAUUGAAGUGAGAGUGUACUUUAUCAUUCUCACUUAUUGUAUCGCAUGUUAUUGAAAAGUUAUUGGAAUUUUACAUGAAAUGUUAUAUGAAAUGAAAUACAUGACUUCAAAUGUUAUCCAUGCGCUCAACCCCAUUGGUAGUUGAUUGAAUCGAGCCAGCAAGGGCUUGGUCGUGACAAUUAAUGAGCCUUGGGUAAGGUUAUAUGGAAUCGUGUAGUAUGAGAGACUCUCGAUUCCGGUAUACUCGAGUAAUACCACAAUGCAUGCGUUUGGAUUUCGGGCCCGGUUGAGGAAUGUUAGGAGGAAGGGAAUGGAAGUUAAGUGGGUCUACAGUUGGUUACUUUUCAAACAUUGACGGAGAGUCAAUGAGACCGAUCAAGAAUUCAAACGAGGAAAAGGGCUCUUGAGAGCCACCCGUAUCCUUUUAUCCUCAUUAUUAAUGUGUGGCUUUAUUUAUUUUGGUAAAGUGGACUGUUAAGCUUGAUGUAUCCAUGAACUUGGUUGCUUGAGUUGUAUUCUCACUGGGCAAUUAGCUCACCCCGUUCCUUUUGUUUUCCUUACAGGAAUAUGACUCUUUUGGAAUGAAUUUUGAUAAAUGGUUGCCAAAUGAACUAGAUGAAUGACUCUUUUGUAUUGUAUAUAAAAUGGGACCCUAAAUGUAUCAUUAGGGCCGUUUUCACUUUUGUCUUGGCAAACCAUAUAUGUAGCGACUUUUGUAUCACUUUUAAAUGUCAUUUUUGGUUUGUAAAGGCUAAAUGUUAUGGGGUAUAUGUAAUUCGAUGUUUGGUUGGGUUCGGACGAGUCGGUUACUAUUCAUGGCCGACUCCGGGUUUCAUUUUCUUUUAUUUUGGGUUAUUUUGCCCUUUUGCCUUAUUUGCGCGCGUUAUAAGUUCCGGAACGUGAAAGAUCGCUCUAUACUGCACCGUUAGUCCUGGCGAGAGCUGGGCAGGCAGUCCGCUAACCUCUUUGGUUCGCCUUAGGGGAAAGUGGGGCUGUCACACAGAACCCAUCCGUCAUAUACCAUUAUCUUGUCCGAAUCCAAGCCCUAAAACCCAAAACAGAUUUGAUGUCCUUUUGCGGUAAUGGUACCAAAAGCAGUACGAUGGUCGGAUGAAGGUGCAAGACCCACCGUUUCGAAGCUAAGAGACAGGGCUACAACAAUGUAGAAGGCCUCUCAGUCCAAAUCCUAGCACAACUAGGUCAAAAGUGCCAAAUACCAAACCAGAAGUACCAAAACAGGUUUGCAAAACGCAGAAAACUGUAAUCGAUAUAACUCAGUCCAUACAAGUCCAAAUGCCGAAAUUCCAAAGGCAUAAGUUAUUUAAGACAUCCAGCUACAUUUCAUCAGAAGACACCAACUUCAAAAUCCAAACCAAUACCAGUCCAAACAGGCAAUUACUAUCGCAGUUCGGACAUUCUGUGCACCAAAAAUAGCAAUAGUAAAGACGGCAUAACUCACUCUACACUAGUCCAAUUGCCCUGAAAUUUUUCAGGCACACUAAACUCAUCAAUACCUACAACUUUCAUGUUUUGAGCAAAGUCCAAUUCGGCCUCUAGCUAUGACCUAAAAUUUCGGACAGAAUAGGGGUUCAAGAACCCUAACUUUUCACAUUUCAUUCCAAAUCCAAAAUUGAUUGCAUUUAACAACAAUUCACACCUACUAGAGCCAAAGCCCCUUAUUACCAACCAUCAUACUAGUCCAAAACAUCAAAAUCAUAUGAAACCAGAAAAUUCAUCAUAAAAUGGAAAACUUCACCAAAUCAAGCCAAACCAAGAAAUAAAUCAUAUAAUCCAACACUCAAGCCACUUCUAAGCAUAAUAUAACCAUCACUAGGUGUAGUAGGGUGUUCAAGCAUCACUUACCAAGAAAUUAAGAGAGAUAGAGAGGUUGGCCACCUUAGAGCUUCAAAACAACUUCACCAAGUCACUUACUAGCACCUAAUGGAGUGAUUUUAUGGAGCAAAUCUAAGUUUAAUUGGUUGGAAUGGAAGAUUGAGAUAGUUUGAAGCUUGUAAAUUGAAGAAGUUUUUCUUCCUUGUCCAAGAGAGAGAAUCGGCCAACAAAAGGUAAGAAAGAAUGAAUUUUUAGUCAAUUUUUGAGAUAUUUAAUCCAUGAUAAGAAAAGUCAAAAAUGUCCAACAAGUGGACCAAUCACAUAGUGCCACUUGGCACUUCAUUUAAUGCCUUCCUAUCACUUGGUUCCUCUCACAUCAAUGCCAUGUCACCCUCUACUUAUCUCUUAACACCCGAUAAAUUUCCACCAGUAUCCGAAACUUAACCUUAUUGGCCGAAUUUUGCCGUACUUUUCGCACUAGUGGGUCCCACGUCCAAAAUAUAUUCUUAAUUUUCUAAAAACUCACCAAUACUAGAAAAAUCAUUUGAAAACGAUAUUUGCUCAUAAACUUUAUCUGGGGAAUUUUUCUAAUCAAGAAAAUGUAGAAAAUGCGGGCGUUUAAAAAAAUAAACCCUAGAAAAUUAGAAAAUUUCCGGUUUCUCAAACUCAUUUUUUUUCGGGGCGUCACAGACCGACUCUGCAUCCUACUCUGUUGUUGCUCCAAUUAUCACUUGAUAUACUUUAAAGGAAGGAAAGGACUUUGAAAAGUAAAGGUGGUGAUUAGGAGCCAUCUAUAAACCUACAGUCACUGCAAAACAGAAAACUCAGACUCAGGACUUCACAUAGCAAAUCAUGAGGCUAACUUGAAAUUGCAUGACAUUUUUGUUUAGACAAUUAUUCAGAAAGCUAAAUCAAUAUUUUUUUUUUGUUCCUCUUUUCCAACGUAAAUCAGUAAGCAGAUAUCAAAUCUUUCUGUUCAUUCCACAAGUACCAGAAGCAUCACAAAAACUAUAUAGCUUUUGUUCAAAACACUGAUAAAAGAAAAGUUCUAUAGCAAUAAUGAGAGGCAGAGGUCCCAGAAUUGCCAUAAAAGCAAACUAUUUGAGACUGCAAGAUGCAACAAGAAGAGCUAAUUACAACUAUUUUACUCUUAAAAUCUCAAAUCAUUGCAUUUGAACUUAAACUUCAGAAGAGGAUAGUCUACCAAGUCUCUGCUGCUUGAAAAUGUCUUAAACAUGACAAUUUUUUUUAAGGUCUUAGUUAAUGCAUCGGUUAUUAAACUGCUUAAAACCCAAUGUUAAGUAGUGAAAGAAGAUGGUUGGUAUUAUAAAUUAUCAGACUACCAAUCUCACAACCAAGGGCAGUCAGAGUAACUCGAUUGACCAUUGGAUUUAUGUAAAGAGAUCACAGCUGAAGAAAGUAGAAUCCCAUCAUUUAAGAGACAUAAUAAGAAUACCAAUAAUCAGAUAAUUUGGAGAAAGAUGAUAAAUACAUUCCUAAGAGGUGGAAGUUCAGAGUAAGCAUUUAAAUCCUCGUAGAAUCUCAAGUUUAAAGAGAAUUAGCUCCUUUCAGCAAUCAUGAUAUACAACUGGAGGUAGUAGACAUAUGAGCUGAGCAAAAGUAAUCUGCUAGUUCUUAUUUAACACAAAGAAUUUUGUACCGUAGAUGUAAAGUUUUCAGCUUUGACUUUGCUUAACUGUCCACAUCAAAUAAUCUGCUCUUGAACACGUAUUCCAUAAUUGAAUUUAAUACAUGGUUAGCGACAUUGUUUUCUUCCCGAAACAGCACUUGUUAAGUUUCUCUGAAUCAGACUGAAAAAGCCAAGAGAAGUUCAACAAAGCAGACUACUAACCUUCAACAAACUAAAGCUCCAAAAUUGCCAAUUUACUUCUAUAAUUCGCAGCCUAUAAGGUAGUACAAUUAACAAUUGAGAUCUCUAAGUGCAACCUGCAAUCAACUUGCUAAAUGAUAAUUCUUCAGUCCUUACUGUUACAUUACUAGACAACAUCUUGGAAGCAGACGUUUUAAAACUUCAGAUAUUUUGCAACUAAAUCAUCUUGCUGUACAAUUUUUAUCACCUGAUAUUGGAUGGAUUUAAAAAAAUUUAGUAAUGUUUUCACUGGAGUAUGUUGUUCUGAAGAGACAAAAAAACUAGAAAUUGACUCUUAAAAUCUUUGUCCAUCAUUGCCUACUUAUAAUUUUCUAUGUUCCGUCAAACUUUGAUUUAACAAUCUAUUUCAUAAAUGUAAACACAUUAUCAUUCUUUCCUAGCAAAUUGAUAACCAAAUGAACUUUUAGAGUACUUAGUUGGAUGAGGAGCUUUUAGAUUGAAAAUCUCAGGAAGGCAUGUUUGCCUGCAUUACAAUAAAGAUAGAAGAGCAAAUUCCAUGUCAUUUUUGAGCUAGGAAUCUUACAGAAAGAAAGGGUUUCUUUUUGUUACCUUUGUUCUAAGACUAAUGAGCAGGAAAUAAGACUUGAUACUUAGUACAUCUACUAAUCCAUUUAAAACAAAUUUGCUAACCUUACAGUACUUCUUGAAAAUUUUCAAGCUCCUCAUUGUCAAUCUGUUUCUCUAAUAGAAGCUCUAUCACCAACCAAACCCCCCAUGAUCAUUAGCAGAAAUUCAUGUUAAUGAUCGCUCUUGAUGUUGAAAGACAUUACAUAAGCUGGGUAAAGAAAUUCAGGUGGGUAGUUUGUAGAGGCCAGCUGACAAAGAUAGAGCAUUUUAUCGGGUUUUAGACACCAGGAAGAAAGAAAAGUGUGCCUGUAGUGUGCCAUCCUAAUCAUUUCUGUCCAAUUGAAACAGAAUUUGAUUCAACAAAGUUUUCAAAAGUUACAAGCUAUGUAAUUCAAUCAAUAAGUAAGUGCAAUUGUAGAUUCUAGUCCACAUUUGAGCCUGAGAUCAUUGCAGAACAGAAAACUCAAGUUGAGACAAUAUGUGAACAAGAAAGCUAAUCAGAAAGUUCAGAAAGUUCAACAAUAAUUUUGUUCUGUCAUUCCUACAAAAGGCUAAAAUAUGUCUUGUUUGUUAUCAAAAUAAAUAGAUAAGCAAGUACUAAGUCGUGUUUACAAUUACAGUAUUUUGGUUCCAACCACAAAGCAAGUAAUUACAACUCAUAAAAAGAAAAUAAUAAUGGACAAUUUGUAGUGCAGGCAAAGCAUUUCACAUUGAGGCAUUGAGAAACAAUAGAGGUGUGGGCCACUGAGGCACAAUAGAGAUCCACAUUUAAUUGCUACCAAAACACCAGUUAGUUCUAACUUCUAACUCUGAGCAGUAUGCCGGAGAUGACAAAUUGAGUUCUAAAACAUGUAAAUCAGCACCUCAUUAUCAUGACUACACAUCACUGAAUUGUUUCGAUAGUUUAAAAGAACCAUACCCCAAUGGAUAUCUCAGACUUUGACCAUCUGAGGCACAGAGAAAGAGAGAAUGCCAUCCUAGAUGUUGUUAUUCAGCCGAAGCAGGCUCUUGUUCAGCAACGAAUUGUAGGACUCUCAAAAAGUAAAGACAGUAGGUAAGAGCCAUCGAUGAGGUUCCCUGUUUGUGCUCAAAAUCACUGCAAAGCACAAAAACUCAAACUGAAGGCGGCGAAUAGCAUAGAAUAAAACUAAUGGAAAUUUUCAGAUAAUUGUAGCUUUUCUGUCAUUGUAACUGAAGCCCCAAAAGGAGAAACUUACCUUAAAAAAAGAAGCAACCAACAAUCAUAAAAGCAGAGAGAGCUUAAAAGCCUUUAUCAGUAGCAAUGCUUGUCGCAACAAGCAGGUGGAUUCAUUAACAGUAGCAAGUCGCAACAAGCAGACUUGACCAACUACCAGAAUGCUUCAAAACUUUGCGCUUAGAGUUAAAUGUUGGAAGAUACUCCACCAAGUUUUGUGCAACUUCAUUGCUCAAACAGUACACACCUUCCUUGGCUACCUCAAAAAUAUGAAAGUUCAUUUAUGACUCUGAUAAAGCAAUUACUAGUCAAAUAGUUCAGAUAAAUAUGCAGAGCACGUAAAAGUUCAUUAUCAAGAGGUAAAAGUUCAGUCCCCUUAGAAUUACAAUUUUAAACAGAGUGAGAUGACUUUAGCAAUAAUAACUUGAAAUCCACAGAAGCAGAGCACGUAAAAUAAACAAAAAUAGACUAUUUGUAGGCUAUGCAGGCCAAAAGUUGAUAGCCUAUGCUAGUUGUUCUAAACGUUGAUAGGCUAUUGCGGUCUAGCCAUAUAGACGGUGCUGAAGAAGCUUCAAAAUUCUAACCAGUUCGUGAAGCUAUUCUUCUAUCAAUCCUACAAAAACAAAGCAUAGAACAGAAUAUGAACAAAGAUACAGUAAAACAUCAAAGCACGAAACAGAACAGAGUAUUACUAUUAUGUUGUAAGGAGUAAAUGAAGAGCACCAAUAUUUUGGACCUAAUAAGAAAUGCUAAUGCCGCAGCUUUGAAAGAUAAUAAAUAGGACGAUAAAAAGGGAGAAGAGAAAACUGUACAAAUAACCACGGAGACUUUUUAGGUUUUCUCACGAGAAGGUUAAUCAGAGAGGGAGGUGAAGAGAAGGGGAGAUUGAUUGUAAAGCAAAUUAAGAAAGUUGGACAUAAUCGAGAACUUGAUUAGCGGUUAUGUAUAGGUCUUGAAUGUGAGAAACUUUGGACCACUGGGAGUCGGGGCCGCUGCUCUCAGGAGUGCAUCUUUCUUUUAACAGAGGAGAACCAUAAACCUCCAGACGUUUUAGUUUGGUGAGACUUCUCAUGGCAUCCUCAGAGGGUAGAUGUCCAAGCUCCGUGAAAUGCCGUAAAUGCAGGAAUUCAAGAGCAGCGAAGUUUCCGAACCAAUCUGGCAGAGCUUUUAUACCUCCAAAGUCGCGUAGCCAUAGUGACGUCAGAGUGGUCAAGUAUUGGAUCCGAUGUGGCAGGGACUCCAUGUGUGGCAACCCAAUUAAUGCUAAUUCAUGGAGUGCAGAUUACGAAGAGGAUAUCAAUCCAGACCAAUCAAACUCAUUGUAAAUUGAAGAAUUUUCAUGAUCAUCACCAUCAUCUGAGAAGGGACCAAUUACAAGCUUCCUUAAGCUGGUUAGGAAACCAAAUCCUUUGGGUGUCAUGCUUGUUUUCAGUUUGGGACAGCAGUAUAAUCCCAGCUCCAAGAGAGAAGGCGUUUGUUGCAAAUCAAGCGGAAAGGAGACAAGAUUGUCGCACCAACUCACCUGAAGCUUCUGGAGAGAGGCACAAGAGUGCAGCAAGUCACCGGGCAGAUUCGUCAACCCAUCGCACUCAUCAAUCACCAGCUCUUUAAGAGACGUAAAGUUUUGCAGGGGAAGGAGUUCUCUGCAUCUGUUGCAGAAAUUAAAUGCCAAACGCGCUAACUUGGGUGGUGGUGUUGUUGUUGACUCGGGGAGUGUUGUUGUUGUUGGCAAAUUCAUUAACCAUCGAGGAAAUUGAUUGCCCAUAAAAUUCCAAAUUAUCAACUCCUCCAAAUUUGGGUGGGGUAGAAGGCCAUCUAACACAUCUUCAUCGUUGUAGUUGUCACCUUCUCGAUCAGGGGCCCACUUAAGUUCCAGCCUAAAUAGAUUUGCCUUUUCAGAUAGUUUUGCUUCCUUAGCUCCUUCCUUAUCCUUUACUAGUUCCAGAUUGCGUAUCUCCAAUUUGCCUUUGAGGUUCUUCAAGCAUCCAAGCUCUCCAAUUUGUCGACCCUUCUCUCGACCCACGCUAAAGAACUCUAGAGUUUGAAGGCAAGUCAGCCUUCCCAUCUCUCGCAGCAUUUGAAAUUCUUCAUCAUAAUCUAUGUAAUAGUGGAGAUGUCUCAAGCUAAUCAAAUUGCACAUUCCCUUCGGAAGAUCUUUAACAUUUGAGCCACUUAGCGUCAAUGUCUGCAGAUUAUAAAGCUUGCAAAGGGAGUCUGGCAAAAUACUGAUUGAAGACCAUGAAAGGUUAACAUACCGCAAAUGUAUCAGUUUGCCAAUUGAGACUGGUAGCUCUUGAGUUCUUCUUGCACGAGACAAAUUCAAAACAUACAAGUUCUUCAACUUCAUUAACAUAUCACCAGAUAAGUCACCAUUUACGAUGAAUAAUGUAUGAAACGAAGUUGAUAGACUCUCCAAAAGUUUUUCUCUGUCUUCUCUGGCACCAGAUGAGUCUAUUGCAAGGUAACGAAUCUGAUCACCAUUGUCUACUAUAUGCGUAUUCCAAUCAUUAAUGACUUUGGUAGACUUUGACAUUGACUCUGCAAGGUCGUGCACCAGAUCAUGCAUCUUAUAAUAUGUUAUCCCAUAGCUUCCUGUUUCUUCAAACAAUGAACUCUGCAAUAAAAUUCUCAGAUAAUUAAUUCCAAUUUCCUCCAUCAUCGUUUGGCUGUUGACGUCUGCUUGGAGGAAGCCUUCAGCCAUCCAAAGUUCGAUCAGCAUAUUUCUUUCCAUCUGAGUAUCCUUAGGAAAUAUAGAACAAUAUGCAAAACAUUUCUUAAUGUAUGGAGAUGGCAAAUUAUCAAAACUCAACUUAAGUAUUUGCAUCACACGAUCUCCACCUACACUCAACCUCAGAAGCCUAUUGUCCAAAAUUGAUUACCACUCCUCUUUUCUCUUUAAACGUAACAGACCUCCCAUUACACUUGCAGCCAAUGGUAGACCGUCACAUCUUUUGAUUACUCUCUUUUUAAUUGCUUUUAGUUCAUCAGGUUCUCCUUCCCCUCCAACUACUUUUUCUUUUACGAUAGACCAACAAUGAUCAUCAGGUAGUUUUCUUAAUGGAUAGGCUUCAUUUUCCAUCAUCAAAACUCUAGACACACACUGCGCCACUGGACCUGGACGAGUAGUGACCAGACACCAGCUUCCAUUAGUUGGAUUGAGCCCCUUCAAGGUGUUGAAAAAGUCCUCCCACAAUGCUUGAUCAUCAUCCCACACAUCAUCAAGGACUAGGAAAUAUCUUUUUCCCCUAGGUUGCUCCCAAUUUUUCCAACGAUGACAUUCCUAUCAUCCACUUCAACCUUUUCUCCCGUCAAUUGCAAUAAAAUGAGUUUGAAAAGCUCCACUAUUGGAACUUUUCUCGAUACACAAACCCAAAUUUUUUUGUUAAAGUGUUCAUCAAUUUUCUUGUUGUUGUAUAUGGAUUUAGCCAAAGCUGUUUUGCCUAAACCUCCCAUACCAACUAUGGGAAGAACAGAAACAACCUUCUCGGACGGGCUCAACAACAUCUCUAGUAUAUUUAAUUCAUCAUCGGCUCUUCCAGUCAUUGGAACAAGAACAGAGUCGGUCUGCCGAUUUCUUGUGUCUCCAACAGCAGGAGCAGCAGGGAGGGCAGCAGGCACGACUGCCCUACUGACCAGUAGCAAUCCGUUGGCUUCUUGAUAGAUGCCAUUCAACUUACGUUUGAUGUCCCUGACCUUAGAGGCCAUUCUCCAACGAAAAGCAAGAUUAAUGUUAGAGCAGGAGAAGAAGCAGCAUACCUUGAGCUUGUGUCGGUUUCGGGACUCCACCUGGUGACGAAGAGAUUCAUAGUGGAGCUCAUCCAACACAUUCUGAGCAUCAUAAGCCACCUCAUCGAGACACUUCAACCAUCGUUGCACUCCUCUGCUUUGGUUUUGCCUUUCCUCAGCAUCAGCCAGGACAUCUUUGAUAAGGCCAAGAGAUUGUGCCAUGCUGGCCACGUCCUUCUUGAGCCCAACUAACAUACCAAUCCUAUCAGAGGCAAGAGACAGUGCCCUUUCCAAGGUGACCUGAAUUGUGGCACCGAUAACAGGGUCGGCCAUUUUUUUUUCUUUUGAAUAUACAACUUGGAUUCAGUCUUGCGAUCAAGAUGGUUUUUUAAAAUGGGAGGUUUUAGCAGCCAGAAAUUGGUAAUGUUACAAGUGGUUAAAAGGAGAAGAGCAUUGAUAUUUGGUCAGCUAAAAAAUGCAGAGUUAUUCUUAACUUUGAUGCCUUCCUUUGCAAUGGAAAUAUAUAUUCCUUGCUUGGCAUCUUCACUUUAAAUUUCUUGGAUGCUUUGAAAUGCAGCGUCAUUCUUAACUUUGAUGCCUUCCUUCGCAAUGGAAAUAUAUAUUCCUUGCUCGGCAUCUUCACUUUAAAUUUCUUGGAUGCUUUGAAAUGGAAAUUCCUGGCAUGGGAUUUUCACUUUAACUUUCUUGCUGGGGCCUUCAUCUUUAUUCCAAUUUCCAUUGAGGGCUGACAAUUACAUUUGCUGUUUACUUAACCUAUAUUGCAUUCAUUCGUUAAUCCUGGAAAGAUGAACUAAUUAGAACAUGAUUUGGUCUUAACGCACACCUUAUUCUGUUGGAUUUUUCUUCCUUGCUAGAGACAUAAGUUGUGUCUCAAUACAAAAAUCAAUUAGGCUUCUAAUUAUUUUGUUAUUCAGAAUCUGAUAUCGUUGAGCAUUGAGCCUUUUCAACUUUGCAUAAUCAAGAUGCUGAGUCUAAUUUGGUGGUGUUGCCAUCACAUUAUAUUCCUUGCUUGUGUUAAUACCUUGAAAUGUGGAUGAAGUUUGGCAAAGAAUAACUUGAAAUGUGGAUUUGCUUCAAACUUUAUAUUCUGAAAUGAAGUUUGGCACUAGACGCCUAAACAAUUAUUCAGCCUAACUGCUUUAGAAAAUUUAUCACAGUGCGAUGGUGAUUUAUAGAUUGAUUAUCACAUAAACAAACUAACUCAUUAGCUUGUAAUGCAUAUAAAUGAUAUUUAACCAAAACAUUUGAAUUCAGAACUUAUUUUUUCUCUCUAUCCCUACCAAACCUAAGAAAAAAAAAAGCCACUGAUUUGCAUCUUUAUUUACAAAGUUAAUUUAAUGUACACAUGACUGAGCGUUAUUACAUUCCCUUAGUAAUUAAAAAAAUUUAGUCAAUUGUCCUAAAUUUUCUUAAAAUUGGAAACAUUUUGGGACAAAAAUUAUUAUUGAUCAAAAUUUUAGAACUAAAAUAGUUCAAGUGCCAAAAAUUGAGGACCAUACUUGUUUUUGCUAAAACUUUAGAACUAAAACUGUGCAAGUGCAAAACACUAAGGACAAAAACAUUUUUUCCAAAAGUUAAAAGAAACUUCAAAAAACUGGAAAAAAAUAUUUGCAAUCGGGGAGAUGUGAAAUUUAAGAAACCAGAGUUUUGAGGUUCGAACUUCUAAUUCCUAUAAUCUCAACCUUAACUAAUUGACCAAGGCCUAUUCUGUGCAUAAAGGCUCCUCUAGUGAAGAAGAAUGCAAAUUAUUCGACAAUUUUCCAAUGUUAUAGGAUACCAAAUCCCCUUAUUCCUCCAUGAUUAAAUGCCAAUGCAAAUUUGCUGAAAGAAAGAGGAGCCGUGCAAGUCUGGUGUAGUUGUUUAUUUUUGGACACUUUUGAGGUUUUUUGCCAUGCAACUAUUACCCAAGUCCCUUAUUAAUUUUCUUUUCAAUCAUGUACAUUGAGUGUGCCAAUAGGCACCCAAAAUUCCUGCCUAAAUGGAAAUGCCACCCAUAUAGCUAUCAUUUCUGGGCAUUAACGUGAUUUCUUUCAGCUUUUGGACCUAAUCUUUGUGUUAAACAAUUUACAAAGUCAUCUUAGGGAGCAAAGUGUAAAUAUCUUCAGUUAAAAAGGACAAAGUGUUACGUCUUACUCCCAAGUUCAAGAGGGUAAAGCAUAGUUAGCCCUUAAAUUCAUUCAUCCUUCUCUUUGAAUCUUCUUGGUAGCUUCUCAAAGCAUAAAGAAGCAGGGCCAAGAAUCAGAACAAAGAACACAUAAGAUUGCUCUUUGCUAAAAUAUUUGAGAAGAUUGGGCAGGUUGGGCCGUAGCUCGUAAAUCCUCAACCAUAUAUGCUACAACAGCUUUCAAUUGAAGUUCAGAGAAGAAGUUUUACUUGAUCUUAGGCCUAGCUUCAGCAUUAAUACAGAUCUAGAGUCAUCACUAGCUAGAAGUAAGAAAUUCAAAGAAAUAUGACAAAACAUAUUAAUCCGGUAUUUACUAUGGGCACUCGUUGACAUACUUUUUUUUUUUUGGCAUAGCGACACAUCUAGCCUAGCCUAACCUACUCCUACUCCUAAGAGGGGGGACCUACUAUCUAAGGGAAGCGACUCUAGGGAGUGGGCCUAUAGAGUCGGAGGAACCUGACGGGGACUGAAUCACCAUCAGACCAAACGGGUGCACCACUCACCCACAUGGAUUUAGAGAGUCCUCAUAUUGAGGCACAGUGAUGGAAGGUAAGGUUUAAACCCUUGACCUCCCACCCCACUUGUUGACAUACUUAAAUUAAGCAUAACUUAUUAUGUUAAUACACACAAUCACAAUUAAUUUACUCCUUGUGUUAUAUGUUUUUUUGUAUUAACUACAUUUUUUUUAAAAGACUAACGCAUAAAACCACUCUAAAUGAGUGUCAAAUUGGCACCCAUUAGCCAAACUAUGUUAAUCCAAUUAAGUUAUACCAACAUACGAGCAACUUCAAGCCUUCAAUUAAUAAUGGGUGAAUGUGAAAAGGCUUCAUCAAACAUGAUUUAUAUAUAUAUAUAUAUAUAACAAGACAAUUUCAUUCCAAUAUUUAUACUAAUGGCAGCGAAUACAUCAAACAUGACAUAGAUUUAUAUAAAUCUGAAAAUCAAAUAAUAUAACAGAUUUAAAAAUCUAUAAAUUUGACCAUAACGUUGAAAUUUCAAGAAUAUCUUCCAUCAAAUAAAUGUCAGUACAAUUCGACGAAUCUAUAUCCAUGUCUUUUGACAGAUGCAUAGUCAGAUCUGAUAAAAACUAUUUCAAGUCUAAAGAAAAAUUUAGAUCUAACUUCUAGAUUUAAUUGGAGGAGUUUUAGAGAGAAGGAAGAGAGAAUGAGUUUUAGAGUGAAAAAGAAGAGAGCUUUUGUAAUAUCCAGAUAAUUUGCAGCUAGCACUUGGAGUUUGAUUAGUAUCAAAAGCAUAUUCAAUGACCUAAUUUGCAUCUAAAUACAUGCAGGUGACAUCUUUUCACACUGUUAAAGGACAUUCUGAUUGUUAUCUGUAUCCAUGCAAGCCAUCUUGACAGUUAAGAGGCACUAACAUUUUCAACAUUUGCAGCUAGUUUGGGAGUUUAAGAUAGAACAGAAAAGAAGAGAAAGCUUAAGUUAUGAAAGAAAAAAAAAGAAGAGAUUUAGUUUUGAUAUUGUUUGGGAGUUUAGUAAAAAAGAAAAUUGAUAUUGGAUACAUAUGCCAAAAAAAAUUUGUUUAAUAGACAUUUAAGUAUAAAUUUGAUAUUUUAAAAAUUUUUAGAAAGCUUGCUUCAACUCUGUUUUGUUGGAAAAGUAUUAUUAACUGUAAAUGCUAGAACGAUCCAUCCAAAAUCUUCCCAUUUUUUUUUUCAAUCGCUCCACAACUCCCAAACAUCAUAAAAGAGCUAUAUUCUCUCACUUUCUUCUCAUUUCCUGUCAAAUCUAAGCUCCCAAACAAAGUAUUGGUCUCCACAUGAUGUACAAUUAUCUAACAUAAGCUCCAGCGUGCAAAAUCUAAAAUCAAAGGAUGAAUUAGGUAAAUGUAACUUCAACGUAUACCAAUCUUUUAUUGCCUUUCUUUGAUUACUACCUCUAUUUGCAGCACCCUUCAUAUUUGAAAUUUUGCAAUUUUUGACAGCUAUGGUGAAAAAAAAUAAUGGCUCUAAUGUCACAACACAAAUUUUAUUUCCACAAUAAUAAUAAUUUGCCCUUCUCAAGUCCAAAUGUAGUUUGGACGUAAUGCGUCAUUUUAACAAAAUUUGCUCGGAAAAUAAAUUUUGAGCUAUGGCAAUAUGAUUUGUCCUAACUACUCAAGCAAACAAUGACUGCAAAUCAUUAGCUUGUCCUCCCUCAUCUGUUGAUACAUGUGUCAAAUAUCUUUAUCAUUCCAUUAUUCAAGAAUUAGAGUGAAAUAUAUGCUUUAGUUUGGUAUGAGGGACUCAAUCCGUGCAAACACAAACACUAGAGUAAAAUAUAUGCUAUAGGAUAGUAAUUUUUUUUGUAGGAAAAUAGACUGUAGCACUUGUUUUAAUAUGAUGCAUAUGAGCUAAAAAUAUAAUUAGAAAAUGUGUCAAGAUAUAUUCUUGGAAAAAUCUGAAAAAUUUUUCUACAAAAGAAUACAAUCCAAACAAGGCCUAUUGAUGCCUAACUGACAAGUAAGCUUUUUUUUUUUUUUUUUUUCAAAAACGAUAGGUGUUGUAUUGAUAAAAUCAGAACUUUACACUUGUAAAGCAACAGUUCUGAGAGGCUAUACAAAGGUGUUAAACACCUUGAGGAUUGUUUCAUUCCUCUUCAUCACAAAUACUUACUGCAUAAGUACUAAUAGAUUUACUUAUAUUGUCAUUUGCUAUAUCUAAACAAAAUGAGCAUUUUUGAAACAAACAACUUAAAUUGUUGAUGUCAUCCAUCAGAAUUGCCAGCCUAAUGUCUUUGGUUUUUCUGGACAUCAACGAUGAUAGAAGCUGCUCUUGAUCAAAGCUACUCUUACUGUCUCAGCUAAAUCCACUAUUGGUAUGCUUGUGCCUCUAUUCCUCAUGGCCAAACUGUCUUAACUAACUGACAAGUAAGCUAAUUUGGCACCAAAACCCAAUGUGGAUUUAAUCUGGCCCCAUGAACUGGUAGCCUUUUUUUAUUUGACUUGUCCAAGAAAAGAUUUGAAUGUUCACCCCAAAAAUGGUGGCGGAUCCUUGAGCAUCCGGAAGAAGAAGAAGAAGACUUAUUCCACGGUUGAAAGUUUAAACGUGAAACAAAACCAGAAAAAGCAACAGAGCACACGGUGCCAUUUCAGGGACUGGAAAUGAUAGAAGUUCGCCGCAAGCAGAAUCCAUGCUAUCACAGAGAAGGCCAGUUUUUUGUCUGGCUACUGCAAGUAGAGAAAAGGCACAUGCCCUUCAAGGAGGACCUUGUAAAUUUAGUUCAACAUAACGAGGAAAGGGCACAAGGUAUGAGAAACAAUUUUAGAUUCUAGUUGACAUUUGAGCCCGAGAUCAUUGCAAAACAGGGAAUUCGAGCUGAGGCAAUAUGUGAACAAGAAAGCUAAUCAGAAAGUUCAGAAAAUUUGACAAUAAUUUUGUUCUGUCAAUCUUACAAAAGGCUAAACUGUGUCUUGUUAGUUAUGAAACUAAAUGGAUAAGCAAGUACUGAGUCGUGUUUACAAUUACAGUAGUCUGGUUCCAGCUGCAAAGCAAGUAAUUACAACUCAUAAACUUGAAAAUAAUGAUAGGCAAUUUGUAGCACAUGCAAAACAUUUCACAUUGAGGAACAACAGAGCAGUAUGUGAGAGAUGACAAAUUGAGUUCUAAAACAUGUAAAUCAGCACCUCAUUAUCAUAGCAGAAGAGAAUGCCAUCCUAGAUGUUACUAUCCAACUGAAGCAAGAUCUUUUUCAGCAAGGAAUCAUAGGACUUUCAAAAUGUAAAGAUAGUAAGUAAGAGCCAUCGAUACAGUUCCCUGUUGAGCAUUGUGAUAUUAAAGACAUAAGUAAUAGCCAUCAAUGAGGUUCCUUGUUGAGCUUUGUGCCAAAUAUCACUGCAAAGCACCAAAAACUCAAGCUCAGGAUGGCAUUCAGGAUAGAAUAAAGCUAAUGGAAAUUUUCAGAUAAUUGCAAGUUUUCUGUCAUUGUAACUAAAGCCCUAAAACAAGAAACUUACCAUAAAAAAAAGAAGCAGCCAACAGUCAUAAAAGCAGAGAGAGCUUAAGAGACUUUAUCAAGGUGGAUUCAUUAAAAACAUGAAAUCGCAACAAGCAGACUUAAAUAGCUUAAGUAGGUUUGUACAACUUCAUUUCUUGAACGGUACAUCAUCCUUGGUUCCCUAAAAAAUAUCUCUGUGGCGACAAGAUUUCUUUUGUUUUAUACAUAAUAAAUUGGACAUUAAAGUGGUUAAAAGGCAAAAUUGAGUAAUGAACGAAGAGAAGCAUAUCUAAAAUUAUGGGAAUUUUUGAAUCAAAAGUUAAAAGUGAUGACCAACAUGUCUACAAAUUGCUGAAUCGGUUGGAAAGUUUAAAAUCACCACGCUGACAAGGAAGAUCUCAGGCUUUGGCCAUCCGAGGCAGAGAGCAAAAGGGAAUCUGAUCUAACUGAAACAGUGACAGGUGCCGAACCUGUGCAAUAAUAAAUACCUACUCAAGAAAAUUACAAAUUUUGUAUAUAGCGGUGAGUAGGGUCGAAUCCACAGGGACUGGGAAUAAUUCGUUUCUUCUCGAGUUCAGAGUAUGGGGGGUUUUUGAUGGGAGGAAAAUAAAAAAAAUGAAAUAAAACAAACAAAAUUCAAAACUAACUCACAAAGCACAAUUUACUAAAAAUAGCAAUUAAUAAAAGUUCUACCCAAAGGAUCAGCUGUUCAGACACGGUCCAAUUAAAUGAUCAUCGAUGCAAAGAUAUUUCAUCCAUUCAUUACUAGGUUGGUUAUAGUUAUCAACAAACUCUGACAACUAGUUCUUCCUUACUUUUUCGAUAGUCAAGGUACGACCAUUGACUGCUUCUCUAACCAGAUAACAACCCUAGGUACGACCGUAGGAAUUUAAUUAUCCAAUUGUAUUGAAACUAGAAGAACCCAACCCUAACUAAUAAACACGCUAAGAGGGUUUAUUUAAGUUAGAUCUUACGUUUUCCCAACAUAAACCCAAUUAUGGUGGUUGUCACUAGGUAUCGACUAAACGAACAAUUACGGAUUCAAUUUAGUUAAUAUGACAGUAGGCUAUUAAAUAAAAUCAAAUACCCGGCCGUUGAUAUUCAAUUAAUAAAAUACCCAUGAACAAUUAAUUCAGGAAACGUACGAAUAGCAACAAAUUGGAAAAAGUAAUGAAAGUUUGAUUAGAUCUCACAGAUGUUAUGGACCGCGCCUUCGCGUUAACCUUUGGGUAGAAGAAAAACCUAGCCACUCCUCAUCGUAUCAAUUUUGCGUGGGUUGGUUGAUUUCAUCCGCACAGUCAUCAGCGAAAUAUGAACGAUGGAGUGAUGACGAAAAGAAAGAAAAGAAAACGUCUUCCUUGUCUUUGCGUUAAUGUUUGUACUGAAGCCGAAGUACAACGCAAAAACCAACGAAAAUUGUACAGAGCCAAAGCCAAAGCCAAAGAGUCAAAAACGUGAAAGCCAAAAAGCAAGAGAAGAGUCUACAACGUCUGACGGCUAGGGAAAAAGAAAACUAAAGCUAUCUAAUUCCUAAUACGUGAAUCUGGCUUUCUUUUUGCCUUUUGUAGCCGCCGCCAGCCAAAGCAAUUAGGAGCAGGACUUGUCUAUGGGUUUUAAUCCCACGCAUCUGGUUCACAUGGAUCUAGUGCCUUAAUUGGGUCUCCUGCUAUUGGUCCUGCGGAUCCGGCUUUUCGAGAGCAUCUACCUUUUCUGGCGUGGCCACGCUCUGAGAUGAAGGGUCUUCUGGAAAUUUGCCUCAAGAGAUUACUUUUAACGCCAAUCAUCUGUAAUUCAUACAAAUAUGAAAUAUGAGCAAAACCUCAAUACUUAGCACAGUAAGUAGCUAAAAUUAGGACAAAAUAACAGUGCAAAAUGUGCCAAAUAACCGCUCUAUCAAUUCCCCCCACACCUAGACAAUGCUUGCCCUCAAGCAUUUCAGAGCUCAGAAGUACAACCAAGAGAGCAGAGGUCAUGUAGUAGUCUAUACUAACACAAGCAUUUCAGAUCCCUGACAAUAUCACCAAAAUUAGAACACACCGGACAGGUUGUAAUUCAAAGAAAAUAUAUGAAUACUAGGAACGCUCAAAUCAACAUCACAGAAUGGCAUUACCAUAGGCUUGCACAUUUAUCACAUCUCCACCACUCAAAGGUGAACUAAAUACACAAAUCAAAGGGAAUUUAAUAGGGUUGUAAUGGGGUUUAGGUAAAAGGCGGGAUAAGAAGGUAAAAAUAGGGUGUAAUGUGUCAAGAGAAUGUCCAAUAUCUACUACAUAACCACAAUGCUUUAUCGGGACAAUUUCUCAAGUAGGGCGUUUUCAUUUGCUGUUUUCAUUGUGCAAGUGUCGAAAAUCGUUCCUCUUUUUUUUUUUUUUUGGAGAGGACGUCUAGCAAGGCGUGGGCACGCUCUGGAAGACAGAGUCUUCUGCUCACCAGCUUUUUGCCGAUUUCUCCCUUUUUUUUUCUUCUUUUCUCUAUUUUUUUCUUGGCUUUUCUUUCGAUCUCAGAUGUACAGAAACAGCACCAUACAACAUCUUUUUGACAACACUUGCGCCCAUAGAUUUAUUUGUCUUGCACGAGUAAUGAAUUUCAGACAUCCCUUAAUGACACAAGGUUGAACAAGAAAGUCUAAAAAGGUCAUGGGUUAUCAAACACGGCUAACAAGCAAAAGUAAAAGAUAAAAGCUCAAGUUGGUUCACUAUUGGGAAAUAAGAUGAAGGCAUGGUUUGUAGAAAGUUAAAGAAGGUCAAAUCCUAAAUGCCCUUAUCAUUUCAAAUGCAUCCAGUUCAACAAAAUGUGGUCUCGACAUGUAUAAAAUAGCAAGUUCUAGAAUACCGAUACCAUGUGUGAUACCCACUCAAUCAAACAAUAAUAGAGCAAACAAGAAUAAUGUGCUCAUGCAUGACUCAAAAGCUCCCAAAAGUCACAAAAGUGGGUCAAGUCCAGUAUAUCCAACAUUCAACAAUACUGUCAAGGCAAAACGAAAUGCAUAGCUAGUAUAUCUAACCACAUGCCCGUGCACCUUGAUUGAGUUAUUCAUCAUAGCAAAGAAGUCAGCUAACUACACUCUUUUCCUUUUCCUCCUUUUUUUUUUCUUCAUUUUCCUCCUCUUUUUUUUUCAUUUUUUUUUUGUGUUUUUUUUUUUUUUGUUUUAAAAGCAAAGCAAAAGGAGAUAAUAAAGGAAGCCAUCCCCCCACACCUAAUACCUACAUUGUCCUCAAUGUAGAAAAGAUGAAUGAAGUAUAAGGAGAAAAGGAGAGAAACUUCCCUGACCACCGAGAGGGUGCUGUGAGACACUAAGGCGGAGGAGGGUGAGGUGACUGGAAUCUAAUGUGAGCAAAGAAAGCUAUCUGAUGAGAGAGAUAGUGACGGUGGGGAAGGCAGCGACGUGCGAUGGAUGGCGCGAGGAGAAGAGAGAGAGUUUCUAGCAGCGGUGGACAAAGGGGAAACCUUGGACUAAGACAAAACAAAGAAAAUUGAAAAGUAGAAGUUGAGACAAUGGAAAUUGAUAAGACCAUACAAGACAAGAAAAGAGAAAAGUAGAAAGUGGUAUUAGAGAGGAUCCUGGUCAAUCUUUGACUUUCGUUGGCGCAAAGGCUGGAAGGCGUGGGCACGCCUUGGAAGCUAUAGUCUUCUGACCGUCAAUUCCAAAACUUCACUGCUUAGGCGUGACCACCUAGCGUGGGCAUGUCUAACUUCCUGCUUCCUGCCAUAAAACAAAAAUCCAAUAAAUGACACUAACACUGAACAAAAAAUUUCAAAAAUAUAAGAAAACUAAAACAAAAGAAGCCUUGGGUUGCCUCCCAAGAGCGCCUUUCUUUAAUGUUUUUGGCUAGACAUCGUCAUAUUUAUUCACGGAGGAUAAAAUCGUGUAGCUCGUUUCAGCGCUUCAUCUUCUAUGUAGUCCUGAUAUCCCUCGUAAAUAGAGUAAUUCUUGAGCACACGAGCUACGGACUUCCAUGGAUCAGUAGAUGGCGCCAAACAAACAAGUGAUGACCUUAAAUCUUCACUCACUCCUCCAUCAAGAGCACUUAUUGGUCCGAGAUAUUUUGCCAUCAUGACUCUUAACUUAUUCCUGGCAUGAAAUUCAAAAUCAUCUGGUAUAAUAAAAUCAAUCUCACUAACAGGAAUUAAAGAAUAAGAGUCAGGAAAAUAUUGAUCAAGGAAUGGAGGAGAUGUCACCGCAUUUGGAGAUUGUUCACUGGAUUCAUUCACUUGCACCAUUUGAUGUUGGGGUCUCAAUUCUUGCGCUUCAACUUUCUUUUCAACUGCAUCUUUAGAUUCUUCUUCUUGAGACUCUUGCAGUACCAUAUCAUUUGUCAGAAUAAUUGCACUCUCGUCUUCCUCGUGGUCGAUAAUAGUCGGUGAGGGCAAUUCUUCAUAAAUUGGAGAAAUCAAUUUGCUCAUUUUAGAUGCCCAUUCACGCCUUCCUUCUUACAUCUCUUUACUCAUCUUUUGUGUCUCCUGUUGAAGUUGAUGUACCUCCUGUUGAAUUUGAUAUGUGUUAGUAGCUAUUAAUUCAACUAUUUCUUCAAGAGACAUACCUAACAUGGAUGACGGUUCUUGAGACUCUAACUGUUGUAAAUCUAUUGGUCUUUGUUGAUAAUUAAAAUUGGAAUCAUCCCACCAUCCUUGCUCAUACCCAUUUGAAUAAGGGUCAUACCAUGUUUGAGACCAGGGUGAAAAAUCUCCAUAAUUAUUGAGUGGGACACUCAGAUUAUCUUGAUAUUCGGGGCACAUACCGGUUGAAUGAUCCCUGGCGUAACAAAUUUUACAGGUUGCAGCAGCCAUUCUUUUUCUAAUAGAGUUUAGUGCCUCUGAAUAUGCAAACUUAGCAAAAAAACAAGCCUCAUUGCCUUCCCUGGAAACAAAAUCCAAUCUAUCACCAAAAUACGGAGUGUUAGCGGCCAUAAACUAGUAAAGAAAAAAAAAGAAAAAAAAAUAAGAGGGAAAAAAAAUGGAAAUGAAAAUAAAAUGAACUCAAAAAGAAACAAAUUAAACAGGCACCAGUCGCCGGCAACGGCGCCAAAAAUUGACAGGUGCCGAACCUGUGCAAUAAUAAAUACCUACUCAAGAAAAUUACAAAUUUUGUAUAUAGCGGUGAGUAGGGUCGAAUCCACAGGGAUUGGGAAUAAUUCGUUUCUUCUCGAGUUCAGAGUAUGGGGGGUUUUUGAUGGGAGGAAAAUAAAAAAAAUGAAAUAAAACAAAAAAAAUUCAAAACUAACUCACAAAGCACAAUUUACUAAAAAUAGCAAUUAAUAAAAGUUCUACCCAAAGGAUCAGCUGUUCAGGCACGGUCCAAUUAAAUGAUCAUCGAUGCAAAGAUAUUUCAUCCAUUCAUUGUGAGGACCCGUACUUUUCUUAAUUGCACGUUUUCUGCAUUUUCUUUAUUAGAAAAUUUUUCUAGAUCAAUUUUAUGAGUAAAUAUGGUUUUUAAAUAAUUUUUCUAGUUUCGGUUACUUUUUGAGAAAUUAAGAGCGUAUAUCGGACGUGGGACCCGCUAGUGUGGAAAAUUCGGAAAAAUUCGGCCAGUUCAGUUAAGUUUUGGAUACUGGGUUUAGUUUACCGGGUGUUAUGAGAUAUUUAGAGGUUGCCAAGUGGAUUGGUGUAAGAGAGACAAAAAGUUAGGCAAGCAAUUAAUGAAGAGGACAUGUGUCACUUGAGGAUUUAUUCUUACCUUUUUGACCUUUUGACCACUAUUCAUGCCUUUACCAUUUAAACCAAAAUUGACCCAAAAUUCUUCUUAUUUUGAAGCUCUUGGCCGAAUUUCUCGCUAGGAACAAAGGAAAGAAAACUCUCUCAAUUUUCAAGCUCCAAUCUUGCCCAAUCUUUCAAUUCAACCGUUUAAUCUUCAAAUUUCCAUAGAACUUCUUAGUUUGGUGAUAUUGAGGUUGGUUGUGGAGUUGUUUGGAAGAAUUUGGUGCUAAGUUGCUUACUUUCUUGAGCUUGCAAGGUGAGUAACUAGGGAAUUCUUUCUUUGAUCUUGCUAAUGUCAAAUUAAUGGUUUAUGUUGGUUAUAGAUGUGAUUUUAUGGAAGAAUUGGCACAUGAAUGCAUGAAUUUCCAGAUUAGGGUUCCAUUUUUCCCCUUUCUGCCCGUUUCUGUUUGACCGGGUUAGAAGCCAAAUUGGCCGUAGCACAAAACAUGAAAGUUGUAUACAAUGAUGUUUCCUAGUUGCCUGUAAAUUUUCAGCCCAAUCCGAGCUCAGGAACCUGAGAUAAGAUGGAAAUACCCAGACUGGUCUAGUAGGAGUUCAGGGAACAGGGUUGUCUUUUCACCCAAUCUGACCGGGACUUUUGCACCAUGAUCCUUACCGAAUUAGAUUUUGGCCAAAACAUAAAGUUGUAGCCAAUAGUAUAAAAUAGUUUCCUACAAAAUUUCAGCUUGAUCCGACCACUGUAUCAUGUGAAAUGACUGAAAUACCCUUGACUGUUCAUGAAACCUGUUUCGCGCCCAUAAUUCUGGUUUUGGUGUAGUUUUCCAUUUUUGAUCAUGCAAAUGCAUGAUUUGGCCUUGGAGGUCUUCAUAAUAAAUGUAGGGUUGUGUUUUAGCUUCGAAACACCAUAAGAUAUACUUCAAUCGGACUUCGGUAGCCUGAGUUAUUGCUGUUUAACAAUUGUGCGGUUAGCCAACCUGUUUGUGAGUUUCUGGUUUCAUAUAUGUCAAUUUUGACCUAGUUGUACUACAAACUGGACUGAGUGGCCUUCUUCAACAUUGUAGCCCUAUCUGUUAGCUUCGGAACGGUGUAUCUUGCACCUUCAUCCGAUAAUCGUAGCGCCAAUGGUGCCAAAAUCGCAAAAUGGUGUCAAAAACUGUUUUUAUCCGGAAAUGUUUUUUAGCUUGAUUUUUGUAUUUAUAUGACUUUAAGCCUAGUGAACGGCUUUUGGACAUGAGAUUAUUCUAUAUGAGAUGUUGGGACUGUUUUGAGGAAAAUAAUGAAGCCAUUAAUGGCUGGAAAAUAGGUAAACACAAGGGACAUGCCGUCCAUUUAUCUUCUUGUAAUGUGAACAAGUUAAAGUGAUUUUGCGAAUGUAUUUUGUGACGAAUUGGACGUAUUUACUGAAAAUGUUACCGGCUCUUUCAAAAGGUGGCCGAGGGCUAAAUUUCUAUUUGAACCUGUAUAUUUCCGCUUGGCAAAUAAAAUGAUCAUUUUACCAUUCUAAAACCUAAUACCUCUUUAGGUUGGUUUAUGAACCCUAGUAAUUCCCGUCCACGAAUCCAUAUGCUCUAUUGACACUUUAAAAGUCAUUUUAUACGUUUACUCGCGAGUAGUCGGGUAAUCCUUGAUUUCAUCCAAAUCAUGCUAGAUGGAUUGUAAUGUGUUCUUUGUUUACUUUUAGGUUUCAUUGGUGAUUGAGAAGUGGACGUUAUUUUGCGUGUAUAGGUGAGUGUUCCCUGUUUGAUAUGUUUCAUGAUUUUAUGGCUGGUAUGAAUGAUUGAUAACAUGUUAUAUGCUUUCAGUGAUUGUUAAAACGAGUUUUCUAGGCAAGUGUGUACUUUAUCGCACUCGGCCUAAACGAUUGUGAAAUUUUCAAUGAUUGAAUGAUUGAAAUGUUAUUUGUGCAUGAAUGUAAGCCUUUUGGCUGAACUGGCCAUUGCCCCUUGUUACCGGUCGUCUCGAGCCAGAAGCGGACUCGGUUGGGCGAUUAGGGACCUGGGUGAACGUUUUGGUAUACUCGAGUAUUACCUUGUAGAUUGGUGGAGGUUGGUGGAGCCUGGUGAAUGAAUGAAUGAACGAAUGAAUGAAUGAGGGUUUUACUUAUAUACAAAUGCAUUUUCAAAUGAUUGAAGGUAUAAGGGAACGAAAGGAGAAUGAAUGAACGAAUGAAUGAACGAAUGGCUCCUUGUGAGCACGUAUCCUUUUAAUGAAGGUGUUUAUCGCUUUCUUUUGUAUUUGAAUUAUUGGUAACAUGUAAUGAAUGCUUUGAACUUCUUGUUGCCUAUGUGUUCGGAACCUCACUGAACUUAUAGCUCACCCCUUUAGUUUGUUUUCCUUAACAGGGGAAGGCGAGCAAGGACGAGAGCCGAUAUAGACUAGCUGGGUCUAGCCCUUGGUUUUCUUUUGUCAUGGUUCUCGCCCUAGUGCUUGGCACGGGCUGGUUGUAUAGUGAUUUGAGAACCUCUGUAUAUUUGACGGUUGUACUUCUUCUUGAGAUAUUAUUGUAUAUACGUUUUGUUUUAAGUUGGAUCGUGGUUAGAUGUUCUUAUGGUUGCUUGAAGUGAUCGACUGAGUCCCGGCGAGAGCUGGGCAGGCAGUCCGCCGAACCCUUUGGUUCGCCUUAGGGGAAAGUGGGGCUGUCACAACCAUAAUUAGGUUGGUUAGAUGUUCUUAUUAGGUUGGUUAUAGUUAUCAACAAGCUCUGACAACCAGUUCUUCCUUACUUUUUCGACAGUCAAGGUACGACCAUUGACUGCUUCUCUAACCAGAUAACAACCCUAGGUACGACCGUAAGAAUUUAAUUACCCAAUUGCAUUGAAACUAGAAGAACCCAACCCUAACUAAUAAACACGCUAAGAGAGUUUAUUUAAGUUAGAUCUUACGUUUUCCCAACAUAAACCCAAUUAUGGUGGUUGUCACUAGGUAUCGACUAAACGAACAAUUACGGAUUCAAUUUAGUUAAUAUGACAGUAGGCUAUUAAAUUAAAUCAAAUACCCGGCCGUUGAUAUUCAAUUAAUAAAAUACCCAUGAACAAUUAAUUCAGGAAACGUACGAAUAACAACAAAUUGAAAAAAGUAAUGAAAGUUUGAUUAGAUCUCACAGAUGUUAUGGACCGCGCCUUCGCGUUAACCUUUGGGUAGAAGAAAAACCUAGCUGCUCCUCAUCGUAUCAAUUUUGCGUGGGUUGGUUGAUUUCAUCCGCACAGUCAUCAGCGAAAUUGGAACGAUGGAGUAAUGACGAAAAGAAAGAAAAGAAAACGUCUUCCUUGUCUUUGCGUUAAUGUUCGUACUGAAGCCGAAGUACAACGUAAAAACCAACGAAAAUUGUACAGAGCCAAAGCCAAAGCCAAAGAGUCAAAAACGUGAAAGCCAAAAAGCAAGAGAAGAGUCUACAACGUCUGACGGUUAGGGAAAAAGAAAACUAAAGCUAUCUAAUUCCUAAUACGUGAAUCUGGCUUUCUUUUUGCCUUUUGUAGCCGCCGCCAGCCAAAGCAAUUAGGAGCAGGACUUGUCUAUGGGUUUUAAUCCCACGCAUCUGGUUCACAUGGACCUAGUGCCUUAAUUGGGUCUCCUGCUAUUGGUCCCGCGGAUCCGGCUUUUCGAGAGCAUCUACCUUUUCUGGCGUGGCCACGCUCUGAGAUGAAGGGUCUUCUGGAAAUUUGCCUCAAGAGAUUACUUUUAACGCCAAUCAUCUGUAAUUCAUACAAAUAUGAAAUAUGAGCAAAACCUCAAUACUUAGCACAGUAAGUAGCUAAAAUUAGGACAAAAUAACAGUGCAAAAUGUGCCAAAUAACCGCUCUAUCAAACAGGAUCUGGUUCAGCAAGGGAUCGUAUACCAAGGAUAGUAAGCAAGAGCUAUCAAGUUUAAUGUUGAUCUUUGAGCGUAAACCUACUGCAAAACAUAGAAAAUCAAACUUAAGAAACUCGAGACAGCAUAUAGUCAAGAAUAAAGCCAGCACAUGGUUGCAUGACAUUUUUUUGUAUUUGAAACACUAAAAUAAGAACUUACCAUGAAGAGAGGAGCAACCCAACAAGUGUAGAAGGCAGAAUGAGCUUAAUAGCCUUCAUCACAGCUGAUGAAAUAAUUGCAGCAAGUGGCAGCAGCCAACAAGUACGCUUGGCAGUCUCAAAACUUGCACUCUAACAAUUCUGUGCAGAUUCACUGCAUGAAUAGUAUAUCUUCCGUGGCUGCUCCCAAAAACAUUUUCAUUAUGAGAAGAUUUCUCAAGUUUUGGUUGUAAUAUGUUCAGAAUCAAAGUAGUUAAAAGUCAAAUUUGAGUAGUAAAAGAAGAGUAGUAUAUCUGAAUUUACCAGACACUACAACAAACACCAAUUUGAUGACCAACAGCUCUGAAAACUCCUGAAAUCUUUCGUACUAGAAAAUCAUAACCAAGGAAAAGUGACACAUAAACCCAUCAUCUACGAGACUUAUCGAACAAAUCACUAAUCAAAUGGUUCAAGAAGCUUGAUAAAUGAGCCUUCAAGAGGCGAUUAAACUUUGGAGCAACUAUUUACUUUAGCAAUCACGUCUUACAUCCACAAAAGCAAAUAUAUAAAAUCAACAAAAUUAAACUUCUAGUGCUUAUUUCAUAUUGAUGGGUAACUUGUAGGAAAUGCAAAACAAAAAUUAAUUAAUACCAGCUAUAAAAAUCUAAUCUAAGUUCAUCUAGGGGAGAGACCUCAAAAAUCUGCUUGUUAAGUGCAGGAGAAAGGAGCUCAGUAGAGAAUUGGGGGUUUAAAGUCUUAUAGAAAAGGUUUGUAGAAUUGCUGCUUGUGGUAUCAAAUCUAAAAUGUCCAAUGCAUUUUCAACGUGUGAAACUUCAGAGAGAUCAAUCACUUCAUCCUGGUGAAAUCACAAGUUUACAGAGAGUGCACCGAUGUUAGCAAUCACAGUAACUGAUAUGCAUGAUAAACAAAACUAUGCAACUGAAAAACGUGAUUCAGUUAACCCAAGAAAAUCUCGGUCACUGAAAAAAAUAUGCAACUGAAGCUUUAAGUGUAGUACUGAAACAUGGAUGGUAUUGAAUUGGACCACCAUUUGCCAUGUUUGAUCUUUGCAACAGCGAAUGAGAUGUGAUACAACGGGAGAAAUACCAAUUUGACAUUUUAAAUUAACCAAAAUGAUUGUUUAGUUCCGUUAGUUUAGAUUGGUAUGGAACCGUGCAUGGUUUAUUAGUCGUAAAGGUUAUGAAAUAUUGCACUUAUUCAUGAUAAAGAGUUACUUGGCAGACCUACUCUGUUGCUGCUCCAAUUAUCACUUGAUAUACUUCAAAGGAAAGAAAGGACUUUGAAAAGUAAAGGCGGUGAUUAGGAGCCAUCAGGGUUCCCUACAGAGCUAUAAACCUACAGCAACUGCAAAACAGAAAACUCAGACUCAGGACUUCGCAUUAGCAAAUCAUGAGGCAAACACGAAAUUGCAUGACAUUUUUGUCUAGUCAAUUAUUCAGAAAGCUAAAUCAAUAUUUGUUUUUUUUCUUCUUUUCUAACGUAAAUCAGUAAGCAGGUAUCAAAUCUUUCUGUUCAGUCCACAAGUACCAGAAGCAUCACAAAAACUAUAUUAGCUUUUGUUCAAAACACUGAAAAAGAAAAGUUCUAUAACAAUAAUGACUGGUACCCACAAGCAGGAGAGGCAGAGAGUCCUAGAAUUGCCAUAAAAGCGAACUAUUUGAGACUGCAAGAUGCAACAAGUAGAGCUAAUAACUCAAAUCAUUGCAUUUGAACUUAAACUUCAGAAGAGGAUAGUCUACCAAGUCUCUGCUGCUUGAAAAUGUCUUAAACAUGACAAUUUUUUUAAGGUUUUAGUUAAUGCUUAAACUGCUUAAAACCCAAUAUUAAGUAGUGGAAGAAGAUAGUUGGUAUUAUAAAUUAUCAGACCACCAAUCCCACAACCAAGGGCAGUGAGAGUAAUUCGAUUGACCAUUGGAUUUAGGUCAAGAGAUCAAAGCUGAAGAAAGUAGAAUCCCAUCAUUUAAGAGACAUAAUAAGAAUACCAAUAAUCAGAUAAUUUGGAGCAAGAUGAUAAAUACAUUUCCAAGAGAUGGAAGUUCAGAACAAGCAUAAUUUGGAGCAAGAUGAUAAAUACAUUUCCAAGAGAUGGAAGUUCAGAACAAGCAUUUCCAUCCCGGUAGAAUCUCGAGUUUAAAGAGAAUUAGCUCCUUUCAGCAAUCAUGUUUAACAAGCAUGAGCAAAAGUAAACUGCUAUUUUUUAUUUAAAACAAAGAAUUUUGUACCGUAGAUGAAAAUACAAAAGUUUUCAGCUUUGACAUCAUGUUUAACUGUCCACAUCAAAUAAUCUCCUCUUGAACAUCUGUAUUCCAUAAUUGAAUUUAAUAUAUGGUUAGCGAUAUUGUUUUCUUCCCGGAACAACGCUUGUUGGGUUUUUUUGAAUCAGGCUGAAAAGGCCAGGAAAAGUUCAACAAAGUAGACAACUGACCUUACUGUUACAUUACUAGACAACAUCUUGGAAGCAGACGUUUUAAACAUUCAGAUAUUUUGCAACAAAAUCAUCUUAUUGUACAAUUUCUAUCACCUGAUAUUGGAUAGAUUUAAAAGAAUUUAGUAAUGAUUUCACUGGAGUAUGUUGUCCUGCAGAAACAAUAAACUAGAAAUUGACUCCUAAACUCUUUGUCCAUCAUUGCCUAUCUAUAAUUUUCUGUGUUCCAUCAAACCUUGAUUUAACAAUCUAUUUCAUGAAUGUAAAUGCAUUAUCAUUCCUUUCUAGCAAAUUGAUAACCAAAUGAACUUUCAGAGUACUUAGUUGGAUGAGGACCUUUUAGAUUGAAAAUCUCAGGAAGGUAAAGAUAGAAGAGCAAAUUCCAUGUCAUAUUUGAGCUAGGAAUCUUACAGAAAGAAAGGGUUUCUUUUUGUUACCUUUGUUCUAAAACUAAUGAGCAGGAAAUAAGACUUGAUACCAAGUACAUCUACUAAUCCAUUUAAAACAAAUUCGCUAACCUUACAGUACUUCUUGAAAAUUUGCAAGCUCCUCAUUGUCAAUCUGUUUCUCUAGUACAAGCUCUAUCACCAACCAAACCCCCCAUGAUCAUUAGCAGAAAUUCAUGGUAAUGAUGACUCUUGAUCUUGAAAGACAUUACAUAAGCUGGGGAAAGAAAUUCUGGUGGGCAGUUUGCAGAGGCCAGCUGACAAAGAUAGAGCAUUUUAUCAGGUUUUAAACACCAGGAAGAAAGAAAAGUGUGCCUGUAGUGUGCCAUCCUAAUCAUUUCUGUCCAAUUGAAACAGGAUUUGAUUCAACAAAGUUUUCAAAAGUUACAAGCUGUGCAAUUCAAUCAAUAAGUAAGUGCAAUUGUAGAUUCUAGUUCACAUUUGAGCCUGAGAUCAUUGCAGAACAGAAAACUCGAGUUGAGACAAUAUGUGAGCAAAUGUGAGCAAGAAAGCUAAUCAGCAAGUUCAGAAAAUUCAACAAUAAUUUUGUUCUGUCAUUCCUACAAAAGGCUAAAAUAUGUCUUGUUUGUAUGAAAAUAAAUAGAUAAGCAAGUACUAAGUCAUGUUUACAAUUACAGUAUUUUGGUUCCAACCACAAAGCAAGUAAUUACAACUCAUAAAAAGAAAAUAAUAAUGGACAAUUUGUAGUGCAGGCAAAGCAUUUCACAUUGAGGCAUUGAGAAACAAUAGAGGUGUGGGCCACUGAGGCACAAUAGAGAUCCACAUUUAAUUGCUACCAAAACACCAGUUAGUUCUAACUUCUAACUCUGAGCAGUAUGCCAGAGAUGACAAUUUGAGUUCUAAAACAUGUAAAUCAGCACCUCAUUAUCAUGACUACACAUCACUGGAUCGUUUGGACAGUUUUAAAGAACCAUACCCCAGUGGAUAUCUCAGACUUUGGACAUAUGAGGCACAGAGAAAAAGAGAAUGCCAUCCAGCAAGGAAUUGUAGGACUUUGAAAGAGAAAUCGAUGAGGUUCCCUGUUAAGCUUUGUGCCUAAAAUCACUGCAAAGUACAAAAACUCAAACUCAAGAUGGCGUUCAAAAUAGAAUAAAGCUAAUGGAAAUUUUUAGAUAAUCGCAGGUUUUCUGUCAUUGUGACUAAAGCCCCAAAAGGAGAAACUUACCAUAAAAAAAGAAGCAACCGACAAUCAUAAAAGCAGAGAGAGCUUAAAAGCCUCUAUCAUUAAGAUCAGCAAGUCACAACAAGCAAACUUGAGUUGAAUGUUGGAAGAUACUCCACCAAGUUUUGUGCAACUUCAUUGCCCAAACAGUGCACACCUUCCUUGGCUACCUCAAAAAUAUCUUCGUGACGACAAGAUUUCUCUUAUUUUAUAUGUAAUAUAUUAGAUAUUAAAGUGGUUUAAAGUCAAAAUUGAGCAGCGAAAGAAGAGAAGCAUAUCUAAAAUUAUCCGAAUUUUUGAACCAAAACAUGAAAGUGAUAACCAACAGCUGCGAAAACUCCUCAAUUGACCAUUGUCUUCAUGGAUAAAAAGCCAAAAUCAAGGAAAAGUGAGCCAGAAAACCAUCAUAUAUGACUCUGAUGGAGCAAUUACUACUCAAAUAGUUUAGAUAAGUAUGCAAGUUCAUUAUCAAGAGACGAGGUAAAAGUUCAGUCCCCUUAGAAUCAAGAUUGCCUUCAAUAACCUCUUGAGAGAUGAAAGUUCAGUCCCCUGAUUGAAUUUGAUCCAAAGAUGAAAGUUGGUUAUUAAUCAACUUAUGCAUAGGUCUUGAAUGUGAGAAACUUUGGACCACUGGGAGUCGGGGCCGCUGCUCUCAGGAGUGCAUCUUUCUUUUAACAGAGGAGAACCAUAAACCUCCAGACGUUUUAGUUUGGUGAGACUUCUCAUGGCAUCCUCAGAGGGUAGAUGUCCAAGCUCUUUGAAAAACCAUAAGUGCACGUCUUCAAGAGCCGCAAAGUUUUCGAACCAAUCUGGCAGAGCUUUUAUACCUCCAAAGACAAGUAGCGUUAGUGACGUGAGAGUGGUCAAGUAUUGGAUCUGAGGUGGCAGGGACUCCAUGUGUGGCAACCCAAAUAAUUCUAAUUCACGGAGUGCGGAUGACGAAGAGGAGGAGGAGGAGGAUAUCAAUCCAGACCAAUCAAACUCAUUGUAAAUUGAAGAAUUUUCGUGAUCAUCACCAUCAUCUGAGAAGGGACCAAUUACAAGCUUUCUUAAGCUGGUUAGGAAACCAAAUCCUUUGGGCGUCGUACUUGUUUUCAGUUUGGGACACUUCCAUAAUUCCAGCUCCAAGAGAGAAGGCAUUUGUUGCAAAUCAAGCGGAAAGGAGAAAAGAUUGUAGCAAUAAGUCACCCGAAGCUUCUGGAGAGAGGCACACGAGUGUUGCAUGUCACCGGGCAGAUUCGUCAACCCACCGCAAUUUGUAAUCACUAGCUCUUUAAGAGACGUAAAGUUUUGCAGGGGAAGGAGUUCUCUGCAUCUGUUGCAGCAAUUAAAUGUCAAACUCGCUAACUUGGGGAGUGUUGUUGCUGUUGGCAAAUCCAUUAACCAUCGAGGAAAUUGAUCACCCAUAAAAUUCUCAAUUACCAACUCCUCCAAAUUUGGGUGGGGUCGAAGGCAGUCCAACACUUUUUCGUCGUUGUAGUUAUGGCCUUCUCGAUGCCAAGGCCGGGCCCACUUAAGUCGCAAACUAAAUAGAUUAGCCUUUCAGAUAGUUUUGCUUCUUCAGCUCCUUUCCUAUCCUUUACUAGAUGAAGAUUGUGUAUCUCCAAAUUGCCUUUGAGGUUCUUCAAGCUUCCAAGCUCUCCAAUUCGUCGACCCUUCUCUCGACCCACUUUAAAGAAUGCUAGCGUCUGAAGGCAAGUCAGUCGUCCCAUCUCUUAACGGCAUUUGAAAUUCUUCAUUAUAGGUGUAAUAGUGGAGAUGUCUCAAGCUAAUCAAAUCGCGCGUCCCCUUCGGCAGAACCUUAAGAGCCAAGCUGUUUAGCCUCAGUGUCUGCAAAUUAUAAAGUUUGCAAACAGAUUCCGGCAAAGUUUCGCUUUUAGAACCCUCAAAGUUAAUGUACCUCAAGUGUAUCAGUUUGCCAAUUGAGAUUGGCAGAUUCUGAUUUUUUGCACCGGACAAAUUCAAAACGUGCAAAUUCUUCAACUUCAUUAGCAUAUCAUCAGAUAAGCUACCCUGACUCAGAAACAAUGUAUGAAGCAAAUUUGAUCCACUCUCAAAAAGAUUUAUUGUGUCUUCUCCAAAUGAGUCUAUUACAAGACAACGAACCUGAUUACUAUUGUCUCCUGAACCAGUCUCCGAAUUAAUGAAUUUAGUAGACUUUGACAUUAUUGAUUUUGAGACUUCGUGCACUAUAUCAUGCAUUUUAUAAUACCUUCCCCAAGCGUCUCUUAUUUCUUCCAGCAAAGAACUCUGCAAUAAAAUUUCCAAGUAAUAUUCUCCAAUUUCCUCCAUUGUUUUGUUCUCGAGACCUGCAUGGAGGAAACCUUCUGCCAUCCAAAGUUCGAUUAGCAUAUCUCUUUCCAUCUCAGUAUCCUUAGUAAACAUAGAACAAUAUGCAAAACAUUUCUUAACGGCUGGUGAUGGUAAACAAUCAAAACUCAAUUUAAGUAUUUCCAUGACACCAUCUCCACCUGCACUCAAACUCGAAAGCCUAUUCUCCAAAAUUGAUGGCCACUCUUCUUUUCUCUUUAAAGAUAAUAGACCUCCAAUUACACUUGCAGCCAAUGGUAGACCAUUACAUCUUUUGAUUAUUCUCUUUUUAAUUGCUUUUAGUUCAUCAGGUUCUUCUUCCCCUCCAACUACUUUUUCUUUUACGAUAGACCAACAAUGAUCAUCAGGUAGUUUUCCUAAUGGAUAUGGUUCAUUUUCCAUCAUCCCCAAAACUCGAGACACACUAUGUGCCACUGGACCUAAACGAGUAGUGACCAGACACCAGCUUCCAUUAGUUGGAUUGAGCCCCUUCAAGGUGGUGAAAAAGUUAUCCCACAAUGCACGAUUAUCAUCCCACACAUCAUCAAGAACUAGGAGAUAUCUUUUUCCCCCAAGUUGAUUCUGAAUGUCUUCAACGAUGACAUUCCUAUCAUCCACUUCAACUUUUCUUUUCAUCAAUUGCACUAACAUGAGUUUGAAAAGUUCCACUACUGGAACUUUUUUCGAUACACAAACCCACAACUUUUUCUCAAAUUGCCCAUCAAUUUGCUGAUUGUUGUAUAUCGAUUUAGCCAAAGUUGUUUUGCCUAGACCUCCCAUACCAAAUAUGGGAAGAACAAAAACUACCUUCUCAGAUGGGCUCAACAAUAUCUUCAAUAUGUUUGAUUCAUCAUCGGCUCUUCCAAUUAUUGGAACAAGAACAGAGUCAGUCUGCCGAUUUCCUAUGUCUCCAACAGCAGGAGCAGCAGGGAGGGCAGCUGUCAUCACUAACCUACUAACCAGUCCCAAUCCGUUGGCUUCUUGAUUUAUCUCCUUCAACUUCAGUUUGACGUCCCUGACCUUAGAAGCCAUUCUCCAACGAAAAGCAAGAUUAAUGUUGAGAAGGAAAAGAAGGAGAAUACCUUGAGCUUGGGUCGGUUUCGGGACUCCACCUGGUGACGAAGAGAUUCAUAGUAGAGCUCAUCCAACACAUUCUGAGCAUCAUAAGCCACCUCCUCGAGACACUUCAACCAUCGUUGCACUCCUCUGCUUUGGUUUUGCCUUUCCUCAGCAUCAGCCAGGACAUCUUUGAUAAAGCCGAGAGAAUGUGUCAUGCUGGCCACAUCCUUCUUGAACCCAACUAGCAAACCAAUCCUAUCAGAGGCAAGAGACAGUGUCGUUUCCAAUGUGACCUGUAUUGUUGAGCUGAUAAGAGCGUCAGCCAUUUUUGCUGCCUUGGAUUCAGUGUUGAGAACAAGAUGGUUUUUUUUUUAUGGAAGGUUUUUUGCAGCGAGGAACUGGUAAUCUUAUCUAGGCUAGUAUAAUUGGUUAUGAAAAAAGGAGCAUUAAUAAUUUUUCCGCGUAGACGUGGAGUUCUUCUCUGACAAAUUUGUAAGCUUUUGCAUUGGCGUGUUUACAGAGUAACUUUCUCAAUUAUUGUAGUUGUUGGGGCAUCAUGUUUUCUGAUUAAAAGGUGGGGCCUUCAGAAUUUUUGGUUGUGGACCAUAUUUGUUUUUGUCCACGAUCAAAUCGUAAAAAGGAGAGUGAGAUUCUGUUUUGGUUACAUGCAUGUCAUUAUUGUUAAUCCUUGGAAAAUGAAUUUAUGACAUACAGUAUUUUGGUCCGAAUUUUGUUCGGUUUUGGGAAGCGACCACACUGGGAAGCAAUAAUGUUCUCUGUUUUCGCACUAGCUAUGACGCAUUUUGCUUCUUGGCUUUUAAAUUACCUUUUGUACUUUAGCUAGAGUGUUAUUUGAAAUAUUAUUUGAAAUAAUUACUGUAAUACUUUUUAUGAUGUGAUAUAUGUGAGAUAAAAAGGUGGUUAAGAAUAUAAAAGAUUGAGUUGAAAAAUGUAUUUAUGAUGCAAGCGAAAUAUUAUUUAGAAUAAUAUGGAUAUCCAAACAAACCUAUAUAUUCUCUGUUUUCGCACUAGCUAUGAUGCAUUUUGCUUCUUGGCUUAGUAAUCAGGCUUGAGAUUUUAAAUUACCUUUUGUACUUUAGCGUUUCAAACAUAUAUAUAACAUGAUCGGUAUGAAACCCCUAGCCUUCUACUCCUCUCUUUAAAAUCUGAUAGUCUUUAAUUCAGAUCGGUAUUAAUCUUUUUUGUUAUUUUAUUUCUUAUUACUUUCUUUUUCUAGUUGAUUUUGGAUCCUUUUUUUAUUACUUUUCUAAUUUUUUUUCUUUAGCUUUUGCUGACGCGUAUAUUGGUUUCUCCUCAAACUGGAUGUCUCUCAAUCUCUCUUGUGGGAAUUCAACAUACUUUAAGAUGAAUUUCAUUUUGCCAUUAUCAAGUUUGCACUUAAAGAAUUAAAGUUCAUAUGGGGCUAAGUCAUACUAAUUUCAUAUCUUUGACAUUUAUUUAUCACAAACCUCAAUUCUUCUUUCCUCCAGUGUUUCUUUUCUAUAUCAACUCUCCUUAAUCCCAUUAUUGUCUCACAGCAUAAUCCAGAAAGUGUCAGUAUAUAAGAAUUCUUUUGAAGUAAUUAUUACAAAUAUAUAGUUCCCGUUUCUUGUGGAAUGUUCUGAAUCUUUCCUAAAGAAACAUUUUCCAAUUUGAGUUCCAGAAUUGUUGCAAACUUUUUCGGUUUGCGCAUCACUUUGCAUGUAAGAAUUCAAAAUUUCACCACCAAUUAAAUAUAUAGUUUUCCUCGCAACUUGUCCCAUUUGGAUUGCUAUUUUUAGAAAUUUUUUGUAGAAAAAUAUACUGUAGAGAUUUGAUAUAUGUGAGAUAAAAAUGUGAUUGAGAAAUGUAUUUACAAAAAAAAUGUUAGUUUCCUUUUCUCUUCUAUUUCGAAUUUCUCCCAACUUAUGUUUCCUUGUUGCAAAUCUUGCCAAACUUUAUAAGAUAUGUCUUAUCAAUUUCUUUGAUACCUGAAACACUAGAAAUUUCUCAUUCCUUAUGUGUAUUCUUGUUUAAUUAUUUAAUUUGGUUCCUGAAACACAAGAAAUUAGUAAAGAAUUUCGAUCCAAUUUGGUGCAACGCUUCUUUGACAAAUUGAAUCUGAUGCUUCUGCAAUGGAAGUGUUUUUUUUUUUUUUUAUAGCAACAAUAACUUUCCUACAACCUAAUCUAUUCUAUUCUAUAGAGAGGGGGAACUUAAUUUAUUCUAUUCUACAAGAAGGGAAGCCUAAAAAGACUAUAUAAGGGAGUUGAUAUACAUACCUAAUUAGAUCGUAUUUUGACGCUUUCUUAAAUUUUUUUUCAUUAUGUAGAGUUCGAACUCCACAUUUACGAUCCAAAAAAAAUUAAUCUCUUUUUUGUUGCCGCUGAGCCAAAUCUCCUUUGUUGCCGGGAUUCUUCAGCUGCCUUUGAUCCACAUUCCACAUGCUUGUGUGUGUCUUGGGGGGGGCAUCGGAUGUGGAAAAUUCCACCCAAGAAGGAAAAGAAACGUGUUGAAUGAUGAAGAAAAGAAAAUGGCAAUCAUCAUUGAGACUCUAAUAAAUCUCACUCCUCAGUUCUUGGGACGUGAACGUACAAUUAAUAAUUCCAUCUAAAUUGCUGAUCCUAAGUGGAUCAGAUUUGAAACAUAUUUUAUCCUUUGGGGACUCCUUAGUUUGUUUGCUUUCUGCAGGGGAUUAUGCUCCAAUUUCUUUAAAAUCCACAGACCCCCAAAGUUCUCCAUUUCCGUGCUAGCUAUGUAUUUUCCAUUUUUGUUUAGUUCAAAAUAGCUAGAAAUUUACAGUGGAUGCUUUUGUUUGCUCUUUAACCACCGGUAGAAAGAAGUGCUGCAGUAGUACAUCUUUGACAAACUUGGAUGCCAUUAAUUGCCAUGGAGAAGUUUGCAUGCCAUUAUUGACUUGGCCUUUAUUGAUCAAUGCUUGGCUAGGUAUUUCAUCUUUUUCUGAUUGAAAGCUGGCUGGCGCCUUUGGCUGUGGAAAAUAUCUCAAUGGUUUGUCGGAGUAGUGGUUUGACCCAAGACUGACCCCCGCAAAAAAAAAAAAAGAAGAAAAAAAACUAUGUUCAACGAUAAAAAUGUAAAUGAGAAAGAAGAAAUGACAGCCAUAGCUGGUGACUUUGCAACAUUAAUUGCCUCAGUCAUUAAUCCUUGGGAAAUGGACUAAAAACGUUAUUUUGUGGGGGAAAAACUUUAAUAAAAAAUAAUCCGUGGUUCACUUAUCAAAAACAUGAAGUGGAGUUAGCAAUCAGGUUUGGCAUGUAGCGACAUAAUUGGCCAAUGGUUGGGUGCUUUCUUAGCUUUUACACUUGUGAAAUUGCCAAAAUAGUCACUCGUAAUUCCACAAGCUUUCUAGCACUUUAAAAAUUCAAACAUUUUGUUUCAAAAUGUCUUGUUUAUGUACAGCAUACAAAAUUUAAGUGGUGAAAGUUUAAGGAGUUUCUUUAUUACUAUUUCUUUUUUUGAAGUACAAUGUACAAUCAAUUGAAGUUAGAAGUGAAAUAAACCUUUAGUUCACACUAUGAUUAUAAAAUUUGACUGAAUUGGAUGUUUUGGGAAGGGGGAAAUGAGCGUGUUCUUGCGGAUUUUAAUUUUUAUAAUUGAAUUAUUUGCCUAUGAUAUGAUCACAAGUUUAACUUAAAUAGAGUUGCGAUAAUAGAAGAUUCUCGAAAGAAGACUUCAAAAGGUGGAAAUUGAAAAUGAGUGGAAAUUAAUGGGGAAUUAACCAGUUAUUUGGAUACCUAUUUUUGUAUCCGACUCUUUUAUAAUUAGUUUUUCUUAUAGUUUUUCUCGUUCCUAACAAAUUUGAAUUAUUUGUUCUUAUGGUUCCUCUCUCUUCUAACAAUAUGAUAAAUUUGUAUAAAUUUUUUUAUCCAUAUGGAUUAACUUAGUGUUAAAAAAUUUUAACUGUUAGCUGAUAGAUUUAUCAAUAUUGCUGGAAAUUAAAUAUUUUUUGAUGUAGAAAACAAAUCGCAAAAUCUAUUGUACUCGGUUAAGUAGGAAAAUGUAACUAGGUUUAUGGUUAUUAUAAAAAUUGUAAUUAUCUAAAAAAUAUCCGUACACAAAAAGGUAGAAUAUCUAUUGAUUUUUUUAUAUUUGUUAUCAUAUUUGAUGAAUAUUAUUAUAUUAUAGUAAAAGUAUGUAAAGAAGUAUUUAAAAAUUAGUAUGACAGUUAAGUAUAAUUAUUCUAUUAAUUUUCUAAAAUUAAUAUGAAUGAACUUGUAAGAUCAUCAUUAAUUUUUUAUUUAAAUUAUUCAUGCUUGCACGAAUUCAUUAUAAAGUUUAAAAAAAUAAACAUGCCAAGGCACAUGCAAGACGCUAGUUCAAAUUAAUGUUGUACACGUAUAGGAGUCACAAAAUCGGUUUGGUGCACUAGCAAACAGAAGGGGACAUCCAAAGUAUUGGGACAAGUUUUACAUUAAAGGGGGAGAUUUGUAAAGCAAUUGAGCGAAAACAAAUGAGGUUGAAGAAAAUUUUAUAUCAUUUGCAAUACAUUCAUAAAAGCUAUGACACAUUCGUUAAAAUAAGAAAUAUUUAUUAAUUUGGUGCAAUGUAAUAGCAAACCAAGGAAAAAAAAUAUGAAUGAUCCGUAAGAGGGAAAGAUGUCAUUUGACUUAAAAUAAAAGUGUGAUUGGAUAGAGGUUUAGUUGAACAAAAAAAUUAGAUUAAUGUCAUAGCACUUUUUGUUGCUUGAUAUAAUAUAUAUGAGAUAAAAUGAUGGCUGAUAAAAUUAAAAAAAUGAUUCAGGUAAAUAUAAAUAUUUUUUUUCAUAUAUUUGUGUAAUGAUGACAAUGACAGGGUGAAAACAGUGCAUGCAAAGAAUAAUAAUAAUGAUAACUCUUGUGAGAUGGAUAGCAAUUGCAAGUUGCACACCUUAGAUUGAAAGAUAAUAAAUAGGACGAUAAAAAGGGAGAAGAGAAAAUUGUGAAAAUAACCACGAAAGGGAGACUAUUUAGGUUUUCUCACGAGAAGGUUAAUCAGAGGGGGAGGUGAAGAGAAGGGGAGAUUGAUUGAUUGUAAAGCAAAUUAAGAAAGUAGGUAGGAGGCAAUCUUCUGAUUGAGAGAAAUUGUUAGAAACCUCAAGGGAGGUUUAUGAAAUUAUCCUAAAUAAUUGAUUUUCUAAAAAUUUUAAAGGAGAAAUAUCUAAAAGUAUCAGGUUCACAUGCAAAGCAUGUGCUCCCAUUACUAGUGAGAUAAAAAGGUAUGAUCGGAAAAUGUGAUCAUAGAAAACGUAAAAACUUUAAUCCAGAUAAAUAUUUAUACAAUCACUAAUUAGUUAUUGCUAUUAUUAUUGCUACUUUUUAUACUGUUAUAGAUAUAAGAGGAUUUACUUAUAUUGGCCUUCGAAGUCUUAUAGGCAUGGAAAUGUAGAAAUGCUUUUCUUGUAACAUAUCGCUGAGCUAUCAAGGAAAAUAUUUCAAGCCAAGAUGUGUAAGAUCGAUGUCACAUUGCUGCUUCGUGGAACAAUAUGCACAAGUACUAGUUCGCACGAAAGCAAUUUUGCAAGUAGACACCAUGUAAAAUGUCAGUUUGAUGGACUAAGGUUGACCUUAUAUGUUCCCAUUUAAUUCUUGUAAAAUUGAUUGCCAUAAUUUUAUCUUUCCAACGAUCCCGUCCACCAACUGGGAUCCUUUUUUGAAUACAAAAUUGUGCCUUAGCAAUUCAGUUUUCUAAAUUGCUCUCUGAUUAACAUAAAGUAGAAGGGCUCAAGCUGAUUGAUUCUUGUGCUCUGAGUCCUGUCCUGAGCUUUACAGAUACUAGGAGCAAUGGACAAGUAUCAUCGGACACAACCUGUAGUCAACUGCAGAACACUGAGAAAAAAUAUGUUGCCUGUUAUAGAGCUAAGAUACAACUUCAAGAAGGAUGCAAGCAUCUAUCAGGGUUCAGCUAAUCCACGUUUUCCUGCUACAAAAUACUGCUAGUUUGAACGAUGAGCAGUAUGGAAGAUAUGGCAAAUUGAGUUCCAAAAGAAGUAAAAUAGCACCUCAUUUAACAUAUCUACAAAUUGCUGAAUCGGUUGGACAGUUUAACAACACCAGACAGACAAGGAACUCAAUCCCGGAUGUUUUCAUCUGAUCUGACUGAAACAGGGUCUGGUUCAGCAAGGGAUCAUAGGACUUCAUUACAAAUGAUAGUAAGAGCGAGUUAUCAAGGUUAAUGUUGAUCUUUGAGUGUAAAAUCACUGCAAAACACAAAAACUCAAACUUAAGAAACUCGAGACAGCAUGCAGUCAAGAAUAAAGCCAGCACAUAGUUGCAUGACAUUUUUGUUGUAUUUGAAACACUAAAAUAAGAACUUACCAUGAAGAGAGAAGCAACCAACAAGUAUAGAAGGUGGGGUGAGCUUAAUAGCCUUCAUCACAGCAGAUGAAAUAAUUGCAGCAAGUAGCAGCAGCCAACAAGUACGCUUCAAAACUUGCAGCUUAGUCUUGAUUGUGUCAGAAGAUGCUAUAACAAGUCUGUGCAGCUUCACUGCAUGAGCAGUACAUCUUCCGUGGCUGCUCCCAAAAACAUUGUCAUUAUGAGAAGAUUUCUCAAGUUUUGGUUGUAAUAUGUUCAGAUUCAAAGUAGUUAAAAGUCAAAUUUGAGUAGUAAAAGAAGAGUAGUAUAUCUGAACUUACCGGACUCUUAGAACCAAACACCAAUUUGAUGACCAACAGCUCUGAAAAGUCCUGAAAUCUUUACUCCUAGAAAAUCAUAACCAAGGAAAAGCGAGACACAAACCCAUCAUCUACGAGACUUAUCGAACAAAUCACUAAUCAAAUGGUUCAAGAAGCUUGAUAUAUGCGCCUUCAAGAGGUGAUUAAACUCUGGAGCAACUAUUUACUCCCUCUAGAAUCAAGAGUUAGGGAGCUGAUCACUUUAGCAAUCACAUCUUACAUCCACAAAAGUAGAUAUAUAAAAUCAACAAAACGAAACUCCUAGUGCGUAUUUCAUAUUGAUGGGUAAAUUGUAGGAAAUGCAAACCAAAAAUUAAUUAAUACCAGCUAUAAAAAUCUAAUCUAGUUUCAUCUAGGGGAGAGAACACAAAAAUCUGCUUGUUAAGUGCAGGAGAAAGACGUGCAGUAGAGAAUUGCUGGUUUUAAGUCUCGUAGAAAAGGUUUCUAGAAUUGCUGCAUGUGAUAUCGAAUCUAAAACGUCCAAUGCAUUUUCAACAGGUGAAACUUCAGAGUGAGCAACCAUUUCAUCCUGGUGAAAUCACGAGUUUAAAGAGAGUGUGCUGAUGUUAGCAAACACAACGUACAAAGGACAGUAACUGCCAUUAGUGCAUUUCAUCCAAAACAUGAUUCAGUUCACCCAAGAAAAUCUCAUUCAUUUGCCAUGUUUGAUCUAGUACAGAAACAUGGUAUUGAAUUAAGCCUCCAUUUGCCAUGUUUGAUCUUUGUAUCAGCAAAUAAUAUGUGAUAGAACGUGAGCAAUACCAAUUUAACAUUAGAAAUUAACCAAAAAGACUGUUUAGUUCCAUUAAUUGAUAUGGAGCCGUGCAUGGCUUACUAGUGGAAAAGGUUACGAAAUAUUGUGCUUAUUCAUGAUGAAGAGAUUGAAAUGACUGACUCUGUAUCCAACUUGGCAGACCUAAUCUGUUGUUGCUUCAAUUAUCAGUUGAUAUACUUUCAAGGAAAGAGAGGAUUUUCAAAAGUGAAGGCGGUAAUUAGGAGUCAUCAGGGUUCCCGACUGAGCUUUAAGCCUACAGUCACUGCAAAACAGAAAACUCAAGACUCAGGACUUCACAUAGCAAAUCAUGAGGCUAACUGGAAAUUGCAUGACAUUUUUGUUUAGUCAAUUAUUCAGAAAGCCAAAUCAAUAUUUGUUUCUGUUGUGCUUUUCUAACCUAAAUCAGUAAGAAGAUAUCAAAUCUUUCUGCUCAAUCUACAAGUACCAGAAGUGCCAUAGAAACUAUUAGUUUUUGUUCAAAACACUGAAAAAUGAGAAGUUCUAUAACAAUAAUGAUAAUAAGCAGCACCCACAAGCAUGAAAGGUAGAGAGCUCUAGAAUUGCCAUGAAGGUGAACUCUUUGAGACAGCAAGAUGCAACGAGUAGAGCUAAUUACAACUCUUUGACUCUUAAAAUCUCAAAUCAUGGCAUUUGAACUUAAACUUUAGAAGAGGAUAGUCUACCAAGUCUCUGCUGCUUGAAAAAGUCUUAAACAUGAUAAUUUUUUAAAGGUUUUAAUUAGUGCAUUGGAUAUUAAACUUCUUAAAACCCAAUAUUAAGCAGAGGAAGAAGAUUAUUGGUAUUAUAGUCAGAGUCAGAGUCAUCGAUGAGGUUCCAUGUUUAGCUUUGUGCCUAAAACCACUGCAAAGCACAAAAACUCAAACUCAAGAUGGCGCUCAGGAUAGAAUAAAACGAAUGGAAAUUUUCAGAUAAUUGCAGGUUUUCUGUCAUUGUAACUAAAGCCCCAAAAGGAGAACUUACCAUAAAAAAAGAGGCAACCAACAAUCAUAAUAGCAGAGAGAGCUUAAAAGCCUUUAUCAAGGUGGAUUCAUUAACAGUAGCAAGUCGCAACAAGCAGGCUUGACCAACUACCGGAAUGCUUCAAAACAUUCCGCCUAGAGUUGUUCAGUUGGAAGAUACUCCACCAAGUUUUGUGCAACUUCAUUGCUCAAAUAGUACACACCUUCCUCGGCUACCUCAAAAAUAUCUUUGUGACAACAAGAUUUCUUUUGUUUUAUAUGUAAUAUAUUAGAUAUUAAAGUGGUAAAAAGUAAAAAUUGAGUAGUGAAAGAAGAGAAGCAUAUCUAAAAUUACCAGAAAUUUUGAACCAAAACAUGAAAGUAAUGACCAACACCUGCGAAAACGCCUCAAUUGACCAUUGUCUUCAUGGCUCAAAAGCCAAAAUCAAGGAAAAGUGACCAGAAAAACAUCAUAUAUGACUCUGAUAGAGUAUGCAAGUUCAUUAUCAAGAGGUAAAAGUUCAGUCCCCUUAGAAUCACAAUUUUAAACAGUCAGAUGACUUUAGCAAUAAUAACUUCAAAUCUACAGAAGCAGAGCACGUAAAUAGACUGCUAGUUGUUGUAAACGUUGAGGAAAUGCAGGCCAAAAGUUAUUGAGGUCUAGCCAUAUAGAUGGUGCUGAAGAAGCUUCAAAAUUCUAACCUCUGUUCAUGAAGCUAUUCUUCUAUCAAUCCUACAAAAACAAAGCAUAGAACAGAAUAUGAACAGAGAUACAGUAAAACAUCAAAGCACGAAACAGGAUAGGUGCUUGGGGUCAUUCUAAUUGAUAGUUACAAGAGUAUUACUAUUAUGUUGUAAGGAGUAAAUGAGGAGGACGAUAAAGAAAUGCUAAUGCCGCAGCUUUGAAAGAUAAUAAAUAGGACGAUAAAAAGGGAGAAGAGAAAAUUGUGAAAAUAACCAUGGAGACUUUUUAGGUUUUCUCACGAGAAGGUUAAUCAGAGGGGGAGGUGAAGAGAAGGGGAGAUUGAUUGUAAAGCAAAUUAAGAAAGAGGUUAUUGAAGGCAAUCUUACAUGAUUGAAUUUGAUCCAAAGAUGAAAGUUGGUUAUUAAUCAACUUAUGCAUAGGUCUUGAAUGUGAGAAACUUUGGACCACUGGGAGUCGGGGCCGCUGCUCUCAGGAGUGCAUCUUUCUUUUAACAGAGGAGAACCAUAAACCUCCAGACGUUUUAGUUUGGUGAGACUUCUCAUGGCAUCCUCAGAGGGUAGAUGUCCAAGCUCCGUGAAAUGCCGUAAAUGCGGGAAUUCAAGAGCAGCGAAGUUUCCGAACCAAUCUGGCAGAGCUUUUAUACCUCCAAAGUCGCGUAGCCAUAGUGACGUCAGAGUGGUCAAGUAUUGGAUCCGAUGUGGCAGGGACUCCAUGUGUGGCAACCCAAUUAAUGCUAAUUCAUGGAGUGUGGAUGACGAAGAGGAGGAGGAGGAUAUCAAUCCAGACCAAUCAAACUCAUUGUAAAUUGAAGAAUUUUCAUGAUCAUCACCAUCAUCUGAGAAGGGACCAAUUACAAGCUCCCUUAAGCUGGUUAGGAAACCAAAUCCUCUGGGCGUCAUGCUUGUUUUCAGUUUGGAACACCUGUAUAAUUCCAGCUCCAAGAGAGAAGGCGUUUGUUGCAAAUCAAGCGGAAAGGAGAUAAGAUUGCGGCAACCAAUCACCCGAAGCUUCUGGAGAGAGGCACAAGAGUGCAGUAUGUCACCUGGCAGAUUCGUCAACCCAUCGCAAGCAUAAAUCUCCAGCUGCUUAAGAGACGCAAAGUUUUGCAGGGGAAGGAGUUCUCUGCAUCUGUUGCAGAAAUUAAAUGCCAAACGUGCUAACUUGGGGGGUGUUGUUGCUGACUUGGGGAGUGUUGUCGUCGUUGGCAAAUCCAUUAACCAUGAGGAAAUUGAUCGCCCAUAAAAUUCCAAAUUACCAACUCCUCCAAAUUUGGGUGGGGUCGAAGGCCAUCUAACACAUCUUCGUCAUUGUAGUCGUCGCCUUCUCGUUCACAGGCCCACUGAAGUACCAGGCCAAAUAGAUUUGCCUUUUCAGAUAGUUUUGCUUCCUCAGCUCCUUCCUUACCCUUUACUAGUUCCAGAUUGCGUAUCUCCAAUUUGCCUUUGAGGUUCUUCAAGCUUCCAAGCUCUUCAAUUUGUCGACCCUUCUCUCGACCCACAUUAAAGAACUCUAGCGUCUGAAGGCAAGUAAGUCGUCCCAUCUCUAGCGGCAUUUGAAAGUCAUUAUCACUUAUGUCAUAGUGGAGAUGUCUCAAGCUAAUCAAAUCGCGUAUCCCCUUCGGAAGAUCUUUAACUUUUGAGUAACUUAGCGUCAAUGUCUGCAGAUUAUAAAGCUUGCAAAGGGAGUCCGGCAAAAUGCCGAUUGCAGACCGCUUAAGGUUAACAUACCGCAAAUGUAUUAGUUUGCCAAUUGAGACUGGAAGCUCUUCAGUUGUUGUAUAAGACAAAUUCAAAACAUACAAGUUCUUCAACUUCAUUAACAUAUCGCCAGAUAAGUCAACAUUUACAAACAAUGUAUGAAGCGAAGUUGAUAGACUCUCCAAAAGUUUAUCUCUGUCUUCUCCACCACCAAAUGAGUCUAUUGCAAGGUAACGAAUCUGAUCACCAUUGUCUACUAUACAUGUAUCCCUAUCAUUAAUGACUUUGGUAGACUUUGACAUUGACUCUGAAAGGUCAUGCACUAGAUCAUGCAUCUGAUAACAUGUUUUUGACGGAUAAUCUGAUUCAUCAAUUAUUUCUUCAAACAAUGAACUCUGCAAUAAAAUUCUCAAAUAAUUCAUACCAAUUUCCUCCAUCAUCGUUUGGCUUUUGACAUCUGUUUGAAGGAAACCUUCUCCCAUCCAAAGUUCGAUAAGCAUAUUCCUUUCUAUCUUACUAUCCUUAGGAAAUAUACAACAAUAUGCAAAACAUUUCUUAAUGUAUGGAGAUGGCAAAUUAUCAAAACUCAACUUAAGUAUUUGCAUCACGUGAUCUCCACCUGCACUCAAACUCAAAAGCCUAUUCUCCAAAAUUGAUCGCCACUCCUUUUUUCUCUUUAAACGUAACAGACCUCCUAUUACACUUGCAGCCAAUGGUAGACCAUCACAUCUUUUGAUUACUCUCUCCUUAAUUGCUUGUAGUUCAUCAGGUACUUCUCCCCCUCCAACCAGGGGCGGAGCCAGAAAAAAAUUUUAGUGGGGGCAAAAAUAACAUCAAAAUUUUUUAUCUACUCUUUUUCUAAUUUUUUAAGCAAAAAAAUAAUAAAUUCACCAACAAGUAUAAAUGGGGGAAGAAAGAAGAGCCGUCGGUUGUGAAGGGAAAAUGGGGACCAGAGGAGGAAAGGGAAUUGGGGAGUGGGGACCAAAAGAAAAGACUGAUAUAAUUGAUACUUGGCUCUGUUGGGGGAAAAAAUGGGAGACCAGGGGAGGAAAGUGAAUGAUAUAAAAUUUGUGAUCUAUUUUUUCACAUUUGUUCUAAAAAAACUCUGGGGGCACCUUUACGAUUAUAUCAAAAUUGUAUAACUAUUAUACAAAUUUGAGGGGAGGCAGUGGGGGCCCAUGCCCCCAGUGCCCCCACCUUAAAUCCGCCCCUGCCUCCAACUACUUUUUCUUUUAGGAUAGACCAACAAUGAUCAUCAGGUAGCCUUCCUAAGGCAUAGGCUUCAUCAUCCAUCAUCAAAGCUCCAGACACAAUAUCUGCCACCUGACCAAUACGAGUAGUGACAAGACACUAGCUUCCAUUGGUUGGAUUGAGUCCCCUCAAGGUGGUGAAAAAGUCAUCCCACAAUGCCUGAUCAUCAUCCCACACAUCAUCAAGAACUAGGAAAUAUCUUUUUCCCCCAAGUUGAUUCCCAAUUUUUCCAACGAUGACAUUCCUAUCUUCCACUUCAACCUUUUCUUCCACUUCAACCUUUUUUUCCGUCAAUUGCAAUAAAAUGAGUUUGAAAAGAUCCAGUAUCGGAGCUUUUUUUGAUACACAAACCCAAAUUUUUUUGUUAAAGUGCUCAUCAAUUUGCUUGUUGUUGUAUAUCGAUUUAGCCAAAGUUGUUUUGCCUAGACCUCUCAUACCAGUUAUGGGAAGACCAGAAAGAACCUUCUCAGAUGGGCUCAACAGCAUCUUCACUAUCUUUGAUUCAUCAUCGGCUCUUCCAAUCAUUGGAGCAACAACAGAGUCGGUCUGCCGAUUUCUUUUGUCUCCAGCAUCAGCAGCAGCAGGGAGGGCAGCUGCCAUGACUGCUCUCUCGAACAGUCCCAAAUCACUGGCUCCUUGGUUGAUCUCAUUCAGCUUAAGUUUGAUGCCCCUGACCUUAGAAGCCAUUCUCCAACGGAAAGCAAGAUUAGUGUUAGAGAAGGAGAAGAAGCAGCAUACCUUUCGCUUGUGCUGGUUCCGGGACUCCACCUUGCAACCAAGAGAUUCGUAGUUGAGCUCAUCCAACACGUUGUCAGCAUCAUAAGCAACCUCCUCGAGACUCUUCAGCCAUUCUUGCACUCCCCGGUCCUGGUUUUGUUGCCUUUCCUCAGCAUCAGCCAAGAGAGCAUUGAUAAAGCGAAGAGAUCGAGUCAUGCUGGCCACAUCCUUCUUGAACCCAACUAACAUACCAAUCCUGUCAGUGGCAAGAGAUACUGCCGUCUCCAAGGCAACCUGAAUAGUGGCACUAAUGACGGGGUCGGCCAUUUUCCUGUCCUUGUAUGGGGCUUAAUUGCUAGGAUGCUUUGUUGAUAUCAGAUUGGUGAUUUCCUUGUAUGUAUGUAGCUUGCUAGGAUGCUUUUUCCUAUCAGAUAAUAAAGAUGGGGAUGGACAAAAGGGUAGAGGCUUUCAUCAAAGUUUUGGUGAGAACCGAUUUAUUUAUUUAUUUUUCAAAUUUAGAAUGGGAUCGUGGGUUCCCGGUGGUAUGAACGGAAGUAUGGUGGAGCCACUAAGAGAGUUAUGUAAUUUAAUCCAAUUUAUAAAGGGAGCCACAUGCUUCUUCCUCGGUUUUAGUUAAUUACAUUGUUGCAGCUAGUGCUUCAGUUCACGCUAAUGCCAGGCCAGGCCCUUGGGUUGCUGAAAAUAUGUCUAAUCCUUGAUUUUAUUUAUUUUUUUAAAAAAGAAAUCCUGGAAAAAAUCGUGGAAGGCACAUGCAGUACAAGUUACAACUAACAUUUCCAUCUAAAAUAUUACUAACAAUAAAACUACUAGAAAAGUAGUACAUAGAACUGGAUGGGACGCGUUUGCGUCUCAAUUGUUAUUAUAUUACUACUAGAAAAACUUUGAAGAAUCUCAAUUAUUGCACCUGCACCAACAACAAGUGUGUCAAGAAAAAAAAAAUCUAAAGAAAUGAUCCAAUGAGGUUUCACGAUCUGCCAUUUUUGUUCCUUUGAAACGAUAAGAGUGAGUCUUCUCUAAUAUUAGCUCGAUUUUAAAUAUUUUUAAUAAUUAUUAUUGCAUGCUUUUCUCUAAUUUUUUUUCAUUUAUUAAAGUGAAAUGUUCAAUUUAUCUAUUUUAAAAUACAGAUAAUUUCACAAUCUUCCCCUGAGAAUUUUGACAAUUUUAUUGAGCUUCUUCAAAGUUUUUAUGACUUACACUUACCUAGAGCUGUUAAACGAACCGAGCUGUUCUGUAGCUCGGUUCGUUUCGAAUCAUUCGUGUUCGUGAAAGGCUCGUUCGAAACCUUAAACGAACCGAGUUCGAACGAAUUUUUUUGUUCAAUUAAUAAUCGAGCGAACACGAGCAUGUUCGCGAACAUGAACAUAAUUAUCAUUUGACAAAUUUUAGGGUUAAUUUUAUAGCUGGACUUUUAUAUUUGGAGGGCAAAUUACUUUGUUUUAUUUGUUGUUUUUAUGUUAAUGUUAGUUAUAUAGUUAAUAAAUAAUAGAAUUUAGUCACUUAGUGCUUUAAUUGUUUUUGAGAAUGAGUAAUGAUUUGCAUGGCAUAUUUAAGGCUUAAAAUAAUUUGGAUUCGAGCAUUUCGAUCAUGUUCGCGAAUGGCUCGUUUAUGUUAUACGAGUUGAAUACGAACUCGAACUCGAACACGAAUUUUGCUUAACGAUCUGAACACGAACACAGGUUUGGAGUUCGAAAAUUAACGAACGAAUACGAACGUUGUUCGAAUCGCUUAACGAACAGAGUUCAAACAUGAGAUACUCGGUUCGAUUCGGUUCGUUUAUAACUCUACACUUACCUCCUUUAUCCAUAUAAAAGGACAAUACCAAUGUUAACAUUUUAAUAAAACUCCCGUAUUGGGUGUGCAUAUACAAAGAAUGGGAUUUGUAAUUAUUUUUUGUUUUCUUUUUCCUUUUCUCUUCUUAUUCCUUCUUUUUAUAUUUUUGCUAGCGAAACCAUAGGAAAAUAUAAUCACCGACUCUAAAUGUUGAAUUAGUGACUUUUUUUUUAACAACUUUGAAUGCCAUCCAAUUUUUAUUUGUAAAAAAAGAAAUGGUCAAAACUACUUGUACCAAAAUGUGGUAAUUCCAUCAAUCUAAAAAUUCACAAACCUUAAAAGAGUAUGACGACAAUAAUUUCAUCUCCAAUUUAGAAAGAAAAUGUAUCCCCUGUAAAGUACCUUGAAAAGCAUUCUAUCAUAAGGAUUUGGUAUUGAAAACUUGACACUCUUUUCUUAUAUUUGUGCUAAGAAUUGCUUUGCAAAGUAAUUAAAGUUUAUAAUCUAAGGGUAUUUGUUGACAAAAUUUAAACCAAGCUAUUUAUAAGUUUAUAUAGUAGUUUUAGAACUAGAUUUAGUAGAUAGUAACUAGAUUAAAAUUGGUAUCAAACUUGGUUUAGAAAAUAGAAUUGAGCUAUAUUUGGGUAUUAGAGUUAGAAUAGAUUUAGUAAUAUAUGUAUCUAUAUGAGAACUUGGAGGAGUCGUACAUUUAUAAUUGGGGAAAAUUAGCAUCAAGAGAAUAAAAUUCUAAAUCCUCCCUGCCUACUUGUUCGUUCGUUAUUUAUACUUCUUUGUUCAUACUUGAGAUUUUGUCCAUUGUUUUUUUUUUUUUAGUUGCUAACAUUAUUGACAGUUUGAAGGCCCAUAUUCACAGCAACAAAUCACAAGCUUAGGCCAGCGGAGACAGAGAGUGUCAAAGGAGAUUGCCAUGAUGUAUUAUUUCAACAAGGAAUCCAAGGAUUUUCAAAUGUAAAAAAAUACUGGAAAAAAUGGUAUGUACAAGUACAACUGGCAUUUCCACCCAGAAUAUAGAAGUGGAUGGCUCAACUCUCAAUGCUGCGACGUUGCUUGAUCUCAAUGCCGAUUUAUUUAUUUAUUAAAUUAAGAAUGGGACCGUGGGUUGCAGGUGGUAUUAACUGAAGUAAGGAUGAAGCCACAUGCAUGCUUCUUCCUCGAAUUUUACAGCUUAUUGACAGAUUGAAGGCCCAUACAUAUUCCAGCCACGAAUCACAAGCUUAGGCCAGCAGAGACAGAGAGAAUCGAAGGAGAUCGUCGUCAUGAUUCAUUGCAACAAGGAUUUUCAAAUGUAAAGGCAGUAAGUAGGAGUCAACAAUGUUUCCCAUUGAGCUUUAAACCAAAUGUCUAUGCAAUACAAAACCACUCACAACUCAGGACACCAUAGAGCAAAUGAUAAGGCUAACUGGAAAAUGACAUGACAUUUUUGUUCAGUCAAUCAAUUAUUCACAAAGAUAAAUCAAUAGUCGUUGUUCUUGUGCUUUUCUAUCCUGGGAUUAGUAAGCAGAUACCGAUUCUUUCUACUCAGACUGACUAGAGAGAAAAACUGGACGAAGAUGGAGGAGGACAAAAGAAAAGGGUUGAGGUUUUGGUCAAAGCUUCUUUUUUUCCCCACCUUACUUGGUGUGAAUUAUGAAGCCACUUGCUUAAUUAUUCACAAAGCUAAAUCAAUAGUUUUCUCUUGGAUAUUAAGAAAGACAUGUUGCUACAUAAACAAUUUUUUUUUUUUUACUUGGAUAUGAAUUAUGAAGCCACAUGCAUGCUUCUUCCUCGAAUCUUGCUUGGUUUUAGUUAAUUAUGAUUACAAAGACUACUUAGUUUACGGUAAUGCUGGGGCCUUGGGAUGCUCAAAAAGUCUAAUCCUUGGUAUUUAAAAAAAUGCUGAAAAAAAGGUAGGUACAGAAAAACUGGCAUUUCCGCCUAAAAUAUUAGCAAUAACAAUAGUAGAAAAAUUAUAGAAGUGGAUGGCUCGGGUUUGAGUUCCCAAGCUCUCAAUUGCUAUAUUAGGGCGGCUUUGCUUUCUCAAUUAUUGCACCUAAAACACCAACAAGUGCGUGCAGAAAACAUCUAAAGAAAUUGUUGCAUCUGCUGCAAGAAGAGGUUUUCUUCAGCGUAGAAGAAGAGUGCGCUUCUUUUGACAAACUUGAAUGCAUUUUCCACCAAAACUGAUUGGCGUUUUACUAGAAUGUUUCUAAAUCAAUGCUGGAUUUUUAUUUUUUUUGUUCUUUAUUACCUUUUUUUUUUUGGAAAAAUCAUUUAACAUGUACCUUACAUUUCGUUAGAUAAAUUAUUUAAAAUAUUGAUUUUAGGUUUCUUACAAAAUCAAGGCAGCUAAAUUUAGUCCCAACUUAAAUUUUUUAUCACUAAGUACACGAAGUGAUCCACGUGCGGUCAUUGUUUUAGGUGCAAAAUCUAUAUUUUUUCCAAAACUAAAAGAAACUUCAAAAAACUGGAAAAAUAUUAAUAAGGGGGAUUGAGAUGUAAGAAACAUUUAAGAAUCGAAAGUUUAAAAGUUAGGACCUUAAUUCUGAUAGUCUCGACUUUAACUAAUUGAUCAAGCCCUUUUCCCCACAUAGAGGCUAUCAUUUCUAGGCAUUAAUGUGAUUUCAUUAAAUUUUUCUUAAACAUUUUAUACAUUCAUCUUGGGGAGCAAAGUGCAUAUAUGUUAAGUUCAAAUGGAUAAAGUAUUACUUAUGUCUCACUCCCAAGGCCGAGAUGUCAUCAAAGUGUAAUGAACCCUUGAAUUCAUUCAUCAUUUCUCUUUAUUCACAACAAGAAGUCACAAGCUUUGGCCAGUUGAGACAGAAAAUUAAAAAACAGUGUCGUGAUGUGGUUCAGCUAAGAUCAAAUGAAUUUCAAAAGUUAAGGCAGUCGUUAGGGGCCAACAAGGUUUCCCAUUGAACUUUUUAAGCCAAAAGUCACUGCAAAACAGAACCCUCAAACUAAGGACACCAUAUAUAGCAAACCAUAAAGCUAACUGGAAAUUGCAUGACACUGUUUAGUCAAUUGUUCAGAAAGCUGAAUCAAUAUCCAUCACGAACCAAUGCUCAAUUUGUUAAUCUUGAAUGUUGCUUGGUCUAGUAAAUUAAUAUUAAUAUUCCAGCGAGUACUUAAUUUCGGCUAAUGCUGGAGGGGUGGAGGGGCUGGGGUUGUUUAAAAGGUCUACUCCUUGAUAUUUAAAAAAUACUGGAAAAAAUGGUGGGUACAGCUAACAUUUCCAGCUAAAAUAUUAACAACAAUACUAGCAGGAGAAAAUAUACAUAGAAAUGGAUGGGUCAUGUUAUAUUAGGGCAGCUUGGCCAUCUCAAUUAUUAGCACUGCACCAACAAGUGUAUACAUAGAAAUCCUAAAUAAAUUAUCCAAUGAGGCUUUCUCAGCUUAGAAAAAGAGCACUGCUUCUUUGGGCAAACUUGCAAAUGCAUUUUCCACCAAAGUUCCUUGGCGUUUCACUUGAAAGUUUCUAAGUCAGAGCUGGGUUUUUCUUCUGUUUCUUUUUUUUUUUGAUAGAGCGGUUAUUUGGCACAUUUUGCACUGUUAUUUUGUCCUAAUUUUGGCUACUUACUGUGCUAAGUAUUGGGGUUUAACUCAUAUUUCAUAUUUGUAUGAAUUAUAGAUGAUUGGCGUUAAAAAUAAUCCCUUGAGGCAAAUUUCCAGAAGACCCUUUAUCUCAGGAUGUGCCCACGCCAGAAAAGGUAGAUGUUACCGAAAAGCCGGAUCCGCGGGACCAACAGCAGGAGACCCAAUUAAAGAACCCGGUCUACGUGGACCAGAUGCGUGAGAUCAGAGCCCUUGGACAAAAAGCCUUGUUCCUAAUGCUUUUCUCCUGCGGCGGCUAUAAAAGAACAGAAAAGCAGAUCCAUGUUACAUCACUACAUUAGUUUUUAGUUUUCCACAUUUCACAGCGGUCAGACGCUUUCCUUUCUCUGAUCGGCAGCAAUUGGGAGAAGCCGGAUCAUGUGGGCUUAGGAGUUCACUUUUUCAAUUCUUCCCUGUAGACACUUUUGACGUUCGCUUUUGAUUUGCUACGAUUUUCCAUCGCUUUUAUCCCUUUUCUUGACUCUGCUCCAGUAGGGACCCAAUAUAAGAAAAGGAACUAAGGGAAUUUCUCAUUUGUUCCUUUGUUAAUUCGUCUUGCUCAACUCCUUGGAAUUAAUUGUUUGGCAAUUGUGCGGAUGAAAUCAAUCAACUCACGUGAGCUUGACAUGAUGAGGAACGGCUAAUUUUCUCCUCUACCUAAAGGUUGACGUGAGGGCACGAUCCAUAAUAUCUGUGAGAUCUAAUCGAAUCUUCAUUAUUUCUUCCAAUUUAUUGCUAUUCGUGUGUUUCCUGAAUUAAUUGUUCUUGGGUAUUUUAUUAAUUGAAUAUCAACGGCCGGGUAUUUGAUUUAAUUUAAUAGCCUACUGUCAUAUUAACUAAAUUGAAUCCGUAAUUGUUCGUUUAAUCGAUACCUAGUGACAACCACCAUAAUUGGAUUUAUGUUGGGGAAACGUAAGAUCUAGUUUAAAUAAACCCUCUUAGCGUGUUUAUUAGUUAGGGUUGGGUUCUUCUAGUUUCAAUGCAAUUGGGUAAUUAAAUUCCUACGGUCGUACCUAGGGUUGUUAUCUGGUUAGAGAAGCAGUCAAUGGUCGUACCUUGACUGUCGAAAAAGUAAGGAAGAACUGGUUGUCAGAGCUUGUUGAUAACUAUAACCAACUUAGUGAUGAAUGGAUGAAAUAUUUUUGCAUCGAUGAUCAUUUAAUUGGACCGUGCCUGAGUAGUUGAUCCUUUGGGUAGAAUUUUAUUAAUUGCUAUUUUUAAUAAAUUGUACUUGUGGAGUUAUCGUUUGAAUUUUAUUUAUUUUAUUUUAUUUUCAGUUUCAUCCUAAUAAUCAUCCCCCAUUUUAUUGAUUUGGAAAGAAAUAAUUUCCUACCCGCUCCCUGUGGAAUCGAUCCUACUUGCCAUUGUAUGCAAAAUUAAUAUUUGUAUAGACAAAUCUGGUAUAUCGGAUCAAGCAAACUCUUCGGGAAUAGGGUGAAUCAAGUAACCCAUUGCACACCUAGAGUCCCUGCUCCAAUACUCGGAUUUGUUCUAUAAUUAAUUGUGGUGGUAAUUAGGACUUUUUAGUAUUUAUUAUUGCACAGGUUCGGCACCUGUCAAUUUUUGGCGCCGUUGCCGGGGACUGGUGCCUGAUUAAUUUGUUUCUUUUUGAGUUCAUCUUGUUUUUAUUUUUAUAUUUAUUAUUUCUUUUAUUUUUCUCUUAUUUUUUUUAUAUAUAGUUUAUGGCUGCUAAUAUUCUGUAUUUUGGUGAUAGACUGAAUUUUAUUUCUAGAAAGGGUUAUGAGGCUUGUGCUUUUUCUAAUGAUCAAUGGGCUGCUGCAAAUUGUGGAACUUAUUUUGUCUCAAAUCAUUCAAUCGACAUAUGCCCUGCAUUUCAAGAUGUCUAAGUGAUCCAAUAGAUACUUUUGGAAAUUUUUUGCCUCAAUAUUAAACAUGGUAUGACCCUUAUUCAAACGGGUAUGAUCAAGGAUGGUGGGAUGAUUCCAAUUUUAAUUAUGAACAAAGACCAAUAGAUUUUCAACAGCUAGAGUUUUAAGAACCGUCAUCCAUGUCAGGUAUGUCUCUUGAAGAAAUAGUUGAAUCACUAGCUACUAACACAUAUCUACUUCAACAGGAGACAAUGAAUCUUCAUCAGCAGACAAUAGAUUUUCAUCAGGAGACACAAGCGAGCAUGCGUAACCUGGCAGAUCAAAUGGAUCAAUUGACAUCUAGGAUAACGCAAUUGACUUCUCAAAUAAGUGAAGAAUUGCCCUCACAGACUAUUAUCGACCAUGAGGAAGAUGAAAGUGCAAUUAUCCUGACAAAUGACAUGGUACUGCGAGGAUCUCAAGAAGAAGGAUCUAAAGAUGCAGUUGAAAAGAAAGUUGAAGUGCAAGACAUGAGACUCCAAUAUCAAAUUGUUCAAAUGAAUGAAUCCAGUGAACAAUCUCCAAAUGCGGUGACAUCUCCUCUAGUUCUUAAUCAAUAUUUACCUAACUCUUAUUCUUCAAUUCCUGUUAGUGAAAUUGAUUUUAUUAUACCAGAAAAUUUUGAGUUUCAUGACAGGGAUAAGUUAAGAGCCGCGAUGGAAAAAUAUCUCGAACCAAUAAGCGCUCAUGAUGGAGGAGUGAGUGAAGAUUUAAGGUCAUCAUUUCUUUGUUUGGCGCCAUCGACUAAUCUAUGGAAGACCAUACCUCUUGUGCUAAAGGAUUACUCUAUUUACGAAGGAUAUCAAGGAUACAUAGAAGAUGAAGCACUGAGACGAGUUACAUGAUUUUAUCCUCCGUGAAUAAACAUGACGAUGUCUAGCCAAAGACAUUAAAGAAAGGCGCUGCUUGGGAGGCAACCCAAGGCUUCUUUUGUUUUAGUUUUCUUAUAUUUUUGAAGUUUUUGUUAAGUGUUAGUGUCAUUUAGUGGGUUGUUAUUUUGUGACGGAAGUUGGCAUUAGACAUGCCCACGUUAGGUCGUCACACCUUAGGAAUGGAGUUUUGGAAUUGACGGUCAGAAGACUAUAACUUCCAAGGCGUGCCCACGCCUUCCAACCCUUCCGAAAACGAAAGUCAAAAAGAGAAAAAAAAAAAAUUUUCUCCUAGCCCCACUUUUCUACUUUUUUUUUUAUCCUGUCUUGUCUAAUCCCUUUUCACUUUGUUUUAGUUUCAGUCUUCUCCUUCCUGUUCGUGUUGCGUCCGUCGCCGCCUCACCCUCCUCCGCCUUAGUGUCUCGUUUUCCCUCCCCGGUGGUCAGAAAAGUUUCUCUUCUUUUCUCCUAAUAUUUCAUUUAUCUUUGCUACAUUGAGAACAAUGUAGGUUUUAAGUGUAGAGGGGACGGCUUUUAUUAUUUGUUUUUGCUUUGUUAAAAAAAAAACAAAAAAAAAUGAAAAAAAAGGAGAAAAAGGAAAAUAGUGUAGUUAGCUGACUUCUUUGCUGUGAUGAAUGACAUAAUCAAGGUGCGUGGGUAUGUGGGUAAAUAUACUAGCUAUGCAUUUUAUUUUCCCUUGGCAGUGUUGUUGAGUGUUGAAUACGCUGGACUUGACCCAUUCUUGAAACUUUUGGGAGCUUUUGAGCCAUGCAUGAGCACAUUAUUCUUGUUUGCUCUAUUUUUGUUUCAUUGAGUGGGUAUCACACAUGGUAUCGGCAUUCUAGAACUUGUUAUUUUAUACAUGUCGAGACCACAUUUUGUUAAACUGGAUGCAUUUGAAAUGAUAAGGGCAUUUAGGAUUUGACCUUCUUUAACUUUCUACAAACCAUGCCUUCAUCUCGUUUCCCAAUAGUGAACCAAUUUGAGCUUUUAUCCCUCUCUUUGUUUGUUAGCCGUGUUGGAUAACUCAUGACCUUUUUAGACUUUCUUGUUCAACCUUGUGUCAUUAAGGGAUGUCUGAAAUUCAUUACUUGUGCAACGCAAAUGAAUCUAUGGGCGCAAGUGUUGUCAAAAAGAUGUUGUAUGGUGCUGUUUCUGUACAUCUGAGAUCGAAAGAAAAGCGAAAAAAAAUAGGGGGAGAAAUCGGCAAAAAGCUGGUGAGCAGAAGACUAUGUCUUCCAGGGCGUGCCCACGCCUUGCUAGAUGUCCUCUUCUAAAAAAAAAAAAAAAGAGGAACGAGUUUCGACACUUGCAUAGUGAAAACAACGAAUGGAAACACCCGACUUGAGAAAUUGCCCCGAUAAAGCAUUGUGGUUAUAUAGUGGAUAUUGGACAUUCUCUUGACACAUUACACCAUAUUUUUACCUUCUUAUCCCGCCUUUUACCUAAAUCUCAUUACAACCCUAUUAAAGUCCCUUUGAUUUGUGUAUUUAGUUCACUUUCGAAUGGUGGAGAUGUGAUAAAUGUGCAAGUUUAUGGUAAUGCCAUUCCGUGAUGUUGAUUUGAGCGCUCCUAGUAUUCAUAUAUAUUUUCUUUGAAUCACAACCUGUCCGAUGUGUUUUAAUUUUGGUGAUAUUGUCAGGGAUCUGAAAUGCUUGUGUUAGUAUAGACUACUGCAUGACCUCUGCUCUCUUUGUUGUACUUCUGAGCUCCGAAAUGCUUGAGGACAAGCAUUGUCUAGGUGUGGGGGGAUUUGAUAGAGCGGUUAUUUGGCACAUUUUGCACUGUUAUUUAGUCCUAAUUUUGGCUACUUACUGUGCUAAGUAUUGGGGUUUAACUCAUAUUUCAUAUUUAUAUGAAUUAUAGAUGAUUGGCGUUAAAAAUAAUCCCUUGAGGCAAAUUUCCAGAAGACCCUUCAUCUCAGGGCGUGCCCACGCCAGAAAAGGUAGAUGUUAUCGAAAAGCCGGAUCCGCGGGACCAACAGCAGGAGACCCAAUUAAAGAAUCCGGUCUACGUGGACCAGAUGUGUGAGAUCAGAGCCCUUGGACAAAAAGCCUUGUUCCUAAUGCUUUUCUCCUGCGGCGGCUAUAAAAGAACAGAAAAGCAGAUCCAUGUUACAUCACUACAUUAGUUUUUAGUUUUCCACAUUCCACAGCGGUCAGACGCUUUUCUUUCUCUGAUCGGCAGCAAUUGGGAGAAGCCGGAUCAUGUGGGCUUAGGAGUUCACUUUUUCAAUUCUUCCCUGUAGACACUUUUGACGUUCGCUUUUGAUUUGCUACGAUUUUCCAUCGCUUUUAUCCCUUUUCUUGACUCUGCUCCAGUAGGGACCCAAUAUAAGAAAAGGAACUAAGGGAAUUUCUCAUUUGUUCCUUUGUUAAUUCGUCUUGCUCAACUCCUUGGAAUUAAUUGUUUGGCAAUUGUGCGGAUGAAAUCAAUCAACUCAUGUGAGCUUGACAUGAUGAGGAGCGGCUAAUUUUCUCCUCUGCCCAAAGGUUGACGUGAGGGCACGGUCCAUAAUAUCUGUGAGAUCUAAUCGAAUCUUCAUUAUUUCUUCCAAUUUGUUGCUAUUCGUGCGUUUCCUGAAUUAAUUGUUCAUGGGUAUUUUAUUAAUUGAAUAUCAACGGCCGGGUAUUUGAUUUAAUUUAAUAGCCUACUGUUAUAUUAACUAAAUUGAAUCUGUAAUUGUUCGUUUAGUCGAUACCUAGUGAUAACCACCAUAAUUGGGUUUAUGUUAGGGAAACGUAAGAUCUAGCUUAAAUAAACCCUCUUAGCGUGUUUAUUAGUUAGGGUUGGGUUCUUCUAGUUUCAAUGCAAUUGGGUAAUUAAAUUCCUACGGUCAUACUUAGGGUUGUUAUCUGGUUAGAGAAGCAGUCAAUGGUCGUACCUUGACUGUCGAAAAAGUAAGGAAGAACUGGUUGUCAGAGCUUGUUGAUAACUAUAACCAACUUAGUGAUGAAUGAAUGAAAUAUUUUUGCAUCGAUGAUCAUUUAAUUGGACCGUGCCUGAGUAGUUGAUCCUUUGGGUAGAAUUUUAUUAAUUGCUAUUUUUAAUAAAUUGUACUUGUGGAGUUAUCGUUUGAAUUUUAUUUAUUUUAUUUUAUUUUCAGUUUCAUCCUAAUAAUCAUCCCCCAUUUUAUUGAUUUGGAAAGGAAUAAUUUCCUACCCGCUCCCUGUGAAAUCGACCCUACUUGCCAUUGUACGCAAAUUUAAUAUUUGUAUAGACAAAUCUGGUAUAUCGGAUCAAGCAAACUCUUCGGGAACAGGGUGAAUCAAGUAACCCAUUGCAUACCUAGGGUCCUUGCUCCAGUACUCGGAUUUGUUCUAUAAUUAAUUGUGGUGGUAAUUAGGACUUUUUAGUAUUUAUUAUUGCACAGGUUCGGCACCUGUCAAUUUUCUUUCUCGAAUUGUUUGCUUGUUUUGUUCUUGAAUGUCGAGCCUUCGAUUGUGGAAAAAUAGGUUCAAGAUUAAUUAAUCAUUUUUUAAAAGAAGCUGAGAAACAAAAUUGCGUCUUUGCUUGAUCAUUGGUGUAAACUUGAAACAUAGAUUUAUUCGUUUUGAAGGGGACCAUAUAUAGUGAGUAAAAUUCCAGCACCUGGAUUUCAUAAUCAAAGACUCGAGCGUUUUGGUGAUUCUUGGAGUAGAAAUCAAAGGAAAAAGUAUUACUUCGAUCCUUAAUUAAACUAAGUACAAUUAUCCUGAUUUGUGAGAAAUUUUAAGUGGCAUAGCACAAAUGUUCAAAUCCAAUGUUCCGCCUCAACUUCCAAUUAAUAGUAACUUGUCAUGUCCUUUGUAUGCGAUUGUAUUAAUCCAAUAUGUAAUAUAAUAGCAUUGAAAUACUAAGUUCUUAAUUAAAUUUUGACUGUAAACAUCAAAAUAGAGUAAUUCUUUUAUUUUUCAGUUUCUUUAACCAGUUCUUCGAAAAAUACUAGUUUAGCUGUACAUAUGUUGCACACUGCAUACCUCCCUAUUGCAUUCCUCCCCAGUUGCCAUAACUAAUAACUUAUUCAAAGUUCUUUAAAAGAUUGAACUUUGAGUAAACGAAACAAACCUUCAACGAAGAACUCAAACUCAUAUACAAAUCAAAAUGCUCUCUUCUAGUGACCAAUCCAACACUAUAUAGCCUUGUCAAAUAGACCAUAGAAUUCAAACAGAACAGUAAAAUGUAAUAAGAAAUAAAUGGGCUAAGGAGGUUCUGAUUUAAUGAUUAAAGUACUUCAAGAAUAAAAGGUCCUAGAUUCAAUUCUCUGAAUUUUUGCUUCUCAUGUCUGAGAAUAAAGUAUGAACAUAAAAAUGAGCUAACCUAAUGUUUAAAAAAAAAAAAAACAAGAAAUCACGUUAAACUACAAAGGAUCUUUGUAUUCUCUUAAAACUUAUGCCUAUAAUUUCUUCUUGUUGAUUUGCAACCUAACCUUUUAACUUUUUGACUAUCUUUCCAUUUCAAAAAAAUUGGAGAUCCUUGAUAUUUGUAGUGGUCUUGACUGAUUCAAUUUCCUUCCUCCAUUUCAUAAUUAGUUUGCAUGCAUUUUAAUGGUGAUUUAUCCACAAUUUGUAUAGAAUACACCAAGGGCUGUCAAUCCGUCUUUGAGCUUGGGGUUGCUUGAUUAAUUUUAAAAAAAAUCUUAGGUCGAAUGAACUUUGGCAAAGAAUAAUUUGAAAUAUGCAUUUUCAACCCCGUUAAAAAUUUAUCUUCAUACCUUUUGCAAGGUCAUUGAAAACACACAUUGAAGGUACUUGACGUUAACCUGUUUUUAAUUAAAAUCAUUAGACAUUAGAAAAUAUAGAGGCAAGAAUUAUUAAAGCCGAAAAUUUAAGAGGUACUUUGAAAACAUCAAAAAUAUGCUUUGAAGGUACUUGAGGAAAACCUUUUUUUUUUAAAAAAAAUAAAUCAUUAGCAUUAGAAAAUUAAGAUGCAAGAAUUAUUAAAAAUAGAAAUAUUAAAAACCCUACCUCACAUUCGUUUUAGGAUAAAUUUUGUGCACACAGACAGUGUAUAUAUAAGCGAGGCUAAAUGCAUGCUACCUUUAUUGUGGAAGCAAUAAGUACAUCAGCCAUUCUUUUUGUUCCUUGGAUACGUUUUGUAGUGGGAGACGUUGCUACUUGGAUCCGGGGCAUCACAAUUUAUGUUUCGUAUGAUUUCGUACAAGUUGAUCUUUGAUGUAAAUUAGUCAAAUUUUGGUAUGAGUUAGGUCCAGUUUAAUAUAAAUCAGGUGCAGUUUAGUGUAUAUUAAUUUGAUAUUAUUUGGUGUAAAUUAGAUACAUUUGGAUAUAAGUUGAUUAUUAUCAUUUAGCGUAAGUUAAGGUCAAUUUAAUGUAAAUUGAGAGUAAAUUGUUAAUUUUUACACCAAUUUAUGCAUAAUGCAACUUGUGAGGCCCUAUUUCCUGCUUAGAAUUUUCACUUGAAGUCUUCAAUACUUGUCGUUGCUCGGCCUUUGACGAGCGCGGGGUAUACAAAUAAUAUUUAAUUUAUCUACAGUCAAGUUUUACAUUUAUUAUAUUCUAAAUACCCUGCACGCAAUUUUUCUGCAAGUAUACAGGUUGUGAGCAAGUAUAGGAUAUUAAGGGCCGAACCCACAGGGAAAAUUUUUAAUUACCAUUGAUUUUCGAACUCCUUUAUUGUUUAGACUGUCAUAAGUGCAAGAAAUUGAAUCUACACUAUAAACAUGAAAUAAAAUAUUAAAAAUACAUUAGAAAUCUUCUAGAGGAAUGGAAUUCCUUUCUACUCUUACAAAUGAAAUUACCAGUUAAGUGAAUGCUAUUAUCUUGGCUAGUUAUGGUGUAAUUUCUUAAUGUAUGUGAAACUUAUUCUUUUAGUGAACCAAGUAUACUUGUAGAUAAGUUAUACAUACUCUCAUGGUUAUGAAAUCAACCACAAGGUCAUUUCUUCUAUAAAAUUACAUGAACAAAUCACUAAAGUCACAAAGGUGCACCUCUACUCUCGUAAGUGUACUCCCUAGAUUUAUCACUUUCUUGAAUUAGUGUUAAAUUUCAAUUCUUAUUGCAAACUUAACACUUUAAAAUUAUCACAAUUAAUGGCUAGUUAAUCAUGAUUAGAUAAGCAAAAGUAUUAAAUAACUUGCUCAAUAUAAUAUCAUCAAAUAACCAAUUAAAUAUCACAAGCAAAAUAUAGAAAGUUCAUCCAUAACUCUAGGCAUAAACUUUAGAAACACAUAUAAAAACACAAAUCCAAACUUGUAUUAUAGAUUAACACGAACUCAAAUACAAAAAAGAAAGUGAUAGGAGAGAAUUCACCCUUGUCACAUGAAUUCCAACUCACCAUCUUUGCCCCUCCAAUUUUCAUUUAAGUCUAACUACAAAUACAAGAAGGAAAACUAAAGAAAUUCUACUGAAAACUACAUUUUUGUGGAGUUUCUCUAGCCGUCCAAAGUUAUGAAAAUGUUCUCCAAAGAUUGCUGUUUAUAGAGAAUUCAAGCUCAAGGUGAGUUGUUUCUGGGUUGAUAAAGUUGGCUUUUAAACUCAUCAAGAGCUGUUCUCCAAGUUUUCACACUCUUGUUGGUCAGAUAGAGCCGAAAUUCUGAGUUGUAGAUGAGUUGGAAAAGUUGUAUAAAUGCAGAACAAGUUGUAAAGCAAGUUGCAGCAAAAAAACUAGAAUACGUGACCUCGAAUACACGACCUUAGGUCGCAUAUUUCACCUCACAUUUUCUCCAUUACAGGUUUGCACUUUUUGGGCAGAAUUCAUUCUUGCUCUAUUUUUGUACCAAUUUCAACUGAUAAUUUCUUGAUGAUGGAGGCUGAACUAGUUCUUGUGAAAAAUAUGAAAGUUGUAGCUUUUUGAGUUAGUUUUUCAAUGCAUCAAAAAUCAUCUAAUUUUCAGCUUUGUGGACUCAGAAAUAGACAAAAUACCCUCAACUGGUCAAUCUCCUGUUUUAGCUUUCGACAAUGAAAUUUCACUUCGGUAUUUCAACUUUUUGACAAUGAAAAUGACUAAACUGGACUUCAAUGUCUUCAUAACAAAUAUAGGUCUAUCUGUAGCUUCAAAAUGGUUCAAGAAUCAUCUCAAUCCAAUGCCUGUAGCUCUGCCAAAAUACGAACAAAUGUCAAUGCUGUCAAACUUGCAUUUCUUCCAUUGAACAUUUUACACUUCAUAUCUUCUUUAAAUCACUUCAAAUCAUCAAUAAUCAUCCAAAUAUCUUCUCAAUAAAAACAUGAAAUUUUCACCAUUUAAACAUGUAGAAAUGCAAUUUUCACAAUUUAAACCAUAAAAUGUACAUUUUCACUAAUUCAUUAGCUAUCAAAAUGACUAAACCACACCAAGACCAAUUAAUAAAACACACUUAAAACACACAAAAUAUGCACUCAUCAGCCUUCAUCUGCUUUUGAUCCACAUGCGAGGAGCCUUGGGUUGCAUAAAAUAUGACAAUCAAGGAUUUAAAAUGCGACAAAAAUGGAAAAAAGAAAGGGAAAAUGGCAAUCAUAAAUUAGUACUAUUCAACUAAUGCCAAAUAUAAAAUUCUCUUAUAACCCAAAAUGUUUUAAAGGGUGACUUAGUAGUCUUAUUAUUUCAUUUAAAAAGUUUGACUAUCUUCCUUUGACUGUUAAAUUUGAUGGCAAAUUUAAUACUUUCACUUUCGUAAUUUCCAUAAGGAGGGAAAAUGUAGGUUUCUAAUCCACAGGGAGUUAAUGUAAACGUUUGCUUAAUCACAAGGAGCUAUUUUAUAUUUAGCCCUUUUUUUAAUCUAAUUUGUUAAUUCUUACGACAUAAGGAUAGAAUUGACUUCAUGUAAAUUAAUAGUUGCAUGACAAAUUUGGAUGCUAUUAAUUCCACAGAAGAUGCUUGGCAAUUUCACUGCGGUCUUUCGUAAUCGAUCCACGAGGCUUCUUACACAUUUGACAAAUUUGAAAGCUAUCUCAAAGGCUUCUUGAAAUAGUGGUAUGACCCAAGAGGGGAAAUGACAAUCAUAGUUGAUGACAUUGGCAACAUCAAUCAUGCCAUCUGUUAAUCCAGACAUAAAUUAUUAAAAAAUGAUUUGGUCUUACUAACUAAUCCUCGAGAAUUAGACUGACAGCAUAAUUAUUAGGGCAAUUUACAUCUCUUAUGGUUUGCCGUUUUACCGCAUAACCAUUUUGUAGUUUAAAAACCUAUAAUUAGUUUGGGCAAAUUAUCCAAUUGGUCCUUGAACUCUUUGUCUAGGUAAAAAUAAGCCCCUCAUCUAUUUUUUACUGACUUUAAGCCCUCGAACUUGUAAAAUUGGACACCCGUGACCCUUUUAGCCAGUUUCUCCGGUUUUGCAACCGGAAGGCCAAUUCACACGAAUGCCAGCGUGCUUCUUCAAAGGGUAUUUUUGUCCGCAUCUUCUAAACAAAAAUGGAACAACUCCUCCACCUUCUUCCCUCCAUUUCUGCAAAACCCUCGUUGCCGCCGCUUUCUCUCUUCUCAUUCUCUGCAGGAGAGUGAUACCACCACUCUCAGGAAUCUCCCCACUAGCAGAAUCAUAGCUAUUCCUUCGACUGCCCAAUUCUCCCCCACUCUAGACACCAGUCCUAUCAAAAUUAGACGCUAAAACACUAUUCUCAUCCAAACCUUCCAGUGGAGAUGCCAUUGCAGUCGCUAUUCUCGGCGAGACCACCAUAGUUGUCUCCGGCGAGACCACCAUAUCCAUAAGCGCAGGGAGUAGGAGCGAGUUCAAGUGAAGAGAUCACACAGCAAUUGCAAUGAACCAGCCCCAAACUCGGAUUAUAUGCUGCAGACUCGAUAUAUGAUCCCCUGUACACUUUCCCUUCGGGAUCCAUCAGGGCCACCCCGGAUAGGCACCCGCUAUACGGUGCAUGUGACUUGUUGGCAGCCUCCAAGGCUUCUAUCCUCAGAAGGGCCUCACUUUCUUCCAACGCUCCCUAAAACCCAUUGCUUAAAUUUUUAAAAUUCCCAUCAAGUUCAGAUUCUUUUGAAUAGCCAUUGCACAAAUUUGCCUGUUUUCGGGAAGUAUCAAAAGAUAGCCCAGUGCUAUGGGGUUCGAGGAGGAGGGGAGAUUCUUUAUCCAACAGAUCACAUGGGCCAAAUGGGUUGGUUAAGAAUUCCGGCAAUGGCUUAAAGAGGAGGGGAAAUUUUGAAAAGUUUUGAUUUGGGUGGUCAGAGGUGAUGAGGAUUUAGAGAGAGGAAGAAUCCCGGAGUUCUUGGAAGAACUGGCGGCAGUGGCCACAAGGGGCGGCGGAGACGGCGAGAGCAAUGAGGCGAGGGCAGCCAUGGACGGCGAGGUUGUUGCAGAGGAACUGCUCUGCGUGGACAGAUUGAUGUAAGGGGAGACCAGGGAACUCGAGAUCGACGCCUAUAAAAACGUGGCUGUUGGAGCCGAGGUCGACGGCCCUGACGGAGAAUUUGGAGAUGGGAGGACGAGCAAGGGACUGGGCUGGUUGAACCAAGGUGGGGAGGAGGUGGAGGAGUUGUUCCCUUUUUGCUUAGAAGAUGCGGACAAAAAUGUCCUUUGAAGAAGCACACUGGCAUUCGUGUGAAUGGACCUUCCGGUUGCAAAAUCGGAGAAACUGGCUAAAAGGGUCACGGGUGUCCAAUUUUACAAGUUCGAGGGCUUAAAGUCAGCAAAAAAUAGAUGAGGGGCUUAUUUUUACCUAGACAAAGAGUUCAAGGGCCAAUUGGAUAAUUUGCCCAAUUAGUUUUGACACUCUUCUAUUAGCCUCCUAUCCCAUUUAUAAUUAGUUUCCACACUCAAUAUGUCUUGGUUAUGUUUUAUGUACAAGAUUUAAGUGUUGAAAAAUUUGAAGAGUUUGUUUAACUAAAGUAUAAUAUGCUUUUCCCAGGGAAGUCACUUGUCUUUUCACUGGAAAAAAUUUCCCAGGUUCAUGCUCGGAUUCUUCUUCUUCUUCUUCUUUUUUAAUCGCUUGUUUGUGUUGUCAUCUCCAUUACUUAAAACAUAUAUUAUUUGUUUUGAAGGGACCAAAAUCCUUCAUUGGAUUUUGACUCUUGGCUAGCUUGUUCAAACUUCCAAGUUUCUUAAACACAAGUACCUCCAAGGAUAGAGAAAAUACCAAAUUGAGGGUUGACUUCUACUCUGUAUAUUAUCAGCAAUCAGGUUUGGUUAGGCAGAGCCAAAGAAGGAGGAGGAUUUACAGCAAUUAGUAGGCAUUGUUCUGAAGCCGCGGUUUAAAACGCAUACACAGAGUCAUGCCAGUAAAGAGAGAAUAUCUGAGAGCAUUGGCAAUCAAAUAUCAGGGGGUAAAUUACAUACAAUCCCCAUGAAAUUUUGAAUAAUACCACAUUCAAAAUAGUCAUGUAAUUCCAUCAAUAUACAUGGCUAUAAGUGAUGUCCUGAUCGAAAAAUGAUGGAGGAAAUUGGACUGCGAUGUGGAUUGAUAAGAGAAUCAGAUGCGUGAUAAUUAUUGAUUUCUUGCAAAAUCUUGUACAUUUCGUUACUUGAAACAGGGCAUUGAUAAACAUCAAAUGAAAACGCGAAUCCAACAAAGAAGGAUUGAUAAGCUGUGAUUAAAAAUGCCAUAUCAACUAGAGUUUACUGAUACGAAUUCAAUCAGGAAGUUGAUGUCAGUUUCAUUAAAUUAACAGAGAAUGGGCAUCAUAAUGGGAGGCAUGACAGUAACAUUUAGUUAACGACAUUCAACACGAAUAGCCAAAUAUCUGAGGAAAUGAUAGCAAUUGUUGCAGUAGUCAAGCAAUAGCAAUGGAAGGGCGGCUACACAUUCAAAAGAAGGCACAGCAAUAUGAUCAGUGUGGAACAAAGUUUGCAUUAUAAACUAAUUCAGAGCCAGCUACAACGUCACAGAAGAGCAGGCAAUAGACAUGAAACUUCCAAUACUAGGCUAAUAUGCAAGAAAUUCCUGGGAAGUGUUUUGAAUGAUUUUUUUAUAUAAUUAUUUUUCAAAUUGUCAUUUCCUCUACUUAUUUAUUUAUAUAUUUGUAAAUUCACAUGAAAAAAAUAGAUGAAUUAAGGUUUGAUGCUAUGUAAAAUAUCAGUUUGAUGAAUUACGGUUGACCUUGUAUGUUCCCAUUUAAUUCUUGAUCCUGUUCAAUUGAUUUCCAUAAUUUCAUCUCUCCGACGUUCCCAUCCACCAAGUGGGAUCCUCUCUUGAAUAGAAAUUGGUGCCUCAAUUCAGUUUUCUAAAUUGCCCUCUGAUUUAACAUAAAUAGAAGGGCUCAAGCUGACUGAUUCUUGUGCUCUGAGUCCUGUCUGAGAUUUACAGAUACAAAGAGCAAUGGAAAAAGUAUCAUCGGGCACAACUUGUAGUCGACUGCAGAACAGUGAGAAAAAAUAUGCUGCCUGUUAUAGAGCUAAGAUACAACUUCAAGAAGGAUGCAAGCACCUAUCAGGGUUCAGCUAAUCCACAUCUUUCUGCUGCUUUGAACUACAAGCAGUAUGGAAGAUAUGGCAAAUUGAGUUCCAAAAGAAGUAAAAUAGCACCUCAUUAACAUGUCUACAAAUUGCUGAAUUGGUUGGACAGUUUAACAGCACCAGACAGACAGGGAAGAUCUCAGGCUUUGGCCAUCCGAGGCAGAGAGCAAAAGGGAAUUCCAUCCCGGAUGUUUUCAUCUGAUCUGAUUGAAACAGGAUCUGGUUCAGCAAGGGAUCAUAGGACUUUCAUUACAAAUGAUAGUAAGACCGAGCUAUCAAGGUUAAUGUUGAUCUCUGAGUGCAAAAUCACUGCAAAACACAAAAACUCAAACUUAAGAGACUCGAGACAGUAUGUAGUCAAGAACAAAGCCAGCGCCUAGUUGCAUGACAUUUUUGUUGUAUUUGAAACACUAAAAUAAGAACUUAACAUGAAGAGAGGAGCAACCAAGUAUAGAAGGCAAAAUGAGCUUAAUAGCCUUCAUCAUAGCGAAUGAAAUAAUUGCAGCAAGUAGCAGCAGCCAACCAGUAUGCUUGGCAGUCUUGACUAACCAUAGCAAUAUGCUUCAAAACUUGCAGCUUAGACUUGAUUGUGUUAGAAGAUACUAUAACAAGUCUGUGCAGCUUCACUGCAUGAACAGUACAUCUUCCAUGGCUGCUCCCAAAAACAUUUCCAUUAUGAGAAGAUUUCUCAAGUUUUGGUUGUAAUAUGUUCAGAAUCAAAGUAGUUAAAAGUCAAAUUUUAGUAAAAGAAGAGCAAUCUAUCUUAACUUACCGAACUCUUAGAAUCAAAAAACCAAUUUGAUGACCAACAGCUCUGGGAAACUCCUAAAAUGUUUACGACUUGAAAAUCACAACCAAGGAAAAGUGAGACAGAAACCCAUCAUUUACAAGACUUAUCGAACAAAUCACUAAUCAAAUGGUUCAAGAAGCUUGAUAAAUGCACCUUCAAGAGGCGAUUAAACUUUGGAGCAACUAUUUAUCCCUCUAGAAUCAUAAGCUAGGGAGCUGAUCCCUUUAGCAAUCACAUCUUACAUCCACAAAAGCAGAUAUAUAAAAUCAACAAACUAAACUUCUAGUGUGUAUUUCAUAUUGAUGGGUAACUUGUAGGAAAUGCAAAACAAAAAUUAAUGAAUACCAGCUAUAAAAAUCUAAUCUAUGUUCAUCUCAGGGAGAGACACAAAAAUCUGCCUGCUAAGUGCAGGAGGAAAGAGUGCAGUAGAGAAUUGCUGGUUCAAAGUCUUAUAGAAAAGGUUUCUAGAAUUGCUGCAUGUGGUAUCGAAGGUAAAAUGUCCAAUGCAUUUUCAACAAUGAACUUCAGAGAGAGCAAUCUUUUCAUCCUGGUGGAAUCACAAGUUUAAAGAGAGUGCACCGAUGUUAGCAAUCAUGACGCAUAAAGGAGAGUAACUGACAUGCAUGAUAGACAAAACUAAAUUCUUAAAUUCCACCCACAUUAGUGCAUUUGUUUCAGUGCUGGUUCAUCCAAAACAUGAUUGACAGGUGCCGAACCUGUGCAAUAAUAAAAAUAGAACCUAACAACCACCUGUCAAAGAAUUCAAUACCUCCACCUGUCAAAGAAAUUUGACAGGUGGCUUGCGCUGUGUGGACUGGCGGUGGAGCUUGGCGGUGCUGAGGUGGAGUUGGCUGGAGGGAGGCGCGGCGUCGAUGGGUCAGAAUUGGUGGCACACGAGGUUGAUCGCAGGUGGAGGUGGCCGACAGCAGCGUGGUGGCGUGCAACCUGGCUGAGAGCUGGUGGUGGCCGCGAGCGCGCAGGUGGAGGGCCGGCCAGGACAAGGUCGCGCGAUGGAGGAUCAUGUCGUGGGCUGUGGCGGCGCUGGGGUCGGUUUGGCCACGCGCGGCGAAGUGAGGUCGAGGGAGAGGAGACCGCGCUCGAGGGCUGUGGUGGCGCUGGGGUCGCACGGUGAAAGCGAAGAGAGGCGCGGCGAGCUGGACUGCUGGUCGAGAUGGAGCUUGGCAGAGAGAAGCCGCAAGGGCCGAGCGCGGGAGCAGCUUGGGCUGGCUCACGGGCGGCGUCCAGUGGAAGUCGGCGAUGGAAGAGAAAGGGCUAGCGGCGGCUGGUUGCGUCGGAUGGAGGUGGCCGCGAGCUCUGGAAGAGGAGCCAGCGGCGGCGGCGGACGAACAAAGGAAAAGAAGGAAAAAGGGAAAGCAGGGGCAUCGGAGAAGAAGAAGAAGAAGAAGAAGAAAGAAAGAAAAGAAAAAGAAGAAAAAGAAGAAAAUAGAAAAGGGAAUUUUUUUUUUCCAAAAAUUAUUCCAGCGUAAAUCGUCCAAAUUGGAAAUUGCCCCCUUUUUUUUAAAUAAUUUUUUUUUUGUAAUAAUAAAAUAAAUUUUUUUCUUUUUUUUUCUUUGGAUUGGAAAGAAAAUAAUCUUUUCUUUUUCUUUUGAUGCUAGUAAUAAUAAUAAUAAUAAUACUGAAUAAUUAAUAAAUUUUUUUUUUUUGCAAAAACAUGGUUUGGGUCGUCCAACACCGCGUGGGCAUGCCAAGAUUACAAAACAUCCUCUGACCUCAGGAGACACAAACACCGCGUGGGCACGCCAACCGCGUGGGCACGCCAAGAUUGGUCUUCGUCCUCUGACCUCAGGAGACACAAUUACCGCGAGGGCACGCCAAGAUUUCACUUCCUGGUCACAGUGGAGGAGAUAUUAGCAUUUAUACUACCCAACGGAGAAACGACAAAACGAAAGAAAUAAACAACUAAAAACAAUAAAAUCAAUAUUCGGAUUGCCUCCCAAAAGAGCGUCUUUCUUUAGUGUUUUUGGCUAGACAUAUCCCAUAAUUUGCUUAAACCAAGCAAAUCGGGUCCUCCAAAUGCAUCGUCUCUACCCGUUCAACCGGAGCCCCAUCAUAAUAUGGUUUGAGACGAUAACCAUUCACCACAAAUUUCUUCUCCGUCCUUAGACUCUGGAUCUCCACUGCACCAUAAUCAAAGACAUUAGUUACAACAAAGGGACCGAUCCAACGAGAACGUAACUUACCUGGAAAUAACUUCAAUUUCGAGUGGUACAGUAAAACUUUUUGCCCACAUUCAAACGUCUUCCUAGAGACCUGCCGGUCAUGAAAUAUCUUAUUCUUCUCCUUGUAAAUCACAGCAUUCUCAUAUGCUUCAUUGCGAAUCUCCUCCAAUUCUUGUAAUUGUAACUUCCUUUGACUUCCGCCCUCCUCAAUAUUCAAGUUGCAUUGCUUGACCGCCCAAAAUGCUCUAUGUUCGAACUCGACGGGGAGGUGACAGGGCUUUCCAAAUACCAAACGAUAAGGGGACAUGCCGAUUGGCGUCUUGUACGCCGUUCUAUAUGCCCAUAAGGCAUCUUCAAGUCUCAUACUCCAAUCCUUCCUAUCGGGUCGAACCAUCUUCUCCAAAAUCGACUUGAUCUCCCGAUUUGAUGCCUCUGCCUGACCGUUUGUCUGAGGAUGGUAAGAUGUUGAGACUUUGUGCAAGACACCGUACCUCCUGAAAAGUGCAGCAAUCGUCUUGUUGCAGAAAUGGGUACCCCUAUCACUUACAAUUGCUCGCGGCAUCCCAAAGCGGACAAAAAUAUUAGAUUUUACAAAUUCUGCAACCACUUUGAAAUUAUUAGUACGGGUGGGUUUUGCUCCCACCCAUUUCGAAACAUAGUCUACGGCAAGCAAUAUAUACAGAAAACCAUAAGACGAAGGAAAAGGGCCCAUAAAGUCAAUACCCCAAACGUCAAAAAUCUCAACAAAAAUCAUUGGGGUUUGGAUCAUUUGAUCCCUACGAGAAAUAUUACAUACUCGUUGACACUUAUCACAUGACUUACAAAACAAGUAGGCAUCCUUAAAGAGGGUCGGCCAAUAGAAUCCACUCUCUAGAACCUUACGAGCCGUCCUCUUUGGUCCAAAGUGAUCUCCACAUGCAAAAGAGUGACAAUAAACUACAAUAGAUUUGAAUUCAUUUUCACUUACACAUCUACGAAUGAUUUGGUCGGCACCAUGUUUCCAAAGAUAGGGAUCAUCCCAGACAUAGUCCUUUGCAUUGCUUUUUAGUUUGUCCCUUUUCGCCUUGGGCCAACCUGCGGGCAAUUUGUCAGUAACCAAAUAAUUCACAAUAUCUGCAAACCAAUGAGGGGAUGAAUUAAUAGAAAGUAAAUGUUCCUCAGGAAAAGACUCCCUUAAUGGUAAUUCCUCCUCCGCUACCAGUAUUCGACUUAGGUGGUCAGCUACUAGAUUCUCUGCUCCUUUUUUAUCUCUGAUUUUCAAGUCAAAUUCCUGCAGGACCAAUAUCCAUCUUAUCAAACGGGGUUUAGCGUCCUUCUUGGUCAGCAAAUACCUCAAAGCUGCAUGGUCAGAUUACACAAUUACUUUAGCACCUAGCAAAUAAGGUCUAAACUUUUCUAAAGCAAAAACAACAGCUAAGAGUUCUUUCUCCGUAGUGGAGUAAUUUAGUUGGGCGCCAUUUAAAGCUCUAGAGGAGUAAUAUAUUGCGUGCGCCGCUUUCUCCACCCUUUGUCCCAAAACUGCUCCCACGGAGUGGUCGUUGGCAUCACACAUAAUUUCGAAUGGGAGAUUCCAAUCAGGGGGUUGGAUGACAGGUGAAGAAGUGAGUAGUUUUUUCAACUUCUCGAACGCUUCUUUGCACUCCUCGUUGAAUUCAAAACUGACAUCCUUUUGCAAAAGCCUGAAAAGUGGUGCCCCGAUCUUUGAGAAAUUCUUGAUAAAUCUGCGAUAGAAACCUGCAUGUCCUAGAAAAGAACGAACUUCCCGUACAGUUACGGGGUAAGGUAAAGCAGAUAUCACAUCUAUUUUAGCUUUAUCAACCUCAAUUCCUCUAGACGACACUACAUGUCCUAGAACUAUCCCGUGCUCAACCAUAAAGUGGCAUUUUUUCCAAUUGAGCACUAAGUUAGUCUCAAUGCAUUUUUUUAAAAUCAAUGUCAGGUUAUCUAAGCAAUCGUCAAAACUAUCACCAUAGACACUGAAGUCAUCCAUGAAUACCUCGAUUAUUCUCUCCACAUACUCAGAAAAAAUGCUAAUCAUGCACCUCUGAAAUGUUGCAGGGGCAUUGCACAAUCCAAAUGGCAUUCUUCGAUAGGCAAAAGUGCCAAAGGGGCAAGUGAAAGUUGUUUUCUUUUGAUCCUCUGGUGCAAUUGCUAUCUGAAAAUAACCAGAGAAACCAUCUAAAAAACAAUAAUAGGCACGACAAGCUAACCUUUCAACCAUUUGAUCGAUGAAUGGAUGAGGAAAAUGAUCCUUCUUGGUCACCGCGUUCAAUUUGCGGUAAUCGAUGCACUGGCGCCAACCCGUAGGCUUUCGAAUUGGAACGAGGUCCCCUUCAUGAUUUUCUUCCACAGUUACUCCUGCUUUCUUUGGCACCACUUGGACUGGACUCACCCAUGGGUUAUCUGAGAUAGAAAAAAUAAUUCCUACGUCCAGAAGCUUGAUUACCUCUUUCUUGACCACUUCCAUCAUGAUGGGGUUCAAUCUCCUUUGUGGUUGUCUUAUCGGCCUAGCAUCCUCUUCCAGGCGAAUUCGAUGCAUGCACACGGAGGGGCUUAUACCCUUUAUGUCCGCAAUUGUCCAACCUAUAGCUUCCUUAUGCUCCCUUAAAACCCGUAGCAGCUUAUCCUCCUCCCUGGGUGAUAAUUUGGAUGGGAUUAUCACUGGUAACGUCUCUUUUUCACCUAGAUAGGCAUACUUUAAAUGCUCGGGCAGAGGUUUUAACUCCACUUCAGGUGCCUGCAUGAUAGAAGGUAAUAGCUUUAGGUGUGGUUCAGGCACAAACAUAGGAGCGACAUCAUACCUUAGAAAACUUUGGCCUAGUGAAUGCAAGGCUCCAACCAUUCUUUGCAAACUGACACCUAACUCCAUUUCACAGGUUGCUUCCAGAUCCAAAUGUUUGGUGAUUGCUAUCUCCAAUUCAUCCCUGCUAUUAAUCUCAAAUACUUCUUGCACCAAAGGGUCAAUUACACUCACAGCAAAAAUAGCAUUAGAAUGACACGGAUAUUUCAUGGCCUCAAAAAUACUAAAAUGAACUAUUUUUCCAUCAAAUUCCAUCGUUAGGGUGCCCUCACUAACAUCAAUUUUUGUACGAGCCGUGCUCAAGAAAGGCCUCCCCAACAAAAUUGGUGAUGGAUUUGGAGAACGUUCAUCACCCAUAUCAAGAAUAUAAAAAUCAGCGGGGAACACUAAAUUGUUCACUUGCACUAACACAUCUUCUAUCACUCCAUCGGGAUAAGCAUUAGUCCUAUCAGCCAAUUGAAUUAUAAUGCCAGUUUCCUUUAAGUGACCCAAAUUUAGAGAAGCAUAAAUAGCCUUGGGCAUCACAUUUAUAGAGGCUCCUAGAUCUAACAUGGCAUUCCUAAUGCUAGUGUUCCCUAUUUUACAAGGCAUAGUGAACAUACUUGGGUCUCCAUAUUUAGGCGGAAGUUUUCUUUGAUGCACUGCAGAUACGUUCUCUCCCACAAUUAUCCUUUCAUCUCCCCUCAAUUUCUUCCUAUUGAUGCAUAGGUCCUUCAAAAAUUUGGCAUACCGGGGUACUUGCUUAAUUGCGUCAAGUAAGGGGAUAUUUAUCUCCACCUUUCUAAACAUCUCCAGAAUUUCCUUUUCCUUGUCUUGCUUUUUAGGCCUUUCCAACCUGCUAGGAAAAGGUGGUGGGUUAGGCUUAACUGGAACCACUGGGGUACGUAUUACCUCUUUAUUUAUGCCGGGCAUUCCUUCUUCCUCAAGCUCCUUCUCAAUGCGGUCCUCAUUCUUGUCCUUCAGAGCCACUGGUGCUGGUCCUUCAACCUCUUUCCCACUCCUGAGGGUCAUUGCACUUACAUUCUUGGGAUUCACCUCAGGUUGGGAUGGAAGUUUUUCCUUUCCCUGGGAGUCCAGUCGGUUGACAAUUGAGGCCAAUUGACUCAUCUGAUUUUCCAAGUUUUGCAUACUUCAUCUCUUGACUGCUGGCCUCAGUGUCCUGCUGAAAUUUCAUAGUAUUAGAGGCUAUGCUCUUAACCAUGUCUUCUAGGGACAUACCCGAGGCAGAGGAGGGUUGGUUCCUUGUUUGAUAUUGUUGCUGGAAGCCCUGCUGUUUAUUAGGGAUGAAAUUUUGUUGCUUAUUUCCCCUAUAGCUCAGAUUUGGAUGAUCCCUCCAACCCGGAUUGUAUGAGUUGGAAUAGGGGUUAUACUGUCUACGUGGCAUGGGCAUGUUACCAGCCAUGUUUGCUUGCUCAGUUCCCUCCUCUUGUAACUGUGGGCACGAGUCAGUGGUAUGACCAAUGUUCGUACAAAUCCCACACACUUUGGCCUGCUGUACAUUUCCUACAGCUAUCUGUCGAACAAAUGAGGUUAAUUCAGAUAACUGCUGUUGAAUGGAAGAUGAACUUACCUCGUUGACCUUUCUUGUAGGAAUAUCCUCCCUCGUACCAAACUGUUGGCAGUUCUCUGCCAUUCGCUCGAUUAGUUCCCAAACCUCUUGGGUAGUCUUAUUCACCAAUGCACCUCCACUCGCUGCAUCAAUGAUAUUUCUAUCGUUCAUCAGUAGCCCCUCGUAGAAGUAGUGAAUCAGCAGUUGAUCACUUAUCUGGUGAUGAGGACAUCGGGUGCGCAGCCUGGUGAACCUCUCCCAAUAUUCAUACAAGGAUUCCCCGUGAAAUUGUUUGAUGCCACAUAUUUCCUUUCGCAAACUAGCAGCUCUGGAUGCAGGGAAAUAUUUCUCAAAAAAAAAUUUCUUCAUCUCUGGCCACGUGGUGAUAAUGCCUGCAGGUAGACAGUAUAAUCAGUCCUUUGCCGAAUCCUUGAGAGAAAAAGGGAAGGCCCUUAAUUUAAUUUGUUCAUCAGUUACUCCCGAAGGCUUCAUACUCGAACACACCACAUCAAAUUCCUGCAUGUGUUUGUGGGGUUCCUCUCCUGGCAGACCAUGAAAAGUAGGUAACAAAUGUAUUAGACCAGGUUUUAAUUCAAAAGCUGCAUUCUCACUAAGGCGAGGAAAAGUUAUGCAAAGAGGUUGUUGGCUCAAGUUUGGAGCAGCCAACUCCCUUAAUGUUUGUGUGUUUGCCAUGGCGACGUUCUCUUGGUACGAAUCACUCGAAUUUUCGCCACGUAAAUCUGUCAACUCAGCCUCUGGAUCUAGUCUUUGAGAUGCCACACUGGAUUGCUCCUCUCUGAGCUGUCUGGUCUCUUUCCUAGUUCGGCGCGCAGUCUUCUCUACUUCAGGAUCGAAAAUUAGUUCGCCUGUACGAGAAGAACGAGGCAUAAACUAGAAAAAUACCAGAAAGAAAGCAAAAACAAAUUAGAUUUAAAAAGGGACAAAUAAAUAACGCCGGUCCCCGGCAACGGUGCCAAAAAUUGACAGGUGUCGAACCUGUGCAAUAAUAAAAAUAGAACCUAACUACCACUAAAAGCAGUCAAAAAUUAAUCCUAGGUACUGGAGCAGGGACUCUAGGUGUGCAAUGGGUUACUUGAUUCAUCCUGUUUCCGAAGAGUUUGCUUAAUCCGAUAUACCAAAAUUAAUUAAUUGACGAAAUUUACUAAAUAGUAGACAGUGGCAAGUAGGGUCGUCUUCUCAGGGACUGGAGAUAUUUGUCUCUUUUAAAUUCCAAUUGGUAAGAGGGGGAUUUCACCGAUAUGCAACUAAAAACAAUUAAACAAUCAUUACUAUAUAAAAAGUAUGAAUGUUGGUAUUUGGGAGUGCAAGUGUAAGCACUUUUUUAUCUUAGUUUUUGUUAUUCCUAAAUUACCCUCAUGUCUUUUAAUUAGAAUUAUUGCAUUUUAAGUGGCACUAAUUAAAAUAAAUAAAACACUUCAAUUGAUUACAUUUUAAUGGUAUUGGUAAAAAGUAUGAAUGUUGGUAUUAGGGAGUGCAAGUGUAAGCACUUUUUUAUCUUAGUUUUUGUUAUUCAUAAAUUACCCUCACGUCUUUUAAUUACAAUUAUUGCAUUUUAAGUGGCACUAAUUAAAAGAAAUAAAACACUUCAAUUGAUUACAUUUUAAUGGUAUUGGUAAUUAUAAUUAAAAAUUACUCAUUAAAAACUAUUUACCUACCCUUGGACUCCAUCUCCUAUUAUUAUAACAUAUCAAAAUUUCUUAAUUGAAGCAUGAAAAAUUUCUCAUUAGUCAUUAGUUGAGAUUGUUAAAAAAAAAUUAAUUUCAAAAAAUAGAUAUUCUCUAGAAAAUGGAGAAACAUACAAUGACAAGAAAAAUCCUUAUUCAUCUAUAUAUCUUCACACAAAUAUCAUGAGUAAAUUUUACAAUUAUGCACUUUUACCAAUAUGAAGAAUUUUUCACGUUGCACCUAAUAAAAUUUCAAUAUACAAAAAAUGAUGACACUUUUAUAAAUAAAAUAGCAGUAUUAAACAAGAAAAAAGAAAUCUAAAAUAGCACCAUACAAACCACUAUUAUCAUUAAUAGCAACCGAUCAAAACAAGAAAAACUAAAAUAAGAUUGAAAACUAUUUAUAAAAUGACAUAAAAUAAAUAGCAAAUGAAUUAAAAAGUUAGAAUACAAUUCAAAUAAUACCAAAGACAACAUCCAAAUCACUGAUAUCCAAGGGAAGACAAACAUUGUUAUUGACAAUAAUAUAGUAAUAUUUCAUUUGUAUUGGUUUGAACAAACCAAAUCCAUCCAUCAAGUCAGAAACCAUCUCCAAUGAUAAAAUAAGAAUUAUAAUAAGAGUAAAUAUAAAAUGAAGAAUGAUAAAAUGAAAAUGAUAUCCAAAUUAUUUUUGGUGAUAUCCAAAAUACCCUUAUUUUUCUAAUGAUUACAUAUAUUUAUUGUAUUGCAAUAUUAGUGACUAAUGGAAGCGGUUAUGAAAUGAAAAACUUUAAAAUUAAGUAAAUUUCAUUUAUGGUGACAAUUGUAAUUAAACAAAUUUAAUGCAUUCCAAUAAUUGAUAAUAAUGAUAGCAGUUAUGGAUUCAAAGUUGGCAAUUAAAAACUAAAACAUUGAAAUAUACAAAAAAUUAAUAUUAAAAUUAUUAAUUAGCCACAAUUCUCAUUCCAAUUUCAUGAUCAUAAAAAAAACUAAUAUUAAAACCAAAAAUAUUGUGCUCAUAUGAAAAAAGUAGACUUGUUGCUCUUGUUUCGCAUUGGAUUGUGCUAAAAACAUGAAUAAAAGAAAAGGAAAAUAGAAAAUCUCCAACUAUCUCUAUCUAUAAAAUUUCAAUUGUUAGAAUGUACAAGCCAAAAAAAAUUUACGUGAUGGAUCAUUUAUACUCCAUUAUUGACAAAAAUAUAAUUAACAUAAUACAAAGAAUUCAAAUUCAAAUUACAUUUAUGUUUAUUUUUCUAACUUAAUUAUAUUCUUCGUUUAUAAAAAAUUGUGAUGAUUGUGGUUUAUAUGCAAUAGAGUCAUGAAUAUACAAUAAUUUUGGUAAAACAUGAUAUUAUCAAUAUUUGGUAUGUUAGAGUUCAAGCUAUAAAUCAAAAAGUGUUUGGUUCAUGAUUUCAAAUUGGGCAUAUUACAUUUUACCCCCCUGUGGUUUAGCAUUUUUUUACAUAACCCCAUAUAGUUUCAAAAGCUAUACAUAACCCACUCAUGGUUUGGAUUAAAGUGCCAAAGUGACGGAAAUAGUCACUCGUUUGGAACUUCUAAAAAUGUCGAAAUUACCCUUAUAAAUACGUGGCACAUUAACCCCGUAUGAUUUUUAUAUUUUACUAUAUAACCCCCUUAUGGUUUAAUACUUUACUAUAUAACCCCCUUAUAAUUUUCAAAAUAUACACAUAACCCCCCUUAGUUAAUAAAUAUUCAACUUUACAUAAGGGUACUUUUAACAUUUUAGGUGACUCCGUUACAAAUGGUCAUUCCCGUCACUUUGACAUUUUAAUCCAAACCAUAAGGGAGUUAUGUAUAACUUUUGAAACCAUAGGAGGAUUAUGUAAAAAAACGUUAAACCACAGGGGGGUAAAGUAGAAUUUGCCCUUUCAAAUUCAAUCUUAAGGGAUAUGUCAACUAUAUUGAAAUGUUUUCCGUCUCUUUUCUUUUAAUAAAAUUUUUAAAAGUAACUAGCUUAAAAAAAUAAAUAACAUAAAAGUACUAUAUUAUGAUGUUGAUCAUCAAAAUUUCAUAAAAAAUUUUAGUAUCUAAAAAAUAAUAUAUUUUAAGAUAUUACAAUCACGUGCAAAGCACGUGAACUAUUACUAGUCCAACUAAAAAUAAAUAAUUAACUAGCACAAAUAUAGCAGGAAUUAAAUCAAGAAUAAAUAAAUUCUAGCCAAGGAUACAACUACUCAGACACAGUCCAUUUAUCCGAUCAUUGAUGCAAGAAAGGUUCACUUAAUUUAUUAAUAGGCUAGUUAUAGUCGUCGAUGAACUCCAACGACUAAUUUUUCCUUAAUUUAUUGAUAACCAAGGUACGACCAUUGAUCACCCCUAACCAGAAAAUACUCUUAGGUACGACCGUAGGAAUCAAUUUCCCAAUUGCAUUAAUAACUAGAAAAACCUAGCCCAAAUCAAUAACACGCUACGAGGGUUAUUUAAAUUAGAUUGCACGUCCCCCUAAUGUGUAAACACACCAGUUGCCACUAAUAUUAAUCAAUCAAACAAUUACGAAUUUAAUUGACUAAAUUGGCACGAGAUUAAUAAAUUACAUUGAACAUCGGGCCCUUGACAUCCAAUUAAUAAAAUAAUCCCAAGAAAAUUCAAGCAGACAACGUGCAAAUAUUAAUAAACUGAGGAACGUGUGAAAACUAAUUAGAUCUCACAGAUUUUCGGGACUGCGCCGUCGAGUUGACCCUUGACUAGAUGGAAGGCUUAGCCACGCCGCAUAAUUAAAUCACCAUACGAAUUAAUGGAUUGCAAAGGCAUUGCGUGUUUACUAGAAAGUAAGGAAUAAAAGAUGUUUUUCCCGUUGGGGAAUAUUGUCGAACACCUGGCGUGUGUCAGAGGUUAGUCAAAAGAAAGAAACUAGAACUAACUAAAAGCUAAAACUCAAAAGCCCCCCUUUUGCUUCUGUACGUUGUCCCUUUUAAAGAGCCAAAAGAAAGAUGACUAAAAGCUAUCUAGGUGGUCCCCACACAUGUGGACAAAGCCUCCAAAUUACUUCUUGUUCCAAGUCUCUCUACGUUGCUUUCUUUGAAGAGCCUAAAUGACUAAAAAUCUUUCACUAGCUUUGUGGUCCCCCACCAAUUCAAGGGCCCAAGGAUUGAAGCCCUUAGAAGUCUCCAUUUUCUCCAUAAAGUCCCUCCUUUUUGGUAGUUUUCUGUUUCAUUCCUGAAAUUAAGUCCAGAUACCAAAUAUAAGUAGAUAUCAACAAUUAACGCAAUAUUGGGCAGGGAUAAAAGGGGAAAUUGAUAAUAAAAUUACUAACAAAUGAUACCCUAUCAAUGAUUCAGUUAACCCAAGAAAAUCUCGCUCAUUUUGGUCACUGAAACAAAUAUGCAACAAAAGCUUUGAUGGUAAAGGUUAUGAAAUAUUUUGCUUAUUCAUGAUAAUAUUUACCUAUAACUUUCAAUCGUGAUAAAGAGGAAGAAAGGGCCGACUCUGCAUCCAACUUGGCACUUGGCAUACCUACUCUGUUGUUGUUCCAAUAAUCAGUUGAUAUACUUUCAAGGCAAGAAAGACUUUCAAAAGUAAAGUCAUCCCAAACAAAACUCAGACUCAGGACUUCACAUAGCAAAUCACGAGGCGAACAGGAAAUUGCAUGACAUUUUUGUUUAGUCAAUUAUUCAGAAAGCUAAAUCAGUAUCUGUUUGUUUUUGUUGUUCAUUUCUAACCUAAAUCAGUAAGCAGAUAUCAAAUCUUUCUAUUCAGUCCACAAGUACCAGAAGUAUCAUAGAAACUAUAUUGGUUUUUGUUCAAAACACUGAAAAAAAAGAAAGUUCUAUAACAAUAAUGACUGGCAUCCACAAGCAUGAGAGGCAGAGAGCCCCAGAAUUGCCUUGAAAGCGAACUCUUUGAGACUGCAAGAUGCAACAGGUAGAGCUAAUCACAACUAUUUUACUCUUAAAAUCUCAUAUCAUCGCAUUUGAACUUAAGACUUCAGUAGAGGAUGGUCUACCAAGUCUCUGCUGCUUGAAAACAUCUUAAACGCGCGUGACAAUUUUUUAAGCUUUUAGCUAAUGCAUUGGUUAUUAAAGUGCUUAAAACCCAACAAUAAGUAAUGGAAGAAGAUUGUUGGUAUUAUAAAUUAUCAGACCACCAAUCCCACAACCAAGGACAGUGAGAGUAACUCGAUUGACCAUUGGAUUUAGGUCAAGAGAUCAUAGCUGAAGAAAGUAGAAUCCCAUCAUUUAAGAGACAUAAUAAGAAUACCAAUAAUCAGAUAAUUUGGAGCAAGAUGAUAAAUACAUUUCCAAGAGAUGGAAGUUCAGAGCAAGCAUUUCCAUCCCGGUAGAAUCUCAAGUUUAAAGAGAAUUAGCUCCUUUCAGCAAUCAUGAUAUACAACUGGAAGUAGCAGACAUAUGAGAUGAGCAAAAGUAAACAGCUAUUUUUUAUUUAAAACAAAGAAUUUUGUACUGUAGAUGUAAAUACAAAAAGUUUUCAGCUUUGACAUCAUGUUUAACUGUCCACAUCAAAUAAUCUCCUCUUGAACAUCUGUAUUCCAUAAUUGAAUUUAAUAUAUGGUUAGCGAUAUUGUUUUCUUCCCGGAACAACGCUUGUUGAGUUUUUCUGAAUCAGACUGAAAAGGCCAAGAAAAGUUCAACAAAGCAGACAACUGACCUUACUGUUACAUUACUAGACAACAUCUUGGAAGCAGACGUUUUAAACCUUCAGAUAGUUUACAACAAAAUCAUCUUAUUGUACAAUUUCUAUCACCUGAUAUUGGAUAGAUUUAAAAGGAUUUAGUAAUGAUUUUACUGGAGUAUAUUGUCCUGAAGAAACAAAAAACUAGAAAUUGACCCCUAAAAUCUUUGUCCAUCAUUGCCUAUCUAUAAUUUUCUGUGUUCCAUCAAACUUUGAUUUAACAAUCUAUUUCAUGAAUGUAAACGCAUUUUCAUUCUUUUUUAGCAAAUUGAUAACCAAAUGAACUUUUAGAGUGCUUAGUUGGAUGAGGAGCUUUUAGAUUGAAAAUCUCAGGAAGGCAUGUUUGCCUGCAUUACAAUAAAGAUAGAAGAGCAUAUUCCAUGUCAUUUUUGACUAGGAAUCUUACAGAAAGAAAGGUUUUUGUUUUUUUUUUUUGUUACCUUUGUUCUAAAACUAAUGAGCAGGAAAUAAGACUCGAUACUAAGUACAUCUACUAAUCCAUUUACAACAAAUUCGCUAACCUUACAGUACUUCUUGAAAAUUUGCAAGCUCCUCAUUGUCAAUCUGUUUCUUUGAUACAAGCUCUAUCGCCAACCAUACCCCCCAUGAUCAUUAGCAGAAAUUCAUGGUAAUGAUGGCUUUUGAUCAUGAAAGACAUUACAUAAGCUGGGGAAAGAAAUUCUGGUGGGCAAUUUGUAGAGGCCAGCUGACACAGAUAGAGCAUUUUUUCAGGUUUUACACAUUAGGAAGAAAGAAAAGUGUGCUUGUAGUGUGCCAUCCUAAUCAUUUCUGUCCAAUUGAAACAGGAUUUGAUUCAACAAAGUUUUCAAAAGUUACAAGCUGUGUAAUUCAAUCAAUAAGUAAGUGCAAUUGUAGAUUCUAGUUCACAUUUGAGCCUGAAAUCAUUGCAGAACAGAAAACUCGAGUUGAGACAAUAUGUGAACAAGAAAGUUCAGAAAUUUCAGCAAUAAUUUUGUUCUGUCAUUCCUACAAAAGGCUAAAAUAUGCCUUGUUUGUUAUGAAACUAAAUAGAUAAGCAAGUACUAAGUCGUGUUUACAAUUACAGUAGUUUGGUUCCAACCACAAAGCAAGUGAUUACAACUCAUAAAAUGAAAAUAAUAAUGGACAAUUUGUAGUGCGGGCAAAGCAUUUCACAUUGAGGCAUUGAGAAACAAUAGAGCUGUGGGCCACUGAGGCACAAUAGAGAUCCACGUUUAAUUGCUACCAAAACACCAGUUAGUUCUAACCUCUAACUCUGAGCAGUAUGCUAGAGAUGACAAUUUGAGUUCUAAAACAUGUAAAUCAGCUCCUCAUUAUCAUGACUACACAUCACUGAAUCAUUUCGAUAGUUUAAAAGAACCAUACCCCAAUAGAAAUCUCAGACUUUGACCAUCUGAGGCACAGAGGAAAAGAGAAUGCCAUCCUAGAUGUUGCUAUUCAGCCGAAGCAGGAUCUUGUUCUGCAACGAAUUGUAGGACUUUCAAAAAGUAAAGACAGUAGGUAAGAGCCAUCGAUGAGGUUCCCUGUUGAGGUUUGUGCCCAAAAUCACUGCAAAGCACAAAAACUCAAACUGAAGGCGGCAAAUAGCAUAGAAUAAAACUAAUGGAAAUUUUCAGAUAAUUGUAGUUUUUCUGUCAUUGUAAUUGAAGCCCCAGAAGGAGAAACUUACCUUAAAAAAAGAAGCAACCAACAAUCAUAAAAGCAGAGAGAGCUUAAAAGCCUUUAUCAAGGUGGAUUCAUUAACAGUAGCAAGUCGGAACAAGCAGACUUGACCAACUACCGGAAUGCUUCAAAACUUUGCGCUUAGAGUUAAAUUGUGAAAAUAACCACGGGGACUUUUUAGGUUUUCUCACGAGAAGGUUAAUCAGAGGGGGAGAUGAAGAGAAGGUGAUAUUGAUUGUAAAGCGAAUUAAGAAAGUUGGUAGGAGGAAAUCUUACAUGAUUGAAUUUGAUCUGAAGAUGAGUGGUUAAUCAACCUAUGUAUAGGUCUUGAAUGUGAGAAACUUUGGACCACUAGGAGUCGGGGCCGCUGCUCUCAAGAGUGCAUCUUUCUUUUAACAGAGGACAACGAUAAACCUCCAGAGAUUUUAGUUUGGUGAGACUUCUCAUGGCAUCCUCAGAGGGUAAAUGUCGAAGCUCUUUGAAAUCAUAUAAAUACAGGUAUUCAAGAGCAACGAAGUUUCCGAACCAAUCUGGCAGAGCUUUUAUACCUCCGAAGUUACUUAGCGAUAGUGACGUGAGAUUGGUCAAGUAUUGGAUCUGAUGUGGCAGGGACUCCAUGUGUGGCAACCCAACUAAUCCUAAUUCACGGAGUGCGGAUGACGAAGGGGAGGAGGAGGAGGAUAUCAAUCCACACCAAUCAAACUCAUUGUAAAUUGAAGAAUUUUCAUGAUCAUCACCAUCAUCUGAGAAGGGACCAAUUGCAAGCUCCCUUAAGCUGGUUAGAAAACCAAAUCCUUUGGGCGUCAUGCUUGUUUUCAAUUUGGGACACCUGUAUAAUUCCAGCUUCAAGAGAGAAGGCGUUUGUUGCAAAUCAAGCAGAAAGGAGACAAGAUUGCCGCACCAACUCACCUGAAGCUUCUGGAGAGAGGCACAAGAGUGUAGCAAGUCACCGGGCAGAUUCAUCAACCCAUCGCACUCAUCAAUCACCAGCUCUUUAAGAGACGUAAAGUUUUGCAAGGGAAGGAGUUCUCUGCAUCUGUGGCAGCGAUUAAACUCCAAACUCGUUAACUUGGGGAGUGUUGUUGCAAACUCAGGGAGUGUUGUUGUUGUUGUCAAAUCCAUUAACCAUCGAGGAAAUUGAUCGUCCAGAAAAUACCAAAUUACCAACUCCUCCAAAUUCGGGUGGGGUUGAAGGCCAUCCAACACAUCUUUGUCGAUGUAGUCGUGGCCUUCUCGAUCCUGGGCCCACUUAAGUUGCAGCCUAAAUAGAUUUGCCUUUUCAAAUAGUUUUGCUUCCUCAGCUCCUUCCUUAUCCAUUACUAGUUCCAGAUUGCGUAUCUCCAAUUUGCCUUUGAGGUUCUUCAAGCUUCCAAGCUCUCCAAUGCGUCGACCCUUCUCUCGACCCACGUUAAAGAACUCAAGUGUCUGAAGGCAAGUCAGCCGUCCCAUAUUCAGCGGCAUUUGAAAUUCUGUAUCAAAGGUGUAAAAGUGGAGAUGUCUCAAGCUAAUCAAAUUGCACAUCCCCUCUGGAAGAACUUUAACAUUUGAGUUACUUAGCGUCAAUGUUUGCAGAUUGUAAAGCUUGCAAAGGGAGUCCGACAAAAUACUGAUUGGAGAAUACAAAAGGUUAACAUACCGCAAAUGUAUCAAGUUGCCAAUUGAAAUUGGUAAUUUUCCAACUGUUGCAACCAAAACAUACAAGUUCUUCAACUUCAUUAACAUAUCACCAGAAAAGUAAUAAUUUACAAACAAUGUAUGAAGCGAAGUUGAUAGACUCUCCAAAAAUUUUUCUGUAUCUUCUUCAACACCAAAUGAGUCUAUUGUAAGGUAACGAAUCUGAUUACCAUUGUCUACUGUAUGUGUAUCCCUAUCAAUAAUGACUUUGGUAGACUUUGACAUUGACCCUGCAAGGUCGUGCACCAAAUCAUGCAUCCUAUAAGAUGUUAUCAACCGAUCAGUUAUUUCUUCCAACAAUGAACUCUGCAAUAAAAUUCUCAAAUAAUUCAUUCCAAUUUCCUCCAUCGUUUGGUUUUUGACGUCUGCUUGGAGGAAACCUUCUGCCAUCCAAAGUUCGAUAAGCAUAUUCCUUUUUAUCUGACUAUCCUUAUGAAAUAUAGACCAAUGUGCAAAACAUUUCUUAAUGUUUCGAGAUGGCAAAUUAUCAAAACUCAACUUAAGUAUUUGCAUCACACCAUCCUCACCUGCACUCAAACUCGAAAGCCUAUUCUCCAAAAUUGAUCGCCACUCCUCUUUUCUCUUUAAAGAUAACAGACCUCCAAUUACACUUGCAGCCAACGGUAGACCAUCACAUCUUUUGAUUACUCUCUCUUUAAUUGCUUUUAGUUCAUCAGGUUCUUCUUCCCCUCCAACUACUUUUUCUUUUAUGAUAGACCAACAAUGAUCAUCAGGUAGUCUUCCUAAGGCAUAGACUAAUUCAGUUUCCAUCAUCAAAACUCUAGACACACUAUGUGCCACUGGACCUAAACGAGUAGUGACCAGACACCAACUUCCAUUAAUUGGAUUGAGCCCCUUCAAGAUGGUGAAAAAGUCAUUCCACAAUACCUGAUUAUCAUCCCACACAUCAUCAAGGACUAGGAAAUAUCUUUUUCCCCCUAGGUGAUUCCCAAUUUUUCCAACGAUGAGAUUCCUAUCAUCUACUUCAACCUUUUCUUCCGUCAAUUGCACUAAUAUGAGUUUGAAAAGCUCCUCUAUUUGAACUUGUCUUGAUACACAAACCCAAAUUUUUUUGUUAAAGUGUUCAUCAAUUUGCUUGUUGUUGUAUAUGGAUUUAGCCAAAGUUGUUUUGCCUAAACCUCCCAUACCAGUUAUGGGAAGAACAGAAACAACCUUCUCAGACAGGCUCAACAAAAUCUUCACUAUCUCUGAUUCAUCAUCGGCUCUUCCAACCAUUGGAGCAACAACAGAGUCGGUCUGCCGACUUCUCGUGUCUCCAACAGCAGGAGCAGCAGGGAGGGCAGUUGUCAUGACUGCCCUACUGACCAGUCCCAAUCCAUGGGCAUCUUGAUAGAUGCCAUUCAACUUAAGUUUGAUGUCCCUGACCUUAGAAGCCAUUCUCCAACGAAAAGCAAGAUUAAUAUUAGAGCAGGAGAAGAAGCAGCAUACCUUGAGCUUGUGUCGGUUUCGGGACUCCACCUGGUGACGAAGAGAUUCAUAGUGGAGCUCAUCCAACACAUUGUCAGCAUCAUAAGCAACCUCCUCGAGACUAUUCAACCAUCGUUGCACUCCGCUGCUUUGGUUUUGCCUUUCCUCAGCAUCAGCCAGGACAUCUUUGAUAAAGCGGAGAGAACGUGUCAUGCCGGCCACAUCCUUCUUGAACCCAACUAGCAAACCAAUCCUAGUAGAGGCAAGAGACAGUGCCCUUUCCAAGGUGACCUGAAUUGUGGAGCUGAUAAGAGCGUCAGCCAUUUUUUUUUUUUUAAUAAAUGACUUGGAUUCAGUCUUGAGAUCAAGAUGGUUUUUUAAAAUGGGAGGUUUUAGCAGCCAGAAAUUGGUAAUGUUACAAGUGGUUAAAAGGAGAAGAGCAUUGAUAUUUGGUCCGCUUAACAAUGCAGAGUUAUUCUUAACUUGGAUGCCUUCGUUCGCAAAGGAAAUAUAUAUUCCGUGCAUGGCAUCUUCACUUUAAGUUUCUUGGAUGCUUUGAAAUGCUGAGUUAUUCUUAACUUGGAUGCCUUCGUUCGCAAAGGAAAUAUAUAUUCCUUGCUUGGCAUCUUCACUUUAAAUUUCUUGGAUGCUUUGAAAUGGAAAUUCCUGGAUGGGAUUUUCACUUUAACUUUCUUGCUGGGACGGGGCCUUCAUCUUUAUUCGUUAAUCCUUGAAAGAUGAACUAAUUAGAACAUAAUUUCGUUACACCUUAUCCUGUUAGCUUCCACACUAACUCUGUUGGAUUUUGCUUCUUAGCUAGAGACAUAAUUUGUGUCUCAAUACAAAAAUCAAUUAGGCUUCUAAUUAUUUUGUAAUUCAGAAUCUGAUAUCGUUGAGCAUUGAGCCUUUUCAACUUUGCAUAAUUCCUUGCUUGUGUUAAUACCUGUGGCUGUGGUGGAUGAACUUUGGCAAAGAAUAACUUGAAAUGUGGAUUUGCUUCAAACUUAUAUUCUGAAAUGAAGUUCGGCAAUUAAUAGAGGCCUAAACAAUUAUUCAGCCUUACUACUUUACAAAAUUUAUCUAAAAAAUUCAACCACAGUGUGAUGGUGAUUUAUAGAUUGAUUAUCACAUAAACAAACCAACUCAUGCUUGUAAUGCAUAUAAAUGAUAUUUAACCAAAACAUUUGAAUUGAAGAUAAAGAAAAAAAUUUUUGAACUUCAUUAGAAUCGGGAGGUAACAUUUAUGUCCUCCUCCAUCUUAUACUUAUUUUCAAGUGACUUAAUAAAUUUUAACUUUUAUUUGGAAAAAAAAUUUAAGGAGUACAAUUACCCUAAUCAGUGAGAAAUUUCAAGUGGCAUGGCAUAGAUGUUAAAAAUAAAUUUCAACCUGUUGAUCUUGAUCCCUAUCUUUUGAUGUUUACAAAACAAAUGGAUGAUACUAAUAUUUCUUCAAGAUAUACUUUCAGUUUUGAAGUUGUUUGAUUCCAUGAACAAGUGCAAUUGAAAGGCAAAGUUUGCUGAAGCUGUCGGACGUUCAAGAAGUCAGGAUCGGACGUCCGAAAGGAUGAAGAACAUCAAGAAGGAAACUCUGUCGGACGCUCGUGAGGAAGCAUCGGACGUCCGGAAGUAUCGGACGCACGCCUCGGACGCACAUCGAUCGCAUCGGACGUCCGAGAAAUUUCGCAAAGAUUUGAUGACUCUCUGACGACGCUCGGACGCAGGGUUCGGACGUCCGACAGGUGGUUUGGACGCAGGGUUCGGACGUCCGACAGGUGGUUCGGACGUCCGACAGGCCAACGGCUAGUUUUGACAGCAUUUAAUAUUUGACCGUUGGAGAGCCUUUUGGAGCCAUUUCUCACCUUCUAUAAACACCCCAAAGCACAAGAAGACAAUGGACUUUUGCCAACACAAAAUACAAGCUUACAAGUGAGAUUUUUGAGUAGAAAGAUUCUUUGUUGGUUGUAUAAGGGGUUGGGGAAGUUGGGUUGUGAGGUUGCUCAAGUGAAGGUUACUCUCUAGGAGGAGUAAAACCUUGGUGAAGGUGAACCUAUCACUUGAAGUGGUAAAACCUUGGUGAAGGUUGCCUCAUUUGUAUAAAAUAGUUCUUAAUUGGGUGAGUGAUCUUUCAAGUGUAGGUUGUUGAGGGUUAACUAGAAUAGUUGUAAAACUCCUUGGCUCAACCAAAGAGUGUUUGGGGUGAGGAAGGAGUGAGCCUUCACUUGUACAUCUUGGUUAGCAUCGCCAUCUAUUGAAGAGGCUAUUGGAUUGAUAUUUGGUUUGCAUUUCUUAUCUUUUCUCUUUAAUUAAGUUUUCUUUAUUGUGCUUAAAUUUGAUAUAUCUUUGUGCAUCAUUGUGAAAUUGUUUGUACUCAUUGGGUUGUACCAGGCCUUACACAACCAAGAUAAGUAAGUGCUCUGUACAACAAAUCCUUCAGAAAUAAAUAUUUACUGUACUCUCAACUUGGGCAUACCUGCAACUUGCCACCCUGCGCAAGCAUGGUGAACAUCUCCUAGUUUAAUAAGAUCAGAUUAGAAAGAUUGUUUUGUGGAACUACACAAAAUAAUACGAUACAUAAUUAUAUCUCUCACAAUCAUUUGUUUAGGAAGAUUGUAAUCAUGUAGGACUCAAACAGAAGCAUUAGAAAAAUUAGAUUAGAUGACCAGUAUGAGGAAGGGUAUUUUAAGCAUUGCAAAAAAAAAAAAGGAAGAAAUACCAUUAUAUAUAGCUCCAGUCCUUAAAGUUUUGACAAAAACAAAUUUAGUCCUCAAUGUGCAGCACAUGCACAAUUGUAGUCCCUAAAGUUUUUAUAAGAACAACUCUGGUCUCUAAUGUAUCCAAUAUAAAUUAGAUUUAGCAUAAAUGAAUAUUUUUACAUUACUGACAAAAUUUAAAUAUAACAAUAAAGAAAAAAUAGUGGCUAACUUUAAACUACAAUAUUAAGGACUAAUGACUCACGUGCUAACUAAUUAAUUGGUUAAAAAUAUUGUCAAAGUACAAAACUCAAACUAGUCAGAGCAUUUAAUUCAUCAAUUUAGAACUCAUUUUCUUUAUCUAUCCCUACCGACCCUCAGGAAAAAAAAAGAAAAGAAAAGCCCCAACACUUGGUUUUUGUGCAUAAUUAAAUAAAUUUCCUUUUUUCCUAUUUUCUUGGUUAAUUAAUAACUCACGUGUCAUCACAUGAGUUGCUCUUGCUGUUUAAGGUUAUCCGUUGAUUUGCUUCUUUCUUACAAAAUUAAUUUAAAGUACACAUGCAUGACUGAACAUUAUUAGGUUCCAUUAGUAAUUAAAAAAUGUUAGUCAAUUGUCGUAAAUUUGCUUAAAUUCAGAAACUAUUUGGAACCAAAAUUAUUUUUGAUCAAAAUUUUUGCCAAAAAUUGAGGACCAUACUUUUUUUUUUUUUUUUGCUAAAACUUUAGAACUAAAACAGUACAAGUGCAAAACACUAAGGACAAAAACUACAUUUUUUUUUUUGAAAAAUUAAAAGAAACUUCGGAAAACUGGGAAAUGAAUAUCAGUAGUAGGAAGAGGUGAGAUUUAAGUAACUAAAGUUUUGAACCUAGAUGAACAUCCAAUUCCUAUCAUUUCAACCUUAACUAAUUGUCCAAGGCCUAUUCUGCGCAUAAGGGCUCAUCUCAUGAAGAAAAAGCCAAAUUAUUAAAUGCCAAAAAGAAAGAGGAGCCGUGCAAGACUGGUGUAGUUGUUUAUUUUUGGACACUUUUGAGUAGGGGUGUGCAAAGUCGAAAAAUUUCGAUUUCGAAUUGAAUUCGGAAGUUCGGUAAUUCGGAAGUGAAUUCGGUAAUUCCGAUUUCGAAUAUGUCGAAAUCGGAUCGAAUUCGAAAAUAAGAAUUUUGAAAUCGGAAUUACCGAAUUCGAAUUGGGAAUUCGAAAUAGGAAUUCGAAAUUGGAAAUUCGAUAUCGAAUUCGAAUUAAUAUAAUUAAUAUAUUAUAUUCGAAUUAUAUAUAUAUACAUAUAUAUUAUAUAACAUAAAAUAAGUUAAUAACUGAAAUUAAAAUUGAAACCCAAAAACCCUACUCUUUUCAGUUUUCACUUACUCACGCCAGUCACCUUGGCUCUUCCGCCGCCCUCUUCCUCAUCGCCUCUUCCUCCGACUCAGCUUACUCUCUCACUCUCUCAGUUUCACCUUCAUAUUUCUCCCCUUCUUCAAGCCCGACAGAGACAUAAAGUGUUGGCACACGUUCUUCUCUACGAGACUCCCUCGGCAUCUGGAUUCUGGAAGAUACCUCUGCACCGACUGCCGAGAGCGUUCUUCAUCGUGGUGAAGUGGUUGAAAUCUUGGCCAAACUCUUUCCAAAGUAUCUGAUUCCAACAAAGUAAGUUCACUUGCUCAAUCAUUCUGAUUCUAGUCCAAUUCACUGUAACAUUAUUCAUUAUUUUUAGGUAAAAGUAAAACCCAAAAAAGCGAAAGUGGUAAAUCAAAUUUAUGCUGUAGAAAAUUGAUGAGCCCACAAAUUAAUUUGGUGGCCGUUUGACUAAUGUUAAGUGAAAUGGUUUACACCUAAGAUUUUUUUUCACUAGUUCGAAUUAUUCUUUUGAAUAUGCAGAAAUUUAGCUCUUAAAAAAACUUAAAUAAGUUCUUGAAAGUAGGUAAUCUGGACACGAUACCUGAAAAGUGUGCCCAGAUAUGAUUUGGGAGUGUUGGGAGGUUAACUAAGGUAGCGGAGGUCCGAGGAGAAUUGAGACUUGGAAGGUAUAAGUGUCCUGUAGUGUAGUGUUGGUAAAAGUUGUAUUAUACAAGAAGUAUGGUCCAGAUAUGAUUGAAGCUUCAUUUCGACACCUUGCUGUUUCUUUAAGUUGUCAGCUGUGAAAAUCUUAUCAACAUACUUUUUGCACCAAGAAGCAAUUUGUCACACGGUGUGGUGUUGAUUAAUUUGCCAAGUUUUUUAUGCUUGUUGUAAUAUAAAUGCAAAGGCAAAAGUACAAACAUGACUGGGUGCAAAGGAUUCCUCUUUUUUUUUUCUUUUUUUUUGGGGGUUUUGUUUAUCCUGUUGACCAUGGCACAUCUUGUAUCUGGUAGUUAUGGUACCAUACACUUAUAAGAGGUGCUUGGCAAAAAGAAACGGGAGAGAGUGUGUUAGUUAAAAAAUGUAAAAACAUCCUCUAUGACUAUAAAUCCUUUAUAUAAAAUAACUUUUUUUCUUGAAAAGCAUUUAUCUGCAUUGAUUUCACUAUUUUGAUGAGGUUCAGCUGAAGAUAUUUUAGUUGUAUACUGAAUUUAUAAAUCGCAAAACUUUAUAUUUGCUGCUAUGUUUGGCUCCAUCUUCUUACUUUCUAUGCUAAAUUGGAAACAAGUUCUCCAGGAAACUGCAUUAUGUGAUUCAAACUCUCAAUAUUUCUUCAUUUUAUUGUCUAAUCUAUUGCAUAUAUUGGGAAACAUAUCUUCAUUUUAUUUCCAUUUUCUUUUGCAUAUCAGUAAACAUGUCCACUUUUGAGAUAGAAGGUUCAAGUGAUUCAACACCAUCUUCAAGUCCAGCUCCUAUUUCCGGCAGCUGUGAAGAAUCUGGCCUUGGUGUUAAGAAAAAGAGAGGCGAGUACAAGAAAAGGUCACCAGCUUGGGAUCAUUUUCAGCCUCACUAUGUCCAAGGUGUUCGUCAUGGCAUAUGUAAUUACUGUACGAAAAUGAUAGCUGCUGAUCCGAAGUCUAAUGGUACUAGUCCUCUCUUAUCCCAUGUUAAAUCAUGUGAAAUGAAUCCUACAAAUAAGUCUAAGGGGCAAGGUACAUUAUGCUUGGGUGAGGUUGGUGGUCUUGGGGGGGAUGUUAAGAGUGCACUUAUUAGUUGGAAGUAUGACGCUGAUGCAAUUAGAAAAAGCAUUGCUUAUAUGUUGAUUGUUUAUGAAUUGCCAUUCAAACAUGUAGAAGGUAAAGGAUUUCAGCAUGUCAUGAGAACUGCUUGUCCUUCUUUUCAAAUUCCUUCAAGGUGGACAAUUACUAGAGAUUGCUAUCAACUUUAUUUAGAUGAAAAAAUUAAGUUGAAGAAUAUGUUGAGGCGUAGAGCUGUUAGAGUUUGUCUUACCACUGAUUGUUGGACAUCUAUCCAGCGAAUAAAUUAUAUGUGUUUGACAGCUCACUUUAUUGACUGUGAUUGGCAAUUGAACAAAAUAAUUUUAAAUUUUUGUCCAAUUAGUAGUCAUAAAGGGACUGAAAUUGGGAAGAGUAUUGAGAAAUGCUUAUUAGAGUGGGGGAUUGAUGAUAUUUUCACAGUAACAGUUGACAAUGCUGCUUCAAAUGACACGGCUGUGCAAUAUUUGGUUGGAAAAUUGCAAAAUUGGGGUAAAUCUAUAUUAGGAGGAAAGUGGAUUCAUAUAAGAUGUGUAGCUCACAUAAUCAAUUUGAUUGUGAGUGAUGGCCUAAAAAAAUUUGGGGGGUCCGUUGAUUCUAUCCGAACAGCUGUGAGAUACAUUAGGCAAUCACCUUCUCGUUUGAAAAAAUUCAAGGAAUGUGCUGAAAUUGAAAAAAUUGACAGUAAAAGGUUACUAAGUUUAGAUGUGGCAACUAGGUGGAACUCAACCUACUUAAUGUUAGACAGUGCUCAUAGGUUUGAGAGGGCAUUUGAGAGGUUUGAGGAGCAAGAUCCAUAUAUGCUGCAUGAGCUAGAGCACUUGCCAACAAAAAGUGAUUGGGAAAAGGCAAGAUUCUUAACUUUAUUUUUGGAGAACUUUUAUGAUCUCACAGUAAAGGUUUCUGGUUCCAAAUAUGUGACAUCUAAUAAUCUUAUCAAUGAGCUUAGUCACAUUAAUGGCAUCCUAAAGGAAAUGGCAGAAAGUGCUAAUCCCGACUUGUGUGGAAUGGCAAAAAUAAUGAAAGAAAAGUAUGAUAAGUAUUGGGGAAGAUUGGAGAAAAUGAACAUGUUGAUUUUCAUUGCUUACAUGCUUGAUCCUAGGACAAAGUUUGAGUACUUUGAAUUCAUUGCUUGUAAAAUGUAUGGUGAUACCGAAGGUGCUGUUGUGGCUCAUGUAGCCAAGGAUGCAAUGUAUGAAUUGUUUAAUGAUUACAAGAGACUCAAUACUCCUGCUGGAUCUUCUCAAUCCUCUAUUUCUUCACUUUCUAGUGGAUCUGAAAAUAGCAUCUCUUCCUCUGAUGGAGAAGUCUCCAAAAAAAUAAAUGAUAGAUACAGAAUUGAGUUCAAGAAAAGAAAAGUUGAACUUGGAGGAAAGAAUGCUAAAUCUGAACUUGACAAAUAUUUGAGUGAGGAUUGUGAGGAUGAGGAUCCCGAGUUCGGUAUCUUGAAUUGGUGGAAAGGUAAUAGUCUUCGGUUGCCAAUACUUUCGCAAAUGGCUCGUGAUGUGUUGGCUGUCCCGGUCUCUACGGUUGCUUCCGAAUCUGCCUUUAGUACCGGAGGACGUGUUCUUGACCCAUUCAGAAGCUCUUUAACUCCAAGGAUUGUGCAAGCCUUGAUUUGUGCUCAAGACUGGUUUCGGGCAUCCGAAAAUGAGUUGAAUGUAGAAGAAAAAUUGGAGGAUCUUGAGGAAUUUGAAUCUGGUAAAUUAUCUUCGUUUUUAUUGACAAACUUGAAAUAUUUUUUCUAUUCAUAAAUGCAAUUAAGCUACUUCAUUAUUUUUUUCUUUCUUGAAUAAUAGGUUUGAUCAAAGGAGGUGCAGAAGCCACAAUUGUUGAUGUUUGAAUUCUCUAAUGGUGAUUCUGAUUUGGUGCUCAUAGAAAUUCAAGUUUGAAAUGUUGUCAAACUGAAAUGUUGUCUUAUUUGUUUGAAAGGCACUUUGGUUACAUUUGUAUAACAGUAUAAGUAUUCUCGUAUGAAAGACUGGAAUUGUUUGAUAAUAGUUGAUUUGUAUUAUUUACUGGAAUUGUUUUGUAUUUCAAAUUUGGACUGGAAUGGUUGUAUAAGUAUUCUCGUAUGAAGUGGUAGAGUUCUUGUGAUUUAUGGUAUUGAAUAGGCACUCUAGAAUGUGGAGUUGAAUGUGGAAUUGUUAUUCAGCUUCAUCCUUUCCUCUUGAAUUUGAGACAGCUGACCUGUGGAAUGUGGAAUCCAAGGGGACUGCAUUUACUUUGAACAGAUUUUCUGUUUUUGAUUUGUUAUUAUCCUUAUGACUGUUUCAUUGUGGGUCUUGAACGAAUUUCAUUUCAUUCCAAGUCACAAAAUUGAAACUUUAAUUAGAUUGAAGAACUUUUUUGGUAGAUGGUCUGUUGUUUCCUUGAUUUGUGGUUUAUAGUAUCUACAAAUGCUUUGAGUUGCUUUGUUCAAAGCAUAUCCUAAGCUUUAUUUGGCUUUUUGAUUGUUUGGCCUAUUUUUAAGUUGAUUAGUCGUGGAAUAUGUGCUGAAGGUGUUCUAUGACUUUAUUCUGGUUAACAACCUGUUUUGGUUUGGAGGAGGAACGGCUUUCAAAUCUCCUAUUAAAUAGAGGCGAAAUUAAGUUUCUUGCAAGAAAGGAGAGGGCAAAAAAAAAUAAUAAUAAUAAUAAUAAUUCGGUGAAUUCGGAAUUUACCGAAUUCCGAAUUCAAUUCGGUAUCGAAUUCGAAUUCGGAAUUCGCCAUUACGAAAUCGAAUUCGUUCGGUGAAAUUGAAGCCAAAUUUUUGAAAAAUUCCGAAUUCAAACUUCCGAAUUACCGAAUUCGAAUUCGAUGCACACCCCUACUUUUGAGGUUUUUUGCCGUGCAAAUAAUUACCCAAGUCCCUUAAUAAUUUUGUACUUUCUUUUCAAUCAUGUGCACCGAGCGUGCCAGUAGACACCCAAAAUUCCUGCCUAAAGGUAAAUGCCACCCACAUAGGUAUCAUUUCUGGGCAUUAAUGUGAUUUCUUUCAGUUUUUGGACUAAUCUUUGUGUUAAACAUUUUAUACAGUCAUCCUUAGUGAGCAAAGUGUGUAUAUCUUAAGCUCAAAAGCAUAAAGUGUUGCAUCUCAAUCCCAAGUUCAAGAGUGUAAAAUGUAGUUAGCCCUUAAAUUCAGUCAUCAUUCUCUUAGAAUCUUCUUGGUCAGCUUCUCAAAGCAUAAAGAAGCAGGGCCAAGAAUCAGAACAAAGAACACACGAGAUUUUUCUUUGCUAAAAUAUUUGAGAAGGUUGGGCCGUAGCUCAUAAAUCCUCAAUCAGAUAUGCUACAACUGCUUUCAAUUGAAGAUCAGAGGAGAAGUUUUACUUGUUCUUACGCCUAACUUCAGCAUUAAUACAGAUCUAGAGUCAUCACUAGAAGUAAGAAAUUCAAAGAAAUAUAACAAAACAUAUUAAUCCGAUAUUUACUACGGGCACUCGUUGACAUACUUAAAUUAAGAACAACUUAUUAUGUUAAUACACACAAUCACAAUUAAUGUACUCCUUGUAUUAUAUGCUUUUUCGUAUUAACUACAUUUUUUUAAAAGACUAACGCAGAAAACAACUCUAAAUGAGUGUCAAAUUGGGCACCCAUUAGCCAAAGUAGGUUAUGCCAAUUAAGUUAUACCAAAAUGCGAGCAACUUCAAGCCUUCAGUUAAUAAUGGGUGAAUGUGGAAAGGCUUCAUCAAACAUGAUUUUUUUUUUUUGAUAACAAGACAAUUUCAUUUUAAUAUUUGUACUAAUGGCAGCAAAUACAUCAAACAUGGCACAGAUUUAUAUAGAUCUGAAAAUCAAAUAAUAUAACAGAUUUAAAAAUAUAUAAAUUUGACCUUAACGUUGAAAUUCCAAGAAUAUCUUCCAUCAAAUAAAUGUCAGUACAAUUCAACGAAUCUAUAUCCAUGUCUUUCGAUAGCUGAAUAGUCAGAUCUGAUAAAAACUACUUCAAGUCUAAAGAAAAAUUUAGAUCUGACUUCUAGAUUUAAUUAGAGGAGAUUUGGAGAGAAGGAAGAGAAAAAUGAGUUCUAGAGUGAAAAGGAAAAGAGCUUUUGUAAUAUCCGCAUGAAUUAGUACCAUUCAAACCCAAAAUCUUAUGACCCAAAAUGAUGGCGUCUUCAAAAUUUUAGAAAUGGAUGGAGUGCUUGAUCUACUUCUUCAUUUGUGCAUAUAUGAUAUUUCUGCCCAUGGCGCCAGCCUAUAUAUGUCAAGUAAUUCCGUGCGGUGGCUGCUUGCGGUGCACAGGAGCGGUUAUCUGGAGAAGAUGAUAUGAGAAAAGAUGAUCAUACCCUGUGAUUUGGUGUUUUACUACAUAACCCUUCUAUAGUUUAAUAAUUUAUAUAUAAUCCCUUCAUAAUUUGGAUUAAAGUUUUGCCAUUAUUUUUUUCCGUUAAAACUAACAGUCAAUAGCAAAAAUCAAGGUCAAACUAAUAAAUAGACAAAUUCACCUUUUCACUACAUUUUUUUCCUUUCUUUCUUUUUCUCUUUUCUUUUCUUUCUUUCGCUCUCUUUUUUUUUGGAAGAGAAGAGAUGAUUUAAAAUCUGUACUUUGGCCUAUAAAAUCUUAAUUUUCUCCGGAUGCAAAAAAAAGAAGGGAAAUGAAAAAUAAAUAAAUAAGAAAUAGAAAAGAUGGAAGGAAAGUGAAAAAAUUAAAUUAAUAAGAAACCAAAAAUGGAAGGGAAAUAUAAAUCAAAUAAAUAAGAAACAAAAGAUACCAAAUCUUUAUUGAAUGCAAAUACCAUUAUAGGCUUUUAGACCAAAUCUUUUAUGGUAUUUUCUAUUUAUUAUUUAUCUAUUUUUACUUAAAUUUAUUUGGAGGAAAAAAAGGAAAGUAGUGAAAGAGUAAUUUUGUCAAUGUAUUAUUUUGAUUUUGAUUAUUUUACUACUGAUAGCUAGUUUAAUAGAAAAACUAACGGUGACGCGUUAAGUCAAAUCAUGAGAAUGUUAUAUAUAGGUAUAUUAAGUCAAGCCAUGAGGGCAAAAGGUAAUUUAUCCUAAUUAGUAUUUUGUUUGCUUAAAAUCUUUGAGAAUUUGGUCAAAGCCAAGAGACCACAAAGUGAUCAUUUCCAUACUAAGAAUAUGUGUACUGGAUGUCCACCUCAAUACUCAGACUCGGUCAUACAUCAUGUAAUUGGCCACGAAUUGGAUUCUUUUCUUUGCAUUUUAACAUGUGAAAAUUGUUCAAAUAUUCUCUCAUACUUUAGGAAGUCUUCUAAAGCAUCAAUGAUACUUGAAAGAAGGAAUUUAACAACUCAUACCUUAGAACGUACUCUUCUAUUAGCCUCCUACCCCAUUUAUAAUUAGUUUUCGCACUCAAUAUGUCUUGGUUAUGUUUCAUGUGCAAGAUUAAGUGUUGAAAAAAGUUUGAAGAGUUUGUUUAACCAAAGUACAAUGUGCUUUUCCCAGGGAAGUUGCAUGGCCUGUUACUGCAAAAUAAUUUCCCAGGUCAAUGCUGGGAUUCCCAUUUUUAUUUUAUUUUUUUGAAGUGGCUUGUUUGUGUUGUCAUCCUGCACUUGGUUUUGUGAAUUGGAUUUUCACUCUUGGCUAGCUUGUUCAAACUUCCAAGUUUCUUAAACACAAGUACCUCCCGGAAUAGAGAAAAUACCAAAUUGAGGGCCGACUUCUACUUUGUGUAUUAUCAGCUAUCAGGUUUGGUUAGGCAGAGCCAAAGAAGAAGGAAGAUUUACAGCAACUAGUAGGCAUUGUUCUGAAGUCGCGGAUUAAAAUGCAUACACAGAGUCAUGCCAGUAAAGAGAGAGCAUUGGCAAUCAAAUAUCAGAGGGUAAAUUACACACAAUCCCCUUGUAGUUUUGAAUAAUACCACAUUUCAAAAUAGUCAUGCAAAGCAAUAAGACGUUCAAUUCCACUAUAUAUAUGGCUAUAAGUGAUGUCCUGAAUCGAAAAAUGAUGGAGGAAACUGGACUGCGACGUGGAUUGAUGAGAAUCAAAUGCGUGAUAAUUGUUGAUUUCUUGCAAAAUCUUGUACAUUUGGUUACUUGAAACAGGACAUUGAUAAACAUCAAAUGAAAACGCGAAUCCAACAAACAAGGCUUGAUAAGCUGUGAUUAAAAAUGCCAUAUCAACUAGAGUUUACUGGCCCCCGCAUAAAUGGUCUAGCGGUAGCGCCUCUCACAGGUGACCCUUAAGGUCCCGAGUUCGAGUCUCCGCUCCGCUGGAUUCCUCCGCGCACUUAUCGCGUUCGGGUCGGGUUUGAUUCCUUUAUAUUGGGUCAUGGUUAUUUAAGGAGCAUGUAUGAUAGUUGUGUUUACUCCCGGAAGUUAAAUGAUGGUUCUUUCAUUUACUUAUUGUUAUAUGUUGAUGACAUGCUCAUUGCUGCCAAGAAUUUAUCAGAAAUUCACACUUUGAAACUUCAGUUAAAUAGUAAAUUUGAAAUGAAAGAUUUGGGAGUAGCUAAAAAAAUUCUUGGUAUGGAUAUUAAGCGAGAUCGAGGAGUAGGGAAAUUGUUCUUGACCCAGAAAAAUUAUCUUGAAAAAGUCUUGGAGCGUUUUGGCAUGAAAGAUGCUAAACCAGUAUCUACUCCUCUUGCUAGCCAUUUUCGACUAUCUGCUGCUCAAUCACCAAAAUCAGAUGAAGAGGAAGAUUAUAUGGCACGGGUUCCUUAUUCCAGUGUAGUCGGCAGUAUUAUGUAUGCAAUGGUUUGUACUCGUCCAGAUAUUGCACAAGCAGUCAGUGUUGUUAGCAGAUAUAUGUCUUGUCCCGGAAAAACACAUUGGCAGGCUGUGAAGUGGAUUCUCAGAUACUUGCGAGGUACUUCAAAUGCAUGUUUGGAGUUUGGAAGAAAUAAUAACACUUUGGUUGGUUUUGUAGACUCAGACUACGCUGGGGAUCUUGACAGGAGAAGAUCACUUUCAGGCUAUGUAUUUUGCAUUGGCGGUUGUGCUGUUAGUUGGAAAGCUACUCUACAACCUGUCGUAGCUUUGUCUACUACAGAAGCAGCAUAUAUGGCUGUGACCGAGGCAGUCAAAGAAGCCUUGUGGUUGAAGAGUUUAUUUAGCGAGCUUAGUCUACAUCAAGGUGUUACUGUUAUUCACUGUGAUAGUCAAAGUGCCAUACACUUGACUAAAGAUCAGAUGUAUCAUGAGAGGACGAAGCAUAUUGAUGUGAAAUAUCACUUCAUUCGGGAUAUCAUUGCUGAAGAAAGGUCCUUGUUCGGAAAAUCAAUACUAAGGACAAUCCUGCCGAUAUGUUUACGAAACCUCUUCCAGUUUACAAGUUCAAGCAGUGCUUGGACUUGGUUGGUGUUCGUUGUUUGUGAUUUAAGUCCAUUGGGGCUUAUGUGGAGAAGGUGGAGCAGUUUUUUGGUGGGACUUAAAAUUAUGCCAAGGUGGAGAUUUGUUGAGCCGCAAUUGUUGACGCCCACAAUGGUGGAAUUUGGUGGCAAAAUUUCCUCAUCCCACAUCGCCUAAAGUAGAAGGAAAGCCUCCCAAAUACAACUAUAAAUAGGGGGCUCAUAUGAAGGAAUUGAUUGCACCACUCAAGAGAGUUAUAUGGACUAUUAGCUUCUUGAGUCAUCUAGCCCAUUUAGUCAAAUAUUUUAGACUCUCUUGUAUUGUGUUUAGGAAUAUUUCCUAAACCUUUUAUAAGUGCCUUUUGGCCUAGGAACCACUUUCUUACGGCUUUUGUAUUUCUUCUUCAAAGUCGAAAUAUUGCUCCUUCUCUGCCCGUGGACGUAGGUCAAUUUGACCGAACCACGUAAAUCUUCUGUGUCUUUUAUUUGCUUUAUUAUUUGUCUUUAUUGGGUUGCCACAACUCUUUUAUAUGGCCGGUUUUACCGCCUAAUUAUUAUAUGGCUGGUGUCUACCGCCUAAUCUUUAUAUGGUCGGUUAUACCGCCUAAUUUGUGCUAACUUUAGUUUGUUUAUUCCUGGGCCAGUCCUAACAAUAAUUUCUUCUUGUUAAUUUGCAACCUAACCUUUUAACUUUUUGACUAUCUUUCCAUUUCAAAAAAAUUAGAGAUCCUUGAUAUUCGUAGUUGUCUUGACCUAUUCAAUUUCCUUCCUCCAUUUUAUAAUUAGUUUGCAUGCAUUUUAAUGGUGAUUUAUCCACAAUUUGUAUAGAAUACACCAAGGGCUGUCAAUCCGUCUUUGAGCUUGGGGUUGCUUGAUUAAUUUUAAAAAAAAAUCUUAGGUCGAAUGAACUUUAGCAAAGAAUAAUUUGAAGUAUGCAUUUGCAACCCCGUUAAAAAUUUACCUUAAUAACUUUUGCAAGGUCAUUGGAAACACACUUUGAAGGUACUUGACAUUACCCUAUUUUUAAAUAAAAUCAUUAGACAUUAGACAAUAUAGAGGCAAGAAUUAUUAAAGAUAGAUAUUUAAGAGCUACUUUGAAAACAUCAAAAAUACACUUUGAAGGUACUUGAGGAAAACCUUUUUUUUUAAAAAAAAAUAAAUCAUUAGCAUUAGAAAAUUAAGAUGCAAGAAUUAUUAAAAAUAGAAAUAUUAAAAAAUCUACCUCAUGUUUGUUUUAGGAUAAAUUUUGUGCACACAGACAGUGUAUAUAUAAGCGGGACUAAAUGCAUGCUACCUUUAUUGUGGAAGCAAUAAGUACAUCAACCAUUCUUUUUGUUCCUUGGAUACGUUUUGUAGUGGAAGACGUUGCUACUUGGAUCUGAGCCUCACAAUUUAUGUUUCGUAUGAUUUCGUACAAGUUGAUCUUUGAUGUAAAUUAGUCAAAUUUCGGUAUGAGUCAGGUCCAAUUUAAUAUAAAUCAGGUGCAGUUUAGUGUAUAUUAAUUUGAUGUUAUUUGGUGUAAAUUAGAUACAUUUGGAUAUAAGUUGAUUAUUAUCAUUUAGCAUAAGUUAAGGUCAAUUUAAUGUAAAUUGAGAGUAAAUUGUUAAAUUUUACACCAAUUUAUGCAUAAUGCAACUUGUGAGGCCCUAUUUCCUGCUUAGAAUUUUCACUUGAAGUCUUCAAUACUUGUCGUUGCUCGGCCUUUGAUGAGCGCGGGGUAUACAAAUAACAUUUAAUUUAUCCACAGUCAAGUUUUAUAUUUAUUAUAUUCUAAAUGCCCCGCACGUAAUUUUUCUGCAAGUAUACAGGUUGUGAGCAAGUACAGGGUAUUAAGGGCCGAACCCACAAGGAAAAUUUUUAAUUACCAUUGAUUUUCGAACUCCUUUAGUAUUUAGACUGUCAUAAGUGCAAGAAAUUGAAUCUACACUAUAAACAUGAAAUAAAAGUAAUAAAAAUACAUUAGAAAGCUUCUAGAGGAAUGGAAUUCCUUUCUACUCUUACAAAUGAAAUUACCAGUUAAGUGAAUGCUAUUAUCUUGGCUAGUUAUGGUGUAAUUUCUUAAUGUAUGUGAAACCUACUCUCUUAGUGAAUCAACUAUACUUGUAGAUAAGUCAUACAUACUUUCGUGGUUAUGAAAUCAACUACAAGGUCAUUUCUUCUACGAAAUUACAUGAACAAAACACUAAAGCCACAAAGGUGCACCUCUAUUCUCGUAAGUGUACUCCCUAGAUUUAUCACUAUAGCUUUCUUGAAUUAGUGUUAAAUUUCAAUUCUUAUUGCAAACUUAACACCUUAAAAUUUCACAAUUAAUGGCUAGUUAAUCAUGAUUAGAUAAGCAAAAGUAAUAAAUAACUUGCUCAAUAUAACAUCAUCAAAUAACCAAUUAAAUAUCACAAGUAAAAUAUAGAAAGUUCAUCCAUAACUCUAGGCAUAAACUUUAGAAACACAUAUAAAAACACAAAUCCAAACUUGUAUUAUAGAUAAACAUGAACUCAAAUACAAAAGAGAAUUCACUCUUGUCACAUGAGUUCCAACUCCCCAUUUUUGCUCCUCCAAUUUUCAUUUAAGUCUAACUACAAAUACAAGAAGGAAAAGCUAUACUAACUAUACUAUACUACUCUAACUAAUGAACUACGGAAAUUCUAGUGAAGACUACAUUUUUGUGGAGUUUCUCUAGCCUUCCAAAAUUAUGAAAAUGUUCCCCAAAGACUGCUGUUUAUAGAGAAUUCAAGCUCAAGGUGAGUUGUUUCUUGGUUGAUAAAGUUGGCUUUUGAACUCAACAAGAGUUAUUCUCCAAGUUUCCACACUCUUCUUGGUCAGAUAGAGCCAAAAUUCUGAGUUGUAGAUGAGUUGGAAAGGUUGUGUGAAUGCAAAACAAGUUGCAGAGCAAGUUGUAGCAGAAAAACUAGAAUACGUGACCUCAAAUACAUGAUCUUAGGUCGCGUAUUUCACCUCACAUUUUCUCCAUUACAGGUUUGCACUUUCUGGGCAAAAUUCAUCCUCACUCUAUUUUUGUACCAACUUCAACUGACAAUUUCUUGAUGAUGGAGGCUGAACUAGUUCUUGUGAAAAAUAUGAAAGUUGUAGCCCUUUGAGUUAGCUUUCCAAUGCAUCAAUAAUCAUCCAAUUUUCAGCUUUGUGGACUCAGAAAUGGACAAAAUACCCUCAACUGGUCAAUCCCCUGUUUCAACUUUCGACAAUGAAAUUUUGCUUCUGUAUUUCAACUUUUUGACAAUGAAAACGACUAAACUGGACUUCAAUGUCUUCAUAACAAAUGUAGGUCUAUCUUGUAGUUUCAAAAUGAUUCAAUAAUCAUCUCAAUCCAAUGAUUAUAGCUCAGGAUAUUGCCAAAAUACGAACAAAUGUCAAUGCUGUCAAACUUGCAUUUCUUCCAUUGAACAUUUUACACUUCAUGUUUUCUUUAAAUCACUUCAAAUCAUCAAUAAUCAUCCAAAUAUCUUCUCAAUAAAAACAUGAAAUUUUCAACAUUUAAACAUGUAGAAAUGCAAUUUUCACAAUUUAAACCAUAAAAUUCACAUUGUCACUAUUCAUUAGCUAUAAAAAUGACUAAACCAUACCAAGACCAAUUAAUAAAACACACUUAAAACACACAAAAUAUGCACUCAUCAGCCUUCAUUUGCUUUUGAUCCACAUGCGGGGAGCCUUGGGUUGCAUAAAAUAUGACAAUCAAGGAUUUAAAAUGCGACAAAAAUGGAAAAAAGAAAGGGAAAAUGGCAAUCAUAAAUUAGUACUAUUCAACUAAUGCCAAAUAUAAAAUUCUCUUAUAACCCAAAAUGUUUUAAAGGGUGACUUAGUAAUCUUAUUAUUAUUUCAUUUAAAAAGUUUGACUAUCUUCCUUUGACUGUUAAAUUUGAUGGAAAAUUUAAUACUUUCACUUUCGCAAUUUCCAUAAGGAGGGAAAAUGUAGGUUUCUAAUCCACAGGGAGUUAAUGUAAACAUUUGCUUAAUCACAAGGAGCUAUUUUAUAUUUAACCCUUUUUUUAAUCUAAUUUGUUAAUUCUUACGACAUAAGGAUAGAAUUGACUUCAUGUAAAUUAAUAGUUGCAUGACAAAUUUGGAUGCUAUUAAUUCCACAGAAGAUGCUUGGCAAUUUCACUGCGGUCUUUCGUAAUCGAUCCAAAGGCUUCUUACACAUUUGACAAAUUAGAGGGGGCCAAACCUGACCACUGUUGAAGUAAAAAAAACACACGAACGAAAUCAACCACACGAGGGAGCCCCACAUUUGUGAGACUGUGCGUGAGUAUGGGCCUUUGGUUUAACAUCUUGACGUGUUUGCAUUGUUUUACCUUGCUUUGAGAGCUGCUUCCUCGUUUUCUUUGAUAUCACUUGGGUAAACUGCUCGUGAAUUAGAGUCUGGUCGUGAUAUUCGUCUUUAUCACGUUGUGAAUCAUCCUUUCCCUCUCCAUUUUGGUUAUCAUUUGUACCUGAAUGAAGAAAAGGUUUUAGAUGAACGAGAGGAAUCUUCCCAUGUAAUUUCUCCCAUUGAAACUCUUCGAACACAUCUUUAAACUGUGGCACAUUUUCAAACCGGGACUUUUCCGUUUCUGUUCUUGUAAUUGUACCCACAAGGGGUGUGGCUCCAACUAAUACCACAUUAUGUGGAUCAUGACUUUUGGCUACCUUCCCAAGUGCAUCGUUUCCCACCUUAGAUGUAAUUUGCUUACGUUCCAUCGCCUUCUCUGUCGAUGCAGCCACUGUGAAGGUUCCAUUAGCUGGUGAAUGGCCAUCCUCAGCCUCCGACUCAGUGAAUUCCCCCUCAUCAAGUUGGUUCGUAGCUUGGGGCUGUACCGACCGCAUCUCUUCUGUUUCCCGAACCACCUGAUCAGCCAACUUAUGAAUGAUUUCACCUGCGGUAGAAACAAUGGUCUCCUCUACUAACGCAGCGACAGCCAACCCAGGCUGCUGGGGUUGGGUCAAGACGACAGUCCCUGCCGAUGGAUGCUCAACCCGCAACUCGCCCUCUUCCAGCGCGCUUUCCAGAGCUUCCUCUAAGGCAUUGCCCCCAGGUCGCUGCACCUCCGGAGUCAGAGUAGGAGCCCCAGGCCUCUCCGUGGGAGUCACCGCAUCUCCCAAAGUUAUCUUGUCCAACUCCUCAUUGCCGUUUGUCUCCUCGAUAGCUGCUGUCGUACCCUCGCCAACCGCAUCUGGUUGCUGAAGGAGACGCUGUGGACCUGCUGUCACCGCCAUCCUUCCCAUUUCUGAAAUCACCCGUGGAACAUAUCUCCGCCGCUGCUGCUGGCCAUUAGCCACUGGCCGCAGAGAUGGGUCCUUCCGAAAGCACGAACCAACCCCGUGGCCAAACAUACUACAAUAGGAGCAGUACUCAGGCAAUCCCUCCAACUCCACCGGCUGCCAAAACCCAUAGUUAUCGUCACCUAUCCAGACCCGCUGCACUGGCGGCGCCGAGAUGCAGAGCUCCACCAGUACCCGCGCUACCGAGGGGCGCCUAAGGUCACUGGUAGCAGCGUCUACUCGCAACGGCCUCCCCAAUGUUGCAGCAAGCCGCAGCAGUUGUUGUUUUUGAAAAAAGGGUAGGGGCAACUCAGGAAAGGCCACCCACACCGGAGCAAUUGCCAACUCCUGAUUUGCUUUGAACUCCAAAGACCAUUUGGAUAUUGACAUCGGAGAACUGCGUACGUACCACACCCUCCUUGCGAAAAGCCUGGUGUAAUCUUCCUCCAACGCCGGCCGAAGCAGCACAUGUUUUUGAUCCAGCAAUCCCACCGCACACUCCCCUUUAAGGCCUAGAGAUGUGAUGAACUUUCUGAUGAGUUCCAUUGAAGGCCUGGUGAACGCAAACCUCCCAACAAGAGCAUUCUGGAAAGGUUCGGCAAGCUUGGCGAUGUCCUGUUUGGAGAGGCGGAGAGCAGGUUCUCCCCUGAAGGUGGAGACCUCCCCCAACGCACCUGAGGCUGCAACCGCAGCCCUACCUGAGACAACCGCCGCAAACGACCUGCCCUGCGGCGGCCCUCCCUCUGGAGACGACUCCGACGACCCGUUGGCCGCCAUGCACUAGUUAGGAUAAACCCUAGCUGCCUGCUGAGAUCCGAGAUUUCCGCUCAUUCUUGUUAAUUGCUCUUUUCACCCAUUGGCUAGAAGAUCCCCUUUUUGCUAGUUUAGUAACUUUUAUGGCCACUAAAGAAUUUUAAUUCUCAAAGGCUUCUUGAAAUAGUGGAAUGACCCAAGAGGGGAAAUGACAAUCAUAGUUGGUGACAUUGGCAACAUCAAUCAUGCCAUCUGUUAAUCCAGACAUAAAUUAUAAAAAAAUGAUUUGGUCUUACUAACUAUCCUCGAGAAUUAGACUGACAGCGUAAUUAUUAGGGCAAUUUACAUCUCUUAUGGUUUGCUGUUUUACCGCAUAACCAUUUUGUAGUUUAAAAACCUAUAAUUAGUUUUGACACUCUUCUAUUAGCCUCCUAUCCCAUUUAUAAUUAGUUUCCACACUCAAUAUGUCUUGGUUAUGUUUUAUGUACAAGAUUUAAGUGUUGAAAAAUUUGAAGAGUUUGUUUAACUAAAGUAUAAUAUGCUUAUCCCAGGGAAGUUACUUGUCUUUUCACUGGAAAAAAUUUCCCAGGUUCAUGCUCGGAUUCUUCUUCUUCUUCUUCUUCCUUCUUCUUCCUUCUUCUUCUUCUUUUUCUUUUAAUCGCUUGUUUGUGUUGUCAUCUCCAUUACUUAAAACAUAUAUUAUUUGUUUUGAAGGGACCAAAAUCCUGCCCUUGGUUUUGUGAAAAAGAGACCUCCUCCACAGUUUUCCGUGUGCAUUGGAUUUUGACUCUUGGCUAGCUUGUUCAAACUUCCAAGUUUCUUAAACACAAGUACCUCCAAGAAUAGAGAAAAUACCAAAUUGAGGGUCGACUUCUACUUUGUAUAUUAUCGGGCAAAUUACAUUUUAUCUCUCUGUGAUUUAGCAUUUUUUUACAUAACCGUCCUAUGAUUUCAAAAGCUAUACAUAACCCCCUCAUGGUUUGGAUUAAAGUGUCAAAGUGAAGGAAAUAGUCACUCGUAAUGGAACUUCUAAAAAUAUCGAAAUUACCCUUAUAAAUACAUGACACAUUAAUCCCGUAUGAUUUUUACAUUUUACCAUAUAACCCCCUUAUGGUUUAAUAUUUUAUCAUAUAACCCCCUUAUGAUUUUCAAAAUAUGCACAUAACGCCCCUUGGUUAAUAAAUAAUUUUUAACUUUACAUAAGGGUAUUUUUGACAUUUUAGGUGAUUGAACAGUACAUCUUCCUUGGCUACCUCAAAAAUAUCUUCAGGAUGACUAGAUUUCUUUUGUUUUGUGCAUAAUAUAUUAGAUAUCAAAGUGGUUAAAAGUCACAAUCGUGCAGUGUAAGAAGAGAAGCAUAUCUAAAAUUACCAGAAUUUUUGAACCAAAACAUGAAAGUGAUGACCAACAGCUGCGAAUACUCCUUGAUUGACCAUAGUCUUCGUGGCUAGAAAAACAAAACCAAGGAAAAGUGACUCAGAAAACCAUCAUAUAUGACUCUGAUAGAGCAGUUACUAAUCAAAUGGUUCAGAUAAGCAUGUAAGCUCAUUAUCAAGAGCUAAAAGUUCAGAGAAACCAUUCUUUCCCUUAGAAUCACAAGUUCAAAUAGAGUGAGCUGACUUUAGCAACAAUAACUUACAAUCCACAGAAGCAGACAUGUAAAAUCAACAAAACUAGACCGCUGGUUGUUUUAAACGUUGAUGCGCUAUUUGUAGGAAAUGCAGGCCAAAAGUUAUUGAGUUCCAGCCAUAUAGAUUGUGCUGAAGAAGCUUCAAAACUCUAACCUCUGUUUGUCUAAGCAAGAGACCACAAAAAUCAGCUUGGAAAGUAUUGAAGACAGGAGUGUGGUCAGAAUUGCUAAUUUAAAGACAGAGAGAAAAAAUUCCACGAAUUUUCUGCAUACGCUAUGGAAUAUAAAACGCAAUUGCAUUUUCCACAGGUGAAAGUUCAGAGAACUCAUUUCAUCCUGAUGCAAAUCACGAGUUUUAAGAGAGAGCUAAUCUUAGAAAUCAUAAUGUACAACAGGUUGGCUGACAUGCAUGAUAAACAAAGUAAAGUCAAAUCUUAAUUUCUUUUAUAUUGUUACUUCAUUAGUUGCUUUGUUUCACUUCUCUUUUAUGCAAAACUUGCUUUGGUUAUCCAAGAAAUCUUGUGCAUUUGGUUAUUAACUACGGAAACAAGAUAUUAACUCAAGCUUCCAAUGAAGACAUGUAACUGUCGCCUAUCGAUGGUAAUGUUUAUGAAGUACCUAUGACUUUCAAUCACGAUACCGAAACCUAAGAAAGACACCAAACAAAAUUGAAAAGAACUACUUCAUGCAAUUCUUCAUUUUUGGUUAAGCGACUACUAACAUAAGAUGUAGUACUCAACAUCAUAUAGACCAGGUAAUAUUGGAAUAACAACAAAUCUUUAAGUAACAGAAUCAUUCUAGACAUGCCAUUUUUAACUGGAGAAUGAGAACAUGAAAACUCAGAAAAUCAUGUUGCAUGUAAUGGUGCAAAGAUACAGCUUCAAGAAAGGUGGCAAGCUACUUGUGGAGGAUAAUAGGCAGUCACAAGGCAGACCAAUAUUUUUCUGCAACUAAGUUGCAGCUAACUUGAGAGACAAGCAGUCUGAGACAGAAAAACAAAUUGAGGUCCAUAACCAGUGAAUUACUACCUCAUGUCAUAAGCACAAAAGCUACAGCUGAUUUACAGUUUGAAUCACCACAUUCACAAUGUAGAUCUCAAGCUUUGGCAUUGUUUUCUAACAUAAACUGGUACACAGAGGUGAAAUCUGUCUGCUCAGUCUGCAGAUAAAAGCAGUGUCACGAGAACUAUCCUAGUUUGUGUCCGAAUGAUACGUUCCUCGAUCCACGGUCGAGACACGUAGCACGUUUGCCCAAGGAUCUAGCGGGGAUGUCCAACGCUUGGAUUGCGGAACCCUUACUCAAACGGACAACUCGAUUUGAUUGGAGGUGGUAGACGACACUCCAAUGAAGGUGAAUACUCCAGGGGAAUAGGUCGGACGAACAAUCAAGGACAGGACGCGAGAUUGCUCAAUAACCCUUGCCAAGCAAGUUGAAAGGCACGAAUUCUUUAUGAAAGAAAACGAAUGCACUAAUAAUUUUAAUUCAUCAAAAACUAGUUUUUAACCUUACAAGGCUAGCCUAUUUAUAGGCUUAAUGAAACAACUAAAAACCCUAAAGAAACCUAAAGGGGAGGUCGGCUACCUUGUCAUCAAGGUGGGCCGGCCUCAAGCCUUCUACGGACAAUUAGUCCAAACAAAAUGGAAACAACGACUAAGGCCCUACUCGGCCGAUUCGUAAGGAGGCCCACUAGAGUCUUCCUGGGCUUGGACCAAAGUGCAAGUUGCUUGAUUGAUCCUUUCCAAGCCUUCAAUAUCUCUAUAGCCUCCAUGUUGAUCGUGGACAACUUGAACAAGGGCUUGGAGGGAUUCCUUGAAUAGCUUGGCCCGUGCACGUGUGACUGGGCCUAAUGGGACUUGGACUGGGCCCUGGUUCAUGCACACAUCAGUCCCCUCCUCUUGUGAAGGAUUUGCCCUCAAACUGGAUCCUCCUCACCAAGAAACGGGCUCAAGUCUGCGACAUUGAAGGUCGCGCUAACAUUGUACUCCCCAGGUAGCUCCAAUUUGUAGGCGUUGUCAUUAACCCGGUGGAGCACACGAAAAGGUCCAUCCCCUCUGGGGGAUAAUUUGCUUUGUCGCUGCUUGGGGAACCUCUCUUUGCGUAAGUGUAACCAAACCCAAUCACCAGGCUCGAAGAUCAUUUUGCGGCGGUGCUUGUUAGCCUGCUGGGUGUAUUGCUGAGUACGCCUUUCAAUGUUUGCUCGAACAGCUUCAUGUAACCUGCGCACAAAAUCGGCCUUCUUUUUCCCAUCUAAGCUUGUGUGCUCAGAGGAAGGUAAGGGUACUAAAUCAAGAGGGGUUAGCGGGUUAAAACCAUAAACAAUCUCAAAAGAUGAGUAGUGUGUAGCACUAUGAACAACUCGAUUGUAGGCGAAUUCAACAUGAGGCAAACACUCUUCCCAAGUCUUAAGAUUCUUUUUAAUCAAUGCCCGAAGUAGUGUGCCAAGUGUGCGAUUGACAACUUCAGUUUGUCCAUCGCUUUGUGGAUGACUAGUGGUGGAAAAUAGUAACCGGGUGCCAAGUUUAGACCACAGAGUCUUCCAAAAAUAACUCAGAAAUUUCACAUCCCUAUCACUAACAAUGGUCCUAGGCAUACCAUGCAGACGGACAAUUUCUUUGAAGAAUAGAGUAGCAAUAUGAGAGGCAUCGUCAGUUUUGUGACAUGGAACAAAAUGAGCCAUCUUAGAAAACCUAUCAACCACCACAAAGAUGGAGUCAUUACCUCUUGGUGAUCUAGGCAAACCUAGAAUAAAGUCCAUAGACAAGUCAACCCAGGGAUGGUGAGGGAUAGGUAAUGGGGUAUACAAGCCAUAUGGAUUUGUUUUGGACUUUGCCUUGUGGCAAGUAGCACACCUACCAACCAUGCGGUCAACAUCCCUACGCAUAUGGGGCCAGUAAAAGUGCUCUUGCAACAUAGCCAGUGUCUUGGCAAUGCCGAAGUGGCCCAUGAGACCACCACAAUGUGCCUCUCGAAUCAAAAGAUCACGAAUGGAAGAGUUAGGCACACACAGUUUAUCUACAUGGAAUAGAAAUCCAUCAUGCAAAAAGUACUUUCCAUGCGGAUUCUUAACACACACGGCAUAGAUAUCACCAAAGUUAUGAUCAUUAGUGUAGAGGUCCUUUAUCAUUUCGAACCCAAGCAAUUUGGCAUCAAGAUAGGCAAGCAAGGAGUGUCUACGUGACAAGGCAUCAGCUACCACAUUUGUCUUGCCAGUUUUGUACUUAAUCACAUAAGAAAAGGUGUCAAUGAAGCUUACCCAUUUGGCAUGUCUCUUGCUUAAUUUAGGUUGCCCUUUGAGGUACUUCAAUGACUCGUGAUCAGUGUGUAUCACGAACUCUCGAGGGCGAAGAUAAUGUUGCCAGGUCUCCAAGGCCCUCACUAAGGCGUACAACUCCUUGUCGUACGUGGGGUAGUUCAAUGCAGCUCCUCCCAACUUUUCGCUAAAGAAGGCACACGGCCUCUUGUCUUGCAUUAGGACUGCGCCAAUACCUACACCAGAAGCAUCACAUUCAAUUUCAAAGGUAUUGUUAAAGUUUGGUAAUGCUAACACAGGGGCAUGCGUUAGUGUGUCCUUGAGGGCGAGAAAUGCUUGGUCUUGUGAUUCUCCCCAAAGGAACUUGUCAUGCUUCUUUGUCACGGCGGUCAACGGGGCGGCAAUAGUGCUAAAAUUCUUGACAAAUCGCCGGUAAAAGCCCGCCAAUCCAAGAAAGCUGCGCACGUCAGGGACGGAUGUGGGGGUUGGCCAUUGCUCGAUGGCGUCAAUCUUGGAUUUGUCCACCUUGAUGCCCUGUGAACUUACUACAUAGCCUAAAAACACAAGCUCGUUAGUACAAAAGGUGCACUUCUUGAGGUUGGCGUACAGACGCGCCUGUCGAAGUGUCUCAAGAACUAAUCUCACAUGCUCUAGAUGCUCAUGCUCACUACGGCUAUAGAUCAGGAUGUCAUCAAAGUAAACAAUGACAAACUUGCCAAUGAAAUGUCUCAACACAUGGUUCAUUAGUCGCAUGAAGGUGCUAGGGGCAUUAGUUAAGCCAAACGGCAUGACUAACCACUCAUAGAGACCAUGUUUGGUUUUGAAGGCCGUUUUCCACUCGUCGCCUUCUUUCAUCCGAAUCUGAUGAUAGCCACUCCUCAAGUCAAUUUUGGUGAAAAUAAUGGCACCAUCGAGUUCAUCAAGCAUAUCAUCAAGUCUAGGAAUGGGAUGACGAUAUUUGAUGGUGAUAGCGUUCACAGCCCGACAGUCAGUGCACAUACGCCAAGUACCGUCCUUUUUGGGCACAAGUAUCACUGGCACAGCACAAGGACUUAGACUUUCCUUUACCCAACCUUUACCUAAGAGGCCAUCAACUUGCCUUUGCAGCUCCUUGGUCUCUUCAGGACCCAUGCGGUAGGCAGGUUUGUUGGGUAGUGGUGCCCCAGGAAUGAGGUCGAUUUGGUGCUCAAUCCCUCGAAUAGGUGGUAAGCCAUCAGGGACUUCGUCGGGGAAAACAUCCUCAAAUUCCUGCAAAAGAACAACCAUACUCGCAGGCAAUGCCUUAUCGAGUUCAGCAACAUCUAAAAGCACAUGUUUGCAAAUCAUGAGAAGGACGGGCUGAUCAGAAUUGACAACUUUCCUAACGUCCUUGGCCUUAAUGAUCAUGUUUUGCUUCCUAGUGGUAGGUGGCGUAAGUGAUUUCUCACGCGUCACACUAGGUGUGCUUCCUUGAUCCUUGGUCAAUGACUCACUUGCAGGGGUGGAGCCGUUGCCAGGGUCGACCGCCUUUUGUCUCCUUCUUUGACGGUCUUGUUCACACUCUCUUUGUAGCUUAAGUUGGUCCUCAUAUACUUGUGCAGGUGUAAGUGGUGUGAGAACCUUGCGUUUGCCAUCAUGCAAGAGAGUGUACUUGUUGGCCCUUCCGUCGAACGUGACGUGUUUGUCAAAUUGCCAUGGUCGACCCAAGAUAACAUGGGUGGCAUGCAUAGGUACCACGUCACAAACAACUUCAUCGGUGUAAGUUCCAAUGGAAAAAGGGAUGCGUACCCGUUUGAAGACACGUACCUCUCCUUCCUCGCUUAACCAUUGGAGGCGAUAAGGGUGUGGAUGUCUAGUGGUUGGAAGUCCUAAGCUCUCAACCAUGAGUAAGCUUGCCACGUUUGUGCAACUCCCACCGUCGAUGAUGAGACUACACACCUUGUCACCUACUUUGCAACGAGUGUAAAACAGGUUUUCCCGUUGUAAUUGCUCAUCCUCCUUAACUCGGGCUGUUAGCACUCGUCGUGCCACCAAACACCCGACGUCCCCUUGUAUAGGCGAGCAAUCUUCCUCAGUAAAGUCGUCAUCCAGGCCGUCGCCUUUGGUCAACUCGGGUAGCUCCUCACAGUCGUCGUCAUCGGACACAAUCUCGCCAUUGUGAGUGAUUAGCAUGACCCGUUGGUUUGGACAUUGAGAUUGAAUAUGCCCAAACCCUUGGCACUUAAAACAUUUGAUGUCCCUGCUCCUUGCCUUAGGAGUCUCUUGUGGUGCCUUAGAAGUAGACCUGGAUACAUCGGGACCCUUGUUAGGUGUAGAAUAGGCAUUACGAUUAGAGGUGUUACCUUGGAUGCGGUUAGAAGAGGUUGGUAUCGCCGCGUUUCCAACUUCGUGGGUCGCCCUUCGUGGUUGGUUGCCCCUCCAUGAAGUGGUGUUAGAAGAUUGGAAAGGACGUGCUCCUCGUCUGAGCUUCUUUCCCCGCUCGGCCUUGAUAGCGAGUUCUAGAAGGUCGUGCAUGUCCAGGUAAUGUUGGAGCUCCAAGGCUUCUUGAAGGUCGGGAUUGAGACCUCGAAGAAACCUAGCCAUUGUGGCUUCAUUGUCCUCUUGAAUGUUGGCCCUCAUCAUGGCCAUCUCGAUCUCUUUGUAGUAGUCUUCCACACUCAUGUUGCCUUGAGCGAGGGUUUGAAGUUUAGAAUGGAGAUCGCGAUUGUAGUAGCUAGGAACGAAUCGUUUGCGCAUUAGUGCCUUGAGUUCGCGCCAAGUCCGGACACGUGGUUCGCCCAUCCUUCUCCUAUGGGUCCGUACUUGGUCCCACCAGACUAGUGCGUAGUCGGUGAACUCCACGGUGGCAACUUUAACCUUUUGUUCCUCGGUGUAAUCGUAGCAGUCGAAGACCAUCUCGAUACGGCCCUCCCACUCCAAGUAAGCCUCAGGGUCACUUUUGCCUUUGAAUGCGGGGACUUGAAUUUUAAGCCCCUUGAGUUCGUUCGUAGGCGUGUCCCGUCGCGGCCUCUCGGGUCGCUCGUCGUCGUCACUGGCGGAGUAGUCCUCACUGGGUGCUCCUUUGCGGUCACGACCACUCCGAUUGCGUGAUCCAGAACGGGAGCCUGGGGUGAGACUCUUGGUGAGCUCGUCAAACCGGUUGUGCAACUCUUCCAUUUGUUGCUCACUAAUGCGUUUGAGCUCAUGUCUCAUGGCGGUGAACAUCAGAGAAAGGUCUUUGGAAGGUGGUUGUUGAUCUUGCUCCAUGUGUCUCGUGAUGCCCCCCCCUGCAAAGGUUAGUAACAAGCAAAGAAAGUGCAAAUAUAAUCCUCACUUCACUCCCUAAGUGUAUCUCUCGCGCUCGUGUGUAGUGCUCAAGUCACUCUAUAAAACUUACCAGGUACCUUUACCUGUUGGUUUAGGUAGUUGAGUAAUGUUGCUCGAGCCCGAUUAGCGUCACCAACUUGUCCCCCACAAGAGUAAGCAAGAGAUUUGUUUUGAUGAAGGGAAGGACGGUUUUGGAAAGCUUAAAGGUGGUGGACAGAUUUGGAAAAUAUUACCAAUAAAGGAAACUCUAAGAAUGCCUAAGAUGUAGGAGUAGUUUCCUAAAGUGAAUGAGGAAAUGUAGGAGAAUAUCCCAAAAAUGGAGGAGAAAAAGUAGGAAGGUGUCCAAGUUUUAUCCAAGUGUUGUACUUAGUCUCCUAAACUAAGUUGGCAAACAAGUUGGAGUUGAAAACUUCCUUUGAAAACCUUGCUUAAGCAACUUCCUAAUUCUUCUCAAAACAGAUUCGGUUCCCUCUCUCUCCUCUUGACCGUAAUUUUCCAGAAAUCUUCCCUUUAUUCCCUUCCCAAAGUCGGCUAGAAGACCCUUAUAAACCCUCUCAAGCAGCCGCCCACUAUGCUCACAACAAAAACCAGAAUUGGGCCACCGAAAUUUCCAGAUUUCUUCCUUCUUGAACCCCUCCCAAGGUCGGUUAUUGUUCCCUAUUAACCUCCCCUCACAGCCGCACACUUCACCCAAGAAGUUCGGCUCUCUCUCUACUCUCAAGUCACAACCAGUUCGGCUCCUUCCUUCGUGCCAAGAGUAAGACAGUUUCGGUUGUUGUGCCAAGUCAAUGGCGUCUCAAGACAGCGUGAACCAAGUCUCUCAAGGUUCUUUCCCACGGGUUGCUCAAGAAACUCCCAAGGAUUUUAUUCCUAAACCAAGGAAACCCCGUAUGGAUGCAAGAACUUACAAGAAACUCUUUAUUCGAAGAGAAGUGCAAGUCUUCAAAACUCUUGAUGGUCAAGAACCUCAAGAAUCCCAAAAGGUAGUGCAAGUAAUCAAAGUUCAAGGUGUUCAAGAAUUUCAAGAAGAGGUUGGUCAAAACUUUUGAAUUUUUUUUUUCUUCUACUUGCUGUAAUUUUCUGGUUUGGGUACAAGAUGCAAUAAGACAGAUUUGGCAAUAAAAAGUGCGAUUUUCCUUCUUGGUUUUCUUGCUACCCGAUGGCUCUUCUUGUUUCUUUUUCGGUUCUUUUUUUUUUUUUUUAUACUUGGUAAUAGACUACACCUGGCCGAAAGGGUUUCAAACCAGAUUCUGAUCAAGUCCUAAUUUACUACAACCAACAGCCCCAAAACUCCAAGUUUUUUAUCAAGAACUUCCAAGAACUUCAAGAUUAAGUUCAAGAAAGUCAAGAAUCCUAAAACUCACGUAGAUUUCCUUCAAGAUUCACAACUCCAACAAGUUUGGUCCACAAAUCAGUUUAGGAAACUAACUAAACAACUUAGAUAAGCGACUAACACUUGGACAGAUUUGGCAAUCACAAAAACUCUAGCCGCACCAAAACCCUAGCCGCGGUUUUUUUCUUUCUUCUUUUUUUUUGUGUUUUUUUUUUUCAGUUUCGGCUAGGACCAAUUGCUGGGCAGAAUGGUUGUAAUACGAGGAUAAAAUCUGGGCAGAUUGGACUAGCAACAAAAACACACAACUGUCCAGAAAUUUACGCGACCAAGAACAAGAAUUAGCGAACAGAUUUUUUUUUUGACUCACAACGGACAGAAAUUUCUAUUUUGUUGGUUGUCUCCUUUUUUUUUUUUUUGAUGAAUGCGGACACCAAUGGACAGAAAGGAAAGACUCACGGCAAGGCACAAGACAAGACACGGACAGAAUGUUUUUUUUUUUGACAAGCGAUGCAAACAGAUUUUGUUUGUUUUUUUUUUGACUAGCAAAGCAGCAACGGACAGACUUGAAGACACAAACGAACGGGUAUGGAUACGAACUCAAUCAAUAAAACAACGACCAGAAUUUCUAGAUAACAAACGAAGGAAAACGGCACAACGAAGCAACAAAGCAAACGAACAGUUUUUUUUUUUUUUUUUUCAAAACACAAGGCAGCGGAAAUAAUGAAACUAAGACACAACUAUGGAUAUAACGGAAGAUACCUCCACCAAAGCUCUGAAGCCAACUGAUACGUUCUUCGAUCCACGGUCGAGACACGUAGCACGUUUGCCCAAGGAUCUAGCGGGGAUGUCCAACGCUUGGAUUGCGGAACCCUUACUCAAACGGACAACUCGAUUUGAUUGGAGGUGGUAGACGACACUCCAAUGAAGGUGAAUACUCCAGGGGAAUAGGUCGGACGAACAAUCAAGGACAGGACGCGAGAUUGCUCAAUAACCCUUGCCAAGCAAGUUGAAAGGCACGAAUUCUUUAUGAAAGAAAACGAAUGCACUAAUAAUUUUAAUUCAUCAAAAACUAGUUUUUAACCUUACAAGGCUAGCCUAUUUAUAGGCUUAAUGAAACAACUAAAAACCCUAAAGAAACCUAAAGGGGAGGUCGGCUACCUUGUCAUCAAGGUGGGCCGGCCUCAAGCCUUCUACGGACAAUUAGUCCAAACAAAAUGGAAACAACGACUAAGGCCCUACUCGGCCGAUUCGUAAGGAGGCCCACUGGAGUCUUCCUGGGCUUGGACCAAAGUGCAAGUUGCUUGAUUGAUCCUUUCCAAGCCUUCAAUAUCUCUAUAGCCUCCAUGUUGAUCGUGGACAACUUGAACAAGGGCUUGGAGGGAUUCCUUGAAUAGCUUGGCCCGUGCACGUGUGACUGGGCCUAAUGGGACUUGGACUGGGCCCUGGUUCAUGCACACAUCACCGAAACUCUGAAAGAUGACCAGUUGAGUAAUUUAGAAAAAGAGAUGCGGCAGCCAACAAGUAUGACAGGCAGAGAAAGCUAAAGAAUCUUCAUGAAGUGAAUUCCUAGAACAGCAACCAAUUAUUACCAUUUGAUGCUUCAAAGUUCAAAUCAUCACAGUUAGACUUAAACUUCAGUAAAGGAUAAUCUGCCAAGUCUUUGCAGCUUCAUUGCUAGAACAAUACUAUUUUCCCUUGCAACCUCAAAAAAUGACUUGAACAUGUCCUUUUUUUUUUGAAAGGGGGGAGGGGGCGAGGGGUUAGUUAACAAAUUGAGAAUCAAACUGCUUAAAACUCAAUAUUACAUAGUUGAAGAAGAAAGUUUAUCAUGGAUUAGGAGCAUUUCUUAAAAAAAAAAAAUUGGUAUUGUAGAUUACCAGUCCAUUUGGCAUGAUGAUAAGAAUAAGAUAAUAACAUUUUCUAGAGGUGAAAGUUCAGAGUAACCAUUUUUUCCUCAUAGAAUCUCAGGUUUAGGAAUCAAUGUACAGCUUGCAGUAGCAGACAUAUGUGAUGAGCAAAUAUAAACUGCUACUCUUUAUUGAAAGAUAGCGCAGGCAUAAAUCUGAGGGCAAAUGGUCUUUAACUAUCAUAUUAUGUUUGACUGUCCGCAACAAAUAAUUUGUUUGUAAAUAUCUGCAUUCUAUGAUUGAGGAAGGAAAGGAUAGAAGUGAAGUGGGACUAUUUGCCAGAAGCAAAAUACAAAAUGCUCAUCAAAUGGAUCCUUUACAUUUGGACAAGGCACCUAAACCACAAUUAUACCAAAAAGGAUAGAUUGGAUGAUGAGGUCAGUCUCUCAAGGAGUGCUAUGUGUGAGCCGUGAUGCGUAUUCUGUGUGUGUGAGUGUGCAGUUUGUGUGUCGAGAUGCUAUAGUAAGUGAUAGUGUUUACUUUGAUGACUGCAGUUGAACCUUUUCAGACCGCCUAAGACAAGAGAAGUUCAUCAAAGCAGACCUCUGCCUUCAACAAAGUGAAGUUGAGCAGUUACAUCAUUUCCAAGACUGGCAAUUUACUUCCAUGAUUAAAAUAGCUUACAAGAUAGUACAAUCAACAAUUGAGAUCUCUAAUUCCAAUCUAUUAUCAAUUUGAACGUGCACAGCAGAAUCCUCUCAAAUCCUUGCUAUUACAUGGCCAAACAACAUUCCUGGAAGCAGACCCUCGAAAACUUUCAAACUCUUGUUACUAAUCAUUUUAGUCACAAUACAUAUAUCACCUCACCUCAGGCAAUAAAUAAAAAUCUUCUUAAGAGUUUCACUGGAGUAUGUUCUCCUACAGAAAAAAAAAAGGAGAAAAAAUCCUAUAAGUUAAAUAGUUUGAAAUCUUUCUGUGUUAGAAAAUCCACAAAUUUCUGUGCUGGGACGUACUUUCAUUUGACACUUUAUUCCAUGAAUGCAAAACAAUAAGUAAAUAAACUUUUCACACUAAAUGGUGGCAUGUGUACCUGAGUUGGAUGAACUCAGAUUUAAAAAUCUGAAGAAAGCAUGCUGCCUGCAUUAUAAAUAAGAUAGAACAAAAAGUUCCAUUACGUUUUCGAGUUGGAAACCUUAUGGAAAGUAAGAGUUUCUUUUUGUCAGUUUUCUCCCUAAAAAUAAUGAGCAGGCAAUAAGACUUGAUACUAUGUACAAAUAUUUAUUUGGUUAAAAUAAAUGUGCUAACCUGAGUGUUAUUCUUGAAAGUUGGCAAAACCUCUGAUUGUUAACGUGUAACUCUAGUACGACCCAAUAAGAUGCCAAUAAUGAUCAUCAGAAGGUCAUGGUAAUGAUGGUUUCAUAAAAGACUUCAGAUAAGUUGGGGCAAGAAAUUUUUGGCCAGCAGCUCGUACAGGCCAGUUGCAGUCAUUGAGCAAUCAAAAUCCAGGCCUGCAACUUGUGCAAUUUAGUGUCAGUUAGUUUCAAAGACAAGAAGCCUGGAAAAAAUAAGCAAAUGCAUAGUAUUAUAGCAUGUCAGUUCGUACUACUGCACCUCAUGACUAAAAAGGCACAUUGAAAGUGUGCAAGCUCCCAAGAUCAGUACAUCAGGUUUUGGCCAUCUGAGGCACCAAAGUGAAAGAAAAGAGUGCCAACAUAAACAUUUCAGCCCAACUGAAACAGGAUCUGGUUCAACAUGAUUCUCAAAUAUGCAGGCUCUGUAAUUAGUAAUUACCAGCCAUUAUAGAUUUCCAGUUGAGCUUUGAACCUAAGGUCACGGGAAGACAGAAAAUUUGAACUCAGAUAGUAUGUAGUGCGAGAUAUUUCAAAUAGUUUAGUCAAUCCAAUGAAAAGCCAAAAGCUGUGUCUUGUUGGAUUUUAAGCUAAAUAAAUAAGCAGUCGCGUUUACAAGUUGCCCUACUCUUAGUCCAUUCUUGUUCCAAGCAAGAAGCAAAUCAUUAAAACUCAUAACCUGAAGAAACGGUGGGCAAUUUGUAGCACAAUCAUAGCAAAAAUAAUUUAAUAAGCCAUAUAAAUGGUGCUGAAGAAGAUUAAAUAUAACAAGAUUUACUUUAUUUCUGUAGGCACUAGACAAUCAAAAUCAACUUGGCAAGAACUGGAAAAGAAGCAAAAUCAAGAAUGGCUGGUAUGAACUGGAUGUCUUACUCUGUGACCAAAAAGAAAUGUGCUACUGCUGCAUGUGAUGGGAAUAUGAAAUAAAAAAUAGAUCUUCAAGAUGUUAAAUAUCAAAGCAACCAUUUUCCCCCUGUAGAAUCUCAAUUUUGAAGAGAUUAUUAUGAAGUUGUAGGUUGAUUUCCUUGACCACUUGUUUAUGCAUAUAUCUUUGGGGUGACCCAUGAAAAUCUUGUGCAUUUAGAUAUUAACUAAUUUAGAACAUGUAAUGCAGACAUUCAAUUUAUUGGGCCAUUACUUGCUGUAAAGCAUGGAAUUGGAACAGUUGCUUGUUUUCAUGCUAAUUGAUGGUUACAGAGUAUUAAGUUGUCAAAGGGAGAACUUAAAAAGCACCAAUGUUUUCAACUGGAUAAGAAAUGCUAAUACCGUAGCUUUGCUAGAUGAUGCUAGGACGAGAAAAAGGGAAAACAGAAAAUUGUGAAGAACAAUGACACAGAACUUUUUCUCUCUUUUCUAUUUUUCCCAGGAGAAGGUUAAUCAGAGGGAGUGGUGAAGAAAAGGCAUAUCUCAAAAUGACAAAGAGAUUGGUUAUAAGGCGCGGUAAGAGGCAUUCUUACAUGAUUGAGAUCAAGAAGCACUUGAGAUUGAGAUUGAGAUUGAGAUUUGAUUUGAUGAUGAACUAUUAACCAGAUAUGCAUAGGUUUUGAAUAUGUGAAACCUUGGACCACUUGGAGUUGGGGCCGCUGCUUUGAGGAGUGCACCUUUCCUUUAACUAGUAAUGGAGCAUGUGCUUUGCACGUGAACAUGAUGCUUUUAGAGUUUUUUUGCUUUAAAAUUUCUAGAAAAUUAAUUAUUUUGAAGGAAUAAAUGUAAUUGAGACAAACAAAUGUAAUAUUUAAUAUUUAUAUUAUUUGGAACUUAGUGUGCCCUAACCAAUACAAAUGUACAAGCAAUAAACCAUUCAUUGUUCCAAAAGCACUUUUAUUUUGUAACAAUAUCAAUAUUUUUUGUAUUUUGGUUAAAUAUAGAUGACCUAAAUGUUCAUUUUUAUGCCAUUUGUGUUUAAUUUUUUUUAAUAAUUUGUUGCUCCCCUUUAAAUCAGUCUAUGAAAUGUUUAUUAGUUUUAGUGAGACUUUCUAAUUAUUGCUACUUUUUUGCUAGCUGUGGAUUGUAAAAUGAUCAAUUGUACUAUUGUAAUUAUAAUAGUAUCUAAACAUAUUGAAAUUCCAUUGUUCGAAUUUAAAUAGCUUAACUUUGAAGAGAAAUGUUUUGAUUUAGUGAAACUUAUUUGCAUUUCUUAUUGAUGACAUGCUUUAUGAUUAUAGUGUUUAUAUGAUUAAAAAUUGUAAGACAUUAAAAUUAUUUAUUAUAUUAUAGUCAAACUGGACUUGGAUAUAUUUUUAUUCAUCUUUGAAGUACUCCUUGAAAUUGAUAUUUAUAAAAAAAGUUUUUUUGGCUUAAUUCACCAUAAUUCAAAGGGAUGUUUCACCUUUGUAAUUAUUAUUAUAAUUGGCGUUGAUGAAUAUAAUAUUCAUAAAUUAUAGUUUAAUACUGUUAGUUGUUACAGGAAUAUGACUGAUAAAAUUCAUUAAAUUUAAUCUUUAUUACAAUUUAAAUAAAUAAAUUCCCAACAUUAAACUCUUUGCCUACCUUGGUACUCCAUUUGCUACUAUAUAUUGGAUUAAUGUUUUUUAACUCAGUACCAAUAUACAUAUAUUAAAAAGGUGCUCUUAAAGCUUAAUUUACUUAUAUCCUAAAAAUGAAAAGGCUUGCAAUACUUUUUAGGAGACUCAUAGUACCAAUUUGUUAUGUUUUGUUCCAUAUUUGAAAUACUCUCUAAACUUGGAUUUUGUAAAUAAAUUUAUUCUUCUUUCUUUUGAUAAAUAAAAAAAAAGUAAGGAAUCUUUCAUUUUUGUAACUGCUUGCAUGUUUGAUAUUAUUUAUUAAUGAUGAAAUGCAACGCAAUUUGUUCAUUUAUUAGAGAGGAGUGUAAUUUUGGCAUCACAAAAACUAAUAUCAUUUUUCGCUUACACUAUUAACCACUAAGAUUCACCAUAUUUUAUUAUAAUUUAUAAAUAAAAUUUAUUCUUCAUUUUUUGAUUUAAUUCUCUAUAACUCAAGGGAAUGUUGUUCAUUCUUGUAAUUGUUAGCAUAACAGAUAUUAAUUAUUGAUGAAAUGCAAUGAAUUGGUUGUUUCUUUUUUGGUUUAAUUAACCAGAAUUAUCACAAUUCAAAAAAUGUUUCUUUGUAACGGUUAGCAUAAUUCUUAUUAAUUAUUAAGGAAAUGCAAUGUAAUUUGUCCACUUAUUGGUGUCAAGGGUAAUAUUGGUAUCACAAAAACUAAGACCAAUUUUUACUUACACUCACACUAAAGGUUCAUCAUGCUUUUUAUAUAGUAAUAACCAGAAUUAUCACAAUUCAAAAAAUAUUUCUUUGUAACGGUUAGCAUAAUUCUUAUUAAUUAUUAAGGAAAUGCAAUGUAAUUUGUCCACUUAUGGGUGUCAAGGGUAAUAUUGGUAUCACAAAAACUAAGACCAAUUUUUACUUACACUCACACUAAAGGUUCAUCAUGCUUUUUAUAUAGUAAUAAUAAUAAUAGAUAGAUAGAUAGAUAGAUAGAUAGAUAGAUAAUAGAUAGAGAAGAACCACAAACGUACAGACUUGUUAAUUUGGUGUGGCCAGAAUUGCGGGUCUAAGGAGUGGAAGAGGGUUCACAAAUUUACUGCACAUGAUAUGUAAACUAAUCUGAAAAGUGCAAUUUGAAUGAAUAGGUGCAAUCAUAACGUACGACAGAUUAGCUGAUAUACAUGACAAACAAAGUAAAGUCAAUUCUUAAUUUCUUCCACAUUGUUACCUUAUUAGUUGAAUUGCUUGACUUCUGUUUUAUGCCAAACUUGCAUUGAUAACCCAGAAAAUCUUGUGCAUUUGGUUAUUAACUGCUGAAACAAUAUAUUAACUAAAUCGUCCAAUGAAGACAUGGAACCGUUUCCUAUUGAUGGUAAUGUUAUUUAGGACAUAUGACUCUCAAUUAUGACACAAAAGCAUAAGAAAGACACCAAACAAAAUUGAAAAGAACAACAUCAUGCUUUUUUUUCAUUUUUUGUUUAAGAUUUAAGAGACUACUAACAUAAGUAAUAUUUACUCAACAUCAUAUAGACCGAGUAAUUUUGAGAUGGGUAUCAACUGUGGGAUUAGUGUAGCGGCUAGUGUCUGGUUCUCUUAAGGAAUAACUAUGAAUCAUAAAGUAACAGCAUCAUUCUAGACGUACUAUGUUUAACUGCAAAAAGAGAACAGGCAAACUCACAAAAUCAUGUUAUAUGUAAUGGACCUAAGUUACAACUUCAAGAAGGGUGGUGAUCAGCUUGUGGAGGCCAACUAACAGACGAUAAGUAGUCACAAGAUAGACUGACAAUUUUCUGCAACUAAUUGCGGCUAAUUUGAGAGGCAAGCAGUCUGAGACAGAAAAGCAAUUGAGGUUCAUAAUCAGUGAAUUGCUACCUCAAAUCAUGACCAACAGUUUGAAGGCACCACAUUCACAAUGUAGAUCUCAGACUUUGGCCAUCUCAGUCACUUAGAAGCAAAAGAGAGUGCAUUCUAUACAUAUGUCUUCAGUUUGAAAAUGAUGAAGAAGGAAUAACAGGAUAUUGACAGGUACGGAAGUAAUUAGGCCAUUGCAGAAAACUCAAACUCUGGACAGUGUAUAGAAGAUCAUAAAGCUAACAAGAAAUUUCAGAUAAUUGCAUGACAUUUCUGUUCAACAGAUCUUACAGAAAGCUUAAAAAAAGCUUUUAUCUUUGUUUUAAAACCUAAAUUUGGCAAGCAGAUAUGAAAUCUUUCUCCUCACACUAUAGAAACCAAGUAGCGUCUUGAAAAUUGUUCUAGUUCGUGUCCAAAACUCCAAAAAAAUGAAAAGAGAAGGGGCAGCUAGCAAGCAUGACAGGCAGAGACAGCUCAAGAAUCUUCAUGAAGGCAAAUUCCAAGAGUUGCGAAUUAUACUAUUUGAUGCACGAAAAUUUAAAUCAUCACAGUUAAAAUUAAGUUUUCAACAAAUGAUAAUCUGCCAAGUCUCUGGAGCUUCAUUGCAGGAGCAGCACUAUUUUCCUUGGCAAUCUCAAAAAAUGACUUGAAUAUGUCCUUUUUUUGUUGGUUUUAGUUAAAAAAUUGAGAAUCAAACUGCUUAAACUUCAAUAUUACAUAGUUGAAGAAAUGUUGAAUCAUAAGUUAGGAUAAUUUUAAGGGAAAAAAAGUGGUAUCAUGGAUUACCAGUCCCUUUGCCAACACCAAUUCAACAAUCAAGGGGCAGAGAGAAUUUGUCGAUUGACAAGUGUCCUCAUGUUGAGAGAUCAUAACUAGGGAAAGUUGAGUUGAAUCCCAUCUCUAAGAGAUGUUGUAGAGAAGAUCAAAUCUCAGAUGGUUUACAGCAAGAUGAUAAAAUGACAGGUGCAUUUUCAAGAGGUGAAAGUUCAGAGCAACCAUUUUGUCCCAUAGAAUCUCAACUUUCGGAAUCAAUGUACAAAUCACAGUGGCAGACAUAUGUGGUGAGCAGAUAAAACUGCUAUUUUUUAUUGAAAGAUAGCAAAGGCGGGAAACUCAGUGCAAAUAUUCUUAAGCUAUCAUAUUAUGCUUGGCUGUCCACACCAAAUAAUCUGUUCUUAAAUAUCUGCAAUCUAUAAUUGAGUUAGAAGUGAAAUGGACCAUGUGCUAGAACCAAAAUAUCAAAAUGCUCAUCAAAUAUACUCUUUACAUCUGGAAGUGGCUCUUAAAAAAGCCAAAAUUAUACCAAAAAGAAUUGAUUGGAAGAUGAACUGAGUUUCUCAGGGAGGAGCUAGAAGUGCCAACUGUGAGCCGUGAUCCGUAUUCUAUGAGGUAUGUGUCUGUGUAUUGAGUGUGUGCUGUGACAUUAUAGUAAGUGGUAGUGUUUUCUUUGCUAACAGCAGUUAAACAUUUCAGACUCUCUAAGACAAGGAAAUUUCAGCAAAGCAGACUUCUACCUUCAACAAACUAAAGUACAAUCAACACUUUAGAUCUCUAAUUGCGACCUGUGAUCAAAUUGAAGGUGCACAAUGGAAUCCUCUCAAAUUCCUGCUAUUGUAUUGCUAGACAACAUCCCUGGAAGCAGAUCCUCAUAAACUUUCAAAUUUUUGUAACUUAAAUCAUUUUAGUUACCAUCUCACAUAAGGUAAUAAAUAGAAAUCAUCAUACGAGUUUCAUUGGAGUACGUUCUCCUACAGAAACAAAAGAAGCUAUAAAUUAAAAAGUCUAAAAUCUUUGUCUGCGGUUGCUAGUUCACAAUUUUUUGUGCUUGGACAUACUUUCAUUUGAGGCUUUACUCCAUGAAUAUAAUGCAUUAUCUUUUCUUUUUUACAAGCAAAUUUAAAAGUAAAUAAAUUUUUCACAGUAAAUGGUGGUGUGUAUACUUGAGUUUGAUGAAAGCCGUAGAUUUAAAAUCUCAAGAAAGGUUGUUCCUGCAUUAUAAUUAUGAAAAAGGAAGUUCUAUUACAUUUUCUUGAGCUGGGAAUCUUACAAAAGUAAGUUUUUUUUUUUUUGUUGCUUUUACCCUAAAGAUGAUGAGCAGGUAAUAAGACUUGAUCCUAUAUACAUAUAAUUAUCCGGCUUAGAUAUGCUAACUUGCGGACAAUCCUUGAAAGUUAGCAAAAACUCUAAUGGUCAAUCUGGCUCUCUAGUAAUGAUCAUUGUCGCGCCCCACUUUUCGAAGAUGAUGAGUUGUGGUGUGUGUGUGGUGUGAGAUGUGAGUGGUGUAAUGGAAUGUGAACGUGUGUAAAUGAAAAGUAAAAGGCCAUGGGACUUGAUAAUGCGACGGUUUGGCCAUAUAAAGUUCAAAAAGGGUUUUUUGUAUCAAAAAUGGAGUCGCCACUUGGUAUAGGGUUAGGGUGUACCAAGUCACCCAAAAAAUGGUUUUUUGUUUUUGAAUAAAAAAAGUAAAUAAACCCUUUUAAAGAACUUUUGGGUCUACGUAACCAAAAAGAGGGAUCGGGGGUCACAUUUGACGAAGGGGAAGGCAAGGAUAAAAAAUCCAAGGCACCCCUUCGACCUAGCCAAGGCUAGUUGCGUGACUUAAACCAAUUUUUCCUAAUUUUUCUACCCAAGGUAUGUAUCGCGUGUUGGAUAUGUCUAUAUGAAUGCAAAACCCUAGACCUAGGGGUAUUGGGGGAAAUUUCUCUUCAAAGGUUGAGUGGUGCCAAUCACAUUAAUUGUGAAGCCCAAUAAUGAUCCUUUGGAGAGGUCACACGUAAUCCUAAAUGACGUAAAAAUGAAUGGGGUGCAUGUCAUGUGAAAAUGUAAGUUUAUGUGAAGUGAGAAAAGUGGAGGUGUGCAAAUGUAUUUACAAGGUAAGGUGAGUAAAGAAUGAUAAUGUGAAAAUAAUAUAAAGUGCAUGUGUGCGAGUGAUAUGGCAUAGAGUGUGAGUAGUUAAAUGAAAACGUGUAAAAGUAGUGUGAAGUGAGAAUGUGGAAAAAGGGUUAGAAUAUAAAGUAAGUGUAUGUGAUAGUGAAUGAAUAGAAUGCAUGAAUCCUAUAGGAAUGCAUCAAGACGGGAACGGGGAGUCCUAACUUUGUGACUUAAUCUUCCCUUUGAUUAGAAGGCGAAACUAGCGUGCUAAGGCUAUCGAGUAGCCACACUCGCUCGUUUCCCUUAUCAGAAGGGGACUCUUCAGGCAAAUGAACCCUAUAACUAGCAUGAAAUGCAAAAAUCCUAAAAUGAGGGGAAAGGGGAAUCGAGGAGCAUGCCAGAUGAUAAAACUAAGGAAAAAUGCAUGAUAUGUAGUGAACAGGCAAAUAAUGCAUUAAUGAAAAACAAAGGAAAAAUCCUAUUGGGUCUAGCGUUGGACUAGCCCUUUCCAUGAAUUCCUAAUGAAAUAAUGAACCACAACUAGCAUUGGACUAGUGUGGUGACGUACAUUCAUCCAUCACAUUUAUUCAGGCUAUGGAAAGCGAGUAGACAUGCCAAACACUUAUAAACACAUAGCACAUAACAUUUUGCAUGCUCGACUAGAUGCAAGGCCCUAGCAAAGCAAAUUAACACGUAGCAACUAAGCAUGCAAGGCACAUGAGACAAUUAAAGCCCUAACUAUUACAUUUGCUAGCUAGGCACAAGUCUUCGAUAGGUCUUCAUUGAAUGCUCCUCCAAGCCUUAUCUAUUACAUUAGGGGGACCCUACUACAAUCUAAAAGGGGGAAAGGGAAUAAAAUAAUUGAAUCCCUAACUAUUACAAGCCAAGAGGUGUACACAUACCCCAUAAAGAAUAAUUUAAAUAAAAAGCAAAAGUAAAUGAAAUAAAUGAAAUAAAUGAAAGGAGUUAAAGGAAUGGCAAGGAAAGCAACGUAGACAUGCAAUUCACACUUAGCACGUUGGAUCACAUAGGAGAAAUAAAAAUCAAGGAGAUAUAGGUUACCUCCCUUGUAAUUGGGCCCCACUGAAGUGAAAUCACUUAUUUAUCCUCCAAAAUAAAAGAAAUGGUCAAGGCACCAAUUUAUUUGGCAAAUAAUCACAAAGGAUAAAAAUAAACAUGAAUUUGAAUCAAUUAAAUCAUGUCAACAAACCACAUUUAAGAAGUCAAGAGAAGAGAGGACUUGAUUGCAAAGAUUGAAAAAAAUUUUGGGGCCAAAAUUAAAGAAAAAUAAAGUUCAAGGGCCUAUUUGCAAUUAAACCAGGGACUCAAUUGAAAGGAAUGGAAAUGUCUAGGGCCACAGUAAAAAUAUCCAAAAGUCAGGGGACUGGAAUGAAAUUUCGUCAUUGGGCUACUGGACUUAACAGGCCAUUGGGCCCUUCUCUCUAUUUGUUUGGGCCAAGACUCCUUAGCCUGCCACAAAGCCCAGAGGCUACAUCUGGGCUGGCCUCUACUUAUCAAUAAAACAAACCCAACAAAAGAGUGGGCUUUAGCCCCCCUUAAGCCCAAGCCAAAAAUCCAAACAAAAUAAACUAAACCCACUUUCAUAAAUCCAAACAAAUUAUUAUUACCCACAACCCAAAUCAUAAUAUCAAACCUAACAAGAUUAGCAAAUCAACUAAAAUUAUUAGGCCAUAAUUAUAAUCCAAAUCCCAGAAUUAAUCUAUCCAACAAAUCACAUAAAAUAUGCAAACAGAGGAAUAAGCUUAAAAGGGCAAAAUUAGUUUGAUUUUUCCAGAUUUUGGGCCGUAAUGAAAUGAGACAGAAAAUGAGGGAUUAAAUUGCAAUUUUAGACAUUUCUUCACUCAUGUUUCGCAGAGGCUUUCCUCUUCAUUGCUGAUACCAGUUAAGCAUUUCAGCUUUCCUUUCGAUUAGCAAAACCAGAAAUUUGGUUUCGAUUCCAAUCAUUCCAGCAAACAAUGAAACUCACAACAAUACUCCCUCUCAACAUCGAUUCGGAUUCAAGCAUAGAGAUAAAAAAACAGAAAAAAAAAACAACGAACCAACACAGCUUCUAUCAUGGAGAAUCGUUCAUUAUGUUCGGACAAGCAAAAACCAUCCGAAUGUUCCAUUUUCUUCGUACGUAAAGCAAACGAAAUCAUCUUCAAGUAGAAGGUUCAUUCGGGCAUUUUAGCAAACAGCAAAUGGGCAUGAAAAAACUCAACAGAUUUCUGCUUAAAUUACAUUACAACCGGCCCCAAAAUUAUCAGAAAAGCAAGGAAUUCAGUCCAACACACGCAGAAAACAUAUGCGAACAAAAUUACCGACCCUCAACAGAAAAAAAAAAUCAUGAUGACAGACCCACGGCAGCCAUGCUUCUGAAAUUCAUUCUUGAAGAAAAAAAAACUGAAAUGUAAAAGGGAAAGAAUAGCUUACAUCGUUUCUCACGGUGAAGAUUCACGAGCGGCAGCGGUGAAUUCCGCUGAUGCGGUGGCGAGCAAUGGUGAUUCCAGUGAACGGCAGCAGCUACAAGCUUUUCGAAUUUGCCCUUUAUUUUUGCUGAAGCUUUCUUCCUCUGCUUCCGUUCGCGGCCGGGGACUUUUCCUCUAUUCUUCAUGUCGCUCUGUUCUUUUUGGCCAAAACCUCCCCUAUUUUCCCUUUUGCUGUUUUUCGUUGAUUGUUUCUUCCAUUUAUGCUCAGCCCGCCGCCCGGUUCCUCUUUUUUCCUGCUUUCCUUUCUUUUGCUCUCGGACGAAAUUUUUCUGUUUUUGUUCUUUUGCCCCUGCUCGGCAAUUCCGCCGCCCCUGCCCUCUCAGCUCUCAAGCCUUUUUGCUUUUUGCUCUCCCUUUUAGCCGCCACCCUCCUCGGCCUUUUCUCCGUGUUUUUUCCCUUUUUUCCUCAGAUUCUUAGCCCCCAGCUUCCCCUUGUUUUGUCUAGCCUCUGUUUUUUCCCCUUGCCCGCUGCUUGGCCCCUCUAUUUUUAGCUCUUUUCUCUUCCCCCUGUUUUCAAGCCUCUUCGAGGGUUUUUUCUUCCUUUUUUUCCGAUGCCCCCCAAAAAACCCCCCAAGUGUCCUUGACAGCUACCCCCUAUACACUUGUCCUACCAUUCCUCAACCACUUGUCUAAUGCUUAUUUGCACACUUGUUCAACAUGCAAUUGACACACUUGUUUAACAUGCUUAAUUUUUAAAAAUUACCUUGCAAAAUGCCUUAGCAAGAAAAAAUCAAAUUUUAAAAAGAUAAAAUGGAUCUUUAUUCGGGAUUUUCCUAAAAUUUAGUGUAAAAUUGCUUUAAAAAGAAAAUGAUGAAUUUUAAUGCAUUUAAAAUAAGAAUGAACAUCAAUUACCAUUUGCAACCUCCAAUCAAUUAAAAAUAAUAAAUAUGAGACAAGAAUAAAUAAUAAUAAUAAAACUAAAAAUUGAAUCAAAGGAAGUCAAAAUUGAAUGAAUAAAGCUAAAACUGAAUCGAUGAAAUUUUUGGUGUCUACAGUUUGCCCCUCUUUGUCUGAGUUUUGAAAAAACUUGAGACAAAGAAGUAGACACCAAAUGCUUACCUGUACCAUUCGGUUGCCCCUAUUCGGAGGGCUGACCUAAACAAGGAAUUUCAAACAUGGGACUGGCCUGAACAGAAUUGUAAACGGGAUAGACCCGGACAGGAAUGUAAAUGCGAUAGACUCGGAUAAAAAUGUAGAUGGGACAGACCCAUGGGAUAGACCCGAACAGAAAAUUAAAUAGAGAACUGUAUAGGACUUGUUUGAAAAAUUAUCUAAAAAAUUUGCCCCAGUGUGAUGAAUUGGUCGGUGGGAUAACAUCUGAGACCGACGGGGUGUGGACGGUCAGCGGGAUAAAACCCGGUCCUGCAGAGGUGAGCGGUCAGCGGGAUUAGACCCGGUCCUGCCGAGGUGAGCGGUCAGCGGGAUUAGACCCGGUCCUGCCGAGGUGAGCGGUCAGCGGGAUUAGACCCGGUCCUGCCGAAGUAAGCGGUCAGCGGGAUUAGACCCGGUCCUGCCGAAGUAAGCGGUCAGCGGGAUUAGACCCGGUCCUGCCGAGAUAAGCGGUCAGCGGGAUUAGACCCGGUCCUGCCGAGAUUGGCGGGAUAAAACCCGGUCCCAAUGUGACUUUUGUAAUGUUGGUGGCACUAAAUCCAAGCCCAACGUGACAAAGCGAAGUUGGUGGCACGAAAACCAAGCCAGGCCCAACGUGAUAAAGUGAUGUUGGCGGCACCAAGUCCAGGCCCAACGUGAUAAAGUGAUGUUGGCGGCACCAAGUCCAGGCCCAACGUGAUAAAGUGAAGUUGGCGGCACCAAGUCCAGGCCCAACGUGAUAAAGUGAUGUUGGCGGCACCAAGUUCAGGCCCAACGUGAUAAAGUGAUGUUGGCGGCACGAAAUCCAGGCCCAACUUGAUCUUUGGAAUGUUGGCGGCACCAAGUCCAGGCCCAACUUGAUUUGGAAUGUCAAGAGAAGGGGGGAACAGAAUGAUGCGCGGCGUGCAUUGGAGCUUCGCCCACAAGAAAUCAAAUUUGAUUUUUCAAGAAACAAGAAUUUGAACUUGAUUUUUGACUUUUUGAUUUGAUUUUUGGUUUUUUCUCUUUUUUUCUUUUUUCCUUCUUUUUUCCCUUUUUUCAAAAAUUUUAAAAAAAUAAUUUGCCCCAAGUGUAGUGUCCAUUUUUCCUCCUUCUUCUUGCUUCUCUUUGCAGUAUCGGCCUUCCGCCUUACUGGAUGCCUUUCGUCAUUUUGAAUCAUGAAUACCUGUACAAGGGGUUCAUCAAAGUAUGACAUGCACUUAAAUUCCAGGAAAAGAGCAGCGGGAUUGUUUCGAAAAAUGUUAUUAUUUGAUUUUUGGACACAAAUCUCAAAUGUAUUACAAAAAAUUUGCCCCAGUAUGGGCUUAUUUCAUGAAAUCUCACAAAUAAAAUUUUUGCCCCAGUGUGGGCUCCCUUAAUUGCAAAAAUUUGUUCAGAUGAUUUCCCAUUGAUUUGAACAAAGAAAAACCGCACUUUCUAAAAUUUAGAAAAGAGUGCACAUAUACAACAAUGUGAAGAAACUUUAAACGUCAAGUUUGAAACUCAUGCAGAAAUUUCAUGAUGAAUUCCUCGAAGUAACACCAAAUUCAAGAAGAUUUCUUCCUCACUUUUAGCAUUGGUGUUUAGGGUAACGGGUCACCACUUCUGGUUGGCUCAUUUUUCAGGACCAAUCAAGUGACUUUAUUUUUGAUUUGGAAGUGGCUGAAGGAAAAUGAGAGGUCAGAAUCUGUCUCAUUUUUGUGCCCCAAUUGUAUGUAAUCCAUUCAAUGUCACAUCUUAGUGAAAGCAAAGAGUUUGUCACCCUUAUUUUUCAAGAAAACUUAGUCAACAUACCAGCUUUCUAGGCUUGUAACGUAUGGACAGAAGUGAUAGCUAAACAUGUGGAAACGGGUUAUACCCUUAUGAUCACAAAUGAUUUGAUGAAUUUCUUAUGAGCAUGAUCCUCACUUUGGAUUGUCAUGAAGGAAUAAGUCAACGAUGGACUUUCUUAGCUUGUAAUUUGGCUUGAAAAACGAUAGCUAAAGAAUAAAACUUUCAAGGACAUUGCACCGAAGAUCACAUUUUUCCAAAAUUGCCCCUAUUUUGAACUCAAAAGAUCUCAGACUUUGUUUGCAUUUUUCUCAUCAUUUACCAGGGACUUCAGCGUCGAAUUUUUCUGUAUUUUCUUGCAUUUACUUUUCUUGCUUCGCUUUUUGCCUCUUUUUCCUUUCCCUCAACUUGGUGGAUUUUCACCUGGUAAGUAGCGUCAACCCCAUACCCAGGCAAUUCAGAAAUACAGCUGAAAUUUUCCGGCAUCAGAAAUUUUCUUGCCAGGGCCAUUGCAAAGAACAGAAGUCAGGACUUUCGGCUUUUGUAAUGGGGUCAGGUGGGGUGCUUAGAAAAGUUAAGGCUUGAAAGCGGAUUUCAAAAGUGGUUUGAAAAAUCUGAGAUCGCAUUGUUGCUCCAGCCCCAUUUUUAGGGUUAAAUCAGAAUUUGCCAGAGCUUGUGUUCAAUUGGGGCUUUUUCUCUUUCAUUUUCUUUCUUCUUUUGAUUUUUCGGCAUUCUGCCAUCUUUGAACUUUCACAAAAUUUGCCCCAGUUUAUUUUUAAACUGAGGUUCUCUUUUCUUCUUUUGCUUUUUGAUUUUGUGACUUUACCUUUUCACUUCUUGAAAUUUUUUCCUUUCAACUCAAACUUGCCCCAGUGUGGGGUUUGCGAUUCUCAGGGGUUGCCAAACGAAGUAUUUCAUUCUGAAGGCUCAAAAGGGAUAACUAGGGAUAGAUGCUUGAUCGGAAAAGAAGAUGGCCUGACUUGUAUUCCGUUCCUUACAUUAACUCUGAAAAGAAAUUUUCAUUAAUGGGAAAUUUUUGGCAUGUAUCCGAAUUAACUGACUGAGGAAGACCCUUGCUCAUUCAUGUCUAUGAAACAUAAGUGAUCCACCGGAUAGAACUUGUUUUCUUCUUUUUCUUUUCUUUUUUUUUUUCAAAAUUGGAACCCAAGUGAAAUCAAAUUCCCCAAAUUUGCGGUUCCCUCCUUAUUCUAGCAUUUUUUGCUUUUCCCCUUUUCUUUUCCCUUUUUUCAAAAUUUCCCAAUCUCCUUCCCCAAUGUGGGGUGCGAUCAUAUGUGCACUCGAAAAGAACCACCAAUUUAGCUCAAACGAGGAUGCAAGGGAUGAUCAGUGUUUAGAUUGUAGAACUGACGGCCAAAGUAUCAUUCUUAUACCUCAUGACAACCGAAGUAGCGAAAUGGUCAUUGAAAACCCAUUCUUCUUUUGAUAUUUGAAAAUUUUUCAAUGACGGGUAGUGAUCAUUAAGACCCUUAUUUGAAACGAAAUUAUUCUUUUAGAAGCUCAAAUGGGAGAGCAAAUGAUAAAAAUCUGUACAGGUAAUGAAACGAAUGCUUGAAGUAUCAUUCCAAAUUUUCCAAACAAAUAAGAAUAAUGCACAUUUUUGCUUUCACUUAGAUGUGAUUGAACCAGAUUAGACGCCUUGAACAUUUUCAAGCAAAAGUUGCCCCAAUUUACAAUUUAUCAAUCAAUGUGACUGAUUUUAUUUUGGAAUUAAGUGAAGGAGAAAGGUAUCUCAUAGGGCCUUUUGAGUGACCGUUCACUCUCUUUCUUUCUGAGCACUCUUAUUGUACAGGUUGGAACACCAAUCGAGUGUAAGGAUUUUAGGAAGCAUACACUUGUGAAAUUCAGGCUAUAGGUUGAAAAAUCUCAAAUUGGGUCUUAUUUCUCAAAAAUCAUCAUGAAAUCUCCAAUGAGUAAGAAUAAAGAAUGAAAUGUACAUAAAUAUACACAAAACAAAAAUUAUCCAAAAAAUUUUAUUGUUGAAAAAGUUUGAAACAAAAUUGCUCAAUCAAAUAUGAUACAAAUGAGAAGAGAGAAACUCGUAAAGAGCUCAACACAUACACUUUUUGUCUCCUUUUCUUUUGGAACAAAAUGUAUUAACAAAUCAAAUAAAUAGAAUUUCCCCUUUAUGCUUUCGCGGCAAUGUCUACCUAAAAAUCAAGUAAUACUUGUAAUCUUCAAGCUUUAUUGGAUCAAAAUUAUCAGAUAUAGAAGAAUAUUCUCGCCUUAUUGAAACAUUUUUAUAAAUGCAGGGGGAGGGGAAAACAAAAAGAAAAAUACCCAGAGUCAGUAAGUAAGAAUAAAAAAAAUCGGUAUGCAUGUCCUAUGGGGGAACCCUUUUUAUGCCAAGGGUAAGCCUAGCAUGAAAAUGCAAUCCUCUAGGGAAGCACUAUACCAUACCUGACGGAUCUGAUCAACUCAUUGAGUGAAAAAUAAUUUGAAAAAUUUGGCCAUUGGAGUGGCAAGAGAUUUGUCAAAAUGAGGACAACGUCCGAAUAGAUUGAUCACCUUUGAUUUGCAAAACGCAUGGGUUUGACCUUGACGAACUCCUAUCGAAGAGAUUGGAAUUCGUUGAUAAAAUUUCUCAGUGAAUUACGGGUCAAAAACCCUAAUUGAUCAAGUGAUUGGAUGCAAUGGACGGUUUUCUUCAAAAUUGACUAGAUUUCCCAAUUUGGAAUUCGACAUUGAAAUCCUAAUUGGUCAAAUGAAAUUGACAAUUUAUUGAAAAUCGACCGGAUUACCCUAGAAGGGAAACAGGUCAAAAACGGCUCGGUUGCCCUAAAAAAAGGUAAAUUGGCCAAAUGAAUGAAAUUGAAUUAGUGACUUGUUCAAAAAUCGGCCGAACGACCCUAAAAAGGGUAAAUCGGUCAAAUGAAUUGAUGAUUUAUUCAAAAUCGACCGGAUGACCCUAAAAAGGGUAAAUUGGUCAAAUGAAUUGACGAUUUAUUCAAAAUCGACCAGGUGACCCUAAAAAGGGUAAAUUGAUCAAAUGAAUUGAUGAUUUAUUGAAAAUCGACCAGGUGACCCUAAAAAGGGUAAAUUGGUCAAAUGAAUUGACGAUUUAUUCAAAAUCGACCGGAUGACCCUAAAAAGGGUAAAUUGAUCAAAUGAAUUGAUGAUUUAUUGAAUGAAUGGGUAAAAUGGAUUGGUUGUGUCGCGCCCCACUUUUUGAAAAAUAAGUGUGAAUGUGUGAUGGUGUGUGAGUGUGUGUGAUAUACAUGUGAACGUGUGCGGAAUGAAAAGUAAAAGGCCAUGGGACUUAGAAUGCGACGAUUUGGCCAAGUGAAGUUCAAAAGGGUUUUGGUAUCAAAAAAUGGAGUCGCCACUUGGUAUAGAGUUAGGGUGUACCAAGUCACCCAAAAAUGAUUUUUGUUUUUGAAUAAAAAAAAGUAAAUAAACCCUUUUUGAGAACUUUUGGGUCUGCGUAACCAAAAGAGGGAUCGGGGGUCACAUUUGACGAAGGGGAAGGCAAGGAUAAAAAUCCAAGGCACCCCUUCGACCUAGCCAAGGCUAGUUGCGUGACUUAAACCAAUUUUCCUAAUUUUUCUACCCAAUGUAUGUUCGCACGUUGGAUAUGACUAUAUGAAUGCAAAACGGAAAGGAAAAUGCAAUCCUAAAUUCUACGAUGUCUUUCGUGAGGCUUUUGGUCCCAAACCACAUGAAUUGUGGCGGCCAACAAAGGAAAACCCCCAUAGAGGUCGAUUAAUGCAAAUGAGACUCAAAUGUGCAAGUGUGGAAGUGUAUGAAAGAAAUUAAAAAUCCAAGUGUUUGUGUGCAAGUGUAUGAAAAGGUGCACGUGUGCAAUUGUAUGAAAAUUCCAAGUGUUUGUGUGCAAGUGUAUGAAAAGGUGCACGUGUGCAAUUGUAUGAAAAUUCCAAGUGUUUGUGUGCAAGUGUAUGAAAUAUAGUGAUAAGUGCAUAUAGGUGUAAUUAAAUGCAAUUUUGUGAAGUAGAAAUCAAAAUGAACAACAAGGAAAGGAAAAUGUGAAUUGAAAAGAAUGAGUGAGUGAUAAAUGAGAAUGAAUGAACCUAAGGGAAUGCAUCAGGUCGGGUAUGGGAAUGACUCCUAACUUGUCGACUUCGAUUUUCCCUUUGAUUAGAAGGUAAAACUAGCGUGCUAAGGCUAUCGAGUAGCCACACUCGCUCGUUUCCCUUAUCAGAAGGGGACCUUCAAGCAAAUGGACCCUACAACUAUCAUGAUAUGCAAAAAUCCUAAAAUGAAGGGAAAGGGGGUUCGAGGAGCAUGCCAAGUGAUAAAACUAAGAAAAAUGCAUGAUAUGUGGUGAACAAGCAAAUGAUAUGCUAAUGAGGGGAAAUCCCUAAGGGUCUAGCGUUGGACUAGCCCAUUCUAUGAAUUCCGACUAGCGUUGGACUAGCCCAUUCUAUGAAUUCCGACUAGCGUUGGACUAGCGGAAACGUACAUUCAUCCAUUCCAUUCAUUCAUGGCUAUGAAAGCAAGUAGACAUGCCAAAAUACUCGUAAACACAUAGCACAUAGCAUUUAGCAUGCUCGACUAGAUGCAAGAGCCUAAUAAAGCAAUUAAACAUGUAGCAACAAAAACAAGCAAGCAAGGGGAAGGGGAAGUGGACCAGAUGCUCUCCGAGCCCUAUCUAUUACAAGCCAAGAGGUGUACACAUACCCCAUAAAAGCAUAAAGGGGAAGGGGAAGUGGACCAGAUGCUCUCCGAGCACUAUCUAUUACAAGCCAAGAGGUGUACACAUACCCCAUAAAACUUAAAUAAAAGUAAGGCAAGUAAAUGCACGCAAGGAGGUAAGGAAAGCGAAGUAGACAGGCAUAUUCACAUAACACAUAAGGUCACAUAGGAUCAAAUGAAGUGCAAAUGAGGGAUAGAGUGUACCUCCCUUGGAAUGGAGUCCAAAUGAAGUGAAAUUAUUCAAUUACCCUCCAAAAUAAUAAAAAGGUCAUGGCACCACUUUAUUUAAGAAAAAUUAAAAGAAAUGGGCAAAACAAGGCUCACCUAGUCAUAAAGUCCCUAAAGUCAUAACUUAAGUGCAAUUUAAGCAAAGCAAGGUGGCUAAUUGGAAUCGAACAAACAAUGAAAUUGCAAAAGUUAAAACUACCAAGGACCAAGUUGAAGACAUUAUUCAAUUAGUUGGGUCAAAGUAGCAUUAGUUAGAAGCCAAGGGGUCAAAAUGCAAUUUUAGAAAAUUAUUUCAUGCAAUCUUCAUGCAAAGAACGUAGCUUAUAUUCUGCAACAAAGUUUCAGCCAUUUCUAAAGCCUUUUGCACUAUUCUAGCCGUAGCUUGCGUUUCAAUUCAUUGUCUUAAAUGAAACAAAAAUGUAAUCUUCAUCCGAACACAGCCCAACAUCCCAAUCCAACAUCAAACCGCAAUUUCUAGCAAGAAAACAAAGCUAAACAUUUGAAUAUACAAACAGCAAGAGAAAUUCUGCAUUUUUCGACAUAUGAUUUCAGCAAUGAGACUUGCUGCAUUUUCUUUCAACCUCUGAUUUCUAAUCCCAGCUUUGAUUAGAUAUUUUCAACCCAACAUCACCACUUUAGAUUAAGCAAGCAAAAAACUACACAGCCUCCACGAUUCAAACAAGCAAACUCUUAGAAAAAGCAACAUCAUGCGAAAUUCUGGACAGCAUGCUUGAAAAACAAAAGUUUCUGCAAUAAAAAAAAAAACAAAGCUUGCGGCCCUUUGCCAAGCUCAACGCAAUUUUCCAGGUUCACAGCUUCAAACUAGGCAAUAUACUACAUCAUUAACAUCAUCCUAGCAAACAGAAAUCUUAGCAACAUCCCACGCAAAAAAAAUCCAGGCAAUUAUGCAAGCAUUUGAUGAACUAAACUAAUGCAACCUUUCUAGUUUUACCCUCCAAAACCAGAUUUCAUAGCCAAGCAUAUGCACUUUUGGACCAUAAAAUCCUUAUGUUUAAGCACAAUAAAUUGAACAAAAACUGUAUAAGUAUCGAAGAACAACAUUCUGUAAUUUGGAAGCAGAAAAAUUCAUGUCAAACUUCGAACCAAAACCAGCAGACCCAUCACUCGAAACCUUUAACAAGCUGAACAUUUUGAUGAACGCAAACCAGUUGCAAAACCAAACCAUUAAAAACCAAACGAGGAACCCAACGAAUAGCACAGAAACAACAACCAGAUUUCUGGAUUUUAUCUUUAAGAAAUUAUCCUAACAAAAGGAUCGGCAAAUUAAGCUAACAUGGAGGAACCAGAAAUGAAUUCCGAUUUGAAAGCGUAGACAGCAACAAUAAACAGAAAGAAAAAUCAAAAUGACGAUUCAACAAAGAACAAAAAGGAAAGGGACUAAGACACCAAUCUAGGAGAGUACUUGCCCAAACGUUUUUGGAUCAAAAUCUGGACAGGAAACGUCAUGAAAGAGCGGCCGAAGCUGUCCCGUUCGGCUCCGAAACCGCACCAGCAAAAUUAAGCAGCGAUCUUUGGGGGCGAAUUCAAAGGAUCAUUCGAUGUUUUCUGCCAACAAAUUCUGAACGAAACCUCCUCCCCUUACUUCCUAGUUAGUGCAGAAACUGAGAGUUACUUAAAAGAACCAGAGAUCAAAGAGAAAUCUGAUCCGGAACAUGGCUCAUAGCCGGCCUUUGGUCAGAAAAAUUGCAGCUUUAUCACUUCUGUUCCAAUUUUGUUCGUAGCCUUCUUCUCCUCCGUCCAUUGCUCAUUUCCUCCUUGCUUAUCACGGUUCCUUCCCCAAGCUCUUCCUCUCUCUGCUUUCCUUCUUCCUUCUUCCAGAACCCACGCCGUCAAUCUCUUUCUUUCUACAUCUAUUUGCUUCAGCCGCCACCUUGCCCUUUCUUUUCUUUUUCCUCUCAAAGCUCCUCCUCUCCGUUUUUCUGGUUUCUUUCCUUAGCCCACCGAAGCCUCAGCUCUCCCAUUGCUCUCCCCUCUGUCCAGUUUUGCUCCCGUUUUUUCUUUCCGCUCCCGUUAGCUGCAAAACUCUCCCCACGAUGAAGCUCUCCUUGCGGCUGAUGUCUUCUUUCCUUUUUGUACCAUCUCCCAAUCCCCUAAACCUGCUCUCAAUGGCCAGCAAUCAACCUCCUCUCAGCCCCUUAUCUUAGCCAUCCGAUGGGCAUUGAGGUUGUGCCUCGCACGCUGCAAAAAAAAAAAAAUGCAGCGUGCACGCUGCGGUAAUCUCUUUUUUUUUUUUUUUAUAAAAAGAAUGCAUAUAAAUGAUAAUAAUAAUAAUAACAAAAUGACAGAACCAUGCAAUAAUAAUAAGAACGAAAACAAAUAAAUAAAUAAUAAAAAAAACAAACUAAAUAAAAACGACAAAAUGUCCAUUUUUCAAAUUUUCUACAUUUUCUUUCUUUUCAUUUUCAUUCAUUUUCUUUUUCUCAAAAUAACUUAAUAAAAAUAACUAAAGUGCCCAAAGAUUGAAUAAACAUAUUUUGUGAACAAAUUUUCCCUUUUUUUCUUUUUUUCAUUUCAAGAAUUUCUAUGCUAAAAACUUAAAAAUAAAAAUAAAACUAUAAACUAAAAACUAAAAAUCGAAUAAAACUAGCAUGACAAAUAAAAACUAAAAAUAAACAGUAAAUGAAAUUACACCAAAAAUUUGGUGUCUACAGGUUGAAUUGUCCGGCCAUUGGUGAUUUCAAAAUGAUUGAGAUGCAUUAGUCUAUGAGCUUCUAAAAAUCAAAUUUUGGCCUCAAUUUAUUUAUCGUCUCAAUAGAAGGAAUCAUUUGUGAAUUUCUUCAAAUUACUGUCCUUCACGCAAGGAAUUUUUACCAAUUUUUGAUAAAAUGGCCAAAAAGUGAUUAUUAGAUGCUCAUAUUCCAAAGAUCACUCUAUGAAAAUGAUCGGAUCCUACCUUACCUUGUGCACUACCCCCUUUGGAUGGUACAAAAUGUAAACGUGCAAGUCUCACUGGAUUAAGUAUCCGAGACACAAGGUGGCUUAUUCCUGACACGGGAUCCCCUAAAUGGCAUUCCCUUUCUAGGGUUUAUGCAUGAUGUCAUUUAUUAAAGCGAUGUAAAUAUGUGACAAAUAUGACCUAAGGGACAUAAAUAAUGCAUCGGGGGAAAAAAGGUCUAAAAUGAAAUGUAUUUAUUAAGUAUAAUGACUGAAAUUUAAACAUGUGAGUUAUCUAGUGGAUAGGUCACUAAAAGAGUGCCAAAAGGGCCUCUUAUUGCUAGGGCAUAUGAAUGCAAGCCAAGAAAACAAAAGAAUGGUUAGUGCAAUUGGUAAUACACAUAACAUAUUGGGAGCAAUUAAGAAAAAGAAAUACAAUAAAGCAAGUAAGAGGGGUGGAACCCCUUCCCUCGUGCCUAAUGUGUUUAAAAUAGGGUGAGGCUGACUCUAACCUAGGAAAAUUCUAACAUGGAUGCAUGAGGCUGGGGUUCACUAAUGCAUCUAGACUCGAUAAGGUUUCGGCUCCCAAGCCUUCAGACCUAAAGGCGAAGGGUCAUCACUCCCAGGGCCUUUGAUCGGUGGCUCGAGUGAUCCCUUAGGUAGCGCUAUGGGCGCAGAGCACACCAGCCGCCUACCCAAGGCGCCUACCCAAGGCAAUCGAUCCUAAUCCUACAAGGCGGUGUGGGAAACGCCCACGAAAAAUAAAAUAAAAUGGGAUAAAAGCAAGUAAACGUGCACGUAUGAAGUGUUUUCCUAUUUUGAGGGAAGGGGUUGAGAACCACGAGAGGCUCUAAAGGUGACACACCCCCUCCCAAAUGCAAUGCAAGCGCGAGAUAAACAAGUAAACAUACAUCCAAUCAACCAAUCACACGUACGUGAGUGAGGGAAUAGUUUGAUACGCGCGUGAGGAAAAGGGUCCUAAAAAGGGAAAAUGCAACCCUAAUAUCCACAUGCUAUACAUAAAAAAGGUAGAAAAAAGGAAAAGAACGGCUAAAUCAAAUGCUCGGACCCACUUAGGAAGUCCCCAGUGGAGUCGCCAACUGUCGCGCCCCACUUUUCGAAGAUGAUGAGUUGUGGUGUGUGUGUGGUGUGAGAUGUGAGUGGUGUAAUGGAAUGUGAACGUGUGUAAAUGAAAAGUAAAAGGCCAUGGGACUUGAUAAUGCGACGGUUUGGCCAUAUAAAGUUCAAAAAGGGUUUUUUGUAUCAAAAAUGGAGUCGCCACUUGGUAUAGGGUUAGGGUGUACCAAGUCACCCAAAAAAUGGUUUUUUGUUUUUGAAUAAAAAAAGUAAAUAAACCCUUUUAAAGAACUUUUGGGUCUACGUAACCAAAAAGAGGGAUCGGGGGUCACAUUUGACGAAGGGGAAGGCAAGGAUAAAAAAUCCAAGGCACCCCUUCGACCUAGCCAAGGCUAGUUGCGUGACUUAAACCAAUUUUUCCUAAUUUUUCUACCCAAGGUAUGUAUCGCGUGUUGGAUAUGUCUAUAUGAAUGCAAAACCCUAGACCUAGGGGUAUUGGGGGAAAUUUCUCUUCAAAGGUUGAGUGGUGCCAAUCACAUUAAUUGUGAAGCCCAAUAAUGAUCCUUUGGAGAGGUCACACGUAAUCCUAAAUGACGUAAAAAUGAAUGGGGUGCAUGUCAUGUGAAAAUGUAAGUUUAUGUGAAGUGAGAAAAGUGGAGGUGUGCAAAUGUAUUUACAAGGUAAGGUGAGUAAAGAAUGAUAAUGUGAAAAUAAUAUAAAGUGCAUGUGUGCGAGUGAUAUGGCAUAGAGUGUGAGUAGUUAAAUGAAAACGUGUAAAAGUAGUGUGAAGUGAGAAUGUGGAAAAAGGGUUAGAAUAUAAAGUAAGUGUAUGUGAUAGUGAAUGAAUAGAAUGCAUGAAUCCUAUAGGAAUGCAUCAAGACGGGAACGGGGAGUCCUAACUUUGUGACUUAAUCUUCCCUUUGAUUAGAAGGCGAAACUAGCGUGCUAAGGCUAUCGAGUAGCCACACUCGCUCGUUUCCCUUAUCAGAAGGGGACUCUUCAGGCAAAUGAACCCUAUAACUAGCAUGAAAUGCAAAAAUCCUAAAAUGAGGGGAAAGGGGAAUCGAGGAGCAUGCCAGAUGAUAAAACUAAGGAAAAAUGCAUGAUAUGUAGUGAACAGGCAAAUAAUGCAUUAAUGAAAAACAAAGGAAAAAUCCUAUUGGGUCUAGCGUUGGACUAGCCCUUUCCAUGAAUUCCUAAUGAAAUAAUGAACCACAACUAGCAUUGGACUAGUGUGGUGACGUACAUUCAUCCAUCACAUUUAUUCAGGCUAUGGAAAGCGAGUAGACAUGCCAAACACUUAUAAACACAUAGCACAUAACAUUUUGCAUGCUCGACUAGAUGCAAGGCCCUAGCAAAGCAAAUUAACACGUAGCAACUAAGCAUGCAAGGCACAUGAGACAAUUAAAGCCCUAACUAUUACAUUUGCUAGCUAGGCACAAGUCUUCGAUAGGUCUUCAUUGAAUGCUCCUCCAAGCCUUAUCUAUUACAUUAGGGGGACCCUACUACAAUCUAAAAGGGGGAAAGGGAAUAAAAUAAUUGAAUCCCUAACUAUUACAAGCCAAGAGGUGUACACAUACCCCAUAAAGAAUAAUUUAAAUAAAAAGCAAAAGUAAAUGAAAUAAAUGAAAUAAAUGAAAGGAGUUAAAGGAAUGGCAAGGAAAGCAACGUAGACAUGCAAUUCACACUUAGCACGUUGGAUCACAUAGGAGAAAUAAAAAUCAAGGAGAUAUAGGUUACCUCCCUUGUAAUUGGGCCCCACUGAAGUGAAAUCACUUAUUUAUCCUCCAAAAUAAAAGAAAUGGUCAAGACACCAAUUUAUUUGGCAAAUAAUCACAAAGGAUAAAAAUAAACAUGAAUUUGAAUCAAUUAAAUCAUGUCAACAAACCACAUUUAAGAAGUCAAGAGAAGAGAGGACUUGAUUGCAAAGAUUGAAAAAAAUUUUGGGGCCAAAAUUAAAGAAAAAUAAAGUUCAAGGGCCUAUUUGCAAUUAAACCAGGGACUCAAUUGAAAGGAAUGGAAAUGUCUAGGGCCACAGUAAAAAUAUCCAAAAGUCAGGGGACUGGAAUGAAAUUUCGUCAUUGGGCUACUGGACUUAACAGGCCAUUGGGCCCUUCUCUCUAUUUGUUUGGGCCAAGACUCCUUAGCCUGCCACAAAGCCCAGAGGCUACAUCUGGGCUGGCCUCUACUUAUCAAUAAAACAAACCCAACAAAAGAGUGGGCUUUAGCCCCCCUUAAGCCCAAGCCAAAAAUCCAAACAAAAUAAACUAAACCCACUUUCAUAAAUCCAAACAAAUUAUUAUUACCCACAACCCAAAUCAUAAUAUCAAACCUAACAAGAUUAGCAAAUCAACUAAAAUUAUUAGGCCAUAAUUAUAAUCCAAAUCCCAGAAUUAAUCUAUCCAACAAAUCACAUAAAAUAUGCAAACAGAGGAAUAAGCUUAAAAGGGCAAAAUUAGUUUGAUUUUUCCAGAUUUUGGGCCGUAAUGAAAUGAGACAGAAAAUGAGGGAUUAAAUUGCAAUUUUAGACAUUUCUUCACUCAUGUUUCGCAGAGGCUUUCCUCUUCAUUGCUGAUACCAGUUAAGCAUUUCAGCUUUCCUUUCGAUUAGCAAAACCAGAAAUUUGGUUUCGAUUCCAAUCAUUCCAGCAAACAAUGAAACUCACAACAAUACUCCCUCUCAACAUCGAUUCGGAUUCAAGCAUAGAGAUAAAAAAACAGAAAAAAAAAACAACGAACCAACACAGCUUCUAUCAUGGAGAAUCGUUCAUUAUGUUCGGACAAGCAAAAACCAUCCGAAUGUUCCAUUUUCUUCGUACGUAAAGCAAACGAAAUCAUCUUCAAGUAGAAGGUUCAUUCGGGCAUUUUAGCAAACAGCAAAUGGGCAUGAAAAAACUCAACAGAUUUCUGCUUAAAUUACAUUACAACCGGCCCCAAAAUUAUCAGAAAAGCAAGGAAUUCAGUCCAACACAUGCAGAAAACAUAUGCGAACAAAAUUACCGACCCUCAACAGAAAAAAAAAAUCAUGAUGACAGACCCACGGCAGCCAUGCUUCUGAAAUUCAUUCUUGAAGAAAAAAAAAACUGAAAUGUAAAAGGGAAAGAAUAGCUUACAUCGUUUCUCACGGUAAAGAUUCACGAGCGGCAGCGGUGAAUUCCGCUGAUGCGGUGGCGAGCAAUGGUGAUUCCAGUGAACGGCAGCAGCUACAAGCUUUUCGAAUUUGCCCUUUAUUUUUGCUGAAGCUUUCUUCCUCUGCUUCCGUUCGCGGCCGGGGACUUUUCCUCUAUUCUUCAUGUCGCUCUGUUCUUUUUGGCCAAAACCUCCCCUAUUUUCCCUUUUGCUGUUUUUCGUUGAUUGUUUCUUCCAUUUAUGCUCAGCCCGCCGCCCGGUUCCUCUUUUUUCCUGCUUUCCUUUCUUUUGCUCUCGGACGAAAUUUUUCUGUUUUUGUUCUUUUGCCCCUGCUCGGCAAUUCCGCCGCCCCUGCCCUCUCAGCUCUCAAGCCUUUUUGCUUUUUGCUCUCCCUUUUAGCCGCCACCCUCCUCGGCCUUUUCUCCGUGUUUUUUCCCUUUUUUCCUCAGAUUCUUAGCCCCCAGCUUCCCCUUGUUUUGUCUAGCCUCUGUUUUUUCCCCUUGCCCGCUGCUUGGCCCCUCUAUUUUUAGCUCUUUUCUCUUCCCCCUGUUUUCAAGCCUCUUCGAGGGUUUUUUCUUCCUUUUUUUCCGAUGCCCCCCAAAAAACCCCCCAAGUGUCCUUGACAGCUACCCCCUAUACACUUGUCCUACCAUUCCUCAACCACUUGUCUAAUGCUUAUUUGCACACUUGUUCAACAUGCAAUUGACACACUUGUUUAACAUGCUUAAUUUUUAAAAAUUACCUUGCAAAAUGCCUUAGCAAGAAAAAAUCAAAUUUUAAAAAGAUAAAAUGGAUCUUUAUUCGGGAUUUUCCUAAAAUUUAGUGUAAAAUUGCUUUAAAAAGAAAAUGAUGAAUUUUAAUGCAUUUAAAAUAAGAAUGAACAUCAAUUACCAUUUGCAACCUCCAAUCAAUUAAAAAUAAUAAAUAUGAGACAAGAAUAAAUAAUAAUAAUAAAACUAAAAAUUGAAUCAAAGGAAGUCAAAAUUGAAUGAAUAAAGCUAAAACUGAAUCGAUGAAAUUUUUGGUGUCUACAAUCAUCAAACUGUAAAUAAGGAUCAUCAGAAACUCCUAGCAAUGAUGGCUCUUCAAAAGCAUCCGAUAAGUGGGGGCAAGAAAUUUUUUCCGAGCAGCUCAUAUAGGCUAGCUGACAGUCAUUGAGCAAUCAGAACACAGACCGAAAACUUUCUGCGAUUAAGUAACAACUAGUUUCAAGGACAAGAAGCCAGGAAAAAAAGAGCAAACUUGUAGUAAUGUACUAAUAUAGCAAGUAAAUUCUUACUGCUAGACCUUGUGGUUGAAACGAUAGAUUGAUAGUGUACAAGCUCCAACGAUAAGGAUAUCAGGUGUUGGCUAUCUGAGACAGCAAUAUGAAAGAAAAGAGUGCCAUCAUAAACAUUUCUGUCCAAGAUACUGGCUAUGCAAUUCAACGAGUAAUUAGUAGCCAAUGGAGAUUUCUAGUUAAACUUUGAGCCUAAGUUCACCGCAAAACAGAAAAUUCGAACUCAAAUAUUAUGUAGAGAGCAAGAAAUCUAACAAGCCAAUUCAGAUAAUUUCAUGAAGCUAUUGUUCGGUCAAUCCUACAAAAACAAAGCAUGGAACAGAAUAUGAACAGAGUUAUAGUAAUACAUCAAAGCAGGGAGCAGGAUAGGUGCUUUGUUUCAUGCUAAUUGAUGGUUACAAGAGUAUUAUGUUGUUAGGAGUAAUGAAAAGCACCAAUAUUUUGGACCUGCUAAGGAAUGCUAAUGGUGUAGCUUUGAAAGAUAAUAAAUAGGACUAGAAAAAGGAAGAAGAGAAAAUUGUGAUGAAGGUUAAUCAAAAUGGGGUGGUGAAGAGAAGGCAAAUCUCAAAACGACAAAGAGAUUGAUUAUAAGGCAGGAGGCAGUCUUACAUGAUUGAAUUCGAUUUGAAGAUGAACUGUUAACCACUUAUGUCUAGUUAUUGAAUAUGAGUAACUUUGGACCACUGGGAGUCGGGGCUGCUGCUCUCAGGAGUGCAUCUUUCUUUUAACACAGGAGAACCAUAAACGUGCAGACAUUUUAGUUUGGUGAGACUUCUCAUGGCAUCCUCAGAGGGUAGAUGUCCAAGCUCUUUGAAAUCAUAUAAAUAUAGUUCUUCAAGAGCAGCGAAGUUUCCGAACCAAUCUGGCAGAGCUUUUAUACCUCCAAAGUAACCUAGCGCGAGUGACGUGAGAGCGGUCAAGUAUUGGAUCUGAGGUGGCAGGGACUCCAUGUGUGGCAACCCAUAUAAGUAUAAUUCACGGAGUGCGGAUGAUGAAGAGGAGGAGGAGGAGGAUAUCAAUCCAGACCAAUCAAACUCAUUGUAAAUUGAAGAAUUUUCAUGAUCAUCACCAUCAUCUAAGAAGGGACCAAUUGUAAGCUCCCUUAAGCUGGUUAGGAAACCAAAUCCUUUGGGCAUCAUGCUUGUUUUCAGUUUGCGACACCACAAUAAUUUCAGCUUCUAGAGAGAAGGCGUUUGUUGCAAAUCAAGCGGAAAGGAGAUAAGAUUGUCGCAACAAACCACCCGAAGCUUUUGGAGAGAGGCACAAGAGUGUAGCAUGUCACCUGGCAGAUUCGUCAACCCACGGCAACCCCAAAUCUCCAGCUGUUUAAGAGACGUAGAGUUUUGUAGGGGAAGCAGUUCUCUGCAUCUGUUGCAGUAAUUAAAUUCCAAACUCGCUAACUUGGGGAGUGUUGUUGGCAAAUCCAUUAACCAUUGAGGAAAUUGAUCGCUCAUGAAAUUCGAAAUUGACAACUCCUUCAAAUUUGGGUGGGGUCGAAGGCCAUCUAACACAUCUUCGUCGUGGUUGUCACCUUCUCGAUUGUUGGUCCACUCAAGUCGCAACUUAGAUAGAUUUUUCUUUUCAGAUAGACAUGUUUUUUCAGCUCCUUCCUUAUCCUUUACUAGUUCAAGAUUGCGUAUCUCCAAACUGCCCUUGAGGUUUUUCAAGCAUCCAAGCUCUCUAACUUGUCUACCCUUCUCUCGACCCACAUUAAAGAACUUUAGUGUUUGAAGGCAAAUUAGUCGUCCCAUGUCUAGCGGCAUUUGAAAUUCUUUAUCACUUUUGUAAUAAUGAAGAUGUCUCAAGCUAAUCAAAUUGGACAUGCUCUUCGGAAGAUCAUCAACCGCUGAGUAACUCAGCGUCAAUGUUUGCAGAUUAUAAAGCUUGCAAAGGGAAUCCGGCAAAAUACGGAUUGCAGAUUCCGAAAGGUCAACACACCGCAAAUGCAUCAAUUUGCCAAUUGAGAUUGGCAACUCCUCAAUUUCUCCACGAGACAAAUUCAAAACAUACAAGUUCUUCAACUUCAUUAACAUGUCAUCAGAUAAGUCACCCUUUACAAACAAUGUAUGAAGCGAAGCUGAUAGACUCUCCAAAAGUUUUUCUCUGUCUUCUGCACCAACAAAUGAGUCUAUUGUAAGGUAACGAAUCUGAUUAUCGUUGUCUACUGUAUAUGUAUCCCCAUUAUUAAUGACUUUGGUAGACUUUGACAUUGACUCUGCAAGGUCAUGCACCAAAUCAUGCAUCUUAUAAUAUGUUUUCCAAUCAUAUCUUAUUUCUUCAAACAAUGAACUCUGCAAUAAAAUUCUCAGAUAAUUCAUUCCAAUUUCCUCCAUCAUCAUUUGGCUGUUGACAUCUGCUUGGAGGAAACCUUCUGCCAUCCAAAGUUCGAUAAGCAUAUUCCUUUCUAUCUCACUAUCCUUAGGAAAUAUAGACCAAUAUGCAAAACAUUUCUUAAUGUAUGGAGAUGGCAAAUUAUCAAAACUCAACUUAAGUAUUUGCAUGACACGAUCUUCAUCUCCACUAAAACUCAAAAGCCUAUUCUCCAAAAUUGAUUGCCACUCCUCUUUUCUCUUUAAACGUAAUAGACCUCCGAUUACACUUGCAGCCAAUGGUAGACCAUCACAUCUUUUGAUUACUCUCUCUUUAAUUGCUUUUAGUUCGUAAGGUACUUCUCCCCCUCCAACUACUUUUUCUUUUAGGAUAGACCAGCAAAGAUCAUCAGGUAGCCUUCCUAAGGCAUAGGCUUCAUCAUCCAUCAUCAAAGCUCCAGACACAAUACCUGCCACCUGACCACUACGAGUAGUGACAAGACACCAGCUUCCAUCAGUUGGAUUGAGUCCUUUCAAGGUGGUGAAAAGGUCAUCCCACAAUGCAUGAUUAUCAUCCCACACAUCAUCAAGAACUAGGAGAUAUCUUUUUCCCCCAAGUUGAUUCUGAAUUUUUUCAACGAUGACUUCCCUAACAUCUACUUCAACCUUUUCUUUUGUCAAAUGCACUAAUAUGAGUUUGAAAAGCUCCUCUAUUGGAACUUUUUUUGAUGCACAAACCCAAACCUUUUUGUCGAAGUGCCCAUCAAUUUGCUGAUUGUUGUAUAUCGAUUUAGCCAAAGUUGUUUUGCCUAGACCUCCCAUACCAAUUAUGGGAAGAACAGAAACAACCUUCUCAGACGGGCUCAACAGCAUCUUCACUAUCUUUGAUUCAUCAUCGGCUCUUCCAACCAUUGGAGCAACAACUGAGUCGGUCUGCCGAUUUCUUGUGUCUCCAGCAGCAGGAGCAGCAGGGAGGGUAGCUGUCAAGACUGGCCUACUGACCAGUCCCAAUCCAUGGGCAUCUUGAUAGAUGCCAUUCAACUUAACUUUGAUGUCCCUGACCUUAGAAGCCAUCCUCCAACGAAAAGCAAGAUUAAUGUUAGAGAAGGAGAAGAAGCAGCAUACCUUUUGCUUGUGUCGGUUUCGGGACUCCACCUGGUGACGAAGAGAUUCAUAGUGAAGCUCAUCCAACACGUUGUCAGCAUCAUAAGCAACCUCCUCGAGACUCUUCAACCAUUCUUGCACUGCCGUCUCCUGGUUAUGCUGCCUUUCCUCAGCAUCAGUCAAGAAAGCUUUGAUCAAGCGUAGAGAACGGGUCAUGCUGGCCAAAUCCUCCUCGAAUCCAACUAACAUACCAAUCCUAUCAGAGGCAAGAGACAGUGCCAUUUCCAAGGUGACCUGAAUUGUUGAACUAAUAAGAGCGUCAGCCAUUUUUGCUGCCUUGGAUUCAGUGUUGAGAUCAAGAUGGUUUUUUUGAUGGAAGGUUUUAUGCAGCCAGGAACUGGUAAUCUUAUCUAGGCUAGUAUAAUUGGUUAUGAAGAAAGGAGCAUUAACAAUUAUUCCGCGUAGACGUGGAGGUCUUCUCUGACAAAUCGUAAGCUUUUGUAUUGGCAUGUUUACAGUAACUUUCUCAAUUAUUGUUAGUUGUUCGGGCAUCAUGGUUUCUGAUUAAAUAAUUUAAAUGCUGGGGCCUUCAAAUUUUUUGGUUGUGGACCAUUGUUUUUGUCCGCGAUCAAAUCAUAAAGCAGGGGCGGAUUUAAGGUGGGGCAUUGGGGGCACGGGCUCCACUGUCCCCCUUAAAUUCCUAUAAUACAUAUACAAUUUUGAUAUAAUUUUAAGUAUGUUUUCAGAGUUUUUUUAGAAAGGAUAUCAAGAAUUACGUAAUUUUUUAAGUUAGUUUGUAAACUAAAAUUCUAAAAAAAUACGUGGGGGUAGGGCACAAAUUCCGUUUGAAAUAAGAGAAAAAAAAGCCUUUUUCAUUUCAACUAGCAACUACCAAUCAUAUCAUUCAUUUUUUUGAACUCCACUCCCCAAUUUCCCUUCCCUCCUCUGGUCCCCCAUUUUUCCCCCACAACCGAGAGCCACUACCUUCCACAACCAAGCAGCUAGCUACUGUUUCUCUUAAUCAAUUCAUCCAAUCAUAUCAUUCACUUCCUUUGUCCCCAUUUCCUAAUUUCCCUUCCCUCCACUGGUCCCCCAUUUUCCCUCCACAACUAAGAGCUAUUCUUACUUCCACAACCAAGUUAGUUAUCAAAAUAUAAAAACUCGCAAUGAGUAAUUGUAAAUUGUUUAGUUUGUUUUUGAAAUAAAAUUAUUAUUACAUUAAUAAUUUUGAAUUUGUCUUUUUAUAUUUUUCAUGGAAUAUAUGCAUCAUUUGUACUUGUUGGUGAAUUUUUUUUUUGCUUAAAAAAUUAUAAAAAAAUAGGUAAAAAAUUUUAGUAUUAUUUUUGCCCCCACUAAGAAUUUUUUCUGGCUUCGCCAUUGUCGUAAAGGGAGAGUGGGAUUCUGUUUUGGUUACAUGCAUCAUGCAUGUCAUUGUUAAUCCUUGGAAAAUGAAUUUAUGACAUAAUUUGGUCUGAAUUUUGUUUGGUUUUGGAAACCGACCACACUGGGAAGCAGUAAUGUUCUGUGUUUCCGCACUAGCAACGAUGCAUUUUGCUUCUUGGCGCAGUAAUCACGGUUCAGAUUUUAAAUUACCUUUUGUACUUUAGCAUUUCAAGUAUAUAACAUGAUCGGUAUGAAAUCCCUAGCCUUCUACUCCUCUACUUAAAAUGUGAUAUGUUUCGUUUGGAUUAGCUGUUUUUGGAAAUGUUUUUGAAAAAUUUUAUUGUAGCAGAGUUUUUAGAUUAUAUCAUAUAUAUAUAUAUAUAUAAUAAAGUCGUAUUCUCAUACUUAUCCCUUCAUGUUUUCUCUUUCCUACGUGGCUUAACGAGACGGCAAGUAGUUUCCUACGUGACUUGCUCCUUUUUGUUUAGAUAUAUAUCAAUUCUUAUUUCCUAUAAGAAUUCUUAAUAUUAUAUGAUUCUUAUUUCCUAGCCAAAAAAGGAACUGAAAAGUAAUGCAAUAUAAAUAAAAGAGACAUAAAUAUCUCUAUUAGAUAUAUCUCCAAAUUCAUGCCAAUAAUUUGUGUACUGCAUAGGGAACCGAAGUAAAUAAGAAUUGUUAUCACUACAAGAAGUAGAAAAGUAACUAAUUUCAAAAGGAACCAUUAAUAACAGAAGUCAAUAUCUGAUGUUGGAAAUAGGAUUCUUAAUAGAUUUUAUUAUUAGGUGCGUUGUCAAGACAUAGUGCAUAGUACAAAAUUUAUGGAAAAGAAAAAGUUAAUUGAAUCCAAUUAACUAUAUGUAUUUGACCCGUACGGUCAAAUAUAAAUUCCUAUUUGAGCACGGGUUUGUAAAUUCUUAUAAACCCGUUCGUUGUUAAUCAAAACAUGCAGGUUAUACUCAUUGCUAGAUUAUAGGAUUCACAAUACAUCUCUGCUCAGAUAGUGGGGGGUAUUUAGUGUGUGGACCCACACCAUAGGAGUCCAUGCACUUAAAGAACUCGAUAUAGUUGAGGUGGUCUUUUACGGUAGGUAAAAUCUGUCUUGAGAACGCACUUUUAUUUCCUAUAAGAAUUCUUAAUAUUAUAGGAUUCAUAUAUAUAUAUAUAUAUAUAUAUAUAUACAUAAAGUCGUAUUCUCAUCCUUAUCCUUUUAGUUUAUCUCUUUCCUACGUAGCUUAUUGAAAUAGCAAGUAGGUGCAACGCGCUCUAUGAGUUAACCCUCUAAUAACCUACGCUAUUCUAUCCCUCUUUUUUCUCUUGACUUUACAAUUCUAGAUAAUCCUUCCAUAAUUAUCUCUUCCAUUCUCUCACCCUUUUUUUCCUUAACCCUAAUCAUCAAGCCUAAAUUUCUUGGGAAUUAGUAUAAAUAAUUUUGAAUUAUGUUUUUAACUCUCUCUCAUCUUCAACUCAAAAGUUCGAAAUAUCAAUUCAAAUAUUAGAUUAUCUUUAUCAGAUUAUCGCUAUUGAAGAUGCUCUACAUUUUUACUCAUAUAUAUGGUUAUCGAUCUAUUACUCAUCACUUUAUCAAGCAGUGCACAUGUUUACACUUUUCCACAAUGUUUUUGGAAAGUUCUUUUUUUUUUACUUCAAUGCAAGGACCGGAUUUGGAACUUUGUUUUUAUUCCCUUCGCUGUAUGUGGUCUAUAAUUUCCUACACAUUCUUCAUAGCUAGGUCAUUGAAUUUGAAUUUUCUAAAUCUUCAAAAGUUACAGUUUGGUUUUUAUUUCUAACAAAGUUUUUGUAAUUAAUUUGUUAUUUCAAUUUAUAGAUUCACUCUUCAAUUCAAGUAUAACACAUAUUGCUUUUUUGGUUAGUGAUUUAAAAGUGGCCUUUUGAACUAUGUGUUUUCACAUGAUUUUUUAAUUGCCUUUGACAAUUUAUUAAUUGUCUUCAACAAUGUAUUAAUUUUUUUUUGUUUUCUAGGUUUCUGGGGUUAAAAAAAUUUUGUGCAGUUUUCAAUGUUUUUUUUUCAGACUUUGGUAGAAAUCUUCUAAAGAAUAAGAAGGUGUCACUGAUUACAUAAAUAGCAAGGCAUCAAGUUCAUUGUCAUACAGCAGUUCACGUCAUGCAAUAUACAUUAGACUAUUUAGAUUUUUUAUGUUUUUGACUUUAUAGCAAACUACAUCUUAUGUUUUCGUUUGGGUUUCUAUUAGCCAUGAAUAGAUUUAGAAGGUUGUUGUAUUCCUAUGACUUGAUUGAUUCUGAAUUCUUAUAUUUUAUUAAUAUUUCAUUCGGCUUCUUUUCUUUUCACAUUAACCUUUAAGCCAUUUAUAUUAAGUACCAAAAUUGAUGUUUUGGUAACGGGUUGGCCAUUAUUUUGUUUACAGAAGAUCAGCCAAGAUUUGAUCUUCCCUAUUUUCAAGUUUUUGAAUGUCAUCAUAUUGUCGAUUUUUUUCUGCAUUUUUUGAAUUAUUAAUCACUGAAUUAGAUGUUUAAAUUUACAUUAUACGACUAUUUUUGAAUAAUAAUGUAUUUAAGAAAGGUUAUAAUAGAUUAUACAAUAAGUUUGUAUUUUAUGCAAAUAUUUUUAUGAACUACACUAAAUAAUUUAUUAUUUUUAGACAAUUCCCAUUCAACGAAUGUGUACAAAACUAGUUUUGGGAUAUUUUCAGAAAAUAUUUUGGGAUAUUUAAGAGUAGAAGAGUUUCUAGAAUAUAUUUUGAAAUAUUUUUUAAAAUUUUUAAAAAAAUUUAAACUAAUUUUUAGAUUACCUUUUAGAGUACUUUUUAAAAAUUUUUAUUGUAUUUGAAAACUAGUUUUUGAAAAACACUCCCAUAGUCUUUAUAAAUUUAAUUUUUUAUUAUAUUAUUUCUUAUUACUUUCUUUUUCUAGUUGAUUUUGGAUCUUUUUUAUUACUUUUCUAACUAUUUUCUUUGACCUUUUCCUUUAGCUUUUGCGGACGCAUGUACUGGUUUCUCCUCAAACUGGAUGUCUCUCAAUCUCUCUUCUGGGAGUUCAACAUACUUUAAGAUGAAUUUCAUUUUGCCAUUAUCAAGUUUGCACUUAAAGAAUUAAAGUUCAUAUGGGGAUGAGUCAUACUAAUUUCAUAUUUUUGACAUUUAUUUAUCACAAACCUUAAUCCUUCUUUCCUCCAGUGUUUUUUUUCUAUAUCAACUCUCCUUAAUUCCAUUAUUGUUUCACAACAUAAUCUAGAAAGUGUCAGUAUAUAAGAAUUCUUUUGAAGUAAUUAUUACUAAUAUAGUUUCCAUUUCUUGUGGAAUGUUCUGAAUCUUUCCUAAAGCAACAUUUUCCAAUUUGAGUUCAAGAAUUGUUGCCAACUUUUUUGGUUUGCGCAUCACUUUGCAUGUAAGAAUUCAAAAUUUCACCACCAAUUAAAUAGUUUUCCUCGCAACUUGUCCCGUUUAAAUUGCUGUUUUAGGAAUUUUUGUAGAAAAAUAUACUGUAGAAAUUUGAUGUAUAUGAGUUAAAAAGGUGAUUGAGAAAUUUAUUUACAGAAAAAAUUUUAGUUUCCUUUUCUCUUCUAUUUCGAAUUUCUCCCAACUUAUGUUUCCUUGUUGCAAAUCUUGCCAAAUUUUAUAAGAUGUGUCUUAUCAAUUUCUUUGAUACCUGAAACACAAGAAAUUUCUCAUUCCUUAUAUGUAUUCUUGUUUAAUUAUUUAAUUUGGUUCCUGAAACACGAGAAAUUAGUAAAGAAUUUAGAUCCAAUUUGGUGCAACGCUUCUUUGACAAACUGAAUUGGAUGCUUCUGCAACGGAAGUUUUUUUUUUUUUUUUUAUAGGAACAAUAACUUUCCUACAACAUAAUCUAUCCUAUUCUACAGGAAAGGGGAGCCUAAUCUAUCUUAUUCUAUAGGGAGGAGAGGUUAAGAAGGCUGUAUAAGGGAGCCGGUAUACAGACCUGACUAGAUUAAAAGGGUAUUUUGACACCUUCUUUAAAUUUUUUCAUUACAUAUAGAGUUUGAAUUCCAGAUUUACAGUCCAAAAAAAAAUUUAGUUUCUUUUUUAUGGCUACACAGCCAAAGCUUAGUUGGCUCCGUGGUUGCAACGGCAGUUGCUUGGCAUUUUCAAUUCACCUUUCUUUGUAGUAUAGUAGUUGCCGGGAUUCUUCAUCUGCCUUUGAUCCACAUUACACAUGCUUUUGUGUGGGGGGGGGGGGUGGGAUGUGGAAAAUUCCACCCAAGAAGGACAAGAAACCGUGUUGAAUGAUGAAGAAAAGAAAAUGGCAAUCAUCAUUGAGACUCUAAUAAAUCUCACUCCUCAGUUCUUGGGACGUGAACGUACAAUUAAUAAUUCCAUCUAAAUUGCUGAUCCUUGGUGGAUCAGAUUUGAAGCAUAUUUGGUGGACUCCUUAUUUUGUUUGCUUUCUGCAGGGGAUUAUGCUAACACAUCGUUGCUUAAAAAAAAUCCUCCAAUUUCUUUAAAAUCCACAGACCCCCAAAGUUUUCCAUUUCCAUGCUAGCUAUCUAUUUUCCUCUUUGGCUAGUUCAGAAUAGCUAGAAAUUUACAGUGGAUGCUUAUGUUUGCUCUUUAACCACCGGUAAAAGUACUGCAGUAGUACAUCUUUGACAAACUUGGAUGCCAUUAAUUGCCAUGGAGAAGUUUGCUUGGCAAUUUCACUUGGCCUUUAUUGAUCAAUGCUUAGCUGGGUAUUUCAUCUUUUUCUGAUUGAAAGCUGGCUGGGACCUUUGGUUGUGCAAAAUAUCUCAAUGGUUUGUCGGAGUUGUGGUUUGACCCAAGACUGACCCCAGCAAAAAAAAAAAAAAAAAAAAAAAACUAUGUUCAAUGAUCAAAAUGUAAAGGAGAAAGAGGAAAUGACAACCAUAGCUGGUGACUUUGCAACAUUAAUUACCUCAGUCAUUAAUCCUUGGGAAAUAGACUAAAACGUUAUUUUGUGGGGGAAAAUCUUAAAAAAUAGUCCGUGGUUCACUUAUCAAAAACAUGAAAUGGAGUUAACAAUCAGGUUUGGCGUGUAACGACAUAAUUGGCCAAUGGUUGGGUUCUUUCUUCGCUUUUACACUUGUGAAAUCGCCAAAAUAUUCGCUCGUAAUUCCACAAGCUUUCUAGCACUUCAAAAUUUCAAACAUUUUGUUUCAAAAUGCCUUUUUUAUGUACAGCAUACAAAAUUUAAGUGGUGAAAGUUUAAGGAGUUUCUUUAUUACUAUUUUUUUUUUAGAGUACAAUAUACAAUCAACUGGAGUUGGAAGUGAAAAAGACCUUUAGCUCACACUACGAUUAUAAACUUUGACUGAAUUGGGAUGUUUUGGGAAGGGGGAAUGAGCAUGUUCUUGUGGGUUUCAAUUUUUACCAUUGAAUUAUUUACCUAUGAUAUGUUCACAAGUUUAACUUAAAUCGAGUUAUGAUAACAGAAGAUUGUCUAAACCCGAAAGAAAACUUCAAAAGAUCGAAAUUGAAAAUGAGUGAAAAUUAAUGGGGAAUUAACCAGUUAUUUGGAUACUUGAAUUUUACCUAUUUUUGUAUCCAACUCUUUCAUAAUUAGUUUUUCUUAUAGUUUUUCUCGCUCCUAACAAAUUUAUCUUUUCAGAUAAAUUUGAAUUAUUUGUUCUUAUGGUUCCUCUCUCUUCUAACAAUAUGAUAAAUUUGUAUAAAAUUUUUUUAUCCAUAUGGAUUAACUUAGUGUUAAAAAACUUUAACUGUUAGCUGAUAGAUUUAUCAAUAUUGCUGGAAAUUAAAUAUUUGUUGAUGUAGAAAACAAAUCGCAAAAUCUAUUGUACUUAGUUAGGUAGGAAAAUGUAACUAGGUUUAUGGUUAUUAUAAAAAUUGUAAUUAUCUAAAAAAUUCCAUACACUAAAAGGAAGAAUAUCUAUUGAUUUUUUUAUAUGUGUUAUAAUAUUUGAUGAAUAUUAUUAUAUUAUAGUAAAAGUAUGUAAAGAAGUUUUUAAAAAUUAGUAUGACAGUUAAGUAUAAUUAUUCCAUUAAUUUUCUAAAAUUAAUAUGAAUGAACUUGUAAGAUCAUCAUUAAUUUUUUAUUUAAAUUAUUCAUGCUUGCACGAAUUCAUAAUAAAAUAAAAAAAUAAACCAUGCCAAGGCACAUGCAAGAUGCUAGUUCAAAUUAAUGUUGUACACGUAUAGGAGUCACAAAACGGUUUGGUGCACUAGCAGGCGAAAGGGGACAUCUAAAGUAUUAGGACAAGUUUUACAUUAAAGUGGGAGAUUUGUAAAGCAAUUGAGCGAAAACAAAUGAGGUUGAGGAAAAUUUUAUAUCAGUUGCAAUACAAUCAUAAAAGCUAUGACACAUUCGUUAAAAUAAGAAAUAUUUAUUAAUUUGGUGCAGUGUAAUAGCAAACCAAGGAAAAAAAAUGUGAAUGAUCCGUAAGAGGGAAAGAUGUCAUUUGACUUAAAAUAAAAGUGUGAUUGGAUAGAGGUUUAGUUGAACAAAAAAAAUUAGAUUAAUAUCAUAAUACUUUUUGUGGCUUGAUAUAAUGUAUAUGAGAUAGGAUGAUGGCUAGUAAAAUAAAAAAAAAUGAUUCAGGUAAAACAGUGCAUGCAAAGAUGAAGGUUGAUAAUAAUAAUGAUGAUAAUAAUAGGGUGAAAACAGUGCAUGCAAAGACGAAGGUUGAUAAUAAUAAUGAUAACUCUGAUGAGAUGGAUAGCAAUUGCAAGUUGCAAACCAUGCAAUUAGUGUUUUAGAUUAGGUAAAUUUGCACACCAUUAUUGCAAAUAAUUCAGUCAAUAAGAGAGAGGAAAGCAUAAUGCACGAAAUCCAACUUUUAGAAUUGUGUUAUAGUUUAGUGAUGACUGUGUGGUGUUUUUGUAGGCAAAUAAACAGAAAAACAAAUAAAUAUACAAAUUUGAUAAAAUUUGGAUUGUAAAUUAUUUGAGAUAUUUUUACUGUAACAUUUUUUGUGAUGUGAUGUAUGUGAGAUAAAAAGAUAAUUGGGAAGAUAAAAAGGUGUGUUAGAAAUUGUAAUGAUGAUGUAAGCAAAUAAAUUUUGGCAAAUAAUCCUCUAUCCAAACAAACCUGCACUUCUACAGGACCGAAACUAAUUGCUCUUAGGUCCCAUUUUGUACAGGACCAAAACUAUUUUUUAACGUGAUCAUCUUCUCCAAUGGAGGGAGAUCUUCGCUAGCUCGGCUAAAGCAGGUGCUAGAUGAGUACAGCAGGGCUUCAGGGCAGCGGAUCAACUCCCAGAAAAGCUGUUUUUUGACCCACUCGGAGUUUCCGCCACGGCAGGCGGCAGCGGCAGGUCGGAUCCUGGGUUUCCAGAGACAAGCGUUCCCGGUACGGUAUCUUGGCUGUCCGUUAUAUGUGGGCAGGAGGAAAAAGGUCUAUUUUACGGAUAUGUAUAAUGCGGUGGUAGCUCGUAUUCUAUCUUGGAAGAACCAGCUAUUAUCUGUAGGAGGCCGUAUUGUGUUGAUCCAAAGUGUUUUAGCAUCAAUGCCGAUACAUUUACUUGUGGCUGCGUCCCCUCCUCAAGGGGUGAUGGGAGCCUUGGAGAGGUUGUUCGCUGAUUUCUUGUGGGGGCCAUCUGACUUUGGUUCACAAUUCCAUUGCAUUAGGUGGAAGGACAUUUGUUGCCCUCGGGAGGAGGGAGGGAUUGGGUUGCGGAGCCUGAAGGGGGUGCAUGAUUGAUAGGGUGUUAAUUAUUAGUAAUUUUAUUGUUAAUUUUCCCUUUUAUCCUUGCCAAAUAUUGCUUUAAUUAUUAAUAUUUACUUAUAUUUGGUAUUGGACCCAAUUUCAGGAAGUGGAGCAGAAAAGUACAAAAAGGAGGGACUCUCCGGAAUAAAAUGGAAGACUUCUAAACACUUCACAAGCCUAGCCCACGUUGCUGAGAAGAAACGGAUUCCCAUUUCCCUUUUGGCUGACUAGGAGUCCUGCCACCAAGAGAAAAAGGAAAUACAAGGAAUCUGGCAAAGUUUCCUCUUUGUACCUGGACUCCCAAUUCAUGGGGGACCACGGGAGCAUUAGACUUUCUUUUGGCUUUAAAAGUAGGAAAAAAGCGGACAGAGGCUGGACAGUUAGCUUUUUAGCAUAGUUUAGUUGUUCUUUUUUUCUUCUUUGCCGUCUCUUCUAGGAGGACGACGGAAACAUAUCUUUGUUUUAGAAUAAUUACUUCUGCAAUUUCGCAUGGGAUUUCCUCCAUGUAGAUGAACUAAGCCUCUGAUCUAGUCAAGGGACAACGGAUGUUUUGGGUCGCCUAAAAUUGUGAGAUCGAUUUAAUUUUAUCUUUUUCUUUUAUUUAUUGGUAUUCGCAUAUUCCCUGGUUACAGUGCUUAUGAUUGUUUAAUUAAUUGAUUGUCUUGGAUCCGGAUAAUUAGUUAAUUUGAUAAUCUAUUGUCAAUUGGGACGUUAAAUCCGUAAUUGUUUAAUUGUCUCAAAAUAGUGAUGACCGGCAUGAUUGGGUUUGUGUCAAAGGAAUAAGCGGGCUAACAUAAAAUAACCCUGGUAGUGUGUUAUUUGGUUAGAAUAUGGCUCUUCUAAUACGUAAGGCAAUUGGGGAAUUAAAUCUUACGGGCGUACCUAAGAUUAUUUCCUAAUUAGAGCAGUGAUUAAUGGGCGUACCUUAAUCACCGACACAGUAAGGAGGGGUUGACUGCCAUCGCUUGUUUGGUAAUUAUAAUCUAUUUAUUGAUAAAUAAUUGGAAUUGCCUUUGCUUCGAUGAUCAAUUAGGUGUACCAUUGCUGAAGUUAUUUCUUGGCUAGAUCCUUAAUUAUCACUCAUUUGAUUUUAGUAAAUUGUUAUUUAAUUUCUAGUUGGCUAUUUCAUUUUUAUUAUUUUACUUUUAGUUGAAUUGCUUAAAUUGUCGCCCCUGAUAUAAAACACCCCCCCUUUGUUACUGUGGAUUUGAAAAGAAACAGUUACACCCAGUCCCUGUGGAUUCGACCCUGCUUACCACUAUCUACAGAAAUUAACUUUAGUUGAGCAGGUUUUUAUUAUUGCACAGGCUGACAACCUGUCAAUGAUUCGCUCUUGGUUAAACUAUGGUGGAAGUUCAGACAGCAGCAAUUGCUUUGGGCGGAGUUCAUGACUAGGAAGUAUUGUGCGGGUCUGCACCCGUGUCUAGCGGAUGAUGGCCCGAUGUGUUCUUCUACGUGGAAACGGAUGGUAGCAGUUCCGCAGGUUGCGGAGGACAACAUCGGUUGGGUAGUACGCCAGGGUUCGAUGGACUUUUGGCAUGACAAUUGGUUGGGGACUGGAGCGCUUUGUGGUAAGGUUGAGGUUUUCUUCGAUCAUUUGGUUGCGGAUUUUGUGGAAGGGGGGGCAUGGAAUGUCGAUAUGCUUCGUCAGUACUUAGAUGCCGGGCUAGUUGGUCGGGUUCUGCAGGUGGCCCCCCUUCCUUUCGAGGCCCAGAUCGUAUGAUUUGGAGACCUACGACGGCUGGUGUUUUUUCCACAUCCUCAGGCUAUUCCCUCGUCCGCCAUGUUGAUAAUCGUUCUUGGAUCUAUGCCUCGGUCUGGCGGCAAGGUCUUCCGGUUAAAAUUUCUUUCUUCAUGUUGAGGCUGAUGCUGGGCAGGGUUCCUACCAUGGAUAAAUUGGCGAGGUUCGGCCUCUAUGGCCCGUCCCGAUGCUGGUGUUGUCAAGAACCACAGGAGGAGAGUCUGGAACAUGUGUUUUGUUCUGGAGAAGGGGCGCGGACACUUUGGCGGUACUUUGAGAUUCACAUAGGGCUACAAACGAGUCGAGCCGAGUCGAGCUUUGAGCUAAUCGAGCCGAGUCUCGACUAAAUUUUACCAAGCUCGAGCUCGAGCUCGAGCUCGACGAGCCGGCAAUUUUCAAGCUCGAGCUCGACUCGAAUCAAGUCGAGCCGAGCUCGAGUCGAGCUCGAGUCGGCUCGAGUCGAGCUCGAAAAAAAUAAAAAAUAAUUAUUUUAUUUUAAAAAAAAUAAAUAAAAUAAUUUUUUUUUCUUAAUAAAUAAUAAAAUAUUAAGGAUAUAUACGUAAUUUUACUAUGAAAAUAAAAAAUAAAAACAUAUAUAUAAUAUACGUAAUUUUAUUAUUAAAUAAAAAUAAAAAUAAAAAAUAUAUAUAUAUACUCAAACUCGCGAGCCGGCUCGCGAGCUAACGAGCUUAAUAUUCUGAGCUCGAGUUCGAGCUCGAGUUUGACUCGAGCAGGCUCGAGCCGCUCGCGAGCGGUUCGAUUCAUUUGCAGCCCUAGAUUCACCCGGGGGAAAUGGCGGGGGUGCAUACACUCCGACACAUGGUUGGAUUAUGGUGGUUAAGGAGAGGGAGCAAUGAGUUUUUGCAGUUCGUGUUUCAUAUACUACCGUUGGUGAUUUACUGGGAAUUAUGGAAGGUGAGGAAUCUGGGAAUGUUUGAAGGACAGCGGAUGAGGGGUCGGGAUAUGGUGAAUCGAGUCGUCCAGGUGCUAGUAGAGGUCUGUCAGGCACGCUUCCCGACGCUGAGGUGUGCGGAUGCUUCGUGGGAAGGGUUAGUGAGGGAGGUGACUUGUCGGCGAGAGAGGUGGAUUUUCCGGAUGGUCCAUUGGGUAAUGCAGCAGGGUGGGUGGAAGUUGAAUGCGGAUGGAUGUUCUCGGGGGAAUCCGGGUUUGAGUGGAGGGGGUGGACUGGUGAGGGAUUGCCUUGGGGACUUUGUUUUCGGUUACUCAGAGUGUUUUGGUCAUCUAACCAACCUACGGGCUGAAUUGCGCGCUCUACUAGUGGGGAUUAAGCAUUGUAUUGCCCGGGGAUUCCUGGAGAUACACUUGGAAUCAGACUCACUUACACUGAUUCGGAUGGUUAGAGGGGAGAGUACUUGCCCUUGGGAGAUGCAGGGGGAAUUGGAUGACUUGCUUCAGUUCAAGCAGCACUUUCAGACAGCAGCUCACUGCUACAAAGAGGCGAACGUUCCCGCGGAUCAGUUGGCUAAUUUAGGGGCAGAUCUAAAUGGCAAACAACUGUUUCAGUCAAUGUUGGAUUUACCUCAAUGGGUUCGGGGGGCGAUUAGGUUGGAUCAGUUGGGAAUUCCCUCGAUCCGUAGACAGAUGGUAGGAUAUGUAUGAUAGGGCACUUAGUGUACUCAAGAUUCCGUAUUAAUAAAAAACAAAAAUAAUUUUUAAAAAAAAGUUUUUUAUAGAGACUUUUUCGUUUGGAUUGCUAUUUUUUGAAGUUUUUAUAGAAAAAUGUGUUGUAGGAAUUUAAUAUCUAUGAGAUAAAAAAGUAAUUGAAAAAUGUGUUUAUGAAAAACGUUAAAAAUUUUCCGUAGUAAACUGCAAUCCUUGCAUGGCUUGCGAUUUGAUCAAUAUGAAAUAAAAAAGUAAUUAAAAAAUGUGUUUACAAAAAAUGUAAAAAUUUUGCCUUAGAAAACUACAAUCCAAACAAGUAGUCUUCUCCCCAUUCAAGAAACACAAUGAAAAUAUUUGUUGAAUAAUUAAACUUAUCCCUUCAUAAACCACUUAUACCGGGGGAAGUAUGGAGGGAGGCAAUGAAUAAAACGUCUCGGGUUCGAUUCCUCCCACUUACACAAAGAAAAAAGUACAAAAAAAAAAACCACUUAUACUAGCUAAGAGUAUUUUCUGGUUACGUCUCGUGUUAUAUAUUAUUAAUCCUAUCCUAUUAUCCAAAAGCAUUUGUUGGAAAUUGCAUGCUUAAUUUAGAUUAAAAAAACAAUAAUGAAAUAUUUGUUGGAAACGAAGGAAAAAUGACGCAACCUUUCCAAUUUGUAAAUUCAAUUAGGCUAACAUGUAAAACUAUUAAAGUGUAUCAGCAUGAGAGAAUUUAGUGCUUCAUCUGACGCUUGUAAAAUAGACAAAUGAAGUUUUGAAAUUCUAGCAAUUUUGGGCCAAUACCUUUUUUUUAAGGCAAAACCAAUACCUUAGGUAAUUACAAGAUCUCAUCUUGAUUUGCUGUUUUUCUUAUUAAAUGUUGAAUCUAGAAAAUCAUGUCUAAGAAAUAACUACAUAUACCUGGAAAAAAAAUUUAGUGCAAGGAUAAAUAUACGGUUAAGUUAUGGAAAUUCUCUUUUCCAUUUUAGCAAUUUGAUUCUUUGGAUGCAUGAUUUUAUCUGUUAUAUUUGGCUUCAAAAUAAGUUACUUUAGAAUGGUGUUUGGAUGUGGAUACAUAAUCUGUAAUUAUUCUCACCUACUAUUUAUUUUCUAAAGGCCUGUCCACUUUAUUCGGAUUUCUUACCUAUUUCACUCACAAAUGCAGAGGUAGCCAUUGGCGUUUUACGAGGAAGAGAAGCCAAAAAAACUACCAACCCCUUUAUUGCUCUCUUUCAUCUUAUUUCUCCAUCUUUCAUCCUUCUUUUUCAUUGUGACCUACAAUUAGGACUGCAAACCACUCAAGCGCUAGCGAGCCAACUCAAUCAAAAGUUAGCUCAAGUUCAGUUAACAUUGAAUUCGAGUUGAGCUCAAUCCAACCAAGUCGAGCUAUCGAAUUCGAGUCAAACAUAAAGAAAUUCAACUCGUUAACUCACGAGUCAGCUCGAAUAUAUAUUUAUAUAUAUUAUUUUAAUAAUAAAAUUACACAUAUAUAUGCCUAAUAUUUUUAUUAUUUAUUAAGCAAGAAAUGACUAUUUAUUCAUUUUUUAAAAGAAACAAAAUAAGUAUAUUUUACUUUUUAAGGUCGAGCAAGCUCAAACUCGAGUACUCGACUUUGAUUAGGCUCAAAUUUGAAGUCGAGAACGAACUCGAAUUUUACAUUGAAAACUCGUCGAAUUCGAAUUUGAUAAAAUUGAUUUGAGCUUGACUCUAUUAAGCCAAAAGUGGACUCAACUGGAUUCAUUUGUAACCCUACUGACAAUGCUUUGAUCUCCAUUUUAGAAAGGUUAGUUGUUGGCCUUGGUGAACUGUUAACGGGGAAGCAAUUUGAUCUACUUGUUGACAUGCAAUUGGCUAAUCAUUCAAGUGUUGCUACUGCUUUAUGCAGUUUUAACAAGGUGGUUGAAAUUGAUAAAAGGAAAAACUAUUAAAGCAUUAGCGAUUUAUUGGUUGUAAACACUUGCCACAAGAAAAUGUAUUUACUUAUCCGGACACUAUCGAUGAACCGUUCAAUAGGUGCUUGUCUUCAAUAAUUUCUGAAAGAUUAUAUAAUGUGUGAAUGUUUCGAAAAGACAAUACAAUAUGCAAAAACUAUUCACUGAUAGUUUCCAAAAGGAGUUUAAUUAAGCUUUACUUGUCGGUUUAUUGUUUGAGACUCUGACUUAGCAUCUAUAAAUGAAUGCAAUAACUGGUAGGGAAAAAGUCAUUCGAUUGUGAUGUAUUUGCUGAUUUUCUUGAAAUAAAAAAUACAUAGGAAAAAAAAUAUUAGAGAGUUAUCCUUUGCAUGGAGUUCAUAUCGUUACUACUUUUGCUACGUGGAAUACCUUGUCUGAUGGAUGUCUGCUUGAAAUAUGCAUUGACCUUUAUGGCUUCCACAUAUUGUAUGUUUAUCCUAAUAAAUCAUCUUAUAUUGUGCUAAAAUUUCAAACAAGUUUUGGAAUUUUGCUGCAAGUUUAUCUUCUCAAAAGAUAAGUCAAUCGAUUUGAUUUGCGUCAAAAAAUGUGGGUAGAGUUUUGUUUCUAAAUAAAUACUCGGAUAAAACCAAUCCAAACAAACAUUAUGCUUUGCUGAGGCCAACAGCUGACAGAUCUUAAAUGCUGGGGCCUUCAGUUGUGGUAAAAACCUCUCUGACCCAAGAUGCACAAGAGACUGCUGUCUUUAAGGAUAAAAAUGUACCAAAAUAAUAAUAAUAAAUAAAAGGAAAAUGACAAUCUACUUUGGCUACAUUGUUCAGCCAAUUUCCAGUUCUUGAGAAAUAAAAUAGACGUUCAACGCCCAUUUUCUAAUUCGAUUCAGUUCUGUGACCCCUUUUUUUAAUUUUCUAUAAUUUGAGGUAUAUAUAUAAAUAUAUAUGUAUGUAUAUGCCAAUCAUAUCCCAAUGCCAUUUGGUAGCUUUGCUUGGUCACUAUUCAACGCUUCCCUAUAAUUGUUCUAUUGUUCCCGUCAUUCAGAAACAAGGGAACAAAUCCUUAUACUACUGUAUAAGAAUAAAUUGUGAUCAAAUGGAAUUUGAAUUUCAGUCGUAUGAAUAGGGAUUUUUUUAAAAUAUGAAAUAUUGUGUAGUUUUUUAAAAUCUUUUGGUACAAUUGAUGGCAGCAUGUGUUUAGAUAGAUUUACUGAAAUACAGUCAUUUUGGUACAUUUAAAACUUUGAUUUAUGGGGACAUUCAGGUAUUUCUGAAAUAUAAAAUUAUUUUGCAACCAUUUUUGCAUCGAGUACAACUCAUAUAAACUUAUGUGUUGAUAUAAUUACUGAAAUGAUAUUAUUGACAUAUUUAAUUAAAGUGUGAUUUUUGUUGUACAAUUAACACAAAGAUAUAUUAACACGUUGUGCAAUUAAAAUAUUGCUAUAAUUAGCCGUUAGAGGAUAUUUCUUUGUUUGAAACAAUUUAUAUCUGCUCUUGGGCGAUUUUCAACUAACAUCUGUAGGGGCUUUUUAAGAAUGGUAAAAUUGUAAAAGCAUUAAUAAAGUAAAAUGUACAAGUGUGUGCUGCAAUUAAAAUGUACUAUUAUUAGUUUUAUUAUAUUUGAUGACUAUUUCUUUUCAGAAUAUACAAUUAUUUAUCCAAUAAAAAAUUCUCUCAAAUCACAUGCACCAAACAUCAGUACGAUGCACGGGCACUCCUAAUAAUCACAACAAAGAAAGGAAGGCAACCAAAUUGAUCAAGAAAGUGGAGCGAUUGAUUACAAAUGAAUAAUGUCAUAUUGUCGCAUAUUACUACUGCCUUAUUACCAUUAGAUAGGCAAAAUAUUUGUACUUUUCAAUUUUCUAUUUGGAGGUAAGGUCUAAUAUCCCCUUCCUUUCUUUGUAACUUUUUCGAUGAUUUUAUUAAUAAAAUGGGUAUAUAACCCCACCUGUCAGAUAUAAUUGGCGGUUUUUUUUUUGGUUAAAAAACUGUCAUACUGCAAUUAUUUGUUCCAAUCAUUGGGUGCAACACUCUGAGUAGGGAUGUACGCGAACUGAGCUACUUGUGAGCUACAAUGACUUGGCUUGAACUUGGUCAAAUCGAGUUCGAACCGAAUCUCGAAUUACUCGAAUAUACAUGUAAAUCGAGUUCAAGUCAGGACUUUGCAACUCGUGGCUCGAUGAGCUACUCGUCGAGUAGUAUAAUUUAAAUAAUAUAUAUGUAUGAUAAUUAUAAAAUGACCGUUAUGGGUAUAAUUUAUAUUGAAUUUACAAGUAGGGUGCCGAGUCAAAAAGUUCGAUUACUCGACUCGAUAAGAUUUGACUCAAUUGUCGAGCCUUAUCAAGUUGAGUCUCGAGCUUUUAAGGAUCUCCUCGAGUCAAAUUCAAGUUGAGAUUCUUUGACUCGAUCGAGUUUGAGCCGAACUCAAGCAUAAUUAUUAUAGGCCGAGUCGAGCUCGAGCAGUACAUCCCUAGCUCCAUAUGAAGAAAUGGGUGCGUUACUAGAACUAAAAGAAAGAAAAGAGACCUAAUGAAGUAGAGUUCACAAGGAGGUGCGACGUGUUAAAUUUUUUCACAGACAAAGGACCACAUGUGUCCCCAUUUUUAAAAUUCCUUUUUCAAUAAAUCAGCCUCAUGUAUUACGUUACGGGCAAAUGCAAACCCCAUAUUUGCAAAAGAGCAGAGGGGCUCUUUUUUUUUUUUUCUUUUUUUGGUGCGUCACAGAGGUGCUCUUUUGCAAAGUAGGGAGCUGCAUUUAGUUUUCAAUUUUUUUAAAAAAAUUAACAUUUCCAAAACAAAUUUAAAAUUACCAAAAAAGGGUUUGGAUGCGCAUGUAUGCAUGUUGCCAAUUGUGCCAAAAUCGACAUCCCUAAAUAAAGAAAAGGAUUAAUCACAUUUAAACCUCUUAAGGUAUACCUUAUUUCUCAGUUUACCCUCUAACCUUUAAUUUUGCUCACUUAACCCCCUAUAGGACAAAAUUGCCCUUGCAUUAUUUUGACUUUUCAUUUACCUUGUUUUCCUUUCUUUUAUUUCUUUUUCUCUUUCUUCUUUAUUUAAUUCUUCCUCUUUCCCACAAAAAUUUUCACCUUAAUGAUUGAAAUUAAAAAAGAGGAAUUGCAGAGAUCUAUUUUCUCCUUAAAUGAUUAAAAAAAAUAUUCAAAUCACUUUCCCAAAAUACAAUUUUUUUAGCCUUUCAAUUCUUUUAAUUUUGGGUUUUCCUCUUUCCUUUCUAGUUUCUCAUUUUAUUCCCAAGAAAAUAUCUUAAAAUGAAAUUGUGACUUGAUUAAUAAUCAUCAAUUGAAAUUUGUGACACGUGGCAUCAUACAAAAAAUAAAAAUUAGUUUUUGAUGCAUUUUAAACCUUCACCCAAAAAUAUGCAAUUACAAAUUCAAAACAAAAAUUUUCGUUGAAAUGAAAUUUUCUAUUGGGAAGGAUGAAAGAGAGAAGAAAGAGAAAAAAAAUAAAAGAAAGAAAAACAAUUUCAUCUCAUAACCCGGAACAUGCCAGGGGAAAUUGCAUAUUUUUGGGUGAUAUCCCGUAGGAUCAUAGUUCGAACCUUGUUGUGCGAAAUUCCUGUACAUCCAUGGGCGGGGCUUUGUACAGGCCAGGGGAUUAAUCCAGAAACCCCUGAAUUGACAAAAAAAAUAUAUAUAUAUGGUGGGAGAUUUUGUGUAUAGAGUCACAAAAUCGGUUUGGUGCACUAGCAAACAGAAGGGGACAUCUAAAGUACUAGGACAAGUUUGACAUUAAAGUGGGAGAUUUGUGGCAGUCUAAUAGCAAACCAAGGGGAAAAAAAUAUGAACGAUCCGUAAGGAGUCAUUUUACUUUAAAUAAAAGUAUGAUUGGAAAGGGGUUUAGUUGAACAAAAACAUUAGAAUAAUAUCGUAAUUUGGUGCAGUCUAAUAGCAAACCAAGGAAAAAAAAAAUACUGAGUACCUGGGUUUGGUGAAGCCAAGAAAUAAUGAGAAAGUAAUGGCUAGUCCACGCACAUUCCAUUGGUAUUAUCAUAUUUUUACUUUGUUGAUGUUAUAAAAUAAAAGUCAUCAUUUUAAAUUUAACAUAUGUUUUUUAAUUUUAUAAUUUAAAAGUAACUUUUUAAAAUCUCAAUAUACAUUAAUCAAGAGAAUAUUUUAAAUUCAAAAAUACAUUUGGACGGAGGAGGAAAUUUAUAAAUAUAAUAAUUGUCAUGUCUUUGUAAAAAGUUAAAUUCCCAAAAACGAUUCUAAUAUUUGGACGGAAGGGUAAUUCAUAAUUGCCAUGGAAGUUGCUUGGGAUUUUGACUUGACCUGUCGUAAUCAAUGCUUUGCUGAGGCCUACACCUUUUUCUGAUUGUUGGGCCCUUCAGUUGUGGAAAAAAUCCCAGAGGGUUGUGGGAAUAGUGAUCUGACCCAAGAGGCACAAGAAACUGUUGUCCUUAAGGAUAAAAAUGUACCCAAAAUAAUAAUAAUAAUAAAUAACAUUAUUUAAGUACUCCUUAUUUUGUUUGCUUUCUGCAAGCAUUAUGCUAGUGAGUUUGUUUGGAUAGAGUAUUAUUUGAAAUAAUUACUGUAGUAUUUUUUAUGAUAUAAUAUAUGUGAGAUAAAAAAAUAAUUAAAAAUAUAAAAAAUUAGAUUAGAAAACAUCUUUACGAUUCAAGAUUGGAUUCCAAUUUUUACAAUUGAAUUAUUUGCCUAUGAUAUGAUCACAAGUUUAACUUAAAUGGAGUUGCGAUAAUAGAAGAUUCUUGAAAGAAGACUUCAAAAGGUGGAAAUUGAAAAUGAGUGGAAAUUGAUGGGGAAUUAACCGGUUAUUUGGAUACUUAAGUUUUACCUAUUUUUGUAUCCGGCUCUUUUAUAAUUAGUUUUUCUAGUCCUAAAAAAUUUAUCUUUUUAGGUAAAAUUGAAUUAUUUUUUCUUAUGGUUCUUCUCUAUUCUAACAAUAAGAUAAAUUUGUAUAUUUUUUUUUAUCCACAUGGAUUCACUUAGUGUCAAAAAACUUUAACUAUUAACUGAUAGAUUUAUUAAUAUUGCUGGAAAUUGAACAUUUGUUGAUGCAUAAAUAAAUUGCUAAAUUUUUUGUACUUAAUUAAGUAGGAAUAUGUAACUAUGUUUAUGGUUAUUAUAAAAAUUGCAAUAAUGUAAAAACUAUACAUACACAAAUGGGUAGAAUAUCUAUUGAUUGUUUGAUAUGCGUUAUAAUAUUUGAUGAAUAUUAUUGUAUUAUAAUAAAAGUAUCUAAAGAAUUUUUUAAAAAUUAGUAUGACAGUUAUGUAUAAUUAUUACAUUAAUUUUAUAAAAUUAAUAUGAAUGAACUUGUACGAUCAUCAUUAAUUUUUUAGUAAAAUUAUUCAUGCUUGAACGAAUUCAUAAUAAAUUUUAAAAAAAUAAACAUGCCAAGGCACAAGCAAAAUAAUGCUACUUCAGAUUAAUGUUGUACAUGUAUAGAGUCACAAAAUGGGUUUGGUGCACUAGCAAACAGAAGGGGGCAUCCAAAGUAUUAGGACAAGUUUGACAUUAAAGUGGGAGAUUUGUAGAGCAAUUGAGCGUAAACAAAUGAGGUUGAGGAAAAAUUUAUAUCAAUUGCAAUACAAUCAUAAAGCCUGUGACACAUUCGUUAAAAUAAGAAAUAUUUAUUAAUAUGGGGCAGUCUAAUAGCAAACCAAGGGGGAAAAAAUUGAAUGAUCCAUAAGGAGGAAAAAUGUGAUUUUACUUUAAAUAAAAGUGUGAUUGGAUAGCGGUUUAGUUGAAUAAAAAUAUUAGACUAAUAUCAUAAUUUGGUGCAGUCUAAUAGCAAACCAAGGAAAAAAAAUACUGAGUUUUUAGCAUGCACACCAUAUAAUCAGACAUCUUGUGAUUUGAACGAAACUAAAAGAACGAUGGAAAUCAUCAAAACCAAUAUUUGUUUCCCUUUACUUGGUAUGAAUUAUGAAGCCAAUUGCUUAAUUAUUCACAAAGCUAAAUCAAUAGUUUUCUCUUGGAGAUUAAGAAAGAAAUUUUGCUACAUAAACAAAAAUUUUCUUACUUGGUAUGAAUUAUGAAGCCACUUGCUUCUUCCUCGAAGCUGGCUUGGUUUUAGUUAAUUAUGUUUACAGCAACUACUUAGUUUACUCUAAUGCUGGGGCCUUGGGAUGCUCAAAAAGUCCAAUCCUUGAUAUAUAAAAAAAUACUGAACAAAAAGGUAUUUCCACCUAAAAUAUUAGCAAUAACAAUAGUAGACAAAUUAUAGAAGUGGACGGCUCGGGUUUGGGUCCCAAACUCUCAAUUGCUAUAUUAGGGCGGCUUAGCUAUCUCAAUUAUUGCACCUAAAACACCAACAAGUGCGUGCAGAAAACAUCAAAAGAAAUUAUUGCCUCCGCAGCAAGAAGAGGUUUUCUCAGCUUAGUCGUAGAAGAAGAGAGUGCUUCUUUUGAUAAACUUGAAUGCAAUUUGUAGCAAAACUGAUUGGCGUUUUACUUGAAUGUUUCUAAAUCAAUGCUGGAAUUUUUUUUUUUGUUCUUUAUUACUUUUUUUUUUUUGGAAAAAUCAUUUAAAAUGUUCCUUACAUUUCGUCAGAUGAAUUUUUUCUUCCCUCACUUUUAAAAUAUUAAUUUUAUGUCUCUUAUAAAAUCAAAGCAACCAAAUUUAGUCCCAACUUGGGAUUUUGAUCACUAAAUAUGCAACGUGACCCACAUGUAAUCAUCUUUUCAAGUGCAAAAACUACAUUUUUUUCCAAAAAUUAAAAGCAACAUCAAAAAACUAGAAAAAAAAAAUAUGAGUGAGGAGUGAAAUGUAAGAAGCAUUUAAGAAGCAGGAGUUUUGAACGGAGGACCUCUAAUUCUUUUAGUUUCAAACUUAACUAAUUGACCAAGGUCUUUUCCCAAUAUAAAGGCUCAUCUCAUGAAGAAGAAUGCAAAUUAUUCGACAGGAUUCAAAUGUUACAAGAUGCUAAAUCCCCUAUUCCUUCAUGAUUAAAUGCCAAUACAAAUUUACUGAAAGAAAAGGAGCCAUGCACGAAAUUAUUGCAUCUGCUGCAAGAAGAGAUUUUCUCAGCGUAGAAGAAGAGAGUGCUUCUUUUGAUAAACUGGAAUGCAUUUUCCACCAAUACAGAUUGGCGUUUUACUUGAAUGUUUCUAAAUCAAUGCUGGGUUUUUCUUUUUUGUUCUUUAUUACUUUUUUUGAGAAAAUAAUUUAAAAUGUCCCUCAUAUUUCGUUAGAUGAAUUUAUUUGCCCCUCACUUUAAAAUAUUGAUUUUAUGUUCUUUAUAAAAUCAAGGCGGCCAAAUUUAGCUGCAAUUUGGGUUUUUGACCACCAAAUACAUGAAGAGAUUCACACGUGAUCAUUGUUUUGGGUGCAAAAACUGCAUUUUUUUCAAAAAUUAAAAGAAACUUCAAAAAAUCGGAAAAGAAUAUCAGUAAGGAGGAGUGAGAUGUAAAAAACAGGAAUUUUAAACCUAAGACCUCUAAUGCUAGUAUUCUCAACCUUAAUUAAUUGACCAAGGCCUCUUCCUUAUAUAAAAGGCUCAUCUCAUGAAGAAGAAUGCAAAUUAUUUGACAGGUUUCAAAUGUUACAAGAUGCUAAAUCCCCUAUUCUUUCAUGACUAAAUGCCAAUACAAAUUUACUGAAAGAAAGAGGAGGCGCGCAAGAUCGCUGGUGUAGUUGUCAAUUUUUGAACACUUUUUUAGGUUUUUUUGCCGUGAACUAUCACCCAAGUCCCUUAUUGAAUUUGCAUUUUCUUUUCAAUCAUGCGCGCCGAGCGUGCCAAUAGGCAGUCAAUAUUCCCGCCUGCCUGAAGGGAAAUGUCACCCAUAUAGCCAUCAUUUCUGGGCAUUAAUGUGAUUUCAUUAAAUUUUUGGACCGAAUCUUUGUGUUGUUAAACAUUUUAUUCAUCCAUCUUGGGGAAAAAAGUGUAUAGUAUAUCUUAAGUUCAGAGUGAUAAAGUGUUACUCAGGUCUCAUUCCCAAGUUCGUGAUGUAAUCAAAGUGUAAUCAACCCUUAAAUUCAUUCAUCACAUCACUCUCUAUAUUCACAACAACAAAUCACAAGUUUUGGCCGGCUGAGACGAAGAGAAUAAAAAGACUGUGCCGUGAUGCGGUUCAGCUAAGAAUCAAAUGAAUUCCAAAAGUAAAGGCAUUAUUUAGGGGCCAACAGGGUUUCCCAUCGAGCAUUUUAAUUAGCCAAAAUCACUGCAAAACAGACAAUCCAACUGACGACACCAUAUAUAUAGAAAACCCAUAAAGCUAACUGGAAACUGCAUGACACUUUUUUGUUCAGUCAAUUUUUCAGAAAUCUAAAUCAAUAUCUCUGAUGAACUAAUGUUUUUUUAUAUGUGUUGAAUGUUGUUUGGUUUAGUAAAUUAUCAUUCCAGCGAGUAGUUGCUUUACGCUAAUGCUGGGGGCCCUUGGGGUGUUUAAAAAGUCUACUCCUUGAUAUUUAAAAAAUACUGGGAAAAUGAUGGGCACAGCUAACAUUUCCAGCUAAAAUAUUAACAAUGUAUAAUACUAGCAGGAGAAAAUAAAAUAUAUAUAGAAAUGGAUGGGUGACGGUGGAGUCUCAAUUGUUAAUGUGUUAUUGUGUCAGGGCGGCGGCUUUGGCACCAACAAAUUAUCCAAAACAAAUCCUAAACAAAUCAUGAGUUUAGGAAAUGUAAGAAGCAUUUAAGAAGCAUGAGUUUUGAACGGAGGACCUCUAAUUUUUGUAGUUUCAAUCUUACCUAAUUGACCAAGGUCUUUUCCCCAUAUAAAGGCACAUCUCAUGAAGAGGAAUGCAAAUUAUUGGACAGGAUUCAAAUGUUACAAGAUGCUAAAUCCACUAUUCCUUCAUGAUUAAAUGCCAAUACAAAUUUACUGAAAGAAAAAGGUGCCACGCAAGAAAUUAUUGCAUCUGCUGCAAGAAGAGAUUUUCUCAGCAUAGAAGAAGAGAGUGCUUCUUUUGAUAAACUGGAAUGCAUUUUCCACCAAUACUGAUUGGCGUUUUACUUGAAUGUUUCUAAAUCAAUGCUGAGUUUUUCUUUUUUGUUCUUUAUUACUUUUUUUUUUAGAAAAUCAUUUAAAAUGUCUCUCAUAUUUCGUUAGAUGAAUUUUUUUGUCUCUCACUUUUAAAAUACUGAUUUUAUGUUCUUUAUAAAAUCAAGGCGGCCAAAUUUAGCUGCAAUUUGGGUUUUUGACAACUAAAUAUGCAACGUGGCCAUUGUUUUAGGUGCAAAAACUGCAUUUUUUUUUUCAAAAAUUAAAAGAAACUUCAAAAAAUUAGAAAAGAAUAUCAGUAAGGAGGAGUGAGACGUAAAAAGCGGGAACUUUAACCCUAAGACCUCUAAUGCUUGUAUUCUCAACCUUAGUCGACCAAGGCCUCUUCCUUAUAUAAAAGGCUCAUCAUCAUGAAGAAGAAUGCAAAUUAUUUGACAGGUUUCAAAUGUUGCAAGAUGCUAAAUCAAUAUCUCUGAUGAACCAAUGUUUUAACUGGAAACUGCAUGAGACUUUUUUGUUCAGUCAAUUGUUCAGAAAUCUAAAUCAAUUUCUCUGAUGAACCAAUGUUUUUUUAAUGUGUUGAAUGUUGUUUGGUUUAGGAAAUUAUCAUUCCAGCGAGUAGUUACUUUACGCUAAUGCUGGAGCCCCUUGGGUUGUUUAAAAAGUCUACUCCUUGAUAUUUAAAAAAUACUGGAAAAAUGGUAAAAUAUUAACAAUGUAUAAUACUAGCAGGAGAAAAAAAAUAUAUAUAUAUAUAUAUAUAUAGAAAUGGAUGGGUGACGGUGGAGUCUCAAUUGUUAAUUUGUUAUUAUAUUAGGGCGGCUUUGGCCAUCUCAAUUAUUACCGCUGCACCAGGGAAUGUAUGCAGAAAAAUCCUAAACAAAUCAGCCAAUGAGGGUUUCUCAGCUUAGAAAGAAGAGCGCUGCUUCUUUUGACAAACUUGCAAAUGCAUUCUCCACAGUACCAACUAACAUUUCCGUCUAAAAUAUUACCAACAACAAAACUACUUUUCCGUAUAUAGGACUCUCAAUUGUUAUUAUAUCAUAUUAGGGCGCUUGGCCAUCUCAACUAUUGCACCUCCAGACAAAAAAAAUCUAAAGAAAUUAUCCAAUGAUGAGAGUGAAACGAUGAGAGUGAGUGCUCGGAUCAGGAUGAGUUUUGCAGCAUGGAAGGUAUUAGUAGCAUCGCGGGGUUGAAAUGAUGAGUUAUGCGAAAAAUCCGAAGGAUAUUUCGUCAUGCCUUCUGCAAACAAAUAGCACCAGCAAGCGCUAGCAGUUUUGUGCUAGCGUAGUGAGAGCCUGCAGGGUCACGCUAAGCUCCAUUUUAAAUAUUUUUAAUAAUUUUUAUUUCGUGCAUUUCUCUAAUAUUUUUUUUUUACAUUUAUUAAAGCGAAAUGUUCAAUUUAUACAUUUUAAAUAGGGAUAGUUUCACAAACUUCCCUUGAAGUUUUUGACAAUUUUAUUGUGCUGCUUGAAGGUUUUAAAACUUACCUCCCUUAUCGACAUAAAACGACAACACUAAUGUUAACAUUUUAAUAAAACUCCCAUAUUGGGUGUGCAUAUAUAAAGAAUGGGAUUUAUAAUUAUUUUUUCUUUUUCUUUUCCAUUUCUCUUCUUAUUCUUUCUUUUUAUAUUUUUGCUAGUGAAAUGAUAGAAAACCGUAAUCACCAACUCUAAAUGUUGAAUUACCGACUUUUUUUUAACAACUUUGAAUGCCAUCCAAUUUUUAUUUGUCAAUAUUUUUUUUUCAAUCAAAAGGAACACUAACUCAAAAAGAAAUGCUCAAAACGACUACCAAAAUAUGGUAAUUCCAUCAAUCUAAAAUGCAGUAUGAUGAUGAUAAUUUCUUCUUCAAUUUAGAAAGAAAAUGUAUCCCUUGUAAAGCACCAUUCUAUCAUAAUGUGAAGCUAUUGGUCGUAAAUGCUUAUCAAACAAUAGAUUUGGUAAUGAAAACUUCACACUCUUUCCUUAUAUGUGUGCUAAGAAUUGCUUUGGAAAGUAAUUAAUCUUUAUAAUCUAAGGGUAUUUGUUGACAAAAUUUAAACCAAGCCAUUUAGAAGUUUGUAUCGUAGUUUUAGAAUUAGAUUUAUUAUAUAGUAACUAGAUUAAAAUUGAUAUCAAAGUUGGUUUAGAAAAUAGAGUUGAGUUAUAUUUUAGUGUUAGAAUUAGAAUAGAUUUAGUAAUAUAUGUAUCUAUAUAUGGAGUCCUCCAAGUCGUACAUUUAUAAUUGAGGAAAAUUAGCAUCAAGAGAAUAAAAUUCUAAAUCCUCGCCUGCCCAUUUGUUCGUUAUUCAUACUUUUUUUUUUUUUUUUUGUAGUUGCUAACAUUAUUGACAGUUUGAAGGCCCCAUAUUCACAGCAACAAAUCACAAGCUUAGGCUAGCGGAGACAGAGAGAGUCAAAGGAGAUUGCCAUGAUGAUGUAUUAUUUCAACAAGGAAUCCAAGGAUUUUCAAAUGUGAAAAAAAAAAUACUGGAAAAAAUGGAAGGUACAAGUACAACUGGCAUUUCCACAUAGAAUAUUAGCAAUUACACCGGUUGAAAAAUUACAGAAGUGCAUGGCUAUAUCGAUUAUUGCACCUAAAACACAACAAGUGUGUACAGAAAAAAUGUAAAGAAAUUAUUGCUUCUCAGCGAAGAAGAAGAUUGCUUCUCUUCACAAACUCGAAUACAUUUUCCACCGAAGUUGGUUGGAGUUUUACUUGAACGUUUCUAAAUAAAUGCAGGGUAUUUCUUGUUCUUUAUUUUUUUUUUUGGCCAAAUUUUUGUUUGUUUUGUGCUUAAAUGCUGGGCCUUUUGUUCCUCGAAUCUUGCUUGGUUUUAGUUAAUUAUGGUUACAGAGACUACUUAGUUUACGCUAAUUCUGGGGCCUUGGGAUGCUCAAAAAGUCUAGUUCUUGGUAUUUGAUAGGUUGCAAUUUUAUCAUUUAUUUUAUUAUUAAUUUUUCCUAUUACCUGACCUAAUGUGGAUUAAUUGCUAGAUUUUACUCACUUUUGAUAUUUUGCAUUUGUUUCAGGGAGUAGAACGAAAAAAUAAUAACAGGUGCUAAUUUGGCAAGAAAAGAGUUCAGAUGAUAGAGUUUGUCCUAGGGGCAUUUUUGGAACAACAAAACGUGAGCCCUUGUUGGGCAAAUUGGGCCGAAGUCUUCAUUUUUCCGCACAGGAGCCGCCGCAAGGAGCACUACUUUAUAUAGGAAAAUUGCGAAGGAAAAAAGGAGUCUUCUUCUUCCUCUCCGGAAGGAGGCCGCCGCACAAGGCAGAAGCAAUAGAGAGGACGGACGACUGGAUUGUUUCUUUAGCUUUGACUUUUCUUUUGGUUCUGGAGUAGCUUUUCCUUCUUCAUAAUUAGGACCUUUAGUCUAUAGCUUUGACUUCUCUUUUGGUUCUUAGUAGCUUAGCUCACGUAUGUGAGAGGCAAAUGAGAGCAAUUGAAAGAUUCCUUGUAGUUUUUUUCUUUUGACUUUUCGUUGUGGUCUGUGGUGGAUUCCUCCUGCCGCAUGAUGGCCGCGACUGAUGCUCCGAUUUUGCAUGGGUUUUCCUCAUCAAUAAUGAGCUAAACCCUUUUUCUAGUCAAGGAGCAACGAAUGCUUUGGGUCAUCUAAAAUUGUGAGAUCGAUUUAAUUUUAUCUUUUUCUUUAUUUAUUAGUAUUCGCAUAUUCCUUGGUUGCAGUGCUUAUGAUUGCUUAAUUAAUUGAUUGUUUUGGAUCCGGAUAAUUAGUUAAUUUGAUAAUCUAUUGUCAAUUGGGACAUUAAAUCCGUAAUUGUUUAAUUGUCUCAAAAUAGUGAUAACUGGCAUGAUUGGAUUCGUGUCAGGGGGAUACGCGGGCUAAUCUGAAAUAACCCUGGUAGUGCGUUAUUUGGUUAGAAUAGGGCUCCUCUAAUACGUAAGGCAAUUGGGGAAUUAAAUUCUAUGGGCGUACCUAGGAUUAUUUCUCAAUUAGAGCAGUGAUUAACGGACGUAACUUAAUCAUCGACACAGUAAGGAGGGGUUGACAGUCAUCGCUUGUUUGGCAGUUAUAACCUAUUUAUUGAUAAAUAAUUGGAAUUGCCUUUAUUUCAAUGAUCAAUUAGGUGAACCAUUGCUGAAGUUAUUUCUUGGUUAGAUCCUUAAUUAUCACUCAUUUGAUUUUAGUAAUUUGUUACUUAAUUUUUAGUAGUUUUUUUUAGAUUUUAUUUGAAUUUCUUCGAUUGUCACCCCUGAUAUAAAAACACCCCCCUUGUCACUGUGAAUUUGAAAAGGAACAAUUACUCCCAGUCCCUGUGGAUUCGACCCUGCUCACCGCUAUCUACAGAAAUUACUUUUAGUUUGAGCAGGUUUUAUUAUUGCACAAGUUUCGACAACCUGUCAGUAUUUAAAUAAAUAAAUAAAUAAAAAGCUGAAAACAAAGGUACGUACAGUACAAAUGUACAACUGUCAUUUCCACCUAAAAUAUUAGCAAUAACGAUAGUAGACAAAUUCUCAAUUGUAUAUUAGGGCGGCUUUGCUAUUUCAAUUAUUGCACCUAAAACAACAAGAAGUGGUCUUCUCAGCGUAGAAGAAGAGAGUGCUUCUUUUACUCUUAUGUUUCCAAAUCAAUGCUGGGUUUUUUUUUGUUCUUUAUUACUUUUUUUUUGGAAAAAUCAUUUAAAAUGUUCCACACAUUUCAUUAGAUGAAUUUUUUUCGUCUAUCAUUUUUAAAAGGGAAAAUUUCACUUUAUCUCCUGUGAUUUAGUGUUUUUUUUACAUAACCCCCCUAUGAUUUUAAAAACUAUACAUAACCCUCUCAUAAUUUGGAUGAAAGUGUCAAAGUAAUGGAAAUGGUCUUUCGUAAUAGAAUCAUUUAAAAUGUCAAAAUAGCCUUAUGUAAAGUUGAAAAUUUUUUAUUGAUCAAGGGGGGUUAUGUGUAUAUUCCUAAACCAUAAGGGGGUUAUAUGGUAAAAUAUUAAACCAUAAAGGAAUUAUAUAGUAAAAUAUAAAAAUCACACGGAAUUAGUGUGUCAUGUAUUUAUAAGGGUAAUUUCGAUAUUAUCAAAAGUUUCAUUAUGAAUGACUAUCUCCGUCAUUUUGACACUUUAAUUCAAACCAUAAGGAGGUUAUGUACAACUUUUGAAAGCACCAUUAAAAGCAUUCUAUCAUAAUGUGAAGCUAUUGGUCGUAAAUGCUUAUCAAACAAUAGAUUUGGUAAUGAAAACUUGACACUCUUUCCUUAUAUUUGUGCUAAGAAUUGCUUUAGAAAGUAAUUAAUCUUUAUAAUCUAAGGGUAUUUGUUGAUAAAAUUUAAACCAAGCUAUUUAGAAGUUUGUAUAGCAGUUUUAGAAUUAGAUUUAUUAUACAGUAACUAGAUUACAAGUGAUAUCAAAGUUGGUUUAGAAAAUAGAGUUGAGUUAUAUUUUAGUGUUAGAAUUAAAAUAGAUUUAGUACAACUGGCAUUUCCACAUAGAAUAUUAGCAAUUACACCAGUUGAAAAAUUACAGAAGUGCAUGGCUAUAUCGAUUAUUGCACCUAAAAUACAACAAGUGUGCACAGAAAAAAUGUAAAGAAAUUAUUGCUUCUCAGCAAAUCAUGAGGGGAUUAUGUAUAACUUUUGAAACUAUAAGGGGGUUAUGUAGAAAAACACUAAACCACAAGGGGAUAAAGUGUAAUUUGCCCUUUUUAAAAUAUUGAUUUCAUGUCGUUUACAAAAUCAAGGCAGCCAAAUUUAGUUGCAACUUGGGCUUUUGACCACUGAAUAAAUGAAGUGAUCCACUACGUGAUCAUUGUUUUAGGUGCGAAAACUGUAUUUUUUCUAGAAAUUAAAAGAAACUUCAAAAAAUUGAAAAAAAAAAUACUAGCAAGGAGGUGUGAGAUGUAAGAAACAUUUAAGUAGCAGGAGUUUUAAACCCAGGACCUUUAAUUCUUGUAGUUUCACCUUUAACUAAUUGACCAAGUCUCUUUCCCACAUAAAGGCUACCAUUUCUGGGCAUUAAUGUGAUUUCAUUAAAUUUUUGGACCGAAUCUGUGUUGUUAAACAUUUUAUACAUCCAUCUUGGGGACCAAAUCGUAUAUAUCUUUUUUUUUUUUAAAAAUAAAUUGUAUAUAUCUUAUGUUCAAAAGGAUAAAGUGUUGCUCAUGUGUAUAUCUUAAGUUCAAAGGGAUAAAGUGCUACUUAUGCCUCACUCCCAAGUUCGAUAUGUAAUCAAAGUGUAAGCAGCCCUAAAAUUCAUUCAUCAUUCUCUGUACUCACAACAGCAAGUCACAAGCUUUGGCCAGCUGAGAGCCUGAGACAGAGAGAAUAAAAAGACAGUGCUGUGAUGCGGUUCAGCUAAGAAUCAAAUGAAUUCCAAAAGUAAAGGCAUUAGUUAGGGGCCAACAAGGUUUCCCAUUGAGCUUUUUAAUCAGCCAAAAUCACUGCAAAACAGACAAUCCAACUUACGACACCAAAUAUAUAGAAAACCUAUAAAGCUAACUGGAAACUGCAUGACGCUUUGUUCAGUCAAUUGUUCAGAAAUCUAAAUCAAUAUCUGCGAUGAACCAAUGCUUUUUAUAUGUGUUGAAUGCUGCUCGGUUUAGUAAAUUAUCAUUCCAGCGAGUAGUUGCUUUACGCUAAUGCUCGGGUUGUUUAAAAAAGUUUACUCCUUGACAUUUAAAAAAUACUGGGAAAAUAUAGUGAGAACCGAUUGGUGAUUGCCAGGAUGCUUUGUUGAUCUCAGAUUGGUGAUUUCCUUGUAUGUAUGUCGCUUGCUAGGAUGCUUUUUGCUAUCACGUUAUAAAGAUGGAGAUGGACAGAAGGGUUGAGGCUUUCGUCAAAGUUUUGGUGAGAACCGAUUUAUUUAUUUAUUUUUCAAAUUUAGAAUGGGACUGUGGGUUGCCGGUGGUAUGAAAUGAAGUAUGGUGGAGCCACUAAGAGAGCUAUGUAAUUUACCCAAUUUAUAAAGGGUUAUAUGUAAUUUACCCAAUUCGGAAUGGGCUUCUUCCCCGGUUUUAGGUAAUUAUAUUGUUUAAACUAUAUUUGAAACAUGACAUUGAGUAAGUAGGAAUAGCAUGACAUUGAGUAUGGUCGCGCAAUCUGUUUUGUCACAAUGGAAGAGACCUCCUGCGGGCUAUGUUAAAGCUAACUUUGACGGGGCUAUCUUUGUUGAGGGUGACAUUUCAGGUAUUGGAGUUGUCAUUAGAGAUGCCGAGGGUAAUUUCAUGGCAGGAUUGGCAAAGCAAAUUCCAGGAAUUUUUGCACCAGAGGUUAUUGAAUCUUAUGCUGCAAAGGCCGCGGUUGAGUUGUUAUUGGAUCUACAUUUGCCCAUGAUUAUUCUUGAGGGUGAUUGUCUAAAAGUCGUUAAAAUGCUUCAAACUACAGAGACAGAUGCAUCAGCUUGUGGAAUGCUGGUAGAUGAUAUUCUCAGAGAUAUACAAAGCUUUGCAACAUGGGAAGCAUCAUGGGUGCCUAGACAGCUGAACAAUGUCAUGCGUCGUGUUGCUAAAUAUGCUUGUUCUAUUUCUAAUGGCUGUAUAUGGAGGGACUUCCCUCCAGAUUUUAUUGUUACCGCGCUUGCUGCGGACAUCAUCUCAGAUUAAUAAUAUUUUUGUCACUUUCUAUCCAAAAAAAAAAAAAACUAUAUAAGAUAUUUGUUAUCGAUUUCUUUGUUUCCUAAAACACAAGAAGUUUUUCAUUCCUAAUAUGUAUCUUGUUUAAUUAAUUGUUUCAGUGAUUUUUAAAAGAUAUUAGCAAAGAAUUUUAGAUCCAAUUUGGUGCAGUUCUCCUUUGACAAACUGAAUCGGAUGCUUUUGCUACGGAAGUCGAUUCGCAUUUUCAAUUCACCUUUCUUAAUGUUAUGGUCGUUGCUGGGAUUCUUCAUCUGCUUUUGAUCCGCACGCUUAAAGAAAAUGCCAAUCAUCAUUGAGACUCUUAAUAAAUCUCACGAUGAAUAAUUUCAUCUAAAUGGCUGGUCCCUGGUGGAUCAGAUUUCAAACAUAAUUUAAGUACGCCUUACUUUUUGUUUUCUUUCUGCAGAGGAUUAUACUGUGGCAGUGUGGCUUAAAAUCCUCCAAUUUCUUUAAAAUUCAGAGACACCCAGAGUUCUCCAUUUCCUUUUGUGCUUUUGCAACAUUAAUUACCUCAUUCUCUAAUCGUUGGGAAAUAGGCUAAAAACUGAAAAAAAAAAUAAUAAUAAUCGCUAGUUUAGUUAUCAAAAACAUGAAGUGGAGUUAGUAAUCGGGCUUGACACGCAGCUACAUAAUUGGUCAGUAAUUGCGUGCUUUCUUAGCUUUUACAAUUGCGAAAUUUUCAAAAUAGUCUCUUGUAUUUCCAAAAGUUCUCUAGUGAUAGGGUGCAAAAUUACUAUUCAAUUUAUGAUUAUUUCCCCUUGAUUGUAACCAAAUAUUGUUUUAAUUAAUGGAUUCUAUUUAUAUUUGGUUAAUUGUGCUAAUUGUAGGAAAAUGAGCAAAACGUGAUUAAAAGGGAUAAUUUUCAAGUAAAUUUGGUGAUAGCACGAUCAGGACCUGCUUUCAAAUCUAGAAGACUCAAGAAUUUUCUACGUGGAGGUUUCCUAAUUUGAGUCAACUAUGAACAGCUUUUGAAAGAUUUGGGAAGACGUUAAUUAUAUCCUUUCCUUAUACUAUAUAAGAAUGAGUUUAGGGUUUGAAUUUCAACCGCAAGGGUGGGGCUUUUUUGGAAAUGUGAGAGUGUUUGAAGUGCAAUUAGAGUAUUGAAUAUGAGUCAUUAUAACUAAUUUAGUUUUGUUGUAAUUACUUAGGUGUCCUUUUAAACAUUUAAAGUUAGGGAUAAGUUUGAUAUGUGACAUUGUUUGAUAUCCGAUUGAACAUUGGGUACAACUGAAUUCAGCUUGUGUUUUAGUGAAAUUACAUAAAAGCCCUUCUAAUCAUUUAAUUUUAUUAACAUCUAAGUCUUUUAAUUUCUUAAAGCCUUUCUCAUCAGUUAUUUGCAAAGAUAUGAUAUAUAGAUGUUAAGACACAAUUAAUGUCAAUUAGUAGAGAAGUCUGGUUUUUUGGCCGUUAUCAUAGUAACCUCCAUCUAUUCAAAUUCAUUUCAUUUGCUUAUAGGAUUUGUUCCACCACAGUCAUGCAGCAUAUUGAAUUCGGAUAUUGUUACAUUAGCUACUCUUCUUCCCUAUUUUGCAACACUUUUUUCAAUAGGUAUGUUUUCUUUAACCAAUCUACUUUUUGGUUGUAAAAAAUCUGUAAUAUUGCAAGUUGUAUGUGCAAUAAUUUUUCAGUAUUUUAAUUCAAUUGCUCAUGUUAGACAAGCUUGAUAAGGGAGAGACCACAUUUGUUAAUUGUUAUUUAUGGUUUUAAAUAAGUUUAUCAUCAUAAAUUUUCCCAUUUAUAGAUUGCAUCUACUUCUUUUGUUGUUUUAACUAUUAGUUGGGGUAAUUUUCAAAUCGUUUGCUACUUUAUUAACUAUUCCAUUUAGACAAUUUUUCACUUCAUCUGAUUUGCUAAUAUGUUUAACUAUCUACUUAAAACUAUUUGGCUACAAAUCUAAAGUAUGUACCUCAUUACUUUUAAUUGUUUUUCUUAAAUUGAGUGGAUUAAGAUGCUUUAGUACUUUUUUGAGGUAAUUAUUCCUCUAAAUUAGUAUGUUAGUUGUUGUAUAUCUUUGCAACUAACACAAAACUGAUAUUUCAUGAUUGUAACCCCUAUCGAGAAGGAGAUGUUUUGUUAUAUGUCCUAAAUCAUACAAUAAAUUAUAAUUAAUUACUUGCUCAAUGUGAAGGCCUCGUGAUGAUAUAUGUCCUUGGAAUCAAUAUAAAUUCAAGAAUUUUGCUUGCAAGAACCGAAAUUCUACUAGCAAUGAUAUCUUCAAGUAUGCUAAUUGUUCAAAUCUCACUUAUAUGAUAAGAUAAUGUGGUAGAUUGCCCUCAUAGUAAGAUCGAAUUCAAACUAAAUAACAAAUUUUAAUAUCCCUAAAGUGCAUGAGCCGAUAUAAAUAGGUCUUUUAUUAUACUAGGUUAGAUGCAAAGUAGUUGAUCAUAUCUUAUAAUUAUGUUUUAUUGCAAAUUAUAUUUUUUAACUCAAUAUGUAACUUAUGAUUUUUUUUAUUUAAUAUCACAGAAUAAAAUUGUCAUAUUUCAAUUCUUAUACUAGAAAAUGCCAAAUAAUAAUUAUUAACCAUCUUUAAUUAUAGGCACUAAACUCCCACGCAUUGUGUGGGCUUUUCCCCCUAGUUUAUUAGUAGUAGUAUUACAUUAGGAAACAUGAAAUAUUAUCUUUUGUAUUUUCUUUUUCUAAUUAGCCAAUGUGCUUUUAUUAUUAAUAGUAGAUAUCAAGUAGAAAAUUGAGGGAGAGAAAAAGCCGGCAUUUCGCGUGAUUAAUACUUCGGGAAGCUGUCACGAUCUCAAGGAUAAUUCUGGAAUUGUGGAAAUCAGGGUCAAUUGAUUGGGAAAGAUCAGGGAAUUGGGGAAGAACAGAAGAGAGGAAAUAAGAGAAAUGGAGAGAGAGAGAAAGAAGAAAGGAGUGAAGGAAAUCAGAAGAAUCAAAUGCAAUUUCGUAAUCCUUUCUUACACGCGGGCCCCAGUUAUAACCAACUCUAACAACCUGACAUUAGCUAAUAGCUGAUUUAACCGCCUAACUGUCUGACUAAGUGGAACGGUACCGUUUGGAAUGCUUAAUAAGCUCUGGAACGGCAUCGUUUAACUAAUCAACUGACUAAACUAACUAAUGCUCAAUUGAGCCCCUUAUUACGCCUGAGAACAUGAAUUUUGCAGCCUGACAAUCCCUUUCCCUUAAAAACAGACUUGUCCUCAAGUUUGGAAAGCAGUGAACUGGUUUUCAAUGAAGGAUUUAUCCUCCUAAGAAGCUUCUUCAGGUUCUAGCUGCUCCCAUUUAAUCAAGAACUGAAUGAUAGUCUGCCCAUUGCGCAAAAUGACUCUUCUGCUCAGUAUUGCUUCUGGCUACAGGGGGCAUUGAUCGUGUGUGUCCAAUUCUGGAAGCUUGGUAGAACUACCUUGCAUUGGCCUUAUUUUUCUCUUCAGCAGUGAAAUGUGAAACACAGGGUGUACUCUAGUACCUGCUGGCAGCUUCAAUCUGUAGACCACUGUGCCAACUUUCUCCUCCACCUGGAAGGGCCCAAAGUAUUUAGCAGACAGCUUGAGACAUUUUCUUACUGCCACAGUUUGUUGUCUAUAGGGUUGAAGCUUCAGAAAUACCCAAUCUCCCACGACAAAUUCUCUCUCAAUUCUGUGUUGGUCAGCAAAGUGUUUCAUCCUUUGUUGAGCCUUGGCCAAGUUGUCCUUUAUGCAGUUAGAGAUCCUGUUUCUUUCCUGGACCAUAUUGGAAGCUGCCGGGACUACCGAAUCUAAAUAAGGUCCUAAUGGUAGUGGCAAGGGUUUAUAUCCAAACAGAGCUUCGAAUGGUGUCAUAUUGAGGCUAGAGUGAUAGGUAGAAUUGUACCACCACUCAGCCAUGGACAGCCAUUUGCUCCAUUGUGAUGGCAUUUCUCCUGUCAUGCAUCUCAAGUAGUUCUCCACACAUUGAUUCAGCCUCUCGCUUUGACCAUCAGACUGAGGAUGGUAAGAAGAUGUAUAGCGUAGUUCUGUUCCUAGCACCUUGAAUAACUCCUUCCAAAAUCCACUGGUGAAAAUCAUAUCCCUGUCUGUGAUGAUGGAUUCAAGUAAACCAUGCAUUAUGUAUAUGUUGUCCAGAAACACUUGUGCGACCCCUUUGGCAGUGAAUGGGUGAGUGAGUCUAACAAAAUGUCCAAACUUAGUGAACCUAUCAAUCACCACCAGUAUAGUGUCAAAACCUUGUGACUUGGGUAGCUUCUCAAUAAAAUCCAUGGAAAUGUGAGUCCAGGCCUGGGUGGGAACUGGAAUUGGUUGCAACAGACCAGGAUAUGGUACAUUCUCAGACUUACUCCUUUGACAGGUAUCACAGCUACGAACAAAAGUUAUCACCUCCUGUUUCAUCCCUGGCCAAUAAAACAGUGACUUAAUCCUCUGCCAGCAGCCUUUUUGUCCUGAAUGCCCUCCCAGUGCUGAGGCAUGCAGCACCUGAAGGAUCUGGUUCCUGAUGUUAUUGGCACCUCCCACAUAAAUUUUUCCUUGGUAUCGUAGCACUCCAUCCACCAGAGUGAAGCCAUUAUGAGAAUUGGGAUCCAGUAGUAGCUGAGCCAUGAUGUUUUGACAGUGUUCAUCUAGUUCAUAGCUUUUCUGCAGUUCCUCAAUCCACCCUGGUCUCACUGCAGAGAUAGCUAAGCAUGUCUUGGGAAAAAGAUCUGAAACAGCUUCCUGCCUCCUAGAUAAAGCAUCUGCAACCUUAUUUUCAGCUCCCUUUUUAUACUGUAUCUCAUAAUCCAAUCCCAUGAGUUUUGUCAUCCACUUAUGUUGGAGAGCAGUGUUCAAUUUCUGAUCCAACAGAUACUUUAAUGACUGAUGAUCAGUUCUGAUAACAAAAUGACUCCCAACCAGAUAAUGCCUCCAUUUAGUGACUGCCAUCACUAGAGCAAGUAGCUCCUUUUCGUAUACUGACAGUCCCAAAUUCCUGGGUGACAAUGCCUUGCUCAGAAAAGCAAUGGGGUGUCCUUCCUGCAUCAGAACUGCCCCAAUACCACCCCCACUGGCAUCUGUUUCAACUACAAAUGCCUUGGUAAAAUAUGGUAAUGUAAGAACUGGGGCUGAGCACAUCAACUCCUUCAAGUGCUCAAAGGCUGCCUGUGCUUUUUCACUCCACCUGAAACUAUCUUUCCUGAGCAGUUCAGUCAGAGGCUUGAACACCUGGCCAUAAUGUUUUACAAACCUUCUGUAGUAGCCCGUUAAUCCCAAGAACCCCCUUAAUUCCUUUACAGUUUGAGGUACAGGCCACUGUAAUAUGCUACUGACCUUGGAGUCAUCCAUGCUAACUCCCUUGUCAGUAAUAGUAUGUCCCAGAUAGUCUACCCUCCUCUGAGCAAAUGCACACUUGGACUUCUUCACAAACAGUUGAUUAUCCCUCAGCAGAUUCAACACAAGUCUCAAAUGCUGGAUGUGAUCCUCUAAGGUGGGGCUGUAUAUUAAGAUAUCAUCAAAGAAGACCAAGACAAAUUUCCUCAAAUAAGGUUGAAAUAUCUGAUUCAUCAACGAUUGGAAGGUUGCAGGAGCAUUGGUAAGGCCAAAAGGCAUUACCAGAAAUUCAAAGUGACCACAAUGGGUCUGGAAGGCUGUUUUGAAAGAGUCCUGUGGUUUGACCUUGAUCUGAUGGUACCCUGCUGUCAAAUCCAGUUUGGUUUUGAAUACAGAUCCUGCUAAUUCAUCCAGUAAUUCAUCCACGUUGGGUAUUGGAAAUCUAUCCUUGACAGUGAGCUCAUUCAGCUUUCUGUAAUCUACACAGAAUCUCCAAGUGCCUUCUUUCUUCUUGACCAACAACAUAGGAGAGGCAAAGGGACUGUUGCUGUGUUUGACAAUGCCCUUCUGCAGCAUUUCAGUCACUUGCCUCUCUAUUUCCUCCUUGUGACAAUGAGGGUAUCUAUAAGGUUUGAGUUUGAAGGGUUGGGCAUCUGGUUUAAGGGGUAUUUCGUGGUCUACACUUCUGCUUGGGGGUAGUGACUGUGGUGAUUGGAAUACAUCCUCAAACUCCUGUAGCAGCUGGUGCACUUCCAGAGGGGUGGUAUCCAAUCUGCUCUCUUCACGCUGUUGAGAACUCAUGGCCAGACACAUCUGCCUUUUGUAUUCAAUAAAGGUCCUCAAGUCUUUGCCUCUGAUCAAGUCCAGGUCACAGUUAUCUGCUUGUCCAUGUAGAUGAAUUUCCCCUCCUUCAUGGUGCAAUGAAAUCUUAAGUUGUUGGAAAUCAAAAGUAAUGGGACUAAAGUGUGUCAUCCAAUCUACCCCCAAUAUGAUAUCCCAUCCUCCUAGUUCCAUCGCCUUAAGAUUAAACCUGAAGUGGUGCUGAUUGAUACUCCACUGCACACCUGGACAUACAGCAUUGCUGGUGACACAAGCUCCAUUACCCAUGAUAACAGAGAAGGGUUGAUCCACCCACUGGUAUUUGAUAUCCAUUCCAAAAACCAGCUCACUGUUGAUAAAACUAUCAGAACUCCCAGUGUCCACUAGGAUGGACACCUCUUCUCCAUUCAAGACCCAUGUGAGUGUGAUGGUUUUCCUCUUUAAUGCCUCAGAUAAAGCAUUCAAGGACAGUUCCAUUAUCUGUCCAGGAUUUCCUGUUUGCUCAUCCUGUUCCCCCAGAGCAUCUUUAAAGGUAGCUUCCUCCUCUUCUUCCAGUAUCAUGCAGUUCGUGUGGCCUACCUUACACUGAUGUCCUACCCCAUAUCUGUCCCCACACUUGAAACAGAGUCCAUUAGUUCUCCUAAACUGCAUUUCUUGUGCAGAAAGUCUCCUAGUAUCCUUAGUACUUUCCUGUAAAUUUCCCAGCUUAACAGGUUUAUGGCUGUUGUAGAAGGGAACCUUAUAUGAAGUAGCUCCUUGAUUUGUUGUAGUGCUUCGUGUCAACCCCAGUCUGUUUUCUCCUAGAGGUUUGACAUUCUCCUUGGUACUCUUAUGCUGCAAUUUCAAGGAGUAUUCUUGCCACUGAGACAGUUCAAAUGCUUGAGUCAGGGUCAGAGGUUUUAACAUUUUGAUCAUGGGCUUGAUUUCCUCCUUCAACCCACUAAUGAAACUAGAAAUGAAGUAAUUCUCAUCCAGAUUUUGAUUUUUAAUCAUCAUUAAGGCCUUCAACUCCUCAAACUUCUCCUGGUAAUCUUCAACAUUUCCUAACUGUUGCAGCUUAUUAAAUUUCUCCACUACAUCUUUACAAGUUCUAUCAUUAAAUCUGCGACAAAGCAGUUCUCCAAAUUCUUCCCAACUAAGCUUAGGUUUCUCAAUUUGUACUCCUUGAAACCACCGGUCAGCUUUGCCUUCUAGAUACAUCUCAAUUACAUCUACCUUGUGCUCAUCCGGCACUUGAUAAUUCAGGAAGUAUUUGUUACAUUUGCGCAACCAUUCUCUAGGAUUCUCUCCAGUAAACAUUUGCAGAUCAAUCUUAGGAGGAUUUGGAAGCUGGAACUUACCCCAAUCCUUCUUGAAGAUCCUUUGGCCCUCGCAAUCUACUGCCAACCUUUGAUGAGCUGGUGGAGUUGGUAGAAGUGGCAUUUGAUCUACCGUCCUGUUACCUCCUUCGGUCACCUUCUCCUUUCCAGGCGUCAUCUUCAGUAACAGCUCACUGAAUUUUUGCUCAAGAAGUUGGUUGACAUUCUGCUCCAUUCCCGAUAACAAGUUCUCCAUUCGUCUGUUGUUUUCUUCCAACUCCAUCUUCAAGUCUUUCCUAACCUGCUGGUGCUCAGCUUUGGACGCCUGCAGGGACUCUACAAGCUCCUGGAGCUUAGCUUCUUGCUUCCUUACCUGCUCUUCAAUGGUGCGGAAUCUGGUGCUCUCCGCCAUUGAUCGUGGUACAGUUUCCAAGGAUCGCUGCUCUGAUACCACUUUGUCACGAUCUCAAGGAUAAUUCUGGAAUUGUGGAAAUCAGGGUCAAUUGAUUGGGAAAGAUCAGGGAAUUGGGGAAGAACAGAAGAGAGGAAAUAAGAGAAAUAGAGAGAGAGAGAAAGAAGAAAGGAGUGAAAGAAAUCAGAAGAAUCAAAUGCAAUUUCGUAAUCCUUUCUUACACGCGGGUCCCAGUUAUAACCAACUCUAACAACCUGACAUUAGCUAACAGCUGAUUUAACCGCCUAACUGUCUGACUAAGUGGAACGGUACCGUUUGGAAUGCUUAAUAAGCUCUGGAACAGCAUCGUUUAACUAAUCAACUGACUAAACUAACUAAUGCUCAAUUGAGCCCCUUAUUACGCCUGAGAACAUGAAUUUUGCAGCCUGACAGAAGCAAGAAACGAGGGGGAGCCAUCGUGGCUAGUCCCGUGUCAAGGAGGGGAGCCGCUUGGCUUUUCUCUUAUUAUUCAGUUUCUUUAGUUUUUCUUUUUAUCAAAGACUUAUGCGGCUGGCUUUGAGAAAAAUCGUGUGAAUUGUUCGAAUUAGUCAUGUGCAACUAAGUUCUUUUUUUUAGUUAAGAAAUAACGAAAGAUUUGGUUCAUCUACAUCUGUGAGAUCUAACUAUUUUCAUCUAUUUCUCUUAUUUGUUAGUAUUCGUAUGUUUUUCGAUUUAAUUUCUCAUGGUUGUUUUGUUGUUUGGAUAUUAUGGGCACCUGAUAUUUAAUUCAACUUAACAAACUAAAGCCAAUUAACAUAGUUAAAUCUGUAAUUUUUUAAUUAUUUAAAUUAGUGGCGAUUAGCGUAAUUGGUGCCAUGUUAGGAAGACAUACGAUUUGAUUUAAAUAAAUCCCGGUAGUGUGUUUAUUGAUUAGAACAAGGGUUUUCUAGUUUCUAAUGCAAUCAAGAAAUUAAAUUUUAUGGGCGUACCUAGGGUUGUUUCUUGGUUAGAGAAGCAGUUAACGGACGUAUUUUAACUAUCGAGACACUAAGAAAAAACUGAUUGUUUAUCACGUGUAUGACAACUAUAACCUAAUUAUUAGCAAAUAAUUGAGAUAAUUAUUGCAUCGAUGAUCAGUUAUUUGAACCAUUUCCGGAGUUUUGUCUUUGGCUAGAGCUUGUCUAUUCUUAAGUUGAAUUUAAUUUGCUUUAGUUUAAUUAUUUUCAGUCACAUUGAUUAUUUACUUUAGUUUUAAUUCUCCAAACCCCCUCCCUCCCCCCCCCAACCUAUUAGCUUUUACUUAGAAAGAAAUAGAUUUUUUUUCUAAUCCCUGUGAAGACGACCAUUUUUGUCAUUAUACUCAUUUAUAUCUUUUUGUGAGUAGAAAUUUAUUAUUGCACAGGCAACACUCUUGUCAUCUAGCACUUUAAAACAUCAGUCAUUUUGAAGCAAAUGUCUUGUUUAUGUACAAUAUACAAAAAUUAAGUGGUGAAAAUUUGAGGAGUUUGUUUAUUAUGAAAAUUGGAGAUCCCUUGUAUUCAUCUUUGUUCCUCCAUUUCACAAUUAGUUUGCAUGCAUUUUAAUGGUGAAUUUGUCCACAAUUUAUAAUCAUUUAAUAAAGCGUUUUGUAAUGACAUCGAAAAUACACUUUGAUGGUAAUUGAGGCAACUCUCUUUUAAAUAGAUCAUGAAAAAGAAAAUGCUACAGCUGAUUGACAGUUUGAACUUUGGAGGCACCAUAUUCACAGCAACAAAUCACAAGCAUUGGUUUAUCCAGCUGAGACACGAAUAAAAAAGAUAGCGCCGAGAUGUGAUCCAGCUAAGAAUCAAAUGAAUUUCAAACGGCAGUAAUACUAAUUAGGGGCCAACAAGGUUUAUCCAAUAAGCUUUCUCGAUCGGCUUAGAAAAAAGAGUGCUGCUUCUUCUUUUGACAAACUUGCGCGCAAUUUCCUCCAAAGCUCCUACUCGGCGUUUCACUUGAAAGUUCCCAAGUCAGUGCUGGGCUUUUCUUACUGCUUUUUUUCCUUUUUCGAAUUGUUUGCUCCUUUUGCGCUCGAAUGCCGAGCCUUUUGAUUUGUGGAAAAAUAAUUUAGUGAGUAAAUUCCUGCACUUGGUUUUCAAUGUCAAAGACCUCGAAUGUUCUGGUGAUUCUUGGAGUAGAAUCAAAGAGGAAAACUAUUACUUCGAUCCUUAAUUAAUGAAGGAGUACAAUCAUCCUGUUUUGUGAGAAAUUUUAAGUGGUACGACACAAAUGUUACAAUCCCAUGUUUCACCUCAACUUCUAAUGACUAAUAACAUGUCACGUGCUUUGCACCGUGAUCAUAUUAACCUAACAUAUAACAUCAUUGACAUACUAAAUUCUUUGUUAAAUUUUAACUUUAAGCAUCAAAAUAGAGCAAUUCUUUUGGUUUUCAGUUUCUUUAACUAGUUCUUUGAAAAAUACUAGCUAGUUUAGGUGUAGUACAUGUAUUGCACGCUGCAUUUCUCCCCAGUUCAAUUGAACUUUAAGUAAAUGAAACAAACUGAAGUACUCAAAUUCAUAUAUAUAAAUCAAAAUACACUCUUCUAGUAACCACUCCAACACUAUAUAGCCUUGACAAAUAGAACAUAGAAUUCAAACAGAACAAUAAAAUAUAAUAAGAAAUAAAUGGGCUAAGGCGGUUCUGAUUUAAUGAUUAAAGUACUUCAAGAAUAAAAGGUCCUAGAUUCAAUUCUCUCAAUUUUUACUUCUCAUGUAUGAACAUAAAAAUGAGCUAACCUAAUGUUUCAAAAAAAAAAAAAAAAGAAACCACCUAAAAAUACAAAGGAUCCUCCGUUAAGAAUUUAUCUUCAUACCUUUUGCAAGGUCAUUGAAAACACACAUUGAAGAUACUUGACGUUAACCUGUUUUUAAAUAAAAUCAUUAGACAUUAGAAAAUAUAGAGGCAAGAAUUAUUAAAGCCGAAAAUUUAAGAAGUACUUUGAAGACAUCAAAAAUUUGCUUUGAAGGUACUUGAGGCAAACCCUUUUUGUUAAAUAAAUCAUUAGCAUUAGAAAAUUAAGAGGCAAGAAUUAUUAAAAAUAGAAAUAUUAAAAAUUCUACCUAAUAUUCCUUUUAGGAUAAAUUUUAUAUACACAGAUGAUGUACAUACAAGCAGGGCUGAAUGCAUGCUACCUUUAUUGUGGAAGCAAUAAGUACAUCAGCCAUUCUUUUUGUUCCUUGGAUACUUUUUGCAAUGGAAAGUUUUAGCUCUGGGUGGAAGCAGUAAGGAACUAUUCUUUUCUUCAGCAGAAGCAACAAGACUUUGACAAACUUGCAUGCUUUUGCAACAGGGAAGAGGUUGCUACUUGGAUCCAGGGCCUCACAAUUUAUGUUUCAUACAAUUUCGUGCAAAUUGAUCUUUGAUGUAAAUUAGUCAGAUUUUGGUCUGAAUCAGGUCCAGUUUAAUGUAAAUCAGGUACAGUUUAGUGUAUAUUAAUUUGUGAUUAUUCGGUAUAAAUCAGAUACACUUGGAUAUAAAUUGAUUAUUAUCAUUUAGUGCAUGUUAAGGUCAAUUUGGUGUAAAUUAAGAGUAAAUUGUUAAUUUACAUCAACUUAUACAUAAUGAAACUUGUGAGGCUUAUUUCCUGCAUAGAACUUGUGAGGCCUGUAAUCUUGGUAUCUAAAUUUUGACACGUGAGCAGUUUUAAUCCCCAAAUUUUGGACAAAAAUAAAUCUGGUACCCAAACUUUCAAUAUUUGAGCACAUUUAGUAGCCUUAGUGAUUUUUUCCAAAUUGUUACUUGAAAGAGUCGCGUGAUAGUCAUAUGUUCGAUAAUUAUUCUAUAAAAAAAUGUCACAAAAAUGUAAAAUAUCUUUCUAACUCUAAGAGGAAGAUGAAAUACAGUAAAAGAAGAAGAAAAGAAAUAAGAUGAGUAGAGUUGUGUAAGUGAUUAAAGUUUUUAAAAUAUCUUGGUACUUAGUGUUAGAAGGAUAUUUUACAUUUCACUGGUAUUUUUUUUUAUGCAAUAGUUGUUGGACAUGCGACUAUCACGUGAUUUUUUCCGAUAGCAUUUUGUAAAAAAAUUGUCAAGGGUGCUAAAUAUUCUCAAAUAUUAAAAAUUUGAGUAUAAGAUUUGUUUUUGUCCAAAAUUUGGGGAUUAAAACUGCUCAUGUGUUAAAAUUUGGGUACCAAAACUACAUUUUUCUCUACUGGUCGUUGCUCGGGCCUUCAUAUGCUUUUGAUCCACAUGCUGGAGCCUUGGAUUGUGUAAAAUAUGACAAUCAAGGAUUUAAAAUAUGACAAAACAGGAAAAAAGAAAGGGAAAAUGACAAUCAUAAUUGCAACUCCAGCAACCAUUUUCUUUUUGGGUUAAAUACAAAAAACCUCCUUAUGAUUAAUCGAAUGUUCAAGUUAACUCCCUAUACUUUGGAAACAUACAUAAAAUCCCCUUAUGCUUUUGAUUAAAAUAAAGGCAAAUUACACUUUACCCUCCUGUGGUAUAACUAAUUUUCACAUAACCCCCUGUAUUUUUAAAAGCUAUUUAUAACCUCUUUAUAAUUUGGACUACAUUGUCAAAGUGAUGGAAAUAAUCAUUUGUAAUGGAAUCUAUGAAAUGUCAAAAUUACCAAAAUAUAGAAGGGUAAAAAAUAAAAAAAAAACCCUAUGAUAAGCUUAAUACACAGAAAAACCCCCAUGGUUUUAAAUAUACAACACAAAUCAGCAUUUCAGCAAAAUAGAGAUUUCUCAUUUCUACAUCGCUGUGUAAUAGAACUUUCCAUAAAUUUCCAUAACUCUCAUUAAGGGGAAACAAAAUUUCAAAUGAGUGAUCAAUACUCGAAAAUUAUAAACGUCCAUGCACUAGUCUAAUGUUGGCAAAGUUUGGGACUUGCGCAUAAUAUUUACUGUAGUUUCUUAACCUAAUAAGUUUGCCAGUUUCAAGGGAAAGGGCGAAUAAUAUAUAAUUCGAACCAUCAAAUGCUACCACCAUGAGAUAGGCUGGCAAAAUUCUUUUGAAUGCAGUUCAAGAACUAAGUAGAAAAUGCUAAAACCAGUUACAUUGAUUGAAAAUUUAAAAAGAACAGAAAAAAAAAGAAGGGAAAAUGGAACUGCUUAGAAUCAAAGAGAGAAGAGCGACUUCUGAGAGCAGCACUAAUCGUAGGGGACAAUUCCGGCAAGUGUACGGCGAAGACAGCACUAAUCGGCGAGGACAGCGCUAAUUCCUUCCUUCUGUGUAGAAAUUAUUAUUAUUAUUACUACUACUACUACUACUUUCUGUACUGAUACGGAUAUGAGAUGAUUUACUUAUAUUGGCCGUCAAAGUCUUAAGAGGCAUAGAAAAGUAGAAAUGCUUUAAUUGUAACAUACCCUGAGCUACAAUGAAAAUGAUUUGAGGCCAAGAUGUGUAAGAUCAAUGUCACAUUAGUGCCUCAUGAGACAAGUUCACAUAGAAGUAAUUUUACAAAUAGAUGCUACGUUAAAUGUCAGUUUGAUGAACUAAGGUUGACCUUAUAUGUUCCUAUAUAAUCCUGUUCAAUUGAUUUCCAUAAUUUCAUCUCUCCAACGUUCCCAUCCACCAAGUGGGAUCCUUUCUUGAAUAGAAAUUGGUGCCUUGGCAAGUGGGAUUCUUUGUGCUCUGAGUCCCGUCUGAGCUUUACAGAUGCAAGGAGCAAUGGAAAGGUACCAUCGGACACAACCUGUAGUCAACUGCGGAACACUUGAGAAAAAAUACGUUGCCUGUUAUAGAGCUAAGAUACAACUUUCAAGAAGGAUGCAAGUUAUCUAGCAGGGUUAAGCUAAUCCACAUCUUUCUGCUGCAAAAUACUGGCUACUUUGAACUACAAGCAGCACGGAAGAUAUGGCAAAUUGAGUUCCAAAAGAAGUAAAAGAGCACCUCAUUAACAUGUCUACAAAUUGCUGAAUCGGUUGGACAGUUUAAAAUCACCAGCUGACAAGGAAGAUCUCAGGCUUUGGCCAUCCGAGGCAGAGAGCAAAAGGGAAUUCCAUCCCGGAUGUUUUCAUCUGAUCUGACUGAAUCAGGAUCUGGUUCAACAAGGGAUCACAGGACUUCAUUACAAAUGAUAGUAAGAGCGAGCUAUCAAGGUUAAUGUUGAUCUUCGAGUGUAAAAUCACUGCAAAACACAAAAACUCAAACUUAAGAAACUCAAGACAGCAUGUAGUCAAGAAUAAAGCCAGCACAUAGUUGCAUGACAUUUUUGUUGUAUUUGAAACACUAAAAUAAGAACUUACCAUGAAGAGAUGAGCAAUAUCAACAAGUAUAGGUGGUAGAAUGAGCUUAAUAGCCAUCAUCACAGCGGAUGAAAUAAUUGCAGCCAACAAGCAUGCUUGGCAGUCUCGACUAACCACAGCGAUAUGCUUCAAAACUUGCAGCUUAGACUUGAUUGUGUUAGAAGAUGCUCUGAAAAAACAUCUUCCAUUACGAGAAGAUUUCUCAAGUUUUAGUUGUAAUAUAUUCAGAAUCAAAGUAUUUAAAAGUCAAAAUUGCAUAGUAAAAGAAGAGUAGUAUAUCUGAACUCACUGGACUCUUAGAACCAAAAACCAAUUUGAUGACCAACAGCUCUGGAAACUCCUGAAAUCUUUCGGGCUAGAAAAUCACAACCAACGAAAAGUGAGACAGAAACCCAUCAUUUACAUGACUUAUCGAACAAAUCACUAAUCAAAUGGUUCAAGAAGCUUGAUAAAUGCGCCUUCAAGGGGCCAUUAAACUUUGGAGCCACUAUUUACUCCCUCUAGAAUCAUAAGGUAGGGAGCUGAUCACUUUAGCAAUCCAAAACUCCUAGUCACUUCAAAACAGAAAACUAGAAAUUGCAUGACAUUCUUGUUUAGUCAAUUAUUCAGAAAGCUAAAUCAAUAUUUGUUUUUGUUGUUCUUUUCUAACCUAAAUCAGCAAGAAGAUAUCAAAUCUUUCUGGUCAGUCUACAAGUACCAGAAGUAUCAUGGAAACCUUAUUAGUUUUUGUUCAAAACACUGAAAAAGGAGAAGUUCUAUAACAAUAAUGACAAUGAGUGGCACCACGAGCAUGAAAGGAAGAGAGCCUCAGAAUUGCCCUGAAGGCGAUCUCUUUGAGACUGCAAGAUGCAACAGGCAGAGCUAAUUACAACUAUUUUACUCUUAAAAUCUCAUAUGACAACUUCAAUAGAGGAAUACCAAUUAUCAGAUAAUUUGGAGCAAGAUGAUAAAUAUAUUUAAAAGAGAUCAGAGCAAGCAUUUCCAUCCCGGUAGAAUCUCAAGUUUAAAGAGAAAUAGCAGUCAUGAUGGAAAUACAAAAGUAAACUGGAAGUAGCAGACAUAUGAGAUGAGCAAAAGUAAACUGCUAGUUUUUAUUUAAAAAAAAAAAAGAAUUUUGUACCGUAGAUGUAAAUACAAAAAGUUUUUCAGCUUUGGCAUCGUGUUAAACUGUCCACACUCCACAUCAAAUAACUUGCUCUUGAAAAUCUGUUGAGUUUUCAGCUUUGACAAACUAAAGUUCUAAAAUUGCCAAUUUACUUCCAUAAUUCACAGCUUAUAAGGUAGUACAAUUAAUGAUUGAGAUCUCUAAUUGCAACCUGCAAUCAACUUGCAAAAUGAUAAUUCUUCAGUCCUUACUGUUACAUUACUAGACAACAUCUUGGAAACAGACGUUUUAAAAUGUCAGAUAUUUUGCAACAAAAUCAUCUUACCAUACAAUAUUUAUCACCUGAUAUUGGAUAGAUUUAAAAGAAUUUAGUAAUGAUUUUACUGGAGUAUGUUGUCCGGAAGAAACAAAAAAUUAGAAAUUGACUCCUAAAAUCUUUGUCCAUCAUUGCCUCUCUAUAAUUUUCUGUGUUCCAUCCAUGGUUCGCUAUCGCGGGUCGCGGUCGCGUCGCGGUCUCAGUUGUUCCACAUCCAUCGCGGCAUAUCGGUUGAAUAUCGGGUGAUAUGAACAUUAUAACAUAUUAAAGUUUCCAAAAAUUUUGAAAAAAUUACUAAAAUUAGAAAAUACUGAAAAAGGCACAAUUUAAAAAAAUAUCGGAGUCGACUCCGAGUUGACUCGGAUAUAUCGACCGAUAUCAUGUAUCACGGAUUCGAAUCGGUCAAUAUCGGCCGAGUCAGAGCGAGUCGUCGCGGAUAUGGUGAUAUCUGCGAUUCGAGAAUCGGUAUCGUACCGGUCCCUUCCGUUCCAGAUACGACUCGGCCGAUACGUAUCGGUAUAUAUGGCGAACCAUGGUUCCAUCAAACUUUGAUUUUGACAAUCUAUUUCAUGAAUGUAAACGCAUUAUCAUUCUUUUCUAGCAAAUUGAUAACCAAAUGAACUUUUAGACUACUUAGUUGGCUGAGGAGCUUUUAGAUUGAAAAUCUCAGGAAGACAUGUUUGCCUGCAUUACAAUAAAGAUAGAAGAGCAAAUUUCAUGUCAUUUUUGAGCUAGGAGUCUUAGAGAGAGAAAGGGUUUCUUUUUGUUGCCUUUGAUCUAAAUCUAAUGAGCAGGAAAUAAGGCUUGAUACUAAGUACAUCUACUAAUCCAUUUAAAACAAAUUCCCUAAUGUUACAGUACUUCUUGAAAAUUUGCAAGCUUCUCAUUGUCUAUCUGUUUCUCUAAUACAAGCUCUACCACCAACCAAACCCCCAUAAUCAUCAGCAGAAAUUCACGGCAAUGAUGGCUCUUGAUCUUGAAAGACAUUACAUAAGUUGGGGAAAGAAGCAGUUUGCAGAGGCCAGCUGACAAAGAUAGAGCAUUUUAUCAGGUUUUAGGCACUAGGAAGAAAGAAAAGUGUGCCUGUAGCGUGCCAUCCUAAUCAUUUCUGUCCAAUUGAAACAGGAUUUGAUUCAACAAAGUUUUCAAAAGUUACAAGCUGUGUAAUUCAAUCAGUAAGUAAGUGCAAUUGUAGAUUUCUGUUGACAUUUAAGCCUGAGAUCAUUGCAGAGCAGAAAACUUGAGCUGAGACAAUAUGUGAACAAGAAAGCUAAUCAGAAAGUUUAGAAAAUUCGACAAUAGUUUUGUUCUAUCAUUCUUACAGAAGGCUAAAAUAUGUCUUGUUUGUUAUGAAACUAAAUGGAUAAGCAAGUACUGAGUCGUGUUUACAAUUACAGUGGUUUGGUUCCAACCAAAAAGCAAGUAAGCACAAUCAUAAGCUUGAAAAUAAUGAUAGGCAAUUUGCAUUUUACAUUGAGACAUUGAGGAACAGUAGAGCUAUGGGCUGCUGAGGAACAGUAGAGCUAUGGGGAUCCACAUUUAACUGCUACCAAAACACCAGUUAGUUCUAACUUCUAACUGUGAGCAGUAUGCCACAGAUGACAAUUUGAAUCCUAAAACAUGUACAUCAGCCCCUCAUUAUCAUGACUAAAUAUCACUGAAUCGUUUGGACAGUUUAAAAGAACCUACCCCAAUGGAUAUCUCAGACUUUGGCCAUAGGCACAGAGCGAAUGCGAAUGCCAUCCUAGAUGUCACUAUUCAACUGAAGCAGGAUCUUGUUCAGUAAGGAAUUGCAGGACUUUCAAAAAGUAAAGACAGUAAGAGCCAUCGAUUAGGUUCCCCGUUAAGCUUUGUGCUAAAAUCACAGCAAAGCACAAAAACUCAAACUCAAGACGACUUUCAGGACAGAAUAAAGCUAAUGGAAAUUUUCAGAUAAUUGCAGGUUUUCUAUCAUUGUAACUGAAGCCCCAAAAGGAGAAACUUAGCAUAAAAAAAAGAAGCAACCAACAAUCAAAAAAGCAGAGAGAGCUUAACAGCCUUUAUCAAGGUGGAUUCAUUAAGAGCUGAAAGUACCAGAAUGCUUCAAAAAAGUUUUAUGCAAGAUUUCUUUUGUUUUAUAUGUGAUAUAUUACAUAUUAAAGUGGUUAAAAGUCAAAAUGGAGUAGUGAAAGAAGAGAAACAUAUCUAAAAUUACCAGAAUUUUUGAACCAAAACAUGAAAGUGAUGACCAACAGCUACGAAAACUCCUCAAUUGACCAUUGUCUUCGUGGCUCAAAAGUCAAAAUGAAGGAAAAGUGAGUCAGACAACCGUCAUAUAUGACUCUGAUAGAGCGAUUACUAAACAAAUAAUUCAGAUAAGUUUGCAAAUUCAUUAUCAAGAGGUCAAAGUUCAGAGAAACCAUUUCAUCCCCUUAGAAUCACAAUUUUAAAUAGAGUGAGCUGACUUUAGCAAUAAUAAAUUAAAAUCCAUAGAAACAGACACUUAAAAUAAACAAAACUAGACUGCUAGUUGUUUUAAACAUUAAUAGGAUAUUUGUAGGAAAUGCGGGCCAAAAGUUAUUGAGUUCCAGCCAUAUAGAUGUUACUGAAGAAGCUUCAAAAUUCUAACCUCUGUUUGUCUAAGCAAGAGACCACAAAAAUCAGCUUGGAAAGUUUUGAAGAAAGGAGUGUCAUCAGCAUUGCUGAUCUAAAGACAUAUAGAAAAUGUUUCACAAAUUUUCUGCAUAUGCUAUGAAUAUAAAAUGCAAAUGCAUUUUCCACGGACAAAAGUGCAGAGAACUCAUUUCAUCCUGAUGCAAAUCGUGAGUUUAAAGCGAGAGCUAAUCUUAGAAAUAAUCUUUUACAUUGUUACUUGAUUAGUUAAUUGGUUUCACUUCUCUUUUAUGCAGAACUUGCUUUGGUCACCCAAGAAAAUCUUGUGCCUUUGGUUAUUCAUGCACAAACAAGAUAUUAAGUCAAGCUUCCAUUGAAGUGUAAGUGUCCGGUGCAACCCAAUGAGUACAAACAAUUUCACAAUGAUGCACAAAGAUAUAUCAAAUUUAAGCACAAUAAAGAAAACUUAAUUAAAGAGAAAAGAUAAGAAAUGCAAACCAAAUAUCAAUCCAAUAGCCUCUUCAAUAGAUGGCGAUGCUAACCAAGAUGUACAAGUGAAGGCUCACUCCUUCCUCACCCCAAACACACUUUGGUUGAGCCAAGGAGUUUUACAACUAUUCUAGUUAACCCUCAACAACCUACACUUGAAAGAUCACUCACCCAAUUAAGAACUAUUUUAUACAAAUGAGGCAACCUUCACCAAGGUUUUACCACUUCAAGUGAUAGGUUCACCUUCACCAAGGUUUUACUCCUCCUAGAGAGUAACCUUCACUUGAGCAACCUCACAACCCAACUUUCCCAACCCCUUAUACAACCAACAAAGAAUCUUUCUACUCAAAAAUCUCACUUGUAAGCUUGUAUUUUGUGUUGGCAAAAGUCCCUUGUCUUCUUGUGCUUUGGGGUUUUAUAGAAGGUGAGAAAUGGCUCCAAAAGGCUCUCCAACGGUCAAAUAUUAAAUGCUGUCAAAACUAGCCGUUGGCCUGUCGGACGUCCGAACCACCUGUCGAACGUCCGAACCCUGCGUCCAAACCACCUGUCGGACGUCCGAACCCUGCGUCCGAACGUCGUCAGAGAGUCAUCAAAUCUUUGCGAAAUUUCUCGGACGUCCGAUGCGAUCGAUGUGCGUCCGAGGCGUGCGUCCGAUCCUUCCGGACGUCCGAUGCUUCCUCACGAGCGUCCGACAGAGUUUCCUUCUUGAUGUUCUUCAUCCUUUCGGACGUCCGAUAGCUUCCUUUCGGACGUCCCACAUGAGUGCCCUGUUUUUGCUUCUUCUUUUGUGCCACAAGAAUCUGUUCUAACAAAUUGCUCACAUAAAAACAUUAGCCCAAAUCUACAUUUUGGUUUGUUAAUCAUCAAAACCAAGGAUUGAUCGACCAAGGUCAACAAUCUCCCCCUUUUUGAUGAUGACAAACAAAAUGAAGAUUUCUUUUAUCAAAUAAGUUCAAAUAAAGCUCCCCCUUAGAAAGUGCCAACAUACAAAGAAAUUUCAAUAAAUCCUACUCCCCCUUUUGGCAUCAAUCAAAAACAAACUCCCCCUUUAUUUUUCAAAUCAAGACCAUAUUGAAUAUCAAAAUUUUCAAUUGUACUUACAACCAUAUAGCACUUCUUGGAUCAAAUCUUCAUGAUGUACCUAAAUAUGAGAAAUUUCAUUUGGUACCCUUUCUUUAUAGGGUCCUUGGGAGUUAAUACAACAUGAUCUAGCAAUCCACAUGGAUUUCAUACCUUUUCUCAUAUUUUUCUUUACAUAGCAAUCAUUUUGCAUAUGUCCAAAUUUGUAACAAAAGUGACACAUGAUAGAAGUAUUUUGCACAUAGGUGGAUUUAAUGCAACUAAUUUUCUUACUUCUUAUCAUAGCAAACUUAUUUGUGCCUUGAAAAGAUUUGCUUUCUUUUGUUUGAGAAAACUUUUGUUUUUCAUUUUGGAGAAACUCGUUCAAGUCAUUAAUUCUUUUCUUUAACAAAUUCUGUUCCUCCAACAUUUUUUCAUAAAACUUUGUUUUCUCUUCCAACUUCCUUUUCAAAACAUUUUUUUGAUUUUUUAAAUCAUCAUUUUCCAUUCUCAAACAUUUGUUUUCUUGAAAGAGUUUGGAGUUUUCUUCCAACAAAUCAUUUAUUUUUGUUUUCAAAUCUUUAUUUUUAGCAUAAGAUUUUCUCAAACUUUUAUGCAUUUUAAUCAUAAGAAUUUUCACAUCAUCAUCUUCAUUAUCUUCAUCACAAGAAGAGUGAUAAGAACUUACCUCAUCUUCUCCAACGGCCAUUAGUGCCAUUUGGGCCAACUCUUCUUUUUCUCUUUUUGAAUUGCAUUCAUCCCAUGUAAUUUUGCAAUCUCCUCUUGAACAUCUCUUGUUGAAGAUCUUCUUGAAAUUUUUGAUGUGAGGAGUUAUAUCAUUGUCCACUUCCAUGAUUUCAUUACCCAUGAAGGAUGGGUUAUCCCCCACUUGAGAUGCUUUAAAAGCUAUGCCUCUCUUAUACAUUCUUGCAUUUUCUUCCUCUUGCACUUUGAAUUUCAGCUUUAAUUCAUAAGAGGUUAGGGUAUCCACAAGAGAUUCAAUGGACAUAGAAUUUAAAUCCUUUGCCUCUUCUAUAGCAUUUAUUUUGUUUUCCCAUUCUUUUGGCAAGGCAUUCAAAAUCUUUCUAUUUUUCUCACCCAAAGAAUAUUCUUUUCCAAGCAAUUUAAGAUCUUGAAUAAUGUCACAAAAUCUACUACACAUCUUAUCAACAUUUUCAAGAGGAUGCAUUUUGAAAAAUUCAUAUUGAGAAACAAGCAAAGAUUUCUUUUGUUCUUUAAUAUCUUGGUUACCUUCAUGAAAUACACACAAUUUAUCCCAAAUAUCUUUAGCUGAUUUACAACCUUUAAUCCUACUAGAUUCAUUUACAUCUAAUGCAUUGUACAAUAUACACAUGGCCUUGGCAUUCAAAGAAAGGUAUCUCUUGUCUUUUUCAUUCAAUUCUUGUCUAGUCUUUAAUCUACUCAAAUUAGUGUAGAGUCAAUUAUUCUGGCUUCAUAAGGACCAUCUUCUACCACAUACCAUAAUUCAAUAUAAACGGAUUGUAAGAAAAUCAUCAUUCUUUGUUUCCACAUGCUAAAAUAAGAACCAUUAAACAUAGGUGGUCUAUCAAUAGAUUGCCCUUCUAAAAAAGAAACUUUUAUGGUUGCCAUGAUCUUUACUCUAAGCGGUUAAGCUUGAUCAAAAGAGACCAAGCUCUGAUACCAAUUGUAAGGCCCGGUGCAACCCAAUGAGUACAAACAAUUUCACAAUGAUGCACAAAGAUAUAUCAAAUUUAAGCACAAUAAAGAAAACUUAAUUAAAGAGAAAAGAUAAGAAAUGCAAACCAAAUAUCAAUCCAAUAGCCUCUUCAAUAGAUGGCGAUGCUAACCAAGAUGUACAAGUGAAGGCUCACUCCUUCCUCACCCCAAACACACUUUGGUUGAGCCAAGGAGUUUUACAACUAUUCUAGUUAACCCUCAACAACCUACACUUGAAAGAUCACUCACCCAAUUAAGAACUAUUUUAUACAAAUGAGGCAACCUUCACCAAGGUUUUACCACUUCAAGUGAUAGGUUCACCUUCACCAAGGUUUUACUCCUCCUAGAGAGUAACCUUCACUUCAGCAACCUCACAACCCAACUUUCCCAACCCCUUAUACAACCAACAAAGAAUCUUUCUAUUCAAAAAUCUCACUUGUAAGCUUGUAUUUUGUGUUGGCAAAAGUCCCUUGUCUUCUUGUGCUUUGGGGUAUUUAUAGAAGGUGAGAAAUGGCUUCAAAAGGCUCUCUAACGGUCAAAUAUUAAAUGCUGUCAAAACUAGCCGUUGGCCUGUCGGACGUCCGAACCACCUGUCGAACGUCCGAACCCUGCGUCCAAACCACCUGUCGGACGUCCGAACCCUGCGUCCGAACGUUGACAGAGAGUCAUCAAAUCUUUGCGAAAUUUCUCGGACGUCCGAUGCGAUCGAUGUGCGUCCGAGGCGUGCGUCCGAUGCUUCCGGACGUCCGAUGCUUCCUCACGAGCGUCCGACAGAGUUUCCUUCUUGAUGUUCUUCAUCCUUUCGGACGUCCGAUAGCUUCCUUUCGGACGUCCCACAUGAGUGCCCUGUUUUUGCUUCUUCUAACAAAUUGCUCACAUAAAAACAUUAGCCCAAAUCUACAGUUUGGUUUGUUAAUCAUCAAAACCAAGGAUUGAUCGACCAAGGUCAACAAUCUCCCCCUUUUUGAUGAUGACAAACAAAAUGAAGAUUUCUUUUAUCAAAUAAGUUCAAAUAAAGCUCCCCCUUAGAAAGUGCCAACAUACAAAGAAAUUUCAAUAAAUCCUACUCCCCCUUUUGGCAUCAAUCAAAAACAAACUCCCCCUUUAUUUUUCAAAUCAAGACCAUAUUGAAUAUCAAAAUUUUCAAUUGUACUUACAACCAUAUAGCACUUCUUGGAUCAAAUCUUCAUGAUGUACCUAAAUAUGAGAAAUUUCAUUUGGUACCCUUUCUUUAUAGGGUCCUUGGGAGUUAAUACAAUAUGAUCUAGCAAUCCACAUGGAUUUCAUACCUUUUCUCAUAUUUUUCUUUACAUAGCAAUCAUUUUGCAUAUGUCCAAAUUUGUAACAAAAGUGACACAUGAUUGAAGUAUUUUGCACAUAGGUGGAUUUAAUGCAACUAAUUUUCUUACUUCUUAUCAUAGCAAACUUAUUUGUGCCUUGAAAAGAUUUGCUUUCUUUUGUUUGAGAAAACUUUUGUUUUUCAUUUUGGAGAAACUCGUUCAAGUCAUUAAUUCUUUUCUUUAACAAAUUCUGUUCCUCCAACAUUUUUUCAUAAAACUUUGUUUUCUCUUCCAACUUCCUUUUCAAAACAUUUUUUUGAUUUUUUAAAUCAUCAUUUUCCAUUCUCAAACAUUUGUUUUCUUGAAAGAGUUUGGAGUUUUCUUCCAACAAAUCAUUUAUUUUUGUUUUCAAAUCUUUAUUUUUAGCAUAAGAUUUUCUCAAACUUUUAUGCAUUUUAAUCAUAAGAAUUUUCACAUCAUCAUCUUCAUUAUCUUCAUCACAAGAAGAGUGAUAAGAAUUUACCUCAUCUUCUCCAACGGCCAUUAGUGCCAUUUGGGCCAACUCUUCUUUUUCUCUUUUUGAAUUGCAUUCAUCCCAUGUAAUUUUACAAUCUCCUCUUGAACAUCUCUUGUUGAAGAUCUUCUUGAAAUUUUUGAUGUGAGGAGUUAUAUCAUUGUCCACUUCCAUGAUUUCAUUACCCAUGAAGGAUGGGUUAUCCCCCACUUGAGAUGCUUUAAAAGCUAUGCCUCUCUUAUACAUUCUUGCAUUUUCUUCCUCUUGCACUUUGAAUUUCAGCUUUAAUUCAUAAGAGGUUAGGGUAUCCACAAGAGAUUCAAUGGACAUAGAAUUUAAAUCCUUUGCCUCUUCUAUAGCAUUUAUUUUGUUUUCCCAUUCUUUUGGCAAGGCAUUCAAAAUCUUUCUAUUUUUCUCACCCAAAGAAUAUUCUUUUCCAAGCAAUUUAAGAUCUUGAAUAAUGUCACAAAAUCUACUACACAUCUUAUCAACAUUUUCAAGAGGAUGCAUUUUGAAAAAUUCAUAUUGAGAAACAAGCAAAGAUUUCUUUUGUUCUUUAAUAUCUUGGUUACCUUCAUGAAAUACACACAAUAUAUCCCAAAUAUCUUUAGCUGAUUUACAACCUUUAAUCCUACUAGAUUCAUUUACAUCUAAUGCAUUGUACAAUAUACACAUGGCCUUGGCAUUCAAAGAAAGGUAUCUCUUGUCUUUUUCAUUCAAUUCUUGUCUAGUCUUUAAUCUACUCAAAUUAGUGAUAGAGUCAAUUAUUCUGGCUUCAUAAGGACCAUCUUCUACCACAUACCAUAAUUCAAUAUAAACGGAUUGUAAGAAAAUCAUCAUUCUUUGUUUCCACAUGCUAAAAUAAGAACCAUUAAACAUAGGUGGUCUAUCAAUAGAUUGCCCUUCUAAAAAAGAAACUUUUAUGGUUGCCAUGAUCUUUACUCUAAGCGGUUAAGCUUGAUCAAAAGAGACCAAGCUCUGAUACCAAUUGUAAGUCCUGGUGCAACCCAAUGAGUACAAACAAUUUCACAAUGAUGCACAAAAAUAUAUCAAAUUUAAGCACAAUAAAGAAAACUUAAUUAAAGAGAAAAGAUAAGAAAUGCAAACCAAAUAUCAAUCCAAUAGCCUCUUCAAUAGAUGGCGAUGCUAACCAAGAUGUACAAGUGAAGGCUCACUCCUUCCUCACCCCAAACACACUUUGGUUGAGCCAAGGAGUUUUACAACUAUUAUAGUUAACCCUUAACAACCUACACUUGAAAGAUCACUCACCCAAUUAAGAACUAUUUUAUACAAAUGAGGCAACCUUCACCAAGGUUUUACCACUUCAAGUGAUAGGUUCACCUUCACCAAGGUUUUACUCCACCUAGAGAGUAACCUUCAUUUGAGCAACCUCACAACCCAACUUUCCCAACCCCUUAUACAACCAACAAAGAAUCUUUCUACUCAAAAAUCUCACUUGUAAGCUUGUAUUUUGUGUUGGCAAAAGUCCCUUGUCUUCUUGUGCUUUGGGGUAUUUAUAGAAGGUGAGAAAUGGCUUCAAAAGGCUCUCUAACGGUCAAAUAUUAAAUGCUGUCAAAACUAGCUGUUGGCCUGUCGGACGUCCGAACCACCUGUCGGACGUCUGCGUCCGAACGUUGACAGAGAGUCAUCAAAUCUUUGCGAAAUUUCUCGGACGUCCGAUGCGAUCGAUGUGCGUCCGAGGCGUGCGUCCGAUGCUUCCGGACGUCCGAUGCUUCCUCACGAGCGUCCGACAAAGUUUCCUUCUUGAUGUUCUUCAUCCUUUCGGACGUCCGAUAGCUUCCUUUCGGACGUCCCACAUGAGUGCCCUGUUUUUGCUUCUUCUAACAAAUUGCUCACAUAAAAACAUUAGCCCAAAUCUACAUUUUGGUUUGUUAAUUAUCAAAACCAAGGAUUGAUCGACCAAGGUCAACAUGAAGACAUGUAACCAUCACCUAUUUAUGGUAAUGUCUAUGGAGUACCUAUAACUUUCAAUCAAAAUACAGAAACCUAAGAAAGACGCCAGACAAAAUUGAAAAGAACAACUUCAUGCAAUUCUUCAUUUUUGGUCAAGCGACUACCAACAUAAGAUUUACUCAACAUCAUAUAGACCCAGUAAUUUUGGAAUAACUAUGAAUCUUAAAGUAAGAGCAUCAUUCUAGACAUACGAUUUUUAACUGCAAAAAGAGAACAGGCAAGCUCAUAAAAUCAUGUUGUAUCUAAUGGAGCUAAGAUACAACUUCCAGAAGGGUGGUGAGUAGCUUGCAGAGGCCAACUAACAGACAAUAAGCAGUCAUAAAGACAGACUGACAAUUUUCUACAACUAAAUUGCAGCUAAUUUGCGAGGCAAGCAGUAUGAGACAGAAUAGCAAAUGAGGUCCAUAAUUGAUGAAUUACUACCUCAUGUCAUGGCCAACAGGUUGAAGGCAUCACAUUCACACCGUAGAUCUCAGGCUUUGGCCAUCUCAGUCACUUAGAAGCGAAAGAGAGUGUCAUUCUAUAUGUUUGUCUCCAAUUUGAAAAUGAUGUGGUUGAAGAAGGAAUAAUGGGAUAUUGAUACGUAUGGCAGUAAUUAAGCCAUUGAGGUCUCCCGUGAGCUCUCAGCAUAACACCACUGCAAAAUAGAAUACUCAAAACUCAAGACAGUGUAUAGAAAAUCAUAAAGCUAACUAGAAAAUUCGGGUAAUUGCAGGACAUUUCUGUUCAACAAAUCUUACAGAAAGUUAGAGAGAGAGAGAGAGAGAGAGAGAGAUUUUGUCAUUGAUAUCAAACCUAAAUUAGUAAGCAGAUACAAAAUCCUUCUGGUCAGUCUACAAGAACCAAGUAUUGUCAUGAAAAUUGUUCCAGUUUGUGCCCAAAACUCCAAAAAAUGACCGGUUGAGUAAUUUAAAAAAAUUUGUUGCAACCAAAAAACAUGACAAGCAGAGACAGCUCAAGAAUCUUCAUGAAGCGAAUUCCUAGAGAGUAGCAACCAAUUGCUACCUCAAGAAUCUUCAUGAAGGCAAAUCUUCAUCAAAAAGUCCUGGUGAUGAUAGCUGUUCAAAAACAUCCAAUAAGCUGGGGCAAGGAAUUUUUUCCGAGCAGCUCGCACAGGCCAGCUGACAGUCUUGAGCAAUCAAAAACAUAGACUGAAAACUUUCUGCAAUUAGGUAACAACUAGUUUCAAGGACAAGAAGUCAGGAAAACAAGAGAAAAUUUGUAGUAACAUAGCAGGUAAAUUCUUAUUGCUAGACCUCGUGACUGAAAUGGCAGAUUGACAGUGUGCAAGCUUCGACAAUAAGGAUAUUUGGCUAUUUGAGGCAGCAAUAUGAAAGAAAAGAGGGCCAUCAUAAACAUUUCUAUCCAAGAUACUGGGUUUGCAAUUGAAUGAGCAAUUACUGCUAGUUGUUCUAAACGUUGAUAGGUCAUUUGUAGGAAAUGCAGGCCAAUAGUUAUGGUGUAAAGAAGCUUCAAAAUUCUAACCUCUGUUCGUGAAGCUAUUCUUCCAUCAAUCCUACAAAAACAAAGCGUAGAACAGAAUACAAACAGAGAUACAGUAAAACAUGAAAGCACGAAACAGGAUAGGUGCUUGAGGUCAUUCUAAUUGAUAGUUGCAAGAGUAUUAUGUUGUAAGGAGUAAAUGAGGAGCAACAAUAUUUUGGACCUGAUAAGAAAUGCUAAUGCUGUAGCUUUGAAAGAUAAUAAAUGGAAUGAUAAAAAGGGAGAAGAGAAAAUUGUGAAAAUAACCACGUGGACUUUUUAGGUUUUCUCACGAGAAGGUUCAUCAGAAGGGGAGGUGAAGAGAAGGGGAGAUUGAUUGUAAAGCAAAUUAAGAAAGUUGGUAAGAGGCAAUCUUACAUGAUUGAAUUUGAUCUGAAGAUGAGUUGGUUAUUAAUCAACUUAUGCGUAUGUCUAGGUCUUGAAUGUGAGAAACUUUGGACCACUGGGAGUCGGGGCCGCUGCUCUCAGGAGUGCAUCUUUCUUUUAACAGAGGAGAACCACGAACCCUUAGACGUUUUAGUUUGGUGAGACUUCUCAUGGCAUCCUCAGAGGGUAGAUGUCCAAGCUCUUUGAAAUUCCAUAAAUAUAGUUCUUCAAGAGCAGCGAAGUUUCCGAACCAAUCUGGCAGAGCUUCUACAGCUCCAAAGUCAUAUAGCAAUAGUGACGUGAGAGUGGUCAAGUGUUGGAUCUGAUGUGGCAGUGACUCAAUGUAAGGCAACCCAAAUAAUUCUAAUCCACGGAGUGCGGAUGACGAAGAGGAGGAGGAGGAGGAUAUCAAUCCAGACCAAUCAAACUCAUUGUAAAUUGAAGAAUUUUCAUGAUCAUCACCAUCAUCUGAGAAGGGACCAAUUUCAAGCUCCCUUAAGCUGGUUAGGAAACCAAAUCCUUUGGGCGUCAACCUUGUUUUCAGUUUGGGACACUCGCAUAAUUCCAGCUCCGAGAGAGAAGGCGUUUGUUGCAAAUCAAGCGGAAAGGAGAUAAGAUUGUCAUAAUUAAUCACCCGAAGCUCCUGGAGAGAGGCACAAGAGUGUAGCAUGUCACCGGGCAGAUUCGUCAACCCAUCGCACUCAUCAAUCACCAGCUUUUUAAGAGAUGUAAAGUUUUGCAGGGGAAGGAGGUCUUUGCAUCUGUCGCAGGAAUAAAACUUCAAACAGACUAACUUGGGGAGUGUUGUUGCUGACUCGGGGAUUGUUGUUGUUGUUGGCAAAUCCAUUAACCAUCGAGGAAAUUGAUCGCCCAUAAAAUCGCAAAUUACCAACUCCUCCAAAUUUGGGUGGGGUCGAAGGCCAUCUAACACAUCUUCGUCAUUGUAGGUGUCGCCUUCUCGAUCACGGGCCCACUCAAGUACCAGCCUAAAUAGAUUUGCCUUCUCAGAUAGUUUUGCUUCCUCAGCUCCUUCCUUAUUCUUUACCAGUUCCAGAUUGCGUAUCUCCAAUCUGCCUCUGAGGUUCUUUAAGUUUCCAAGCUCUCCAAUUCGUCGACCCUUCUCUCGACCCACUUUAAAGAACUCUAGCGUCUGAAGGCAAGUCAGUCGCCCCAUCUCUAGCGGCAUUUGAAAUUCUUUAUAAUUAUUAUCAUAAUGGAGAUGUCUCAAGCUAAUCAAAUCGCACAUUCCCUUUGGAAGAACUUUAACUUCUGAAUAACUUAGCAUCAAUGUCUGCAGAUUGUAAAGCUUGCAAAGAGAGUCCGGCAAAAUACUGAUUGCAGCCCACGAAAGGUUAACAUACCGCAAAUGUAUCAGUUUGCCAAUUGAGACUGGUAGCUCUUGAGUUCUUCUUGCACGAGACAAAUUCAAAACAUACAAGUUCUUCAACUUCAUUAACAUAUCACCAGAUAAGUCACCAUUUACGAUGAAUAAUGUAUGAAGCGAAGUUGAUAUAUUCUCAAAAAGUUUUUCUGUGUCUUCUCUGCCACCAGCUGAGUCUACUGCAAGGUAACGAAUCUGAUUACUAUUGUCAAUUAUCUGAGCAUCCCCAUUAUUAAUAACUUUAGUAGACUUUGACAUUGACUCUGCGAGGUCGUGCACCAAAUCAUGCAACUUAUAAUAAUGUGUUUCCUCAUAACUUCUGGUUUCUUCAAACAACAAACUCUGUAAUAAAAUUCUUAGACAAUUCAUUCCAAUUUCCUCCAUCAUCAUUUGGCUGUUGAUGUCUGCUUGGAGGAAACCUUCUGCCAUCCAAAGUUCGAUUAGCUUAUCUCCUCUCAUCUCAGUAUCCUUAGGAAAUAUAGACCAAUAUGCAAAACAUUUCUUAAUGUAUGGAGAUGGCAAAUUAUCAAAACUAAACUUAAGUAUUUGCAUCACACCAUCUCCAUCUCCACUCAAACUCGAAAGCCUAUUCUCCAAAAUUGAUCGCCACUCCUCUUUUCUCUUUAAAGAUAAUAGACCUCCAAUUACACUUGCAGCCAAUGGUAGACCAUCACAUCUUUUGAUCACUCUCUCUUUAAUUGCUUUUAGUUCAUCAGGUUCUUCUUCCCCUCCAACUACUUUUUCUUUUACGAUAGACCAACAAUGAUCAUCAGGUAGUUUUCCUAAUGGAUAGCGUUCAUUUUCCAUCAUCCUCAAAACUCUAGACACACUAUGUGCCACUGGACCUAGACGAGUAGUGACCAGACACCAGCUUACAUUAGUUGGAUUGAGCCCCUUCAAGGUGGUGAAAAAGUCAUCCCACAAUGCCUGAUUAUCAUCCCACACAUCAUCAAGGACAAGGAAAUAUCUUUUUCCCUCUAGUUGAUUCUGAAUUUCUCCAACGAUGACAUUCCUAUCAUCCACUUUAACCUUUUCUUUUGUCAAUUGCACUAGUAUGAGUUUGAAAAGCUCUUCUAUUGGAACUUUUUUCGAUACACAAACCCAAAUCUUUAUGUCAAAGUGCCCAUCAAUUUGCUUGUUGUUGUAUAUCAAUUUAGCCAAAGUUGUUUUGCCUAGACCUCCCAUACCAGUUAUGGAAAGACAGGAAACAACCUUCUCGGAUGGGCUCAACAGCAUCUUCACUAUCUUUGAUUCAUUAUCGGCUCUUCCAAUCAUUGGAGCAACAACAGAGUCGGUCUGCCGAUUUCUUUUGUCUCUAGCAUCAGCAGCAGCAGGGAGGGCAACUGUCAUGACUGCCAUGCCGACCAGUCCCAAAUCACUAGCUUCUUGAUUGAUCUCAUUCAGCUUAAGUUUGAUGCCUCUGACCUUAGAAGCCAUUCUCCAACGGAAAGCAAGAUUAAUAUUAGAGAAGGAGAAGAAGCAGCAUACCUUUCGCUUGUGCUGGUUUCGGGACUCCACCUGGUGACGAAGAGAUUCAUAGUUGAGCUCAUCCAACACAUUGCCAGCAUCAUAAGCCACUUCCUCCAGACUCUUCAACCCUUCUUGCACUCCCCGGUCCUGGUUUUGUUGCCUUUCCACAGCAUCAGCCAAGAGAGCAUUGAUAAAGCGAAGAGAUCGAGUCAUGCUGGCCACAUCCUUCUUGAACCCAACUAACAUACCAAUCCUAUCAG